rnacentral:lncRNA from 1 species
UAGAUCACAAUCACAACACAAAACCAAGAGCGACCACCUGAGUUGGAUGACCAUGGCAAAGUAUGCACGUAUGUUUUUCAUCCUUAUGGUCCUUGUUCUACGCGCCAGCUUCCAAGCCCAAGGUAUGAAACGCACCUCUGCUCACUAAAUUUAAGUAUACUGCACAAAAUAGUUACAGAAAGCGACUCGUUUGGCGACCUCAGCGCCUGGGCUCCCGCCGUCGAUCUCGUCGGAUCCCCUCGCUUCCGUCGCCCUCGUCGGCGUCAUGAGGUGAGGGGGCCCAGAUCCACGGGUGGGCUGUGUAUAUAGCGUAGUUUGGUGGCUCUGUAGCUAGGCUUUUGCUGUGGGGUGGGCUCCUCGGCAUCGCGCUUGGCUCCGGCAGAGACGCCCGCGAAUUGUUGUGCUUCGGGUGCUGCGUUGUCUGGUCGGCCUCGUCCAUGGCGGCGGUUUCAGGUCAGCUGCUUGUGUGUGCUCCGAAUCGAGCGCUUGAUCUGGUUGGGCGCUCGCCGGCGUCGUCCUUGGCUCUGGCUUGGUAGGCGAUGGAGGAGCUGCACACGAGUAUGUCUUCGUCGUGGCGCUGCUCCGGCCCGUGGGCUCCGUCGUCGGUGGCGGCCGCAGCUCAGAUGCGUUUUGCGGGGACGGCGUUUGGUUGGAGGCUGCGUCUCGUCGGUGUUUUGUUCUUCCGGGGCUCGAUCCACCUCGAGCUCGUCUUCUGGGACGGGAUCGAUGGGCCAUCGGCGUAGAUUCCAAAAAUUACACGAUACUGAAACAAAUAUAACAAUCAUCCGUUGCAUGAUGAUAUAUUUAGUGAAUAUGCUCUCACAGGAAACAAAAUGAAAUUUUAUUGUCUAUCUUUUUUAUGGAUGAUCUCAUAGAAUUGUCAAUAAAGUUUUUUCAUAAUCAUAAAUAAAUACUUAUAUGCAGGACAACUAGGACCGACGGAGCCAUACAACUUCACAUAGUACAUCCCAAGAAACCAUGUGUUCAAGCACCAAGCUGUUGCUAUCAGAUAAACUGCAAUGAUCCUGGAAAACCACUUGGUACUUGUAUUGAAUGUGCGAUCUCCUGUAAUUGUGAUAAUAGUUGCAAGUGAUCAAGUGUUUUUCCCUUUAAAAACUGGAGCAAUUUGAUAGAAUGACACACUUUUCCUUGUACUUUGACUCAAUAGCACACAUUUCUUUUUAUUGGAUUAAAUGACACAUCUUUGAUUCAGGGAUAGAUAAAAUGGCACAAACUAACUUUUUAGCUCAAUUUUUAGGUCUGGACCCGCACGUAAUAUUUUGUAGGAUGAUUUUGCCCUUCGGUCGGUUUGACCUAUUUACUGGUUUGAUUCAGCCCGGUCACCUUCGAUCUGUUUCGAUCGAAACAGAUACAGACCAGGCAGGAAGACACAAAGGUGUGUUUGGUAGCAUGUAUGGACCUAGCCUAGUUGUUCUCUUCUCAUACAUGUUGAGUGUAGACAUGCUGAGUCUAUGCAAUUGCUGUUGUUUGGCAGCGAUGUAUGCGUUGAGACAUGCUGAGCUGAGACUUUGUUUGGCAGCCUGCAUGUGUUUAGACAUGUUGAACAAUUUCAAAUUCUAUUUUUUUUGAAUGAUGAACAAAAUCGAAAAAAUAUGAACACAAAUUUAAACAUAUUUUGAAAAUUUACAUUUUUUGAAAUUCUUUUUCUUGAAAAACUAAAAUAAAUUUUGAAAUUCUGAACUUUUUUUAAAAUUUGAGCAUAUUUGAAAUUCCAAGCUUUUUUAAAAAAUUUAAACAAAAUCUGAAAUUUUGAAUAUUUUAUAAAAAUUUAAAUAAAUUUGAAAUUAUGGUUUUUUUCAAAAUUCAAACAAUUUUUUAUUUUAUUUUGAAAUUCCAAACAUUGUUGAUUUUUUAAAAAAUAUUGAAAUUAUGAACAUUUUUGAAAAUUUAAACAAUUUUGAAAUCCUAUUUUUUUCAAAAAUUUAAAGAAAUUUCGAAAUUCUAAACUUUUCGAAAAUUUAAAAAAUAAAUAAAAUUCUGAACAUUUUUUGAAAAUAUAAACAUAUUUGAACAUGGUCUGGUGGGUGGGGACGAGUGUGAGUGCCAGUAUAGCUGCCUUCAUGCACCCUGUCUGGGGUGCAUGAGAUGAGCAUAGCUAAGGGCCCUUUUAUGCAUCAGAUGAGCAUAGCCCAUGUGAGCUCAUGCACCCUACCAAACAAGUAAAAGUGGGUCGGAUUGGGAACUUUUACCCUCGUGCACCCUCCAUGCAUCCUACCAAACACACUCAAAAGCGCCGCCGCCUCGCUCUCCUCGCCGUGCCCCGGUGCACUGCCCGUCCCACCGCCGACGCAUGGAAGUGUGCCUCCUCCCAGCGCUUCGCCUGUCUGCCCCGUCUCGCCGCGCUCCGGCCGCUCGCUCGCCGACCGGAGAGAAAAGGCGACCCCCUUUCUCAAACCAUCAGUUAGCCCAGGAACUGAGACGCGGCAGUUAACGUAUGGAUAGCCAGCCAAUCUGAUUUUUGAUUACAUCCAUAUGAACAAGCAUCUGUAGUCCAUAUGUCUUGUUGACAGAAGCUAUAGCUAAAUCCAUCAAUCCAUAUGAUUUUCAGCUACAAUCGUUUUUUUUAGGACAAAAUUUGGCGUUGGCAAGAUUUGAACUCAAGCUGCAGUCCUUUUUUAGCUCAACCCAUAUAAGGUCUUGUACAAUGUAAGGUGCUUAGAAGAGGUGCUUAGAAAAAUAAACCAGACUUUCCUUAAGCACCGUUGCUUAUUUGUACAAGAUAGACACUUAACUAAGCGUCUCUCCUGUAGAAAUAGGCACCGGUGCUUCAAAAAAACUCGAUUUAUUUUUGUAAGCACCUCCCUAAGCAUCUUUCAUUGUACAAGGCCUAAGGAAGAGAGCACUGCUACAGCCGCAAAUGCUGCUCCAACGCGGCCAACAAUGACAUAUACAUGGACGCGCUGCUGCGCCGUGGACAAUGUGCCGAGCGUCGAACGGAGGUUAGAGCUGCAGCUGCGAGGCGCUUGAAGGGGCGGUGCCUUUUUCUCUUCGACCAGCGAGGGUGCGGCCGGAGCGCGGCGAGUCGUGUCAGACGGGUGGAGCGCUGGGGAGGAGCCAUACUUCGAUGCAACCACGAUGGGACGGGCGGUGUGCCGAGGCGGAUGCACAACGAGGAGAGCGAGGCCGCCGUGCUGUUCUGUCUUGAACCAGUAAACAGCUCAAACCGACCGAGGGGCAAAAUCGUCCUACAAGAUAUUAUCUGCAGGCCCAAUCAAAAAGCAGAGCUAAAAAGUCAGUUUGUGCCAUUUUAUCUAGCCAUGAAUCAAAGGUGUGCCAUUUAAUUCAAUAAAAAGAAAGAUGUGCUAUUGAGUCAAAGCAUGAGGAAAAGUGUGACAUUUUAUCAAAUUGCUCAAAAAACUGUUCUUGUUUUCCCGCAAAAAAAAAACUGUGUUUAGUUAGCUACGAAGAAGCAAGAUGGAUUACAUUGACCCAAAACCAGUCAAGCAAAUCAGGUUAUGUAGCAACCAAAACAAACAUAUUUUAACGACAACUCCGCUCUCUCUCCAAGCUUUGAAUCCGGCGACUCCGCUCCCCCGCGGGCCUCAUGUUCGUUGGGUAGUGCCGUAGUGGUUAGAUUCGCCGGAUCUGCUGCACAAUUCGUUUUUGGCUAUAGUCUAGGUAAGAUUGGGUUUGGCUGACCGUCAUGGCUUCUCCGACGGCGAUAGCGGUGGCCAUCAAUAAGGGUGCCUCAGAUCUAUCCCUCACACUUUGAUCUUCGGAGCAGUGGGUGACAGAUCUAGGGGCUACGGUCUGCUCGCGGGUCAUGUGCGGCUGGCGAGAAAUUGGUGGUAGGGCUCGGUCAGCGAGGCGGCGGAUCCGGGGGCUCGGUCGGCGAGGCGGCGGAUCUGGGGGCUCGGUCGGCGAGGCGGCAGCAGAGUCCGAACUCUUGUCCUUUGUCCAUCGGGCAUGUUUCCGUCUUAGCGAUAUCUCCUCCAACACAACUCGAGGGCGUGCAAGGAUGCUUAGGGGUGAAUUGUCCGAUGUUGGCUCCCUCCUCGGAUGGUGGCAGCGCAGGCGACCCCUUGGACAUAGUGGCCUCUUAUAAGGGUUUGUGGAAGACGGUGAGCAGAUCUGAUCCUGUACUUCGACGACAUUGAGCGGAGUCGGCGGAUCUACAAUCCGGCGAGCAUGGGGAUGUUCCCCGUUCGACGUGCUACAGAGGUCCAGCUUUGUCGUUGUAUGGCGAGCUGCUCAAUCGGUUCACAACGCUGCUUCAACUAUGGUGCUUCGGCGGAUCUGGUUUGUGGGGUUGCUUGCUUUUCCUAUCGCCGGCGGUGCUUUAGUGACGACUGUGGUCGGCAACAAGCAAAGAUGACGAUGGAUGCAAGGGUCUCUUAGGACUGAGUUUUGUACUUUGUUUCUUUGGAGGUCUUUUGUGCAAUUGUACGGGGACACAUGCCUUCCUUGGUCCUUUUUAUGAAUUUUGUGUGUACAUGUUCUGUAUGCUAUUUGCAAUAAACACGUAGUUAUUCCUAUAAAAACAUGUCAAGCUUACUCCAAAUUUUAAAUAUGGUAAAAAUAUAGAUUGGAAGAAAGUUGAGAAUUGACAACAAUUUAUAGAAAAGUGUUAUUUGAACGUCGGUUGUAAAGAAAGAUUAUUCGGGAUGGUACGUUUUACACUUCUCUACUAUGAUUCUCUUUUUGAAUGUUGGGAUUGUAAAAGAGUUAUGGGGAUAGAAAAUUUCAACACAUGGGGAUGCUGAUAAUUGAACAUGGGCUCAAAUAUGCAAUUUCACAAGAAUCACAGAAAAUAAAUAAGCACAUGAUUCAUGAGAAAUAGGAUAUUAGAGCAUCUACAGUCUUUUUUUAGGGGUAAAACAACUUUAUUCAUCAAAGUCCACAAAGAGUGGGAUACAACUAUGGUUAUGGGGCUGGCCUAACCAAGUAUGCCGCCCCGUCCCUCUACCAAUAGCAAAUCUAGCUAAGCUAUGUCCUUCCUUAUUGGCUGCAUGACCUAAAGUAAAUUUACAAAGAAAAUCACUUGACCGGGUAAUAAUCUCCCUAACUGUUGAACCAUUCUUUUCCAUGCUGGCUGUUGAUGUCCAAUAUAGCCUGUUUGGAGUCUGACGCAAUGAGCACAUUAUGUAAGUUCAGAUCUUCAGUGAGGGCAAGAGCCUCUCUACAUGCAACAGUCUCCAAGAUUAAUGGAUCGUCCAGACCGGCUAUUACUAGCACGGAGCUUCCCAGAUAGGCUCCAUUGUGAUCCCGACACACAGCCGAUGCCGAGCCUCUCCCGCCCGCUCAGACUCCUGCAUCGACAUGAAUUUUCGCAUAACCCGUCGGCGGGGCCUUUUGGCGUAUGACCGGGCUGGAUGUGCGCCCCCUACAUCCCCUCCUGUGAUGGUGGUAGCUCCGUUCUCGGACAGGACCGCGGUAUGAAUCUUCCUAUGAACAAAUGAGUAGCUCGAGGAGUUUGAAAGAUGUGCUCAUGAAUGGCUUUGUGUCUAGCUGUCUAGAUUGCCCAGAGUGUGACCGCCACCUUGAUGAACUGAUCAUGUGAUAAUGAAUCAAUGAGUGUAAACAGCCACUGUUUUUCCUUGGUCUCAUUAGUAUUCACUAGUUGACUGGCGGAUCUACAGUCAGAUCUCUCAAACCCGCCUCAUACGUCCGGGCGGGCCGCCGGACACUAUUCGGUCACAUUUUUUUGCCCGGACGGGCUCUUUAAACGGGCCUCAAACGCCCGGGCUGACCAGCACCCCGCAUAUCCACUCUAAAUAUGGGGCGGAUAUGGGGGCGCCCGAGCACGCCUGCCACGUCAUUCUGACGGCGGGGCCCCACGCGGAAACACCCGGCUGUCCGACGGACGCCGCGUCCGUCGCAGCGAUGUGAACGCCGCGUGGCGCCCCUCCGGCUCGUCGCCCAAGACCAAAUCCGGCUAUUUAAGUCGGCGGACGUCCCACAACCCUAACCCAUCCCCCUUCCCCUUAUCUGUGCCGCGAGUCCAUGCCAAUCCACCCCCUCUCCGGCUCUGGAGCUCCGCCCACGCUCCGGCACUCCGCCAUGUUCCGAAGCAAGAUCACCUACUACGCCAUGCUGACGCCGAAGCGCUGCUACGAGGUCUAGUAGGAGAUCCGGGCGAGGCAAGCCACGCGUGCCGACCGCAUUGUUGCCAGGCUGCCUCUAGACUCGCUGGAUCCGGAGGAGGACGAGGAGCAGCCGGGGGAAGAGGAGGAGGAGGAGAUGGCUCCGAUGGAGGUGGAGGAGGCAGAGGAGCCGGAGCAGCAGGAGCCAGAGCAGCAGCUGCCGUGCUUCAACAUGGCGCAGGCUGAGGCGGAGGUCGUCGUCGCCCAGGCAGAUGAGAUGGCGGAGCAGCAGGCCAUCCUGAAGUCCAUCCAGGAUGAGGCCUAUGUGGAGGCCAACCGGGCGUUCCUUCGAUGGGAGCAGGCAGAUGAUGACGUGUGCUACGUCUUGAGCUUGCGUUGGGUUUCUUUGAAGAUGAAAGGGUGAUGCAGCACAGUAGCGUAAGUAUUUCCCUCAGUUUUUGAAAACCAAGGUAUUAGUCUAGUAAGAGGCUCCUCAAAAGUCCCACGCACCUACAUAAACAAACAAAAACCUCGCAACCAACGUGAUAAAGGGGUUGUCAAUCCCUUAACGGAAACUUGCGAAAGUGAGAUCUGAUAGAGAUAAUAUGAUAAGAUAAAUAUUUUUGGUAUUUUUCUGAUAUAGAUUGGAAAGUAAAAGAUGCAAAUAAAAGUAGAUGAUAAACUUAUAUGAUAAAAGAUAGACCCGGGGGCCAUAGGUUUCACUAGUGGCUUCUUUCAAGAUAGCAUAAGUAUUACGGUGGGUGAACAAAUUACUGUCGAGCAAUUGAUAGAAACGUGCAUAGUUAUGAGAUUAUCUAGGCAUGAUCAUGCAUAUAGGCAUCACUGUAACACCCCCAGUGUCAUGCUAUAGUAAUCAUCUGUGAUUAAACUAAUCAUUUUCCCAAACAGUGCUUAAUCACCUUUGUUUAAUAUCCCAUUUGAAAUUCCAGUCAAUUCAAAUUCAAGUGAAGUUUGAAGUUGCUCAAAAGUUGCUGGAAUUUUUUUCAUCAAUUGCCAAAAAUUCCAUAACAAAUAUUUGUUAAGGAACACAACAUCACUUUUGUGCAACUAUGAGCAUUAGCAAUUAUAAUAGCACCAAUUCAGCAUUUUUAAAUGCUAUCCUAUUUAUGAAAAAUACCGAAUGAAUUCUUCUGGUCUCCAAAAUAUUUAUGACGCUAUCUAUAAUCACCAGGGUUUUAAUGGGACUCCUCUCGAAGUUUUCCCAAGUGAAAUAGUUGACAAAAUAAUUCCCUUUCUCUCUCUGUUAAUAAAUAAAAGCUAAAACAGAAAGAAGAAAUAGAAAAGGCCUAAACGCUACCGUGGGGCUGGGCCUCCAGUUCUACAGUGCAGCCCAACCCACCGGGGUUGGCCUUUCCCUUACCUCCCGCCAGGUACAGAGAGAGGCCAAAGGCCAUGGCCAGUGCCCGCCCCCCCUCGUCACUGUAGUUCCCCCAGAUGGAUAAGAGGAUCCCCCCUGCUCCUUCUCGCUCCCUCCCCAAACCCUAGAUCCAUUAGCUCCUUUCUCCCCGCUCACCUCCUCGAUCUGGACCCCGCGCCUGAAACCACUAUAGCCGCGCCGUCGACGUUCUCGCAGCCAGCGUCGUCCCCGAGCCCCGCGAGGAUGCCCAAGGGACGCGCGCCGUCGUCCUCGACCUCUUCGUAGCAGGAGCCGCCGCGGAUCAUCGCCGACCCAUCCCCUUCGUCCGUCUUCUUCAACUCCAGCCACUGCGCAUCGCCGUUCGCUUGGCUCCACCCGACCCCUUCCGGCCGUUCCGAGCUCACCACCGACACCCCCUCCCGGUGAGCGACGUCGUCCUCCCUGUUUCCUUGUUGGUUCCAUCGUCGCUCGUCGCCACCACCACCGAGCCAUGCUCCGUGGAGCUCGCGCGUGCCCGCGUAGUCCCGCCGCCGCUGUGCCCGCCAUCGCCUGCAGCCGCGCCGGCACGCCCGACGCCCGCUGUCCCGCACGCUGAUCUGCGCCCUGGCCUCGCCCGCACACACGUGGCCGCCCCCUUCCUUGCCUCCCCUGUCGUUGCGCUGCUGCUGCCUGUUCUUGCUGCUGCUCGCCUACUGCUCUGCUUCUGCUAGUCGUGAUUGCUGCUACCUACCGCCACAGUUGUUCUUGCUGCAACUGCUGCCGCCGGCCCCGCCCUCUGCCCCGCGGCCACUUCCCCAAACUCACCGCGCCUGCGACGCCCACUCGUCGGCCGCGCCCGUGACUCCCGUCACCGUGCUGCCUUGGGCCGCCCGUCCUGGCUGCUUUGCCGCGCCGUCGGCGCCUGGCCACUCCAGCCAGGCCGCUUCUGCUCGAGGCCUCGCCCUGCAUGGCCGCCGGCGCUCCUCUGCGAGCGGCCAUGCGUGCUCCCAGCCGUGGCCAGAGGCCACUGCACGAUUUGGGGCCGGCCUGCCUAAUUGGGGAUUAGCCCCGAUAGCUUUUUGUUUUUAUAUUUGUAUUUAGAUAAGUUAGCUCAAUGGCAGGUGGCCCCCCAUCCCCUAAGUAAAUUAUUUAAAAUCAGUUGAAAGACCCUGUUAAAACAUGUGACACCCACAAGCGGGUCCCACGUGCACUGUUUACUCAUUUGACCAGUCAACAGUCAAUUAUUGACUGUUGACUGGGCAGUAAAUAGGCCCCACUGUCAGCCACACAAUGCCUACUGCCGGGUACACUUCUGGGUGUGCCUAGCCUUUUCCUUUCAAUAAUUUUCGAAUUAAUAAUAAUUUCAGAAUAUUGUUUAAUCUUUGAAUUUUCAUAGAAAAUAAUCCGUAGCUCGGAUGAAAAAGUUUUAUACACAAAAGUAGCUCACAACAACGAGACGAAUCCGAAUACGCGGUCCGUUUGCCCGCCACACGUCUCUAUCAUAGCAAAUGUUGAACAUUUCCCCUCCGAUUCAUUUGUCUGACAAACGUCCGGAACCGGGAAAACUUUCCCGGAUGUUCCCCCCUUCGCCCGUAUUGUGUAGCACUGCGUUAGAACAUCUCUAGCAUCGCUUAUUUGUCUUGUAAUGCAUAUGUUUGCGUGUAUUUAUUGUUUCUUCCCCCUCUUCUCUUUGAUAGACCCCGAGACUGAUGCUGCCCCUGUGACCGACUAUGUCGACCACGACCCUUCUUCCCUUCCAGCGGAGCUUCCAGGCAAGCCCCCCCCUAUUGAUCAUCCCGAUAUCACCCAUUGUUGGAAAUAUGCCCUAGAGGCAAUAAUAAAAGUAUUAUUAUAUUUCCUUGUUCAUGAUAAUUGUCUUUUAUUCAUGCUAUAACUGUAUUAUCCGGAAAUCGUAAUACACGUGUGAAUACAUAGACCACAAUAUGUCCCUAGUGAGCCUCUAGUUGACUAGCUCGUUGUGAUCAACAGAUAGUCAUGAUUUCCUGGCUAUGGACAUUGGAUGUCGUUGAUAACGGGAUCACAUCAUUAGGAGAAUGAUGUGAUGGACAAAACCCAAUCCUAACCAUAGCACAAAGAUCGUGUAGUUCGUUUGCUAGAGCUUUGCCAAUGUCAAGUAUCUCUUCCUUAGACCAUGAGAUCGUGUAACUCCCGGAUACCGUAAGAGUGCUUUGGGUGUACCAAACGUCACAACGUAACUGGGUGAUUAUAAAGGUGCACUACAGGUAUCUCCGAAAGUGUCUGUUGGUUGACACGGAUCGAGACUGGGAUUUGUCACUCCGUGUAAACGGAGAGGUAUCUCUGGGCCCACUCGGUAGGACAUCAUCAUAAUGUGCACAAUGUGACCAAGGGGUUGAUCACGGGAUGAUGUGUUACGGAACGAGUAAAGAGACUUGCCGGUAAUGAGAUUGAACAAGGUAUCGGUAUACCGACGAUCGAAUCUCGGGCAAGUACAAUACCGCUAGACAAAGGGAAUUGUAUACGGGAUCGAUUGAGUCCUUGACAUCGUGGUUCAUCCGAUGAGAUCAUCGUGGAACAUGUGGGAGCCAACAUGGGUAUCCAGAUCCCGCUGUUGGUUAUUGACCGGAGAACGUCUCGGUCAUGUCUACAUGUCUCCCGAACCCGUAGGGUCUACACACUUAAGGUUCGAUGGCGCUAGGGUUAUAAAGGAAGUUUGUAUGUGGUUACCGAAUGUUGUUCGGAGUCCCGGAUGAGAUCCCGGACGUCACGAGGAGUUUCGGAAUGGUCCGGAGGUAAAGAUUUAUAUAUGGAAAGUUGUUGUUCGGGUUCCGGAAAAGGUUCGGGUUUUUUCGGUAUUGUACCGGAAAGCUUCCAGAAGGUUUCGGAGGAUUCCGGAGGGGUCCGGAGGUCCAGAAAUUGUUCCACCACGUCCAAUACAGUAGCAUGGGCUGUAGGGGGGCGCCCUAGCCUUAAUGGGCCAAGGGCACCAGCCCCCNNNNNNNNNNNNNNNNNNNNNNNNNNNNNNNNNNNNNNNNNNNNNNNNNNNNNNNNNNNNNNNNNNNNNNNNNNNNNNNNNNNNNNNNNNNNNNNNNNNNNNNNNNNNNNNNNNNNNNNNNNNNNNNGAGGGCCUCCACUUGACUUGGGAGGCACUCCUCCCCCCUUGGCCGCACCCCUUGGGGUGAGAAACCCUAAAGGGGGCGCAGCCCCCCUUCCCCCUAUAUAUACUUGAGGUUUUGGGGCUGCCAACAUAUGAGAACUUCUCCUCUUGGUGCAGCCCUACCUCUCUCCCUUCUCCUCAUAUCUCGCGGUGCUUGGCGAAGCCCUGCAGGACUACCACGCUCCUCCAUCACCACCACGCCGUUGUGCUGCUGUUGGAUGGAGUCUUCCUCAACCUCUCCCUCUCUCCUUGCUGGAUCAAGGCGUGGGAGACGUCACCGGGCUGUACGUGUGUUGAACGCGGAGGUGCCGUCCGUUUGGCACUAGGAUCUCCGGUGAUUUGGAUCACGACGAGUACGACUCCUUCAACCGCGUUCUCUUGAACGCUUCCGCUUAGCGAUCUACAAGGGUAUGUAGAUGCACUCUCCUUCCCCUCGUUGCUGGUUUCUCCAUAGAUAGAUCUUGGUGACACGUAGGAAAAUUUUGAAUUUCUGCUACGUUCCCCAACAGUGGCAUCAUGAGCUAGGUCUAUUGCGUAGAUUCUUUGCACGAGUAGAACACAAAGUAGUUGUGGGCGUUGAUGUUGUUCAAUAUGCUUACCGUUACUAGUCCAAUCUUGUUUCGACGGUAUUGUGGGAUGAAGCGGCCCGGACCGACCUUACACGUACUCUUACGUGAGACAGGUUCCACCGAUUGACAUGCACUUGGUGCAUAAGGUGGCUAGCGGGUGCCAGUCUCUCCCACUUUAGUCGGAACGGAUUCGAUGAAAAGGGUCCUUAUGAAGGGUAAAUAGCAAUUGGCAUAUCACGUUGUGGUUUUGGUUAGGUAAGAAACGUUCUUGCUAGAAACCCAUAGCAGCCACGUAAAACAUGCUAACAACAAUUAGAGGACGUCUAACUUGUUUUUGCAGGGUAUGCUAUGUGAUGUGAUAUGGCCAAGUAGAAUGUGAUGAAUGAUAUGUGAUGUAUGAGAUUGAUCAUGUUCUUGUAAUAGGAUUCACGACUUGCAUGUCGAUGAGUAUGACAACCGGCAUGAGCCAUAGGAGUUGUCUUAAUUUAUUGUAUGACCUGCGUGUCAUUGAACAACGCCAUGUAACUUACUUUACUUUAUUGCUAAACGCGUUAGCCAUAGAAGUAGAAGUAGUCGUUGGCGUGACAACUUCAUGAAGACACGAUGAUGGAGAUCAUGAUGAUGGAGAUCAUGGUGUCAAGCCGGUGACAAGAUGAUCAUGGAGCCCCGAAGAUGAAGAUCAAUGGAGCUAUAUGAUAUUGGCCAUAUCAUGUCACAACUAUAUAAUUGCAUGUGAUGUUUAUUAUGAUUAUGCAUCUUGUUUACUUAGGACGACGGUAGUAAAUAAGAUGACCCCUUACAAAAUUUCAAGAAGUGUUCUCCCCUAACUGUGCAUCGUUGCUACAGUUCGUCGCUUCUAAGCACCACGUGAUGAUCGGGUGUGAUGGAUUCUUACGUUCACAUACAACGGGUGUAAGACAGUUUUACACAGCGAAAACACUUAGGGUUAACUUGACGAGCCUAGCAUGUACAGACAUGGCCUCGGAACACGGAGACCGAAAGGUCGAGCAUGAGUCAUAUAGUAGAUACGAUCAACAUGAAGAUGUUCACCGAUGAUGACUAGUCCGUCUCACGUGAUGAUCGGACACGGCCUAGUUGACUCGGAUCAUGUAAUCACUUAGAUGACAAGAGGGAUGUCUAUCUGAGUGGGAGUUCAUAAGAUGAACUUAAUUAUCUGAACAUAGUCAAAAGGAUUUUGCAAAUUAUGUCGUAGCUCGCGCUUUAGUUCUACUGUUUUAGAUAUGUUCCUAGAGAAAAUAUAGUUGAAAGUUGAAAGUAGCAAUUAUGCGGACAGUAGAUAGCUUAUGUCCUUAUUGCACUGCUCAGUGUGACGAACCCCAAACGCCGUUUGUGGAUGUUGCGAACAUCAGACACACACGUUUUGAUAACUACGUGAUAGUUCAGUUAAACGGUUUAGAGUUGAGGCACUAAAGACGUUUUCGAAACAUCGCGGAACAUAUAAGAUGUUUCGAGAGCUGAAAUUGGGAUUUCAGGCUCGUGCCCACGACAAGAGGUAUGAGACCUCCGACGAUUUUCUAAGCCUGCAAACUAAGGGAGAAAAGCUCAAUCGUUGAGCUUGUGCUUAGAUUGUCUGAGUGCGACAAUCACUUGAAUUGAGUGGGAGUUGAUCUUCCAGAUGAGAUAGUAAUGUUUCUCCAAAGUCAUUGCCACCAAGUUGCUAGAGCUUCGUGAUGAACUAUAACAUAUCAGGGAUAGAUAUGAUGAUCCUUGAUGUAUUCGUGAUGUUUGACACCGCGAAAGUAGAAAUCAAGAAGGAGCAUCAAUUGUUGAUGGUUGGUGAAACCACUAGUUUCAAGAAGGGCAAGGGCAAGAAGGGAUACUUCAUGAAACGGAAAUUCAGCUGCUGCUCUAGUGAAGAAACCCAAGGUUGAACCCAAACCCGAGACUAAGUGCUUCUGUAAUAAAGGGAACAGCCACUGGAGCAGAAUUACCCUAGAUACUUGGUAGAUGAGAAGGCUGGCAAGGUCGAUAGAAGUAUAUUGGAUAUACAUUGUGUUGAUGUGUACUUUACUAGUACUCCUAGUAGCACCAGGGUAUUAGAUACUGGUUCGGUUGCUAAGUGUUAGUAACUCGAAAUAAAAGCUACGGAAUAAACGGAGACUAGCUAAAGGUGAGCUGACGAUAUGUGUUGGAAAUGUUUACAAUGUUGAUAUGAUCAAGCAUCGCACGCUCCCUCUACCAUCGAGAUUGGUGUUAAAACCUGAAUAAUUGUUAUUUGGUGUUUGCGUUGAGCAUAGACAUGAUUGGAUUAUGACUAUCGCAAUACGGUUAUUCAUUUAAAGAGAAUAAUGGUUACUCGAUUUAUUUGAAUAAUACCUUCAAUGGUCUUGCACCUAAAAUGAAUGGUUCAUUGAAAUCUCGAUCGUAGUGAUACACAUGUUCAUGCCAAAAGAUAGUAAUGAUAGUACCACCUACUUGUGGCACUGCCACGUAAGUCAUAUCGGUAUAAAAUGCAUGAAGAAGCUCCAUGUUGAUGGAUCUUUGGACUCACUCUUUUUUGAAAAGUUUGAGACAUGCGAACCAUGUCUAUUGCUGUAUAUGCAUGAAGAAACUCCAUGCAAAUGGACCGUUUGAACUCACUUGAUUUUGAAUCACUUGAGACAUGCAAAUCAUACCACAUGGGCAAGAUGACUGAAAAGCCUCGGUUUCAGUAAGAUGGAACAAGAUAGCAACUUGUUGGAAGUAACACAUUUUGAUGUGUGCAGUCCAAUGAGUGCUGAGGCAUGCAGUGAAUAUCGUUAUGUUCUUACUUCACAGAUGAUUCGAGUAGAUGUUGAGAAUAUUUACUUGAUGAAACGCAAGUCUGAAUUAUUGAAUGGUUCAAGUAAUUUUAGAGUGAAGUAGAAGAUCAUUGUGACAAGAGGAUAAAAUGUCUAUGAUAUGAUCAUAGAGAUGAAUAUCUGAGUUACGAGUUUUGGCACACAAUUAAGACAUUGUGGAAAUUGUUUCGCAAUUAAUACCGCCUGGAACACCAUAGUGUGAUGGUAUGUCCGAACAUCAUAGUUGCACCCUAUUGGAUAUGGUGCGUACCAUGAUGUCUCUUAUCGAAUUACCACUAUUGUUCAUGGGUUAGGCAUUAGAGACAACCACAUUCACUUUAAAUAGGGCACCACGUAAUUCCGUUGAGAUGACACCGUAUGAAUUAUGGUUUAGAGAAACCUAAGUUGUCGUUUCUUAAAGGUUUGGGGCUGCGAUGCUUAUGUGAAAAAGUUUCAGGAUUGAUAAGCUCGAACCCAAAGCGGAUAAAAUGCAUCUUCAUAGGACACCCAAAACAGUUGGGUAUACCUCCUAGUUCAGAUCCGAAAGCAAUAUGGAUUGUUUCUUGAAUCGGGUCCUUUCUCGAGGAAAGGUUUCUCUCGAAAGAGUUGAGUGGGAGGAUGGUGGAGACUUGAUAUGGUUAUUGAACCAUCACUUCAACCAGUGUGUAUCAGGGCACAGGAAGUUGUUCAUGUGGCACCUACACCAAUUGAAGUAGAAGCUUAUGAUAGUGAUCAUGAAGUUUCGGAUCAAGUCACUGCCGUACCUCGUAGGGUGACAAGGAUACGUACUACUUCAGAGUGGUACAGUAAUCCUGUCUUGAAGGUCAUGUUGCUAGACAAUAAUGAACCUACGAGCUAUGGAGAAGCGAUGGUGGGCCCAAAUUCCGACAAAUGGUUAAGAAACCAUGAAAUCCGAGAUAGGAUCCAUGUAUCAGAACAAAGCAUGGACUUUGGCGGACUUGCCAAUGAUCGGCAAGCCAUUUGAUAAAUGGAUCUUUUAAGAAGAAGACGGACGUGGAUGGUAAUGUCACCAUCCAUGAAGCUCGACUUGUGGCGAAGAGUUUUUCACAAGUUCAAGGAGUUGACUACGAUGAGAUUUUCUCAUCCGUAGCGAUGCUUAAAGUCCAUCGGAAUCACAUUAGCACAAGCUGCGUUUAUGAAAUCUGGCAGAUGGAUGUCAAAACGAGUUUCCUUACCAGUCGUAAGGAAAGGUUGUAUGCGAUACAAUCAGAAAGGUUUUGUCGAUCCUAAGGAUGCUAAAAGGUAUGCUGGCUCCAGCGAUCCUUCUAAGGACUGGAGUAAGCAUCUUGGAGUUGGAAUGUGCGCUUUGAUGAGAUGAUCAAAGAUUUUGGGUUUAUACAAAGUUUAUGAGAAACUUGUAUUUCCAAAGAAGUGAGUGGGAGCACUAUAGAAUUUCUGAUGAGUAUAUGUUGUUGACAUAUUGUUGAUCAGAAAUGACGUAGAAUUUCUGGAAAGCAUAUAGGGUUAUUUUGAAAGUGUUUUUCAAUGGAAAGCCUGGAUUAAGGUACUUGAGCAUUGAGCAUCAAGAUCUAUAAGGAUAGAUCAAAACACUUAAUGGUACUUUCAAAUGAGCACAUACCUUGACAUGAUCUUGAAGGUGUUCAAGAUGGACCAGUCAAACAAGGAGUUCUUGCCUGAAUUGUAAGGUACGAAGUUAAGACUUGAAAGCUCGACCACGGCAGAAUAGAGAGAAAGGACGAGGGUCGUCCCCUAUGCUUAAGACGUAGGCUCUUCAGUAUGCUAUGCUGUGUACCGCACCUGAAGUGUGCCUUGCCAUGAGUCAGUCAAGGGGUACAAGAGUGAUCCAUGAAUGGAUCACAGGACAGCGGUCAAAGUUAUCCUUAGUAACUAGUGGACUAAGGAAUUUUCCCGAUUAUGGAGGUGGUAAAAGAGUUCGUCGUAAAGGGUUACGUCGAUGCAAGCUUAACACCUAUCCGGAUAGCUCUGAGUAGAGAUACGGGAUACGUAUAAUGGAGCAACAAUUUAGAAUAGCUCCAAGUAGAACAGUUAUUUGGAAUAGCUCCAAAUAGAGCGUGGUAGCUGCAUCUAGGAGAUGACAUAGAGAUUUGUAAAGCACAUACGGAUCUGAUUGUUGCAGACCCGUUGACUAAAACCUCUCUCACAAGCAAAACAUGAUCAAACCCCAGAACCCAUUGAGUCUUAAUCACAUGAUGAUGUGAACUAGUUUAAUGACACUAGUAAACUCUUUGGAUGUUGAUCACAUGGCGAUGUGACCUGUCAGUGUUAAUCACAUGGCGAUGUGAACUAGAUUAUUGACUCUAGUGCAAGUGGGAGACUGUUGGAAAUAUGCCCUAGAGGCAAUAAUAAAAGUAUUAUUAUAUUUCCUUGUUCAUGAUAAUUGUCUUUUAUUCAUGCUAUAACUGUAUUAUCCGGAAAUCGUAAUACACGUGUGAAUACAUAGACCACAAUAUGUCCCUAGUGAGCCUCUAGUUGACUAGCUCGUUGUGAUCAACAGAUAGUCAUGAUUUCCUGGCUAUGGACAUUGGAUGUCGUUGAUAACGGGAUCACAUCAUUAGGAGAAUGAUGUGAUGGACAAGACCCAAUCCUAAGCAUAGCACAAAGAUCGUGUAGUUCGUUUGCUAGAGCUUUGCCAAUGUCAAGUAUCUCUUCCUUAGACCAUGAGAUCGUGUAACUCCCGGAUACCGUAAGAGUGCUUUGGGUGUACCAAACGUCACAAUGUAACUGGGUGAUUAUAAAGGUGCACUACAGGUAUCUCCGAAAGUGUCUAUUGGGUUGACACGGAUCGAGACUGGGAUUUGUCACUCCGUGUAAACGGAGAGGUAUCUCUGGGCCCACUCGGUAGGACAUCAUCAUAAUGUGCACAAUGUGACCAAGGGGUUGAUCACGGGAUGAUGUGUUACGGAACGAGUAAAGAGACUUGCCGGUAACGAGAUUGAACAAGGUAUCGGUAUACCGACGAUCGAAUCUCGGGCAAGUACAAUACCGCUAGACAAAGGGAAUUGUAUACGGGAUCGAUUGAGUCCUUGACAUCGUGGUUCAUCCGAUGAGAUCAUCGUGGAACAUGUGGGAGCCAACAUGGGUAUCCAGAUCCCGCUGUUGGUUAUUGACCGGAGAACGUCUCGGUCAUGUCUACAUGUCUCCCGAACCCGUAGGGUCUACACACUUAAGGUUCGAUGACGCUAGGGUUAUAAAGGAAGUUUGUAUGUGGUUACCGAAUGUUGUUCGGAGUCCCGGAUGAGAUCCCGGACGUCACGAGGAGUUUUGGAAUGGUCCGGAGGUAAAGAUUUAUAUAUGGAAAGUUGUUGUUCGGGUUCCGGAAAAGGUUCGGGUUUUUUCGGUAUUGUACCGGGAAGCUUCCAAAAGGUUCCGGAGGAUUCCGGAGGGGUCCGGAGGUCCGGAAAUUGUUCCACCACGUCCAAUACAGUAGCAUGGGCUGUAGGGGGGCGCCCUAGCCUUAAUGGGCCAAGGGCACCAGCCCCCCAAGGCCCAUGCGCAUGGGAAGGGGGAAACCCUAAGGGGGAGGGCCUCCACUUGACUUGGGAGGCACUCCUCCCCCCUUGGCCGCACCCCUUGGGGUGAGAAACCCUAAAGGGGGCGCAUCCCCCCUUCCCCUAUAUAUACUUGUGGUUUUGGGGCUGCCAACAUAUGAGAACUUCUCCUCUUGGUGCAGCCCUACCUCUCUCCCUUCUCCUCAUAUCUCGCGGUGCUUGGCGAAGCCCUGCAGGACUACCACGCUCCUCCAUCACCACCACGCUGUUGUGCUGCUGUUGGAUGGAGUCUUCCUCAACCUCUCCCUCUCUCCUUGCCGGAUCAAGGCGUGGGAGACGUCACCGGGCUGUACGUGUGUUGAACGCGGAGGUGCUGUCCGUUCGGCACUAGGAUCUCCGGUGAUUUGGAUCACGACCAGUACGACUUCUUCAACCCCGUUCGCUUGAACGCUUCCGCUUAGCGAUCUACAAGGGUAUGUAGAUGCACUCUCCUUCCCCUCGUUGCUGGUUUCUCCAUAGAUAGAUCUUGGUGACACGUAGGAAAAUUUUGAAUUUUCAUAGAAAAUAAUCCGUAGCUCGGAUGAAAAAGUUUUAUACACAAAAGUAGCUCAGAACGACGAGACGAAUCCGAAUACGCGGUCCGUUUGCCCGCCACACGUCUCUAUCAUAGCAAACGUUGAACAUUUCCCCUCCGAUUCAUUUGUCUGACAAACGUCCGGAACCGGGAAAACUUUCCCGGAUGUUCCCCCCUUCGCCCGUAUUGUGUAGCACUGCAUUAGAACAUCUCUAGCAUCGCUUAUUUGUCUUGUAAUGCAUAUGUUUGCGUGUAUUUAUUGUUUCUUCCCCCUCUUCUCUUUGAUAGACCCCGAGACUGAUGCUGCCCCUGUGACCGACUAUGUCGACCACGACCCUUCUUCCCUUCCAGCGGAGCUUCCAGGCAAGCCCCCCCUAUUGAUCAUCCCGAUAUCGCCCAUUCCAUUCUCUCAUGCUUGCAUUAGAUUUUGCUACUGUAAUUGAUUGCUCCUAUUCUGAUGCAUAGCCUGCUUUUGUACCUGCUGUUGUACCUUACCUGCUUAUCCUAAACUGCUUAGCAUAGGUGUGAUCCAUCAAUGACCCCCACUUGUCCUUGUUGCCCUUGCUUCAUCAUCGAUGCCUUGAUCAACGUGAUCGACGACCAGAGCCCGACACCUCACAUCACAUCACGCCCCUUUUGUUGCUCGACUCUGCAGAGCUACUAUCGAGUGCCAAGGGUGAUCCCUCAUAACACACUCCUAAUGAUAAUUCUGUAGGGUAGCUAUUCAGUCGUGGUCAUCGAGGGUGAUUUCCUCUUUCACCAUUCCCGAUACGGCUUUGUCGUUCAACACCUCAAGUGUGAACCUUGAGGGUGGUCCCUCUUACAUUCACCUUGAUGAUUACAUUGAGUGGAAUUAGGGUGAUUCCUCGGGUUUUCCCCUUGAUGUAUGGACACACAGUUACCUUGACUUUACUUGAGACCAUUGUUGAAGUCGGGUCGGCCCUGAGGGGUACCCGCGAGUUGAUGUGAAAGUUGGGCGGGCCCGUUGAGCACCCCGUGAGUUUUCCACGUGGCACGGCCGAGCAAUCUGGGCCCUUGCUGUAAGUCCACGAUACGGGGCGACGGGGUCACCUUAUCGUGAGUCUCUACUCGUUUCUGCGAGCCCCCAAUGCACUAACAGGUUUGGGUAUUUGUUCUGAGUUGGCCUUUGGCCUUUACGCACUAACCACCACGCGAGAAUAGAUAUGGGCCUCGACGUCGCAGUAUCAGUCGAAGCUUUGUUAGACGUCCAGUUCAGCAGUGCGGCAUGAUCGGAUCAUGCUGGCCAUUCGAGGCCGUGCUGGUAUUCACCCUGCGUGCAACGUCCCGGAGUGCUACGGGCGAUGGGCCCAAGACCUCGGAGCGCUUAGGAUGUAGACCGGCGGGGACCUUUCUGCUGAGCCUAGGUAGGGUUGCGACGUGUUGAUCUUCCGAGGCCGGGCAUUGACCCUAGAAAGGUGUGUCCGGCUAGAGUGAUCGAGCGUGUUGGGUAACGUGGUGCACCCCUGCAGGGAAGAUAUAUAUUCGAAUACCAUGUCCACAGUAAUGGACGUUCAGACUUAUAUCCUGAUCUUAUAUAACUAGAAAUGGAUACUUGAGAUAUGUGAUGGAUAUGUGGCUCCGAGAUUGCUUUCUCGCAGAGAGUCGAGGAAGGAUCUCUGGGCAUUGUUGUUACGACAUGCUUGUUAAAUAUUAUAAACUGCUAUUCUUUACUCUUCUACAUGCUGCAAUAUGCUUGGAGCUGCUUGAAGAUGCUAGUCUUUGAUAGGCGAGGCCUUCCCCUCUAUUCUGGCAUUCUACAGUCCAGUCCACAGAUACAAACCUUCCAUUUGAUACCAGUGCAUACUUAGUAUAGAUCUGAUGCUUGCGAGUACUUUGGAUGAGUACUCACGGUUGCUUUGCUACCCCUUUUUCCCCUUCUUCCUUCUUUCUUGUUGAUGCAACCAGAUGGUGGAUCCCUGGAGCCAGAUGCCACCGCCGAUGGAUGCUGCUACGUGAAGACCGCCGACGACCAGGAGUAGUUAGGAGGUCCCAGGCAGGAGGCCUUGCCUCUUCGAUCGUGUUUCUUUUGUGAUAGCCUUCUUAAGGCAUCCUUGUUUAACUUAUGUCUGUACUCAGAUAUUGUUGCUUCCGUUAACUCUUGUGUAUCGAGCUUGUAUUCGAGCCCUCGAGGCCCUGGCUUGUAAUAUGAAGCUUGUAUUAUUUCAUUUUGUGUCUAGAGUUGUGUUGUGAUAUCUUCUCGUGAGUCCCUGAUCUUGAUCGUACACAUUUGUGUGUAUGAUUAGUGUACGAUUGAAUCGGGGGCGUCACAAUCACGUCCAUAACAAGUAGACCGACUCCUGUCUACAUCUAUUACUAUUACUCCACACAUCGACCGACUCCUGCCUGCAUCUAGAGUAUUAAGUUCAUGAAGAACAGAGUAACACAUUAAGAAAGAUGACAUGAUGUAGAGGGAUAAACUCAUGCAAUAUGAUAUAAACCCCAUCUUUUUAUCCUUGAUGGCAAGAAUACAAUACGUGCCUUGCUGCCCCUACUGUCACUGUGAAAGGACACCGCAAGAUUGAACCCAAAGCUAAGCACUUCUCCCAUGGCAAGAAAGAUCAAUCUAGUAGGCCAAACCAAACUGAUAAUUCAAAGAGACUUGCAAAGAUAACCAAUCAUACAUAAAAGAAUUCAGAGGAGAUUCAAAUAUUUCUCAUAGAUAAACUUGAUCAUAAACCCACAAUUCAUCGGAUCUCGACAAACACACCGCAAAAAGAGUUACAUCGAAUAGAUCUCCAAGAAGAGGAAGGAGAACUUUGUAUUGAGAAUCAAAGAGAGAGAGAAGAAGCCAUCCAGCUAAUAACUAUGGACCCGAAGGUCUGUGGUAAACUACUCACAACUCAUCAGAGAGGCCUUGGUGAUGAUGUAGAGGCCCUCCGUGGUGGAUUCCCCCUCUGGCGGAGCGCCGACGACGGCUCCAAGAUGGGAUCUCAUGGAUACAGAAGGUUGCGGUGGUGGUAUAUAUAGGAGGAAGAAGUACAUCGGUGGACGAUCGAGGGGCCCACGAGGGUGGGGGGCGCGCCGGGCACCCUCGUGGCCGCCUCGUUUGUUGCUUGAUGUCCACUCCAAGUCCCCCGGUUGGCAUUUGUUCCAAAAAGAUCGUUCCUGAAGGUUUCAUUCCGUUUGGACUCCGUUUGAUAUUUCUUUUCUUCGAUAUACUGAAAUAGGCAAAAAAAACAUCAAUUCGGGUUGGGCAUCCGGUUAGUAGGUUAGUCCCAAAAAUGAUAUAAAAGUGUAAAGUAAAGCCCAUAAACAUCCAAAACAGGUAAUAUAAUAGCAUGGAACAAUAAAAAAUUAUAGAUACGUUGGAGACGUAUCAAGCAUCCCCAAGCUUAAUUCCUGCUCGUCCUCGAGUAGGUAAAUGAUCAAAACAGAAUUUUUGAUGUGGAAUGCUACCUAGCAGAAUUCUCAAUGUAAUUUUCUUUAUUGUGGCAUGAAUGUUCAGAUCCAAAUGAUUCAAAAUAAAAGUUCAUAUUGACAUGAUAAACAAUAAUACUUCAAGCAUACUAACAAAGUAAUCAUGUCUUCUCAAAAUAUCAUGGCUAAAGAAUGCUAUCCCUACAAUAUCAUAUAGUCUGGCUAUGCUCUAUCUUCAUCACACAAAGUAUUUAAUCAUGCACAACCCCGAUGACAAGCCAAGAAAUUGUUUCAUACUUUCACUACAAAAAAAAGACACAUCCGAGACAUUUUGGGCUGAAUGAAUUUUUUUCUAUCAUAAAUAUGACACUUCUAUGACGAUAAUUGUGACAAAACCUGGUAUCAUCAUAGAUGUGGUGGGCUCCUACUUCUAUGACAAAAAAUCAUGACAGAAAAUGGGCUUCUCGUCCUGGGCGGGCCGGAGACGCAGCUGCAUGACAUUCUUUAGGCCGUCCAUGACGGAAAACACCGUGGUAGAAGCGAGGGCGAGGAAAAUUUCAGGGGGUUCCCGGUUACGGUGGGUGGUCGGGGGCCGAGCGAUGCGCGUUUCUCUCGUACACGUACGCACGUAUGUGUGAGGCGUUGGCUCUAAAUGAACCCGAGCGAGGCGUUGGGCUCUAACUGAACCCGAGCAAUUGCACUGCAGGCUACGCGUUACUGAACCCGAGCGAUCGAUCGAUGGCUGCUAAUUGAACCCGAUCGAGCGAUUCCUUCGCUACUGCUGCUAACUGAAGCCGAUCGAUGCUGCCUCUCUAGAUGAACAGUGAGCAUUGUGGGGGGGAGGAGGGUUUGGAUGAACAGUGAGCGGUGGGAGUGGAUGAACAGGACCCGUGGCGUUGCCUCUGGAUGAACAGGACCCCGAUCAAUCGAGCCGGUUGGGGCUGGAUGAACAGGACCCCGUGGAGGGCUGGAUAAACAGGACGACCCCAUGGAGGGCUGGAUGAACAGUAGACGGUGGAGGGGUGGACGAACAGUAGCCCGUGGAGGGGUGGUUGAACAGGAGCCCAUGGAGAGGGGUGGUUGAACAGUAGCCGGUGGAGUAGCGCGCGGUGGAAGUUGGAUAAACAGGAGCCCGUGGAUGAACAGUUGCAGGUGAAGGCUGGAGGAGGUCGACGGUGGAUGAACAGUAGCUCGUGGAGGCUGGAGGAGGUCGACGGUGGAGAUGAACAGUAUCCCGUGGAGUCCAGUUUUGCGGUACGCCACACCCCUCCCGAUGAACAGGACCCCCGUUUCGACCGUAGCGCUCCAACACAAGUCCGUUUCGUCCGUUUUGCGGUACGCCACACCCCUCCCGAUCAAUAGGACCCCCGUUUCGACCGUAGGAGGUCCGUUUCCUCCAUUUUGCGGUACGCCAGACCCCUCCCGAUGAACAGGAUCCCGUUUCGAACGUGGCCGAUAGAACACGAGGCCGUUUCCUCCGUUCUACAGUACGCCAGGCCUUGUUUCCAUCUCCUGUUCCGUCCAAGCCCUGCCGAUAAACAUGACGACGCAUUCCGUUCCGACCCAGCCGGUUGGCUCCCAUGAACAUGACGACGAUGAUUAUGUUUCUCCGUUCCGACCUAGCCAUGUACACGAGCCCUGGCCGUACGUAUGCACGAGUAGGUGUUCGAGACCCCGCCCGUAUGUACGUAUGUGGCCGUAUUUUCUUUAUUGCACCCUGGCCGCUGUACGUACAUGUACAUGCUACGUGCGCACCUCUACUACGACACGUGCGCGCCUCUACAUCCACCAGUAUGUACGUACACGUUCGUGACCAGAAUGAGAACGCUACUUACACUUCGACCAGGUGGGUCCCGACUGUCACGCAAUUCCUUGCGUGCGAAGAUGUAGUCGGUGGGUCCCAGCAGUCAGGGGGCGAAUCAUUUUUUUUGCCCGGACGCACUUCCUUGCGUGCGAAGGUGUAGCUGGUGGGUCCCAGCAGUCAGGGGGUGAAUCAUUUUGUUUUUUUUUGCCCGGACGCACUUCCUUGCAUGCGAAGGUGUAGCUGGUGGGUCCUAGCAGUCAGGGGGGAAACUUUUUUUUUUGCAAAAUACGGUGGCCCGUCCGGUGGGUCCCCGCUGUCAGGUGGAGGAAUAAUUAUUUUGCGCAUAAUAAGGAGGCACCUUGUAAGGGCAUUCUUGUCCCUCAGUAGUUUUGGUGAUUGGUGACAAUGCCUUUGCGGACUAAUUGUGUGUAUUGAGCUUUACACAUAUAUCACGACAAAACACAAGACGAUUUGAUGCCCCUCGAAGAUUAUUGAAGAUGGCAUUUCUCUACACUUCGGUUCGGUGCAGUUGAGUCAUAGGAAAGCCGUACUAUCUAGAGGGAGUCCGCUUUGGAAAGGUUUGGGUGGAAUCUCAUGUACACGUUCCCUUUGCACUGCCUUUCCUCGAGCUCUUUGGAGUGCUCCUCCGUCUCACCUUGUCUCUGCGAAAUGAAGGUCUCCGUGUUGCUCUUCUCAGGCUAGUGAUAGUACUGCUCUUCAGAGCGGUACUACCGCAGGAGCCAGCGGUAGUACCAGGCUCCGGCACGGUAGUACCAUGGGCUCCCACGGUAGUACCGCUCCUUAGAGCGGUAGUACCGAGAGCUCUGGACUGGCGCCGCUGCUCAAGCGGUAGUAGGCGCGGAUGUAAUUUUUUACAUCUGCGCUCUACGCGGUAGUACCGUGCUGCGGCACGAUAGUACCGUGGCGCCAGGCCAGGUAUAGUAGCAGGAGCGGAAGUAGGGGCGGAUGUAUUUUUUUACAUCUGCACCCAUCACGGUAGUACCGCACCCUUGGCCGCGGUAGUUCCGGGUCGGAUUUUCGCAUGACAAUUUCUCAGCGGAGGUAGUCACGGAUGUAAUUUUUUACAUCUAUGCCUACCAGGCUGGCAUGCGGCUGUCCUGCGGUAGUACCGCAUGGGGCCGCGGUAGUACCGCACCUGCGGAUCUACCGCGCCCUGUCCGUGCUCCUUUCUUCAGGUCUGGGCUCUGCCGCACCCACGGUAGUACCGCGGUCCGCCGCGGUAGUACCACAGGCCCGUGCGGUAGUGCCGCGUCUGUGGUGCGGUAGUUCCGUGGGUCGUGGGCUGAGUGGUGGGUAACGGUUGGAAUUGUAUCCCCACUAUAUAAGGGGGUCUUCUUCUCCAAGAAGAUUUACCUCUUCCAACCCAAAACUCCAUUGUUGCUCCAAGCUCCAUUUUCGGCUGAUCUCUCUCCCUAGCCAAUCAAACUUGUUGAUUUGCUCGGGAUUGGGUGACAAGGCCCCGAUCUACACUUCCACCAACAGAUAUUCGAUUCCCCCCACUAAUCCCUAGCGGAUCUUAUUACUCUUGGGUGUUUAAGCACCCUAGACGGUUGAGGUCACCUCGGAGCCAAAGUCCAUUGUGGUGAAGCUUCAUGGUGUCGUUGGGAGCCUCCAAUUAAGUUGUGGAGAUUGCCCCAACCUUGUUUGUAAAGGUUCGGUCGCCGCCUUCAAGGGCACCAAUAGUGGAAUCACAGCAUCUCGCAUGUGUGAGGGCAUGAGGAGAUUACGGUGGCCCUAGUGGCUUCUUGGGGAGCAUUGUGCCUCCACACCACUCUAACGGAGACGUACUUCCCCUCAAAAGGAAGGAACUUCGGUAACACAUCCUCGACUCCACCGGCUCCACUCUUGGUUAUCUCGUGCCUUUACUCGUGCAAGCUUAUUUGUGUUGUUUACCUUGCUUGCUUAUGUGCUAGUUGUUAUUGCAUCAUAUAGGUUGCUCACAUAGUUGCAUAUCUAGACAACCUACUUUGAUGCAAAGUUUAAAUUGGUAAAUAAAAAAUUAAAAAGUGUUAGUUGCCUAUUCACCCCCCUCUAGUUAACUAUAUCGAUCCAUUCACACUUCCUUGCGGCCGUCGUGGACCCAGCUGUCAGCCUCUCCACGUACAUUACUCUUCCGAUGGAAGUCGGUCGUUGACCACAUUGACCACGCCGCGCCGAGAGCACCACGGCGGUGGACGACGGCGAGGCCUAGGAAGGGGACGAUGCAGAGCCGGGGAAGACACGGCCGUGGAUGCCCACGUGGAGAGGAGUACGACUGUACGAGGGUUUACCGGUUCGUCUGCCGUCUCCGGAGAAUAACAACAUGUGUGGGUCAGUGCCAGCGAUAGGAGUACGAUGGGGCGGUGAGGCCUGCGCGGCAGCAUAGCCGGCCGCGGGGAGGAGGGAGCAGGCAGUCCCGCCGGCGCUUGUUUGAGUGGCUGGAGCAUGAAGAGCAAAGAUUGAAGAAGCACGACAGCCGUUGGAUGGACAUCCAACAGUCACGGGUCUCGUGUGUUGACUAAGUCGACAGGGCGUUGCGUGUGCGUCAACCUUUUUUUAUGAAAGCAUACGCGUCAACUGUACUAGGUGCACAAGUCAGCCUCAAAUCUGUGGAAAACAGCAGACAACCCAUCUGCCAUUAUUUCUAAUAAUGUACAGCCCAUUUGCUAAUUCUUAAGAAUUCUUUUGGACCCUACGCCAUGGCCAAAGACGCGUGGCAGUGUGUUGUGUCUCUCUAUCGAGGAAGCGCAAGCAUUCAACGCUCCAACUAUGAAGUGGUGCAAGAUGAAGCCGAUGAAUUUACAAUGAAGGAAGAUGAAGAACCUCGUGAGCUCUUUCGGAGAGUUACCAAACUCACGGUCUCACUCUGAGAUCAUGGGAGUAAGGACACAGAUGACAAUUGGAUCAAAUGCAAGUUUCUGAAGGCCAUGAUACCCUACAACAAGGCCAUGUCCUCCGUCAUCCGUUAAAGACCGGACUUCCACUCCAUGACCUCAAGUGAAGUGUUGGAUGAGUUCGUUGCUAUGAGCAUCUUGGACAAAACCACCGACAAUGCGGUGCUCCGUCCUCAAAGAACAAAGAAGACCAAUCUUGCUUUGAAGGCCAAGGUCAUCAUGGAAGAAGAGGAAUAAGAAGAAGAUGAUGAGAGCAACCCCGAGGAUACAAAUAUGAUUAUCAUGAGCACAUGGCUCUUGCUUCAAGGCAAUUUUGGAGCAAGAAGAACACAAGGCCCAACUUCAACAAGAACAAUUCAAGUGGGUUCAAGGGCAAGCAACGAGUGAGAACUUGCUACAACUAUGGCAAUGUGAGUCACUUUGUUGUGGAUUGUCCUUACGAGAAGUGGGAAGAUAAUGGUGGCAAGCUCAUUCGAAAAGACAAAGCCAAGUCCUUCCCCAACAAGAACAACUUCACCAAGAAGACUCCUACUCGAGGGUUAGUGGUACAAGAAGAAUACCAUGAGGAUGACGAUGAUGAUGAAGAUGGAUAAGCGAUGGUCAUGGACUCCAUUGCCAUUGCUACUACUCCCCGGGUGUCUCUCUUUGACUCACCCAACAAAAACAUCACCGCCAAGUGCCUCAUGGCUAAAGCCACCAACAAGGUAACCCCCAACAUCAAAACCACCAUCAUUACUAAUCCUUCAUUAACGGAUUGCAUUGAUGAAAAUGAGGGGUCUAAUGAAGAGUCGAAUGAAUUUGAGUCUUUUAUGAGUAAACUCAAGAGAAAAGCCAAGAAGCACUUUGUUGCUCUCUUGGAACAACUUGGUGAAGCCAAUGACAUGAUCGAGGCUCAUGAAGAAACCAUCUCUAAGAUGGAAGGUCAUAGUCGUGACUAUGCCGAUGAGAUAUCGGAUCUCUCUAAUUCCCUUGAGGAAGAGCGUGGGCAUCGUUUGACUCUUGAGGAGUCACACAAUGAUGACCAUGCUAAAUUAAAGAAAGAUCUUGAUCAUGCCAUUGUUGUCUCUCAUGUGGCAAAACCGAGAAGGCUAAACUUGGGGUUGAUCUUGCUAGACUCAAAGAGGAGUUUGAUGUACUUGACAAGGCUCACAAGGUCUUGAAGGGUGCUCAUGCUAGCCUCAAGGAGUCUCAUGCUCAACUCCAAGUCAAGUUAACCAAGGAGAAAGCCAUUUUUCCUCCUAUGGUCUUAAUUGAUAACGCAAAUGCUACUAACCCGUGUUGUGAGCAUGUGCAUAUUGUGGAGGAGAAUGCCCAGUUGAAAGAGCAAUUGAAGAAAGGUCUUGUGACAUGCAUUCAAGGUGAGAAAAACCUCAAUGACCUUUUGAGCAAUCAAAAGGAAGUUGUGGCCAAGGAGGGAGUUGGGUUUACCCCCAAGUCCAAGAAUAAGAAGAAGAAUGACAAGACUAAAUGACCUCCUCCUCUCAAGCAAACAUUUGUGAAGGAGGGAGAGGGUGAUCUUAAGGAGAAGAAGAACAAUGUGAAGGGUGGUGAUGUCAAGAAGGGAAAUCCCACCCCUUCCAACAAAGCCGGCGACUUUAACCCCUCUUAUGUGUUAUGCCAUGCUAGUGAUGGACAUGUUUAUGCAAAAUUUGUUGGCUCUCCUUAUGAGUAUAUUGAAUGGUCUAUUUGGGUUCCCAAGACCCUUGUUGCUAACAUCAAAGGACUCAUUACUCAAUGGGUACCUAAAACCAAGCAUUGAUUUCAUGUAGGGGUUUGCUUCUGGUGGAGGAUCAUGGUUGCUCGAUAGUGGAGCAACAAAUCAUAUGACCGGAAGCAAGGAGUUGGUGGUGGACGUGCACAAGAUUCCAUCUAUGCCCACCAACGUCGAGUGGGGUGAUGCCUCGUCUUCUAAGGUAUUGGGUCUUGGCAAGGUUGUCAUUUCUCAUGAUCUAAUGAUCGAGAAAGUCAUGCUUGUCAAGUCCCUUGCAUUCAAUCUUAUUUUCGUUCGUCGACUUGCACUCAUGGGUUUUGCCACCUUCUUUGAUAUUGAUACUGUGGCCCUCUUGUGGAGCAAGACUCUUAAAGUAGCCUUUGUUGGGCAUGUCGAGAAUGGUCUCUAUGUGAUUAACUUUUCGGAGCGACCCACUAAGACCGCGACAUGCAUAAUGUCUAAAGUUGAUGUGGGAUGGCUUUGGCAUCGCCGUUUAGCCCAUGUCAAUAUGAGAUCUUUGCAAAGUCUUCUCAAGGGGGACCAUGUCCGUGUACUAACAAAUGUUAGUUUUGCCAAAGAUCGUGCUUGCAGUGCUUGUAUCGAAGGGAAGCUUCAUGAGAAGGCUCACCCUCCCACGACUAUCAUCUACUCGAAGAGACCCUUGGAGCUCCUUCACAUGGACCUCUUUGGGCCUCAAUCCUUUGAUAGUCUUGGGGGUAGAAAAUAUUGCUUGGUGAUUGUGGAUGAUUACUCAAGAUACACUUGGGUAUAUUUCUUCAAGAGAAAGAGUGAAACUCAACAAACCGUCAUCGACUUUGCAAAUGAAGCUCAACGCCAACAUGAUGCAAAGAUCUUGACAAUAAGAAGUGACAACGGCACCGAGUUCAAGAACUACACCUUGGAUAAGUUUCUUAGUGAUGAGGGGAUCAAACAUCAAUAUGCUGCACCAUAUACCCCUCAACAAAAUGGUGUAGCAGAGAGGAAGAACCGGACAUUGAUGGAUGCGGCAAGAACCAUGAUGGCGGAGUUCAAGUCUCCAUACAACUUUUGGGCUGAAGCCAUCAACACAGCAUGUCAUGCAUCCAAUCGGCUCUAUCUCUGCAAAGGCUUGAAGAAGACUCCUUAUGAAAUACUCACCGGUAACAAGCCCAACCUCAAGUACUUCCGGGUGUUCGGGUGUAAGUGUUUCAUUCUCAAGAAAGGUGUUCGUUUGUCUAAAUUUGAGGCUAGAGCUUAUGAGGGCAUAUUUGUUGGUUAUGCUUCAAACUCUCAUGCUUACCGUGUCCUCAACAAGUCCACCGGACUCAUUGAGGAGACGUGUAACGUAGAGUUUGACGAGAAUAACGGCUCCCAAGUGGAGCAAAGUGGUACUUGUGAUGUAGGUGAUGAAAUUCCUCCCCAAGCCAUAAGAAGAAUGGGUAUUGGUCACAUCCUACCCAUUGAGGAACCCCUUGUGGCCGAAGGAGAAGGACAAUGCUCCACUCAAGUGGAGCCAUCACCAACCCAAGACCCACACGCUUCCGAAGAACAAAGUGAAGGCCCUCAACCUCGUGAACAAGACCAAGGGCAAGAUCAACCUCAAGACGGUGAUGAUCCACCGAAUGAUGCCCAAGGUCAAGUUCUCCCCCUCGAGCAAGUUCAAGAUCUCGAACAAGCUCUAGAUGGCGCUCAAGAUAAUCAAGUUGAUCCUCCUCCUUCCACAUCCGAGGAGGAAUUAGAGCAUCGUGCCGCGAAGAUUGCUUCCAAGCUCACCACCAAAGGUCAUCUCAUGGAGAAUGUGGUUGGAAGCCUAAGAAAGGGGUAAGCACUCGUAGACAAUUAGCAAACUAUUGUGAACAUCACGCGUUUGUCUCUUGUGUUGAACUCCAAAAGGUCAUUGAGGCACUCGAAGAUUCAGAUUGGCUCAAUGCCAUGCAUGAAGAACUCAACAACUUCGAGUACAAAAAGGUGUGGAGAUUGGUACCAAGGCUGUCGGGGAACCACAACGUCAUUGGAACCAAAUGGAUUUUCAAGGACAAGCAAGACGCUCAUGGGAACAUCAUUCGGAACAAGGCAAGAUUGGUAGCACAAGGCUACUCCCAAGUCGAGGGUAUCGACUACCGUGAAACCUUUGCCCCCGUUGCUCGCCUUGAAUCCAUUCAUUUGUUGAUUGCUUAUGCUUCCCAUCACAACUUUAAGUUACAACAAAUGGAUGUGAAAAGUGUUUUUCUUAAUGUUCCUAUUAAUGAGUUGGUUUAUGUCAAACAACCCCCCUGGGUUCGAGGAUCCCUAUUUCCCGGAUCAUGUGUAUCAACUCGAUAAGGCACUCUAUGGCCUUAAACAAGCCCCACGUGCAUGGUAUGACCACCUUACCGAGUUGUUACAAGAUCGUGGAUUUGAAGUUGGGCAAAUUGAUCCCACUCUUUUUACUAAGAAGGUCAAAGGGGAGUUGUUUGUAUGCCAACUAUAUGUUGAUGAUAUUAUCUUUGGUUCCCCUAACAAAGCUUUAAAUGAGGAAUUUUCCGCUCUCAUGACCUCUAAGUUCAAGAUGUCUUUGAUGGGAGAGUUGAAGUUCUUCCUUGGUAUUGAUAUCAAACAAAGAAGAGAAGGUACCUUCAUCAACCAAGCCAAAUAUACUCAAGACAUGCUAAACAGAUUCAAGCUAAGUGAUGUCAAGCCGGCUUCUACUCCAAUGCCUACCAAGUGCCAACUUGACAUUGAUCCCAAUGGUAAAGCGGUGGAUCAAAAGGUAUAUUGCUCCAUGAUUGGAUCCUUGCUCUACCUUUGUGCAUCUAGACCGGAUAUCAUGUUGAGUGUGGGAAUUUGUGCACAGUUUCAAGCCGCACCGAAGGAAAGCCACUAUGUGGCGGUCAAGCGAAUCUUUCGAUAUCUGGCUCAUACCCCAAACUUUGGCUUGUGGUACCCAAGAGGAGCAAACUUCAAGCUUGAAGGAUUUACGGAUUCCGAUUGGGCGGGAGACAAAGUGGAUAGGAAGUCCACUUCCGGAGGGUGCCAAUUUCUUGGUUGCUCUUUGGUGAGUUGGUCUUCCAAAAAGCAAAGUUGUGUGUCUCUCUCGUCCACCGAAGUAGAAUAUGUGGCGGCCGGUAGUUGUUGUGCACAACUCCUAUGGAUGAGGCAAACUUUAAAGGAAUACGGUGUCAUUUGUGACAAAGUGCCUCUUUGGUGUGAUAAUGAAAGUGCCAUCAAGAUUUCUCUCAACCCGGUGCAACACUUUAAGACGAAGCACAUUGAAAUUCGGUAUCACUUCAUCCGGGAUCAUAUUAGGCGAGGGGAGAUCGAGCUCAAGUAUGUUAACACUCAUGAUAACCUUGCAGAUAUUUUCACGAAGCCCUUGGAUGAAGCAAGAUUUAGCGAGUUAAGGAAUGAGCUAAAUAUCAUUGAUUCAAGCAAUGUGACUUGAGCCCGUGCACACCCCACCUCACUCAACUUGUUGUCUAGUUUAGGUGUAGGCAUGGACAUAGGGGGAGUGUUGUUCUCUCAAUGAACUCUUCCUCCCCCCCAUUAUGCAUAAAUUGAUCAACUCUUUCACAUUAGCCAUUUUUGAUGGUACUUGUGCUUCAAAGACGAGUUUUGGUCAUGGACCCAAGGAUAAUUCUUCGCGGUGCCAUACCAAUUGACUCAAACAUAGGUGGCUCCGACCACCGCCCUCCCUUUGGAGAAGUUGUGUCUCGUUGUUGGCCUUCGUUGUCGUGUGGCUUCCUCUUCUCCUUGUCGUGCUUGAGUCAUCGUUUGUGUUCUCCUCUUAGUUGGUCGGUGUUUCUCCAGAGGUUGUUUUUCCUUUUUUUCCUCCUUUUUCUCUCUUUAGUUCCAGCACUUUCUUGGCUUACGGUACUACCAUGGUGCGCCACGGUACUACCGCAGGAGCUGGUGGCUCUUUGUCUAAUGCGUGGCCCUCCAGGGGCAUGGUACUACCGCUACCUCCGCGACAGAAAUUUUUUACUACCGCUGAACAAGCAGUACUACCGCCCAGCGUGCGGUACUUCCGCCCGGGCGGUGCUACCACGAUGACCCACGGUACUUCCGCGCACAUGCGAGCGGGUGGGGGUUAAGAGCGGGACAGGGGGAGUUCUAACUCCCCCAUACCCAUUCAUCUCUAUUCCCCACCCCGUCUCUCUCUCUCUCGUGACCAAGAACGGCGCCGGAGGCCUUCGCCGGAUCUCUGUCUCCGGCCGCUCUCCUCGGAUUCCGAGCGGUGGGAUCGUUCCCCACCUCGCCCUCUUGCCAUGUACCUAGGUGGUGGCUCCGGUUUUGCUCCUCGCUUGAAUCACAGCCGUGACACAGGGUCAAAGCGGCUCCGCAACCCAGAUGAUGUUCCAGAGGGGUCCUCUGCUGCUCCCCAAUGCAGGACCAAGCACACCUCUAGCAAGCAGAAGGAGCCCGUCAUGGGCAUGGAUGAGAUUUCCCAGGCCGAGUUUGUCAUUCGAAGGAAGAUCAAUCCCUAUGUGUCUCCCCGGGCUAGCACGCGAGGCAAUGAUCUCUUCUGGAACAAGCAGCAGAAUCUGAUCUAUAUGGAUGUGACCAAGGCCAAGCAGAAUCACUAUGUUGAAGUUCACUGGAUUGACAUGGUUCACAUGAGGCAAGAGAAGCACCGUGGGUACUUUGGAGAGGCUUUGGAUCUUGUGGAGCAGUUCGGUAUUGAAAACAUGCUCACCUUCCACAAGGAUUUUGAUCCGGAGAUCAUAGCACAGUUCUUUGCUUCGGUUCACUUCGGCGUCGAUGAAGCAAGGACCAUGACUUGGAUGGCCAAUGGUCAACAGAUGUCUGCUACCUGGAAGGAGUUCAUGGAGUUGCUUCAGUUUCCCGAUGAUGGGCUCGACUCGCCAGUUGGAGUUCACCCUCAUGCCAAUGCUGAGUCCGCCAACAAGAACAAACUCAUGCCAUUCCUUAUUCAGAAGAAUCUUCCAAGCAUGAGGAAGGUGUGGCUGCUUAAUCCCUUCCUUGACAUCAUGCGCAGGCUCUUCCGAAACACACUCUUCCCGCGUAUUGGUGACAUGGGACAGGUGCAUGCUUACCUUGUUGACAUGAUGCUCCUUUGUGAGGAGGCCCGUCAGGCUCAGACUCAGCCACUCGAUAUCUCACAUAUCAUGUGGUGUGAGCUUUAGUUCGCCGUGUUCAACCGUAAGGUCCCCAUCUAUGGGCAUUACCUGUUUCACCUGAUCUCCAAGACUUGGGAGCAGCUCUUCCCAACUGAUGAGUUUGAAGCUCCAGGCUGGAUCCGUCAUGAGCCCAUCAAGCGCCGCAUCAAGCCCCAAUGGGCUAACACCACCACUGCUGCUGAGGCUGCCAGGAUGGCUGUGGAUGAGGAGGAGAUUGAGGAGGAAGAGGCUGCUGAGGACCGUACUGCUUUCACUCCGCCCUCUUUGAGCCUUCUUGGGCGAAGAAGCUGAAGAACAAGAUGAAGAGGAUGUUCUGCAUGCAGGUUCAGGGUCAGUACAAGGCCCAUGUUGCUUAGAAGGAGAGUCGCCGUCGCGACAUCAUGAUCUUGAGGGCUUGUGGGGAGGACAUGGCCAGCGGCUCUGAGAAGCACAUCACCCCCGAGACUGCCUAGAUGGUGAAGCAGGGCUACCAGUGGACCGAUUCAGAGGAGUAUGUUCCUGCUGCAGAGUUUGGCGAUGAUGAGUCGUUUUACGCCUGAGCUACCACCUAUGUUGUAGGUGACCUCUCUGCCUAUUUGGUGUCUGGAUGCCAAAGGGAGAGAGAGAGAGUAGGAGUUGCGUGUCGUGUGUUGUGUGUUUCGUCGUUUGCUUUGCUUUCCGUUGUUGAACUUGCUUGCUUUGGUUUGGUUGUGCUCGUGAGACAAAGUUUAUCAUAUGGUGUAAGACAUAUGCACUCUAUCGUACCUUAUUACCUUAUUGAGCUUAUGCUAUAUCAUGCUAUUCAUGUUAUGCUCAUAUCUAGUAUUUUGUUUAGUGUUAGCCUUACCAUUGCAAGAUAUGCUUUGUUUCUAAAAUAUAGGGGGAGUGGUGAUCCUAGUAUUCGUGCCGUGCAAUCCGAAGCACUUUACUCUCUAGCACGAAUCUAGGGGGAGCUCAUCUAUAUUUUAGAGAUGUGGGGUUUUCUUAUGCUUUAUUCAUUUCCUUGUGCAAAUCCCGUAUUGUCAUCAAUCCACCAAAAAGGGGGAGAUUGUAAGGGCAUUCUUGUCCCUCAUUAGUUUUGGUGAUUGAUGACAAUGCCUUUGCGGACUAAUCGUGAGUAUUGAGCUUUGCAGAUAUAUCAUGACAAAACACAAGACGAUUUGAUGGCCCUCAAAGAUUAUUGAAGAUGGCGUUUCUCUACGGUUCAGUUCGGUGGAGUUGAGUCAUAGGAAAGUUGUACUAUCAAGAGGGGGUCCGCUUUGGAAAGGUUUGGGUGGAAUCUCACGUACACGUUCCCUUUGCACCGCCUUUCCUCGAGCUCUUUCGAGUGUUCCUCCAUCUCACCUUGUCUCUGCGAAAUGAAGGUCUCUGUGUUGCUCUUCUCAGGCUAGCGGUAGUACUGCUCUUCAGAGCAGUACUACCGUAGGAGCCAGCCGUAGUACUGUGGGCUCCUAUGGUAGUACCGCUCCUCAGAGCGGUAGUACCGUGAGCUCUGGACUAGCGCCGCUGCUCAAGCGGUAGUAGGAGUGGUAGUAUCAUGCUGCGGCAUGGUAGUACCGUGGCGCCGGGCUAGGUAUAGUAGCAGGAGCAGAAGUAGGGGCAGAUGUAAUUUUUUUACAUCCGCACCCAUCACGGUAGUACCGCACCCUUGGUCGCGGCAGUUCUGUGUCGGAUUUUCGCACGACAAUUUCUCAGCGGAGGUAGUCAUGGAUGUAAUUUUUUACAUCUGUGCCUACCGGGCCUGGCAUGCGGCUGUCCUGCGGUAGUACCACAUGGGGCCGCGGUAGUACCGCACCUGCGGAUCUACCGUGCCCUGUCCGUGCUCCUUUUUUCAGGUCUGGGCUCUGCCGCACCCACGGUAGUACUGCGGUCCGCCGCGGUAGUACUGCAGGCCCGUGCGAUAGUACCGCGCCUGUGGUGCGGUAGUUCCAUGGGUCAUGGGCUGAGUGGUGGGUAACGGUUGGAAUUGUCCCCCCACUAUAUAAGGGGGUCUUCUUCUCCAAGAAGAUUUACCUCUUCCAAUCCAAAACUCCAUUGUUGCUCCAAGCUCCAUUUUCGGCCGAUCUCUCUCCCUAGCCUAUCAAACUUGUUGAUUUGCUCGGGAUUGGGUGACAAGGCCGCGAUCUACACUUCCACCAAGAGAUAUUUGAUUCCCCCCACUAAUCCCUAGCGGAUCUUGUUACUCUUGGGUGUUUGAGCACCCUAGACGGUUGAGGUCACCUCGGAGCCAAAGUCCAUUGUGGUGAAGCUUCGUGGUGUCAUUGGGAGCCUCCAAUUAAGUUGUGGAGAUUGCCCAACCUUGUUUGUAAAGGUUCGGUCGCCGCCUUCAAGGGCACCAAUAGUGGAAUCACUACAUCUCGCAUGUGUGAGGGUGUGAGGAGAUUACGGUGGCCCUAGUGGCUUCUUGGGGAGCAUUGUGCCUCCACACCGCUCUAACGGAGACGUACUUCCCCUCAAAAGGAAGGAACUUCGGUAACACAUCCUCAUCUCCACUGGCUCCACUCUUCGUUAUCUCGUGCCUUUACUCAUGCAAGCUUAUUUGUGUUAUUUACCUUGCUUGCUUAUGUGCUAGUUGUUAUUGCAUCAUAUAGGUUGCUCAUAUAGUUGCAUAUCUAGACAACCUACUUUGAUGUAAAGUUUAAAUUGGUAAAGAAAAGAUUAAAAAGUGUCAGUUGCCUAUUCACCCCCCUCCUAGUCAACUAUAUUGGUCCUUCCACACUUCCUUGCGGCCGCCGUGGACCCAGCUGUCAGCCUCUCCACGUACAUUACUCUUCCGAUGGAAGUCGGUCAUUAACCACAUUGACCACGCCGCACCGAGAGUACCACGACAGUGGACGGCGGCGAGGCCUAGGAAGGGGACGACGCGGAGCCGGGGAAGACACGGCAGUGGAUGCCCACACGGAGAGGAGUACGACUGUACCAGGGUUUACUAGUUCGUCUGCCGUCGCCGGAGAAUAACAACAGGUGUGGGUCAGUACAGGGAUGGCUAGGCCAGCAAUGGGAGUACGAUAGGGCGGUGAGGCUUGCACGGCAGCACAGCCGGCUGCAGGGAGGAGGGAGCAGGCAGUCCCGUCGGUGCUUGUUUGAGCGGCUGGAGCAUGAAGAGCAAAGAUUGAAGAAGCACGACAGCCUUGGAUGGACAUCCAACAGUCACUGCUCUCGUGUGUUGACUAAGUUGACAGGGCAUUGCGUGUGCGUUAAUCUUUUUGUAAUGCCCCGGAUUCGAUGCGCCAGGUGUCUGCCAGUUAUUCGCCGUUGUUGCCAUGUCAUUUGCUUGCGUGUUGCAUUUUGCCAUGUCAUCAUGUGCAUUUCAUUUUGCAUACGUCUUCAUUUCUUGCAUCUAAGCAUUUUCCCCGUUGUCCAUUUUGCAAUCCGGCACUCCUAUGCCCUCCGGCGUCCCCCUUUUGUCUCUCGUUGUGAGCGGGUGUUGAACUUUCUCGGAAUGGCCCGAGGUUUGCCAAGCGGCCUUGGUAUAGCACCGGUAGACCUCCUGUCAAGUUUUCGUGCCAUUUGUAUGUUGUUUGAUACUCCAACGGUUAACCGGGGAACCGUAAAGUCCUCUUUAGUGUGCAGCCCAACACCCCUCCAAAACAGCCCAAUAACCCAUCCAAACCCCCUCCAUCCUCUCGGCCAUUCGAUCAUGACCGCGUUGCCGAAAACCACACCUCAUUUGGACUCUCCUAGCUCCCAGAAUCUAUAAAUAGGUGCCCUCCCCUGAAAUUCGCAGAUGACUUCCCCCGAAACCCUAGCUUCUUCCUCCUCCAGCCGCCGGACAUGUCCGCGCCCCGGCUGGACACGUCCGACCCGCUCCCCCCAUCCAACCGCAGUGCGCCACGUGGCGUUCGCCGCCUCCCACCACCGCGCGGCCCGCGGGACCCGGAUUGGGCCCGCGCAAGCCCGCNNNNNNNNNNNNNNNNNNNNNNNNNNNNNNNNNNNNNNNNNNNNNNNNNNNNNNNNNNNNNNNNNNNNNNNNNNNNNNNNNNNNNNNNNNNNNNNNNNNNNNNNNNNNNNNNNNNNNNNNNNNNNNNNNNNNNNNNNNNNNNNNNNNNNNNNNNNNNNNNNNNNNNNNNNNNNNNNNNNNNNNNNNNNNNNNNNNNNNNNNNNNNNNNNNNNNNNNNNNNNNNNNNNNNNNNNNNNNNNNNNNNNNNNNNNNNNNNNNNNNNNNNNNNNNNNNNNNNNNNNNNNNNNNNNNNNNNNNNNNNNNNNNNNNNNNNNNNNNNNNNNNNNNNNNNNNNNNNNNNNNNNNNNNNNNNNNNNNNNNNCGCCGCCCGCGCGCCGCGGAUCCGGUCGGGCUGGACCGGAUCCGGCCGCCUCGACCUCGCCGGCCGCCUCCCCGCGCCUCCCCGUGCCUCCUCGGCCCUCUCGACCUCGCCGGAGGCUCCCUCCGUCCACUCCGGCGAACUACUCCGGCGAACUCCAGAUCCAGAUCUGAACGAGGUUGACCCCGUUUUUCGUGCAAGUCCCGAAAUAAUUGCAUAUUUUUAGCCCCUGUUCAUCGCAUCAUAACUCUGCACCUGUAGCUCCAUUUCGUGCGUGUAAUAUGUAAAAAAUUUUGUUGUGAGAUGCUCUACAUUUCAUUCCAUUGUGCCAUGCUUGUUUGAGUUCAUCUUGAUGCCCGAAUCAUCGUUGCAAGAGUGCUAUAUGAUGUUAAUCUGCUGAAACUGUUAUAACUUGGUGAUUUGUCAUUUUUGUUGCAUUUGAUGUGUGCAUCCUAUGAGCAUGAGCUCUACAUGUGUUUUGAACUACAUCAUGCCAUAUUUACAGAGAUGCAAUCCAUGUAUUUUUAUGAGUCUUGUAGUGAGUGCAUCGAGCUUGUUAAGUAGGGUACUUGCUGUUGCUGUUUUGCUAGGCUGAAUCUGUUAUUUUGUGAUGCUAUGUAAACCUGCUGCUACAAGUCAUUCUAUGCACAAUCUGGAGAUGUUCACUAAAGAUGUUUUGUUAUACAUGUCAUGCUCUAUCCAUCCAUGCCCCUGGUUGCAUCUAUAGUCUGCUGUAGGUUGUUGUAAUCUUGCUCCAAAGUUGCUAAAUAAUGUUGCUGUCAGCCUGUCAACAUUAAGUUCAGUUUUGCCAUGUGACUUUUCUAGUGAUCCAUCCACCCUAUGAACUUGUUAUUGCCAUGCUUAGCUUAAUAAACAUGGCUUCUUACUGUUAGUUACCUUGUCAUGCCAUGUAUUGCUCUGUGGUGAGUGGUACAAGCUCACCAACAUGCCUACUUAUUGUUGUUCCUGCCAUGUUUAAAUCUGUCAUAUAACUUGCUAUGUUUACGUGGGUGCCAUCAUAUCUUCUGGUCCUUUUUGGCUCUUGGUCAGUAAAGGACUUUUGUUCUAUGCAAUUAGUAGGUUAAUUCCAUGCCUUUGUUUGCCAUGAUAAGUUCUUGUAGCUUGUUGUUUGAUAGCUCUAAACAUUGCAACCUGAUGUUAUUUCUGCAAAGUCUGAAACUGUUACUAUUUGCAAUCUUGCCAUGUGUGUUUGAGCAUGUUCUAGUCAUUUCUGGAGAUAGCUCAGUGUUCAUGUUUUGUUAUGCUUUACCUAUACAUCAUUCCCAUGCCUUUUGUUUUCAUGUACAGAUGAUGUAGCAUAUUGUUUUGAUGCUUGCUAGAUGCCUAGUUGCUGUUUUGGACAGCUUGUCCUUUAAACUUGUAUAGAGUGCAUGUGUUGAACCGUUGCUCCGUUUUGAGUGUGCUCUAUAUGAUACUUUCUUGAUUUUGCAUGUAGUUUCAUAUUAUCAUGUUGCAUCCUUGUUUUGAGGUGUUUGCUUGUUGUUCGUAUGCAUUUUGCAUCUAUGCCAUGUUUAACUUGUUUUGCUCAUAUCUUCUAGGCCGUAGCUCUGAACUAAAUGAACUUUAUAUGUAACUUGACUAGAAUCUCGUGUAGAUCAUCUUGUUGCAUCUUAACUUGCUAUUUAACAACUUGAACAUAAGGUUUAUUCAGAUAUGUACCAAUUUCGAAAUUUGCAUAUGAGGACUUACCGGUUUAGUUCUAUGUUGUUUCCGGCCUCAUUUAAACUUACCUUGAUGUGUUGUUCUUGUUUGCAUCAUCUCUUGCCAUGAGUAGCUUCAUGUAGUCUUGUCUUGCAUCAUGCUUGGUUGUGCAUCUUGUCUUGCCUAUGUGUGGUGUGUUUACCAUGUUGUGUGCUUCUUCUCGAUAGUUCCCGUUUCGUUGCGCUCGUGAGGAUUCAUUCGUCUAUGCUUGGUUCGUCUUCGUGGCUUCAUCUUCUUCAUGGACUCAUUCUUCUUCCUAGCGGGAUUUCAGGAAAGAUGACCGUCACCUUGGAUCUCACUACUAUCAUUGCUAUGCUAGUUGCUUUGUUCUAUCGCUAUGCUGCGCUACCUAUCACUUGUUCUUCAAGCCUCCCAAAUUGCCAUGUCAGCCUCUAACCUUGUCACCCUUCCUAGCAAACCAUUGCUUGGCUAUGUUACUGCUUUGCUCAAACCCUCUUAUAGCGUUGUUAGUUGUAGGUGAAGUUGAAGAUUGCUCCAUGGUGGACAGGAUUAUGUUGGGAUAUCACAAUAUCUCUUAUUUAAUUAAUGCAUCUAUAUACUUGGUAAGGGUGGAAGGCUCGGCCUUAUGCCUGGUGUUUUGUUCCACUCUUGCCGCCCUAGUUUCCGUCAUACCGGUGUUAUGUUCCCGGAUUUUGUGUUCCUUACACGGUUGGGUGAUUUAUGGGACCCCCUCGACAGUUUGCUUUGAAUAAAACUCCUCCAGCAAGGCCCAACCUUAGUUUUACCAUUUGCCUCACCACCACCUACAUUUCCCUUGGGAGUAAUUAACCCAAGGGUCAUCUUUAUUCAGCCCCCCCGGGCCAAUGCUUGUCUAAGUGUUGGUCCGAACCAGAGCCACUUGCAGCGCCACCUCGGGGAAACUUGAGGUCUGGUUUUAGUUGUACGUAGUGUUCAUCCGGUGUUGCCCUGAGAACGAGAUAUGUGCAGCUCCUAUCGGGAUUGUCGGCGCAUCGGGCGGUCUUGCUGGUCUUGUUUUACCAUUGUCGAAAUGUCUUGUAAACUGGGAUUCCGAGUCUAAUCGGGUCUUCCUGGGAGAAGGAAUAUCCUUCUUUGAUCGCGAGAGCUUAUCAUGGGCUAAGUUGGGACACCCCUGCAGGGUAUAAACUUUGGAAAGCCGUGACCGCGGUUAUGUGGCAGAUGGGAAUUUUUUAAUGUCCGGUUGUAGAUAACUUGACACCAGAUCCAAAUUAAAAGGCAUCAACCGCGUGUGUAGCCGUGAUGGUCUCUUUUCGGCGGAGUCCGGGAAGUGAACACGGUUUUUGGGUUAUGUUUGACGUAAGUAGGAGUUAAAUAUCACUUCUUGAUCAUUGCUAGCUUCACGACCGUUCCACUUGCUCUCUUCUCGCUCUUAUUUGCGUAUGUUAGCCACCAUAUAUGCUUAGUCGCUGCUGGAACCUCACCGCUUUACCCCUUCCUUUCCCUUUAAGCUUUGCUAGUCUUGAUACCCAUGGUAAUGGGAUUGCUGAGUCCUCGUGGCUCACAGAUUACUACAAAAACAGUUGCAGGUGCAGGUUAUGCGAUGAUCUUGACGCGAGAGUGAUGUUUUCUUACCUUGGAGUUCUUCUUCUGCUUCUUCUUUGAUCAGGGGAUAGGUUCCAGGUCGACAGCCUGGGCUAGCAGGGUGGAUGUCGGUUGAGUUUCUGUUUGUGUUUCAUCCGUAGUCGGAUGAUGCUCUUAUGUUUUGUGAUGUGCUAUUCGUGUGGCAUUGUAUGCCUCUUGUAUGUAUUCCCAUCUAUUAUGUAAUGUUGAUGUAAUGAUAUCCACCUUGCAAAAGCGUCUUCAAGAUGCGCUUCUAUCCUUGGUGGGACCUUCGAGUUCCUUUAGGAUAGGGUCUCAUCUUGGGCGUGACAAGUUGGUAUCAGAGCCUCGACCGACCCUAGGAGCCCCCUUGAUUGAUCAUGUAGUCUGGCCGUUGUCGAGUCUAGAAGAAAACUGUUUUCGGAGUCUAGUUAUAUCGGAGAGUAGGAAUUCUUUUUACUCCUCAGCCCCUUCGUCGCUCUGGUAAGGAAUCUUGACGUAGGUGUUUUGACUUACUCCUCUUCCCGUUCAAACUUUCUUUAGGUUCACGCAGUUAGUUUUUGUUCGUUGGUUCUCAGCUCUUUUCAUCCGGUGCAUUUCUCGUCAAGUUGACUCGAGCCUCUUCAUCGUUGCCAAGUUCAAUCCUCAGUUCGCUCUCAACGAAGUUGUUUCUUUGUCCUCAGUUGUUUUCUUUUCCCACCCGCCCACCCUUCUUCUUCUUGGAACCGGAGUCCGUAAUCGAGUAUCCAUCCUACUCGUGCGAAGUCUUUGCUUUCUUUCCUCAAUGAUUUCAACCGGUGUUUUCUCUACAAGAUAUUCGUUGUUUCCCCUUCCAAGUUGCCUUUGUUUUUCCCGCCCUCCCACCCCUUUUUCUUCCCGGAGCUUGAGUCUCUCUCUUGACCAUCUAUUUCAUCCGUGUGGAGCCUCUUCAGUCUUUCGUCAAUUGUUUCAACCGGUGAAUUCUCUUUUGUUUGACAUUCUUCAUCUCUUUUCCGGUGGAUUCAAUUCUAAUUUUUGGUAGUGAUUAUAUUCUUCUCCUCGGCUCAAGUGUUUUCCCUGCUCGUUUGCCUCUCGCCAGUUAUCCUUCCAGAGUGCUCAAGACAUCUCAAAAGAUUCGUCUGUGUUCGAAUUAAUUCGAGGUUGUCACCUCAUUCAAAUAUUUGAAUUGUUCCGGUGCUUCAUCUAUCUGUUCAUCAACCCUUUCCAACGGUGUUUUCUUUUAGUGGGCCCUAACCCACAGGUCUUUUCCCAGGAUCUUACCUGACUCUUCUAAUCAUUCCGGAGCCAUUCCUAAUUCUUUUCAAGUAUGACGUAAGAAUGAAUUUCAUCAGUCAGAUGCCUUUCCAAGAUCGAUUUCAAAUCAUUUUCAUUGUUGGCUCAACCUCUCUGCUUCUCAUUCUACCGGAGUAUCUCAGUAAUUUUGGUGUUGUUUCUCGUUGUCAUUUGAAGACCGAAGAAGAGUUUUUCCUCUAAAUCUUGCCCGUUUCUCUCGAAGAUUUGUGGUUCUAGCUUCAUGUUAUCCUCUCAAAUUAUUCCAUUUGUCAGAUAUUCUUUUCUUACCCACCCGGAGUAUGUCAGAAGUUGUUUUUCCAUUUCUUUUCACCAGAGGCCAUCGUUCCAUAAGAAUUCUUCGUCCUCACCUUUCAGCUAUCGUUAUCCAAUUAUCCCGGUGAUCCAGUCUCUUUCAUCAGUCAUUUCCAAAUUCUUACGGUGGGUCGUUCAAGAUUCUUUUUCCUUGAUUAUCAUUCAAUCCACUCAUUCUUUCCAAUCUACCGGUGGUUCAUGAAAACUUUCUCAAGUUUUGUGCUAUAUUCCCCCUUAAUCCUUUUCAAGAAGAAUAAGUAGUAUGCGAAAUCCAUUGCUAGUCAUCAAUUUAAUUUGAUGAAGUUUAAGCAUACAAUAAAUCUUAUUCUUAUUUCAUCCAAGUGAGUAAUCCCUUCCUUCGGAGUUUGUUCUUGAUGAAUAAAUUCUAGUUCCAAGUGUUUCCAUCUUUUCUUUUCCGGAGUUCAAAUUUCCUCGACCAUUUCGUCGGAACCUCCACCUGAAUCAUCACAAGGCUCAUCUUAUUCUUUCAUCCUUCAUUCUAUCUCAUCAUCCUUUUGUACCGAAGUUCUUCAUGGUGGUUCUUCAUGAUUUAAUUCAUUCUUCAAGAGUUCAUCAAGUAUCAUUCCAUCCUCUCAAGUUCAUGUUUUAUUCUUUCAAGGUUCAGCCGGAGUGCUGCCUAAAUCCUUUCAGUCUUAUUCGUUUCUUAUCUCGUUCUAACUGGAGUGGUUUCAUAGUCUAUCUGAUUCCGUGAGCUUUCGAUUCUCGUCAUUUUCGUCGUUCCUCUCUUCUUCUCGUGUGCUCGCGAUUCUUUGCUUCUCCUCUUAAGUUCUUGCUUCACAUCAUCCCUUUUCCCCUUCUGUCUCGGUCCUAAGAUUUCGGGACAAGAUCUCUUGUUAGUGGAGGAGUGUUGUAACGCCCCGGAUUCGAUGCGCCAGGUGUCUGCCAGUUAUUCGCCGUUGUUGCCAUGUCAUUUGCUUGCGUGUUGCAUUUUGCCAUGUCAUCAUGUGCAUUUCAUUUUGCAUACGUAUUCGUUUCUUGCAUUUGAGCAUUUUCCCCGUUGUCCGUUUUGCAACCCGGCACUCCUAUGCCCUCCGGCGUCCCCCUUUUGUCUCUCGUUGUGAGCGGGUGUUGAACUUUCUCAGAAUGACCCGAGGUUUGCCAAGCGGCCUUGGUAUAGUACCGGUAUACCUCCUGUCAAGUUUCGUGCCAUUUGGAGGUUGUUUGAUACUCCAAUGGUUAUCCGGGGAACCGUAAAGUCCUCUUUUGUGUGCAGCCCAACACCCCUCCAAAACAGCCGAAUAACCCAUACAAACCCCCUUCAUCCUCUCGGUCGUUCGAUCACGAUCGCGUGGCCGAAAACUGCACCUCAUUUGGACUCUCCUAGCUCCCAGAAUCUAUAAAUAGGUGUCCUCCCCCGAAAUUCGCGGAUGAUUUCCCCUGAAACCCUAGCUUCUUCCUCCUCCAGCCGCCAGACAUGUCCGCGCCCCGGCCGGACACGUCCGCCCCGCUCCCCACGUCCAACAGCAGUGCGCCAUGUGGCGUUCGCCGCCUCCCACCACCGCGCGGCCCGUGGGACCCGGAUAGGGCUCGCGCGAGCCCGUGCCGCCGCCACCGUCCGCCCGCCUAGCCCGGUUCCCUCCGCCGCCCGCUCGGCCCCGCGCUGCCCGUGCGCCGCCGCCCGCCGGCCUCCUCCUCCGCCAUCGCCGUCCGGUUCCUCAUCGUCGGCUNNNNNNNNNNNNNNNNNNNNNNNNNNNNNNNNNNNNNNNNNNNNNNNNNNNNNNNNNNNNNNNNNNNNNNNNNNNNNNNNNNNNNNNNNNNNNNNNNNNNNNNNNNNNNNNNNNNNNNNNNNNNNNNNNNNNNNNNNNNNNNNNNNNNNNNNNNNNNNNNNNNNNNNNNNNNNNNNNNNNNNNNNNNNNNNNNNNNNNNNNNNNNNNNNNNNNNNNNNNNNNNNNNNNNNNNNNNNNNNNNNNNNNNNNNNNNNNNNNNNNNNNNNNNNNNNNNNNNNNNNNNNNNNNNNNNNNNNNNNNNNNNNNNNNNNNNNNNNNNNNNNNNNNNNNNNNNNNNNNNNNNNNNNNNNNNNNNNNNNNNNNNNNNNNNNNNNNNNNNNNNNNNNNNNNNNNNNNNNNNNNNNNNNNNNNNNNNNNNNNNNNNNNNNNNNNNNNNNNNNNNNNNNNNNNNNNNNNNNNNNNNNNNNNNNNNNNNNNNNNNNNNNCGAGCUCGCCGCCAGCGGCCGCGGAUCCGGUCGGGCUGGACCGGAUCCGGCCGCCUCGACCUCGCCGGCCGCCUCCCUGCGCCUCCCCGUGCCUCCCCGGCCCUCUCGACCUCGCCGGAUGCUCCCUCCGUCCACUCCGGUGAACUACUCCGGCGAACUCCAGAUCCAGAUCUGAACGAGGUUGACCCCGUUUUUCGUCCAAGUCCCGAAAUAAUUGCAUAUUUUUAUCCCCUGUUCAUCGCAUCAUAACUCUGCAUCUGUAGCUCCAUUUAGUGCGUGUAAUAUGUCAAAAUGUUCUUUGUGAGAUGCUCUACAUUUCAUUCCAUUGUUCCAUGCUUGUUUGAGUUCAUCUUGAUUCCCGAAUCAUCGUUGCAAAAGUGCUAUAUGAUGUUAAUCUGCUGAAACUGUUAUAACUUGGUGAUUUAUGAUUUUUGUUGCAUUUGAUGUGUGCAUCCUAUGAGCAUGAGCUCUACAUGUGUUCUAAACUACAUCAUGCCAUCUUUACAGAAAUGCAAUCCAUGUAUUUUUGUGAGUCUUGUAGUUAGUGCAUCCAGCUUGUUAAGUAGGGUACUUGCUGUUGCUGUUUUGCUAGGCUGAAUCUGUUAUUUUGUGAUGCUAUGUAAACCUGCUGCUACAAGUCAUUCUAUGCAUAAUCUGAAGAUGUUCACUAAGGAUGUUUUGUUAUACAUGUCAUGCUCUAUCCAUCCAUGGCCCUGGUUGCAUUUAUAGGCUGUUGUAGCUUGUUGUAAUCUUGCUCCAAAGUUGCUAAAUAAUGUUGUUGUCAGCCUGUCAACAUUAAGUUCAGUUUUGCCAUGUGAUUUUUUCUAGUGAUCCAUGCACCCUAUGAACUUGUUCUUGCCAUUCUUAGCUUAAUGAACAUGUCUUCUUAUGGUUAGUUACCUUGUCAUGCCAUUUAUUGCUCUGUGGUGAGUGGUACAAGCUCACCAACAUGCCUACUUAUUGUUGUUCCUGCCAUGUUUAAAUCUGUCAUAUAACUUGCUAUGUUUACGUGGGUGCCAUCAUAUCUUCUGGUCCUUUUUGGCUCUUGGUCAGUAAAGGACUUUUGUUCUAUGCAAUUAGUAGGUUAAUGCCAUGCCUUUAUUUGCCAUGGUAAGUUCCUGUAGCUUGUUGUUUGAUAGCUCUAAACAUUGCAACCUGAUGUUAUUUCUGCAAAGUCUGAAACUGUUACUAUUUGCAAUCUUGCCAUGUGUGUUUGAGCAUGUUCUAGUGAUUUCUAGAGAUAGCUCAGUGUUCAUGUUUUGUUAUGCUUUACCAUUACAUCAUGCCCAUGCCAUUUGUUUUCAUGUACAGAUGCUAUAGCAUAUUGUUUUGAUGCUUGCUAGAUGCCUAGUUGCUGUUUUGGACAGCUUGUCCUUUAAACUUGUAUAGAGUGCAUGUGUUGAACCGUUGCUCCGUUUUGAGUGUGCUCUAUAUGAUACUUUCUUGAUUUUGCAUGUAGUUUCAUAUUAUCAUGUUGCAUCCUUGUUUUGAGGUGUUUGCUUGUUGUUCGUAUGCAUUUUGCAUCUAUGCCAUGUUUAACUUGUUUUGCUCAUAUCUUCUAGGCCGUAGCUCUGAACUAAAUGAACUUUAUAUGUAACUUGACUAGAAUCUCGUGUAGAUCAUCUUGGUGCAUCUUAACUUAUUUUUUAACAACUUGAACAUAAGGUUUAUUCAGAUCUGGACCAAUUUCGAAAUUUGCAUAUGAGGACUUACCGGUUUAGUUCUAUGUUGUUUCCGGCCUCAUUUAAACUUACCUUGAUGUGUUCUUCUUGUUUGCAUCAUCUCUUGACAUGAGUAGCUUCAUGUAGUCUUGUCUUGCAUCAUGCUUGGUUGUGCAUCUUGUCUUGCCUAUGUGUGGUGUGUUUACCAUGUUGUGUGCUUCUUCUCGAUAGUUCCUGUUUCGUUGCGCUCGUGAGGAUUCGUUCGUCUACGCUUGGUUCGUCUUCGUGGCUUCAUCUUCUUCAUGGACUCGUUUUUCUUCCUAGCGGGAUUUCAGGCAAGAUGACCGUCACCUUGGAUCUCACUACUAUCAUUGCUAUGCUAGUUGCUUCGCUCUAUCGCUAUGCUGUGCUACCUAUCACUUGUUCUUCAAGCCUCCCAAAUUGCCAUGUCAGCCUCUAACCUUGUCACCCUUCCUAGCAAACCAUUGAUUGGCUAUGUUACUGCUUUGCUCAGCCCCUCUUAUAGCGUUGUUAGUUGUAGGUGAAGUUGAAGAUUGCUCCAUGGUGGACAGGAUUAUGUUGGGAUAUCACAAUAUCUCUUAUUUAGUUAAUGCAUCUAUAUACUUGGUAAAGGGUGGAAGGCUCGACCUUAUGCCUGGUGUUUUGUUCCACUCUUGCCGCCCUAGUUUCCGUCAUACCGGUGUUAUGUUCCCGGAUUUUGCGUUCCUUACGCGGUUGGGUGAUUUAUGGGACCCCCUCGACAGUUCGCUUUGAAUAAAACUCCUCCAGCAAGGCCCAACCUUGGUUUUACCAUUUGCCUCACCACCACCUACAUUUCCCUUGGGAGUAAUUAACCCAAGGGUCAUCUUUAUUCAGCCCCCCUGGCCAAUGCUUGUCUAAGUGUUGGUCCGAAGCAGAGCCACUUGCAGCGCCACCUCAGGGAAACUUGAGGUCUGGUUUUAGUUGUACGUAGUGUUCAUCCGGUGUUGCCCUGAGAACGACAUAUGUGCAGCUCCUAUCGAGAUUGUCGGCGCAUCGGGCGGUCUUGCUGGUCUUGUUUUACCAUUGUCGAAAUGUCUUGUAAACCGGGAUUCCGAGUCUGACCGGUUCUUCCUGGGAGAAGGAAUAUCCUUUGUUGAUCGCGAGAGAUUAUCAUGGGCUAAGUUGGGACACCCCUGCAGGGUAUAAACUUUCGAAAGCCGUGCCCUCGGUUAUGUGGCAAAUGGGAAUUUGUUAAUGUCCUGUUGUAAAUAACUUGACACCAGAUCCGAAUUAAAAUGCAUCAACCGCGUGUGUAGCCGUGAUGGUCUCUUUUCGGCGGAGUCCGAGAAGUGAACACAGUUUUUGGGUUAUGUUUGACAUAAGUAGGAGUUCAGGAUCACUUCUUGAUCAUUGCUAGCUUCACGACCAUUCCGCUUGCUCUCUUCUCGCUCUUAUUUGCGUAUGUUAGCCACCAUAUAUGCUUAGUCGCUGCUGCAACCUCACGGCUUUACCCCUUCCUUUCCCUUUAAGCUUUGCUAGUCUUGAUACCCAUGGUAACGGGAUUGCUGAGUCCUCGAGGCUCAUAGGUUACUACAAAAACUGUUGCAGGUGCAGGUUAUGCGAUGAUCUUGACGCAAGAGCGAUGUUUUCUUACCUUGGAGUUCUUCUUCUGCUUCUUCUUCGAUCAGGGGGAUAUGUUCCAGGUCGGCAGCCUGGGCUAGCAGGGUGGAUGUCGGUUGAGUUUCUGUUUGUGUUUCAUCUAUAGUCGGAUGAUGCUCUUAUGUUUUGUGAUGUGGUAUUCGUGUGGCAUUGUAUGCCUCUUGUAUGUAUCCCCAUCUAUUAUGUAAUGUUGAUGUAAUGAUAUCCACCUUGCAAAAGCGUCUUCAAGAUGCGCUUCUAUCCUUGGUGGGACCUUCGAGUUCCUUUAGGAUAGGGUCGCAUCUUGGGCGUGACACUUCUUUUAUGUAAGCAUAUGCGUCAACGUGUAGUAUGCGCAUAAGUCAGCCUCAAAUCUGUGGAAAACAGCAGACAUGCCAUCUGCCAUUAUUUCUAAUAAUGUAUAGCCCAUUUGCUAAUUCUUAAGAAUUCUUUUGGAUCCCAUCUUCUUUUUGUUAGCAUUACACCCCAUAUUGUGGGCACGGUUAAAAAGUAUACGAAAUUUUGCAUAUUUCGGUGCGGUCAACUGUUUUUAAUCCAGAAAUAUCAAUUCACAUUCAAACUAUUUUGAAAAAUAAUUUAUAUAAAUAUAAAAUCCAAAUAAUUGUCCACGCAUAAAAAUCAAUGGAAUUUAAAAUCUUGUAAUGAAAAAAAUUGAAAGUAAUUCCCGGUUUGAUGUGUUUUAAAAAUGUACAGCCCAUUUCUGGGCAAACUGAAUGAAACUCUCCUCGUCUUGAAAGAUUUGCAGCCCAGCAGGGCCGAUAAAGCAAGCAGGCCUUGUUUGGGUAUUUUUUUUAAAAUAGAACUGGGCUAGCCAUUGUCAGCAAGAAAAAAACACAACUGGGCUCAUGAUGUGGUAAACAUAAAUAAAACCCUGGCUAGAUGGGCCACGGCCCCCGCACAGCCCCGUUGUUACCCUGAUCCAUCGCUAAAACUAGUAUAAAUAACAAAUGCUUGUUCCUCAAAAAAAAUGAGCGACCUGUUAGGUCCCUGGUGUCAGCCGCUCGUAGUAUAAUUCUCUCGUUUAUUGAUGACGUUGACAAUGGCGUGAGCCCCAGAUGUCCAACCAUUAGGAGGAACCAUAUUUUUGGGCUUGUAAUAUAGAGGCACUUGCUUGCGUACUGCCAUGAAGCUGGUGGGUCCCUACUGUCGUCCUCUCCACGUACAGUCAUCUCCUUGUUCCUCUCGGUUGUUGACGACGUUGACAAUGCAAGAGGGUGGCGCACCAUGCACAGCGAGCGAACCAAGGCCGCAAAGCGGAGGACGAUGGCGAGGCCUCAGACGGAACGAACAGGAGCCGUGGAAGAUGCGCCGGUCCAGUCGCAAGCGGAGGGGAGUACGAGGGUUGACUGGUUCGGGUCCGGGUGCGUGUUGGGGCUGACGUCGCCGGAGAAUAACAUGACGUGUGGGGGAAUAAAGGGAGGGACUGGCCAAUGUUGGAGGGUACGUACGGUAGGGCGGCGGAGGCGUAGCCAGCCAUGGGAUGCGGGAGCAGGCAGAGCCGACGGGGUGGUUCGGUUUGGGUGGCUGGAGGAAGAAGACAAGAGAUAGAAGAUACACAAUAGAUGUUGGAUGUCAAUCCAACGGCUGGUAGACAGAAUCAUUUGUUGACUGGCUAGGCUAUUUCCUCGCGGGUCCCAAAUGUCAGAAUCUAAAUUUGUCAUGGUCAUGCAGCCUUUCCUAUGAAAAUUUACAGUCCAUUUGAUGUGCUAGUUCGAAAUAAGUUUGUGGGUGCUGGUGGGGGCUAAUCACUUGGCUUUUGUAAUGCACAAUGAGCUCAAGCAGCCGACGAGAGUGAUGUUAUUUCCCUUGGUUGGGAUUUGUUACAAUAUUUCACUCUAAAUUAAACGAAUGGCAAGCCAUGCCUUGUUUCAAAGAAAAUAUGACAGCCACAGCUGAGUUGAAAAGGGCAGGAACAUCUAACUCCAGCUUACAAACUGUACAAAAGCACGAGGGUUAAUUGUUCAUCAGGUUUACAAAAAAACCCAGGUUGAAAAGGGCAACAACAUCUAACUCCAGCACUGUUUUCGGCAGUCCCUGUCAAAUGGAUCGGUCGGGUCCAUAGAAUGAACAUCCUGGGUCGUAAAAUUUACUGGAUUAUGACCACAAUAUGUUGUAAAUAGAAGCCCGACACGUUCAGAUGCUCUUUUGCCCACCUGAAACUCCUUUUUUUACUCUUCGACAUACCCAUCCGUCAAAACCAUGCUGCUGAUAAACUUAAGCCUGAUGGACAAUAGUAACCUCGCAUUCAGCAGGAAGAAUGUGACAAAUCUAGUGUUUGCAUGGUUGGCUACAUAUCGUUCUAGCGUUAUUGUCUUUAAUCGAAUCUCAUGAGAAGUGAGAAAAUCCCGAUGCUUACGAAUCCACCGAUUGGUUAUAACUUUCUUACCCAGUCUUGUUGCCUAAAUAGACAUGAAGAUUGAAAACAGUUAAGGUCUAAAAAAGAGUGUUGAAAGAGCAACAGCUGAACGGUUAAUUCUAGUACACUAUAUGCAGGCUUCCAAUGUGCGUGAAAUUAUCACCUUUAUAUAUAACUUCUCCAGACAUGGAAAGCAUUGCAGCAAGCCAAUAAUCUUGUUCAUAUCAAAACUAAUCAUUUGGAUAUAUAAGAUCUUGGCAGAAUCCAGCACCAUUGAUAGGCCAUCCAUGGAGAAACUCUUCAUUGAGCAUAGAACAUAGUAUUAGUACAAAAUGUGUACUCCAAGAUGAUAUAUAACUUAUGGGCAGAAAUUUAAAAUGCAGCUUAUGGUUACAAGUGUAGAUGAUAAUAUAAAGUACCUGAAGAAAUGUGGAGCCAAACACCAUAUUGAAAUGAGCACAGAGAUCAUGUAUUACACCCAAGGUCUCCAGUUUAGGCGCAGAGAGGACGGUUAUUUGCAAUGGUGAAUAACUAGAAUCAAGGAUCAACCUUUGAAGUGAAGGGGCAUCUUGGAUAAUGAGCUGCCUUCCGUCAAAAGAAAUUCCAAUUCUUACAAGGUUAGGUGACUUUAUUUGGAGACAACCGAUUCUAACUGUGAAAACAAGCACCAAGCACUCCAGGGCAGGGCAACUGGAGUGGAUGAUGUUGUGUAAUGAGGACUUCGAUAUACGAACCCACACAAGUGAAAGUUUCUUGAGAAAUGGGAGUCAAAGGUUUAGUACCAGAUUGUCUGGUAGGUAGCACAUUGCAAAGGUGGCGGUGUGGAGAGAGGAGGAAAACCACGAGAUGGACAUUGGUGUUGAGGGCAUAAGUUCAUGGCGUUCGGUAUGUGGUAUGUGAUUUCCAGGGGAAUAGUAGAACUCAAGCAGCUGUAGUUCUGUGAAUUCAGGGGAUUUCAGCCAGGUGUUCACCGUGCAGGGCAUGGUAUGCUUGCUCAGGUAGCAUGACGGGAUGCAGAGGCUUUGAAUGGAGCCCUGGUGGGAGCAGAUGAUGGCUCUGGGGAUUUCAAAAUCAUUGAAGAGAGAUAGCUGAUGAUAGUCGAGAUUAAGGGGCACGUCACGCCAUAGAGGGCGCCACCAAAUUGAGAGGACUUGGGUGCGGCAGCAACCUUGGUGGGGAGAAGCAAGAUGAUCUCCCCAAGGACGGCAUCCGGGAGAUCGCUGAUGCGGUCCACCCGAGAUUCUAUGGGUUCCUGGGAUCCGGUGGGGGCGGGGUCGCCGCUUCUCCCUGUGCUGCCGGGUGCGGGAUCUACAACAGGCGUCGCCACUGGCGGGAGCCUCAUCUUCUUGGCGCUGGGGUCAGCCAACUCCAUUUUCCUCGAGGGUGUCGCGUCACGCUCACGGAUUUGAGCAGAGUUAUGAAUGACGAGCCUAGUUGUAGUGCGAGUGAAGAAGAUGGGGAGCUGAGGUUUUUUCUGUAGUAGUGAGGAAGAAGGGGAGCUGGGGUUUUCUGUAGAAGUGAGGUAAGGAAUUUGGGGGUACGAGUGCAGCGAGCUGACGUGAGGUGGGUAGGAGCGAGAAGGAAGAAGAGCACCCAGAUUUUGGAGGGGGGGUGUGCUGGGUGUGGGUAGCGCCUCUCAUUCAGUAAAUAUAGGGAUUUUGAAUUGAUUUUACUAUUUACUAGCGUGGAUGGGCUGUUUUGUCUUGGGCCCAGAGAAACAAUUACUACUAGUACAGUGGAGACACUCUACAGCUACCCAGAAAAAUAAUUACUACUAGUAUAGUGGAGACACUCUACCGCUUCUGGCUCCUCCUAGGUCAUUGAAAUGUCUCCCUCUACUGAAUGCCGUUAUACUUUUGUUCAACGACAUGCGAGCCAUGCAGCGCGCGAGCCCAAGUGCCAUCCACCAAAUUAGAAGGCAGUAUGCAGGCAAAGAGUCACCCCGGUCGUAGCGCGGCAGUAACGAGCCGUCGUAUCACAAAACCCCACCCCCGCAGUCUAAGUUUGACGGAUGAAGCAACCAUCAUUUCACUCUUCGCUGAAUCCCCUUAUCCCUCACCGUCUUCAAGAAAGGCAACACUCGCAUCUGCCACUGUUGUUCUCUCCCAACGAAGGGAAGGCAAGUGGAUCCGUGAUGUUGGUAUAUUUUCGUUUAGAGAAAAAAAAGAACUUUUGCAAAGCAGUAACCGAUCCUCACUCUCUUUUUUGUUUCAUUGUCAUUGUAAUUGUGUUUUCCUUUCAGUGCUCUCCUAGUAUUCGUCAGUUUCAUGAUGGACCAAGGAGAACCAGGCAAAGAUCUGCCAAUAUUGGAGCAGACGCGAGAGGCUGAUCCCCACGAGAUAGAGAGCUCCAAGAAGAUGGAGGCAGUCACCGAGCCGACCCCUGAUACGCUCACGGCCACUACUGAGAUGGUCAACACCCCGUUUGAGGUUACAACCCCCNNNNNNNNNNNNNNNNNNNNNNNNNNNNNNNNNNNNNNNNNNNNNNNNNNNNNNNNNNNNNNNNNNNNNNNNNNNNNNNNNNNNNNNNNNNNNNNNNNNNNNNNNNNNNNNNNNNNNNNNNNNNNNNNNNNNNNNNNNNNNNNNNNNNNNNNNNNNNNNNNNNNNNNNNNNNNNNNNNNNNNNNNNNNNNNNNNNNNNNNNNNNNNNNNNNNNNNNNNNNNNNNNNNNNNNNNNNNNNNNNNNNNNNNNNNNNNNNNNNNNNNNNNNNNNNNNNNNNNNNNNNNNNNNNNNNNNNNNNNNNNNUUUUCUUCUUUGCCGAUCUCGGUUGUGGUUUUUCAUCUAAGUAUGUGGUGAUUAAUAAUGCACAAUUUAUUAGCUUCGAUGCCAUGCUAUACAUAGUGGUUUAAAUAACUUGUGUUUCUUAUACUGAAAAGUAAUUCAGAAUUUGUUUUUGUUUCAAUUAGAACCCUGAUGCAGACAAGGAUUGUGUGGUUGUAAAUGUCACUAUCUAUGAGGCGGAUGACCUGAAUAUACGCACUGGGAAAACAAAGUUCUUAGGCUGUUGGAUCCUGGAAGCCAUUUGCGGUUAUACCAAUGAAGAGUUGUAUUCCAGCCUCACUGUUGUCAGGCGUGUUGUCCAGGGUGUACUAAAGCACAAGAAGUUCAAAGCUACUCCUUCGUUUGUGAGGCAUACUGUUCUUGUCAAGCUUACGCAGGAAUAUGAUGUGGCAUGCCUCCACAAACAAGUUUAUCAGUGGCAAGGCCACAAGGUUGUCUUCAUGAAGCUUCACAGGAUUGAGCUGUUACGGGACGUCCUCGAUGAUGUUCAUGGCAAGGUCCGUCUUGUGUCCAACCCAAAUUAGAUCGAGGCAUGAAAUAGUUUCCCCAUCUAGUGUUUAAUAGUAGUUUGGAUUGUGUCUAAUUAUCCGAACUUGCCUAUUAUCGACCCCUCUGGGGCUAGUACUCUGGUUGAAUCCGUCUAUGGGAACUGCUGCUACUUUUGUGUGCCCGUGAAUCAUGUGAGAACCAUCGUAAUUGUUGCCGAAACAGAUGCGUCCUCACUAGUUUUUUCAUGAAUAUGGCAUGGUAAGACAUAAGUUGUCACGUUUUAUCAUACGAGCAGUGUGUGUUUUGAUGAAAUAGAGCACUCGUUCGAGAACUGUGUGCCAACGUAUACAUAAGUACUUGUAAACAUUGUUGGUGCUACCUCGCUUCAACACUAGGCUAUCGACCAGCUAACAAUCAACAAUCUGUUGUUUGACAUAUAAGCAACUAUGUAUCUUGUUAUAGUGGUUCAUGCAGUUAACUGAGGCCACAAUGUAAAUUCCAUACGUUCACAUGCUUGUCCAGCGCUCAUGUGGAACACUCACAUUAAACUCGUCUUCAUAAAUAACUUGAAAAGCAUAAGUUAAGCAAUUUUAUACAUCUCAAUGAUUCAUAGAACAUAACAAACAUAUACUAGUUCACAGCAAAAGACAAAGUUGUGAGAAGGUUUACAAAUCAGGAAAACACAAGCAAGGCUUCUCUGGGCAAAGGGCCUCCCGGUAGGCUUAAAUUUCUUGGAGUUCACUCUGUUUUUUUCUUGUUGCCACCAUCCAGGCUUAGGUUCUCUCAUUCCAGAAUAACCAAUUAUAAUUGUGGUCUCAGCUGGAAUGCUGAACUGAACCAUGCAGUGUACUGACCAGGUGAAAUUCUUGUGCAUUCCACUAAAUUUAAGCACCGCUAUUUGUAGAAAUAAGCAGACCACAAUGCCUCUUGUCCGUGCACCUGUCCAAAAAACCGUGGUGCAGCCGUGCCAGCUAGUCCUCAGUCCGUGGAUGAACUGGUGAAAGUGCAUUCCAGACUAGGAUGUAGUUGUUUUUGCUCGUCCCUGCACUGCAAUCAGGAAGUAAAACGUAUGAAUCAGCUUCUUUUAGAUUGCGUUGGUCAUUCUACCUUAGUUACUACCAAUGUAGGAAUACCUUGAAGACUGGAGGUUAUACGAUGGCAACGAGGGAUAGCCAUCUCAUUUUGCGCAGUUGUACUAAAACUGAGGUGUGUGCUUUUGAUUGCGCGAAUAGAAACGAUACAGAGACAUACAUCCCGAAACAAUAUGGAGACAGACAUCCCUGUUUGCGCAAAUACAAAAUACGGUUAUUUAAACAGUGACAGAUAUUUGCAGUGGCGUAUGAUUAACAACAACAUCUAUUGUGUUAUAAUUGGCACUAGAUUAACAGUAUGAAGAGUCCUGAAGUAAGUAGCAUCACAUCACAUCAACAAUGCCACUAGAUUAACAUGCAGAACAAUAGCAUUAGUAUUACUGUCAUGAGAGUAGCACAUGGUCAGUAAAUGUGCAAUCAAAUUUGUGCAGUUCCACUAGGAUGAAGCAAUGUUAGCGGUGUGAGGGUUAAGUGUAACUGCAAAAACACAAUUCAUGGGAAAUAAAGCAAGAUGAAAGCACUUCAUAAAAUGGUGGUGGCAUUGCUUCAAUUUAUCGACGUCACUAGACCAUUACUUAUAGUGACAUUAGGUGGCAUUGCUUAAUGCUUCAUGUGAUUUUACAUUAACGGUAGCGAUAUGGACAUAGGGACAACAUGGGCAUAAAGUGGUGAGGCAGAUGUGGCUGCCGAGAGCGGCAAACACUCAGGCAGCAUGUCUGCAUUUGUCCCAUUUUUUAUCUCCUCGGCGACAUUUUCCUAUGUGAGCACAGGAAAUCUAGACCUGCUCAUUCUCAUUUGCGUUGUCCCCCAACACCCGUCACUUUCUUUCCUUUUUCAACCAAGAGAUAGGUCCACUUCCCCCCACCCUUCGCCAUCCACCAUGCUUUCUUCGUCUUUUCAACCAAGAGACCGGUUGGGUAGCCAGUAUCUACUACUUUCCCCCGUUUCCUCUUAGAACCAAGUCCUAGAUUCAUGCUACAACUUUCCCACUUUCUUCCCUGUUUGAACCAACUCUUAGAGUCGACUGUAUGAACUAGCUUUACCUCUAAUAAUAGUAAAAGUCUAGGUGGCUUUGGAACAGCGGACGGAAGUAGAAAAAGAUCCACACGAAGGGAGCUGGGGCAGUAGACCAAGGUAGGUUUCGAAGGAAUAUAUACCUGAGGGUCGUCGGCAUGUGGCAAAGACGGCGUCGGGAGGCCGCAUCUUGGCCACAAUACCGCAGGGAGGAAGAAGGGGUCGGAGGCACUCCCGAGCCGGCGCUCUCUCGGAGAGAAUGACACGGCCGCCGAUCGGGACGCGCGGGCAGCCGUUGGUCUCCUCCCUCGCCGCUGACGACAACGUGAACGAUGCACCUACACCCCUGCCCCGGUCGAGGUUGUGCGGCCGGAUUUGUGACCAGCUGUGAGCUACGAGAGAGUGUGGCCACCUAUGUCUUGCUUAGAUCUGGAGAGCAUGAGAGAGUGAACGAGAGGAACCCUAGUGAAGCAAGCGCUAAGGCUCCUGCUUAUAUAUAUAGUGGAGUGAUUUUGUUGUACCAGCUUCAAAAAAAUGCGCUCCUACGUGUACCAGUGAGUGGGUGUGAGAGAACUAGUGUGUGCGUGCACCGCUUCUCUUCGUGAGAGUACAAUAUACUAUGCCCAAAGAACGUUCGCCGCAAGAGUAAUAGUAUAAGUGUGUCACGUGUGAGCUAAAAUAAAAUGUGCGCGAUGUCUUUUGUUUUUUAGAAGUUCUGAGGGUAGGGUGUGAAGAGCACAUAUGUGCGUGACGUCUACCUACAAAUAGACGAUGGGUGCGGCGUGCGAGUCUGCGAGAGGACUCGGGAGAGUCGUGACUCAUGAGGGUGCGUGUGCGUGAGAGGGAGGGGGGCACGUAUCAAUGCAAUGCAUGUGUCCGUAAAUCAUUAUCCGACAAACAUUCGCCACAAGCCUUUUCCUGACGAACGCCGUAAGAACCAUUAGAUCGGCAUCCGACAGUGUCAGUUUUGCCAUGUCAUUUAACAGAACAGACACUCCUCCUACACACAAAUCUUCCACGUGAGUGUUAGCAACUGCCGUAUGCUCCCUCCGUUUCGAAAUGCGGUGCAUAUAGCUUUAUUGAAAAUUCGAACCUCGCAAACUUUUACCGAGUUUUCGUGUACCAAAUUGCACAUGUAGAAUUCCCUGUAUAUAUCAUUUUAUUCAUCUUCGAGAGGUAACUAUAAAGAUGGGGGAGGAGUCUACAAAAUAAGACCAUCGUAUCACCCACAUCAAUUUCAACCAUCCUUUGGUGUCGAGGAAUAUCAUAGGAACUCUAUAUGAUAUGAUUUUUAUAGGAUUUUUUCCUUUAGAGCCAAUUGGUUCAUAGGAAUAGAUUCAUAUACUCCACAUUUCAAAGGAAAUAAACAUGAUAUCAUUUCUAUAACUUGAGACCCACUUGGUUCAAAUGAAUGGAUUCCUAUACUCCCUUAAUUUCAAAGGAAAAUAAACAUUAGCAUGUAUUCAAUAGAAAAGUUCCUAUGUUCUGAACCAAAUUACAUAUCUUUUCUAAUCCCUCGUCAUAGGAAGUGAGGUACAUGUCAUCUCUAGAUUCAAUAGAAAAGUUCCUAUGAUGUGAACCAAAUGACAUCUCUUUUCCAAUCCCUACUCAUAGGAAUUGAGAUGCUCCAUGUCAUCUCUUUCCCUACAACUUCCAUGUAUACAUCUUCUAUUCCUAAAUAGAUAGUACAACCCACUAGUAGCUUUUUUCCAAAACAUGCAACUAUGGCACAAGAACUAUAUAGUGUGCCAAUAACUUUGAAAGAUGGUCACUGGAUGAAGCUAAUCCAACAGUGCAGAGAUGGCGAAUCCGAGCACUACUGGCCGUUGGAUAUCAUCAACAUUCCACCAGAUCUACCACAUGUACAAUUUAGAAGACUCCAUGGUUGAACUUAAGCAUAUUGCACAAACCUCAAAACACAAGCACUUCUCCUUUGUUCUAGAAUCUUCUGUAUCAUAAUUGUUUUUUUCUAAAUGAAUUGCCAUUAUUUGUUUUUUACUUUAUGCUUUACAAUGCACAACCCCAUGAAUCUUAACAUUUUUAUAAAACUAAUUGAUUUUGAAUGAGAUGAACUAUAAGAACUAAACGAACAUCUACAUCAUGCAUAUAUGACUCAAAGCUUUACAUGUUAUAGUGUGUAUUUAUUCAUAAUUUGGUUUCAAAAUCUCAUGCGUUCAAUGCAUCAUUGCCUUUCGGUCGAACCUACGUCCACAAUUUUUUGUACGUACUAUAUCUCCACUAGUCCCCGAACCCAAAAUGUUGCCUCGUUCCCGUAAAACCAAGCGGCCCACACAUGGGUCGACUCGAACCUGUUUACUACGACGUGGCCCCGCACGCCGUAGUACUCCUACAAACCCUACCGCCGCACUCAUCAUCGGUUUUCUUCAAGAGGACGAGGGAGAAGCCGAUUUGUAGUGGAGGUGCUUUCAAAAAAAAGGAUAUGUAGUGGAGACCCCUACCCUAGGGUGCCCUAGGUAGCUGCCGCAUGCAUCAUUGUUUUCUCUUCUUUAUGCUCUUGCGCCGUAGACUGAAAUGAUGGUUGCUUCGUCCGUCCAGCUCAAUGCGGGAAAGGUGGGGCUUUGUGAUUUGACCCCUCGUCGCUCAUUUUCUACUACUGCGGCGCUACCGGGGUGCCUCCAGUUCCAACCGCUGCUCUGAACUGUAUUUUGGUGCAUCGCACGUGGAACAAGACGGUGGAUGAGCCACAUGUCAGCCAAAGGGGUCAUGUUAAGUGUCUCGCCAUUUCGUGUGCGGACUGACCCUACUUGAGUUACUACACCAACACGACAGGAGCAGCCUACCACUUGGUUUUGCUCCUUGGUGAAUCCCGACUAUAUUGAUCUAAAAAGAUACGUGCUGAACUACCCUCUCCGUCUCAGUUUUUUAUUUUUAGGUGUCUCGGUUUAUAGGGCGUGCACGUAGUUCUAGGUCAUCCAUUUGACUAACUAAAUAUGAGUUACUAUGUCAUAAAAAGUACUACUAUAUCAUUGGAUUCUUAAGUAGAUGUAGUUGUAUUUAAAAGUCGAGGGCGGGGCUUUUCCUGCGCGGUAGGCGGGGAAGUUCCGCCUAGUCGGUUCGAUAGAGACGCGAGAAGACGAGGGAGUAGGCUGCUGCAAACAUAGGGAUGUGUGAUUUGACAGCGAGUUACUGCUGGACAGCUGGGGCCCCGUGAUUUGAUUUGCCAUUUUCAUUUUAACUGCGGCGCUACGACCGGCGUGAGUCUCCCGAUUCCUGACCACCUCCAUACAGGUGCCUCUCCCAAUGCUCCACCAUGUAGUUGAGGCUGGCUUUUGCAUGAGAGCCCACUUCUCCACUUUUUCCUUGCCUCUUUCCUCCACACAUGCAAAAAUGCCAUGUAAAGCGGGCUUAUAGCCCACUAUUGUACAGGUGCUAAGCUUAUAGCUAACCUUAUAGCUAACCUUGUUGUAGUAUGAGUGACUAAGUGAUGACUAUGUAUGACAUACCAACAUCAGAUAGCCUAACGCACCGUGUUAAAUCUCCAAGGGCGCGACCGCGCGAGCGACGCGACGGUCGUGGUAGGCGCGACCAUGAUACGGGCUGCUGGCAGCCCUUGGAUCUGAGAUCAAACAGUCGCAUGCUAAGUUGCUGAAAAUUUGCAGAAUAACCCUCCAAGAUAGGAUAUUCACCCAUAGGUAUAGAAUCACGCCAUGCAACCGUUCGAUCUCAGAUCCAAGGGCUCUCGGAAGCCCGUAUCAUGGGAGAAUGGAAAGCCACUACCCUGUCGUUCGCACGCUGGCAGUUCGCUCCUACUCGUCCCCGCACGUCCUUUAAUACUACGGCGGUUCGCUCCUAGUCGUCCCGCCCUUUCACAUUACAGCAGUUCCACUAAUCCUAACCCUCCUCCCAAAUCCAUGGCGUCCCAAAUCUCCAUGAUCGGUGGUGAGUGCAAGGUUAGAACCAUCACCUAUGAUGAGUUUGACGUCAUCUACACCCGUUCUUCCACGACGGUGAAAGGAUGCCUUUCUCGCUUCAGACGCAUGUUCAAAAACUCACAUGAUGAGUGGGUCAUUGGGCUAGAUGUUGAGUACACCACAGUCCUGGGACGAGAGAAGGAUCUAAAGGACGAAGAGAGGAAGAAGCCCGCCGUGAUCCAGGUUUGCGUGCAUGAGUUAUGCUUGGUCUACCACAUAUGCCAUUUCGACGUUGAAUGCCUGGAUUUUAAGAACUUCCUCGAGAGCAACCUAGUCAAAUUCGUUACUGUAGACUUUACGAACGACAAAGAAGUCUUGGGUCGGAUAGGCCUCAUUGUAGGCAACCCCUUCAACCUCCAGAAGAAUCGGCUGCUGCCCUCCGGUGGCCAGCCUUCAAUGUUGACCCUGGCAGGAGCCAUCCUUCAUCCUUCAUAUGGUAAACUGGAGAAACCUCAUUACACGUUUCAUCGUCAUGAAUGGCAGUGGAAUGUACUAGAUAUAGACCACAUCCACUACACUGCAAUGGAUGGCUACCUUUGUUUCAAUAUCUACAAGGGUUGGAUGAAGAGCAUGUUGGGGAACGUAGCAGAAAUUCAAAAUUUUCUACGCAUCACCAAGAUCAAUCUAUGGAGAUUCUAGCAACAAGAGAGAGAGGGAAUGCAUCUUCAUACCCUUGAAGAUCGCUAAGCGGAAGCGUUACAAGAACGCGGUUGAUGGAGUCGUACUCGCGGCGAUUCAAAUCGCGGAAGAUCCGAUCUAGCGCCCGAACGGACGGCGCCUCCGCGUUCAACACACGUACAGCCCGGGGACUUCUCCUCCUUCUUAAUCCAGCAAGGGGAGAGGAGAAGUUGAGGGAGAGCUCCGGCAGAACGACGGCGUGGUGGUGGAGCUUGCAGUUCUCCGGCAGGGCUUCGCCAAGCACUACGGAGGAGGAGAAAGAGUUGGAGGAGGGAGGGGCUGCACCAAAAGCAAGGUUGCGGCUGCCCUCUCUCGCCCUCACUAUAUAUAGGGGGAAGGGAAGAGGGGGUCGGCCCCUGUAGAUGGAUCUAGAGGAGGGGGGCGGCGGCCAGGGGAAACCCUAGAUGGAUUUGGGCGCCCCUACCCCCUAGGAAACUUGCCCCCCAAGCCGGGAGGGGAGGCUGCCCUAGGGGUGGCGCCCCUACCUCUCCAGGUUAUGUGAGAUGGGGUGAGAGAGGCGCUCAGCCCCUUAGUGGGAUGAUGUGCCUCCUCCCCUUUGCCCAUAAGGCCCCCUAACACUUGUCGGGGCCUCCGAAACCCCUUUCGGACCCCCUGGUCAUCACCUGGUACCCCCAGAACAAUUCCGGACUCCAAUACCCUUCGUCCAAUAUACCGAUCUUCACCUCCGGACCAUUCCGGAACUCCUCGUCACGUCCGGGAUCUCAUCCGGGACUCCGAACAACCUUCGGUAACCACAUACUAUUUCCCAUAACAACUCUAGCGUCACCGAACCUUAAGUGUGUAGACCCUACAGGUUCGGGAACCAUGCAGACAUGACCGAGACACCUCUCUGGCCAAUAACCAAUAGCGGGAUCUGGAUACCCAUAUUGGCGCCCACAUGUCCCACGAUGAUCUCAUUGGAUGAACAACGAUGUUGAGGAUUCAGUCAAUCCAGUAUACAAUUCCCUUUGUCUAUCGGUAUGUUACUUGCCCGAGAUUCGAUCGUCGGUAUCCCAAUACCUCGUUCAAUCUCGUUACCGGCAAGUCACUUUACUCGUUCCGUAAUGCAUGAUCCCAUGAGUAACUACUUAGUCACAUUGAGCUCAUUAUGAUGAUGCAUUACCGAGUGGGCCCAGAGAUACCUCUCUAUCACACGGAGUGACAAAUCCCAGUCUCGAUUCAUGCCAACCCAACAGACACUUUCGGAGAUACCCAUAGUGCACAUUUAUAGCCACCCAGUUACGUUGUGACAUUUGGCACUCCCAAAGCAUUCCUACGGUAUCUGGGAGUUGCACAAUCUCAUGGUCUAAGGAAAUGAUACUUGACAUUAGAAAAGCCUUUAGCAAAUGAACUACACGAUCUUGUGCUAUGCUUAGGAUUGGGUCUUGUCCAUCACAUCAUUCUCCUAAUGAUGUGAUCCCGUUAUCAAUGACAUCCAAUGUCCAUGGUCAGGAAACCAUAACCAUCUAUUGAUCAACGAGCUAGUCAACUAGAGACUCACUAGGGACAUGUUGUGGUCUAUGUAUUCACACAUGUAUUACGGUUUCCAGUUAAUACAAUUAUAGCAUGAACAAUAGACAAUUAUCAUGAACAAGGAAAUACAAUAAUAACCAUAUUAUUAUUGCCUCUAGGGCAUAUUUCCAAUAGGCAAGAGCCAAGUGUGCAGUUCAAGUAAAGAAGUAUCGGCCAAGAGGAAGAGGGACAAGGACGAAGUCGAGGAUGUGGACGAGGACUCCUCCGAGUGAGUAAGGUGUCAGUAUUGUUGCUCAUGGUGGUUCUAAUGCAGUGUCUACCGAAUUAGUUGCAUAGUUUAAUUUCAGGUGUGCUUACUUGAAUUUGAGGGGUGUGUUGUGCUGAGCCCAAGCAGAACUAUGUUAUGUUUCUUCUCAUUACUUUAACUCCUCAGUAUGAUACAUACUACUAGUAUUUCUUUAAUAGAAUUUAGCACCCCAAUUAAGCACGUACUAGCUUUUUUAAUAGUACUAUAUGCAUAAUUUGGCGACAAGCACUCUCUAUAUGUACCACCUUUUUUUUUAAUUUCAAUUUUUGCUCCAUGGUGCAAUCCAUUGAUAGUACUACUGUACAAAAGUAUACAUUUUUUAAAAGGCUAGAGUACUGUUCAUCACAUAUAUAGCCAGCUAAAUUCUCGACCUAGAACGACGUGCAUGCCAUGUAGUAAACCGAUACGCGGAGGAAGUAUAGUAAAAAUGAGGUGAUUUUACCGAGCGAUCGGCGGGGGAGCAUGGCUGUCAUGCGGUCCCACGUGUCAUGAUGUACCAAGGUGAUGCGCGUGUCCCUCUUGAGGCAGAAGCAAUACUACGUGGUUUGAGAUGAUGGCGAACCGAAGUGUGAAAUAAUGGUUGCUUCGUCCGUCUGGGAAGGUGCGGCAUUGUGAUUUGACGUCUCAUUGCUCAUUACUACUACUGGGCCGGUACGAGUGGGGUGCGUCCCCCUGCUAUUCUGCACUGUUAUUUGGUGCUUGACACGUCAACCCGGUUGCUAUGUGUCCCACAUGUCGGUGACAGGAAGUACAGAAUUCAUGAAAGGGAGCGUCGACGGAGGAGUAUACUACAGAAUUCAUGAAAGGGAGCGACUUAGUUUUGGAAAAAUCUGUUUUUACGGAGUAUGUACCCACUAGGGUUUAUAGGGCUCAUCUAAAAAUCAUUCGUUUUUCCGUUUGAUAAGUCUCAAUUCUACUAUACUAGUAGUAGUACCAUUACAUGUUGGAUUUCGAGGUGCUUUAGAUCACCCGAUGCAAGUAGUGUCAAGAGGAAACUAACCAAUGCAUGUACAAGUUCAUGGAAAUUUAGUGGUCAUUCAUGCAUUCGUUCUAAUUAAUGCCUCGGUAAACAUAACUUCUUGAGAAAACUACGAAAUUAAUUCGACCACUCACCGUCUACCUUGGUUGGAGAGAUUUUGAAAUUGAGCCAUAAACUGGAAAGGAGGGAGUAGUAACUUUUGUCUCGAUUACUAUUUGUGGCCUUGUAUAGAUGCAAAAUGUAUUUUUUAUAGUGGCCUUGUAUAAGUAAAUGGAGGGAGUACUCACCAAGGUACGUAGUAGGGACGAGGAGUAAACGGAGGGAGUAGUAAAAUUUUCUCCUCGUGCUGCGAGCCACCGCGCGCGUGGGCGAGGGAGCGGGCGUAAGGUGUACAGUAGUAGGAGUACUACUACUACUACUACUACUCGUAAGCAAGCUUCACCUCAUCCUGCGAGCCACCGCGCCUGUGGGCGGGGGAGACAGCAUACUAAGCAAGCUUCUCCUUGUUCUGCGAGUUGACGGGACACAUCAAAAGUACUCCAGUGUAUAGAGCCUUGCCUCUAAGGUAGGCCCCACAUGGUUUGCCUCUUUUUUUAACAUAACACGUCAAGUCGCAAUUUGUUUGUUCACCUGUGGUAGACGAUCCUCCCUCCACCAAGUGGACAACCAGUACACGUGCCAAAUUACCACAUGGGCUGCCUUUUUCGUACAGAAAUGAGCUCCACCGUGUACCCGCGCGGGUGUGGUUGGAAAAGAGACGGGAGUACGUGCGCCGUGCGUGCACCUCUUCUCUUCGUGCACGUCCCCCACCUAUGUAGUGUGUGUGAGAGAGAUACAAACCAAGACAUAAUGCGCCAUCCAUCCCCAUGCCUCCGCCCAGUCCGACCAGCAGUCACCACCACGCCCCACUCCUCCUCACCUUAUCUCUCAUCUUUCUCCCUCCAUUUUUAUAUACAAGGGGCCACUAUCAAAAUUACAAUUUGCAGAUAUACAAGGCCACUAACACUAAUCGAUGCAAUAUUAAUGGUGUUUGCCUCGUGGUACUAGCAAAGGAGGACAUUAAUUAUCCCUUGCAUGCAUGCGGGAGUUUGUAAAAAAAUGCAGCUUGAUGUUUCGUGCAAUGCACAGGCAUCUUGCUAGUCCAUGAAAACAACACAUGGCAAAAUUCCAUGGCGAAAGUGGGAUUUGAUUCUGUUGGGAGGGGUUGUUUGGAUCUUGCCCGGGGUAGCCAAAAUAUUGGCGACCCUUUUGUCCACCGGUGCCUUUGCCACCGAUGAACGAGGAAUGGCUCGGGUGCUCAUGCUGUCAUGCAUCCUCCAGCGCGCACGUUGGAGACGAGCUCGCACGAGCUGUGUUUUUUGUCCCACAACAUCGCCCGAACCGCCCGCAGACCGACCGACGACCCGCAAAUUACGCCAUCCAACCGUAGCCGCACACAUUAUGACAGCAACUCAACCAACCGGACGAAAUUUACGCAAACACGUAGACAAACUGAUAUUUCAUAUAAACAACAACGGAAAUCAUAUAAAAUACCGGAUUUUCAUACAAACAUGAUGGAUUUCAUUACAUUCAAAUGAACUACGCGGUGCUAGUUCUGGACAGCACAGGUAUAUAAUACCUGGCCUAAAUGGUCGCCCGCCGAUCGAUUUGUGUUCCUCAUGUCCGGCAGCAUGAUCACCGGACUACUGGGAGCCCCAGAGGUAUAUGCUUCAGUGCAAAGGACGGCUCGCUUCCCCACUGCCCAACUGAUAUCAUUGGCUGGUGCCAAAGAUGAUGGUGGUCAGCACCGGUUCGAGUUCAUCACCGGCCACUACUUUGCCAUGGCCGGCACCGGCUCGAGUUCAUCCUAAUAUUCCCCUCUUCCGUGGAGCCCAUGCCGGGUCGAUGAAGGUCCUCACAACAAAAGGAUCCGGCAAGACACCUGUUGUGUACACCAGCGUCGCCUCCGCGAUGGCCUUCAUGGGACCCAAGCGGCGGCGGCCUCCCAUGUUCUACUUCUCCUUGAUGAUGGCGGCAGACGCGGAGGCACUGGCCACCGACUCGUCGCUCUCCGCGCACCUGGCUUCUGUCCCUGCUUGCAUGGCGCGGCCGCCGGCAUGGGAGUCUCGGCCACAGAAACGGGAGACGCGGUACGAGGCGGCGGCGUGGACGGCAGCAACGACGCCCUGCGCCGCUCCUCGUCGAGCUGGCCUGGAGCGGCGAGUUGCUGAACCGCGCGCCGGCUUGGGGCGGCAACUGGCUUCGUCGGGCGAGGGAAGGGAGGUGGAUCAGCGAGCUGCAUAGCUCGUAUCUAGCAGGCUACCCAGCCGGCUUGGAUGCGGAAUAACUACUCUUCGUAAGCCAUUGUAAGAGUGGACAAAAUGGUGGAGGAGAUAGGGGAGCGGCGGAGGUGUGCGAUUCUUGGCCAUCAUUUAGCCUCAUUUAAAUAGGAGAUUAAAUAGAUGGCAGAUGGGAGGAGCUCGGCCGGCGUUGCAUUUAACAUCGGCCCGGUCAUGAACGGACGUGUGUCCACAGUGGGUUUCUCGGCUUCCACACGGGCGGGUUUCAUGGAGGCGUUUGAAUGCGGCACGAAGGCAUGUUCAGCUGGGCGUGCAGCGAGUGGCGCCCUCGACUCUGACCUAGGACACCGCACCAUUCUUCCACUGACAUGUGGACUCUUUGGGUGCAUGGCCUCCAUGUCAGUGACCGAAUGCAUGCAGCGCACAGCAGAGGAACCUUUGGUGGGCUAGGGUGGUCAGAAGCAGGCAUUUCAUAAACCGAUGAUUGUUCAUUGAGUGUGACAUCAUCUUUUUCAUGUAGGUAAGCGUACUAUGUUGAUAGCCCGUUCGAUACAUUGUGAUUCAUAAAUACCGCUGCAAACAUCAAUGUUCUGCUUAUCACAGAUAAGAUUGAUUAAUACCCGUAACAAUCCAUGUCCUUAACAAAGGGUGCAUGCACGUAUACGUUGAGCGUGUGUCUUGCGUCAUGUGUUGUGUGCAUGCAGGUGUGCGAGUGUUGCGUGCGUGCAAGGGUACGUUUCAGUGUUGCAUGCAUAGGUGCGUACGUGCGUGUGUUCGUGAGUGCAUGUGUACGUGUCAGUGUUGCACGCCAGCAUGCGUGCGUGUGUACGUUAUGUGUACGUGACAGCGUUGCACGCCUGCAUGCGUGCGUGUCUUGCAUGCGUGCAUGUGUACGUUAUGUGUACGUGUGAGUGUUUCACGCCUGCAUGCGUGCAUGUCUUGCUUGCGUGCAUGUGUACGUGCGGGGUGAGGCUACACGUCAGUCAACUGACUUUUUCAUCUCUGGUCAUUAGAUUUUCUAGCCGUUGGAUACAAAAUCAAGGGCCUCUAGUUUAUCAUCAAACUCCACCCCCUGAGCCGCCAGCCACCACCGGUCGAACUGCCAGUCCCCACCACCCGCGGCCGGCCUGCGCCGUCACGCCGGCCCGCCUUCCCCAAAACCACUCCCCACCGCCNNNNNNNNNNNNNNNNNNNNNNNNNNNNNNNNNNNNNNNNNNNNNNNNNNNNNNNNNNNNNNNNNNNNNNNNNNNNNNNNNNNNNNNNNNNNNNNNNNNNNNNNNNNNNNNNNNNNNNNNNNNNNNNNNNNNNNNNNNNNNNNNNNNNNNNNNNNNNNNNNNNNNNNNNNNNNNNNNNNNNNNNNNNNNNNNNNNNNNNNNNNNNNNNNNNNNNNNNNNNNNNNNNNNNNNNNNNNNNNNNNNNNNNNNNNNNNNNNNNNNNNNNNNNNNNNNNNNNNNNNNNNNNNNNNNNNNNNNNNNNNNNNNNNNNNNNNNNNNNNNNNNNNNNNNNNNNNNNNNNNNNNNNNNNNNNNNNNNNNNNNNNNNNNNNNNNNNNNNNNNNNNNCCCACCGCCCAAUGAACGCCCCCCAACCUCCGGUGACUGCCAACCAGAGGUCUCACGACUUCGAAUACCCACCGACCACUAAUUUAUUACCAUUUAUGUCCUUCAUAUACGCGCUGACGGGUGGGCCCUAUGGUAAUGUGCGCUGAUGAAUGUGGACCGUUUGACUGGUCAAUUGAUCGUGUUAUCAACAAAUUACGGAGUUGUAUGGUGAGCCAGUGACCGUAUGAUCACCCUAAAAUGUACUGCUAUUAUAUUAACACAGUACAGACACAAACUACCAUUUCUUUCUUUCAUAUACGGGCUGACAGGUGGGCCCCACGGUUACGCACCCCGGUGGUGCAACACUAGUUGCGCCGGGUGGAAUGUCUGACUGGUCAAUUGAUUGGGUCAUCAACAAAAUACGGAGUUGUACGGGUGAGCCAGUGACCGUAUAAUCAUGACAUGUAUUUUUUUAACACGGUACAGACGCAAGGGCUCAUAUAUACGCGCAAGCACUCACCGCUAUAAGCGCACACACGCGAACCCUACCCCUAUGAGCACCUUCGAGAGAGUGGGCCAGCAUAUAUGAUCUUGAGAUUUUAGGAAGUCACCAUAGGUGCCUCGUAGUCGAGUGGAACGUCUCCUCCCACUGAACGUGCAUCGCCGGAAAAUACUAAAAUUAACACAAGAUAAAUGCGAGCACUGGGACUUUAACCUUGGUGGGCUCAAGAAACCACUGUCCUCCUAACCAUCCAACCACAUGUUGGUUAGCACGACAAAAUGUAUGUGGUGACCGUGAUAAGCUUAUUCUGAAGUCCAGUGACCAUAUCGUGCUUUCGCUUCAAAUACAAUGACCGUAAGUGUCGUCAAAAAAAUACGGAGCACACAUCAAAUGCAAAGUCCGUCAGUGUCAUCAACAAAAUAUGGAGACAUAUCGUGAGCUAGAUACCGUUGUACUAUUGUAUAUGCUUAUUUUCUUAGUGACCGAUUGCGUGUGUGGUGUGGUGGGUCACAUCAUUUCUAGUUGUGGUGGGUCAACAUGAAGACUCAUGGGUCGGUUCCAUCCUGCGCCACAUAUAGGUUGGACCGAGACGUGUUAUACGAAGACCCAUACGGUUCCAUCCUGUGGGGCACAUCAUAUCAUUUCUAGUUGUGCUGGGUCAACAUGACAACACGAAGCUACCAGAGUCAUGGAGGACUCUAUCCCCACUGGUGAUAAGCCGACUAUAUAUGAUUUGUAACCCUAGGCCCUUAGUAUGUUAUACAAGCUUGGGGGCUAGUUCGUCAAUAGUAUACACACACGCACAAUGCCUGGUAUUCACGUGUACUUUGUACACACCCCUAUCACUAAUAUAUAGUACCAGGAGUAGGCUCUUUCUUCAACUGCAAGGGUCCGAUCCGAACUAGGGUAAAACUUUGCCUCGUAUUACCAUCCAGCCUAACAGCCAGGGAUAUCCUACCGAAUGAUAUGAUGAAAUCAUAUCUGCAACUACUAAGAGAGAGGUGUGUCGGGGGGGCAAUGUGUGUGAGAGAGGCCUAAAGAUAAUGUGCGUGCGGUAGACACGUAGGCACAUAUAUGUGCAUAUAGAGGGCUAGUAGAGACCUUGUGUGUGUAUAUAUGCAUGCGAGAGAAAAAGUGUUUUCCAACUGAGAUUAGUGAAAAGAGUGGUACAUAGUAGUCAGAAAGAGAGAGAGAAAAAAGAGCAUGUGCGUGAGACACCUCAACACCCUGAGAGAGAUUGUGAGCAUGUGUGAAAGAGAAAUGCCGAUGCAUAUAAAGUGUGUGCACUUAUGCGUUAGAUAGAGAGAUAUAUAACGCGUUUGUGAGAACGGGGCAAGGCAUAGUGCAUCUAUGUGUAAAAGGCGGUUCUACGCAUUAAAUUAAAAUAUAAAUGGCAUUAUUAUUUUUGGAUGAGAACAUGAAUUUUGCAAAUUGCGUAUGGACAAAAAUCGGUCUACCAGACACCCAUACUCUAUUGAAUUCUAGCAUGUGCAUGUGUUUAUUUCAUAUUAUCGAUCCAUAGAUUGAGAGCGGUUUGAAAUACAGGCAAUGGAUGCUUUUGCAAUUCAUAUAUAAACAUUACUUAGUGCACUCCAUGUUGUUAGUGUGAAGCACUUUAUACAUUUGUCACUUGCAUGGAUACAUUCCAAAUUGCUAGCUACGAAAUAGAAUACAUGUCGAAUUCAACAUAAAGGGGGUUUCGAAGAUUCGAAUUCAUAGGAAGUGCAUUCAUCUAUUUGAACCCGAGAUAAUGGCACUUGUAAAUCAGAUGUAAAAGGGGGCAUAUCUUUGUUGUGAGUUUGAACAUGCUAUAUAUAUUCAUACACAUAUCUAACUUUUUUUUGCAACCAGGGAGAUUAUAUCUGGAACCAUGCAUGAACUGAGGUAAGUUGCAUAUUUUUUAAUAUAUACUCGUGUACAAUGUAUAUUCAAAUGUACCCCCUCCAUUCCAAAAUAAUCGUAGCUCUAGGAUUUUCAAGAGUAAAGAUUUGUGAAGUUUGACAAAUCCUGAAAGUUCAAUUCAAGAGAAUCGAAAACGUUAAUGCUUCUGCUCCCAAAUAUUGAAUGAAGCGCCAAAUAGGCCUCUGGUCACUUGAAACUGCGCGAGACUAAUGUUUGGUGGUAGGAAAUUACUGUCCUGACUCUGGCCCGUAUAGCCUAUCGGCCCGAUGUCCAAAGGUCUAAACCGGGGUAGGUUUGUAACCUCACCAAGACUCCAGUCUCAACCGCCUCCGAGAAGCAUUCAUACGCCGUGGGCGCCUAAACACCCAUGCACUCGGUCAAAAUCUAUCCCGCCCACAUUUGGGACACCUGACAUGACUGUCCGACCCCCAACCCACAAUAUGUCCGAACUUUUAGAUGGGGGCAAAGUUUGUAACUUUCCCCAAAUUUCAAACAAGCGCGUCUCAAACCGAAACAUAGUUCCCCCUUAGUUCCCCGCCUCACUCCGUUUACCCAUUCAUACUCCAUGGGCGCAAAAAUGCCCUCUCCACCAGCCACGAAACCCCAGCCUCCUCCAUCCUCCACCCCAUAGCGGCCAAUCCACCGCCGCCCUCCUCCAUCACGCCGGAGCCGGUACCCCAAUGUCGUCGUCCAACGCAACCGUAACCGCAACGCCCUCAAGGACUUUGCAGCUGAAGCCAAGGCAGAGCUACCUCCACGACGCCGACGCCGACAUGCGCCGUAGCAGAACCACUCCGACCACGCCGUCCUGCGCCUCACUGCUGCGGCUCCACUGUUGCAACCGUCCACGGCACCGGAGUUGUUCCCGCUACGCCGUCGUUCGCCGCCUCGGAUCUGCUUCCCCGCCACCGACAGACGGCCACCGCACCACACUCAACAACUUGGCCAUGGGUUCGUCCAAGGCUGCACCGUCCUCCACAACUUCGAGUUUCCGGAGAACAACAAGAAGAUUGUCAGAAAAACAGAAGGAGGACACAACACUACCAGCAGAAAGAGGUACUGAAAGGAUCGAUAUAGUUGACUAGAGGGGGGUGAAUAGGCAACUAACACUUUUUAAACUUUUCUUUACCAAAUUAAACUUUUCAUCAAAGUAGGUUGUCUAGAUAUGCAACUAGGUGAGCAACCUAUAUGAUGCAACAACAACUAGCACACAAGCAAGCAAGGGAUACAACACAAAUAAGCUUGCACAAGUAAAGGCACGAGGUAACCAAGAGUGGAGCCGGUGGAGACGAGGAUGUGUUACCGAAGUUCCUUCCUUUUGAGGGGAAGUACGUCUCCGUUAGAGCGGUGUGGAGGCACAAUGCUCCCCAAGAAGCCAUUAGGGCCACCGUAAUCUCCUCACGCCCUCACACAAUGCGAGAUGUCAUGAUUCCACUAUUGGUGCCCUUGAAGGCGGGGAUUGAACCUUUACAAACAAGGUUGGGGCAAUCUCCACAGCUUAAUUGGAGGUUCCAAACGACACCACGAAGCUUCACCACAAUGGACUAUGGCUCCGCGGUGACCUCAACCGUCUAGGGUGCUCAAACACCCAAAAGUAACAAGAUCCGCUAGGGAUUAGUGGAGGGAAUCAAAUUUCUCUUGGUGGAAGUGUAGAUCUGGGCCUUCUCAACCACUCUCGAGCAAAUCAACAAGUUUGAUUGGCUAGGGAGAGAGAUCGGGUGAAAAUGGAGCUUGGAGCAAUAAUGGAGCUUUUUGGGGGAAGAGGCAGGUUAACUUUGGGGAAGAAGACCCCUUUAUAUAGUGGGGGAAACAAUCCAACCGUUACCCCCCCCCCCUAAGCAGCCCUGCAGAGAGUGGUACUAGCACUUGGGUGGGCGGUACUACUGCUCAGCCAGCGGUACUACCGUGCCACCUAGCGGUACUGCCGCGCACAAGAGGGGAGCAGGGUCCUGGACCGAGAGCGGUACUACCGCGGUGGUAAGGGCGGUACUACCGCUCGGGAGCGGUACUACCGCUACUACUGCCGCGACUAGUGCCGCAGAACCCGACACGAGAAAACGAGGGCUCGAGUCAAGGCGGUAGUGGCCCGGCGCCUCAGCGGUACUACCGCUGAGGAGCAGUACUACCGCUUGUUGUCUUCGGCGGUACUACCACUGUGGCCCGUGGUACUACCGCUGGGGCCAGACAGAGAGAGCAGAGAGGGGAAUGAGAGCUCCAUUGAAGCGGGAAGGAACAACGGGUGCAAUAAGAAUGUGUACGUGUUGAUUCCACCCUAGCCAUACCAAAGCGGAUCCCCUCUUGAUAGUACGGUGACUCCUAUGCAACUAGUCCACCAACAAAGAAACGAAGGAGCUGCACCGUCUUGAAUAGAGCACCGAGGGGAGGGAAUCGUCUCGUGCCAAAGGAUGAAUCUCUGGAAAUCUCAACGCACACGGUUAGUCCGCAAAAGCAUUGUCACCAAUCACCAAAACACCUUGGGGAUAAAUAUGCCCUUACAGGUACUCCUCUUCCCUUAUUCGUGCAAAUCUUACGUCUCCGUUCACACCGUAUUCAUCCCACGAAAGAAACUAGUUGAGCGCUUCUUACUGCAUCUUCUUCGUGAUACUAAAUGCACAAGGUUUCCUCCCUUUUACUGUUUCACCUUUGCUAGAGGUUAGUAGCCCGCCUAGAUUUCAAUUCAGGGUCAGUCGAACCGCAAUUAAAAGAAGCAGCACCCGCUUAGGCACGCGGAGCACCUAGUCCGCAUGUUCCCCGGGGAAGCGGCGCAUCGGUGUCUAUCAUAGGGGUGUGGUGCGCAGGAGCUGCUUGAGCCCGAUCUGGAGGUCGGUGGGGCUUGAAUGGAUGGCCGGGGGCGGUGCCAAGCACGGCGGUGCAGUGAGGUCGAAGGGAUGGCGCAGGCAGGGGAGGAAUACUCGGCCAGUGGUCGCUGGCAUUUCGAGGAAGAUCGUCAACACUGACUGGCUGGAGGUAGAUGAAGGUGAUCUGCCCAUUCUUUGUACAUCGGACAGUGCGGAAAAAAUGGACUGACCUAUUUGCUUUUAGUCGACUGUUAUUUUCAUAGAAUCCUGUAGUAAUUUAGUGUGCCAUGCAUGUUGCAGAGCUAUCAUAUGUCUCCCGUCAUUUAUUUCUCACCGACCUGCUAUCUGCUACCUUUACACUAUACUAAUUGUGGACUCACUUCACCCAUACUCACAUUAUUUUUUUAUGCAUGGGUAUUUCAGACUCUGACGCAGUGUUGAUGAAUGCAGAAAAGAAAAGACAGAAGUCGCUCCACUGUAAUUCGAAGAUAAGCACUAAGCGUUUCAGCGCUCUAAUGGGUGCAGUGUUAGCAGUUGGAGAUAGUAAACGUAGCUCUGCAGUUGAUGAUCUCAAUUGCCACACACAACCAUCCCAGGUGCUUGCUUUAAGUUCGCGCUGUCAAAUGUGGUUGCAUGUUGCAUAUGGUGUCUAGCUUGUAUUGCUUCCAAUUUGGUUAAAUUGCAUCUUCUUACUUUACACAUUAUACCUUUGAUAAUGACAUGCAUUCCUGUUUUUGAUACAUACUACAUAUGUCUAUUAACCAUGUUCGUACAUCAAACUAAUGCUCUUUUGUAUCCCUCGUCAAUCACUUAUGAUGAGUCAGUCACCCGAGUGGGUUACUGUGAGAUGCCCUACUCGUUUAAAGAGUGCAGUGUCAUCCUCCCCACAUGAUUCUCAAGAAAUAGCAAGGCUAAAUGAAGAUAGUCAACGUAGCUCUCUAGUUGAUCACAUCAAUUCCCCCACACCACCAUCACAGGUGCUUGCUCUUACUUGGCAGUGUGAUAUGUGGUUGCAUGUUGCAUAUGGUGUCUACCUUGUAAUGCUUCUAAUUAGGGUAAAUUGCAUCUGCUUAGUUAACACAUUAUACCUGUGAAUAUGACAUGCCUUCCUGUUUUUGGUACAUACUACAUCUUUCUAUUAACCAUGUUCUUACAUCAAACUACUUUUCUUGUGUAUCCCUCAUCAAUGCUCCUAAUUUGUUAAACUGCAUCUCCUUAGCUUACACAUUAUACAUGUGAAUAUGACACGCCUUCCUGUUUUUGGUACAUACUACAUCUGCCUAUCACACCAUGUUCUUACAUCAAACUACUGUUCUUAUGUAUCCUGCAUCUAUCGCUUAUGAUCAGACAGUCAUGCGCGUGGGUUAAUAUGAGACGCAAUACUCUUAUAAAGAAUGCAAUUUCAUCCUCUCCACAUGAUUCUCAAGAAACAGCAAGCCUAAAUGAAGAUAUUGAACGUAGCUCUGUACCUGAAGACCGCACUUCCCCUACACCACCACCACAGGUGCUUGCUCUAACUUCGCAGUGUGAUAUGUAGUUGCAUGUUGCAUACGGUGUCUAGCUUGUAAUGCUUCUAAUUAGGGUAAAUUGCAUCUGCUUAGUUUACACACUAUACCUGUGAAUAUGACAUGCCUUCCUAUUUUUGGUACACACUACAUCUAUGUGUUAACCUUGUUCUUACAUGGAACUACCUCUCUUCUGUAUCUUGCAUCAAUCACUUACGACGAGUCACCUUUAUUCGUUGCAUAUUGCAUAUUAUUUCUAGCCUGUUGCCAUGUAUUGCUUCUAAUUUGGUCAAAUACAUUUGUUAGGGCACCCUUUUAAUUUGGCAGAGUGAUAUUGGUUUCAUCUUUCAUAUGGUUUCUAGCUUGCAUUGAUUCUAACAAGUUCAAGCACCUUGUGCUUAGUUUACACUUUAUACAUCAUACAUGUCAAUAUGUCACGCCGUCCUGUUUUUCAUACAUAUUCCAUCCUCCUAUCAUGCGGCUGCCUUACAUGAAAGUAGUGUUCAUCAGUAUCAUGCAUCAAUGAGUUUUGAAGAGCAAAUUUUAUUCCUUUUUCUUGUGGGUUUGACUUGACAAGGCAAAAUCAAGAAAGAGGAAGGAAAAGAGUAAGGAAGGCGAUGAUGGUGGUCCUCUGCAGCAACAUAAAUGGAGCAUCUGUACCGAUUCUCCUUGUACUGAUAGUGCAUUACAAGGUCCAAGUCUCCGCUCCCCUACUCCACCAUCCAAGGUGCUUGCUCUAACUUGGCAGUGUGAUAUCUGGUUGCAUGUUGCAUAUGGUGUCUAGCUCGUAUUGCUCCUAAUUAGUGUAAACUGCAUCUGCUUAGCUUACACAUGAUACAUGUGAAUAUGACACGUUUUCUUGUUUUUGGUACAUACUAUAUCUGUCUAUCACAUCAUGUUCUUACAUGAAACUACUCUUCUUGUGUAUCCUGCAUCAGUCACUUAUGAUGGGACACCUUUAAGUUGGCAGUGUGAUAUUGGUUUGCAUCUUGAAUAUGAUUUCUAGCAUGUAUUGCUUCUAGUUUGAUGAACGCCACCUUUGACGAAACAGUUUUAACUUGGCACGGUGAUAUUGAUUGCACCUUCCAUAUGGUGUCUUGCAGUGUUUCUAAUUUUUUGAAGUGCCUUCUGCUUAGUUACCACAUCAUAGGUGUGAAUAUGUCAAGCCGUCCAUUUUUCGUACAUAUUUCAUCCUCGUAUCAUGACUUUGCCUUUCAUCAGAGUAGUGUUCGUCAGUAUCAUGCAUGAAUGAGUUCUGAAGAGCGAAUGAUAUUCCUUUUUCUUGUCGGUAUGACCUCACAAUGCAAAAUUAAUAAAGCUGAAGGAAAUUGGCAAGGCAUUGGAUGAUGGUGGUUCUUCCGAGCAACUGAAAUGAAGGUUCUCUAUAGAUUCUACUCCGCCAUCCUCCCAACAAGAUUCGCAAGACAACGCAAGGCUAGACAGUCAAUGUAGCUGUGUAGAUGAUGAGCACAUCUCCCCUACUCCACCAUCACAGGUGCUUGCUCUAACUUGGCACUAUUAUAUGUGGUUGCAUGUUGCGUAUGAUGUCUAGCUUGUAUUGCUUCUAACUUUGUUGAAUUGCAUCUGCUUACUUUACACAUAAUGCCUGUGAAUAUGACAUGUGUUCCUGUUUCUACAUCAGACUACUAUUCUUGCAUAUCCCGCAUCAGUCACUUAUGAUAAGGCACCUUUAAGUCGCCACUGUGAUAUUGGUUGUGUCUUGCAUAUGAUUUCUAGCAUGUACUACUUCUAAUUUGUUGAAACGUCAUACAUUUUGAACUUGGCAGAGUGAUAUUGGUUGCAUCUUUCAUAUGGUGUCUAGCUUGCAGUGCUUCUAAUUUGUUGAAAUGCCUUCAGCUUAGUUACCACAUCAUAGGUGUGAAUAUGUCACACCAUCCUGUUUUUCAUACAUAUUCCAUCCUCGCAUCAUGUGUUUGCCUUUCAUCCGAGUAGUGUUCGUCAGUAUCAUGCAUCAAUGAGUUCUGAAGAGCGAAUUUAUUCCUUUUUCUUAUCGGUUUGAUUUCACAAUGCAAAAUCAUUAUAGCUGAAGGAAAUUAGUCCGGCAGUGGAUGAUGGUGGUCCUUCGGAGCAACUCAAACAGGGGGUCUCUACAGAUUCUACUCCCCCAUCCUCCCAACAAGAUUCUCAAGACAACACAAGGUUGGACAGUCAACGUAGCUGUGUAGAUGAUGAGGACAUCUCCCCUACUCCACCAUCAUAGGUGCUUGCUCUAACUUGGCACUAUUAUAUGUGGUUGCAUGUUGCGUAUGAUGUCUAGCUUGUAUUGCUGCUAACUUUGUUGAAUUACAUCUGCUUACUUUACACAUAAUGCCUGUGAAUAUGACAUGUGUUCCUGUUUCUACAUCAGACUACUAUUCUUGCAUAUCCCGCAUCAGUCACUUAUGAUAAGGCACCUUUAAGUCGCCACUGUGAUAUUGGUUGUGUCUUGCAUAUGAUUUCUAGCAUGUACUACUUCUAGUUUGUUGAAACGUCAUACAUUUUGAACUUGGCAGAGUGAUAUUGGUUGCAUCUUUCAUAUGGUGUCUAGCUUGCAGUGCUUCUAAUUUGUUGAAAUGCCUUCAGCUUAGUUACCACAUCAUAGGUGUGAAUAUGUCACACCAUCCUGUUUUUCAUACAUAUUCCAUCCUCGCAUCAUGUGUUUUCCUUUCAUCCGAGUAGUGCUCGUCAGUAUCAUGCAUGAAUGAGUUCUGAAGAGCGAAUUUUAUUCCUUUUUCUUAUCAGUUUGACUUCACAAUGCAAAAUCAUUAUAGCUGAAGGAAAUUAGUCCGACAGUGGAUGAUGGCGGUCCUUCGGAGCAACUCAAACAGGGGGUCUCUACAGAUUCUACUCCCCCAUCCUCCCAACAAGAUUCUCAAGACAACACAAGGUUGGACAGUCAACGUAGCUGUGUAGAUGAUGAGGACAUCUCCCCUACUCCACCAUCAUAGGUGCUUGCUCUAACUUGGCACUAUUAUAUGUGGUUGCAUGUUGCGUAUGAUGUCUAGUUUGUAUUACUUCUAACUUGAAUUGCAUCUGCUUACUUUACACAUAAUGCCUGUGAAUAUGACACGUGUUCCUGUUUCUAGAACAUACGUGUACAUGAUGAGCACAUCUCCCCUACUCCACCAUCACAUGUGCUUGCUCUUACUUGGAACUGUUAUAUGUGGUUGCAUUUUCCAUAUGAUGUCCAGUUUGUAUUGCUUCUGAUUAUGUUGAAUUGCAUCUGCGUAGCUUACAACUUAUACCUGCAACAAUCACUCACCCAUAAGACGCAUUUAACUUGGGACUAUGAUGUAGGUUGCAUCUUGCAUUUUCUUCUAGCUUGUACUGCUUUUAAUUUCUUGAAAUGGCACUUACGACGAGACACUUUUUACCUGAUAGAGUGAUAUUGGUUGCAUGUUCAUAUGGUGCCUAGCUUUCAUUUAUUCUAAUUUUGUUGAAAUGCCUUCCGCUUACUGUUUUUUCAUACAUAUUCCAUCCUCCUAUCAUACGUGUGAAUAUGAAAUGCUGUCUUUUUUUGUAUAGGUUCCAUCCUCCUAUCCUGCGCUUGCCUUACAUCAAAGUAGUGUUCGUUUGUAUCAUGCAUCAACCAGUUAUGCAGAGCUAAUUUUAUUCAUCUUCUUGUGGUUUUGACUUCAUAAGGCAAUAUCAGAAAAUUGGAAGGAAAAGAGUAAGUUAGGGGAUGUUGGUGGUCCUCCGCACCGACGCAAACAGAGACUCUCUAGAUUUGCCACUGCUACUGCUAAUGAAGUUGAAGUCCCAAGUCUACAUGAUGGGUUCAUCUCCCGUACUCCACCAUCGCAGGUGCUUGCUCUAAGUUAACAGUGUGAUAAUUGGUUUCAUGUUGCAUAUGUUGUCUAGCCUGUAUUUCUUCUAUUUUGAUAAAAUUGCACCUGCUGAGUUUAUACCUUAUACAUGUGCAUAUGACAUGGCUUUCUGUGUCUAGAAUACACUACAUCUAUCUAUCAUAACAUGUUCUUACAUCAAAGUACUGCUGUUGUGUAUCCCGCAUCAGUCACUCAUGAUUGGACGCUUUUAACAUGGCAGUUUGAUAGUGGUUGCAUCUUGCAUUGAUUUCUACGUUGUACUACUUCUAAUUUUUCGAAUUGCCACUUAUGACAAGACACUUUUAACUUGGCAGAGUUAUAUUGGUUGCAUCUUUCAUAUGGUGUCUAGCUUGCAUUACUUCUAUUUUCUUGAAAAUCCUUCUGCUUGGUUUGCACAUCGUAGCUGUGAAUAUGUCAUGUCGUCCUGUUUUUCUUACAUAUUCCAUUCUCAUACAGUUGUCUUACAUCAAAGUAUUGCUUGUCUAUAUCAUGCAUCAAUGAGUUCUGAAGAGUGAUUUUAUUCUUUUGUGUUGUGGGUACAGCUUGACAUGGCAAAGUCAAAAAAGAGCAAGGAAAAUAAUAUAGUAGGGAGUGCUGUUACUCGUCGGGUGAAACAGAAAAGGAUCUGCCGUCGAGAUUCUGCUGGUACUUAUAGUGCAGUAGAAGGUCCAAGUCCACCGGCUAAAUCUACAAACACAGUAUCACCUGCUCCACCAACUGUAGCAUCCGCUUCAACUGUACCAGUAUCUCAACCAGUUACUCGUUCGUUUGCUCCAGAACUGGCUAGUUCCCAAGCUGCCUUCACACCUAACACUACUUCCGAAGCACUGCUGACUCUACAGGACUUGGCAAGAUCAGAUGAACCUCAUGAGCAUGAACACCAAGACGGUACCUGACCGAGUCAAGUUGCAGUUGCAUGCUCCUUUAUAUGUACUCUCACAGUUUGAUGUACACUAACACUUCCCAUAUUCGUUGUUGAACUAGCACCACGGUGCAAGCAGAAACAGACAUCAGGGAUAAUGCUUGAUAGAUUAACAAAAUCUAAAGGAGCAAGAAGGAGAUCCAUUUUGAGGCAGGUUUAAAAAGGCCAUGUGAUGCUACAGAGUCGGCCAAGUUAGUAUCAGAGGCAGCCGUUGCCGUUAGGUGUCAUGCACGUAUCCUUCCAAUGUGGAUCCAGUACAGGAAUGAGCAAGACAAUACCCAGUUUAACACCUUCCUUGACCAUUUAUCCGUAAGUAAUGUUAUUCAUCGCAAUUAGUUGUUGGAGAACGUAGCAGAAAUUCAAAAUUUUCCUACGUGUCACCAAGAUCUAUCUAUGGAGAAACCAGCAACGAGGGGAAGGAGAGUGCAUCUACAUACCCUUGUAGAUCGCUAAGCGGAAGCGUUCAAGAGAACGGGGUUGAAGGAGUCGUACUCGUCGUGAUCCAAAUCACCAGAGAUCCUAGUGCCGAACGGACGGCACCUCCGCGUUCAACACACGUACAACCCGGUGACGUCUCCCAUGCCUUGAUCCAGCAAGGAGAGAGGGAGAGGUUGAGGAAGACUCCAUCCAGCAGUAGAACAAUGGCGUGGUGGUGGUUGAGGAGCGUGGCAAUCCUGCAGGGCUUCGCCAAGCACCGCGGAAGAGGAGAAGGGAGAGAGGUAGGGCUGCGCCAGGGAGAGGUCAAAACUCAUGUGUUGGCAGCCCUCAAGACCUCAACUAUAUAUAGGGGAGAGGGAGGGGGUGCGCCCCCUCUAGGGUUUCCACCCCAAGGGGUGCGGCAGCCCCAAUCCCAUCUAGGGUGGCGGCCAAGGGAGGGAAGAGGGGAAACUUGCCCCCCAAGUUAGGUGGGUGCGCCCCCUCCCCCAACCCUAGGCGCCUUGGGCCCUUGUGGGGGGCGCACUAGCCCACCUGGGGCUGGUCCCCUCCCACACUUGGCCCAUGCAGCCCUCCGGGGCCGGUGGCCCCACUUGGUGGACCCCCGGAACCCUCCCGGUGGUCCCGGUACGUUACUGAUAAAACCCGAAACUUUUCCGGUGACCAAAACAGGACUUCCCCUAUAUAAAUCUUUACCUCCGGACCAUUCCAGAAUUCCUUGUGACGUCCGGGAUCUCAUCCGGGACUCUGAACAACAUUCGGUAACCACAUGCAAACUUCCUUUAUAACCCUAGCAUCAUCGAACCUUAAGUGUGUAGACCCUACGGGUUCGGGAACCAUGCAGACAUGACCGAGACGUUCUCCGGUCAAUAACCAACAGCGGGAUCUGGAUACCCAUGUUGGCUCCCACAUGUUCCACAAUGAUCUCAUCGGAUGAACCACGAUGUCAAGUACUCAAUCGAUCUUGUAUACAAUUCCUUUUGUCUAGCGGUAUUGUACUUGCCCGAGAUUCGAUCGUCGGUAUGCCGAUACCUUGUUCAAUCUCGUUACCGGCAAAUCUCUUUACUCGUUCCGUAACACAUCAUCCCGUGAUCAACCCCUUGGUCACAUUGUGCACAUUGUGAUGAUGUCCUACCGAUUGGGCCCAGAGAUACCUCUCCGUCAACCGGAGUGACAAAUCCCAGUCUCGAUGUGUGCCAACCCAACAGACACUUUCGGAGAUACCUGUAGUGCACCUUUAUAGCCACCCAGUUACGUUGUGACGUUUCGUGCACCCAAAGCAUUCCUACGGUAUCCGGGAGUUGCACAAUCUCAUGGUCUAAGGAAAUGAUACUUGACAUUAUAAAAGCUUUAGCAUACGAACUACACGAUCUUUGUGCUAGGCUUAGGAUUGGGUCUUGUCCAUCACAUCAUUCUCCUAAUGAUGUGAUCCCGUUAUCAACGGCAUCCAAUGUCCAUGGUCAGGAAACCGUAACCAUCUAUUGAUCAACGAGCUAGUUAACUAGAGGCUUACUAGGGACAUGGUGUUGUCUAUGUACCCACACAUGUAUCUGAGAUUCCUAUCAAUACAAUUAUAGCAUGGAUAAUAAACGAUUAUCAUGAACAAGGAAAUAUAAUAAUAACUAAUUUAUUAUUGCCUCUAGGGCAUAUUUCCAACAGUCUCCCACUUGCACUAGAGUCAAUAAUCUAGUUCACAUCGCCAUGUGAUUAACACUCACAGGUCACAUCGCCAUGUGACCAACAUCCAAAAAGUUUACUAGUGUCACUAAACUAGUUCACAUCAUCAUGUGAUUAAGACUCAAUGAGUUCUGGGGUUUGAUCAUGUUUUGCUUGUGAGAGAGGUUUUAGUCAACGGGUCUGCGACAAUCAGAUCCGUAUGUACUUCGCAAAUCUCUAGGUCAUAUUGUAAAUGCUGCUUCCACGCUCCACUUGAAGUUAUUCCAAAUGGUUGCUCCACUAUACGUAUCCGGUUUGCUACUCAGAGUCAUUCGGAUAUGUGUUAAAGUUUGCAUCGACGUAACCCUUUACGCCGAACUCUUUAUCACCUCCAUAAUCGAGAAACAUGUCCUUAUUUACUCCAAGGACAAUUUUGACUGCUGUCCAAUGAUCCCCAUUCCUGGAUCAUUCUUGUACCCCUUGACUGACUCAUGGCUAGGCACACUUCCGGUGCGGUACACAGCAUAGCAUACUAUAGAGCCUACGUCUGAAGCAUAAGGGAUGACCUUCGUCCUUUCUCUCUCUUCUGCCGUGGUCGAGCUUUAACUCUUAACUUCAUACCUUACAACUCAGGCAAGAACUCCUUCUUGACUGAUCCAUCUUGAACACCUUCAAGAUCAUGUCAAGGUAUGUGCUCAUUUGAAAGUAUUAUUAAACAUUUUGAUCUAUCUUAUAGAUCUUGAUGCUUAUUGUUCAAGUAGCCUAAUCCAGGUUUUCCAUUGAAAAACACUUUUCAAACAACCCUAUAUGCUUUCUAGAAAUUCUACAUCAUUUCUGAUCAACAAUAUGUCAACAACAUAUACUCAUCAGAAAUUCUAUAGCGCUCCCACUCACUUCUUUGGAAAUACAAGUUUCUCAUAAACUUUUGUAUAAACCCAAAAUCUUUGAUCAUCUCAUCAAAGCGUACAUUCCAACUCUGAGAUGCUUACUCCAGUCCUUAGAAGGAUUGCUGGAGUUUUCCAUAUUUGUUAGCGUUCUUCAGGAUUGUCAAAACCUUCUGGUUGUAUCACAUACAACCUUUUCUCAAGAAAACUGUCGAGGAAACAAUGUUUUGACAUUCUAUCUGCAAGAUUUCAUAAAUAAUGCAGAAACUCCUUGAACUUGUCGGAAAACAUCUUAACGACAAGUCGAGCUUUCUUAAUGGUGAUUCUUACCAUCAUUGUCUGUCUUCCUUUUAAAAUCCAUCUGUACCCAAUGGCCUUACCACCAUCAAGUAUUUCUUCCAAAGUCAUGGAUCCUUUCUCGGAUUUUAUGGCCUCGAGCCAUUCGUCGGAAUCCGGGCCCACCAUCGCUUCUCCAUAGCUCGUAGGUUCAUUGUUGUCUAGCAACAUGACCUCUAAGACAGGAUUGCGUACCACUCUGAAGUAGUACGCAUCCUUGUCACCCCACGAGGUACGGUAGUGACUUGAUCCGAAACUUCAUGAUCACUAUCAUAAGCUUCUACUUCAAUUGGUGUAGGCGCCACAGGAACAACUUCCUGUGCCCUACUACACACUAGUUGAAGUGACGGUUCAAUAACCUCAUCAAGUCUCCACCAUCCUCCCACUCAAUUCUUUCGAGAGAAACUUUUCCUUGAGAAAGGACCCGUUUCUAGAAACAAUUACUCUUGCUUCCGGAUCUGAGAUAGGAGGUAUACCCAACCAUUUUGGGUAUCCUAUGAAGAUGUAUUUAUCCGUUUUGGGUUCGAGCUUAUUGUCGGUGUCAAAACCGGCGGAUCUCGGGUAGGGGGUCCCGAACUGUGCGUCUAGGCGGAUGGUAACAAGAGACAAGGGACACGAUGUUUUACCCAGGUUCGGGCCCUCUUGAUGGAGGUAAAACCCUAUGUCCUGCUCGAUUAAUAUUGAUGAUGUGUGUUACAAGAGUAGAUCUACCACGAGAUCAAGGAGGCUAAACCCUACAAGCUAGCCUAUGGUAUGAUUGUUGUUCGUCCUACGGACUAAAGCCAUCCGGUUUAUAUAGACACCGGAGAGGGCUAGGGUUACACAGAGUCGGUUAUAAUGGUAGGAGAUCUACAUAUCUAUAUCGCCAAGCUUGCCUUCCAUGCCAAGGAAAGUCCCAUCCGGACACGGGACGAAGUCUUCAAUCUUGUAUCUUCAUAGUCUUGGAGUCCGGCCGAUGAUGAUAGUUCGGCUAUCCAGACACCCCCUAGUCUAGGACUCCCUCAGUAGCCCCUGAACCAGGCUUCAAUGACGACGAGUCCGGCACGCAUAUUGUCUUCGGCAUUGCAAGGCGGGUUCCUUCUCCGAAUAAUUUAUAGAAGAUUGUGAACACCUGGAUAGUGUCCGGCUCUGCAAAAUAAAUUCCACGUACCACCGUAGAAAGAAUAAUAUUACACAAGUUCAAUCUGCUGACGUAUUUGGUGACGUGACGUCACACCACUACCAAGCCUUUACUAGAAUUGUUUUUAUUGUACCACCUCAGCGCGUUUAGCGAAGCGGUUUCCUUGGAACGUCUUAUUGAAGCAGAGAUCGUGUUCCCCUUAUUCCGGAAUUCCCAUCAAUACAGACGUGGGUAACCCAACCGCGCCAUUGAUUGUGGCGCUUGGGAGAUAAGCGAGUUUUAUCAGGCCGGUGGGGACACAUGUUUUUGUCCGCCCAUAUAAGGGGAUAGAAAUCCAACCCUUUUACCUACGCCUUCUUCCUCCUUGGCUUAUCCAUCUCCGCGAACUCGAGCUCCAGCGCCCAAGUCCGCACAUCUCACCUCAACCUUCUCCAACUAUGUCCGGAGCGGGAGGCAAGUGGAUGGCCUCCUCCGUCACGGAGGGGCACAUCCAGAAGCUGCACAGCGCCGGAUAUUUGUCCAGUAACAUCGCGCACCGGCUCCCCAACGAGGGAGAUCUCAUCCCCACCCCCAGGCCCCAUGAGACGGUAGUAUUUCUUCCCCAUUUCCUCCGCGGACUGGGCUUCCCACUGAAGGAAAUAUGCCCUAGAGGCAAUAAUAAAGUUAUUAUUUAUUUCCUUAUAAUCAUGAUAAAUGUUUAUUAUUCAUGCUAGAAUUGUAUUUACCGGAAACAUAAUACAUGUGUGAAUACAUAGACAAACAGAGUGUCACUAGUAUGCCUCUACUUGACUAGCUCGUUAAUCAAAGAUGGUUAUGUUUCCUGACCAUGAACAAUGAGUUGUUAUUUGAUUAACGAGGUCACAUCAUUAGUAGAAUGAUCUGAUUGACAUGACCCAUUCCGUUAGCUUAGCACCCGAUCGUUUAGUAUGUUGCUAUUGCUUUCUUCAUGACUUAUACAUGUUCCUAUGACUAUGAGAUUAUGCAACUCCCGUUUACCAGAGGAACACUUUGGGUACUACCAAACGUCACAACGUAACUGGGUGAUUAUAAAGGAGUACUACAGGUGUCUCCAAUGGUCGAUGUUGGGUUUGCGUAUUUCGAGAUUAGGAUUUGUCACUCCGAUUGUCGGAGAGGUAUCUCUGGGCCCUCUCGGUAAUACACAUCACAUAAGCCUUGCAAGCAUUACAACUAAUAUGUUAGUUGUGAGAUGAUGUAUUACGGAACGAGUAAAGAGACUUGCCGGUAACGAGAUUGAACUAGGUAUUGGAUACCGACGAUCGAAUCUCGGGCAAGUAACAUACCGAUGACAAAGGGAACAACGUAUGUUGUUAUGCGGUCUGACCGAUAAAGAUCUUCGUAGAAUAUGUAGGAGCCAAUAUGGGCAUCCAGGUCCCGCUAUUGGUUAUUGACCAGAGACGUGUCUCGGUCAUGUCUACAUUGUUCUCGAACCCGUAGGGUCCGCACGCUUAAGGUUACGAUGACAGUUAUAUUAUGAGUUUAUGCAUUUUGAUGUACCGAAGGUUGUUCGGAGUCCCGGAUGUGAUCACGGACAUGACGAGGAGUCUCGAAAUGGUCGAGACGUAAAGAUUGAUAUAUUGGAAGCCUAUAUUUGGAUAUCGGAAGUGUUCCGGGUGAAAUCGGGAUUUUACCGGAAUACCGGGAGGGUUACUGGAACCCCCCGGGAGCUAUUUGGGCCAUAGUGGGCCUUAGUGGAAAAGAGAAGGGGCUGCCCUAGAUGGGCUGCGCCCCCCCCCCUUCCCCUAGUCCUAUUAGGACUAGGAGAGGUGGCCGGCCCCCUCCUCCUCUUUUCCCCUCCGAGGAAUCCUAGUUGGACUAGGAUUGGAGGGGGAAUCCUACUCCCAGAAGGAGUAGGACUCUCCUGCGCCUCCCCCCCUUGGCCGGCCAGCCUCCCCUCCUCUCCUCCUUUAUACACGGAGGCAGGGGCACCUCUAAACACACAAGUUGACACAAGUUGAUCCACGUGAUCGAUUCCUUAGCCGUGUGCGGUGCCCCCUGCCACCAUAUUCCUCGAUAAUACUGUAGCGGAGUUUAGGCGAAGCCCUGCUGCUGUAGUUCAUCAAGAUCGUCACCAUGCCGUUGUGCUGACGAAACUCUUCCCCGACACUUUGCUGGAUCGGAGUCCGGGGAUCGUCAUCGAGCUGAACGUGUGCUCGAACUCGGAGGUGCCGUAGUUUCGGUGCUUGAUCGGUUGGAUCGUGAAGACGUACGACUACUUCCUCUACGUCGUGUCAUCGCUUCCGCAGUCGGUCUGCGUAGGGUACGUAGGCAAUACUCUUCCCCUUGUUGCUAUGCAUCACAUGAUCUUGCGUGUGCGUAGGAAAUUUUUUGAAAUUACUACGAAACCCAACAGUGGCAUCCGAGCCUAGGUUAUUGAUGUUGAUGUUAUAUGCACGAGUAGAACACAAGUAAGUUGUGGACGAUACAAGUCAUACUGCCUACCAGCAUGUCAUACUUUGGUUCGGCGGUAUUGUUGGACGAGACGACCCGGACCAACCUUACGCGUACGCUUACGCGAGACCGGUUCCCUCGACGUGCUUUGCACAGAGAUGGCUUGCGGGCGACUGCCUCUCCAACUUUAGUUGAACCAAGUAUGGCUACGCCCGGUCCUUGCGAAGGUUAAAACGGAGUCUAUUUGACAAACUAUCGUUGUGGUUUUGAUGCGUAGGUGAGAUUGGUUCUUACUUAAGCCCGUAGCAGCCACGUGAAAACAUGCAACAACAAAGUAGAGGACGUCUAACUUGUUUUUGCAGGGCAUGUUGUGAUGUGAUAUGGUCAAGGCAUGAUGCUGAAUUUUAUUGUAUGAGAUGAUCAUGUUUUGUAAACAAGUUAUCGGCAACUGGCAGGAGCCAUAUGGUUGUCGCUUUAUUGUAUGCAAUGCAAUCGCGAUGUAAUGCUUUACUUUAUUACUAAACGGUAGUGAUAGUCGUGGAAGCAUAAGAUUGGCGAGACGACAACGAUGCUACGAUGGAGAUCAAGGUGUCGCGCCGGUGACGAUGGUGAUCAUGACGGUGCUUCAGAGAUGGAGAUCACAAGCACAAGAUGAUGAUGGCCAUAUCAUAUCACUUAUAUUGAUUGCAUGUGAUGUUUAUCUUUUUAUGCAUAUUAUCUUGCUUUGAUUGACGGUAGCAUUAUAAGAUGAUCUCUCACUAAAUUAUCAAGAAGUGUUCUCCCUGAGUAUGCACCGUUGCCAAAGUUCGUCAUGCCCAGACACCACGUGAUGAUCGGGUGUGAUAAGCUCUACGUCCAUCUACAACGGGUGCAAGCCAGUUUUGCACACGCAGAAUACUCAGGUUAAACUUGACGAGCCUAGCAUAUGCAGAUAUGGCCUCGGAACACGGAGACCGAAAGGUCGAGCGUGAAUCAUAUAGUAGAUAUGAUCAACAUAACGAUGUUCACCAUUGAAAACUACUCCAUCUCACGUGAUGAUCGGUUAUGGUUUAGUUGAUUUGGAUCACGUGAUCACUUAGAGGAUUAGAGGGAUGUCUAUCUAAGUGGGAGUUCUUUAGUAAUAUGAUUAAUUGAACUUAAAAUUUAUCAUGAACUUAGUCCCUGAUAGUAUCUUGCUUGUUUAUGUUGAUUGUAGAUAGAUGGCUCGUGCUGUUGUUCCGUUAAAUUUUAAUGCGUUCCUUGAGAAAGCAAAGUUGAAAGAUGAUGGUAGCAAUUACACGGACUGGGUCCGUAACUUGAGGAUUAUCCUCAUUGCUACACAGAAGAAUUACGUCCUGGAAGCACCGUUGGGUGCCAGGCCUGCUGCUGGAGCAACGCCAGAUGUUAUGAACGUCUGGCAGAGCAAAGCUGAUGACUACUCGAUAGUUCAGUGUGCCAUGCUUUACGGCUUAGAAUCGGGACUUCAACGACGUUUUGAACGUCAUGGAGCAUAUGAGAUGUUCCAGGAGUUGAAGUUAAUAUUUCAAGCAAAUGCCCGGAUUGAGAGAUAUGAAGUCUCCAAUAAGUUCUAUAGCUGCAAGAUGGAGGAGAACAGUUCUGUCAGUGAGCAUAUACUCAAAAUGUCUGGGUAUAAUAAUCACUUGAUUCAAUUGGGAGUUAAUCUUCCGGAUGAUUGCGUCAUUGACAGAAUUCUCCAAUCACUACCACCAAGCUACAAGAGCUUCGUGAUGAACUAUAAUAUGCAAGGGAUGAACAAGACUAUUCCCGAGCUCUUCGCAAUGCUGAAAGCUGCGGAGGUAGAAAUCAAGAAGGAGCAUCAAGUGUUGAUGGUUAACAAGACCACUAGUUUCAAGAAAAAGGGCAAAGGGAAGAAAAAGGGGAACUUCAAAAAGAACGGCAAGCAAGUUGCUGCUCAAGAGAAGAAACCCAAGUCUGGACCUAAGCCUGAAACUGAGUGCUUCUACUGCAAGCAGACUGGUCACUGGAAGCGGAACUGCCCCAAGUAUUUGGCGGAUAAGAAGGAUGGCAAGGUGAACAAAGGUAUAUAUGAUAUACAUGUUAUUGAUGUGUACCUUACUAGAGCUCGCAGUAGCACCUGGGUAUUUGAUACUGGUUCUGUUGCUAAUAUUUGCAACUCGAAACAGGGACUACAGAAUAAGCGGGCACUGGCAAAGGGCGAGGUGACGAUGCGCGUGGGAAACGGUUCCAAAGUCGAUGUGAUCGCGGUCGGCAUGCUACCUCUACAUCUACCUUCGGGAUUAAUAUUAGACCUAAAUAAUUGUUAUUUGGUGCCAGCGUUGAGCAUGAACAUUAUAUCUGGAUCUUGUUUAAUGCGAGACGGUUAUUCAUUUAAAUCAGAGAAUAAUGGUUGUUCUAUUUAUAUGAGUAAUAUCUUUUAUGGUCAUGCACCCUUGAAGAGUGGUCUAUUCUUACUGAAUCUCGAUAGUAGUAAUACACAUAUUCAUAAUGUUGAAACCAAAAGAUGCAGAGUUGAUAAUGAAAGUGCAACUUAUUUGUGGCACUGUCGUUUAGGUCAUAUCGGUAUAAAGCGCAUGAAGAAACUCCAUACCGAUGGACUUUUGGAACCACUUGAUUAUGAAUCACUUGGUACUUGCGAACCGUGCCUCUUGGGCAAGAUGACUAAAACACCGUUCUCCGGUACGAUGGAGAGAGCAACAGAUUUGUUGGAAAUCAUACAUACCGAUGUAUGUGGCCCGAUGAAUAUUGAGGCUCGUGGCGGAUAUCGUUAUUUUCUCACCUUCACAGAUGAUUUGAGCAGAUAUGGAUAUAUCUACUUAAUGAAGCAUAAGUCUGAAACAUUUGAAAAAUUCAAAGAAUUUCAGAGUGAAGUUGAAAAUCAUCGUAACAAGAAAAUAAAGUUUCUACGAUCUGAUCGUGGAGGAGAAUAUUUGAGUUACGAGUUUGGUGUACAUUUGAAAAACUGUGGAAUAGUUUCACAACUCACGCCACCCGGAACACCACAGCGCAAUGGUGUGUCCGAACGUCGUAAUCGUACUUUACUAGAUAUGGUGCGAUCUAUGAUGUCUCUUACAGAUUUACCGCUAUCAUUUUGGGGUUAUGCUUUAGAGACGGCCGCAUUCACGUUAAAUAGGGCACCAUCAAAAUCCGUUGAGACGACGCCUUAUGAACUAUGGUUUGGCAAGAAACCAAAGUUGUCGUUUCUUAAAGUUUGGGGCUGCGAUGCUUAUGUGAAAAAGCUUCAACCUGAUAAGCUCGAACCCAAAUCGGAGAAAUGUGUAUUCAUAGGAUACCCAAAGGAAACUGUUGGGUACACCUUCUAUCACAGAUCCGAAGGCAAAACAUUCGUUGCUAAGAAUGGAUCAUUUCUAGAGAAGGAGUUUCUCUCGAAAGAAGUGAGUGGGAGGAAAGUAGAACUUGACGAGGUAACUGUACCCGCUCCCUUACUGGAGAGUAGUUCAUCACAGAAAACUGUUUCAGUGACACCUACACCGGUUAGUGAGGAAGCUAAUGAUAAUGAUCAUUAAACUUCAGAUCAAGAUACUACUGAACCACGUAGAUCAACCAGAGUAAGAUCCGCGCCAGAGUGGUACGGAAAUCCUGUUCUGGAAGUCAUGCUACUAGAUCAUGAUGAACCUACGAACUAUGAAGAAGCGAUGGUGAGCCCAGAUUCCGCAAAGUGGCUUGAAGCCAUGAAAUCUGAGAUGGGAUCCAUGUAUGAGAACAAAGUAUGGACUUUGGUUGACUUGCCCGAUGAUCGGCAAGCAAUUGAGAAUAAAUGGAUCUUUAAGAUGAAGACUGACGCUGAUGGUAAUGUUACUGUCUACAAAGCUCGACUUGUCGCAAAAGGUUUUCGACAAGUUCAAGGGAUUGAUUACGAUGAGACCUUCUCACCCGUAGCGAUGCUUAAGUCCGUCCGAAUCAUGUUAGCGAUUGCCGCAUUUUAUGAUUAUGAAAUUUGGCAGAUGGAUGUCAAAACUGCAUUCCUGAAUGGAUUUCUGGAAGAAGAGUUGUAUAUGAUGCAACCGGAAGGUUUUGUCGAUCCAAAGGAAGCUAACAAAGUGUGCAAGCUCCAGCGAUCCAUUUAUGGACUGGUGCAAGCCUCUCGGAGUUGGAAUAAACGUUUUGAUAGUGUGAUCAAAGCAUUUGGUUUUAUACAGACUUUCGGAGAAGCCUGUAUUUACAAGAAAGUGAGUGGGAGCUCUGUAGUAUUUCUGAUAUUAUAUGUGGAUGACAUAUUACUGAUUGGAAAUGAUAUAGAAUUUCUGGAUAGCAUAAAGGGAUACUUGAAUAAAAGUUUUUCAAUGAAAGACCUCGGUGAAGCUGCUUACAUAUUAGGCAUUAAGAUCUAUAGAGAUAGAUCAAGACGCUUAAUUGGACUUUCACAAAGCACAUACCUUGACAAAAUUUUGAAGAAGUUCAAAAUGGAUCAAGCAAAGAAAGGGUUUUUGCCUGUGUUACAAGGUGUGAAAUUGAGUAAGACUCAAUGCCCGACCACUGCAGAAGAUAGAGAGAAUAUGAGAGAUGUUCCCUAUGCAUCAGCCAUAGGAUCUAUCAUGUAUGCAAUACUGUGUACCAGACCUGAUGUAUGCCUUGCUAUAAGUUUAGCAGGGAGGUACCAAAGUAAUCCAGGAGUGGAUCACUGGACAGCGGUCAAGAACAUCCUGAAAUACCUGAAAAGGACUAAGGAUAUGUUUCUCGUAUAUGGAGGUGACAAAGAGCUCAUCGUAAAAGGUUACGUUGAUGCAAGCUUUGACACUGAUCCGGACGAUUCUAAAUCGCAAACCGGAUACGUGUUUACAUUAAACGGAGGAGCUGUCAGUUGGUGCAGUUCUAAACAAAGCGUCGUAGCGGGAUCUACAUGUGAAGCGGAAUACAUAGCUGCUUCGGAAGCAGCAAAUGAAGGAGUCUGGAUGAAGGAGUUCAUAUCCGAUCUAGGUGUCAUACCUAGUGCAUCGGGUCCAAUGAAAAUCUUUUGUGACAAUACUGGUGCAAUUGCCUUAGCAAAGGAAUCCAGAUUUCACAAAAGGACCAAACACAUCAAGAGACGCUUCAACUCCAUCCGGGAUCUAGUCCAGGUGGGAGACAUAGAGAUUUGCAAGAUACAUACGGAUCUGAAUGUUGCAGACCCGUUGACUAAGCCUCUUCCACGAGCAAAACAUGAUCAUCACCAAGGCUCCAUGGGUGUUAGAAUCAUUACAGUGUAAUCUAGAUUAUUGACUCUAGUGCAAGUGGGAGACUGAAGGAAAUAUGCCCUAGAGGCAAUAAUAAAGUUAUUAUUUAUUUCCUUAUAAUCAUGAUAAAUGUUUAUUAUUCAUGCUAGAAUUGUAUUUACCGGAAACAUAAUACAUGUGUGAAUACAUAGACAAACAGAGUGUCACUAGUAUGCCUCUACUUGACUAGCUCGUUAAUCAAAGAUGGUUAUGUUUCCUAACCAUGAACAAUGAGUUGUUAUUUGAUUAACGAGGUCACAUCAUUAGUAGAAUGAUCUGAUUGACAUGACCCAUUCCAUUAAGCUUAGCACCCGAUCGUUUAGUAUGUUGCUAUUGCUUUCUUCAUGACUUAUACAUGUUCCUAUGACUAUGAGAUUAUGCAACUCCCGUUUACCGGAGGAACACUUUGGGUACUACCAAACGUCACAAACGUAACUGGGUGAUUAUAAAGGAGUACUACAGGUGUCUCCAAUGGUCGAUGUUGGGUUGGCGUAUUUCGAGAUUAGGAUUUGUCACUCCGAUUGUCGGAGAGGUAUCUCUGGGCCCUCUCGGUAAUACACAUCACAUAAGCCUUGCAAGCAUUACAACUAAUAUGUUAGUUGUGAGAUGAUGUAUUACGGAACGAGUAAAGAGACUUGCCGGUAACGAGAUUGAACUAGGUAUUGGAUACCGACGAUCGAAUCUCGGGCAAGUAACAUACCGAUGACAAAGGGAACAACGUAUGUUGUUAUGCGGUCUGACCGAUAAAGAUCUUCGUAGAAUAUGUAGGAGCCAAUAUGGGCAUCCAGGUCCCGCUAUUGGUUAUUGACCAGAGACGUGUCUCGGUCAUGUCUACAUUGUUCUCGAACCCGUAGGGUCCGCACGCUUAAGGUUACGAUGACAGUUAUAUUAUGAGUUUAUGCAUUUUGAUGUACCGAAGGUUGUUCGGAGUCCCGGAUGUGAUCACGGACAUGACGAGGAGUCUCGAAAUGGUCGAGACGUAAAGAUUGAUAUAUUGGAAGCCUAUAUUUGGAUAUCGGAAGUGUUCCGGGUGAAAUCGGGAUUUUACCGGAAUACCGGGAGGGUUACUGGAACCCUCCGGGAGCUAUUUGGGCCAUAGUGGGCCUUAGUGGAAAAGAGAAGGGGCUGCCCUAGAUGGGCUGCGCCCCCCCCCCCCUUCCCCUAGUCCUAUUAGGACUAGGAGAGGUGGCCGGCCCCCUCCUCCUCUUUUCCCCUCCGAGGAAUCCUAGUUGGACUAGGAUUGGAGGGGGAAUCCUACUCCCAGAAGGAGUAGGACUCUCCUGCGCCUCCCCCCCUUGGCCGGCCAGCCUCCCCUCCUCUCCUCCUUUAUAUACAGAGGCAGGGGCACCUCUAAACACACAAGUUGACACAAGUUGAUCCACGUGAUCGAUUCCUUAGCCGUGUGCGGUGCCCCCUGCCACCAUAUUCCUCGAUAAUACUGUAGCGGAGUUUAGGCGAAGCCCUGCUGCUGUAGUUCAUCAAGAUCGUCACCACGCCGUCGUGCUGACGGAACUCUUCCCCGACACUUUGCUGGAUCGGAGUCCGGGGAUCGUCAUCGAGCUGAACGUGUGCUCGAACUCGGAGGUGCCGUAGUUUCGGUGCUUGAUCGGUUGGAUCGUGAAGACGUACGACUACUUCCUCUACGUCGUGUCAUCGCUUCCGCAGUCGGUCUGCGUAGGGUACGUAGACAAUACUCUUCCCCUCGUUGCUAUGCAUCACAUGAACUUGCGUGUGCGUAGGAAAUUUUUUGAAAUUACUACGAAACCCAACACCCACUCCAUCCCUUUGUCCGGGGGCUCAUGUUCUACUACGGCCUGGAUUUCCAUGAUCUGGCCCCGAAUUUCAUCCUCAACAUCUCAGCGUUCAUCGUCGUGUGUGAGGCCUUCCUCUGCAUCUAGCCCCACUUCGGCUUGUGGCUCAAGACCUUCAGUAUCAAGCCGAAAGUUGUGACGGGCAGUCAAGCGGAGUGCGGAGGCGCCAUGGUGGGCAGGAUGUCCCACGUUACUUGGCUUGAGGGCACUUUCGUGGAAACCAUUAAGGGGUGGCAAUCGGGGUGGUUCUACAUCACCGAGCCGCGUGACCCUGAAUGGGCAGCGGCCCCCAAAUUCAGAUCUGGCAUCCCCACAUGGCUCACCUCCUGGAAAGAGAGCGGAUGGACAUGGGGUGAUUCGGAGCAGCUGACCGGACUCCAAGCCUGCAUCCAAAAGCUAGUGGACAAGAAGCUCAAGCUUGUCAACGUAGUCCAGGUCAUGCUCAUCCGCCGGAUUCUCCCGUGCCAACGACGGGGCUUCAAUAUGUGGGAGUUCGAUCUGGUGCAGCACCAGACUUUGAGCGGGCUCUUCGAUACUACAUACGAAGAUGUCUGGAAGGUGCUGUUUAAGGGUGUUGAGGCCCUCGCAUCCGCUACCGAAGAUCGCGGAUUCAGCUCGCAGCGUCCAGCUGACGAGGUAAGCGAUUUUGCCCUUUACGGGACGUUUGUUUUCCAUAGUUUGACUCUAUGCGGGACCUAAACUCCCUCUCCUUUGACAGGGCUGGCUGGAGAAGGCCGAACAGACUAUCUGUCCGCCCCCAUUACCAGAGGACCCAGCAGACGCCCGCUUAAUGGGGCUGCUGGCUCCGGCACCCCACGUGGUGCCGGAGAAGAAGGCCAAGAAGAAGGCCACGGGCACUCGGAAGAGUUCCCGUUUUCAGGUGUUAUCGGAUGAUGACUCCGAGGCAGACUCCUCUCACAAAGGCGAGGAGGAGAAGAAGAAAGCCUCUCCCCUAGCGGGGGGAGGGAAGAAAAGGAAGGCCUUCCCAACGAGGGAGGCCGAAGGGUCCAAGAAGGGAAGGACUCUUCCCCCGGACUGCUCUGCCAACGCCGGCGACGACGACGAGGAUUGGCCCCCAAGGGCCAAGCCCCUGGCGAGAUCGUAAGUAUCCGGACUCCCGAAUAACUUUAUGAUUUUUCUUUUCGCCACAUGGUGUCUUUCUAAUGCCGCAUACAACCCUGUAGUCCGCCCAAGGAUGAUCUUCCCGCUUCGUCGAGCGGGUCCUUGGGUGUGUCGGAUAUGGGUUCCCUUCCGACCGCCUCCACCCCCCGUGAUGCAGACGAUGCCAAGGUGGGAUCCCGGGAAGGGACCUACCAGGAGGAGGAGGCCCCGGAGGUGUCGCAGAACAACCUCCCGUACUUUGCACCGGACUUGGCCCCGGAACCCAUAGUGGCUCCGGAGUCCGACGGGCGGCCCCUUCGUAAGAAGGGCAAGACCGUGACGCCGGUAGCCUCCGUCCAACCGGAGGCGCCGGAUAGCUUGCUGGAGGCGCUCAAUGGCGCCUCCAUCAAAGAGGAACACCGCACUGUUAUGAGUGCGGUGAUUCAGAAGGUUCAGCUCGCCAAGAGCGGGCUGACCGAAGCCUGCAGCAGCCUUCUAACAGGCUUUGAGGUAAGAAUUUCGAUAUAUGUAAAAUAGUACCGCAUAGACAGUAGCCCCUGAUGCUCGGUUCGGUGUUCGGAAAGAAAAGCCGGACUGAGGAUCUAAAAAGAUAUACGCAGGAGUCAUAAAAAAUAUGUCAAUAUGGGAUUGCAGGCUGUGCUGCUGACCUCUGCCGCACUGACUGCGGAGGUCAAUACUUUGAAGCAAAGCCUCGAGCGGUCCGAGAACGAGCUCGGCCGUGCCAAGAAGCAGCUCGAGGACAAUGAAGGUGAGUAACACCUUAUUAAAAAUGUACCUUACAGAAAAGGAUUUUGGUUGCAAGAAGAAUGACAAGGAUAACGUGGGUAUUGCAGGGGCCACAAGCGAGGUGGCGACCCUGAAGGAGACGGUGUCCGCGGCCGAACGUAAUGCGGCCACGGAAUGCACCGAGCGAGAGAGGCAGGAGGCACGGGUGGCGGAGGUACGGCAAGAGCUCCAGGCUCUUGUGAAAAAACACGAGAGUUUGGAGCAUCACUCGAAGACUCGAGAGUCCGAGCUUGCAACGGCUCGUGAGAGUGCCAAAGCCGCUAAGGCAGAAGCCUAUAAGACCCUCCAAGAAGUCGAGGCGUUGAAGAAAAUAGCGGCGGGUAAGGCAUUUUUCAUGCAAAGUAAGCAUGUGAGUGUGAAUUACCUAUCACUUACCCGAAUUCGGAGCUCUCCAAGAGCGUUCGCAGAUCUGCCUCGCAGCGUGUCCGAUGCUGCCGCUUUCUACAGGGCCGAGGAGGGGAGCUCGACGGAGAAGGUCUUCUGGUCUCAGUAUGCUGAGGCCGGACAUCUGGUGCCCCUUAGCGACCAGCUGAAGCAGCUGGUCGAGCUCCACAAGGUGGCCGAACAGGCCAUGAAGGGCCUCAUAGUUCGGCUAUGGCCUAAGGAGGACAUGCCUGGGAGCUACUUCGGCCUAGUGCGGCGGCUGGUGGAUGCGUGUCCAUGGGUUGAAGUCAUCAAGCACUCCACCUGUAUUGAAGGUGCCCGUCGGGCCCUUGCCCGCGCAAAGGUGCACUGGGGCAAGAUGGAUGCUCAGAAGCUUGUGACGGACGCGCCACCGCAGGGCAAGGAGCAUGGCACGCCCGAGAUGUAUUAUAAGAGUGUCCUGAAGGGUGCCCGCAUUAUUGCGGGUGAGUGCUCCAAAGAUGUAAUAUUUGAGUAGACUCGCAUUUUGUUAUCCUGUGCGCUAAAAACUUAGUUCAUAUGCGCUAAGCAACGCUUGUUAAUUUAAAAUAUUACCUUUUGUGCGGCUGUUUAUCAAAUCUGAGAGAUGGCAAGUCGUCGGCUUCAGCCCCCAUGCCACGAGUGCUGGGGUGUUCGGGAUAAAUUUGAGCACUCUUGUUCCCAUUUUUGGGUCCACCUAGGGAGGCGCUCAACACAACGAACAAGGCAACCGGACUUAUAAUGCUUGAACACUCUCACUUAGCCAUAGAAUUCUAUAAUUUUAAAUUUUGGCGAAGCCCCUAGUAUUCGGAAGGCCGAAUUUGGGGCGCUAUCCACACCUGGGCCGGACAAAGCCGGCUCCUCGCUCUAAGCGGCAUAAGUCUUUAGGGACUCGCAAAAAACCUCUCGAACAGCGACCAGCUCUCGCCUCAUCAUGACGGUCAGUUUUAGCUUUCUCCACUGAGGCGCUCGCCCAGCUCAACUGGGGCGCAAUCGCAGUGGUUCUCCCAGUGCUACCUUAGCCGAUACAAUGGAACGUAAGGUACCAAAACAUGGGAGUCGGGCAAACCCAACUAUUGACCCAAGACAUGAUUCGGAGCCGAUGCAUAUAAUGCUAUAAGUUCGGGGUGCCGCACUUGUGAAAGUGUUCGGACUUAUCACACCAUGAUGCGGGAAACAUAACCCUCUGGUGUAUUUAGCCGUACCAAAAUGUACGGAUGCAACAUGUCAUAAAUGAACAUAUGUAUAAGAAAGAAAUGCAAUUGGAAGCAAAAAGGUGCUGCAUUACUUAUUCAAGAAAAACUGUUGUGAAUGCAGAACGAUACAAAUGGUGCAAUAGGCAAGGGAUGGGACUAUUAAAUAUGUCCCCCUCCAGGGGUAGGCUGCGGAAUGGUGCAUAAAACAGAUUUAAUGCUCGUAAUGGAGACCACCUGGAUAUUCGUUGUAGCCUUUCUCCUCCCCUGGCUGUUGCAUCGUGAGUUCGGCAGGUCUGCUGCCGGACAGGGCCUCUGACGAACGGAGUCCUGUGGGUAAAAAUAAAAAGGAAAAAGAAAAAAAGAACGACACACUUGAGAGCCCCUGGUGUGGUUGAGCCGCAUUCUGAGCCUAUCGUGGUCGUGCCCCUCUCCCCAUGCCCAUGGUAUCUUCAGAGCGUAAUGGUGUAUGCGAAUAACCCGUCUUGACGUUUUGCAGGGGCUGGGGUUGGGGCCGCACUGCUACGCGUGCUCGAAACGUGCCAGGUGGUCUUGUUGUAGGUUACUCCGGGCGCGUUUAGCCGUGUCCGGUCGCUUAAUGGCCGGACUCGAGAAUUGCCUUAAAAGGCUGCACUGUACUUCUACCGCGAGAGCCGCUGUAUGUUCCUCCGUUCGGAGAGAGCGUUCAAUGUUUCCGUUGGCCGUGAUGACUCCUCGAGGUCCUGGCAUCUUGAGCUUGAGUUAUGCGUAGUGCGGCACCGCGUUGAACUUUGCGAAUGCGGUACGUCCGAGCAGAGCAUGAUAGCCGCUAUGGAACGGAACUAUGUCGAAGAUUAACUUCUCGCUUCGGAAGUUAUCCGGGGAUCCGAAGACCACUUCCAGUGUAACUGAGCCUGUACAAUUGGCUUCUACACCUGGUAUGACGCCUUUAAAGGUCGUCUUGGUAGGUUUAAUCCUUGAGGGGUCUAUGCCCAUUUUGCGCACUGUAUCCUGAUAAAGCAGAUUCAGGCUGCUGCCGCCGUCCAUCAGGACUCUGGUGAGGUGAAAUCCAUCGACGAUUGGGUCUAAAACCAAUGCGGCGAAUCCGCCGUGGCGGAUGCUGCUGGGGUGGUCCCUUCGGUCAAAAGUGAUCGGGCAGGAGGACCAUGGAUUGAACUUCGGGGCAACUGGCUCCAUCGCGUAUACAUCCCUGAGUGCACGCUUCCGCUCCCUUUUGGGUAUGUGUGUUGCGUAUAUCAUGUUCACCGUCCGCACCUGUGGGGGGAAACCCUUCUUGUCCUCUAUUGUUCGGGGGUCGGGUCUCUUCCUCGUCAUCGCUAUGCAGCCCCUUGUCAUUGUUUUUGGCAAUUAACUUGCCUGCCUGCUUGAAUACCCAACAGUCCCUGUUGGUGUGGUUGGCUGGCUUUUCGGGGGUGCCGUGUAUCUGGCACGAGCGAUCGAGUAUUCGGUCCAAAUUGGACGGACCCGGAGUAGUUCUUUUGAAUGGCUUUUCCGCUGACCGGGUUUAGAGCCUCUGAAUCCGGCAUUGACUGCCGUAUCUUCACUAUUAUCACCGUUAAUGCGGCGUUUGUUUUUGUUGUGACGCGACCUGCCAUUACGGUCCUUGAUAUCCGGACUGCCAGAAUUUUUGCUGAGGUUGUUGCUGCGUGCUAGCCAGCUGUCCUCACCCGCGCAGAAGCAGGUCAUGAGUGAUGUGAGGGCUGCCAUGGAUUUCGGCUUUUCCUGCCCCAGGUGUCGGGCAAGCCACUCAUCGCGGAUGUUAUGUUUGAAGGUCGCGAGGGCCUCCGCAUUCGGACAGUCGACGAUUUGGUUUUUCUUGGUUAAGAACCGUGUCCAAAAUUGUCUGGCUGCUGAAUUAUAUGGCUUAGGUCAUCAGCGUCUGGUGGUCGCACAUACGUGCCUUGGAAGUUAUCGAGAAAUGCGGCUUCCAGGUCUUCCCAACUCCCGAUUGACUCUACUAGCAAGCUGUUAAGCCAAUGUCAGGCUGGUCCUUUAAGUUUGAGUGGGAGAUAUUUGAUGGCGUGAAGAUCGUCACUGCAGGCCAUGUGGAUGUGGAGGAGAUAGUCUUCGAUCCAAACCGCGGGGUCUGUUGUUCCAUCGUAAGAUUCAAUAUUCACGGGUUUAAACCCUUCGGGGAUUUGAUGAUCCAUUACUUCAUCUGUGAAGCAUAGUGGGUGUGCGGCGCCUCUGUACUGGGCGAUAUCACGACGGAGCUCAAAAGAGCUUUGUCUAUUUUGUUCGGCCCGGCCGGACUUACUGUGUCCGGCGCGACGGUUGUCGUCAUGUAUCAUGGGGCACCCACGCGAUCCAUAGAUCGAUCUUGAUUGUCUUGCCUUAUCCUCCAAUAUAUCUCGCAAGUCCGGAGCGUUCCCCUGUGGCCUUGUGCUUUUCGAGCGAUGCCGGGGUACGGUUCUAGUGAAGGGCCUAGAGGCCUCUGUGUCGCGACCACGGGGUGGUCGGUCAGCCGUAUUGUCUGUUGGUGAUGCAGGUUCAUAUGCCUCCUCCUCUAAUCGGGGGAGCAGCUUGCGUUUAGGGUAGCUUUUGGAGGGGCGUUCGAGCUCAUGCUCUUCGGCCGCGAGGACUUCAGUCCAUUUGUCGGCUAGCAGAUCUUGAUCAGCUCUAAGUUGUUGCUACUUUUUCUUGAGGCUGUUUGCCGUGACCAUAAGCCUGCGUUUAAAACGCUCUUGUUCGACGGGAUCCUCAGGCAUGACGAAUUCUUCGUCGUCGAGGCUUGCCUCGUCGCCGGAGGGAGGCAUAUAAUCCUCUACCUCUUCUUCUACCGCUCUCUCAUGAGGGCUGGCGUCUAUGUCCUCCUGUGCUGAAUCUUGCUGGAGUGGGUUGUCUUCGGCACUGUCUGGGGUGUUAUUAUCUCCGGUGCCGGAAUCUUCAUUCUUGCUGUGGCAGGAUUUAGAGCGGCACCGCUGACGCCGGCGCUUAGGCUGUUUCUUGGAGGGGCCAUCCUCCGCUGUUCCUUCGCCAUUCCCAUCCUUUGGGAUAUCCAUCAUGUAUAUGUCAUAUGAUGAGGUGGCUUUCCAGUGCCCAGUAGGUGCUGGUUCUUGGUCGUCUCCGGCAUCGUCGUCCAUACCGUCGAUGUCUUCGGAGUCGAAGUCUAGCAUGUCGGUUAGAUCAUCGACAGAGGCUACUAAGUGGGUGGUGGGUGGGCUUUGAAUUUCUUCUUCAUCCGCAUCCCAACCGUCCUGACCGCAGUCCGGCCAGAGCUCUCCUGAUAACAAGAGAUACUUUAGCGAACUCAAGAUGUCGCCGAAAGGUGAGUGUUGAAAGAUGUCCGCAGCGGUGAACUCCAUGACCGGCGCCCAAUCGGAUUCGAUUGGAGGGGGCGCAGGAGGUUCAGAGUCCGGCAAGGAGUCCGGCACCUCGGAGUCACGAGCUUCAUGAGGGACAAGGUCAGUGUUCGGCUCUAUCGCCGUAGAGGUUGCAGCCCCCGAGGCGGUGUCUAGCCACCCGUCCUCGAUCUGCGCAGCCGGCUCCGAAUUGAAGAUUGGAGCGGACUCGUGAGUGGCCUCCAGGUUACUGUCCGGCUGCAGAGCUAAGUCAUGCCCGUCGUGACAGUGCGGCGCGCUCGGCUGUGGCUCGAAUCCAUCGAAGAUCAAGUCCCCGCGGAUGUCAGCCGUGAAGUUCAAACUUCCAAAUCUGACCUGACGGCCAGGGGCGUAGCUUUCGAUCUGCUCCAGAUGGCCAAGCGAAUUGGCCCACAGUGCAAAGCCGCCGAAUACGAAGAUCUGUCCGGGGAGGAAGGUCUCACCCUGGACUGCGUCGUUGUUGAUGAUCGAAGAAGCCAUCGAGCCUAUCAGUGACGACACAGAGGAACUCUAAAUGAAAGCACCAAUGUCGGUGUCAAAACCGGCGGAUCUCGGGUAGGGGGUCCCGAACUGUGCGUCUAGGCGGAUGGUAACAGGAGACAAGGGACACGAUGUUUUACCCAGGUUCGGGCCCUCUUGAUGGAGGUAAAACCCUACGUCCUACUCGAUUAAUAUUGAUGAUGUGUGUUACAAGAGUAGAUCUACCACGAGAUCAAGGAGGCUAAACCCUAGAAGCUAGCCUAUGGUAUGAUUGUUGUUCGUCCUACGGACUAAAGCCAUCCGGUUUAUAUAGACAUUGGAGAGGGCUAGGGUUACACAGAUUCGGUUAUAAUGGUAGGAGAUCUACAUAUCCGUAUCGCCAAGCUUGCCUUCCACGCCAAGGAAAGUCCCAUCCGAACACGGGACGAAGUCUUCAAUCUUGUAUCUUCAUAGUCUUAGAGUCCGGCCGAUGAUGAUAGUUCGGCUAUCCGGACACCCCCUAGUCCAGGACUCCCUCACUUAUCACGAUGAAACUUUUCACAUAAGCGUCGCAGCCCCAAACUUUCAAGAAACGACAGCUUAGGUUUCUCUAAACCAUAGUUCACACGGUGUCAUCUCAACAGAAUUAUGUGGUGCCCUAUUAAAGUGAAUAUGGUUGUCUCUAAUGCCUAACCCAUGAACGAUAGUGGUAAUUUGAUAAGAGACAUCAUGGUACGCACCAUAUCCAAUAGGGUCCAACUAUGAUGUUCGGACACACCAUCACACUAUGGUGUUCCAGGCGGUAUUAAUUGUGAAACAAUUUCCACAAUGUCUUAAUUGCGUGCCAAAGCUCGUAACUCGGAUACUCAUCUCUAUGAUCAUAUCAUAGACAUUUUAUCCUCUUGUCACAAUGAUCUUCAACUUCACUCUGAAAUUACUUGAACCAUUCAAUAAUUCAGACUUGUGUUUCAUCAAGUAAAUAUACUCAACAUCUACUCGAAUCAUCUAUGAAGUAAGAACAUAAUAAUACUCACUGCAUGCCUCAACACUCAUUGGACUGCACACAUCAAAUGUGUUACUUCCAACAAGUUGCUAUCUUGUUCCAUCUUACAGAAAAUGAGGCUUUUCAGUCAUCUUGCCCAUGUGGUAUGAUUUGCAUAUCUCAAGUGAUUCAAAAUCAAGUGAGUCCAAACGAUCCAUCUGCAUGGAGUUUCUUUAUGCGUAUACACCAAUAGACAUGGUUCACAUGUCUCAAACCUUUUUAAAAUGAGUGAGUCCAAAGAUCCAUCAACAUGGAGUUUCUUCAUGCGUUUUACACCAAUAUGACUUACAUGGCAGUGCCACAAGUAAGUGGUACUAUCAUUACUAUCUUAUAUCUUUUGGCAUGAAAAUGUGUAUCACUACGAUCGAGAUUCAACAAACCAUUCCUUUUAGGUGCAAGACCAUUGAAGGCAUUAUUCAAAUAAACAGAGUAAUCAUUAUUCUCCUUAAAUGAAUAACCGUAUUGUGAUAGACAUAAUCCAAUCAUGUCUAUGCUCAACGCAAACACCAAGUAACAAUUAUUUAGGUUUAAUACCAAUCUCGAUGCUAGAGGGAGCGUGCGAUGCUUGAUCACAUCAACCUUGGAAACACUUCCAACACAUAUCGUCAGCUCACCUUUAGCUAGUCUCCGUUCAUUCCGUAGCUUUUAUUUCGGGUUAGUAACACUUAGCAACCGAACCGGUAUCUAAUACCCUGGUGCUACUAGAAGUACUAGUAAAGUACACAUUAACAUAAUGUAUAUCCAAUAUACUGCUAUCGACCUUGCCAGCCUUCUCAUCUACCAAGUAUCUAGGGUAAUUCUGCUCCAGUGGUUGUUCCCUUUAUUACAGAAGCACUUAGUCUCGGGUUUGGGUUCAACCUCGGGUUUCUUCACUAGAGCAGCAGCUGAUUUGCCAUUUCAUGAAGUAUCCCUUCUUGCCCUUGCCCUUCUUGAAACUAGUGGUUUCACCAACCAUCAACAAUUGAUGCUCCUUCUUGAUUUCUACUUUCGCGGUGUCAAACAUCGCGAAUACCUCAAGGAUCAUCAUAUCUAUCCCUGAUAUGUUAUAGUUCAUCAUGAAGCUCUAGCAGCUUGGUGGCAAUGACUUUGGAGAAACAUCACUAUCUCAUCUGGAAGAUCAACUCCCACUGGAUUCAAGUGAUUGUUGUACUCAGACAAUCUGAGCACAAGCUCAACGAUUGAGCUUUUCUCCCUUAGUUUGCAGGCUAAGAAAAUCGUCGGAGGUCUCAUACCUCUUGACGUGGGCACGAGCCUGAAAAUCCAAUUUCAGCCCUCGAAACAUCUCAUAUGUUUCGCGACGUUUCGAAAAUGUCUUUGGUGCCUCAACUCUAAACCGUUUAACUGAACUAUCACGUAGUUAUCAAAACGUGUAUGUAUGAUGUUCGCAACAUCCACAAAUGAAGUUUGGGGUUCAGCACAUUGAGCGGUGCAUUAAGGACAUAAGCUUUCUACUGUCCGCAUAAUCGCUAUUGUCAACUUUCAACUAUAUUUUCUCUAGGAACAUAUCUAAACAGUGGAACUAAAGCGCGAGCUAUGACAUAAUUUGCAAAGGGCUUUUGACUACGUUCAGGAUAAUUAAGUUCAUCUAAUGAACUCCCACUCGGAUAGACAUCCCUCUAGUCAUCUAAGUGAUUACAUGAUCCGAGUCAACUAGGUCGUGUCCGAUCAUCACGUGAGACGAACUAGUCAUCAUCGGUGAACAUCUUCAUGUUGAUCGUAUCUAGUAUACGACUCAUACUCGACCUUUCGGUCUCUUGUGUUCCGAGGCCAUGUAUGUACAUGCUAGGCUCGUUAAGUCAACCUAAGUGUUUCACAUGUGUAAAUCUGGCUUACACCUGUUGUAUGUGAACGUAAGAAUCUAUCACACCCGAUCAUCACGUGGUGCUCCGAAACGACGAACUUUCGCAACGGUGCACAGUUAGGGGGAACACUUUCUUGAAAUUUUAAUGAGGGAUCAUCUUAUUUACUACUGUAGUUCUAAGCAAAUAAGAUGCAUAAACAUGAUAAACAUCACAUGCAAUCAAAUAGUGACAUGAUAUGGCCAAUAUCAUUUUGCUCCUUUUGAUCUCCAUCUUCGGGGCUCCAUGAUCAUCAUCGUCACCGGCAUGACACCAUGAUCUCCAUCAUCAUGUCUCCAUGAAGUUGUCUCGCCAACUUAUUACUUCUACUACUAUGGCUACUGGUUAGCAAUAAAGUAAAGUAAUUACAUGGCGUUGUUCAAUGACACGCAGGUCAUACAAUAAAUAAAGAAAACUCCUAUGGCUCCUGCCGGUUGCCAUACUCAUCGACAUGCAAGUCGUGAUUCCUAUUACAAGAACAUGAUCAAUCUCAUACAUCACAUAUCAUUCAUCACAUUCUUCUUGGCCAUAUCACAUCACAUAGCAUACCCUGCAAAAACAAGUUAGACGUCCUCUAAUUGUUGUUUUCAUGUUUUACGUGGCUGCUAUGGGUUUCUAGCAAGAACGUUUCUUACCUACACAAAACCACAACAUGAUAUGCCAAUUGCUAUUUACCCUUCAUAAGGACCCUUUUCAUCGAAUCCGUUCCGACUAAAGUGGGAGAGACUGGCACCCGCUAGCCACCUUAUGCACCAAGUGCAUGUCAGUCGGUGGAACCUGUCUCACGUAAGAGUACGUGUAAGGUCGGUCCGGGACGCUUCAUCCCACAAUACCGUCGAAACAAGAUUGGACUAGUAACGGUAAGCAUAUUGAACAAAAUCAACGCCCACAACUACUUUGUGUUCUACUUGUGCAUAGAAUCUACGCAAUAGACCUAGCUCAUGAUGCCACUGUUGGAGAACGUAGCAGAAAUUCAAAAUUUUCCUACGUGUCACCAAGAUCUAUCUAUGGAGAAACCAGCAACGAGGGGAAGGAGAGUGCAUCUACAUACCCUUGUAGAUCGCUAAGCGGAAGCGUUCAAGAGAACGGGGUUGAAGGAGUCGUACUCGUCGUGAUCCAAAUCACCGGAGAUCCUAGUGCCGAACGGACGGCACCUCCGCGUUCAACACACGUACAGCCCGGUGACGUCUCCCAUGCCUUGAUCCAGCAAGGAGAGAGGGAGAGGUUGAGGAAGACUCCAUCCAGCAGCAGCAUAACGGAGUGGUGGUGGUGGAGGAGCGUGGCAAUCCUGCAGGGCUUCGCCAAGCACCACGGAAGAGGAGAAGGGAGAGAGGUAGGGCUGCGCCAAGGAGAGGUCAAAACUCAUGUGUUGGCAGCCCUCAAGACCUCAACUAUAUAUAGGGGAGAGGGAGGGGGGUGCGCCCCCUCUAGGGUUUCCACCCCAAGGGGUGCGGUAGCCCCAAUCCCAUCUAGGGUGGCGGCCAGGGGGGGGGGGAAGAGGGGAAACUUGCCCCCCAAGUUAGGUGGGUGCGCCCCCUCCCCCAACCCUAGGCGCCUUGGGCCCUUGUGGGGGGCGCACUAGCCCACCUGGGGCUGGUCCCCUCCCACACUUGGCCCAUGCAGCCCACCGGGGCCGGUGGCCCCACUUGGUGGACCCCCGGGACCCUCCCAGUGGUCCCGGUACGUUACCGAUAAAACCCGAAACUUUUCCGGUGACCAAAACAGGACUUCCCCUAUAUAAAUCUUUACCUCCGGAACAUUCCGGAACUCCUCGUGACGUCCGGGAUCUCAUCCGGGACUCCGAACAACAUUCAGUAACCACAUGCAAACUUCCUUUAUAACCCUAGCGUCAUCGAACCUUAAGUGUGUAGACCCUACGGGUUCGGGAACCAUGCAGACAUGACCGAGACGUUCUCCGGUCAAUAACCAACAGCGGGAUCUGGAUACCCAUGUUGGCUCCCACAUGUUCCACAAUGAUCUCAUCGGAUGAACCACGAUGUCAAGUACUCAAUCGAUCUUGUAUACAAUUCCUUUUGUCUAGCGGUAUUGUACUUGCCCGAGAUUCGAUCGUCGGUAUGCCGAUACCUUGUUCAAUCUCGUUACCGGCAAAUCUCUUUACUCGUUCCGUAACACAUCAUCCCGUGAUCAACCCCUUGGUCACAUUGUGCACAUUAUGAUGAUGUCCUACCGAGUGGGCCCAGAGAUACCUCUCCGUCAACCGGAGUGACAAAUCCCAGUCUCGAUUUGUGCCAACCCAACAGACACUUUCAGAGAUACCUGUAGUGCACCUUUAUAGCCACCCAGUUACGUUGUGACGUUUGGUGCACCCAAAGCAUUCCUACGGUAUCCGGGAGUUGCACAAUCUCAUGGUCUAAGGAAAUGAUACUUGACAUUAUAAAAGCUUUAGCAUACGAACUACACGAUCUUUGUGCUAGGCUUAGGAUUGGGUCUUGUCCAUCACAUCAUUCUCCUAAUGAUGUGAUCCCGUUAUCAACGGCAUCCAAUGUCCAUGGUCAGGAAACCGUAACCAUCUAUUGAUCAACGAGCUAGUUAACUAGAGGCUUACUAGGGACAUGGUGUUGUCUAUGUACCCACACAUGUAUCUGAGAUUCCUAUCAAUACAAUUAUAGCAUGGAUAAUAAAUGAUUAUCAUGAAUAAGGAAAUAUAAUAAUAACUAAUUUAUUAUUGCCUCUAGGGCAUAUUUCCAACAUUAGUAAUAUUGUCUUGCUCUGUCCCUGUAACACCCACGAUGCGGCUAUAUCUCCCACGUGUCGAAGCACGACUUAGAGGCAUAACCGCAUUGUGGUUUUGUCGCAAGAAGGGUCAUCUUCACACAAUCCCAUGUAAUGAACAAGACUGGGAUAAAGAGUUGGCUUACAAUCACCACUUCACACAAUGAACAUAUAAUUCAUACAUCAUUCAGAGUACACACAUAGUCCGACUACAGACAAAACCAAAAGAAAAGAAGAUAACCCAACUGCUAGAUCCCCGAUCGUCCCCAACUGGGCUCCACUACUAAUCAACAUGAAACGAAACAUAGCAAUGACCAAGGUCUUCGUUGAGCUCCCAUCUGAGCUCGGUUGCAUCACCUGCACUGGUAUCAUCGGCACCUGCAACUGUUGUGAUAGUAUCUGGUGAGUCACGAGGACUCGGCAAUCUCAAAACCCGCGAGAUCAAGACUAUUUAAGCUUAUGGGUAGGAAGUGGUAAUGAGGUGGAGUUGCAGCAAGCACUAAGCAAAUAUGGUGGCUAACAUACGCAAAUAAGAGCGAGAAGAGAGCAAACGGAACGGUCGUGAAGCUAGCAAUGAUCAAGAAGUGAUCCUGAACUCCUACUUACGUCAAACAUAACCCAAAACCGUGUUCACUUCCCGGACUCCGCCGAAAAGAGACCAUCACGGCUAAACACGCGGUUGAUGUGUUUUAAUUCGGAUCUGGUGUCAAGUUAUCUACAACCGGACAUUAACAAAUUCCCAUCUGCCACAUAACCGCGGGCACGGCUUUAGAAAGUUUAUACCCUGCAGGGGUGUCCCAACUUAGCCCAUGAUAAGCUCUGGCGAUCAACAAAGGAUAUACCUUCUCCCAGGAAGACCCGAUCAGACUCGGAAUCCCGGUUUACAAGACAUUUCGAUAAUGGUAAAACAAGACCAGCAAAGCCUCCCGCUGUGCCGACAAAUCCCGAUAGGAGCUGCACAUAUCUCGUUCUCAGGGCACACUGGAUUGUCCAAACUUCCGAUAGGCCAGCCCAGAGUUGCCCCUGGUGGCCACCGGUGGUUGACAGGUUGGACCAACACUCACGAUGAGCACUGGCCCGGGGGGGGUAAAAUAAAGAUGAUCCUUGAGUCUGCAGAACCCAAGGGAAAAAGGCUUAGGUAGGCAAAUGGUAAAACCAAGGUUGGGCCUUGCUGGAGGAGUUUUAUUCAAAGCGAACUGUCAAGGGGGUCCCAUAAAUCACCCAACCGCGUAAGGAACGCAAAAUCCGGGAACAUAACACUGGUAUGACGGAAACUAGGGCGGCAAGAGUGGAACAAAACACCAGGCAUAAGGCCGAGUCUUCCACCCUUUACCAAGUAUAUAGAUGCAUUAAUAAUAUAAGAGAUAUUGUGAUAUCCCAACAUAAUCCUGUCCACCAUGGAGAAAUCUUCAACUUCACCUGCAACUAACAACGCUAUAAGAUGGGCUGGGCAAAAGUGGUAACAUAGCCAAACAACGGUUUGCUAGGAAGGGUGAAAAAGGUUAGAGGCUGAAAUGGCAAUAUGGGAGGCAUGGUAAACAAGUGAUAGGUAGCGCAACAUAGCGAUAGAACGGAGCAACUAGCAAGCAAAGAUAGAAGUGAUAUCGAGGGUAAUAGUCAUCUUGCCUGGAAUCCCGAUAGGAAGAAGAACGAGUCCAUGAAGAAGACAAACGGACGUAGUCGAACGAAUCCUCACAACUCCGGAACGAAACCGAAGCUAACGAGAGAAGCAAACCGGAAAGAAGUAAACAACAUGGUAAACACACAAGCAUAAACAUGUCAUGAUGCACAAACAAGUAUGAUGCAUGUCCGGUUUAAUGAGGCAUGGCAGGGCAAAGUGCAACAAACAAUACUACAAGUUAAGUGGAGCUCAAUAUGCAACGAGUUGCAUAUUGAUGAAACACCACAUCAAAUUAUUUAGUUUACUCUCGGUUAAGAUACUCAACAAUUAUUAAAUAUUAAUUAACAUGGCAAGGGGUGAAGCAUAAGUAAACUAACUAUUUAAGCAAGUUUAAAUGAGGCCAGAACAACAAACAACCAUUCCGGAAAAUCCACAUAUGGCAUUUAGCAAUUUAACACAAACACAAUUUUAAACAUUUUAAAUGUUGUUAUCAUGAUGCGGAUGACAUAUACAAGUUUUAUGCAAUUUUAUGAAAAUGUUGACAUGAGCAUGUUACGAGGCAUUUGUCGCCAUGGCGGAAGGAAAAAGGUGCCACGGCGGUGAAACGAAAAUGGUGCCACGGCAACAUAUCGGUUCUGAUAACUCAUGGAGGUACCGGUGCAAAAGGAAGUGUGACGUGAGCGAGUCAUGCAAGAUGGUGGGGUGAUCCCGGCUACCAGGUUCCCACGGGACGGCGGCAUGGCAAACGAGGAAGGAACGUGCACGAAACAAACGGGCAUGAUGCAAACAUAUGGUUCAUCUCAUACAACACUCAAGCAUUCGUUUACGGGCGGUCGUCUCGGGGUUAUACCUUCGAAGCGUGCAUUUUCGGAGCGGGUCGAGUUCGAUACGAUGUAGAGGACGUAGACGUUCUUGUAGUGGUCGUAGUGGAAGUAGUGGUUCACAGACGUCGUGGAAGUAGUCGUUCGCAGCGAUGGUAGAGGUACUCGCGAUCUUGGCGACGGUAGUGGUACAUCUCGUAGAUGAAGUAGUUGUUCAUGAUCCGUAGAUGUUCGGGGUCCACGGGGUCUUCAAGGGUCGACGGUAGUUGUACUCAUAUUGUCGUGGUACUUGGCGGUAUCCAAGACGGUCUUGCGUAUCCGUGCAUAGAGGUACUUGGCGUUCCGGUCCUGUAGUCGUACUAGGCCUUCGGUGAACUUGGCGAAAUCCAUGAAGGCGUCCUUGGGCGCUCCUGGUUGCCGCGACUUGGCAAAAACGAAGGGAUCUUGGCACCCAUGCAACCGGCAGCGGAGGUGCACGAAACCAGCGGCAAAGGACAAAGCAAGGGCAGAGCUGCGCUCGAUGGCAGGAAGUGAAGAAGACGGUGCGGCAGCGGGGCGAGGAACAAAGGGGCCAUGGCGGCAUGGACGGGCAGAAAGCGCUCGGGAUCGAGCUCCUCUCGAUCCAGAGCAUGGAUGCGGCCGUGGGACGGAGGUGGAGGCCCGGCGAGGUCGGCAGCUUAGGCCUCCAUGGGGCGGCAUGGACAAAGUGGCCGGCGUCGGCCUUGGCUCGAAGCAGGGGAGGCGCGGCCAUGGCAGGGCCUGACGAAUCCGGACAGGGGUGGCGCUUGACGACGGAGGGCGACGCGAGGCAGGGGCGCCAGCAGCAGGGCAACCGCGGGAGGCCGAGGCCGACGGAGGUGCUGAGGCGGCAUGGCCAUGGACGACGGCGAGGAGGGUUGAGGGAGGCGGCGCUUGCUGGUCGGCGCAAGGGGAGGCAAGAAGGCGCGGCGACGGCCUGGACUCGCCGGCAUCGAGGAGGGAGACGUGGGCACGCGGCGCUCCUCUCUCUCUCUCUCUCUCACUGCGACGGCGCAACGAGGGAGGAGGGGAUCGAGCGCUGGGCUCUCCCUGGUGAUGUGCGUGUGUGAGUGGCGGCAUGAGGGAACGAGAGGGAGAGCGGAUCGAGAGAUGGGGAUCGAUCGACCUAGGGUUAGAGCUGGUGGGGGCGGCUGGGCCUUGGGCCGGCUUAGUUGGUCGGGCCUAAGAGGCCUGGCUGGGCUCUCUUCUCCCUCUCUCUUUUAUUUACCAAAAGCAGUAAAUAGCAAAGAAAGAAAAAGGAGAUAAAGAAAGGGUUGGAGAAAUAAUUUGAGCAUGGGGGUAAUUUUCCUGGACUCGCAUAAAUGCGCUUGUUUCGAGAAAAUAGAAAAAAGGCAUGAAUGAAAGAUGUAAAUUCAAACUCAUUUGAAUUUAAUUCAAAUGGGUUUAAACUAGGACUUGAUAAAAGGAAGGUCCAAAAAUGUUCGGAUUUUUGGUGGAGCUCCGGAAAAUGGUAAAAGAAUUAUUGGCAAGGUUAGAGAGUCAAAACUUGAAGAAGAAAAGGCCAAGGGAUUUAAUAUGCAAGUGGGUUCAUGGGUGAUUCCAAAACAAUGGAAUAUUUUAUAAUAUCUCCCUAAAUAUCGGGAGGGUAUGUUAUAAAGAGAAAUCACCAUUGUGAAUAUCCCUCAAUUUAAAUGGACCGAGGAUCCAUACAAUUUAUUUAGAAGAGUUAUAAAAAUUAAUGAUAUGAUGGCAUGAUGAAACGAUGCAAUGCAAGAGAUGACAUGAUGCAAUGCAACAAGCAAAUAAAAAACACGGCGAAACUCGGAAUAGCUGGAAGUCUUCUGGAGCGUCGUUCUCGGGGCGUCACAGUCCCAUACUUUCUAGCUUCCUCCUAAUAAGACUCACAUUCUUUUUUCAAUAGAUGAGGUUCAAGUUGGAUCCGAAAGAUGAUGCAACUAAACAAGCAUGCACUCAUGUUUUUCAGUCUGCUCUGCGACAGUAUCGGUACCACCUUAGAAAAUCUCACUUUGAAGGCAAGGCUAACAAUGAAAUCGCCCAAACAUCUCUAGUGGAAUAUAUUACAAAUGAAGAUUGGACAACCCUUGUUAAAGUAUCAGGUAGGCUAUAUGUAUUUGAUCAGACCACAUAUUGAACUUGUAUUUAUGUAUGUGCCUUACAAGUGUAUCUUGUUCCAGGCUAACUGUUUGAAGAACAAAACCAACCGUUCUAAAGUGAAAUUCCAACAGACAACAAGAUCUCGUAGCUAUAUUGCACACUGCGAGGCUCUUGUAAAUAGCUGCUACUUCCUUCUUUUUUGUGUGCCAUAUUAUCGUAUCUAUAUUGACUUGUUCCAAAUACAGAGGAAAGGUCGUGCGGACCAAAAAGAACCUGAACCGAAUGCAGUGGAAAUCUUCAAGGAUUGCCACACCAUCAAGACGAAGGGCAUGAGCACACGAGUUCAAGCCAUUGUUGUAAGUCCUUACUCCUCCUGCCUUGAAUUGAUUGGUAUUGUGAUGUGUUCAUUUAACUACUUGGUUUGCAACCAAUGUCAGUUACUCUGUUCACUUUUAUACACAGUUGUCUUAACGUAUCAUUUCACCUUACAUGGUUUAAAAGAGAUGAAGGAUAUUCUUUUGGUCUUGAUCUGUAAUCUAGUUGUUAUGUUCACAUGCUCACACAAUGAUAAAAUAGCCUGUUUGUUUUCUAUCUGUUUGUCCAUGAUAUGAAUGAUGUCAUACUAUGUUCAUCCUACUUUAAACCAUGUCUCUUUAUCCUUAGAUGUCAACGAAUGUGAGGAAAUAGACAAUACCGUAGGCAUGCUACAUGGACAUAUGUUCCGAAAGUGAUUUUAUUAUGUAGUUGGCACUACAAUACAUGCUAAUGUAUUACAGUAGUUCACCAAAAUAAGUUAUGUAUAAACGUUUAACCUACUUUGUUUGUUUUUUUCUCAUCAGUAACUUAUCUGGUACACUAAUCUACAAGUUCAAACUUUCAGGAAGCUAUGGAACAAAUGAUUGAACAACCACAACCACCUGAAGGUGACGAGGCUACUAUAGGCACAAUGUCACCUCAUGCUGCAGUGCGUCAGUACCUCUCCACUAACAGUGCAAAAAGCACCUUCCUGCGUAAUUCUGGGUUGGUUGUCAAGGUAACCUCGUCCAAAUCACCUCCUGAACAAAAUCUUCCUGCUAGACAGAGUGAUAUAUCUGUGCUCCAGACACAAGUCCAAUCCCUAAUGGACGUUGUUUCAGAAACAAGAAUAGUGGUUGAGAAAUGUCGUCAAGAUAUGAAUGGUUUUGAAACCAUACUAUCAGACAUUCGCUUCGUUGUUCAAGAGCAAUGGCGGAAAAAGGUGGAGAUCAUGCUACUCCAUCAGAUUCUACAGCCUGAAACAUUAGCACUCAGGUCAAAUGAUAUGUGCUUCUAUACAUCUGAUGGUGCUUUUAUCUGGAAGGAUUGUAAAGUUUAUGCCAACAGGCCUUUUGUUGUAUGGUUGGAAUUUAUUUUGUUGUGAUACAACAUUUAUGAUGCUGCCACAGGUUGCAGUAAUUAUGAUGCUAUUUUUGUAUAGUGUAGGUUUAUCUUAGUAAUGUAUUCGGCCGAAAGCUUCGUAGGAGCCCAACACGCCAACAUUCGUCGGGCCCAUUCCAAUUGGGCUAAAAACGAUUACGGGCCAAAAUUGGCAUGUAGCCCACUAAAAAUAUCUGGGCCUAAAUCAGCAUAAGCUUUCAUAUUUUUCUGGUAGGCCUGUGCCCAUAGUGGGCCUUUAAUAGGCCUAAACAUAAUUUGGGCCCUCAGUAAAAUUAGGCCGUUUACAGGUGUAAAUAUCUCGAGCCCAUAAAAAACAUGGGUCUUUAAUAGACCAAAAGUGAGAUUGGGCCCUGAUUGUGCCAAAUAACCCACUGGACUUAGCAGGCCGAAAUGGUGGCCCAUUUACGACGUGGAUCUUUGACAGGCCGAAAUUCGGAUGGGUCGUAAAUGCGCCGACCUAAUACACGGGCCUUUAACAGGCCGGAACUUUGGUCAGGCUAGAUUAUCGUCAUUUUUGUAUGGGUCGUUAAUGGGCCCGAUAUGACGUUGGGCCACAUAUGGCCCAUGGUUUACGUCCGGCGUUAACAGGCCGAAAAUGACGACAGGCCGAAAGUGGCCCAAAUCUAUAGUGGGCCUCUAACAGGCCGAAUGUCAGACAUGGCCGAAUAUGACCCAAAUCCUUCACGGUCGUUUAUGGGCCGAAAGUUUUGAUGGCCUGUAAAUGGGCCCAAAUGAAGCCGGACCUUUAGCAGCCCGGAAAUACACCAGGUCGUAAUUCGGCCCAAUUACUUAGCGGACAAUUAACGGACCAAAAGUGACCAUGGGCCGCGUUGAUGACAAGUUUAGGACAGGCCAUUGACGGGCCGAUUUGACAAAGAAUGUUGGGCCUUUAGCUGGGCCGGCCCAUUAUGGUCUGCAGAAUCUUGUGGGCCUUUAGCUGGGUCGGCCGAUUGUGGUCCGCAAAAUCUUGUGGGCCUUUAGCUGGGCCGGCCAUUAUGGUCUGCAAAUUCGUGUGGGCCUUUAGCUGGGUCGGCCCAUUAUGGCCUGCUAAAUAUUAUGGGCCUUCGGUUGGGCUGGCCCAUUUAAACUUUGUGGGCCACUUUUGGGCCAGUCCACAUGUCAACAUAUCAUAGGCCCAUCUCGACCAUUGGAUGAAUGACACCUGUGCCAACACGGAGCUGACGCGUGUAUCCGUGAGCCAAUGAGAAUUUUACAUGUGGAAAAUUGGUAUUGGUCGUGGCUGUUAACGGGUUAUCGGAUCCCAAAUCCGACCCGAUAGCUUAACGGUGUUCCGUUACGGUGGAUGCCACAUGUCGGUCACCCUUGACGAAAGCACUUCUGUGACGCGCGAUAUAUCAUCAUGGAAGUGGACACUUCCGUGAUGAUAAUUUUGGUAAUGUCAUGGAACACUUCUAUGACAACACAUGUAUGACUAUCUUGAUUCUGUCAUAAAAUCGUCAUGGAUGUACAUCCAUGACAGAAAACGCGACCUACUGUGACAAACACGUAUCAUCACAGAAGUGUAUAUUUUUGUAGUGUUUAGUAUUCUCAAACUUUUUCAACUUUCACGCAAUACAUGAGCAUGAGCCAUGGACAUAGCACUAUAUGUGGAAUAGAAUGGUGGUUGUGGAGAAGACAAAAAGAGGAAGAUAGUCUCACAUCAACUAGGUGUGUCAACGGGCUAUGGAGAUGCCCAUUAAUAGAUAUCAAUGUGAGUGAGUAGGGAUUGCCAUGCAACAGAUGCACUAGAGCUAUAAAUGUAUGAAAGCUCAACAAAAGAAACUAAGUGGGUGUGCAUCCAACUUGCUUGCUCACGAAGACCUAGGGCAUUUUGAGGAAGCCCAUCAUUGGAAUAUACAAGCCAAGUUCUGUAAUGAAAAAUGCCCACUAGUAUAUGAAAGUGACAACAUAUGAGACUCUCUAUUAUGAAGAUCAUGGUGCUACUUUGAAGCACAAGUGUGGUAAAAGGGUAGUAUCAUUGUCCCUUCUCUCUUUUUCUCUCAUUUUUUAUUUGUUUUUCUUAUUUGGCCUUUUUCUUUUUUUGGCCUUUUUUUGUAAAGUCCGAAGUCUCAUCCCGACUUGUGGGGGAAUCAUAGUCUCCAUCAUCCUUUCCUCACUUGGGACAAUGCUCUAAUAAUGAAGAUCAUCACAGUUUUAUUUACUUACAACUCAAGAUUACAACUCGAUACUUAGAACAAGAUAUGACUCUAUAUGAAUGCCUCUGGCAGUGUACCGGGAUAUGCAAUGAACCAAGAGUGGCAUGUAUGGAAAUCAUGAUGGUGGCCUUUCCACAAAUACGAUGUCAACUACAUGAUCAUACAAGAGCAAUAUGACAAUGAUGAUGCGUGUCAUAAUAAACGGAACGGUGGAAAGUUGCAUGGCAAUAUAUCUCGGAAUGGCUAUGGAAAUGCCACAAUAGGUAGUUUAGGUGGCUGUUUUGAGGAAGGUAUAUGGUGGGUGUAUGGUAGAAAGUUGCGCGGCACAAAAGAGCCUAGCAAUGGUGGAAGGGAGAGAGUGUGUAUAAUCCAUGGACUCAACAUUAGUCAUAAAGAACUCAUAUACUUAUUGCAAAAAUCUACAAGUAAUCAAAAACCAAGCACUACAUGCAUGCUCCUAGGGGGAUAGAUUGGUAGGAAAAUACCACCGCUCGUCCCCGACCGCCCCUCACAAGGAAGACAAUCAAUAAAUAAACCGUGCUCCAACUUCAUCACAAAGCGGUUCACCAUACGUGCAUGCUACGGGAAUCACAAACUUCAACACAAGUAUUCCUUAAAUUCAUAAUUACCCCACUAGCAUGACUCUAAUAUCACCAUCCUCAUAUCUCAAAACAAUUAUCAAGCAUCGAAUUGAUCAUAGCAUCCAAUUCACUUUCUAUGAUAGUUUUUAUUAUACCCAACUUGGAUGCCCAUCAUUCUAGGGCCAAUUUUAAUAACCAUAGCAAAUACCAUGUUGUUCUAAAAGACUCUCAAAAUAAUAUAAGUGAAGCAUUAGAGAUUAACAAUUUCUACAAAAUUAAACCACCACCAUGCUCUAAAAGAUAUAAGUGAAGUACUAGAGCAAAACUAUCUAGCUCAAAAGAUAUAAGUGAAGCACAUAGAGUAUUCUAAUAAAUUCCAAAUCAAGUAUUUCUCUCCCAAUAGGUGUGUACAGCAAGGAUGAUUGUGGAAAUCUAGAAAGAAAAGACUAAUAUCAUACAAGACGCUCCAAGCAAAACACAUAUCAUGUGGUAAAUAAAAAUAUAGCUCCAAGUAAAGUUACCGAUGGACGAAGACGAAAGAGGGGAUGCCUUCCGGGGCAUCCCCAAGCUUAGACUUUUGGUUAUCCUUGAAUAUCUUGGGGUGCCAUGGGCAUCCCCAAGCUUAGGCUUUUUCCACUCCUUAUUCCAUAGUCCAUCAAAUCUUUACCCAAAACUUGAAAACUUCACAACACAAAACUCAACAGGAAAUCUCAUAAGCUCCGUUAGUGCAAGAAAGAAAAACCACCACAUAAGGUACUGUAAUGAACUCAUUAUUUAUUUAUAUUGGUGUUAAACCUACUGUAUUCCAACUUCUCUAUGGUUCAUACCCCCGAUACUAGCCAUAGAUGCAUCAAAAUAAGCAAACAACACACAAAAAAGAGAAUCUGUAAAAAAUAGAACAGUCUAUAGCAGUCUGUAACUUUCGAAUACUUAUGGAACUCCAAAAAUCCUACCAAAAUAGGAAAUUCUAGGAAAUUUGUCUAUUGAUCAACAGCAAAAAGAAUCAACGCAAAAGUACGUUUCUGUGAUUUAUUGAAUUUUUUCUCUUGAGCGUAAAGUUUCUGUUUUUCACCAGAAUCAAAUUAACUUUCACCAUAGGUUAUCCUAUACUUGGCACAAACACUAAUUAAAACAUAAAAAACAAAUCUAACCAGAGACUAAAUAAAUUAUUUAUUACUAAAAAGGAACAAAAAGCAAGGAACAAAAAUAAAAUUGGGUUGCCUCCAAACAAGCGCUAUCGUUUAACGCCCCUAGCUAGGCAUAAAAGUGAGAAUAGAUCUAAGUAUUGCCAUCUUUGGCAUUCAAUUCAUAAGUGGCUCGCAUAAUAGAUUCAUAUGGUAAUUUAAAUUUCUUUCUAGGGAAGUGUUCCAUGCCUUUCCUUAACAGAAAUUGGAAUCUAAUAUUCCCUACCUUCAUAUCAAUAAUUGCACCAAUCGUUCUAAGGAAAGGCCUACCAAGAAUAAUAGGACACAAAAGAUUGCAAUCAAUAUCAAGAACGAUAAAAUCUACGGGAACAUAGUUCCUAUUUGCAACAAUAAGAACAUCAUUGAGCCUUCCCAUAGGUUUCUUAAUGGUGAAAUCCGCAAGGUACAAGUUUAAAGAACAAUCAUCAAAUUCAUGGAAACCUAGCAUAUCACAUAAAGUUUUCAGAAUCGUGGAAACACUAGCACCCAAAUCACACAAAGCAUAGCAUUCAUGAUCUUUAAUUUUAAUUUUUAUAGUAGGUUCCCACUCAUCAUAAAGUUUUCUAGGUAUAUAAACUUCCAAAUUAAGUUUUUCCUCAUAAGAUUGCAUCAUAGCAUCAACGCUAUGUUUAGUAAAAGCUUUAUUUUGGCUAUAAGCAUGGAGAAUUCAACACAGAUUGCAACAAGGAAAUACAAUCUAUUAAAGAGAAAUUAAAUUUAUUGAAAUCCAAAGUGGUGGGUUCAUUACUAUUCAAAGUUUUAAUUUCUUCAAUCCCACUUUUACCAAUUUUAGCAUCAAGAUCAUAAUACUCCAAAUCAUCGGAACGCUUUUUAACUAAAGUUGAUUCACUUCUAGUCCCAUCAUUAUCAAGAUUCAUAUUGCAGAACAAAGAUUUAAUAGGGUACACAUCAAUAAAUUUUAGAUCUUCAUCAUUAUUUUCUCCUAGCCCUUCUGGUUUGGCAGCCAUCUUAUUAACUAAGGUGGCUUGCUUAUCAGAAAUUUGGGCUAAGGAUUUUCCGAUACGAGCAAUUUGAGCAUUUAAACCAUGAACUUCCUUAGAUAAAUCAUCAAGCUCUUUAUUCAUGAAACCUAGAAAAUUCUUUUGCUCUUUAAGCUCAUUUCUAAAGAAAUUAUUAUGCUCAAAUUGUAAAGUCAUAAAGCUUCUAAUAUUUGAUUCAAUCUCCUCUAACCUUUUAAGGUGAAGAUCAACGUUCUUAGGCAAAGCCAUAAGGGCAAACGGGCACACAAGAGGCAAGCGAAAGAGAGAGGAGAACGGGAAAGAGAGGGCGAAUAAAACGGCAAGGGUGAAGUGGGGGAGAGGAAAACGAGAGGCAAAUGGCAAAUAAUGUAAUGCGAGGGAGAUGAGUUUGUUAUGGGUACUUGGUAUGUCUUGACUUGAGCAAAGACCUCCCCGGCAACGGCGCCACUAAUCCUUCUUGCUACGUCUCGAGCUUUUGUUGGUUUUCCUUGAAGAGGAAAGGAUGAUGCAGCACAGUAGCGUAAGUAUUUCCCUCAGUUUUUGAGAACCAAGGUAUCAAUCCAAUAGGAGGCUCCUCAAAAGUCCCACGCACCUACACAAACAAACAAAAAUCUCGCAACCAACGCGAUAAAGAGGUUGUAAAUCCCUUCAUGGAAACUUGCAAAAGUGAGAUCUGAUAGAGAUAAUAUGAUAAGAUAAAUAUUUUUCGUAUUUUUAUGAUAUAGAUUGGAAAUUAAAAGAUGCAAAUAAAAGUAGAUGGUAAACUUAUAUGAUAAAAGAUAGACCUGGGGGCCAUAGGUUUCACUAGUGGCUUCUCUGAAGAUAGCAUAAGUAUUACGGUGGGUGAACAAAUUACUGUCGAGCCAUUGAUAGAAAAGUGCAUAGUUAUGAGAUUAUCUAGGCAUGAUCAUGUAUAUAGGCAUCACGUCCAUAACAAGUAGAUCGACUCCUGCCUGCAUCUACUACUAUUACUCCACAUAUCGACCGACUCCUGCCUGCGUCUAGAGUAUUAAGUUCAUGAAGAACAGAGUAACGCAUUAAGAAAGAUGACAUGAUGUAGAGGAAUAAACUCAUGCAAUAUGAUAUAAACCCCAUCUUUUUAUCCUCGAUGGCAACAAUACAAUGCGUGCCUUGCUGCCCCUACUGUCACUGGGAAAGGACACCGCAAGAUUGAACCCAAAGCUAAGCACUUCUCCCAUGGCAAGAAAGAUCAAUCUAGUAGGCCAAACAAAACUGAUAAUUCAAAGAGACUUGCAAAUAUAACCAAUCAUACAUAAAAGAAUUCAGAGGAGAUUCAAAUAUUUCUCAUAGAUAAACUUGAUCAUAAACCCACAAUUCAUCGGAUCUCGUUAAACACACCGCAAAAAGAGUUACAUGGAAUAGAUAUCUAAGAAGAGGAAGGAGAACUUUGUAUUGAGAAUCAAAGAGAGAGAAGAAGCCAUCUAGCUAAUAAUUAUGGACCCGAAGGUCUAUGGUAAACUACUCACAACUCAUCGGAGAGGCCUUGGUGAUGAUGUAGAGGCCCUCCAUGGUGGAUUCCCCCUCCGGCGGAGCGCCAACGACGGCUCCAAGAUGGGAUCUCGCGGAUACAGAAGGUUGUGGCGGUGGAAUUAGGUUUUCGUGGUUGCUUCUGAUGGUUUCAGGGUACAGGUGUAUAUAUAGGAGGAAGAAGUACGUCAGUGGACGAUUGAGGGGCCCACGAGGGUGGGGGGUGUGCCCACCCCCAGGGGGCACGCCGGGCACCCUCGUGGCCGCCUUGUUUGUUGCUUGACGUCCACUCCAAGUCUCCCGGUUGGCAUUUGUUCCAAAAAGAUCGUUCCCGAAGGUUUCGUUCCGUUUGGACUCCGUUUGAUAUUCCUUUUCUCGAUAUACUAAAAUAGGCAAAAACCAGCAAUUCGGGCUGGGCCUCCGGUUAGUAGGUUAGUCCCAAAAAUGAUAUAAAAGUGUAAAGUAAAGCCCAUAAACAUCCAAAACAGGUAAUAUAAUAGCAUGGAACAAUAAAAAAUUAUAGAUACAUUGGAGACGUAUCAACGCGCUCUUCACCGAAAUCGGCACGGAGAUAGAGGCGAAGGAGGCUGGAGCGGAGCAGCCGGAGGCGCCGGAGCUGCAGCUGCUGCCCAUGUCGCCGGAGCCGGGCAUGGAUAUCAUCGACAUCUCCGACGAUGAGUAGCUAGGUGAUCGACAUAGUACGUAGGUUUAUUUUAGGUUGCAUGUCUUUGUAUGGAUUUGAGGAUCUAUUAUGAGAUGUCCGGCUACAUGUGUGGAAAUUUGAGGGGUGCCCGGUCAAUGCACGCGGACGCGCCCGGGCGCGUCCGCGGGCGUUUGAGUGGCCGAUUUGCCAAGUCGAUUGUAGGUGUUCUUAUGGUAUGGUUGCUCCCUUUGCUUUGAGGUGGUGUCCCCAGUUGUCAGUGGUCACUAACUUUUCCUGAUGGUGGAAUAAGAGCAUCUACAACUAGAUCCUUCAAACCCAUCUCAGAAGUCCGGGCAAGCCGCCUGGUCACUGCCCAAUCAUGAUUUUUUGACCCAGACGGGCCUCUAAAAGGACCCUCAAAUGCCCAGGCUUACCGACACCCCCCAUAUCCAGCCCAAAUAUGGGGCGGAUACAGGGGCGCCCAGGCACGCCCGCCACGUCGGACCCGACCCACGCUGGCCCACCUGACCCCACAUAAAAUCCUCCCCAUCUGCUCGCCAGACCAUAACAUACACACUUCACUCCCCUCCCCUCCACUCCCCUUUGCCACCCAUUCUCGUCUCCGGCUCCUUCCUGUCAUCUCUGGCAUGGCGGGCAGUGGAUCUGAGUCCUUCACCUCCAGAUCCGUCGACCCCGAGCUCAUCCCGCGCGACCCCUAGGAGGACAUGGUCGUCCGGCUUGUGCUCCACCGCGCCCGGGAGGAGGCCCGUGGACGACUGCGCUCAGACUCCAUCCGUCGGGAAUCCAUUGCGUCCGCCCAAACGGGGCAUGGAUCCUGCGCUAGGCCGGCCAUAGCUGCCCCGCCAAAGGCCGUGCGGUCCGUCUGGCGUCCAAACAUGGAGACGUGCAACCCCUAUGGUGGCGCUCCGAGCAUCAGGACGCACCAUGGGCCUCGUCUGACGAGGCCAUGGCACGCCGUGCCCGCCGUGCAAGGCAUCGGGCGCGGGAGGCGGCGACAACCCUCGCGACGAUGGAAGUCGGCGAGGCGGAGUCGCAUUCUCCGACGCCCUGUAUGGUGCAUCAGUCCGGGCGCCACAACCGCAUCAUGGUGGACAUCGGCGGCUCAUCCCUGGAUGGAUCCGUCAUUGAUCUGACGUCCACCAGCAUCGCUCGGGUUCCGGUCUCCGACGAGGAAGAGUAGGGCAUGGGAGACGGUGGGGCCUUGAGUUCCAUGAGCCAGCUCGUGUCCCAUGCCCUGCCCUACCUUGUCGGUGACUGGCCCAACAGUUUGAGGAGCGCAGCCGGCCACCGGACAUGGCCAGGGCGGACCCCGGCGAGCCAGGAGCGGAAUCGGACAAGCUUCGCGUAGAUUAGGUUUCAUGUUGCAUGUGAUAAUAUGGAUUUGAGGUAUUCAGAUGUAGAAUGUGUUUUUUGAGAGGUGACCGGUCACUAUCCGCGGACGCGCCCGGGCGCGUCCGCGGGCAUUUGAGAGGUCGGAUUUGCCAAGUCCGUCUAUAGAUGCUCUAACGAUAUUCAUAUUGCCCAUUGAAAAAAAACAUAUUUGUAAUAGAAAAUAUAUGGAGGGACCUUUCCCUCGCAUAUCCUCUGGUACGAAUCCUCUAGCCACUCGUUUAUGAUAAAAACAUAUUGUCCAUGUGACUAGAGUUUUUUUGGAGGGGGGGGGCGGGGUUUAUCAUUUAUGCCACUAGUUGUGUCCCACUACUCAGGCUAUUAGAAGUUGCAACUGCUUAAAAGUGUCAUCGUUCCGUGAGAUACUUGCUCAAAAAUACCAUUACAUAUCUAAAUGACAUCCUUCCAUUAGAUGUUUUAUCAAAAAUACCAUUAGACAUAGUUAUUGUCAGGUCAAACCCAUUGAUCAUGUUAUCGGACAAAAAUACCUAUAAACCACAUGCCAACUCUCUCUAUCACAUAAUGAUAAGUGUGCCCCCCAGAUUUUGUACUAAUUACCUAUCAUUUUAUUGAGAAAAUGGACGGACGCAGCAACACGCAUCUUUGAUGAUCUAGUUUGCCAUGUUAAAGUGACAUAAAUACCUAUGGACCGACAUGUCAGUGCUCCCUCUAUUUCAAUACAAUAACGUGUGAGUCUCACUUGAUCCCAACAAUGUUUUUAUUUUCUUAUAAACUUAUUUGCUUGCUUACUCCUCACAAGUGUUAGUGUAAGUCAAUCAUUUUUUGAAGUUUUGGAAGAAGAUUGUAGAAGCAAGUUAGUAUGCAUUACUUUGUGUUCAAAUUAUUAAGUGAAUAUUAGAGUUCAGAGACAAGUCAAAUAAAAUUAAUAAUUAUAUAAAAUUGUAACAGACUCCUUUGAAAAUUUUAUAAAACAAAACCUAACUCUCGGCUUUACGCAAAACACUUCACAUACCUUAAUGUUUUACAUGCCAUACAACCAUAUCAAGCACACACUACACAAGAUCUUGAUCACGCAAACAAUCAUAUAUCAUCAAAACUUUGUUGUUGAUCUACCUAUCAGUGUCACUGCCAAGGAUCAAAGUAAGACGGUCUUCCUGACUUGCCGUCAAAGAAUAAUGACGUAGAUGAGAUCUUCUAAACCAAGACAUGAUAUUGUUUUCAAAAAUAAUGGAAGAGUACUUGUCAUUUUGCACCAGAGUUGGUAGGUAGCAAUAAUUUUUAAAUCUUCACCAAACCUCCUUCAGUGAUUUAAAUCACCGCUUGACAAGUUAUAUAGGUGUUCAAUUGAUCAUCUAUCACACUUGAAUUGCAAGGAUCUAGGAAAUCUUGCAAGCAAUUUGACAUACCAACAGAAAGUCAAAACAAAUCUGAACAAAUAAUCCUCAAUUUGAUGGUGAUUUCCACCAUAGGUCAUUUUGUAAUAACUAAACAGAAGCAGGUACCUUUGCUUCAUGAGAUUACAGUAACCAUGUAAAGUUUAUACAUUACACACUCAACUAAUAUCACAAUAUGAUGAGCAAAUAACAAAGACAGAUAAGUUAAUUUGCAAAAUGACAAGAAAAUAGUAAUAAUUUUGUACAUAGUGAUUAAAAUGCAAUGACAUAAGAGAAAUAUUUCUAUAACCGAAUAUACAUGAUAAGAAGCUGAUUUGCUGUACAAAAAGGACUAUUGUACUGUUUUUACCUCUACGGAAUGAAUUAAAUAAGUCAAUGCAAUUGGCUAGUCAAUCACUAUGCAAGCCUAUGUUUUAUUGCUAAAUCACAUGUUUUAUUACUGAUUUUCUAUAGUAGAAAAUCCUUUAUUUCAUCCUUCUAAGUAUAGAGAGUGUUCAUCGCAUCAACUUUGUGAACAUCUUUUAGUGCGCAAUCCACUAAAUAAAGAUGAGUCAAUCACAUGAACAAAAUUAGAUGGAAUCUAGCCCACAGCCAAUUGAUGAGCAUAAUUGCUCACUGGGAUCUUAGCAUAACUAUUCACUGUCAGGAUUACCCCCCAAACCUGAAUUACUCGAGCACAAAUGAGACUUACAGUAUGAACCCACAUGGCGUUGGCAUUUGACAAAUGCACUCUCUAUACCAAAGCUCGGAAUGGGGGCUAGUUGUGCUCUUAGAUAAUGCAAAAAAAGUGAAUGGUAUCUGAGGUUCAGACUAGUGCUGACAAACAAUGUUUUUUGCUGGAAGCAACACGCUACCAUAUGUAUUAACCUCACCUAAAUUUCAGAGCAUCGUUUUCUUUAGUUAGAUAAGAUAUCCAAACCGGAACUUUGAAACCCUCUGGAAUUGUACAAACCCAAAAUUGCUUAACCUAGUUGCUCCAGGCAGUGAGUUAAUUGUAACAUGUCCUAUGUAGUGGCGUGAGAGGGCUGGGAUGAGUGACGGCCAGGAAUCAAGGGGGCGUGAGAGGGCUCGCUUUAGAUGCAGUUAUACUGUCCUAAAUGACAACUAGAAGCCUGCUGCUCAAAUUCUACUUUGCCGUUCACUCGGACAAUAGUCAUAUGGAUAACUGGAUAUACAUUAUGUUGGAUCAGCAGCAAAUAAAUGCUUACAGGAAGAGGAACCAAGGCAUUCCAUCUUCUGCUUAACUUUGAAUUAUUUGUUUAGCCAAACAAGAGCAUUAAGAACCAAAGAAGAAUUGCAGAAAAGAACAUCCAUGUUUUACCAUCCAAAAGCCCAAAAAGUCGACUUGAUUUACCAGAUGUAUUUUCUUCAUCUGUCCUAAUAAUAGUCCCUUAUUCUAUGCACAAAACAUUUAUACUCUACUUUUCUUCCACAAAGUUUUCUUAUAACUUCAUCUAAUACAAUCUUGCAGAAAUGCAAAUAAUUGCUCAGGAACAUAUAAUCUAAGCAAUUGUGUGGCGUAAAAACAUGGAUGGUAGAACAUGAAAAGAUAAGGUGUGGAGCAAUUAUUUGUCUAGAAGCCAUUGGAGAUUAUGAAAAUGCCAGCACCAAGCUCUAAAAUUUGCCCAAAUCGGUCCACCACAACAGCAUGAACAUCACCUGUAUGUACAAUUUUUUGAAUGAGAGGAUAUCAAGAUAAUGUAAUUGCUUGGUGGAAGAACCAUACAUGAACUGAAAAGAAAUAUAUGGUAACCUAGCCGAGCAUCAUGUUGAAGGAGGUUCUGCUGCCGGAGUGUAAAGGGUGAACAAGGAGUGGUAGGGGAGGCAACAUUUGUAUACACAACCGUACCACGAGGUAGUGGAAAGGAUUUAUACAUACCUCGCCAUGAAUGCAUGAGCAGAAACUGAAGAAACAUUCCCUCGGUGGAGCAGUUUCACUUAGACGAGGCGUCGGCCCUGAAUCACCACGUCGGCUAGAACCUUUAUUUUCUCCUUUGCAGAUUGAUCGUUCGCAUCACCCGUGGUGGCUGGGUGGAUCCCUGCCUCUGUCUGCCUCGCAUUGUUGGGAAUUAGCACACAGAUGCACUUGUGGUUAAAUGAAAAACUGGAGCGGAAACAAGUAAUCUCAGCACCACAUCAUGUACUAACUCAAGGAUCGUUGCUUAGCACAGAAGGAAACACAUGCAGCAGCAUAUAUGGAGGCAGAAAAUGUUACUCAGCGGGCAAGACACCCCUCAGCCUAGUGUCUUGUGGUAGGAGUAAGUUUCUGGACAGUAGCAAGCAUCAACAAAGAGACACCAGAUUUUUACGUGGAGCCCUCAACUUGAGGGGAAAAACCACGGGCCGAAGCCACCCAAAUCCUCUUCCACUAUUAUCAAAUGUGGGAUACAACAAGUUCUUCUCUAGACAGCACUAGAGGAUCUCAUACAUCAAGAUUUCUGAAUCUUGGAUGAACACAACAAGAAUUGGGGCUCAAGAACUAGGGAUUGGAACAAUCUCACCAAAGAUGGUGGAACCGAAGCUUGAAGGAGACAAGGUAGUGGAUCUGGACCAUCACAACCUUGGGGAGGAGAUCCCUUUUCUUCUUCCUUCAAUCUUCCUCUUCUUCCCUUGCUCUCUUGGUUUUCUCUCUUCUUCUCUCCUGGAGGAUGAACUGAUUUUCGUCACCCUUGGUGGUGGUUGUUGGAUAGAGGGUAAAGCAUCCCCAUCCACUCAUGUGCAAAGUCCAAAAUUACCCUAGGUCAUAACCCUCAUGGGUAGUGGGCUUCUGCACCUCUUUGGGCUGCCUAAAAGGCCUCAAAUGGUAAUAUCCUCAUAGCCCACAUGAGGAGGAUAUCCCAACACGCAUCAAUGGCAGUGAUCGGUCGAUCAGGGUCGCUCGCAUCACCCGCGGCAGCUGGAUGGACUGAUCCCCAUCCUCUUUCUCUCUCUCUCUCUCUCUCUCUCUCUCUCUCUCUCUCUCUCUCUCUCUCUGUGUGUGUGUGUGUGUGUGUGUGUGUGUGUCUCGAUCUCAAUCUCGAUCUGGUUAUAACUAUCGACAACAAUUCUUUCGGGAGGUUUGGUGGUCCAGCAGGCCCUCACAUCGAAGCUAGCCAUAUGGAAGCUAAGCCAUAUAUACAGGCCGGGUGAAAGCCCAAACAACAACAGAUCUCCGUUUUUUAUUGUGGAGUAGUUGCCCUUUUAGGACAACUGGGCCAAGAAUUUGACGAUGUGAUGGAGAUCAAUAGGGCAAUAAUCUGAUGGCUAGAAACGCUCCAAUUAGUAAAAUGGACGGCCAGGAAUGAGAUGAGCUGAUACCAAUGGUGCCCAAUGACAUUUUGUAGUAUGCACCUAACAAAGUGAUGUCAUUUUUUAGCAGUUAAAGUUCCUACUGGCAAAAUUGAGUUGUGUGACACAAAUUAUGGCAUAAAUGAUGAAAAAAAUUCUUUUGUUUUCUUAGAAAAAUUCACAGGUACCAAUCUGAGGAGUAUUGAAUAGCAUUAAGGAUCUGAACAUAUGAUCUUCCACCGAAUAAACCAACUAGCAUCAACUACAAUGAGUAAUCAACACAACUAGCAACCCACAGGUACCAAUAUGAGGUUUUGAGACAAAGAUCGAAUACAAGAGAUGAACUAGGGUUUGAGAGGAGAUGGUGUUGGUGACGAUAUUGAUGGAGAUUGACCCCCUCUCGAUGAGAGGAUCGAUGGUGAUGACGAUGGCGGUGAUUUAACCCUCCCGGAGGGAUGUUUCCCUGGUAGAACAGCUCCGCCGGAGCCCUAGAUUGGUCCUGCCCAGGUUCUGCCUCGAGACGAUGGCGCUUCGUCUCGAAAGCUUCCUUGAAAGUGACAACAUAGGAGACAAUCUAUAUGAAGAACAUGGUGAUACUUUGAAGCACAAGUGUGGAAAAAGGAUAGUGACAUUGCCCCUUUUCUUUUUCUUUUUUUUAUUUUUGUUUCUUUUUGGGUGGGCUUCUUUGGCCCCCUUUUUUAUUUAGGCUUCUUUGGCCUUUCCUUUUUUUCUGUUUUUUUUUCUUUUUUUUCUUUUUUUUCACGGGGCAAUGCUCUAUAAUGAUGAUCAUCACACUUUUAUUUACUUACAACUCAAUAUUACAACUCGAUACUAGAACAAAGAUAUGACUCUAUAUGAAUGCUUCCGGCGGUGUACCGGGAAGUGCAAUGAUCUAGCGUAGAAAUGACAUCAAAAAACCGACAAGCCAUGAAAACAUCAUGCUAGCUAUCUUACGAUCAUGCAAAGCAAUAUGACAAUAAAUGCUCAAGUCAUGUAUAUGAUGAUGAUGGAAGUUGCAUGGCAAUAUAUCUCGGAAUGGCUAUGGAAAUGCCAUAAUAGGUAGGUAUGGUGGCUGUUUUGAGGAAGAUAUAAUGAGGCUUAUGUGUGAUAGAGCAUAUCAUAUCACGGGGUUUGGAUGCGCCGGUGAAGUUUGCACGAACUCUCGAGGUGAGAAAGGGCAAUGCACGGUACCGAAGAGGUUAGCAAUGAUGGAAAGGUAAAAGUGCGUAUAAUCCAUGGACUCACAUUAGUCAUAAAGAACUCAUAUACUUAUUGCAAAAGUUUAUUAGCCCUCGAAGCAAAGUACUACUACGCAUGCCCCUAGGGGGAUAGAUUGGUAGGAAAAGACCAUCGCUCGUCCCGACUGCCACUCAUAAGGAAGACCAUCAAAGAAACACCCCAUGCUUCAAAUUUGUCACACAACGGUUACCAUACGUGCAUGCUACGGGACUUGCAAACCUCAACACAAGUGUCUAUACAAUCCACAACCACCCACUAGCAUAACUCUAAUAUCACCAUCUUUAUAUCGCAAAACUAUUGCAAGGAAUCAAACAUAUCAUAUUCAACGAUCUACAAGUUUAUGUAGGAUUUUAUGACUAACCAUGUGAUUGACCAAUUCCUGUCAUCUCUCUAAAUAGAUAUAAGUGAAGCAAGAGAGUUUAAUUCUUUUUACAAAAGAUAUGCCCACGCUCUAACAAAUAUAAGUGAAGCAAAAGAGCAUUCUAUAAAUGGCGGUUUUCUAUGUGAAAAGAAACAGGCAAUCCAAACUUCAAAUAAUAUAAGUGAAGCACAUGAAGCAUUCUAUAAAGCCAUACUCAAAAUAUUUAAGUGAAGUGCAAUGAGCAUUCUAUAAAUCAACCAAGGACUAUCUCAUACCAGCAUGGUGCAUAAAAGAAAAGUGAAAACUAAAUGCAAAAGACGCUCCAAGACUUGCACAUAUCGCAUGAACGAAACGAAUACGAAAACAUACCGAUACUUGUUGAAGAAAGAGGGGAUGCCUUCCGGGGCAUCCCCGAGCUUAGACGCUUGAGUCUCCUUGAAUAUUUACUUGGGGUGCCUUGGGCAUCCCCAAACUUGAGCUCUUUCCUCUCUUCCUUUUCCUCAUAUCGAAACCUCCUCGUUUAGACACUUCAUCCACACAAAACUUUAACAGAAAACUCGGUAGGAUCCGUUAGUAUAAUAAAGAAAAUCACCACUCUAAGUACUGUUUCAAACCAAUUCAUAUUUGGUUUUUGCAUUGUGUCUACUGUAAUAUAACUUUUUCAUGGCUUAAUCCACUAAUAUAAAUUGAUAGUUUCAUCAAAACAAGCAAACUAUGUAUCAAAAACAGAAUCUGUCAAAAACAGAACAGUCUAUAGCAAUCUGAACAUCCACCAUACUUAUGGUACCCCAACAAUUCUACCAAAAUUAGGAAAAAUAAACAAGUUGUAUAUAAAGACAGUGCAAAAAGAAUCAGAACCAAUUGACAUUCCAGCUAAAAAUGUAAAAUCAUGCACUACAGCAAAAGUUUCUGUCCUGCAUCGUACAAACCAACAAGCAUUGUAAACAUCCUAAAGGCAAACCUUGGCACAUUAUUUUUAUAAUACAAUGGAAUUAUACAAGGGGAUAAUUAUUUUUGUUGAAAAUUUUCUGUAAUCAAGAUUCAUAAAGUUUCCGUGAGCAUGAACAAAGUUCAAGGCUAGCUCCCACUUCAACAAUGCUUGUCUUUCUCACUUUCACUUUCCUUUUUGACAAGUUUUUAGGUUCCCCUCUUUAUUUUUGUUAUUUUUAAAAUAUAUGAAAGCACUCAACAGAAAUAAAUGACUCUCUAAAACUUCCGGGUUGUCUCCCUGGCAGCGCUUUCUUUAAAGCCAUUAAGCUAGGCAUUUAGUGCUCAAGUAAUGAAUCCACCCGGAUCCCAAGGUAUAUCAAAGCCAAUUUUAAUUAACAAUGAUUUGUAAUUUAGUAGUGAGCAAAAAGUAACAUAUAUCAUGCAACAACAAAUUCCAACUCUCUUCCUACGCAUUGGCAUGUCAUAAAAGAACAAUUCAUGCACACAUAGUAAAGGCCAAUGCAUAGUAUAAACAGUUUCUUGCAAUUUUAUCGUAUUGGAAACAUAGAGAGGUGGAGAUAUAGUUCCUCUCUCAUAAUAAUUGCAAGUAGGAGCAGCAAACACAUUCAUAUUACAUUCAUCAAAAUCAUCAUGUGCAAUGGUAAAAGGCAACCCAUCAAUAUAAUCCUUAAUAAGCACAAACUUCUCCGAUAUAGUGUAGUAGGGAGAAUUCAAAAAGAUAAUAGGACUAUCAUGCAUGGGUGCAAUAGCAACAAUUUCAUGUUUAACAUAAGGAACUAUAGCAAGUUCAUCUCCAUAAGCACAAUUCAUAUUGGCAUCUUGGCGACAAGCAUAGCAAGCAUCAUCAAAAAGGGGUAAUUCAAGGGAAUCAACGGGAUCAUAACAAUCAUUAUAGCAAUCAUCCUUUGGUAAGCACGAAGGGAAAUUAAAUAGUGUAUGGGAUAAAGAGUUACUCUCAUUAGAAGGUGGGCACGGGUGAUCAAUCCACUCUUCCUCCAUUUGUUCUUCGCUCUCCUCCUCAUCUUUUUCAUCCAAUGAGCUCACAGAUUCAUCAAUUUCUUCUUCCAUAGCUUCCUGCAAAAUAUUAUUCUCUUCUUGGACAACGGAGAAGACCUCAAUAUAUGGUUUAACAUAGGCAUUAGAAGAAUAAUUAUCAUAACAAUAUUCAAGUAUGGCAAAGUUUUCAGAUUUGUAGAGAGUAGCAUCAUACUUUUCAAUGAAAGAAGCAAUUUCAUAAGCACCCUUAAAAGCAACAAAUUCUUCAAUUUGUUGAACAUCAUAGUAAUUAUAAACACCUUCAGCAUAUGAAGAUACAAUACCAUUAUCAAACUCACAUUGGUAGGGAAGGUGUUUCUUAGGGUUUUCAGAACAACAAGUAAUAUCAUAUAAUUCACAUAAAUUCCAAGCAUAGCAUUGCAAACGUUGAAUUUGAUCCCAUAAUAGUUUCCCUUUUUCAGAUAUACGGUGUCGCACAUAACAGGCAUGCUCAUCUAAAGAUUUGCCCUCAACUAAGCUAGUGGGGUUUCAGCACGAACACAUAGGGAUCGAAGAUGAUCCGAGUAAAAAGCUUCAGGAGUGCGAUAGAUUUUGAGUGGUUCUUCAACCAUUGGUGCAGUAGGUACAACUAAUUGUUUUGGUAUUUUGCGUUUCCUACCCAUAACUAAAGAUAGAAAACAACUAAGAACAGCAAAUAAAAAUUACUUAGUGAUAAAGCAAACAAGCACACGCGAGAAUAUUCACCCCACGCUUUGACUCCCCGGCAACGGCGCCAGAAAAAGGUCUUGAUAACCUGCAAGUAUACGGUAGUUGUAGCCUCUUUCGAUAAGUAAGAGUGUCGAACCCAACGAGGAGCUAAAGGUAGAACAAAUACUCUCUCAAGUCCUAUCGGCCACUGAUACGACUCUACGCACGCUUGAUGUUCGCUUUACCUAGAACAAGUAUGAAACUAGGAGUACUUUGUAGGUGUUGUUGGAUAGGUUUGCAAGAGUAAAGAGCACGUAAAUAUAAACUAGGGGCUGUUUAGAUAAAGAAGCAAUAAAGUAAAUAUAACGAGUGUGGAAAAGUGGUGGUAGGAGUUGUGAAAUUGUCCCUAGGCAAUUGACUAUGUUACUAGACCGGUAAUCACUAUUGCAAUUCUAUUUGAGGGAGAGGCAUAAGCUAACAUACUUUCUCUACUUGGAUCAUAUGCACUUAUGAUUGGAACUCUAGCAAGCAUCCGCAACUACUAAAGAUUCAUUAAGGUAAAACUCAACCAUAGCAUUAAAGCAUCAAGUCCCCUUUAUCCCAUACGCAACAAUCCCCUUACCCGGGUUUGUGUUUCAGUCACUCACGCAACCCACUAUAAGCGAAUCAUGAACGCAUUGCAACACCCUACAGCAGGAAUCCCUCAUGCUUGCACGACACGGAGGGCACAAUAGGACAGCACCAAUAAUAAAACAUGCAACUCAAACCAAUCAUAGCAAUUCAUCAAUCACCAAUAGGACAAUAGAAAUCUACUCAGACAUCAUAGGAUGGCAACACAUCGUUGGAAAAUAAUAUGAAGCAUAAAGCACCAUGUUCAAGUAGAGGGUACAGUGGGUUGCGGGAGAAUGGACCGCUGGAUAUAGAAGGGGGAAGGUGAUGCAGAUGUUGGUGAAGAUGACGGCAGUGUUGGUGAAGAUCGCAGUGAUGAUGAUGGCCCCCAGCAACGCUCCGGCGCCACCGGAAGCAAGGGGGAGAGGGGGGCCCUUCUUCUUCUUCUUCCUUGACCUCCUCCCUAGAUGGGAGAAGGGUUUCCCCUCUGGUCCUUGGCUCUCAUGGCUUGGGAGGGGCGAGAGCCCCUCCGAGAUUGGAUCUAUCUCUCUGUCUCUGCCUUCUCUGUUUCUGCCCCUUCACCGUUUCCUUUAUAUCUGGAGAUCCGUAACUCCGAUUGGGGUGAAUCUCGCCCAGAUUUUUCUUGUAAAAUUAGCUUUCUUGUGGCAAAAGAAGAGCAUCAACCGCCUUACGGGUGGCCCAUGAGAGUCCAGGGCACGCCCCCCUGUCUCGUGGCCACCCCGGACACCAUUUCGCGUUGAUUCUUCCUCCGAAAAAUCCCAAAUAUUCCAAAAUAAUUCUCCGUCCAUUUUUAUCCCAUUUGGAUUCCCUUUGAUAUUGGGUUUCUGCGAAACAUAAAACAUGCAACAGAUAGGAACAGGCACUGGAUCAAUAUGUUAGUCCCCAAAAAUAGUAUAAAAAGUUGCCAAAAGUAUAUGAAAGUUGAAGAAUAUUGGCAUGGAACAAUAAAAAAUUAUAGAUAUGACGGAGACAUAUCAGUCAUCCCAAAAGUAAUGUCUUAAAUCAUAGAUUUUUUUUCUUUUGUUGGUAUGUGAAACUAGGUGGUAUAAAUUUAGCAACAAUCUAAUCAGCAUACCAUGGAGCAGUACGAGAAGCAUUUAUGACAUCUAAUUGUUCAUCGGGAAAACUAUCAUCAAUAGGUAGUGGGUCAUCAAGAACAUUUUCUAACCUAGACAAGUUGUCUGCAACGGGGUUCUCGACUCCCUUUCUAUCAAUAAUAUGCAAAUCAAAUUCUUGUAGCAAGAGAACCCAUCUAAUUAGUCUAGGUUUAGCAUCUUUCUUUUCCAUAAGAUAUUUAAUAACAGCAUGAUCAGUGUGAACAGUUACUUUGGAAUCAACAAUAUAUGGUCUGAACUUAUCACAAGCAAAUACGACUGCUAAAAAUUCUUUUUCAGCAGUAGGAUAAUUUCUCUGGGCACUGUCUAGAAUUUUACUGGCAUAUUGGAUAACAUUUAAUUUCUUAUCAACUCUUUGCCCUAGAACAACACCAACAACAUAAUCACUAGCAUCACACAUAAUUUCAAAGGGUAAAUUCCAAUCAGGUGGCUGAACAAUAUAUGCAAAAAUCAAGGCGUUCUUAAGUAUUUCAAAUGCUUCUACACAAUCAUCAUCAAAAACAAAAGGAACAUCUUUUUGCAAGAGAUUAGUGAGAGGCCUAGAAAUUUUAGAGAAGUCUUUAAUAAACCUCCUAUAGAAACCAGCAUGACCAAGGAAACUUCUUAUACCUUUGAUAUCUUUAGGACACGACAUCUUUUCAAUAGCAUCAACCUUAGCUUUUAUCAACUUCAAUACCUCUUUCAGAAAUUUUAUGCCCCGAGACAAUACCUUCAUUAACCAUAAAGUGGCACUUCUCCCAAUUCAAGACAAGAUUAGUUUCUUUGCAUCUCUGCAAAACUCGAUCAAGGUUGCUUAAGCAAUCAUCAAAAGAAGUUCCGUAAACGGAGAAAUCAUCCAUGAAAACCUCAACAAUCUUUUCACAAAAGUCAGAGAAUAUAGAAGUCAUACAUCUUUGAAAGGUAGCAGGUGCAUUGCAUAAACCAAAAGGCAUGCAUCUAUAAGCAAAAGUAUCGAAAGGGCAAGUAAAAGUGGUCGUUUCCUGAUCCUCUUUCGACACAGGUAUUUGAGAGAAACCAGAAUAACCAUCUAGAAAGCAAAAAUGUGUAUGUUUGGAUAGUCUUUCUAACAUUUAAUCAACAAAAGGUAGAGGGUAAUGAUCUUUUCUAGUAGCUUUAUUUAAUUUGCGGAAAUCAAUUACCAUUCUAUAACCUGUAACAAUUCUUUGUGGGAUCAAUUCAUCCUUAUCAUUAGGAACAAUAGUAAUACCUCCCUUCUUAGGGACACAAUGAACAUGACUUACCCAUUGACUAUCAGUGAUAGGAUAAAUUAUAUCUGCCUCCACAAGCUUUAGCAUUUCAUUUCUUACCACUUCUUUCAUCUUAGGAUUUAACCGUCAUUGAUGAUCAACAACUGGUUUAGCAUCUUUCUCCAGUUUUAUUUUGUGCUGACAUAGAGUGGUACUAAUGCCCUUAAGAUCAUCAAGAGUAUAUCCAAUGGUAGCAUGGUGCUUCUUUAGAGUUUUCAAUAAUUUUUCUUCUUCAUGCCUGAAAGCUUAGCACUAAUAAUAAACAAUAUAUAUCUUCUUUUCAUCAAGAUAGGCAUAUUUAAGAGUAUCACGCAAUUGUUUAGGCUCAAACACGGGAUCUCCCUUGGGUGGAGGAGGAUCUCCGAGAAUUUCUACACGCAAGUUGUGUUUCAAAAUAGUUCCUUGCUUAAAGAAUACUUCGUCUAUUUCUCUUCUUUCAUUCAUAAACAUAUCAUUUUCAUUAUCGAGAAAAUAUUGUUCUAAAGGAUCAUUAGGAGGCACAACAAUAGAAGCAGGACCAAUAAUUUCAUCUUUACUAGGCAAUUUGUUAUCAUGGGGUUGUCUACGAAAUUUAGCAAAAUUAAAAUCAUGAGACAUAUCCCCUAAACCAAUAGUAACAAUAUCUUUUUCACAGUCUAUCUUAGCAUUAACAGUAUUCAAGAAGGGUCUACCAAAUAAAAUGGGACAAAAGUCAUCUUGUGGGGAACCAAGAACAAGUAAAUCAGUAGGAUAUUUGAUUUUCCCACACAAGACUUCAACAUCUCUAACAAUCCCAAUUGGUGAAAUAGUGUCUCUAUUGGCAAGCUUAAUAGUAACAUCAAUAUCUUCUAUCUUAAUAGGUGCAAUAUCAUGCAUAAUUUCUUUGUAUAAGGAAUGAGGUAUUGCAUUCACACUAGCACCCAUAUCACAUAAGCCAUGACAACAAUGAUCUCCUAUUUUAACAGAAACAACAUGCAUACCAACAACAGGUCUAUGCUUAUUUUUAGUAUCGGGUUUAGCGAUUCUAGCAACUUCGUCACAGAAAUAAAUAACAUGCCCAUCAAUAUUAUCGACCAAGAGAUCUUUGACCAUAGCAAUACUAGGUUCAACUUUAAUUUGCUCAGGGGGUGUAGGUGUUCUAGUAUUACUCUUACGAACCACAGUUGAAGCUUUAGCAUGAUCCUUUAUUCUAACAGGGAAAGGUGGUUUCUCAAUAUAAGCAGUAGGAAUAAUACGAUCAACAUUAUAAGUAAUAGUUUCUUCUUCAACUUUAAUAGGUUCUAUUACUUUCACUUCAAUGGGAGGAUGAUAUUUUAACCACUUCUCCUUAGGGAGAUCAACAUGAGUAGCAAACAAUUCACAAAAAGAAGCUAUUAUCUCAGAGUCAAGUCCAUAUUUAGUGCUAAAUUCACGAAAAGCAUCGGUAUCCAUAAAAGAUUUAACACAAUCAAACUUCGGAUUUAUACCUGACUCCUUACCUUCGUCGAGUUCCCAAUCUUCAUAGUUGCAUUUAAUUCUUUUCAAUAAAUCCCAUUUGAAUUCAAUAGUCUUCAUCAUAAAAGAACCAGUACAAGAAGUAUCGAGCAUAGAGCGAUCAUUAUGAGAAAGCCGAGCAUAAUUUUUUUGAAUAAUAAUUUCUCUUAAGAGCUCAUGAUUGGGGCAUGAAUAUAACAUUGACUUAAGCCUCCCCCAAGCUUAAGCGAUACUUUCUCCUUCAUGAGGCUAAAAAUUAUAUAUAUAAUUACGAUCACAAUGAACCAGAUGCAUAGGAUAAAACUUUUGAUGAAAUUCCAAUUUCAAUUGGUUGUAGUUCCAUGAUCCAAUAUCAUCACAUAGCCUAUACCAUGUCAAUUCCUUUCCCUUCAAAGAUAAAGGGAAGACAUUCUUCUUGGCAAGAUCCUCGGGCAUACCUGGAAGCCUAAAUAAUCCACAAACUUCAUCCACAUAGAUUAGGUGCAUAUCGGGAUGUAAUGUUCCACCUCCUGUAUAGGGAUUAGCUAGCAGUUUCUCUAUCAUACCCGAAGGAAUUUCAAAGUAAAUAUUUUCAGUAGGUUCAAUAGGUUGAGGAGAAACUAUUUGCACUUUUGGUCAGGGUGAAGAUACCCCGAACAAGCCCCUCAAAGGAUUAUUUUCCAUAGUAACAAGUGACAGUAAAUUUUAGCACAAUAUAAAUGUUUCCUUACCAAAUUCCAUUUACCAAAGGCGCUUCACUCCUCGGUAACGGCGCCAGAAAAGAGUCUUGAUGACCCACAAGUAUAGGGGGUCUAUCAUAGUCCUUUCGAUAAGUAAGAGUGUCGAACCCAACGAGGAGCAGAAGGAAAUGACAAGCAGUUUUCAGUAAGGUAUUCUCUGCAAGCACUGAAAUUAUUGGUAACAGUUAGUUUUGUGAUGAGGUAAUCCGUAACGGGUAACAAGUAACAAAAGUAACUAAGGUGUAGCAUGGUGGCUCAAUCCUUUUUGUAGCAAUGGACAAGCCUGGACAAACUCUUAUAUAAAGCAAGGUGCUCCCGAGGACACAUGGGAAUUAUCGUCAAGCUAGUUUCCAUCAUGCUCAUAUGAUUCGUGCUCAUUACUUUGAUAAUUUGAUAUGUGGGUGGACCGGUGCUUGGGUGCUGUCCUUACUUGGACAAGCCUCCCACUUAUGAUUAACCCCUCUCGCAAGCAUCCGCAACUACGAAAGAAGAAUUAAGGUAAACCUAACCAUAGCAUGAAACAUAUGGAUCCAAAUCAGCCCCUUAUGAAGCAACGCAUAAACUAGGGUUUAACCUUCUAUCACUCUAGCAACCCAUAAUCUACUUAUUACUUCCUAAUGCCUUCCCCUAGGCCCAAAUCAUGGUGAAGUGUCAUGUAGUCGACGUUCACAUAACACCACUAGAGGAGAGACAACAUACAUCUCAUCAAAAUAUCAAACGAAUACCAAAUUCACAUGAAUACUUAUAACAGGACUACUCCCAUGUCCUCAGGAACAAAUGUAACUACUCACAAAGCAUAUUCAUGUUCAUAAUCAGAGUAGUAUUGAAUAGCAUUAAGGAUCUGAACAUAUGAUCUUCCACCGAAUAAACCAACUAGCAUCAACUACAAGGAGUAAUCAACACUACUAGCAACCCACAGGUACCAAUAUGAGGCUUUGAGACAAAGAUCGGAUACAAGAGAUGAGCUAGGGUUUGAGAGGAGAUGGUGCUGGUGAAGAUGUUGAUGGAGAUUGACCCCCUUUUGAUGAGAGGAUUGAUGGUGAUGACGAUGGCGGUGAUUUCCCCUUCUCGGAGGGAUGUUUCCCCGGCAGAACAACUCUGUCGGAGCCCUAGAUUGGUCCUGCCUAGGUUCCACCUCGAGAGGGCGGCGCUUCGUCCCGAAAGCUUCCUUAUGAUAUUUUCCAGGGCAAAAGACACCAUAUAGCAGAAGAUGGACGUCGGGGGCCUGCCAGGGGGGCCACGAGGCAGGGGGGUGCCCAGGGGGUAGGGCGCACCCUCCACCCUUGUGGAUGACUGGUGGCCCCCCCUCUGGUGCUCUCUUCGCCCAAUAUUUUUAAUAUAUUCCAAAACUGAUCUCCGUGAAGUUUCAGGACUAUUGGAGUUGUGCAGAAUAGGUCUUUAAUAUUUGCUCCUUUUCCAGUCCAAAAUUCCAGCUGCCGGCAGUCUCCCUCUUCAUGUAAACCUUAUAAAAUAAGAUAGAAAAGGCAUAAGUAUUGUGAUAUAAUGUGUAGUAACAUCCCAUAAUGCAAUAAAUAUUGAUAUAAAAGCAUGAUGCGAAAUGGACGUAUCAGUAGGCAAGGAGGUAUUGGUAAAGGACGUUGCUCAAGCGGUCCCAGUGUUCUCUAUGUCAUGUUUCAAAGUUCCUCGGGACCUCUGUGAGCACUUAAAUAUGCUGAUCCAGAAAUUCUGGUGGGGAAGCAAAGAAGGAAAACGUAAACCACAUUGGGUAUCGUGGAAAGCUAUGGCACAACCCAAAGGUAUGGGAGGGCUUGGUUUUAAGGAUUUUGAACUGUUUAACAUGGCAAUGUUAGCCAAGCAGGCUUGGUGAUUGCUAUAGUCUCCGGACUCAUUGAGUGCAUGCCUUUUGAAGAGUAUAUAUUAUCCAAAUUGUUCCGUCCUUGAAGCGAUGUUAGGAGGGCAUCCCAGCCAAGUUUGGCGAGCCAUGAUCGAAGGGAGAGAUCCCCUGAAGCUGGGUUUGAUCAAGCGGAUUGGGAACGGUUCCUCAACUAAAAUAUGGGACGAUAACUGGCUUCCAAGGGAGGAGAUGAUGAGGCCCUAUGGAUGUGUUAGUCAGAAUCCCCCGGAGUUUGUGUCCGAACUCAUCGACCAGUCCGCAGCAUGCUGGGACGUACAGAGGAUUUCAGCGGUGUUUAUCUGAAGGAAAUAUGCCCUAGAGGCAAUAAUAAAGUUAUUAUUUAUUUCCUUAAUUCAUGAUAAAUGUUUAUUACUCAUCCUAGAAUUGUAUUAACCGGAAACUUAGUACAUGUGUGAAUACAUAGACAAAACAUAGUCCCUAGUAUGCCUCUACUAGACUAGCUCAUUAAUCAAAGAUGGUUAUGUUUCCUAACCAUAGACAUGUGUUGUCAUUUGAUGAACGGGAUCACAUCAUUACAUCAUUAGGAGAAUGAUGUGAUGGACAUGACCCAUCCGCUAGCUUAGCAUUAUGAUCGUGUCAGUUUCAUUGCUACUGCUUUCUUCAUGACUUAUACAAGUUCCUCAGAGUAUGAGAUUAUGCAACUCCCGAAUACCGGAGGAACACUUUGUGUGCUACCAAAUGUCACAACGUAAAUGGGUGAUUAUAAAGGUGCUCUACAGGUGUCUCCGAAGGUGUUUUUUGGGUUGGCAUAGAUUGAGAUUAGGAUUUGUCAUUCCGUGUUUCGGAGAGGUAUCUCUGGGCCCUCUCUGUAAUACUCAACACUAUAAGCCUUGCAAGCAUUGUGACUAAUGAGUUAGUUGCGGGAUGAAGUAUUACGGAACGAGUAAAGAGGCUUGCCGGUAAUGAGAUUGAACUAGGUAUGAUGAUACCGACGAUCGAAUCUCGGGCAAGUAACAUACCGAUGACAAAGAGAACAACAUAUGAUGUUAUGCGGUUUGACCGAUAAAGAUCUUCAUAGAAUAUGUAGGAACCAAUAUGAGCAUCCAGGUUCUGCUGUUGGUUAUUGACCGAAGACUUGUCUCAGUCAUGUCUACAUAGUUCUCGAACCCGUGGGGUCCACACGUUUAACGUUCGAUGACGAUUGGUAUUAUGAGUUUAUGUGAUAUGAUGUACCAAAGGUUGUUCGGAGUCCCGGAUGUGAUCACAGACAUGACGAGGAGUCUCGAAAUGGUCGAGACAUAAAGAUUGAUAUAUUGGAAGGCUAUGUUUGGAUACCGAAAAGGUUCCGAGAGGUUCGGGCAUUUUUCUGGAGUACCGAGAGGUUACCGGAACCCCCUGGGGAGUCAAUGGGCCUUAAUGGGCCAUAGUGGAAGAGAGGAGGAGGCGGCCAAGGUGGGGGCAUGCCCCCCCUCCCAAGCCCAAUCCAAAUUGGGAGGGGGGUCGGCCCCCUUUCCUUCUCUCCCUCUCCAUCUUCCUUCUUCUCCUACUCCAACUAGGGAAAGGGGGAAACCUACUCCUACUGGGAGUAGGACUCCCCCCCUUGGGGGCGCCAUAGAGGGCCGGCCCUCCCCCUCCUCCACUCCUUUAUAUACGGGGGAGGGGGGCACCCCAUAGACACACAAGUUGAUCAAGUUGAUCUUUUAGCCGUGUGUGGUGCCCCCUCCAAAAAUUUCCACCCCGGUCAUAUCGUCGUAGUGCUUAGGCGAAGCCCUGCGCCGGUAACUUCAUCAUCAUCGUCAACACGCCGUCGUGCUGACGAAACUCUCCCUUGACCUUAGCUGGAUCUAGAGUUCGUGGGAGGUCACCGAGCUGAACGUGUGCAGAUCGAGGAGGUGCCAUACCUUCGGUGCUAGGAUCAGUCGGAUCGUGAAGACGUACAACUACAUCAACCGCGUUGUCAUAACGAUUCCACUUUCAGUCUACGAGGGUACAUAGACAACACUCUCCCCUCUCGUUGCUAUGCAUCUCCUAGAUAGAUCUUGCGUGAUCAUAGGAUUUUUUUUGAAAUUACCGUGUUCCCCAACAUUAUGCCUAUAGAUGCUCGCGUAAUUCUAGGCAUCCCCCUCUGUACAAGAAAUAUGCCAUACUUUUGGAGCUGGCACCAUGAGAAGAAUGGUCUGUUCUCCGUUAGGCCAGCAUAUAGAAUGCUCGUCGCAACAAGAUCAAGAAGGGAAGCUUGGCUGGAGAACAGAGUGGGCACAUCAAGUGCGGCGGGGGACGAACAUGCUUGGAAGAAGCUAUGGAAAACACAAGUUCCAGGGAAGGUGAGGACCUUCCUUUGGCGGUUAUCAAAACACUCAAUCCCAACUAAUGAUGUCUGAGCUCAUAGACACAUGACAGAUUCCAGUGCAUGUGGUUUGUGCGGAGCCCAAGAUUCUUGGAGACACUCUUUGCUGGAAUGCACAAUGUCACGAUGCACAUGGACCCUAGUUAACGAGGAGCUGGCCCAAACAAUGGCAACAGUCACUGAACCGAGUGCAAAACAAUGGCUCUUCACAUUGAUGGAACUUCUCUCACAUGAGGAUUUUGUAAAGCUUUCGGUGACACUAUGGGCUCUUUGGGCAGCUCGCCGCAAAGCGAUACAUGAAGGGAUCUUUCAAAGCCCGCAGACGAUCAAUUAUUUCACCAACAACUACAUUGCCGAGCUUGAUGUUAUCAGGGGAAAGCAAGAGCGGGUGCCUCGAGCUGGUACAGGGGUAAUAUACCUACUGGAAGACCAAGAGCUCCUCCUCAGGGAUACGCAAAAAUCAACGUAGAUGCGGGGACCCGACGCGAAAGGGGAUCUCUUGUUGCUGUGUGCAGGGAUAACACAGGUGCAUACUUGGGUAGUUCUGCACUGGUCAUUGAUGGACUAGAUGACCCGGCGGCUCUUGAAGCGAUAGCUUGUCGCAAAGGCAUGGCGCUAGCGGCAGACCUCCACAUAAACCAAUUUGUGAUCACCUCGGAUGCACAAGCAGUGGUGAAUGAGAUCAACAAGGGCAGCUUAGGCACCUAAGGGACAAUUAUCAAUGAAAUAAAACUUCGGUCUGAGUUAUUUUGAUGUAAUUUUAUUUUUGAAGGUCGUGCCUUGAAUCAGGAAGCACAUAGUUUAGCCAAACAAUCACUUUUCCUAGGUCCAGGGUGUCAUGUCCGGUUUGGCCAACCCCGUGAUCUGAAGUGUAUCCCACUCAAUGUAGUUUUUUAUGAAUAAAGUUUGGCUUACCUCUAAAAAAAUGUAUGGUGAUAAAAUACCUGAUUGGCCGGACAGCCGGCGGGAGUGCAAAAUCAACAGUGAGCCCUAGCACCACGGAUGAAUCACGGCGGUGUCCUGGUUUGGUCAUCCACGGCGCAUGCGGACGGGGAGCGGCGGCAAGCCCUAGCAGCGAGGCACAAAGUUACGAUCGACCGAUUGUUUGGCGGCCCCAGAUCGCUGUGGUGGAAAAGAACAUGCAGUUUGCAAGCCACGAUGGCUCAAUGGUUACGAGUGUCAGGCUCGUAGUGGGCUUGGGCUUAUGCGCCAGGUUAACCUUCAGGUUAAGUCUAAUCAGGCCCUGUACAAUGGCAGGUGCUAACACAGAUGCCUGAGAAAAAAACCCGGUUUUUUACCUGAGAUUGGAAUGCACCGAUGCUUAGGAAGGAAAGCAGAAGCAAAGUUUUGCUUCCGGUGCCAGCGGGUGCUUAGCAGAAGUAACUGCUCCAUUCAGUCACGGACGCUUCAAUCCAGCGCCUGCAUCGGCAGAAAAUAAAAAGAAAAAAAGCCCAGCUGGCACCCCACACGAAGCACUCUGCGUUGCGGACCAAAGAAAAUUCCGUGACGAAGCAUAGCUAGCACCGGUGUAUAGGCUUCCGCGUUGUACAAGGCCUCAGUAACCAACAAGGCCUAAUUGCAGCCUAGUACCUCACGUAAAUUGCUAAGGANNNNNNNNNNNNNNNNNNNNNNNNNNNNNNNNNNNNNNNNNNNNNNNNNNNNNNNNNNNNNNNNNNNNNNNNNNNNNNNNNNNNNNNNNNNNNNNNNNNNNNNNNNNNNNNNNNNNNNNNNNNNNNNNNNNNNNNNNNNNNNNNNNNNNNNNNNNNNNNNNNNNNNNNNNNNNNNNNNNNNNNNNNNNNNNNNNNNNNNNNNNNNNNNNNNNNNNNNNNNNNNNNNNNNNNNNNNNNNNNNNNNNNNNNNNNNNNNNNNNNNNNNNNNNNNNNNNNNNNNNNNNNNNNNNNNNNNNNNCCCUGCUCCCCCUGUCUCCGCCCCUGGUGGGGGCGAUAGGUCGUGCGGGCGUACGUUGUUGGCAACCUUUUUCUUUUCUUGAACGACGGGGCAGUUAGCGAUCGAGGGCUUAUGCGUGGUUUGUAGUGUUAAACACCCAAGGAUUAAGGGUCAUUAGAUCUUGUUGAUUGAUUGGUCUGAUUAUUUGGAUCUACCUUCUUUUUUUAUAGGGGUAAUAGAUAAAUAGAUACUUCCUCCGUAAACUAAUAUAAAAGCGUUUAGAUCACUAGUUUACAGAGGGAGUAGUAGAUAGAUAGAUAGAUAGUGCACACUGUCUUGCAGGAAAACUUUACCUUCCUGAGUAACUACCGGGCCGGCCCAUUUUCCUCAAUUUUUAAAAAUUUAUAAUGUCUCGAUGUCCAACGUUUUCAUACACAUUAAUUUUUUCUGCAUAUCUAAAAACUUUUAAAUACAAGUUUAACAUUUAUGAUAUAUAUGAUUAAUAUUCUUAAAAUAUAUGUUUUGAUGUCUACUUUUCUCCGUACACAUCUUACAUUUUUUUAUACAUCUGAUACAUUUUUUAAAUUUUAUAUAUGCAUGUUUAAUAUUUCCAAAUACAUGAUUACCAUUUUCAAACAUAUAUUGUUGGAUGUAUACUUCUUCCAUACACAUUGUACAUUUUUUUAUAUGCAUCUUUAUAAUUUUCCACAUACACGAUUAACAUUUUUGGAAACUUACAUUUUUUAUGUCUACUUGUUUUCAUACAUAUUGUACAUUUUUCAUAUACAUCAAAAUCAUUUUUACUAUACACAUUUAAAGAAUCAAAUGAAUGAUUAAAUUUAAAAAAAGUAUGUGAAGUAUUUUUUUGUAAUAUAUAUAUUUUUAGAAUAUUUAGAAAAAAAGUGAAACAAAAAAAGAACAAGUGAGGCAGUGGCCUCCCACGCGCUGGGCCGGCCAAGUUAGGCAGGCGCCUAGUUGCGCGUGCUAGUUGGACCGGCCCAUUCGUUAGCUCCAUUCAGUCUCGCGUCAAGCGAGACAUAAUCGAGACCAACUAAUGAACGAUUACCCCUUGCGGGGCCCCGUACGGGUAACUUUUGUGGUUUGAGAGCGCGUCAAGUGGUGCAUCCAUCAGCCGCCAUGUGGCAUGUUGGCUCUCCCUCUGGAAUUUAAUUUUUAUUAUUCUGUACACAUUUUUAGGUUUUAUGUGUUUUUUAUGGCUUCUCGAUUUUUGCGUGGUUAUCCCUAGGUUUUGAGAAAAAAAGUUCUUUUGGAAAUAAAAAUUGUGCUUCCAUGAGAAGCACAUCGAAUGGGGAAAAAUGUGCUUCGUCAAGAAGCACAUAUUUGUAGUGGAAGCGUAGAUUUAUUUCCGCAAGAAGCACAACCUUGAAAAGGAAAAAAAAUGUGCUUCCAUUAGAAGCACAUAUUUGCUUCUGCGAGCUAUGCUUCUAAAAAAAGUGCUUUCACAAGAAGUACAACUAUGCCUCUUGAAAAAGAAAAAUAAAGCGAAAAAACGCAAGUGUGCUUCGGUUUUUUCUUUCUUUUUUCCGUUAUUCGUUUUUUUCGGUUUUCGUUCUUUUUACUAGUUUUUUGGUAUUUGUUUUUCUGGUUUUGGGUUUUUCAUAAAAAAAUCAGCGAAAUAUGUUAACAUGGGAUCUAAUUUAAACUAGCAGAGCCCGUGCAGCGGCACGCCGCACCUGUCAAUACGAUUUGUCCAUAUGGACUGUGUUAAUUGCCUAUAAUAAGUGUUAUUAGUUUUAAAAAGACAUAAUCAUGUACGUAAAAAUGUGGACGUAGGAAGAUAUGUUGGAAAAAAGCAUACUUAUUCCAUCAUGCUGGCUGCAUGUUUCACACGUUGAUAGUACAUUUUUUAUAAGAUUAUUCUUGUCGUACAUGGCACGUUCUACAGAAUAAAUGGUACAUGAUCAUGUUGUUGCAAUAAGAUGAAAGAAACAUAGAAGCUCAUGGCAGAUAAGAUCAUCCUAGUGUAGACUCCUGUUGAAUUAGUGCUUGUGAUGAAGUGGUAUAGUCUUUGCUCCAGCCCGCAGGUAGCUCGGCGCAUGUUUAUCUAAUGAUGAGAUCUUCACUAUGUGAACGUUGGGUAGCUUAUAUUCCACAAUAUAUAUUAUUGUAUAGCAUGUGAAAUUAUCCUACAUUUUCUCUUUGUAAAUUUAUUGGGUUUGAUAAGUUUCUUGGUAUGAAAAUUAAGUCAAUAGAAUAAUUGAAUGACUCUAGAAGAGUGGUAUUCAUGGAUCUUUAUUUAUUUCAUAAUCUAGUUUGAAUACAUUACAUAGGAAGACGUCAACAUUAGAUAUAAAUUAAUAUAAAGGAAUAGAUGUUGUGUAGACAGACUUAAACUAAAUAGAGCAAAAAUUGAACAGUGCUAUCUCAACACAAGAAAUUCAACAAUGAAAACAGUUCGGGAUUGACGUACAGUUCAAAAGAUAAAACAUUUUAAAUAAACAAAUUAGAAAAAACACCCAGGUUGAGAAGAUGUGGGGAGUGACCUUUGCUCCGUGCGACAUUUUAGGUAGUCGAUAAGAACGUCUACCCUCCCACUAAACACUCAUCGCCAAAUGUCUAAAAUUUUAGGAAAAAUGCGAGCAUCAGUGUUAAGAUUAGGACUUGAAUCCCGGUGAGUUGAGAUAUCACCGUCCUCCCAACCAUCCAACCACAAAUUGGUUUGUGUUCAUUUUUUUUCCUAACGUGCUAUUUGUUCCAACUUUGUCUGUUUUUUAAUUAUCAUUUACAUGUUUUCCUUUUUUUUGUUUCUUAGAAAAAGCUUAAGCAUUUGUCAUGAUGUGUGCAAUGUAUUGCACACUAUUUGGCAAACAAAUUUGUGUGUAGUGAGUUCACCUGUCGCCCACAGCUUGUUUGAAAAAUGUGUGAGAUGAAGUACACACACUGUUUUGUUACGUAAACUGUGUGCGUUAAUAUUUGGGUGAUUCUAUUCUGAGAAAUCGUGUACGAUAUAGUUUUCACAUUAAUAACAAAAUGUUUGUGUGUGUUAUUGCAAAAUGGAUAAGAACGACCGUCGGUCCACGCGUCUUCUCUUUGAUGUGCAGGAAGGGCUAGGCACAGACUGUACUGAUCUGAUUCCCGCCGGUGCUCUUGGGUUCCCGACCGUGCCGCCCAAUUUUUGUUGAUCACCAUGUGUCGGUGCCACAACUGCACAAUGCGCACACCAAUGCCUACUUUCACGCGCAUCGCCGAGGAUUGCCGCCCAAGCACGUCAAGCGGUUGGUCGAAAAAUAAUAUAAUUUCGCCCAUGGUAUAAAACUCCCCUUGCUCCAUGUUCUCCCUCAUCGAGAUCGCCCCCACCGCCGACAAAACCAAUGGUUCCGCCAUGCCACAACUCAUCGACUUGCGAGAGGAGUUGUUGCAUAUGCUUGGUGUUGCUGCCACGCUGCUCGCGCAUCGAGCAUGAUCGCCAAGUGUUGGCGCGCCGAGGCACCUACGUCGCCCACAUCGCACAGAAUGCGACCGAUAGAGCCAAGGCGCCAGCCGCCAUUGUCGGCACAGGGGCCGUAGCGGCAGUCGCCGCCUCGAACGAUGACGACAAUGAAGGUGCCCCUCAGCUCGAGCCGGACAUGUUGUUGGCCCUCGCUUAGUCCAUUUAGGAUGAGCGACGCAUAUCAUUAGGUAGAACAAAUGGUAAAGCCGUGUUUUCCACCAAAUGGUAUGAAUUUCGCUAAUUUACAAGAAAAGAAUGAUAGGUACAAAAAUUUCUAAGCGGAUGGUGAAGAAAUACCAGCACAAAAAGACAGAAAGCAAGAGAUACUUUUGAAACUAUAACUUUAAACCAACAAGCUUUGCUCGGAACGAUCCCACAUGACAAAAGCACAGAAAAGACAUAAUAGAUCAACAAGCAAAGAACACAAUUUAUGGCAAUGACGAGCCUACAGAAAGAUUGGUAGAAGAGACCUACAAGGAUGCACGAACAUAAGGAGCAAGAGUUAACCGAAUAAAGAAGAGGAACAUGAAAGAAGAACUUAAAGAAGUAAGGUAAAUUGUGUGGUAGAAGGGCCAACAUGAAUCGGUAUGUAUGAAGUAUCUAUGCAAGACGGAGAUAUAUGCGGUCAGGUGUUCAGAGUGUAUCGAAUUUGAGUCAGAUUUUCACGAUAAUAACAAUGACAAUAUAAAGCGUGAACUGAGCGUUUCUUAGAGGAUUAGGAUCCUCAUGUGAAACCAAGUCCUAAAUUUGAUAUUGGUGGUCAUAUUUUUUAAAUUUAUUUCAGGCCAUUUGAUGACAUGCAUUCAAUGUAAGAAAAUGUUUCCAUCGACUAUGAAGACACAUGUGAUAAUUUUAUUAAUUUUUUUCUUGCUGGACGAUUUUGUCAAUCUCAAUAUGACGUGUUGGCUCGGUCUCUUUAAGAUGCUCAUGGGAUGCGUGCGUGUGUUUUGUAUGUGCGCCUGUGUUAAAUAAAAGAAGACAAUGAAAAGCAUACGAAAAUCCUUUAUUUCAAAAUGGGUCCCAAAAGCGAACCAACUAUGGUUGAGAUGGUUAGGUGGACAGUGGUAUCCCCAACCCACCGGGAUUCAAAUCAUGGUGCUCGCAUUAUUUCUGGAUUUAUUUGAUGCGUUUUCAGUGGGAGGAGGCGUUCCCGUCGACGACGAGGCGACUACGGUAACUUCGUAAAUCUCAAGAUGAUAUGCCGGCUCAGUCUUUCGGAGAUGCUCAUAAGGGUAGAAUGUACGUGUGUGCGUUCAUAGGGAUGAGUGUAUGCACAUGUAUAUGUGCGCCUGUGUCUGUACUGAUGCUUAAAAAAAAAGUCGCAAAAGCCCGGUACCCAGUGUGGUACUGCGCCAACAAAAUCCGGUCUCCGUGUGGCUCAUUGAAGAAGUGGACUGUGGUCGCUUCGCAGCCCGGCUUCUCCGCAAUAAAGAAACCACUCUGACGCGGCUCUGCCAACACGCGACGCGAUGAUCUCGCCCCUCCUUCCUCCCAUUCCCACUCCACCUCCGCGAACCUUAGCCCCGCCGCAGCCGCAUUCAUCUGCCGCCUCCUCGUAGCCGCCGACGCCGCCGCCGGCCCGUCGCCUCACCGGACUCCCCUCCAUACUACGCAACCUUAUCUAGGUAAACCCCUGGCCUCUCCGGUUUAGUCCGUACAUCGGGUUUACCGCUUAAUCCGUCGGCGGGUUCCCUUGAUCGCCGAGUUAGGGUUUACCGGCCGCCGACAAAGCGCACAGCGUGGCGGCGUGCGUUGUUUGACGGCCGGAAUACGGCGCCCCGCUGUUCUGACUUCUGACGAGGCGAUGCAUUUUGCUUCGAGUUCGAGGGUUUUGUGAAACUUUGGGGGAGGCUUGGACUCUGGUUGCUUGACGGCCACCGCGCCAUUUCCGGCCCUUGCUUACAACUUUGACCCGGCCGUGGUACUACGUGUGGUGCAUACUGUGGAGGCCGUUGUGUGAUAUACGAUGGGAUCUUUUAUUAAGAAAUUAUAAUCUCUGAACAGGGGGGAAAUACGUCCUUACCAACCAAAUUACUCGUGGCACUGGGAAAAUGUGCUAUUUAGUACGUUUGGUUUGGAUUUGAUCUGCUAUCAUUCAUAGUCGCAUCGUCUUCUUGCAUUGCACGAAUAAAUGUUGACGGAAGGUGUCAACAAGAUCAGUUAUAGCUGCAAUUUUCUUAUGUGCAAGUUCUCGGUUUUGGGUCUGCCUUGCCUCAAGUCUCAACAUGUUCUAUUUUUAGGAAGAGACAAAUAUGUUUGGUUUCCUCAAUCCCUCAGAGCAAUUACCCUGACCAAGAAACCUUUAAUAAACAUGAGAAUACUUCAUGGAGAAAAUAGCUUCAUGCUUUCAUUUAUAUUCUGUUGAGAGCAAAUAUGUGCAAAUGAAAACCAGGGCAAACAUCCUCCUUUAUAUAACCGAUAAGGUUUGAUGAUGUUUGAAUAUUCCGAAGUGGUUGAUUUGGAAGCGGCGGAGGGCUUACACCUUUGAAGGCAAGCAGCCAAAUGUCGAAUGCUUGACGCUCCCCAUCCAAUCUAAAGCACGUGUGUGUGCUACAGGCUGCUUGGCGGGACUUCUAGCAAUACCCUAAGGGGUAACUGCAAUCAGUGGCAGGGCCACCUCCAGGCAACCCCAGGCAGCUUCCCAGGCUUGGCCAGAGAUCAUCCGCUGAGAAGUGGUGUGAUCCUAGAGGUUGAAGAUGGUGUUUGGUUGGCAAAAGUUUACUCACGUAGCCAUAGUCAGGCUUGCCCAGGCUCCAAAGUCCGGCUGGCUCCGCCACUGAAAUGCCAUGUCCGAUUGUUAGUGGGUGUUGUCUACCCUUACUCUUGUACAUAAACCUUUUUGUUCUAUCAACGCAUCAAGGCACAAGGCUUUUGCGCUUAGAUGAGAAAGGAAUGUUCUUAAUUUAUAUUUCGUUAUAAAUUGUCAGUGGGUGUUGCCUACCUUUAGUCUUGUACAUAAACCUUUUUAUUCUAUCAACACAUCAAGGCACGAGGCUUUUCCGCAUAGUUGAGAAAGGGAUGUUCUUAAUUUAUAUUUGGUUAUAAAUGAUUUAUAAUGCUUAGGCAAUGCUAUUUUGUACUCUUUUAACUUAUUGAUUAUAUAUGUAACUUAUUCUGCAGGGAUUCAGCAUGGUUGAGCUCGUCCAAAACUAUGAUGUGCUGGAGAAGUGUACAAAAGAUAUUCUCUCCAUAAUCAAGCCAACAGAGGCCGAUCAGAACAAACGACUGCACGCAAUUCAGGAGAUUGUGGAUUCCAUCUAUUUAGUUGGUCGCUUGGGAGGUAACUUCUCAUUGUUUGGUUACCAUAUGGCUCUUUUCCAUCUCUUGGAAACAACCACUUGCAAUCCUGAUAUUUAUAAAGGGUGCAGUGUUGUAAUUGUUUGACAUAAAGCUUGGCUAGUACUUAAUUAUAUAAAUUAUGGAAGGAAAAUUUUUUCCCUUCUUGCACAUGCUGUAGAUUCCUCGUAGAUUACUUUAACAUAGACCCCCAUCCGAACAUUUUAUUGCAACUUCCGUUACUCGUAUUCAUCAAAGAUCUCCAGGAAGGCUUUUCCCCUUCAACGGACUAUAUAGGUUGUGGUCUCUGGGUAACAUUUGCAUUCUAUGAAAACACUAAUAAGUGACAAUCCUGUAAAAUCCGUAUAACCCUAAAGUGGAUAAGUCUGGUUUGUGUCAAAUUACUGGCAAUAUUCCUACUGUGAGUGCUGUAAGUGGGAAGCAUUGGCUACUCAAUGACUGACAUACGGAAGCUGCUCAAACGGCAUACCAUUUUACUGUUCUUAUUCUUUUGUUAUACUAUGCCUAGUGAGUCAACACAUUUGUUAUUUAAAUUUCUAGGAGGUGUUGAGAGGUUUAUUACUAGUAUGGUUUUCUUACUUUUCCUAUUUCCCUUAACAGAUGCUGCUGUCAAACCUUUUGGAUCCUUUUUAUCAAAACUUUACGCAAAAUCAGGUGAUUUGGAUGUAUCAGUUGAGCUGCCAAAUGUCUUAGGCUUCCCUACAAGCAAGGAAAAGAAGCAAAGUCUCUUGGGAGAACUAAUGAGAGCUUUAGAAGUUAGAGGUAACUUCUUUUAAAUCCAUGCACCUGUGUCCAUAACGGAACGUCUUGUACUCUAAUCAUGUAUAUGUUUGAUCAUUCUAUUCAAGACACGAGAGCAUCCUCUUGUUUUUUGGUUGCUUCCGACAUCCAGAUAAAUCUUCUCAGGCAACCAUGUUCCUGCUUUGCCUGUUUGAAUGCAAUACCUUUUGCUAUCUGUGUGGCUGGACUCAUUUAGAUUUUGUGAGAUCAUUUUUUACGAGAGAUUGAAGGGGAGCCUUGUGACCAUGAGGUCACGGGUUCGAGUUCUGGAAACAGCCUCUUAUAGAAAUGUAGGGAAAGGCUGUGUACAAUAGACCCAAAGUGGUCNNNNNNNNNNNNNNNNNNNNNNNNNNNNNNNNNNNNNNNNNNNNNNNNNNNNNNNNNNNNNNNNNNNNNNNNNNNNNNNNNNNNNNNNNNNNNNNNNNNNNNNNNNNNNNNNNNNNNNNNNNNNNNNNNNNNNNNNNNNNNNNNNNNNNNNNNNNNNNNNNNNNNNNNNNNNNNNNNNNNNNNNNNNNNNNNNNNNNNNNNNNNNNNNNNNNNNNNNNNNNNNNNNNNNNNNNNNNNNNNNNNNNNNNNNNNNNNNNNNNNNNNNNNNNNNNNUCCCAUACUUUAUUUAGGUGUUUCUAGAGAUGUGAACUUCAUUCCUACUGCAAGAGUUCCAGUUCUUCAGUAUGUGAGCAACCACUUUGGUGUUUCCUGUGAUAUAUCCAUUGAUAACUACCCUGGUGGACUUAAAUCCAAAGUGCUGUACUGGAUCAAUACUUUAGAUGGCCGCUUUGGCGAUAUGGUUUUAUUGGUAAGUUCUUUGUACCCAAGAGAUAGUUUUCUUUCCAACAAUUUCUUAGUUCAGCUCAAGCUUAGUACCAUAUUUUCUUGCAGGUCAAGGAAUGGGCAAAAGCUCAAAACAUCAACGAUCCAAAAGAUGGAACCCUCAACUCCUAUUCGCUUUGCUUACUUGUACUCUUUCAUUUUCAGGUGCCCUUUUCAAUUUAGAGGUCACCUAUUUUUUUAUCAACAGUUUUAUCAAAGUUGAACAGCUUAUGUCAUGCUCUUAAUCUUGCAUUUGCAGACAUGUAAGCCUGCGAUUUUACCACCUAUGAAUGAGUUUUUAGAUGUGAACAUUUCAGCAGGUGAGAUGAAAUUGGAUUGUUUGUGAGACUAAAGAUUGUCUGGUGUACCGUGUAUUGGUGCUGGUAAUUUACCCUUUGCGUUCACAUGCAGAAAGUGGGCCUUAUAAUGAAAAAAAUCUUGAUGAGAUGUGUGCGGAAAGUAUAGCAAAGUUUCGACGCCGGGACAUAGGGCAAAGGAAUCAGAGCUCUCUGUCUCAUCUCCUUGCAACUUUCUUUGAGAAGGUAAUUGAACUUAUUGUCCGCUAUAUUGACUAAGUCAUCGCCAUCUAAAUUCUAAAUUCUAAAUGCUGUUCAAAGAAUGGUAAAUAUGAUAUUCAUGUUUCGAAGCACAUCUUCUUCUGCCUAUGUUGUAGCCCUUGGCUGCCAUAUUUUUGGGCCACCUUUUGUCUUAUUUUGAGAUGUUCACCAUCAUACCAUAAUAAACUUAGCAUAGUGAUAAACAAGGGUGCGCUUGGAUCUUUCGCCGUUCAUGCCCAGGAGACAAGGCUUUUGAGCUAUAGCUUACACGAGCAAAGCAAAUAUUUGGUUCAACUAACAACCUCCAUGUCCAAGCACAAUUCCAGUGGCCAUUAUCUUGCCGACGGAGGAGAGCCAAAUUGGCCCUCCUACUGGGUCAAGGCUUUUCUAGCCCAUGCAGUCUAGAUUGAACAGCAAAGCUAGUUAUUUUGUUUUUAUCCAAUAACUCUCCUAUCUAGCUAAGACUAGAAUUGCUUAGGCACGAAACACAUCCGAAGUUGCCUAUGUUUGGGCGCUAGCUAAUAGGUUUAUAUGUCUUAUCCAGAGAGAAGCUCAAGCAAAGCACAUGUUCUUAAAUGGUUUAGUUGAGUUUGGUCAAGCGCAUACAGUUCCUACUGGGGUUAUGACUUAUAAGUACUUAGGCCAACCUAAUUAGAUAACCUUUUUGCCAACUACAAUUUUGAGGGGAAAUCAGCUAAUCACUUACCUAACCAAAAUGUGUUCAUUUUUGUUAGCUCAAGAUAUUUUUGUUAACAAGCACAUUUGAGUUUCAGGUGAAGUGCACUAUUUGCCGUAUGUAUUUGCAGUACUGUGAUGAGAUUUGGUAUUAAUAAUUUUCAUUCGAAAAAGGCAUAACAUGGACAAUGUCAAAAUGCUGCAGUUGUACUAUUCAAAAUUGUAGCACUGUCAUAACAUGAGAUAAAAAAAUCUAGUGAUGCCCAUUCGGCUGAUAUACAAUACCGUUUGCAGUUUUGCCGUCUAGGUGUCCAUUCUAGUGAUCAUGUUAUAUCCACUUACAUGGGCCGGCUCCAGCGAAAACAAGGCGGCCUAUAUUGGAUGACCAAAUCUUGCUACUUGUUUGUAAGUAUUCCCUUCAUAGCACAUUUGGUGGCUAUAUUCGUAAAUGUCUAAAAAAUAGCCUCACAUGUACACUGUUUUUUUCUUCUUGUUUAGGUUGAAGAUCCAUUUCAGAGACUUGAUAAUGCAGCUAGAACAGUUGAUGUGCUAGGGCUUCAUGAUAUUGCCACAGCCUUAAAAAAUGCUAAAAAUAUUGUCUCCUCUGAUGGGCCUGUUGACCGGAAUGAAUUCCUUUCGCUGCUGUGUACGCCUGAAGUUGGUUCUAAACUGGGUGCAAGAGCCACGGCUGGCCGUUACGCUACUCCUGCGACGACCCUUCAGGAGGACAGAUUCAGAGGAUUUCUGGAACGUUUGGCAGCUAACCCUUUCGAUAAUCAGCAUCGCCUUAGAGCCCAAGGAUCAACAGGAAGCAGAUCAAUUCAUAGCCCACAGCCACAGGGGUACAAUUCAGGCAGGCAGGCAGCUGCUCGACGCCAGAGCCAGCAGCGCAGAGGGGAGUACACUUCAGAUCGUCAAGCUAGUGGUCAUGCUCUGAAUGCGAUGUUUGAUGAGAUUUUGGGUAGACGUCUCCACAAUGGUUCAGCACCCAACUCACGAUCCCAAGCCUUCUCCAGCAGGUCACCAGGGCAAUACUGGUAGCAAGUCAACGGCAACAGCAUCGAUUGACAAGUAGUCCCAGGGUAGCAGCAGAUGAUCUUCAGCUUUUUUACCGGCAGUGUGGACCAAGUUAUGUUUGAUUAAUUAGUUUUUUCCUGACAAACUGCAUCCGUUUAUGUUACUUGACGUGCUACCUCAGUCCCAAAAUAUAAGAUCAUUUUUGAGACAAUCAUAUGGUAGUAUUACAUUUUGGGAAGGAGGGAGUAGUUCCCAGCCGGCUCAUAUGCUUGAGCCCGUGGUUACGUGGAUUGUAGGAUCGAAAAUUUGUAGUCUUGCUUGACAGAACCUUCUUGGGAAUUCCUCGCUAUACAUGUAUGUGCAAUGAAAUUGAGAGACAGGAGGGCUCUGUACUUCUGUAGUCAUGCAAUCACGCUUUUACAUUGUAAAGUACUAGUUCGUCGCACCGUGUGCUAAGCUCUGGGACGUACAAAUUGCCACUAAGUCACGGAAAGACCAAUCGAAGCUUCCAUGAUUUCAUACCGGAUAAGAACACAUUGCAUUGUUGGCACAAUAAUGGGGGGAAGACUUGUAUAGGAUCUGUUCUUAGGUGAGAUCAAUGAGAUCAAUCAUUUUGAAGAUAGAUACAAAACAUGUUAAAAAAUUCUGAAAAAAAUUGGAGACAUACAUCCAUAUUUGAUGGUUUCAGCUCCCAAAUCGAACUACACUUAGAGAAACAAAAAAGACAAAAUCAGAUGUGAAUAGUAUCAAAUACUAUUCAUCCCAAAGUAGAUACUAUUCAUAAUCGAAUUUGUCUUUUUUGAAUCGCUAAUUGUAGAUCGAGUUUUGAGCUGAUUUUUUUGGAGUUGUAGACAUACCCCGCAGGUAUGUUGUACAUUUUUUUUCAGAUUUUUUUGGAUGGUCUAAAUAUGAAAUAUUUGAGUUGAUCCUACGAUCUCACCUAAAAGGCUGAUCCUAUACAAGUCUUCCCCUUAGGUGAGAUCAAUGAGAUCAAUCUUUUUCAAGAUACAUAACAUGUUAAAAAAUCCUGAAAUAAUUUGGAGACACACAUCCAUGUUUGAUGUACGAUCUCAAAAAGUUUCAGCUCCUAAUUCAAACUACACUUAGAGAAACAAAAAAGACAAAAUUGAAUGUGAACAGUGACACACUAUCCACCCAAAGCUGACAUUAUUCACAGUUGAACUUGUCAUUUUUGUAUCUCCAAUUGUAGACCGAGUUUUGAGCUAAUGUAUUUUGAAGUUGUAGAUAUACAUCACAUGUAUGUUGACAAAUAAUUUCAGAUUUUUUUGGAUUGUCUAAAUGUGAAUUUUUUUGGUUGAUCCCACAAUCUCACUUAAAGGGCAGAUUCUAUUCUAGUCUCCCCCGCACAAUAAUGGUGUUCGAUGGACCCAACUUAUGAUAUACUGCGAGAUCACAUAGUCACUAUGUUGUUGGUAUUAUCAUAUUAUGUGUUAACGUUUACUCUUGUACCUAGACCAUAAGAAUAUCGUAGGACCUUCAUACCGGAUGGUUACUUUAUGUUAAAUGUAGCUAUGGGUAUACCAAAAAAGUAUGUCAAGAUUCUCGAUGGUUCAAGACUGGAAUUUGCUCCUUCGAUGAUGGAGAGGUACUUUUCGGGCCCACUCGGUAUAAUGUUACCCAACAUCGCCUGAAAGAAACAAAUGUGAUUGUUAUCAUGGGGAUACUGAAAUACGGAAAUGAGAAAGAGAACAAAACUGGUAAGGAGGAUAACAGGUAUAGUGAUCAAAGUGUUGAUCAUGGAAAUACUGUCUCGCCUCAGGUUUUGUAAAUGUACUGCGAAGCAAAGGGAAGUGUAUGUGGUAACAAAAGGUUCACCUAGUAAAGAUCUUCUUGUAUAUGUGGGAAUUAUCAUGGGUGUGCAGAUCCCGAUGUUAAUUAUUGACGAGAAGAUGUUCUAGGUCAUGUCCACAUUACCAAACUUGCAGGGUCACGCGCUUAAUGACUGCUGUUUUUUAGGAAAACUAGAAUAUCAUAGGAGAAUGAGAGAAGGACAUCAGAAGUGUUUCAAAUGAUCCUAUAAGUGCCGUGGGAGGUCUCGGGAGUUCGGAAAGCAUUUGAGAUUGUCCAAGAAGGUUGUGGAACCUUUUGGAAACGUUCGGAACCUUUCGAAGGGUCCUAGUGGUCUAAACCCGCUGACCCAAGGGGUGAUACCCACAUGGGCCUUAAAGGCCUAAUUAUGGGGUGCCACAAGGUGGCCUGGGGGGCAAGCCAUGAGGCAGAGUUACAUGAGGACUUCACCUCAUGUCUCCUCGGCCAUAGGAAAGCUUGGCCUCCAAGUCGGUCGACCCGCUAUAGCCACCUAUAAAUUAUUGAAGGAAAUAUGCCCCAGAGGCAAUAAUAAAGUUGUUAUUUUAUAUUUCCUUAUAUCAUGAUAUAAUUGUAUUAAUCAGAAACUUGAUACAUGUGUGGAUACAUAGACAAAACACUGUGUCCCUUGUAAGCCUCUACUAGACUAGCUCGUUAAUCAAAGAUGGUUAAAUUUCCUAACCAUGGACAUGUGUGGUCAUUUGAUGAACAUGAUCACAUCAUUAGGAGAAUGAUGUGAUGGACAAGACCCAUCCGUUACCUUAGCAUAUUGAUCAUUCAGUUUUAUUACUAUUGCUUUCUUCAUGUCAUAUACAUAUUCCUUUGACUAUGAGAUUAUGCAACUCCCGAAUACCGGAUGAAUACCUUGUGUGCUAUAAAUGUCACAACGUAACUGGGUGAUUAUAAAGAUGCUCUACAGGUAUAUUUGAAGGUGUUUGUUGGGUUGGCAUAGAUCGAGAUUAGGAUUUGUCACUCCGAGUAUCGGAGAGGUAUCUCUGGGCCCUCUCGGUAAUACACAUCAUAAUAAGCCUUGCAAGCAAAGUGAAUUCUGGUAACGAGAUUGAACUAGGUAUGAAGAUACCGACGAUCGAAUCUCAGGCAAGUAACAUACCGAUGACAAAGGGAAUAACAUAUGUUGUCAUUACGGUACGACCGAUAAAGAUCUUCAUAGAAUAUGUGGGAACCAAUAUGAGCAUCCAGGUUCGAUGUUGGUUAUUGACCAGAGAGGUGUCUCGGUCAUGUCUACAUAGUUCUCGAACCCGUAGGGUCCACACGCUUAACGUUCGAUGACGAUUUUGUAUUAUAUGAGUUAUGUGAUUUGGUGACUGAAUGUUGUUCAUAGUCCCGGAUGAGAUCACGGACAUGAUGAGGAGUCUCGAAAUGGUCGAGAGGCAAAGAUUCAUAUAUUGUACGAUGAUAUUCGGACACCAGAAGUGUUCCGGGGGUACCGGGUACAUAUCGGGUCACUGGAAGGGGUUUCGGGCAUCCCCCCGGCAACUGCAUGAGCAUAAUGGGCCAAGAAAGGGGGAGGAAAAAAUAAGGGGGAAGGAAAGAGGGGAAGAGAGAAAGGAAGGGGAGCAAUUCGGCCUCUCCCUUCCUUCUCUCCUCCCUCCUCCUUCCUUCCCCCUCCGGAUGAAUAUGGAAGGGGGGAGGCCGAAUUGGGAGUCACCCAAGUAGGAUUCCUCCUACUUGGGGCGCCCCCUUGGCUGCCUCUCCUCCCCUCCAACCUAUAUAUAUAUAUAUGAGGGGGGCACCGCUAGAACACACAUCAACAGUUGUUAGCUGUGUGCGGCGCCUCCCUCCACAGUUUAUGCAUCCGGUUAUAUUCAUGUAGUGCUUAGGCGAAGCCCUGCGCAGAUCACUUCACCAUCACCGUCACCGCGCCGUCGUGCUGACGGAACUAUCCCUCGACACUUUGUAGGAUCAAGAGUUCGAGGGACGUCAUCAAGCUGAACGAGUGCAGAACUCGGAGGUGCCGUACAUUCGGUGCUUGAUCGGUCGGAACGAUAAGAAGUUCGAUUACAUCUACCACGUUGUCAAACGCUUCUGCUUUCAGUCUACACUCUCCGUUGCUAUGCAUCUCCUAGAUAGAUCUUGCGUGAGCAUAGGAUUUUUUUUGAAAUUGCAUGCUACGUUUCCCAAUAGUGGCAUCCGAGCCAGGUCUAUGCGUAGAUGAUAUGCACGAGUAGAACACAAAGAGUUAUGGGCGGUGAUAGUCAUACUGCUUACCACCAAUGUCUUAUUUUCAUUCGGCGGUAUUGUUGGAUGAAGCAGCCCGGACCAACCUUACAUGACCAUGUUCAUGAGACCGGUUCCACCGACAGGCAUGCAACUACUCUUGCAUAAAGGUUGCUGGCAAGUGUCUAUUUCUCCUACUUUAGUUGAAUCAAAUUUGAGUGCGGCCAAUCCUUGUUGAAGGUUAAAACAACAAACUUGACGAAACACCAUUGUGGUUUGAUGCGUAGGUAAGAACGAUUCUUACUAGAAGCCCGUAGCAGCCACAUAAAACUUGCAACAACAAAGUAGAGGACGUCUAACUUGUUUUUGCAGGGCAUGUUGUGAUGUGAUAUGGUCAAUACAUGAUGUGAUAUACGUUAUUGUAUGAGAUGAUCAUGUUUUGUAAAAGUUACUGGCAACCGACACGAGCCUUAUGGUUGUCUAUUUAUUGUAUGAAAUGCAUACGCCAUGUAAUUGCUUUACUUUAUGACUAUGCGUUAGCGAUAGUUUAGAAGCAAUAGUUGGCGAGACGACCACGACACUACGAUGGAGAUCAAGGUGUCAAGCCGGUGACGAUGGAGAUCAUGACGUUGCUUUGGAGAUGGAGAUCAAAAGCAUAAGAUGAUGAUGGCCAUAUCAUGUAACAUAUUUUGAUUGCAUGUGAUGUUUAUCUUUUAUGCAUCUUAUUUUGCUUAGUACGGCGGUAGCAUUAUAAGAUGAUCCCGUAACUAAAUUUCAAGGUAUGAGUGUUCUCCCUGAGUAUGCACCGUUGCGACAGUUCUUCGUGCUGAGACACCACGUGAUGAUUGGGUGUGAUAAGCUCUACAUUCACAUACAACGGGUGCAAGACAGUUUUGCACAUGCGGAAUACGCAGGUUAAACUUGAUGAGCCUAGCAUGUACAGACAUGGCCUCGAACCACUGGAGACCAAAAGGUCGAAUGUGAAUCAUAUAGAGAUAUGAUCAACAUAGAGAUGUUCACCAUUGAAGACUACUCCAUGUCACGUGAUGAUCGGACAUUGUUUAGUUGAUUUGGAUCACGUGAUCAUUUAGAUGACUCGAGGGAUGUCUAUCUAAGUGGGAGUUCUUAAGUAAUAUGAUUAAUUGAACUUAAUUUAUCAUGAACUUAGUCCUGAUAGUAUUUGCAUAUCUAUGUUGUAGAUCAAUAGCUUGCGAUAUAGCUCCUAUUUUUUUGAUAUGUUUGUAGAGAAAAGUUGAAAGAUGAUAGUAGCAAUGAUGCGGACUGGGUCCAUGAUCUGAGGAUUAUCCUCGUUGCUGCACAGAAUAAUUAUGUCCUUGAUAAAUUGCUAGGUGACAGACCUAUUGUAGGAGCUGAUGCAGACGUUAUGAACGUUUGACAAGCUCGGUAUGAUGACUACUUGAUAGUUUAGUGCACCAUGCUUUACAGCUUAGAACCGGGACUUCAAAAACAUUUUGAACACAAUGGAGCAUAUGAGAUGUUCCAAGGAUUGAAAUUGGUAUUUCAGACUCAUGCCCAUGUAGAGAGGUACGAGACCUCUGACAAGUACUUUGCCUACAAGAUGGAGGAGAAUGGCUCAGCCAGUGAGCAUGUACUCAGAAUGUCUAGUUAGUACAAUCGCUUGAAUCAAGUGGGAGUUAAUCUUCCAGAUAAGAUAGUGAUUGAUAGAGUUCUCUAGUCACUAUAACCAAGCUACUAGAACUUCGUGAUGAACUAUAAUAUGCAAGGGGGGAUGACGGAAAUGAUUCCCGAGCUCUUCGCGAUGCUGAAAUUGGCGAAGGUAGAAAUCAAGAAAGAGCAUCAAGUGUUGAUGGUUGACAAGACCACUAGUUUCAAGUAAAAGGGCAAGGGAAAUAAAAGGGAACUUCAAGAAGAAUGGCAAGCAAGUUGCCACUCCCAUGAAGAAGCCCAAAGCUGGACCCAAGCCUGAAACUGAGUGCUUAUACUUGUAAGUGCAUCUAGCGCCCCUUAGUGAUUUUGGUGUAUUGAAGACUUAUAGGUUAAGGGACUAAUGUGUUUGUGAGGGUACACAGGCUCUAUAAGUCGAUGAGGAGUUUGAUAUUUAUGAUGAAAGUCGACCCCUAAAAAUGUAUGUCUUCAACUGAAGACUUUGUUUCUCCUGAAGACUUUGAAAUGAAGAAAUUGGUGUGACCUCGAAGACUUGGAUAUUCGUGCGAGGAUUAUGAAGCGUGAAGACUUUUGUUUUUGUUGUUUCUUUUUCUCUUUCUUGAGUCAUAGGAAACACCGUACUGUUAAAGGGGGUCGAGGUAAAACUAAGGAAACACUUUCCAAGUGAUGCUCAACUCAAAUCCUACACCUACCCAAUCCUUUCGACUGAAGCCAUUGGAAAUCUCAUACAGUUCAGUCAAGUUCUUCAGUGACAGAGAUGAAGAUCUUCUGUUCUCUGAGGAAUUUGUUCUAAGUGAGGAGUUAGGAAUUCGCCAGUGCGGAUUGCCUGCAAAGUGAGGAACAUGAUAGCCCUGAGGAAUUUGAUUCUCAAAUAUCCGACCGUUGUUGUGCUACGCGCCAGCUGUCCCAAAAUAUCCUACCACCUAACGGUCGUAUCAUUGAAGGGCAUUUAUGUCUUAUCAUGUCGGGAUGCUCCCUAGGCUAUAAAUAGCCGCCCCCUGCAACCACUAGCUGGUUGGGUGCUCCGAGAGAAACUGACGCUUGUCAUUGAGAGCAUCCCAUCCUCCGAGGACUUUGAGCGAAAUUCAUCAAGUGAGGAAAAACCCAAAACCCAAACACCUACAACCCAAAGUUAUUGAGCUUCACUGAAGAGAUUGUUCCUGUGUGGAACCAAUGCUUGUUACCUUUGAGGACUGUGCAUCCUCCAGACGGUUAGGCGUCAUGGUUUGAGCAUCCAAGAGGAAUUGUGGAUCGCCGAGUGACCAAGUCUGUGAAGGUUUGGAAGUCACCUGAAGACUUACCACGAGUGAUUGGGCGAGGUCUGUGUGACUUAGCUCAAGGAGAAUAUAGUAAGGACUGUGUGUCCUUAGGUUUAAAUGCCCAGCUACUCCAACCAGACGUACAACUGUCACAACAGUUGGAAUUGGUCUACCAAAUCAUCGUCUUCACCAAGCCACUGGUUCUAUUUCCUUAACUCUUUCAUUUCCUCAUUCAUGUGUUGAUGAACCCGAUGAUUACUGUUUGAAGACUUUGACUGAAGACUUUCUCUAUUUCCUCAACCCUAUUUCUUCAGUCACAUUGUCUUCAGCCUCCUUAUCAUGUUUUCACGCUACUUGUACUCUGUGAUUGUCUUUCAUUUCAUCAUGAUGACUAUGCUUUUGCUCUAUUAUGCUUGCACCAGAGUACUUAUUCUGCUGCUAGUGUGUCGUUGCCAAGGAAAUUCCUCACCUAGAAUUUCCUUAGUGACGAAUUUGUAAAAAUUGCCAAUUCACCCCCCUCUAGUUGAUAUAAUGUACUUUCAAUUGGUAUCAAAGCAAGGCACUCCCUUGUUCUGUGUGAUUUUGGUUUAACCACCUGGAGUUUUAGUUAUGCUGACCGCAGGUCUGAAUAAAGUCUCAUGCCCCAUCUUUGACGAUACGAUUAUCCCAAGUGGAAGGCCAUGAUGAGGAAGCACAUCAUGGCAAUGAAUAGCGAGCUGUGGACCGCCAUUGAGAUUGGCCUUAUCGAUCUAUGCAAGAUGGCGCAUGCUGAUGAUAUUUGCAAGUACACUCGUCUGGAUUGGAUGGCGAAGGAUAUCAUCUGAUUUUGUCUCUCCAGAAAUCAGUUCAGGCUCAUUAUGCAUAUGUGCAAUGCAAAGCUUAUCUGGGACCGAAUCUCUGAUGUUUAUGAAGGUCAUCAAACUCGUUAGGAUCCCUGGUUUGAUGAUUUCAAGGAAUCUCUCAAAACAAUGACUUUCGAACAAGAAUCAUCAUCAUCCGCACCAUGCCUCAUGGCCAAGGGUGCGAAGGUAUCUGAUUACUCCUCAUGCGACUCUAGUGAUGAUGAAUCUGAUGAUGAUGAUGUCUUUGACCUAGUUAUACCAAGCUUGUUACUAUUGCCACUAAACAACAAAAGGCUUUGGAAAAGGUUCAAAAUUUGCUAGACAAAAGCGAUGAACUAUUGGGUGAGGAAUUGGAUCGAACUCAAACUCUGACUGAUGAUCUUCAAAGUCUUUAGUCUAAGUUUGAAAAUCUUUAGAGGCAUCAUAACUCUCUCUUAGCCGAAUAUGAGAAGCUUUCUUAUGAAUUUCUUCAGAGAAAGCAAGAUCUUGAGAAGUUGAGGGUGAGUUAUGAAGAUCUUCAGAAGGAAAACAAUUCAUUGCUUGCUCAACAGAUCAGUUUCGCUCAGGAAGAAUUCAUUCCACCAUGUUUGAAAUGCAUUGAGCAUGAAUCUGUUAAUUCUUCACCUGAAUGUUUAAAUGCUUCUAUUGCUGCAAAUUCUUCAACUGUCUCCGUGGUCACAAAUUCCUCAUUUGAGGAUACCACAAGUAUCACUGACGAUAAUGCAGGAUUGAAGGAAUUGUAUGUGACAGGCAUAUACAAAAGCUUCAAAGGGCACCAGACUAUUUGCGAUGUGCUCAAAAAGCAGAUCUUGAACAGGAACCCUAGGAAAGAGGGUAUUGCUUUUGAGAGGAAACUCAAUGCUGACGGGACCUACUGGAAACCUGAGCAGUAUCCCAAAACCUCAUGGGUUGCUGUGAAAGGACCUCCCGUAGAUCCAUCCUCCCUAUCUGGCUUUACUUGUGAAUCCCCAUAUUCCUCUGAUGAGUCAUUUGACUCCAACUAUAAACUGUUCAAAAAUCAGAAUGGUGAAGUAUUUGCUUGAUGUGUUGGAACUAACUACAGGAACGACCCCCCCAUGAAGAAAAUCUGGGUUCCCAAAAGGUGCCUUGAAAAUCUUCAGUUGAAUGUUAUCAUGACACCACCUGUGAAGAAUAGGAACCCCAGAUCAAUUUCUUCAUAUGGAUCCAAGUCCUCAUAUGGACCCAAUUCUUCAUUUGGAUCAAAUUCCUCACGUGGAUCCAAAUCCUCCUAUGAAAAUCAUCAUGCUAACACUUCUGUUUCGCAGGGAAAGUCUAAAGGCUAUGAAUAUGUGCAUUAUUCUUCAAAUCAUUAUGUUCAUAAGUCCUCGAAGAAUUUCUCUGCUUAUUCAUAUGCUUACUCUAACCCCUCUUCUGUGAAACGAAGUGCAUUGGCUUCAAUGCAUUGGCUUCAAUGCAUUGGCUUCAAUGCCAUCUUUCUCUUACCACUACAAAAAAAUACACUUCCGUGAUGAUACGUGUUUGUCACGGUAGGUCACGUUUUCUGUCAUGCAUGUACAUCCAUGACGAUUUUAUGACAGAAUCAAGAUAGUCAUACCUGUGCUGUCGUAGACGUGUUCCAUGACAUUACCAAAAUUAUCAUCACGGAAGUGUCCACUUCCAUGAUGAAAAAUUGUGCGUCAGGGAAGUGCUUUCGUCAAGGGUGACCGACACAUGGCAUCCACCAUAACGGAAUGCCGUUAAGCUAUCGGGUCCGGUUUUGGAUCCGAUAACCCGUUAACAGCCCGAACCAAUGGGGAUUUUCCACGUGUAAAAUCAUCAUUGGCUGGAGGAAAAACGUGUUAGCUCCCCGUUGGCACAGGUGUCACUCAUCCAGUGGGCGAGAUGCGCUUAUGAAAUGUUGACAUGUGGACCGGCCCAAAAGUGGCCCAUAAAGUUUAAAUGGGCUGGCCCAACUAAAGGCCCACAAGAUUUUGCGGUCCAUAAUGGGCCGGCCCAACAAAAGGCCCACGAGAUUUUGCGGACCAUAAUGGGCUGGCCCAGCUAAAGGCCCACAAGAUUUUGUGGGCCAUAAUGGGCCGGCCCAGCUAAAGGCCCGCGAGGUUUUGCGGACCAUAAUGGGCCGGCCCAGCUAAAGGCCCACAAGAUUUUGUAGACCAUAAUGGGUCAGCCCAACUAAAGGCCCACUAGAUUUCGCCGACCAUAAUGGGCCGGCCCAGCUGAAGGCCCAAACGAUUUUGAUGACACUAGUAGGCCGGCCCAUUAACAUGCUGCCAUGUUUUGGGCCAAAUGCCGGCCCAUAUUUGAUCCGGUCCAUUAACAGCCUGCCACGUUCUGGGCCUAAUAAAGGCCCAUAUGAGAUCUAGCCCGUUAAAAGCCUACCAUAUUCUGGGCCAAAUUACGACCCAGAUCAGGUCCGGCCCUUUGAGAGGCUUUGGGCUAAAUUAUGGCCCAUAUCAGAUUCGGCCCGUCAACUGGACGCUAUGCUUUUGGGCCCACUUUAUAAAGGCCCAUUUAGUAAUUCGGCCUGAUAUUAGUUUCGGCCUGUUAAAGGCCCGUUUAACAUUUCGGCCCUAUAUAUAUAUUUCGCCAUGUUAAAAGCCCGUCAUAUAGUUGGGCCUAACUAUGGCCCCGUUUGCAUCCGGCCUGCUCACAGCCAAUAAUCUGAUUGGCCAAACAAGGACCGAGACAAUUUUGGCCUGUUAUAAGCCCGUGAUUUGAUUGGCACAAUUAUGGGUCGGGGUCUAUUUCGGCCUGCUGCCGGCCCAUGAGCUGUUCGGCACGUUUCAGGCCCAACCUACUUUUCAGCCUCCUAAAAGCCCACUGAGUUUUCUUGGGAAAAUAGGGCCGGCGGUUUACUUGGCCUAUUAAAGGCCGAAUCUACUAGUGGGCCAGUUUACAUUUAGGCUUGUUAACGGACCAACAUGAUGGGGCCCAUGAUGCAGAUCAUACAUAGUGAUUUGCAUGACGACCCGAUUAUGUACCGUAAUUUUAUGGUUUGGCCGGUUUACUACGAAGACAGGAUAUAUAUACAGUAAAAUAACUGCAGCAUCGUGAAUAAGAAAAAACCCUAGACUAAUACAAUAAAGAAAUUACAGCAUAUUACAUCCACUGGGCAUCAAAGUUCGCCACUAUGAUAAUAAAGCACAAGCAGACAACAGAUUACAUACACUGGGCAUCAAAGAUCGCCACCAGUGCAAUUAAACACGCCGACAAAAUAAUAUACAAAACCGACAACACUUCAAUAGAGUUCAAGAAAGGUUAGCCCUGCUCGGGAGCUGCUGCGCAAGUAGCUGAGCAAGCUGAUGAGACUGUGCUUGUUUGACACUUAUAUCCCCCUCACUCUGAAAGAUAAACAAGCAGACAAAUGACAAGUUUUGCACAUAUAAGUAUCAGUGCUAACAAUUCAUCACAUUUCUUACUGACCAAUAAAGUGACACAGUUUAAAAUAGCAUUAACACAAUAUGGUAUUGUUCAGGUCAAGACAUGGAAGGAAAUGACAUUGUGAAGGAGUUGGCAGCUUCACGACACCACUGGAUUACAGAUCAAGAACUCAUAAGUAUCAAUGGUUAGUGUGCUGUCAAUUUAUCCCAUUUCAGAUUGGCAAAAUAAGAUAACUUGCUCUGUAUAGUUUAAUUUACAUGGUAUGAAGAAGGAACUUGGUUGUACAACUGAAAACUUAAAUUGAGAAGGACAAACUUUUGUUUAUGAACUACAUAAUAAUCUUUAAACAUGCAAUUUGAUGCAAACACAAAAAAUAAACAGCUAUUGCAGUCAUGCCUAACCAAAUAUACACAACAAAGUUUGAAGACUUGAGAAGGACAAACUUACAUUAUUGGUGAAGGCAGGCUCUAUAAAGCCCUUGUCCAUGCUGAUGGGGGGGGGAUUCAAGAAGUUUACCACAGAAUCUUUUUCAUAAGCAUUGCCUUUAUUCUACAUUUUGUUAAGAGUAAAUAUAGAUGUGACAAUAUAAGAAAAAAUGGAGAAUAUUUAAGAUAAUAUGAAGAGUGAUGCUACAUAACUAAGUACGCGAUACAGGCAAGAGGUACAGCCAAGAGCAAUGCAGAGCUAAACUUCUUCAGUAACAUCAGUGUUAUCCAGCCUUAUGGUAAGAGUAAAUAUAGAUCUUAUGUGUAGAAAAUGGAGGGCAAAGGAAAAUAAGUUCCAGAGUGAUAGUACAUGAACAACUACCUGUCGAUAUAAGUACACUAAUAAAGGACAACAGGUACUUACAAGAACAAUGCAGAGCUAAAAAUUUUCAUUGGCAUUGGAUAUAUUCUACACUAAUGUAACCAUUCAUACAUAUCCGAUAAUUUGGAGCGAACAAUUGAUAAGCAAGCUAUCAUGCAUACUGCUGUCGCAUAAUGAACCACGUAUGUAUGCAAGUACAGUGAUAUAUGACAACAGGUACUAACAAGAGCAAAGCAGUGGGCAGCAUAUUUGCGAUAUCCUGUCGUUCUUUUCAAACCAGAAUUCUUUUUUACCAGAUUUCCUGCAAAAAAGAACCGUAAGGCACAUGCGGAAAAGUAGAAGUUCAAAUUGUCAUGCGAUAUCAUAGACAAUACCUCAUCCUCGGAACGAGACCAGUGCAUAACAAGGUUUUUCCAUUCAAUGUCAUCUAAAUUUAGCAUAGGAGACUUCACCGGAAAUUCGUUUAUAGACUUGCCAUCAAAGUGUGAUUUCCUCAAGUAACAUUGAUACUGCUGCAAUGCUUCCUUGAAAAGCGCAAGCAAGCUUUGCUCGUCAUGACUAUCCAGAUUGACCCUCGCCUACUUACAACAAUGUAAUGUAAAUCAUUGAUGUGUUCAAUCAGCAGAAAACAGGAAAAUAAUCACCAUGAAUAAUAGCACUAACACGUAAGUGGGACAGGAAGAUGUGAAAAUGUUGUUUGUCUUCACUAUAAUCUUCCCAUGAUGGGAAUAUAUGCACGUAGUCCCUAACAACAUUGAAAGCAUUGUCUUUUAAAUUGGGAAUAACUGGAAUGGGGUUCCAAUAUGCAGGAAUUAGCCGUCUCUGCAGUUGGGAUAGGUCUUCGGCCGGUGGACUUGCUGUACUUUUUGCUGGAGUGGGAUUUUUCUGUGGUAUGGCUGGUGCUAUGGCAACUGAAAUCAGCAUACCUUUUGCUGGAGGGCAGGUCCUGUGUGGUGGGGCUAGUGGUGUGGCCAGUGAAGUAUGGGUACAGUCUGCUGGAGUCGGUCCUACGUUUUGUGUCACUGGUUGUACAACCAAUAUAAGUGGGGUGCUGUCUGAUUUCUCCGGCACAACCACAUUCUUCAAGGACUUUGCUGGUGCUCCUUCAGGUUCGGCAAUCACCCUCUUCCUUUUUGAUGUCUGAUGCACAAGAACAACAUUUGAGUGGAAAAACAUGGUAUGAUGACAGAUGGAAUAUGUAUUGAUAAUGGAUGGGCAUGGCAUCUCGACAUAUAUGAUGAGUAAACUAAGCAGAUGGCGGUGCAACAAAGUAGAAGAAAUGCAAGAAAACAUAUGCAAGGUACGCGCAAUCAAUAAAACCUUGCCAAAUUAGAAUAGGCACCUUGAUUAGUGAACAUGACAGGCCAUCUGCCUUUGACUCCUCGAGGUUAGAAUAGUCAUUAGGAUCAUAUUGUAAACAAGAAUCUACAGGUGGGGAGCGUAUGAGUUUCAUUGCAUCCAAAAUGGCACUCAAUGCCUUGGUGCCAAUUUUGUAAGUCAUUGCAGUGUUCCACAAUAUUCUUCUGAUGCGCAGAUUCUGAUAUUCACUGUAAUUACGUAUAAUAUCUGAGAACCAUGAAAACAUAAAUAGUUGUGAGAUUAUCUUUGUAAUGCAGAGGAUAUUCGAAUAUAGGGGCGCCCCUGUAAACACUUGUGUGCUAUCACUGGAUUAUGAUGAGAGAGCUCAUGUGUGCUGUAAUAUGGUGCGUGCAUUUAUAUAAUCUAGCACAAGUACACAAAAAAUAGGCUCCAGAAGUAAGGAUAGUUGGAAGAUGAUAGGUUCAUAUACUGUAUGGAGAAUUUAUUGCCAAACCAUGAUAACAAGAGCACACAACAACUAGGCAGAUCAUAGUAUAUAUAAAAGGGGUACACCAUAACCACGAUAUAUAAAUUGGGAAAGUGGAACUGGCUUGAAAAUAUGAUGUUGUAUUGCCGCUAGUAAUUGAAAGCCUAUCGAUCACGUACAGGCCAGCUCUAUCAGCUGUUGACUGCAGAUGUCCCUGCUCCCCUUCCUAACAAGGAACAUACUGUACGUACUAAAUACAGAAUAACAAAAUAGGAACAUGUUAAAGAACGUAAGAGGAAGCAUAUUCUUGAGGUUCCGCUUCAUUGCAUACAAUGUUGGUUGCCCACUCAUGAUGAAUCACAGUGCCCAAAGAAAUGCAAUUCCAUGUUGUCUCUCUAUAUGUGGCAAUUUUGAACAAGAGUCAUUAGGAUCAUAUUCUGAACAAGAGUCAACAGGUGGGGAGCGUAUGAGUUCCAUUGCAUCCAGAAUGGCACUCAAUGCCUUGGUGCCAAUUUUGUAAGUCAUUGCAGUGUUUAGCUUCAAGAGUGGACUGUUGCUAGUACGACACAAAGCAGCUACACAGAUCAUAGUGUAGAUAUAACGGGAAAAUCUUAAGCAUCAGAGUAAAAUCAGCAAAGUGGAACUUGCUGGAAUAUAUGUGCUAGUAUUGCCGGUACGACUAUAAAGGCUUCGGAUACCAGCUCUCUUCAACUGAAGGUGCGGUACUGUUAAUAUCAGUGUAACUCUCAAAGGCGACACAACUCCCCGCAUUUCCUUGCUAUUCUUAUAGGAUUCAAGUGGGCAGGCCACUACAAAUCCUAUUCCCAUGUUUACAAAAUCCUAUGAAUCAAAGAGGCCCGAAGAGUUCAAAGUGUCCAUCACAACCGACUAUAUAGACCUCUACACUGCAAAUGUCCCUGCUCAUCUUCACUACAAGGAACAUACUGUACUACUAUCAUACUCCCUCCGUUCCAAAAUAUAAUUCUUGGUAGAGAUUUCCACUAUGGAUCACAUAUAGAUGUAUCUAGAUACAUUUUAGAGUGUAGAUUCACUCAUUUUGCUCCAUAUGUAGUCCAUGGUGGAAUCUAUACAAAGACUUGUAUUUAGGAACGGGGAGAGUACUUAUUAAAGAAGAACGGAAGAGGAACAUACUAAAGAAGAGCAAGCCGAUUUUGGAUAAUAAAAUGUUCGUUGCACGGUGCCCACACAUGAUGAACCAGAGCGCAUUAAGAAAGCAACUCCCUGCUGUCUCUCAAUAUUUGGUGCACGUGCUUUUCAAAAGUAAAGUAGGAACAUUAGCUGACCAACUAAAUGUUAUCUGUUUUAGUAAUAUCAACAUCAUAUCAAAUUCGUGCAUGUUGUUUAGCUUGAUGGAUUCAGGAGCAGUGCUAAGCAGGUACGAUGAUGGUACUGAAUAUAAAGGCAUGUCUGCAUGCAAGUCGCGUGACUUUUGUCAUUUGGGUCAGUUGACCAUUUCAGGCGGUUGGAUGAAGAUCCUACGUCUCCUAACCCUUCUUCUUCCUUGUCUCUGAUUCUUCUCAUACAGAACACCGCACGGGUCACCGGCCGGACCACCGACCCCCACCGCCUGUGUUCCUCUGCCACCCCUACUCCCACCCCCACCCGCGUCGAGUUUUCUUCGUUCGGCGAGGCCCCAUCACCGCCCUCCACAACCACCGUCCCCACCCGAGCCCCUUCGUUGGCACCGGCGAACUCCGGCGAGCUCAGCAAAAUCGACUGGCCCAAUUUUGAAAUUUAGCCUUCUAUGAUUUAACUAGUGUGGAAUAUAAAAGGGGAAAACCAUAAGCAUUGGGAGUAUAGUGUUGAGCGUGCCAUGGUGGAUCUGAAGGUGCAAACCGGACAAAGGCAACUUCACAACCAAUGUUUGCUUUCAACUAGAAAGUAAGCGAUGGACAAGAAAUCAGAGUAAAGCAAUGGCGAUCUAUUUUCUUGCUACGAUAAAUAAGUUGAGCAGAUACGAAAGAGUACCGCCUCUGGUGCGGCAUCGUGUAUGCAUCUGCUGAGAAUUUGAUGGUGCUGCGGUAGCGAUGGCUGUCAGCGGCGUGGAAGCAGAUCUAGGAGGGUAGAUGGUGGCGGCGGGGCGCGGUGGACGAGGCGGUCGUAGGAGCAGCGCCGGCAAGGUGGACGACAACGGGGAUGAAGCGAGAGGACGCAAGGAUCCCGGUCCAAAGCCAUGGAUGAGAGAGGUUGAUCUCUUGUAAUGGACGGCGGCGUCGGGGUAUCAACUCCGGCAUGGUGGAGGAGGAUGGCAGUGGAUGGGGUGGCGGAUGGAGGAGGCUGGGGUGGAGAGGGUGUUUUGGGCCCACAGAGUACGAAUGGGGAAAUGGAGGUAGAGAGGAAGGUGGAAGCAUGUCUUCAGGGCGCACUUGUCUCAAAUGCGAGGAAAUUUACAAACUUAGCCCCCGUUUCAAAUUUCCUACAUCACAACAAUAUUAGUCGGUUGGGGAUAGGAUGGUAAUCUCGCAUACACCAAAUAUUUGCCGACGAGAGUUUGUUUUUGGCGCCCACCGUGUAUGAAUCGGGGAGGGAAUCGAUUUCGACCGAGGACACACUGUGUUUUGGCGCCCACUGUGUAUGAAUCCGGGUGACAAGCGAUUAUGUCACGUUUGAGUGAAAUUACAAACCUACCCCUAUCGAAACCUAUAGAAAUCGAGCAGAUAGGCUUUGCGUGGCAGGGACAGGCAGUAGUGAUUUCCAUCUCGCAGAUUUUGGUUUCGGGCGGUUACUGCGACUUUCCCCGCUUCGUUCAAAUUUUGCAGAGUGCACGUUUACCGUGCCAACUCAAUUCAAAUUCCGUUUGUAUUCUAUUUUUUUGGGCGUGAUCCAUUUUUAUUGGAAUAAAAUUCUAUAUACAACAUUUUUUAUAUACUUUCAAAAGCACAACACCCUUUAUACAUAAAUAUGGUUUACAAAUGGCAUGAUCUCAGAUUCAUAAGGUUGUAUCCAUCAAUUUGGAUUUUCAAAUAUUUGAAACCACUUUUUGUUGAAAUCCAAUGUAUGCAUUCCUCGCUAAUUGUCUCCAAUUAAUGUGUGGUUCAUGCGGUUUUUACUUCUCAAACAUGUAUAAUGUAUUUCACACACACAACAUAUAGUGUAAUCCCAUUUAGACAUUAAUUUCAUAUAAACCAUGCAUUGUUUCUAAUUAAAGAAUCUAAGGAUCACCAAUAUUGAUAAACUAUAUAACAUUACACGUGUCCCCAAAUUCAAAUGAAUAUGCAUGUUUGAUACACCAAUUUGCAUUAUGAUAUUAUCGAUGUCGUGAUCUCCAGUUUAAAUAUUUGAAUCCCCUUUAAUCCAGAUAUUCGUGUCAUAUAGCUAUCACUCAUGCUUAUAUAGGACUAUCUCUCUAGACCUAUACGUGUUCAUCGUCUCUCGGUGUGGCACCCCAGCUCAGAGCAACCGGUUUACCAUGCAUUGCCAGCCCAGAGACCAUGUCUCUGGCAACACACAACAUCUUGGUACAGAAAACCAUCGCUUUAUUGAUGCUAGAGGAUCAAAGUUUAUAUUACAACAGGUGGCGAGACCAAGCGGCACACACGGUGCGGCUGAACAAUAUGUACAUUAUUCAGUGAACAUAAAGGGGCCUCGAUCAUAACAACUACCCGACAGUGGAACAACGUCGUAGCGGAAACUCCAUAGCACAGGGACACCAAUGUGGACAUGAUCAAGACUCGGAUGGCACUCCUUUCCGACGAGGCUUUCCUGAAAUCUGGCAUGACACGCCAGGUCAGUACAUUGAAUGUACUUGCAAGCUCACAACAAACAUAAACAUAAUGACAAACAAUAUCAUGGUAAUUAACCAAUUAUUAAAAAUGCAACAAUAUAUGCAACAUGUAGUGAUCCUGCUUUUAUGAGAAAAAUCCCUUGGACUGGCUUACCAACAGUGAUCGCUCUUGGAUCACAACCAUACCAACCUCGAGAUCUUAACUCAGUUUACCUCGUGAUCUUUCCGGCGAUCACAACCACGACCAACAUCUGGUCUCAAAUAGUGAUCUUCCGGUGAUCACAACCACGACCAACACUUGGUCCCGAACAUCAAGAUGGCCUUUCCCACCAUCAUCAACCAUGCAAAUUUUAUCACUUAGUGUGCAAGAUUUAUUAAAUGUUGACCCAUGGUGUGACCUACUUUAGAGCGUGUCCGUAACCGUGGACUCGACUAUCGAUAGAUUAAUACACUCUGCAGAGGUAGCGCAUUGUACCCACACCAUGGCACCCAUGGCCUCGCACUCCCAUUCGGGUGGACCAAUGGCAUUCCGACGAAACCCCUCCAUUGCCAUGACACUCUCUCGGCCACUCCGACUCACUCCCCACCGGGCUAGUCCUGGGUGGCCCCAUGUCUACCAAAGACACAACGACCACCGUCGUGGCCAAAACAUAAACGAUCCCACACGGGGACCCGGUACCAUAAUCUCAACAACGGGCACACAAGGUUAUGUCUGCUUACCGGGACAGGGUACCGCACUCCCAUAACCUUCCCUUAUUGGAGGCACCGACCAGAGGCAUGACAACGGACCGAAUAAAGGCCUUCCCAUAAAGGUGAAUGUGGUUGCACUGGGAAAAACUCGAUGCAGUGGCACCAUGACCCGGUCAACAAUAUAUUCAAGUUGAGUUAUUAUCAGGUUCAACUUAAAGUGAAAAUAACCGGUGUCAUAGUAUGCCAUGAAAUGCAACACUAACAUAUGCAUCACAUAUUAGCAGAAAUGACUGAGUCAACUAUAUCCACACUAAGCAUAAACAUCAACAACUCAUGACACUUCUCUGGUUAGGAUUAAAUCUCACUUUAAACAAAAUCUUUUCUAGCAAAUUUUAUUAUCUUUCCCAUGCAAGAAAAUAACUCCAAAUAAUUACUCAUAUCCAUAACCAUAUUAUUCUUUCAUCACCAAAAUAAAUCCUGGUUUCUUUACCAACUAAUUUAACUUCAAACUUUCUGUAAAUCAAGCAUAUUAACUAAAACAAGCAACUAACAGAAUAUAAAUAACAUAAUAAUGAUUUAAAUGCAUGGAUUAAAUCAUUUGUUCAAGUAGGAAAAAUCACAACUAUUGUACUGGCACCAUGAAAAUGUUGUUGUGGCUUGCCUUAGUGCAGAUGAGGUUCACAAGCCUCCUGGUGAUCCUCAAGACAAGCCUCACUCUCUGAAAAUAAUUUUAAACACAAGAAGAAAAUAUCAAGAACCCUUCUGAAAUUCACUAGAAAAUCUAGACAACAAAGAAAAAGCUCAUCUUUGGUGAGCUGCUAGAUUUCUGUACAAAGAACACAAUGCAAAAAGAAUCAAUUCAUUUGGACUUAUGGUUGAAGAGUUUUGGCUGUUUGAAGCUCUCUAGAAAAUAUGAAUUUGAAUUUAAAUAAAAACAGACUGGGGGGGGUGACGUCGAAGGCGUAAAGCCUUGGGGCGCCACCACUCAUACCGCUUCGCGUGCGUACUGAGUGGCUGACUAGCGGGCCCCGCUAGUCAGGUGAGGUGGAGGGGGAAAAGGAAACAGAGGAUGGUGCGGCUUUGCUGGAGCACAUGUCGGCGACGAGGGCUUCUUGGCCAAAACGAGAGGGAGGGAUCGAUAGAGGAGACGGAGGCACACCUGCCCGUACCCGUAGAGUAGCUACGGGUGGUCGGACGGCGUCAGAAUCAACCUCAAUAGCGGAGGCAGAGAGCGGAGGUCGCCGGAGACGAAGACGACGGUGAACAGAGGCGACUCCAGGGGCUCCAACCAGGCGGAACAACACCACCAACGAGUGGCGGAGGCCCUGGAAGGGUUGCCCAGGCCUGGGAGGGACUGGAACCACAGAGAUGACCCGAGCGGAUCACCGGCGAGCUUGAGCUCGGGGACGGCGGCCCGUGGCCUGCCCGGCCGGCUAUUGCUUCUACAAGAUCGUGGAAUGUGUGGGAGUGGUGGAUGGUGCUUGAGGAGGCUGGGGAGGGCUCUAUUUAUAACUGAGCAUCGAGGGGGGACCGGGCUCCGCCGAUGGACACCUGGACAUGCCGCCCGGCGACGAACAGCGUCAGUGAGAGGGGGAGAAGGCAACGCUAAUCACGCGGGAACUGUGGGCGAGCGGGGACGAGCACAGGAGCGAGGGGAAGGCGACGAGCACAGUGCACAGUGCACUGUUGCAUUGGCCGGACUGUGCCCGUGCUCACUACGGCGAGCUCUGGCAUCGACGAGUGCCAGGGGAGAGUUAAGAGAGCUUGGACGAAGAUUGUGGCGAGGUUUGGCACGCUUAGUCAGUCAGGGAAGCGAGCACGCGCGAAACAGAGCGCUCGGCGGCACUCAGAGCACGACGACAAGCAGGUUGGCAUCAUGUACACAUGUGAUCACCACAUGAACUCUGCCCUCAGGCCAACCUAAGUCCAAAGUUCAUGUCUGGCUUGUUGUUCGUGGUAGUUUUAGAGGUUACCACACUUGGGUUUGGUCUCAGGUGCAGUAGAAAAGAUUUCACACGCCUGUUAAGUUUCUGGACAGUAACUUUGAGAGCUUACUAUGGUCAAACUACUGGGAGUUGGGAGCUGGGCUUUUGAGGUUAGCAAUCAUCUACUAAGGUGAUGAUGCACAAGAAAAAUCAGCCACAAUGGAGCAAGUAAAAUGGUAGUUGCUGUACAAACUACCAUUUCUGUCCAGAACAGGAAAUAUUUUUUGUAGCAAAAAUAUUCCAAAUGGAGGUGAAAUCUUUUUGCUCAGGAAGGUGUCCUAGGGUUCAAAGAAUAUUUGUGAAUGUUCUCAGAUUUUUGUGGGCAAGAAAAAUUGGGGUUGCUUUGGAGCACAUUGAGCUAGCUAGGGUUUUAGAGAGGGAAAUGAAUAUUUUUCAUUAAAUAAAAAUAUUCCAAAUAUUAUUUUGAGUUGAACCAGAGAGGAAAUGAUGGUUAGAAGGGAAAUGAGGCACUUGGGUGAAAGUCAAGGGGUACCCAAGUGUUUAAGUCCAUAUGAAAAGAUUCAAAACCAAAAUUUCAAAAUCAAACCAACUGAAAAUCAGACAAAGAGAAGAGGGCAAAAACCAGGUUGUCACACUCGGGUAUCUCUCGUGCUACCUGUAUGUCGACAAUGAUCUUUUAUAUUCAUAACACAUUGACGGUACUCUCUCCCUCGACCUUCAUCACUCUUUCUCUCUCUAAGUAUAUCUCACUCCCUGCUAUGUGUCUCUAACUAUGAUUCUCCAUGUGGAAUCUCUUUCUCUCACACAAACACAAAAAUUUGUUUCCCGGGGUCUCAUUUCUCUCUACUAUUCCCAUGUGUGCCACUCGCACACGCCUCAUACAGAGAUGUCUUUCGCUCCUUAGAUAUGAGAACCUACGACUCUUCCUCUUAAAUAUCUCUUUCUCACACACAAACACAAACUCUGUCUCCCAGGGUCUCAUAUUUCUCCACUGUUCUCUUGUAUGUCGCUCACACACAGACUCUCUCUCUCCCUAGAGAUAUCUUGCGUUCCCUCAUAUGUCUCUCUAGCUAUCACUCUCGUUGUGAAAUAUCUUUAUCUCUCGUAGACACAAAACUCCGUCUCCCGGGAUCUCAUUUCUCUUUGAUAUUUGUUUGUAUGUGACUCACAUGCACCCUAUCUCUAUCUCUCUCGCACCCACACACUAGAUAGCAUCUUUAUCUUUCUAUUUAUCUGUUUCUCCAUCAACCUUCUUUCUCUCCCUCACUCUUGCUUCCUAUCACGCACACUACAUAUGUUUCUCUCUACAUGCACUCAAGUGCCCUCCUUUUAUAUUUCUCUUACACACACAUAACUUCACCCUCUGAACCACCCGGCGGUCAUAUCCAACACUCAAACUAGCGGAUGUCCCUCUAGCUAGCAUCUCUAUCUCUGUAUCUAUCUGUAGUUUCUCCGUUAACAUUUCUUUCUCGCACGCAAUCUUGCUUCCUAUCACCCACACUAUAUAUGUCUCUCCAUACAUAUGCAUUUAUAGGUUGAUCUCUUUUGCACAAUCGUUGUGCCUCACUCCCUCUGCUCGCCAUAGAUGCAUGCUCCAGCCCACGCCACUAUCUCUUAAAGACAAAAACACAUGCUCAAUUGUCGGGCCUUCGUCCCUGCAUUCUCACAUGCAUGCAUAUUGUCAUACUGAUCCGUCUCUCCCAUGUCGUUGAUCUUAUGACUUAUGUCUUCUUUCUUUUAUCUCGAUCAUGCGCGCGCACACACACACAUCCCACGUAUACAUGUAUACCUCUCACACAUGCACGCUCAAGGUCUUUAUGUCUCCACACGUAGUUAAUUACCCUCAACCCUAACGCCACAUCGAAUUGUUCUCUUCUUGUGUGCACAUAACUUCCGCCUGGAUGGGUAAAACACACACUCACACUUAAACAAUCUCCUUCUAGCUACCCCCCCUCUCACUCUUCCCCUAUAUCCCCGAAACCAAUAAGACCAUCCCUUCGUUUAAUUCCCGCCUACAUGCACCAUCGAUAUAUAGUAGUCUUCAUCAGUGUCUCUCGAACAAACACGUUCUCUCGAUGUCGACGCCUGUCAUGCGCACACACCUUCUCUUCCCUCUCUACAUGCAUUUUCUCUCUUGCACCCCAUCUAUAUCUGACGGAUAGAAAGCAAACUAUGAUAAUUUUACAAAAGAUACCCGCACCUCUCUCCACAUCCUUAUCUCCCACAACCUCAUCGCUGAGCAAUUAAAAAAGGAAGUCUCUGGAACAAUCUAGCAUGGUGGCCGCUGCCGCCUGCCGGCGCCAUCCAUCCCCAUGCCUCCGCCCAUUCCGACCACCAGUCACCACCAUGCUCCACCCUCCUCACCUUAUCUUUCAUCUUUCAUUUUUUCGAUGACAUUCUCGAGAUACCAGUUUUCUGAUAAAAUUGUCGAGAUAUCAUUAGUUUUACACAUGGGAUUACUCCUACAUGGGUCAAUCACAACAGGUGUUUUGUAAAAAAUGCAUAUUGAUGUUCCGUGCAAUGCACGAGCAUCUUGCUUGUAAUUAUAUAACACAAAUCACGAGCGGGAAGUGAAUUUUUUUACACAACCAUGUUAACAUGGCCACGUAAAUCACUAGCUAAAGUAAAUACCAUUAUACUUAUAUCCUGAUGCAAAAGGUUGAGUACAUGUCCGAAGAGUAGAGUCGCACACAUGCACUCUGUCUCUUGGAAUCUCGCGUGCACACACACACACACCAGUUACAUGACGCCCACUUAAGCAGACACGUAUGUUACAAUUUGUGCACCCGUGAGUACACGUGAUGCUGCGCAUUUAUUUAAGCCAGACGGUGAACCCAAACAGUAGCUGCAUUCAUUCCCCUCCCACCGCCUCUUCUGUGGUCAUCGUCGCCCGGUAGCCAUGGCCCGACCGAAGGUAACUGGUAACAACAUAGGCCAUACUCCCGCCGGAGCAGUGCUUUAAUCUAGAAAUUUUAGUGGUCAUGCAUGCAUCUUUUUGUUCUAGCACUCCUAUAUAAGGGUUGACCGGUCGCUUCCGGCGGAUGUGCGCGGGCGGUGGAAGAGGAAGGAGAAGGGAAGCGGGCUGUUGUCAGUGGGAACGACACCUAUGGGAUCACUGGAAUCCCUACUACGAACGGUGGGCGCGAGGUUGUGAAAAGAGCGGGUCCAGGAGCCAGCACAAGGAUCAUUUACCCAGGUUCGGGCCGCGAGAAUAGCGUAAUACCCUAGUCCUGCUAUCGCGUAAUACUAGCUAUGAUGCGUGUGUCAUCCAAAAAGCCGAAUCCUUCUCCCGUAUGCCUCGGGCCUCCUUUUAUAGGGAAAAAGGGGACGCCACAGUGGCACACAGGAGGUGGAAAGUGCAUGCGGUGGCUGAGUCUAUCCUCUAGCACGAUCAGACAAACACAUUUAAUGCACUGCCGAUGUGCCCUUCUUCCUAUCGUCGCUUCGCCUUGCUUCGACAUGCGUCCAGGCCAGCGCGGCUUGCAGUGCCAUGUAAGCUGGCUGGCUGCUGAGCUGGUGCGGUGGCAGGGUCUUCACGAAGAUCUGCAUGCCACCACGCAGGUGCUUGCUGGGUUGGUCUCGGGGUCGUACGUCGCCACACAGGUGCUCGCCUGGCUGGCUGGGCUGGUAGCUACAUGGGAACGAUGGUGGAGCUUUGGCGGGUGCGGGCCUGGCUGCGGCCCUGCUGACGCCCUCGGCAAGGGUCUUGUCGGGGCCCCGGAAAGGGUCUUGCCACGGCACUGUGGUCGUCCCCGGCAAGGAUCUUGCCGGAGGUCUCGUGGAUCUCCUUGGCAAGGAUCUUGCCGAGGAUCGUCGUCUUCUGGUCCUUAUCUAAUAUUGCAUGUUUAUGAUCUUCACGAAGAUCUGCAUGCCACCAUGGAGGUGCCUCCCGAGCCUUGGUUCCAAUGUGGUUGAUGGCGUUGGAACCCGUGGGCUCAUGGGUGGCGCACUCUGCUGGUGUUGGGCAAGUUGCCCCGGCAAGGCUCUUAACAAGGCCGCGGAGGCCGCCCCGGCAAGGGUCUUGCCGGGGGAGUCCACCUCGCCCUCUUGCUCUUUGCGUUUCUGGUCUUGGUGCCGCCUUGAGCGCCUUGCGUCCUUGGCUUCCCUCCUCUGCCCUGCUAAGUGUGGCUGUGGGCGCGGCUCUGACUGCACGUGCACAAGUAAAUGGGUACAAAAAGAGUGCCCCUAUUUUUGUACACCGACAGGAGCCCCCGGGCCUGGGCAACACAUAAGCGCAACACGUUGUUGGGCUAGGCCCAGAACGAUGCGCGGGCAGUCGGGGCCAUUUUUUAUUAUUGCUGUAACUCUUUCAUCCACUGCGCUUCCCCACGACUCGCGUUGAAUGUGUGGCGUGGGGAUCAUGCGCGGGGAUGACCGAAGCAUGCCUGCAUCAUCCUGCGGUGAAUAGUAAAGAGGCGGCUUGCGUGUCCCUUUAAGAUCGCAGGGCCGCUGCUCAUUUACUUUCUUCGCCUUGGAACUAUCAUUCCAUGUGUCCCACUACACCCGCCCCACCUCUUCGCAGCGUUGUGCUCCCAUCGAGGACAUGCCAGAGAGCUCCACCGGCACGAGCAAGAAAUCUAGAGCUACACCACCAGAGACCAAGAAGGUGUCCGUCAAGGAGGAUGGCACGGGAGGGGCUUUCACCUUAAGCUCCACCCUCGAUGGAAAAUAGGAAGGCGAGCUCGUCACUUUCCUGCGGGCGAAUGUUGAUGUGUUUGCAUGGCAAGCAUCCGACAUCCCCGGCAUUCUCAGGGAGGUGAUUGAGCACCAUCUUGUUAUCUGUCCUCAUGCGCGGCCCGUCAAGCAGAAGGUCAGGAAGCAAGCUCUGGAAAGGCAGGAGUUCAUUACAGAAGAGAUCAGAAAGCUAGAAGCGGCAGGCUUGGUGAGAGGAGUACUCCAUUCGACAUGGUUGGCCAAUCCGGUGGUAGUGCGCAAGGCAAAUGGGAAGUGGAGGCUGUGUAUUGAUUACACAUAUAUCAAUAAGGCCUGUCCAAAAGACCCUUUCCCGUUGCCGCUCAUUGAGAAGAUUGUUGACUCCACUGCCGGGUGUGACCUGUUGUCCUUCCCCGAUGCCUACUCAGGAUACCAUCAGAUUUUCAUGAUGAGAGAAGAUGAAGAGAAGACAACAUUCAUCAUCCCAUGUGGUACGUAUUGCUUUUUACGGAUGCCUUUCGGGUUGAAGAGUGCUGGCUCGACCUUCGCAAGAGCAGUCCAAAUUGGUUUUGAGCCCCAGCUACAUAGAAAUAUGGAAGCUUAUAUGGAUGACAUAGUGGUCAAAACCAAGGACAAUGCAACACUUGUGCAAGAUUUGGAAGAGACGUUUGCAAAUCUGUGCAACAUCAACCACAAGUUGAACCCUGAGAAGUGUGUAUUCGGUGUUUUGUUCGGCAAGCUUCUCGGGUUCUUUGUGUCAUAGCGUGGGAUUGAGGCGAAUCCAGACAAGAUCAAGGCCAUUGUGCAGAUUGAGGUGCCUAGGAGGAUCAAGGAUGUGCGUCGGCUCACUAGCUGCAUUGCUGCCAUGAGCAGAUUCAUCUCCAAGUCUGCCGAGCGUGCCCUUCCCUUUUUCAAAAUCUUGAAAAAGGCAGGCCCAAUGGAGUGGACCCCAGAGGCCGAGCAGCGCUGCAGGAUUUGAAGAAAUACCUCUCCUUCAUGCCGAUACUGGUUGCGCCUAAACCACAAGAGCUGCUAUUGCUGUAUCUAGCGUUAACAAAUCAAGUGGUUAGUGCCGCACUAGUGGCACAGAGGAAGGUCGAUGAAGGGACAGUGGCAACGGCGGGGUUGGCAGAUGGUGAGCCAGAGCUCCGCCCGGCAGGGACUGGUCCCGGCAGGGUGAGGCACCCGGUAGGGUCUAGCACCAACGAGACAGGGCCUAUGCAACCAAGUGAAGUGGUGCAGAAGAAGAAGAUGAUGCAGCACCCGGUUUACUUUGUCAGCUCCCUCUUGCAGGGGGCUAGGUCAAGGUACUCCGGUGUGCAGAAAUUACUCUUCGGCCUGCUUAUGGCCUCGAGAAAGCUGCGUCAUUAUUUCCAAGCGCAUGAGAUCACCGUCGUCACCCGCCUCCUGUUGCAACGAAUACUGCAUAACCCAGAUGCAACAGGAAGGAUUGUGGAAUGGGCCUUGGAGCUGUCAAGUUUUGGUUUGAAGUUUGAAAGUACUUCGACAAUCCAGAGCCGAGUCUUGGUAGAGUUCGUUGCAGAGUGGACCUCGACGCCUGACGAAGAGAUCCAGGAAACCACUCUCCCCGGCAAGGAAACAAAUCGGAACUGGGUUAUGUACAUCGAUGGAGCUUUCUCGCUGCAAGGCGCCGGUGCUGGCGUGCUGCUUGUUGCACCAAAAGGAGAGCACCUCAAGUAUGUAAUCCAGAUGCACUUUCCCAGGGAGAUGUCGACGAGCAACACCACUGAAUACAAGGGAUUGCUUGCCUGUCUCAGGAUCGCGGCAGACCUCGGGGUCAAAAAGCUCAUCGUCAGGGGUGAUUCACAGCUUGUCGUCAGACAAAUCAACAAGGAUUAUCAAAGCCCAUUGAUGGAAGCAUACGUAGACGAGGUGAGGAAGCUGGAGGAGCAUUUUGACGGGAUACUGGCGGAGCAUGUCCCCCGAGUGGAGAACAACAUCGCCGACUAUCUGUCGAAGCGCGCUGCCCUCAAACUACCUGUGGAACCAGGUACUUUUGUGCUUCGGUUAACUCAACCAUCCGUUGAACCAUCAACAGAGCAGAACAAGCGGAGGAAAUUAGGCUCCGGCAAGUACUUUCCCACCGAGCUCCCUGGAGCCGCUGGCGAAGAUGUUGUCGUGGACGCUGAGCCUGCCGUGGGGCAACCGACUCCGGCAGGGCGUCAAGCCCUGGCCAUAGAGACAGCCGCUCCCAUGGCAGAGGAGAUGCCUUUAGUCCUUGCCGUCGAGCCCCAGGCUCCGUCAUGGGCAUAGCAUACCGUCUGAUUCCUCCAAACAGGGGAGCUUCCUAAGGAUCAGGAAGAAGCAGAGAAAGUAGCCCAUCAGUCUGCCAUGUAUCAGUUCGUUGACAACGUUCUGUACAGAAAAAGACUAAACAGUGUGAAACUGAAGUGCAUUCCCCGGGAGGAAGGACUGGAGCUGUUGGCAUGGAGGCAUAUGUGGCUCCCACAUAGGGUCGAGGGCCCUUGCCGGCAAGACUUUCCUCUGAUUUCUUCUGGCCCACUGCCCUCCAAGAUGCAAUGACACUAGUAACCAAGUGUGAAGCCUGUUAGUUUCAUUCAAAGAAGCUUCAUCAGCCAGCUCAAGCCCUUCAAACAAUACCUCUCUCUUGGCCAUUCUCGGUCUGGGGGCUCGACAUAUUGGGCCCUUUCCCCCAUGCUAUUGGGGGUUUUGAGUACUUGUACAUUGCAAUCGACAAGUUCACAAAGUGGCCGGAGGUGGAAGCAGUGAGGAAGGUGACAGUGCAGUCAACCGUCAAAUUCUUCAAGGGGCUAGUUUGCCGUUUUGGUGUGCCAAACAGAGUCAUCACCGACAAUGGCAUGCACUUCACAAGCCACACCUUCAUGCAACACAUUGAACACCUCGGCAGCAAGGUUUGUUUUGCUUCCAUGGCACACCCACGAAGCAACGUCAAGUGGAGAGAGCAAAUGUUGAAGUACUACAAGGACUGAGGACAAAUACUUUUGACAGGCUGCACAAGAGCGGAAGGUGCUGGAUUGAUGAGUUGCCGACGGUUCUUUGGUCGAUCAGAACGACGCCAAAUUGAGCCACCAGCCAGACACCCUUCGCCCUGGUAUAUGGGACAUAGGAAGUUCUCCCCACGGACCUCAUAUACGGGUCACCUCGAGUGCUUGCUUAUGACGAGCUUGAGCAAGAGCGAUUGCAGCAAGAUGACACGACGUUCCUUGAGGAAGAUCAUCUUCGGGCGGCCGUGAGAGCAGCAUGCUACCAGCAAGCCUUGCGCCGCUACCAUAGCCGCAAGGUUCAUGCCCGAAGCUUUGAGGAAGGCGACCUUGUUCUUCGGCGCAUUCAAUCGGGCAAGAAUUCCAACAAGUUGACGCCAAAGUGGGAAGGCCCUUAUCAGGUAAUACAAGUCACCAGGCCCGGCGCAGUCCACCUAGAGACCGAAGAUGUCAUUCAAAUGAGCAACUCCUGGAACAUCGAGCAUCUUCGUAAGUUUUACGCAUAAGGCGCGGUUGCCGGCGCCCCCGACAGACCACCUUUUGUACAAGCCUUGCCGGCAAGGCAUGUAACCCUCUGUACAAAGCCAGGCGCAGACCCUAAGCAUAAAUAAAUGAAGUGCUGGCGCCCUAAGUUAUAGCAUACAUGCUAGGUUGAGUCCCUCCCUCGGUUAGGGUUGAUAGAGCUUAGCAGUGACUAACCCCUAGCAUAGAGGUCGAGUGUGCAUGUCUCUGUUCCUUUCCAUCCUUUUUGGUUCAUAGGGUACAUGGACACUUCUGCUGAGCUAUCUGGAAGAAAGAGAACGAGACGGCACUUCGGACCUGGCAAGCCAAGGUUGCUGGGGGCUGAUGACACAAGGGUCCAACCCCGGCAAGCCUCAGAUAAGUCCUUUAUCCCCUGUUAUGCAUUUCCGUAUGGAAUUGGGACGUAUGGAACCUCAUUUUGUUCCUAGGCUACCGUGCUCCCCUUUUCCUGUACCCAAGAGCUAUUCCUUGGGUCGGAAUUUGGUUGUAGCCGCGGUGGCAGUGAAGCAAGCGUAGGGCCUAAGCCUACUUCGCCCCUGCCUCCGCCAAGAGUGUGAGUAUGGUCGAAUGAAAUGGGGGGACGGCAAGGCCUAUUGCCGUGCGACAUCGUUUAUAUUAAAAAUAACAAGGAUUUAUUCCUUGGCAUGGACCUCGCUCAGGCACAAAGAACCCGGCAAGCACCCUUUUUUCAUUAAUAUGUCACAUACAGGUACAGUUCGUACAGAAUGUAAACAUGAGCAAGGGGAUUACAAGCUUUAAAUUUAACUAAGGCACAUAGGCUUCCAAACUAAAAAGAGAUAAGAUGCCAGUAUCCCUUUCUUGUCCCUCUCCUCAGGAAACGGAAUAAGAUAGCAAAAGGGUAAAAGGAGUGCCUAGGCGUGGUACGAGCAGCAGAAGGCACCAAGAGAACAUUUCGGUGGCUGCCCAGGAGAUGGCUGGUGAUGAUGGUUCCGAGAGAAGAGCUGGAAGAUGAGGCAGCGGGCCGCCAAUAUGCUAUGAAGGCGUCGGUGCCAUCAUACUCCGACUUGGCGGCCCGCCACCCGCCUUCUUCGCCUUCUCCGGCCUUCCCACGCCAGCCGCCCAAGGAGGCGACCCCGAGAAGUUCAAGGAGCUGGCCCCACCCCAGGAGGAAGGGCCAGGUGCAGAUGCUACUGUUGCCGGUGCCGCCCGGGGAAGGCGGGCCCAACGCCUAGUCGGACCCGUCAUCCUCCCGCCUACCUCCCUUGUCGUCGCUGUUGCUUUCCUCCUCGUCACUCUCGCCCGAAGAGGAGCUUUCACCAUCAGUCGAGCUCUCCGCACAGCACCCUAGCCUGUGUCUCGAGCGCCCGAAAACCUUGACGGAGAGAAAAUCACUCUCCACCAGCUUGAAGCAGAGGAUGUGCCCAUCCAUCAGGCAAUGGGCAGGUGUAAAAGUUUUCCAGCCCCGACGAAGGAGCAUCACUUGAGGGGCGGGGAACCUUGUGUUCACCCACAUGUCGCUGUGGCAAUAUCCCUUCAUGUGAAGCCUCAGCCCCGGUGGUUGGUCGACCUCCAGCACGGUCACGAACGCCUGGGGAAGAUGAAGGCUGCGGCGUAGCGGCCCACAUAGCUGCAAGAUGAACUCAAGCGCCGAGUCCCCGACAUGACCACUCAGCGAAGCAGGAGGAGAUGGCGACGGAGACGGAGGCGGUGCAGGUGUUCCCCUUCCACGCCCACCUCUGCCUCGGCCACCUCGCCGACCGCGGCCCCAUCCAGCGGCCCCGCCUCGAGCGUGGCCUUCACCCUCGGCAUCGAGCUCUUCCUUGACCAUCGCAGCUCUCUGGCGGGAGGAGGACGUGGUCACCUCCACGGAAGAACGGCCUCGGCCACGCCCCCUCGCCAUGACCGUGGAUGGGGAUGGAGACAAGAGGGAGACGCAGGGAGAUGCUUUUCCUCCCGCCCCUGAGUCGCUUUUUAUAGUUGGGAGAGGGAGGGUGGAGGACCGGCUCUAUGCCCCCAAAAAGCCCGCUCGAAUCCAGCUCAUUAAGGUGGCAGCAGGCGAGGCCAUCGACCGCCCUCCUCGCCCAAUUGAAGGCGCGUAGGUAUCGACCCACGCGCACGCCUUCCCAUAUUCCAUGCACUUGUCACAUACCUCGUGCCGUGCAUGCGUCAUACGUGGCACAGGGGGCGGGCGUAGUGGGACACAUGGAACGAUGGUUCCAAGGCGAAGAAAGUAAAUGAGCAGCAGCCCUGCGAUUUUAAAGGGACACGCAAGCUGCCUCUUUACUAUUCACCGCAGGAUGAUGCAGGCAUGCUUCAGUCAUCCCCAUGCACGAUCCCAAUGUCAUGCAUUUAACGUGAGUCGUGGGGAAGCGCAGCGGACGAAAGAGUUACUGCGAUAAAAAUGACCCCGCCUGCCCGUGCACCGUUCUGGGCCUAGCCCAACAACGCGUUGCGCUUAUGUGUGGCCCAGGCCCGGGGGCUCCUGUCAGUGUACAAAAACAGGGGCACUCUUUUUGUACCCCUUUACUUGUGCACGGGCAGUCAGAUCCGCGCCCACAACCACACUUAGCAGGGCAGAGGAGGGAAGCUGAGGCCGCAAGAUGAUCAAGGCGACGCCAAGACCAGAAACGCAAAGAGCAAGAAGGCGAGGUGGACUCCCCCGGCAAGACCCUUGCCGGGGUGGCCUCCGCGGCCGUGGCAAGAGCCUUGCCGGGGCAACUUGCCCAACACUAGCAGAGCGCGCCACCCUUGAGCCCAAGGGUUCCAACGCCACCAGCCACAUUGGAACCAAGGCUCGGGAGGCACCUCCAUAGUGGCAUGCAGAUCUUCGUGAAGAUCAUAAACACGCAAGAUCAGAUAAGGACCAGAAGACGACGAUCCUCGGCAAGGAGAUCCACGAGACCUCCUACAAGAUCCUUCCCAGGCACGACCACAGUGCUGCGGCAAGACCCUUGUCGGGGCCCCAACAAUACCCUUGCCGAGGGCGUCAGCGGGGCCGCGGCUAGGCCCGUGCCCGCUGUCAGUGUCAAAAUCGACGGAUCUCGGGUAGGGGGUCCCGAACUGUGCGUCUUAGGCUAAUGGUAACAGGAGACUGGGGACACGAUGUUUACCCAGGUUCGGGCCCUCUCGAUGGAGGUAAUACCCUACUUCCUGCUUGAUUGAUCUUGAUGAUAUGAGUAUUAUAAGAGUUGAUCUACCAUGAGAUCAAAGAGGAUAAACCCUAGAAGCUAGCCUAUGGUAUGAUUGAUGAUGAUGAUCGUGGGUCCUACGGACUAAACUCUCCGGUUUAUAUAGACACCGGAGGGGGCUAGGGUUACACAGAGUCGGUUUACAGAGAAGGAGAUCUACAUCCGAAUCACCAAGCUUGCCUUCCACGCCAAGGAGAGUCCCAUCCGGACACGGGACAAAGUCUUCUGUCUUGUAUCUUCAUAGUCCAACAGUCCGGCCAAAGUAUAUAGUUCGGCUGUCCAGAUACGCCCUUAUCCAGGACUCCCUCAGUAGCCCCUGAACCAGACUUCAAUGACGAUGAGUCCAGCGCGUAGAUUGUCUUCGGCAUUGCGAGGCGGGUUCCAUCUCCGUAUACUUCAAGAUAAAUUCCGAACACAAGGACCGUGUCCGGUUUUGCAAGAUAACAUUCCAUAUACCACCGUAGAGAGAAUAAUAAUAAUCCAUGAAUCUAAUCUGCUGACAAUUCUUCAAAAAGUGACAUGACGCCACGGUCCGGUUUUGUUUCGAACCAUUCCUACAACCUGCUAUCGCACACACCACGAGGCGGUUUCCUUGGCAUGUCCUGUCAGAGCAGAGAUCGUGUUCCUCUUAUUGCGGAUUCUCAUCAAUACAAGUAUGGGUAAUCCAACCGCGCCCAUUGGCAUGACCCCGUGGUUUUAGGCAAGUCCCAAACGACCAUGUUCGGGGAUGCUUGAUAUUCUUCCCCCUUUAUAAAGGGGCUAAGGCCUAUCCCUCUAUCUCCACGCUUGCACACCUCGCGCCCUGAGUUCCAACACCCAAAGCCCGAGCUUAAGCACUCCGGAUCUCCGAUCAUGUUCGGAUCUGAACAUCAAGGUCGAUGGAUGGCCUCCUCUGUCAUAGAGGAGGAUAUUAUGAAGCUCAGGGAGGCUGGGUACUUAACCGCCGAUGUCAAGCACAGGCUUCCUACUCCCGAACAGGUUAUACCCACUCCCGAGACCAAUGAGAGCGUCGUAUUCAUCUCCCACUUCCUUCGGGGCUUGGGUCUCACUCUUGAUCCCUUUGUGAGGGGGCUCAUGCACUACUACGGGCUAGAUUUCCACGAUCUAGCUCCGAAUUCCAUCCUCCACAUCUCGUCAUUUAUCGUUGUGUGUGAAGCCUUCCUUCACAUUGCCCCCCACUUCGGCUUAUGGCUCAAGACUUUUGAUGUGAAGCUGAAGACAAUUGAGGAGCGACACGCAGAGUGCGGAGGUGCCAUGAUAAGCAGGAAUGCUGAUGCCCCAUGGCCCGAAGGCUCCUUCCCGGAGGUAUCUGAUUUAUGGCAACGGAGGUGGUUCUAUGUCACAGCUCCCCGAGGCUCAAAGUGGGUGGCCGCACCCGCCUUCCGCUCGGGCCCUCCACCCCAACUGGCAUCAUGGGCCAAUGUGGGACUAAACUGGGGGCCUGCAGACGAUGUACCAAUGCUACAAAGCCGCCUUCGGGAGCUCCUUGAGAGGAAUAUUAGUCUCGUCAAAAUAAUCCAAGUAAUGCUAGUUCGACGGAUCCUACCGUGCAAACGCCGGCCUCUCCGGAUGUGGGAAUUCAAUCCAGAAGGUCCGCAGACCAUUCAGCAUUUCUUCGGCAUGACACCCGAAGGGAUGUACAAGUUGUUCUUCGGACCACGAAUAAAGUGUCCGGACACCAUCGAGGAUGCGGGUCUGAGCUGCAAUCGCCUCGAUACCCAAGUAAGUAACCCCAUAACCGAACACCUCGUUUAUAUUUGUCAUAGCAUUUCUCUAAACACUGUCCGCAACCAGGAUUGGCUUAGAAAGGCAGAGAGGAUCAGGUGUCCGGCCCCUCUUCCCGACGGUUCGCCUGGCCCGGCAAUGGCCAAGAUUCUCGAACGGACACUUAGUCGGGUGCCACCAGAGAAAGCUGAAGGGGAGAGCGGGGAGGCCAAGAGUAGGCCUCACUCACUGCGCAUCUGAACCGGAGGAAUCAGUGCCUUCAAAGAGGAGGAGAACCGGGGGGGGGGCGACUCCAAGGUUUCCUCCCCCCGUGGGAAGAAAAGGGCCGCCUCCGUAGAUUUGGAGACGGAGGCGCCUAAACAAGGAAAAAGAAUUUCGCCAAAGGACCCUGCUUCGAAGGGCGUCCUUGACGUACAACGCCCGCCAACGGGCCAGACCUCCAUCGAGCUGUAAGUUUAAUUAAGCAAGGAUCUUACUGCUUCUUCCUCUGAGAGUAAUGACCAAGACCUGUUUUUGUAGUCCGGCUAGCAGUUCGUCUCAACAGGGUUCGUCCUCAGGGGAUCUUCUUCCGGAGAUGAUGGAGAGCGAAACCCCACCAGCCUCUCCGCCCCGUGGGGCGGGCGAACCUGAGGUAUCGUCACGGAGGAGUAUGGAUCCAAAGGGGCCGGAAGCUAACACUUCGGCCGCCCCGAGCCCAGCGUGUUCAGCUCCCAUGGCGGACAACAAAAAGGAUCCGGGAGAGUCCGGAGUCCGGCCGAACGCGCUGACGGGCCUCCUGGAGUCGGCUGAUUUCUUGAAGGGUCAUCGUACCCUAAUGGGUACGGUAUUGGAGAAAAUCUCCUCCGCCAUGAGCGGUUUAAACGGAGCUUUUAAGAGCCUGCUCAAAGGCUUUGACAUAAGCCGUAAUUUUUUAGUUGAACCGCACGCGAUACAUGCGCUCUGUAUAGAUAGUAGCCCCUGAGACUGUGGAUGGCAGCCCAUGGCGGCAAACGGAGGAUCACACUCCCCGAUUAUGAUCGCACCUGUAUUAAUGUGCAGGUUGCUAAGUGUUCAGCAACAGACCAGGCCGCUGAAUGCACCGAACUGAGGCAGCAGAUUGACGUUGUGGAGGCCGACUUCAUGCUUGUGAACAAGCGAUUCGAGGAGUCACAGAGUAUGCUUUCCUAUAUCCACAUCUAUUUUCGCAAGAAGGUUGAAAUAUUAAUGUGAUGUUAUGUAGUUGCAGGCGGAGCUGCUGCUGUUGAGGCCCUGAGGGCAGAGCUUGCUCUAGCCAAGGAGCAAGCCCGGAUUAGUAAUGCGGCUGCUCUAAAGGCAGCCGAAGAAUUAAAGGCCGAACAGGCCGCUCGUCUCCGAAGCGAGGAGAAGAUAGUCGAGAUGGCUAUGGAGCUGAGGGACGCCGCUGACCGGUAUGAGCUUCUCGAAAAGGAGAAUCAAACAAAGGCGGCCGACCUGAAGAAGGCGAUGGAUUCGGCUAAAGAGAUGCGCUCUCAGGUUAGAGAUGCACGGGAGGAACUUCGACAAGCCGGAGAAGUCGUGGCUGGAAGACCUUAUGUGUUGCGGAUGAAGUUUUUGGAUCCAAAGUAUGCUCCGUUGGAUAAGCUAUGGAGCGCCGCAGAUGAGUAUGCGGACUUGGCGAAGAGUGCAGCUGAUGCGACCAAGUUAUUCAAGGAUCAUGAGGAUAAUAAAAUGAAGAGGAUGUUCUGGUCGCAAUUUGAUGCUCCAGCGCGCUCCUUGCCCUUGAGUGAGAAGAUGGCCGCCAUAGCCGAGCUCCAUAGGCUGUCCGGCCUUGCAAUGAGGUCCGUAAUAGACCAUUUGUGGCCGAAGGAGCUGAAGCCGGACAGUUACUUUGCUCUGGUGCAACGAUUAUUUGGCGGCAGGGUGCAGAUUGAUGCCAUGAAGAGAUCGUGUGCAUAGAGGGUGCGCGGAUGGCUCUUUCCCGCGUGAAAACUUACUUGGCGGACAUGGAGGCUGAUGACCCACAAGUAUAGCGGAUCUAUCGUAGUCCUUUCGAUAAGUAAGAGUGUCGAACCCAACGAGGAGCAGAAGGAAAUGAUAAGCGGUUUUCAGCAAGGUAUUCUCUGCAAGUACUGAAAUAAGUGGUAACAGAUAGUUUUGUGAUAAGAUAAAUUGUAACGAGCAACAAGUACCAAAAGUAAACAAGGUGCAGCAAGGUGGCCCAAUCCUUUUUGUAGCAAAGGACAAGCCUGGACAAACUCUUAUAAUAGAAAAAGCACUCCCGAGGACACAUGGGAAUAUUGUCAAGCUAGUUUUCAUCACGCUCAUAUGAUUCGCGUUCGGUACUUUGAUAAUUUGAUAUGUGGGUGGACCAGUGCUUGGGUACUUCCCUUACUUGGACAAGCAUCCCACUUAUGAUUAACCUCUAUUGCAAGCAUCCGCAACUACAACAAAAGUAUUAAGGUAAACCUAACCAUAGCAUGAAACAUAUGGAUCCAAAUCAGCCCCUUAGGAAGCAACACAUAAACUAGGGUUUAAGCUUCUGUCACUCCAGCAACCCAUCAUCUACUUAUUACUUCCCAAUGCCUUCCUCUAGGCCCAAAUAAUGGUGAAGUGUUAUGUAGUAGACGUUCACAUAACACCACUAGAGGUUAGACAACAUACAUCUCAUCAAAAUAUCGAACGAAUACCAAAUUCACAUGACUACUAAUAGCAAGACUCCUCCCUUGUCCUCAGGAACAAACGUAAUUACUCACAAAGCAUAUUCAUGUUCAUAAUCAGAGGGGUAAUAAUGUGCAUAAAAGAUCUGAACAUAUGAUCUUCCACCCAAUAAACCAACUAGCAUCAACUACAAGGAGUAAUCAAAACUACUAGCAACCUACUAGCACCAAUCCCGGACUUGGAGACAAGAAUUGGAUACAAGAGAUGAACUAGGGUUUGGAGAUGAGAUGGUGUUGGUGAAGAUGUUGAUGGAGAUUGCCCUCUCCCGAUGAGAGGAGCGUUGGUGAUGACGAUGGUGAUGAUUUCCCCCUCCCGGAGGGAAGUGUCCCCAGCAGAACAGCUCUGCCAGAGCCCUAGAGUGGUUCUGCCAAGGUUCCGCCUCAUGGCGGCGGAGUCUCGUCCCGAAAGGUUCUCUUCUAUUUUUUUCUCAUCGAAAGACUUCAUAUAGGAGAAGAUGGGCGUCGGAGAGCCACCAGGGGGCCCACGAGGUAGGGGGGCACACCCAGGGGGGCGUGCCCCCCACCCUCGUUAGCAGGGUGUGGGCCCCCUGGCCUUCAUCUUUGGUGACGAUUUUUCUUUAUUUACUUCAAGGUAAUCCCUAGAGUUUCAGGACUUUUGGAGUUGCGUAAAAUAGGCCUCCAAUAUUUGCUCCUUUUCCAGCCCAGAAUUCCAGCUGCCGGCAUUCUCCCUCUUCAUAUAAACCUUGUAAAAUAAGAGAGAAUAGCCAUAAAUAUCGUGACAUAACGUGAAAUAACAGCCCAUAAUGCAAUAAAUAUUGUCAUAAAAGCAUGAUGCAAAAUGGACGUAUCAACUCCCCCAAGCUUAGAACUCGCUUGUCCUCAGGCGAAAAGCCGAUAACAAUAAAUAUGUCCUCAUGUUUAGAGGUAGAGGCAUCGAUAAAAAACAAAAUACGGACAUGAAGGCAUCAUGAUUAUUUCAUAACAGCAACGUAAAUAGAUUUUGUCAUAUGAUUACUCAUGUUCAAGUAAUGAUCUAUUCACAAAGCCAAAGCAUGAAUCAGAAAUCUUAUUGGGCACUAACAAUUAUAAUCUCAGUCAUUGAAGCAAUUGCAAUUUAUCAUAACAUCGGAAAGAGUCUGUGUCAGAGCUUAAAAGCAAGUCCACAUACUCAACUAUCAUUUAGUCCUUCAUAAUUGCUAGCACUCACAUGAUACUUGUGGUUACAGAGUUUUAAUCAGACACAGAGAAAGAUAGGGGCUUGUAGUUUUUCCCCACAACCUUUUACCUCAAGGGUAAUGUCAACAAUAAUAACUCAUGCUCCACCACAUCCAAUAGAUAUGUAUAUCAUACUCUUUCCAACAUGCUGAGCUUGCCAAAGGAUAAAAUGAAAAAGGAAAGGUGAGGAUCACCAUGACUCUUGAAGGUAGAGGAUAAUAAUAAAAGAUAGGCCCUUCGCAAAGGGAAGCAUAGGUUGUCAUGCGCGUUUAGGGUUGAUGCACAAAAUCUUAAUGCAAAAGAACGUCACUUUAUAUUGCCCCUUGCAUGUGAACCUUUAUUAUGCAGUCCGUCGCUUUUAUUGCGUCCACAACAAGUUCGUACAAAGCUUAUUUCUCUACAUUAAUAAGUCAUGCAUAUUUAGAGAGAAAUUUUUGUUGCUUGCACCGAUGACAACUUACUUGAAGGAUCUUACUCAAUCCAUAGGUAGAUAUGGUGGACUCUCAUGGCAAAACUGGUUUAAGGGUGUUUGGAAGCACAAGUAGUAUUUCUACUUGGUGCUAAGAAUUUGGCUAGCAUGAGGGGGAAAGGCAAGCUCAACACGGUAGAGGAUCCAUGACAACAUACUUUAUCUCGAAUGUAAGAAAACAUAACUCAUUAUGUUGUCUUCCUUGUCCAGCCUCAACUCUUUAGCAUGUCAUAUUUUAAUGAGUGCUCCCAAUCAUAAAAGGUGUCAAUGAUAAUAUAUCUAUAUGUGAAACCUCUCUUUCCUUAUUACUUCCUAUUAAUUGCAACUAUGACCAAAGCUAUAUUUGCCAACUCCCAACAACUUUUAAUCAUCAUACUCUUUCUAUGUGAAGUCAUUACUUUCACUAAGAUCAAUAUGAGCUCCUUGAUUCUUUUUAUUAUUUUCUUCUACUUACCCAAGAUCAUGGCAAAAAAUCAAGCCCUUGACUCAACACUAAUCUUUAUUAUAUAGCUCAUGGACUCGAUUACAAAGAAGGAUCGUAAAGCAAAACUCAAAACUAGAUCAUGCCAUGACUUUAUUCUACUAAAUCAAGAUACUACUAAUAGGACCGAACUAAGAAAAACUGUAAAGAUAGGAGUUGUGAUGGUGAUACGAUACCAUGGCACCUCCCCCAAGCUUGGCAGUUGCCAAGGGGAGUGCCCAUACCCAUGUGAUUAUUUCUCCUUCUUUGUCGUUGGUGUUGGAGGUAUUGUCGAUGAUGCAGGCUUGUCGUCCAACUUCCACGGCAUAGGCUCUCCAUCAUAGAAGGAUGAUCGAGUCUCCGGAAUCCUCAAAUCUGCAGCCAAACUCAUCCUUUUGAAUCUAUAUUCAUACUCACAGUUUUGAUUUUGCAGAUCAUAAAUUUGGGCUUGGAGGUGCUCGAUCUUCUCUUGUAGCUUAAAGAUGGCCUCCUUAGUGUUCUUGGCAUCCGGCUCGUAGUUGUUGGUGAACUCCGCGAGCAUCUUGUGGCUAGCGUUGAUUCCACGCUCCACCAUCCCCUGACACUUGAAAACUUGUUGCUCCAUUGCCUCGAGCCUCGACUCUACACUUCCGGUUCCCUUGGGUCCCUCAACAUCGCGGAUGUGCAGCAACCCAUCAUGCAUCUCAAUGGUUUGAGGGUGCGGCAGCACCUCCGCGAGGUAAGGGUUAAUCACCUUCUCGAAGAACUUGUCCUUGGAAGCACUUGGGGUCAACACGAUGAUCUAGACCUGUCAGAAAAACAACUCGAAACAAAAACAGAGGAUAUUUGCAUGAUACGAGAGUCAAAACCUUCGGGAGUAUAUAUAAUGAAUUUUUACCGACCAAAAUACGCGUCGUGCAAGGAAACGGAGUCCGGAGGGCACAUGAGGUGCUCACGAGGUAGGGGGCGCGCCCAGGGGGUAGGGCGCGCCCUCCACCCUCGUGGAGGCCUCGUGUCCUCCCCGGACUGCUGCUUAUUUUUUUAUUUUCUAAAUAUUCCAAAACGGAGAAAUAUUGCCUUAAAAAUUGUUUUGGAGUCGGUUUACUUACCGUACCACAUACAUAUUCCUGUUCGGAGUCUGGAACGUUCUGGAAAGUGUCCUUUAUGUACUCCUCCGGGGUCACGAUUUCAAUAAUAUUAAUUUCAACAUUUAUAGGAUUACCUGAGAUAUAGUGUUUGAUCCUUUGACCGUUUACCACCUUCGGAUUUGUGCCUGCGAAGUUGUUGAUUUUUAUGGCACCGAAACGAUAGACCUCCUCGAUAACGUAAGGACCUUCCCAUUUAGAGAGAAGUUUUCCUGCAAAAAAUCUUAAACGAGAGUUGUAUAGCAAUACAUAAUCACCUACAUGAAACUCACGCUUUUGUAUCAUUUUGUCAUGCCAUCUUUUAACCUUUUCUUUAAACAACUUGGCAUUUUCAUAUGCUUGGGCUCUCCAUUCAUCAAGUGAGCUAAUAUCAAAUAACCUCUUCUCACCGGCAAGUUUGAAAUCAUAGUUGAGCUCUUUAAUAGCCCAAUAUGCCUUAUGUUCUAGUUCGAGAGGUAAGUGACAAGCUUUUCCAUAAACCAUUUUAUACGGAGACAUGCCCAUAGGAUUUUUAUAUGCAGUUCUAUAGGCCCAUAAUGCAUCAUCAAGUUUCUUGGACCAAUUCUUUCUAGACCUAUUAACAGUCUUUUGCAAAAUUAAUUUGAGCUCCCUAUUGCUCAAUUCUACUUGACCACUAGACUGAGGGUGAUAAGGAGAUGCAAUCCUAUGAUUAACGUCAUAUUUAGCAAGCAUCUUACGGAAAGCACCAUGAAUAAAGUGUGAACCACCAUCAGUCAUUAAAUAUCUAGGGACUCCAAACCUCGGAAAAAUAACUUCCUUAAGCAUUUUAAUAGAUGUGUUAUGAUCAGCACUACUAGUUGGAAUAGCUUCCACCCACUUAGUAACGUUAUCAACAGCAACUAAAAAAUGUGUGUAUCCAUUAGAGGCAGGAAAAGGUCCCAUAUAAUCAAAGCCCCAAACAUCAAAUGGCUCAAUAACAAGUGAAUAAUUCAUAGGCAUUUCUUGACGUCUACUAAUAUUACCAAUUCUUUGACAUUCAUCGCAAGAUAAAACAAACUUACGGGCAUCUUUGAAGAGAGUAGGCCAAUAAAAACCGGAUUGCAAUACCUUAUGUGCAGUUCUAUCUCCAGCAUGGUGUCCUCCAUAAGCUUCGGAGUGACACUUGCGUAGGAUCUGUUCCUGUUCAUGCUCAGGUACACAACGUCUAAUGACACCAUCUACUCCUUCUUUAUAAAUAUGUGGAUCAUCCCAAAAGUAAUGUCGCAAGUCAUAGAAAAACUUUUUCUUUUGCUGGUAUGUGAAGCUAGGUGGUAUAAAUUUAGCAACAAUAUAAUUAGCAUAAUCAGCAUACCAAGGAAUGCUACGAGAAGUGAUUAUGACACUUAAUUGUUCAUCAGGAAAGCUAUCAUCAAUAGGUAGUGGGUCAUCAAGAACAUUCUCUAACCUAGAUAAGUUAUCUGCAACGGGGUUCUCAGCUCCUUUUCUAUCAACAAUAUGCAAAUCAAAUUCUUGAAGCAAAAGAACCCAUCUAAUAAGCCUAGGUUUUGCAUCCUUCUUUUCCAUAAGAUAUUUAAUAGCAGCAUGAUCAGUGUGAAUAGUAACUUUGGAAUCAACAAUACAAGGUCUAAACUUAUCACAAGCAAACACCACUGCUAAAAGUUUCUUUUCGGUAGUAGCAUAAUUUCUUUGAGCACUGUCUAGAGUCUUACUGGCAUAAUGGAUAACAUUUAAUUUCUUAUCAACUCUUUGCCCUAAAACAGCGCCUACAGCAUAAUCACUAGCAUCACACAUAAUUUCAAAGGGUAAAUUCCAAUCAGGUAGCUGAACAACAGGUGCAGAGACUAGUGCUUUCUUAAGUGUUUCAAAUGCUUCUACACAAUCAUCAUCAAAGACAAAUGGUACAUCUUUUUGUAAUAAAUUAGUCAGAGGCCAAGAAAUUUUUGAGAAGUCCUUAAUGAACCUCCUAUAAAAUCCGGCGUGACCAAGGAAACUUCUUAUACCUUUGAUGUCCUUGGGACAUGGCAUCUUUUCAAUAGCAUCAAUCUUGGCUUUAUCAACUUCAAUACCUCUUUCAGAAACUUUGUGCCCCAAGACAAUACCUUCAUUGACCAUUAAGUGGCACUUUUCCCAAUUCAAGACAAGAUUAGUUUCUUCACAUCUCUGCAAAACUCGAUUAAGAUUGCUUAAGCAAUCAUCAAAAGAGGAACCAUAGACGGAAAAGUCAUCCAUGAAAACCUCACAAAUCUUUUCGCAAAAGUCAAAGAAUAUGGCCAUCAUGCAUCUUUGAAAGGUAGCAGGUGCAUUACAUAAACCAAAAGGCAUACGUCUAUAAGCAAAAGUACCAAAAGGGCAUGUAAAAGUAGUCUUUGAUUGAUCUUUAGCUGACACAGGUAUUUGAGAGAAACCAGAAUAACCAUCUAGAAAGCAAUAAUGUGUAUGUUUGCAUAACCUUUCUAGCAUUUGAUCAAUAAAAGGUAAGGGGUAAUGAUCUUUCUUAGUAGCUUUAUUUAACUUACGGAAAUCAAUUACCAUCCUAUAACCUGUGAUAAUUCUUUGAGGGAUCAAUUCAUCUUUAUCAUUAGGGACAACUGUAAUACCUCCCUUCUUAGGGACACAAUGGACAAGACUUACCCACUGGCUAUCAGCAACAGGAUAAAUUAUACCUGCCUCCAGAAGCAUGAGUAUUUCUUUUCUUACCACUUCUUUCAUUUUAGGAUACGUCGUUGAGGAUCACAAACUGGUUUGGCAUCAGCUUCCAAAUUUAUUUUAUGUUGACAUAGAGUGGGACUAAUGCCCUUAAGAUCAUCCAGAGUAUAUCCAAUAGCAGCACGACGCUUCUUCAGAGUUUUCAAUAAUCUUUCCUCUUCAUGCUCUGAAAGGUUAGCGCUAAUCAUGACAGGAUAUAUUUUCUUUUCAUCAAGAUAAGCAUAUUUAAGAUUAUUAGGCAACGGUUUAAGCUCAAAUACGGGAUCACCCUUGGGUGGAGGGGGAUCCCCUAGGAUUUCAACAGGCAAAUUGUGUUGCAGAAUAGGUUCCUGUUUAAAGAAUACUUCAUCUAUUUCCCUUCUUUCAUUCAUGAACAUAUCAUUUUCAUGGUCUAGCAAAUACUGUUCUAAAGGGUCACUAGGAGGUACAGCAAUAGAGGCAAGACCAAUAAUUUCAUCCUUACUAGGAAAUUCUUCCUCACGAUGUUGUUUACUAAAUUUAGAGAACUCAUGAACCAUAUUAUCCAAGCCAAUAGUAGCAACAUUCUUUUCGCAGUCUAUCUUAGCAUUAACAGUACUCAAGAAGGGUCUACCAAAUAUAAUGGGACAAAAGCUAUCUUGCGGGGAACUAAGAACAAGAAAAUCAGAAGGAUAUUUAGUUUUCCCACACAAGACUUCAACAUCUCUAACAAUUCCCACUGGUGAAAUAGUAUCUCUAUUGGCGAGUUUAAUUGUGACAUCAAUUUAUUCUAACUCAGCAGGUGCAAUUUCAUGCUUAAUUUCUUUAUAUAAUUCAUAAGGUAUAACACUAGCACUAGCACCCAUAUCACAUAGGCCAUGAUAACAAUGAUCUCCUAUUUUAACAGAAAUAACAGGCACGCCCACCACAGGUCUAUGUUUAUCUUUAUCACAAGGUUUAGCAAUUCUAGCAGUCCCACCCUGGAAUUGAAUAACAUGCCCAUCGAUAUUAUCAGACAAGAGAUCUUUAUAAAUAGCAAUAUUAGGUUCUACUUUGACUUGUUCAGGAGGUGUAUAAGUUCUAAUAUUUCUUUUACGAACAACAACUAAAGCUUUAGCAUGAUCCUUCAUUCUAACAGGGAAAGGUGGUUUCUCAACAUAAGAAGUGGGAACAAUAGGAUCAUUAUAAGUGACAAUCUUUUCUUCAACUUUAAUAGGUGCAGCUACUUUCACUUCUAUGGGGGGAUGAUAUUUAAACCACUUCUCCUUGGGGAGAUCAACAUAAGUAGCAAAAUAUUCACAGAAAGAAGCUACUAUCUCAGAGUCAAGUCCAUACUUAGUGCUAAAAUUAUGGAAAAUAUCGGUAUCCAUAAAAGAUUUAACACAAUCAAACUUGGGUGUCAUAGCUGACUCCUUACCUUCGUCGAGGUCCCAAUCUUCAGAGUUGCGUUUAAUUCUAUCCAGUAAAUUCCAUCUGAAUUCAAUAUUCUUCAUCAUGAAAGAGCCAACACAGGAAGUAUCGAGCAUGGAGCGAUUGUUAUCAGAAAGCCGAGCAUAAAAACUUUGCAUAAUUACUUCUCUUGCGAGCUCAUGAUUGGGGCAUGAAUAUAACAUUGAUUUAAGCCUCCCCCAAGCUUGAGCGAUGCUUUCUCCUUUGCGAGGCCAAAAAUUAAAUAUAUAAUUGCGAUCACGAUGAACAAGAUGCAUAGGGUAAUACUUUUGAUGAAAUUCCAAUUUCAAUCUUUUAUAAUUCCAUGAUCUCAUAUCAUCACAUAGCAUGUACCAUGUCAAUGCAUCUCCCUUCAAAGAAAAAUGGAAAGCCUUCUUCUUAACAGCAUCAUCGGGUAUACCUGCAAGCUUAAAUAGUACACAAACAUAAUCCACAUAACGUAGAUGUUCAUCAGGAUGCUUUGUUCCAUCUCCUGUAAAAGUGUUAGCUAGCAAUUUUUCCAUCAAACCCGAAGGAAUCUCAAAAGGAGUUUCAUUUUCAAUAGGUUUAGUAGGUUGAGUAGGUUGAGGAGGUUGAGGAGCAACUCUUUGCUCUGCUGGACGGGGUGAAGAUACCCUGAACAAGCCCCUCAGACAAAUACUUUCCAUAGUAACAAGUGACAGAAAAUUUCAGCACACUAAAUAAAUUUUUCCUUACCAAAUUCCACCUACCAAAGGCGCUUCACUCCACGGCGACGGUGCCAGAAAAGAGUCUUGAUGACCCACAAGUAUAAGGGAUCUAUCGUAGUCCUUUCGAUAAGUAAGAGUGUCGAACCCAAUGAGGAGCAGAAGGAAAUGAUAAGCGGUUUUCAGCAAGGUAUUCUCUGCAAGUACUGAAAUAAGUGGUAACAGAUAGUUUAGUGAUAAGAUAAAUUGUAACGAGCAACAAGUAACAAAAGUAAACAAGGUGAAGCAAGGUGGCCCAAUCCUUUUUGUAGCAAAGGACAAGCCUGGACAAACUCUUAUAAUAGAAAAAGCGCUCCCAAGGACACAUGGGAAUAUCGUCAAGCUAGUUUUCAUCACGCUCAUAUGAUUCGCGUUCGGUACUUUGAUAAUUUGAUAUGUGGGUGGACCAGUGCUUGGGUACUGCCCUUACUUGGACAAGCAUCCCACUUAUGAUUAACCUCUAUUGCAAGCAUCCGCAACUACAACAAAAGUAUUAAGGUAAACCUAACCAUAGCAUGAAACAUAUGGAUCCAAAUCAGCCCCAUAGGAAGCAACGCAUAAACUAGGGUUUAAGCUUCUGUCACUCUAGGAACCCAUCAUCUACUUAUUACUUCCCAAUGCCUUCCUCUAGGCCCAAAUAAUGGUGAAGUGUUAUGUAGUCGACGUUCAGAUAACACCGCUAGAGGUUAGACAACAUACAUCUCAUCAAAAUAUCAAACGAAUACCAAAUUCACAUGACUACUAAUAGCAAGACUCCUCCCUUGUCCUCAGGAACAAAUGUAAUUACUCACAAAGCAUAUUCAUGUUCAUAAUUAGAGGGGUAAUAAUAUGCAUAAAGGAUCUGAACAUAUGAUCUUCCACCCAAUAAACCAACUAGCAUCAACUACAAGGAGUAAUCAACACAACUAGCAACCUACUAGCACCAAUCCCGGACUUGGAGACAAGAAUUGGAUACAAGAGAUGAACUAGGGUUUGGAGAUGAGAUGGUGCUGGUGAAGAUGUUAAUGGAGAUUGCCCUCUCCCGAUGAGUGGAGCGUUGGUGAUGACGAUGGUGAUGAUUUCCCCCUCCCGGAGGGAAGUGUCCCCAGCAGAACAGCUCUGCCAGAGCCCUAGAUUGGUUCUGCCAAGGUUCCGCCUCAUGGCGGCGGAGUCUCGUCCCGAAAGGUUCUCUUCUAUUUUUUUCUCAUCGAAAUACUUCAUAUAGGAGAAGAUGAGCGUCAGAGAGCCACCAGGGGGCCCACGAGGUAGGGGGGCGCCCAGGGGGGCGCGCCCCCACCCUCGUGAGCAGGGUGUGGGCCCCCUGGCCUUCAUCUUUGGCGAUGAUUUUUAUUUAUUUAUUUCAAGGUAUUCCAUGGAGUUUCGAGACUUUUGGAGUUGCGUAAAAUAGGCCUCCAAUAUUUGCUCCCUAUCCAGCCCAGAAUUCCAGUUGUCGGCAUUCUCCCUCUUCAUAUAAACCUUGUGAAAUAAGAGAGAAUAGAGGCCCAGUGCAAUAACAGCCCAUAAUACAAUAAAUAUUAUCAUAAAAGCAUGAUGCAAAAUGGACGUAUCAGAGGCCACCCGCAUUGCAAUCCGGGGUCCGGCCGGAAGCCAAGACCCAGCCAAGCACUAUUUUGAGCAGGUUAUAGAAGGUGCUCGUAGAAUAGAGGCCCAGUGCUCCAAGAAUGUCAUGUUUGAGUGAUGAAAUUGUAAACAACUAUGUGUUUAAUUAUGGAGGCUGCUUUUUUUUGUAUAAUUUUGACUGAAAGUAUUACAGUAUCUCCUGUGCGGCUGUUUAUAUAUGCAUAUAAUCGUGAAAGUUAGCAGUCAUUGGCUUCAGCCCCCACGCGCAUAAUACGGGGGUGUUCGAGAAAAUAUGCCUGAACACACUUGAUCCAAUGUCUUGGUCCAUUAAGGAGGUGAUUGCACGUCGAACCAGGCAACCGAACUAUAUAGCUGUAACACUUUCGCUUAGCCGUAGGAGUUGAAAGGUGGGGCUACUAUAUAGCCCCUAGUACUUCCGCGUGCGUCCGGAUACGGUGCGCGUACUUGACAGGUAGACCGGUCCUUCGUUAAUGCGGAGGAAUCCUAUAGAUUCCGAUGAGUCCUCGAGUGGCUGACCAGUCUCUCGCUAUAUCAUGACAGUCAGAAUUCGGCUUUCUCUACUGAGGUGCUCAUCCGGAAUAACUAGGGCACAAUCACAGUAGUUCUUCUUUGGCCACCUUAGCCGAUAGAAUGGAACGUAAGGCAGCAAACCCAGGAGCCGGGCUAACCCAACAUUUGACCAAAGUCAUGAUUCGGAGCUGAUGCAUAUAAGGCCAAACUCGUGAUGCCGAACACUCCCGGAGGUAUUCAGACUUUACAAAAUAUAUUGGGCCACAAUGCCCUUGACCCUGUGAUUCCAGGUACGCGCAUUGAUCUGUCGUGGCAAAGAAGCCUAAAACGCCAGUGUCCCGAAUAGGUGUGUGAAAUACCCAUGGGACGUUGAGCAACAAGAGACGGUAAAGAAGGUUUACGCAGGGGCUUAAUCUAAAGAGAAACCUGUGGGCAGGGCCCUGCUGCACGUCUACGCCUGUGUCUCUGUUGUGCCGUAUCCUGGAAGGGUGUCGCACUGGUAGUGUCUGUAAGAACGAAAAAGAAAACAUGUGAAAAGUUAGUUAUGCUCGAGGGAUGUUCGAAAUCCGGUGAGGCGAGCCGAAUUGUGGGCUUGCGUUACAUGUUUGCAGCCCCUCGUAUUAUUUAUAGGGACACAUGUACGGCCCCUAACUCAGGUAUAUCCGAGCCAUUGUAAAAAUGGUGUAUUGGACUCGUCUAACCGUGUCCGUGGUCUUGACGACCGAUCAUGCGUUUCGGUGGGAGAGGCCGCCUAGAGUCCGGCAGUGAGAACUGCCACAUACUGUUCUGUGUUACCGCUAACCGUGAAGACGCCGCAUGGACCAGGCAUCUUGAGUUCAAGGUAGGCGUAGUUUGGUAUUUCGUUAAAGCAAGCGAAGGCUGGUCUUCCAAGCAAUGCAUGAUAAUCGCUGCUGAAGGGAGCGAUGUUGAAGAGUAAGUUCUCGCAUCUGAAGUUGUUGGGAGAACCGAAUGUUACUUCUAACACGAGGGAUACCCAACAAUGGGCCACGACGCCUGGAAUUACUCCAUUGAAGGUGGCAUUGUUUUGAUUUAUUCUGGAUGGUUCUAUCCCCAUCCUGCGGAUGGUGUCUUGAUAUAUUAAAUUAAGACUACUGUCGCCGUUCAUUAGGACAUGAGUGAGAUGGUCUCCAUCGAUUAUUGGGUCGAGCACCAAGGUAGCCAAUCCUCCGUGCCGGAUACUGGCCGGAUAGUCCCUAUGAUCAAAAGUGAUCGGGCAAUUUUCCCAGGGAUUAGAUUGGGGGGCUACGAACUCUGCAUGAGUUGCGUGUACCAUGUUUACCGUUUUGACUUCCGAUGGGAAUUGUUUCUGGCCCCUAGUAUUUGGCUGGAGAGGCUCAUCCUCGUCUUCGCUUGGUGUUUCCCUUCCCUUAUGUUCGGUGUUUAACUUGUCGGCCUGCUUGAAGACCCAACAUUCUUUGUGGGUUUGAUUUGCAGGUUUGUCGAAAGUGCCAUGGAUUUGGCACAAUCUGUCCAAGACUUUGUUCAGGCCGGAUGGUUCCUCUUUACUGUCGUUAAAUGGCAUUUUUCCUUGACUGGGUUGAGAGCCCCUGAAUCCGGCGUUGACUGCUAUGUUGUCCGGACUGUUGUUAUUCCGACGUUUGUUCUUGGUGUGCCGUGUCUUCCCGUUGCCAUCUCGAAUUUCGGAUGUGCAUGGGUCGCUGGGGCCUUUACGGGCCAACCAGCUGUCCUCGCCCGCGCAAAAUUGGGUCAUGAGGCUUGUUAAGGCUGCCAUCAUUCUCGGCUUUUCUUGGCCGAGGUGUCUGGUAAGCAACUCGUCUCAGAUACUCUGUUUGAAGGCCGCUAAGGCUUCGACAUCCGGACAGUCGACAAUUUGAUUCUUCUUAGUGAGGAAUUUGUUCCAAAGUUUGCAGGCUGACUCUCCAGGCUGUUGUAUUAUGUGACUUAAAUCGUCCGCAUCUAGAGGCCGGACAUAGGUCCCUUGAAAGUUGGCCCUGAAAGCAUCCUCAAGUUCGUCCCAACUUCCAAUUGAGUUUUCGGGGAGGCUUUUCAGCCAAUGACGAGCUGGUCCUUUUAACUUGAGGGGGAGGUAUUUAAUGGCGUGGAGGUCGUCCCCACGAGCCAUGUGUAUAUGAAGGAUAAAAUCUUCAAUCCAGACCCCGGAGUCCGUCGUUCCGUCGUAUGACUCUAUAUUCACGGGUUUAAAUCCCUGUGGAAAUUCAUGGUCCAGCACCUCAUCCGUGAAGCACAGGGGGUGUGCAGCCCCUGUGUAUCUGGCUAUGUUGCGGCCUGCUGCCGGCCAUUGUUGCUCCUGGUGUUGAUUCUGGACAGGUAUUCGAUCGACAUGAUCGCUGUGGUGACAAUAAUCCCGCACUGGAGCCUGUCCUCUGGACCCAUAGAUGGACCUGGCCGCACUGGCCUCUUUGUCCAGGAGCUCUCAUAAAUCACGUGCAGUAUCCAUGGCUGCUCUAUCAUAGCCAUGAGGUGGUUGGUCCGGCUGAGUAGCCGUAUUGUUUUGGGUCGGACAGGUGUUGCGCCUUCAUUGUCGAAUUUGGGUAACAGCUUGCGCUUUGGGUAGCUCUUUGUGUGGCGAUUAUCGCCAUGCUUUCCUUCGGUGUCCAUCACCUUAUUCCAUCGUCGGUUGAGCAUAUCCUGCGCGGCCUUUAAUCUUUGCUUCUGCUUCUUCAGGCUCCGCGUUGUUGCAGGAGUUUUCUGCGGAGUUUGUCUUGUUUGGAAUGUUCUUCCGGGAUGAUGAAAGCAUCAUUGACCGGACUGUUAGCUUCUUUUGAGGUAGCAUGAUGAGUUCGGCCCUCUAAAUCAGGCGUCUGCUCGGGGCUGUGUUCGGCCUAACCUGGUUUAUCCUGCUCCAUCACUGGAUCCCUAUGGUCGUUGUUGCCUUCGAAAUCAACUGGAGUGUCAUCCUGUUUUGGAUUAUUAUCGCUAUUUUUGAUGUGACUGGACCUAAGGCGGCGCUUACGCCGUCGUUUUUGUUUUUGCCCGAGGGGUUUAUCCUCCGUUGUGUCCUUUUUGUCACUAUUGUCCUCUUUGGGUGUGUCCACCAUGUAGGCGUCGCAUGAUGAAGUGGCAGUCCAGCGCUGCGUGGGCGGUGGUUCCGGAUCUUCCCCUAUAUCAACGUCCAUACCGUCGAUGUUAUUGGGGGAGCUGUCAAGCAUGUCUGUUAGGUCGUCGACAGUGGCUAUAAAGUGGGUGGUGGGUGGGUCGCGAUUUUCCUCGUCCUCCAUAUCCCACACGGGCCGAACAUAGUUCGGCCAGGGGCCUCUUGACAAAGAGAGAGACUUUAAUGAAUCCAGCAUAUCUCCGAAGGGUGAGUGCUGGAAGAUAUCCGCGGAGGCGAACUCCAUGACUGGAGCCCUAUUAGGCUCAAUGGGCAAGAGUGCGUGCGGUCCGGAACACACUACCGGAGAUGAGUCCGGGGGUCCGGAGACACAGAUCCUUUUAGGAGAGGAGUCUGUGUUCGGCUCCAACGCCGAGGAGUACGUGGCCUUCGGGCGGGGUCCAUCCACCCGUCCUUGGAAGGCACGACCCGCUCUGGAAUGGAGUCCGGAGCGGUAGCAGACGCGAUGUUCCGAAUAUUAUCCGACUGCCGAUCUAGAUCGUGCACAUCGUGAUUGUUCAGCGCUCCUGACACAGGCCUGAAUCCGUCGAAGAUCAAGUCUCCGCGGAUAUUGGCGGUGUGGUUUAGGUUUCCUCCAGAGCUGGCCUGAUGGUCGGGGGCGUAGCUAUUGAUCUGCUCCAGAUGACCAAGCGAGUUGGCCCGCAGUGCGAAGCCGCCGAACACGAAGGUCUGUCCGGGGAGAAAAUUCUCGCCCAGGACAGCGUGGUUGAAGGUUGGAGAAGCCAUCUAGCCUUGCAGCAACGGCACAGAGGAACUCUCAAUGAAAGCACCAAUGUCGGUGUCAAAACCGGCGGAUCUCGGGGAGGGGGUCCCGAACUGUGCGUCUUAGGCUAAUGGUAACAGGAGACUGGGGACAUGAUGUUUACCCAUGUUUGGGCCCUGUCGAUGGAGGUAAUACCCUACUUCCUGCUUGAUUGAUCUUGAUGAUAUGAGUAUUACAAGAGUUGAUCUACCACGAGAUCAGAGAUGCUAAACCCUAGAAGCUAGCCUAUGGUAUGAUUGAUGAUGAUGAUCGUGGGUCCUACGGACUAAACCCUCCGGUUUAUAUAGACACCGGAGGGGGCUAGGGUUACAUAGAGUCGGUUUACAGAGAAGGAGAUCUACAUCUGAAUCGCCAAUCUUGCCUUCCGCGCCAAGGAGAGUCUCAUCCGGACACGGGAGAAAGUCUUCUAUCUUGUAUCUUCAUAGUCCAACAGUCCGGCCAAAGUAUAUAGUCCGGCUGUCCGGAUACCCCCUUAUCCAGGACUCCCUCACCCGCCAAAGCUCCACCGUCAUUCCCAUGUAGCUGCCAGCCCAGCCAGCCAGGCGAGCACCUGUGUGGCGACGUACGGCCCCGAAACCAACCAGCAAGCACCUGUGUGGUGGCAUGCAAAUCUUCACGAAGACCCUGCCACCGCACCAGCUCAGCAGCCUACCAGCCUACAUGGCACUGCACGUCGCACUAGCCUGGAUGCGUGUUGAAGCAAGGUGAAGCGGCGACAGCAAGAAGGGCACAUCAGCAGCGCAUUAAAUGCGUUUGUCUGACGGUGCCAGAGGAUAGACUCAACCACCACAUGCACUUUCCACCUCCUGUGUGCCACUGUGGCGUCCCUUUUUGCCCUAUAAAAGGAGGCCCGAGGCGUACGGGAGAAGGACUCGACUUUUUGGACAACGCACACACCGUAGCUAGUUCAAGAAUGCAAGAACAUUCAGAUAUACACCAAAGCAGGACUAGGGUAUUAUGCGAUUCACCUCUUCGGAGUGUUGUGCUCCUGUCGAUGACGUGCCAGAGAGCUCCACUGGCAAGAGCAAGAAAUCAAGAGAUGCACCACCAGAGACCAAGAAGGUGUCCGUCAAGGAGGAUGGCACGGGAGGGGCUUUCACCAUAAGCUCCACCCUCGAUGGCAAAUAGGAAUGCGAGCUCAUCACUUUCCCGCGGGCGAAUGUCAAUGUGUUUGCAUGGCAAGCAUCCGACAUCCCCGAUGUUCCCAGGGAGAUGAUUGAGCACCAUCUUGCUGUCUGUCCUCAUGCGCGGCCCGUCAAGAAGAAGGUCAGGAAGCAAGCUCUCAAGAGGCAGGAGUUCAACACAUAAGAGAUCAGAAAGCUAGAAGCGGCAGGCUUGGUGAGAGGAGUACUCCAUCUGACGUGGUUGGCCAAUCCGGUGGUAGUGCGCAAGGCAAAUGGGAAGUGGAGGCUGUGUAUUGAUUACAUAGAUAUCAAUAAGGCCUGUCCAAAAGACCCUUUCCCAUUGCCGCGCAUUGAGUAGAUUGUUGACUCCACGAUCGGCUGUGACCUGUUGUCCUUCCUUGACGCCUACUUAGGAUACCAUCAGAUUUUCAGGACGAGAGAAGAUGAAGAGAAGACAACAUUCAUCACCCCAUGUGGUACGUAUUGCUUUUUACGGAUGCCUUUUGGGUUGAUGAGUGUUGGCUCGACCUUCGCAAGAGCAGUCCAAAUUGGUUUUGAGCCCCAGCUACAUAGAAAUAUGGAAGCUUAUAUGGAUGACAUAGUGGUCAAAACCAAGGAUAAGGCAACACUUGUGCAAGAUUUGGAAGAUACGUUUGCAAAUCUACGCAAGAUCAACCUCAAGCUGAACCCUGAGAAGUAUGUCUUUAGCGUUCCGUCCGGCAAGUUCUCGGGUUCUUUGUGUCGCAGCAUGGGAUUGAGGCGAAUGCAUACAAGAUCAAGGCCAUCGAGCAGAUUGAGGUGCCUAGGCGGAUCAAGCAUGUGCGCCAGCUCACCGGCUGCGUUGCCGCCAUGAGCAGAUUCAUCUCCAAGUCUGCUGAGCGUGCCCUUCCCUUUUUCAAAAUCUUGAAAAAGGCUGGCCCAAUGGAGUGGAACCCAUAGGCCGAGGCAGCGCUGCAGGAUUUGAAGAAAUACCUCUCCUCCACGCCGAUACUGGUUGCGCCUAAACCACAAGAGCCACUGCUGUUGUAUCUAGUGGCAAUGAGUCAACUGGUUAGCACCGCACUAGUGGCACAGAGGGAGGUCGCCGAAGGGACAGUGGAAACGGCGGGGUUGGCGGAUGGCGAGCCAGAGCUCCCCCCGGCAGGGCCUGGUCCCAGUAGGGCGAGGCAAUCGGCAGGGUCUGACGCCGGCAUUCAUCAGAAAUAAAAAAUAAAUGUAAAUUAGCAGUGAUGCUAUUUUUUUGAGAACCAAUCAGCAGCGAUACUAUACCAUGCGGUUUUCUUGCUCCUCGAUAUCGGAAAGAAUACUUCCGUUCGCCAACAUGUGGGACGUCGACCAUCCUGGUCCACUUGCCAUGCACGCAGAACUCCAAGGGAGAAUCACCCUGGUCGCCCGCCGCAGUAAUAGUGACUAAUGAGCCGUCAAAUCACAGACCCAACCUUUCCCACUUUGAAGUUGCUCGGACGAAGGAACCAACAUGACUUCGUUGAAUUCCGCUUCUUGAAGAAAACUACUGUACCAGCAGUACUGCUAGCUACAGUAGUUACUCCAAUAGAGGCCUCCUUUCGUUCAUAAGAUAGGAAUUUUAUUGGAAUAUGAAAAUCAUAGGAAGUGAGAUGACAUGCAUCUCAAUUCCUAUAGAGAAAGAGAUGCCAUUUGAUGCAUAGGAUAGGAAUUUUUCCAUUGAGUCUAGGUUAAUGUACUGGUAAUUUGCUCUAAAACUACAGUAGUAACUAGUAGUACUGGUACAUGCUCGUACUCAAACACAGACACACACAUUAACUACUAGUACUACUACUUCUCACAUGCUGGCCAGACGUCGUCGUUCUCCUUCCCGGCUUUGUCGGCGACACCCCAUCAUGCUUGGAUCUCCGCCGACCUCUCCGCAGCAGUGCGUGCAUCCUCUUCUUUCUUGCGGCGGCAGGCCUCUCUUUCUUGAGUGCUUUCUGACUUUUCCGCUCCCUCUGUGCAGCUUUGGCCGCCUCUUUCUCUACCGCCCAUUCGGCCUUGGCAGCUUCAAAUUCCUCCCACAUAGGUGUGAGGUCGCGAGCGGCGAUGAACUCGGCACGGCGGGAUGCCAUCGCUUCCCUACCAUUUUGUGUGUGAUCUGAGCGGCGAGGAACUCGGUGCGGUGGGAUGCCGUCGCUUCCUUACCGGCUAGUGUGCGGCGCGGUGGCAUGAACGACGCUUGGUGAGAGCUCUGGGGUGGAGUGGCCGGACAACCGUAUAGUGCAUUGGUUUGUCAAGAGCUCAAGGACAGAAGACGAAGGAAAUCUGAUUCCCCUUCGAUCAUGGUCAUUUAUUACCAAGUAAAAUGCAUUGUCGGUCAUCAAACUUGUCUUGAUAGCUCACUUUGAUCAUUGUAUACAAGAUAUGGUGAUUAUACAGUCACUGGCUCAGCGUAUAGCUCCGUAUUUGUCUGGUUGACCAGUCAAGCAGUCCGCAUGCGCCUCAUCAGCUCGUGUGCUUUAUCUAUCUACGGAGGCCUACCUAUCAAUGGAGAAAGAAAUAAAAACCAAAAUUAUGCGUAUGUGGGGAAUCAAACCACGGUCUCGUCACUGCAACGCACACUCGUCAGCCAAAUGAAAAUGAAAUACUUUGCGUCGGACACUCACGCUCACGCUGUCAAAGCAUGCUAAUGCAUGCACGUCGCCCUCUCAAUCAAAGUCCUGCUCAUGGCGCAACGCAAACGGCGAUCCCAUCACCUGCGUGCCCCGGCGGUGCCUAACAUUACUGUUUAGACGUUUGAUGGAGGCUUACGCGAAUACCAAGCAUGUAUUUACCUGGCUCAACACCAACGGUCAUACUCGGAGUGCCUUGCUCAUGUAUAUCAUCCAUCACAACGACAAUCUAUAAAACAACCUAGCUAGAGAGGGUACUAUGGUAUGGAGUAUGUACUAUCGUGAGCGACCGAUCCUAGUGCCACUGCACACGAGUGUGUGUCUAAUCGAUUUGUCCAUUAUUCGUAAGUUAUGCAUGGUUGUGUGGUGUCUAAUGGUGGUCGUCGAAGGCUAGCUGGCGACAAGAGAGGUUGCAUGGACACCUGGUUGUCAAUAUGUGCCGCAUAUGCUUCAAAGGCUCAUCAUCCAUGAGUUCACACUUUACCACCACGCUAGCGUAUGACCGCCCUGGCCUACUGAAACCCCUUCUAUCGCUAGCGCGUGCUUCCCGCCUGAAAUUGUCACCGUCUCUCCAGAACGUCAAUGCCGCAUUCACUGGACUUAACUGCAGGUGCAGUUGGUGUGUCACUGACAUGCGGGCGAGAUGCCCAUUGGGCCCACAUGUCAGUAACCCAAUGCACCUGCAGUUAAGUCACUGAAGCAGCAUUCACAUUCACGCUCGACGAACCUACUCCAGCGCCAGCCGUCCAUCCGUCUGCCGCAGCUCAUUGCCAUUUGCCCGCUAUAUUAACUUGAGCCCUAGCUCCCAGCCAUAGCCAAAGACCCACACUCAUUCUCCUCCGGUCCCUUCCUUCUAUCGGCAUCACUCCAACCAUGGCCUCCUGGCGCCCUGAAGCUCUCUUGGACGUAUUGUCGCAGGAGCAGAUGAGGGACAUCGGCGGCUCCGCUCCGAGCACGCUCCAAAGCUCUCUUUGACGUACUGUCGCAAGAGCAGACGAAGGAGAUCGCCGGCACCCCCCGGCCGCCCUCCGCCACCAUGACCACGAAGCCGGCGCGCGUGCACGGGCGCAGCCGGCAGCGAGGAAGAGUAGUACACGAUAGGUGGCCGCCGCUCUAGUCGUAGGAAGGCCAUUGCUACUCCACUCAGUCGACACCAAGCUUGGUGGGGUAACAUCGGCGGCCGAUUAGCCGCUUGACGACGACGUGGAGGCAGAAAUCUUCAGAACCUUGUGCUUCGGAGGAGGAGGUUAUCGAGGCGGAUGAGGAGGAGGCAAAGGCAAUGGCCGGCUUUCUUGGGUUCAUGGCCGGACAUGGUGGUCGGGCGCCGGCGAUCGUUUAGAUUAGGUUUACAGUAGGUUUUAGUAUGGUUUGUGCGAAAUAUGUAAUAAAUUUCGUCCAGCUUGUAGGAAAAGUUUUCGAAAUGUAAUGAAUUUCAUCUAGUUAAUUUGAAAUUUGUUUUGUUUGCACGAAUUUCGUUCGGUUAGUUCAUAUAGUUGUUGAAAGGUAUACGGGCAGCAUCGGAUGGCAUCCAUCAGUGUACUCGGACAGAUGCCGGUGUAAAUUUGUGGGCCAGCGCUAGAGAUGCCCUAACUAUCAUGCUAUAAUCGCUAACAGUGCUCCAUUAUUUGGCAAGGAACAGUUAUCCCUCGAUCAAAAUCAGAUCUGCGGUGUUUCGCACUCCUCCCACAUAAGAGUGUAAACUCUUGCUUACAUAAAAUGGAGCAAGUGGACGGCACUGUAGCAUGUCAUAUCACUAAACUAGCCCGCCUAACAAGCGGGAAAGCACCACCCUCGUCAUUUUGUUCUGGAUUUCUAUCAAUCGAUCGCAUGAAAAUGUUACGCUUUGCAAGUUCUAAAGGAAAAGGCGACACACUUACGACUCGUACGCGUCGCACCCCCGGCAGUCCGGCUCGCACGCCGCUCACCAGAGGGGACACACGUUGUCUUGCAAUUUCACUAACAUGUGGGACUGCAAUUGAAUAAACCGUUGAUAGCCAAAAUCUAAUCGCUCGGCGGGCUCGGCUGAGAAGAGAGAGACGGGGGAGGGAGAAGAGAUCACCCGCCCGCCGCGCACGGACUCCAAGAAAUAUAUGGUGAUAAUGUGAGGUGGGCCAUGCGGGAGUCUGGGCCGCUUCAAAGCCCACUUCUGACCGCCCUGGCCCCUCAGACGCCAGCUGCCCGCCGCAUGCAUGCAUAGCAAGUAGUACCAGUAAAAUACUGGGCUAUACGCCCGCUUAUUGUGGAGGAGAGAGAGGCAUUGACAAAGUCAAGGAGUGGGCUCUGCCAGAGCCCGUCUCUACACGUGCUCCUAGGUAUAAAAAAAUAAUUCUAAAAAAGAGGCAUAAAAACAAUUGUGUCUAAAAAAGAAAGGUAAAAAACAUUUGAGAGGAAAUAGAUAGAGAGAAAGUGAGAAAAAGUUGUAACCUUAUAGCCAACCUUAUAGUCAACAAUAUGGUAGUAUUAUAUGAGGAAGGAGGGAGUGGUGCACAUGCCAAGUUCACUGGGCUGCCAUGUUUCACACUCCUCUGUCGUAACAGUGGAGACAAUAGCUUUCAUCAAAAAUAAACAAUGAAUACUCGUUGCUCAUCCUCUAUAUCGAAAAGAAUACUUUCAUUCACCGACAUGUGGGACGUCGACCAUCCUGGUCCACCUGCCAUGCACAAAAUUGUCCUGGUCUACCCCGGUUGUAUCACAGGCCCAACCUUUCCCACUGUAAGUUGGUCGGACGAAGGAACCAUCAUGACUUCAUUGAAUUCCGCUUCUUCAAGAAAACUUACUGUACCCGCAAUACUGCUACCACACCCGAAGACUGGAUGGCACUGUACCACGUCAUAUCACUGAAACCCACUAGGCCAUCCUAAAAAAACCACUAGGCUAAACUAGCCCGCCUAUAGGUCAUCUAUUUUGGAACAGAGGGAGUACGUCUCUGUACUGCUAUGAUUUUGUGUUGUAUGUCUCUGUACUUUUGCUAUGAUUUUCCUACCCUAUGAACCAAAUGAGGCCUGAAUGUAUCCGUGUUGACUAAGCCUACAAUUUUAGGAGCUUGGGCUAUUGGCCGAUCAACAACGGAUAAGUAUAAGUGUACCACGAGCUCAUGAGCCCUAACGUUUCUCUUGGGUGAGUGUUUUGCAAGUACUAUAGCUCGCACAGUAGCUAGACUACUAACACCAAGAAUCAUCAAACAAGCCAUGCUGAUAUGAUAAACAGUUCAAACUUACAUCUAAGCAUGCCAUAUAUUACAUCAAAAGUUGGUGAGGAUACAUCUGUUUCCAUAACUCGGAGAGGGUUCGCAUGAUUCACUAUCAAACAAAAGUAGCAAGUACCACCCACACAAGACAGUGCACUAGCCCUAAGAUGGUUUGAUAACACGCAUCGUUCUAGUAAUUAAACAUGGGGCAAUGCAAACUACCCUGAAGGAUUAGUGCGACCAACUAUUUCUUGUCAUUGAUCUCUCAGGCAAUGACCACAACACAGACAGCGGCAUGGGAAUCGAUCUCUGGGGCGAUGUCCACAGGAUGGACAACGACAUCGAAUCGAUCUACGGGGCGAUGCCAACAGGACGGACCGUGACAUCGAAAACGAUCUCUGGGGCAUUGUCCAUAGGACGGGCCGCGACAUCGGAAUCAUCAAGGACGUCCACCGGCACCUGCACAACCCUAACAUAUUAUCAAGCACAUUUUAAAUAAUCAAAAACCACAACUAUGGUAAUAAGCCAUUAUUUUUUACCUUGUGCAACUCACUAGGGGAUCCCAUCCCUCGGGGGGGCCAUAUCCUCAUCCUCGAUGGGGGCCAUCACCUUGCCAGGGGAAUACUGCUUCUCAACGGCGACUAUCUCCUCAAACUCGGCCUUGAGCUUCGCAUAGGUGGCCAUCAGAGUUUCUGGGGUAGGCAUGGUGGGGCCCUUGCUGUUCUUCCAACUUUGUUUGAGGAGUUCGUCCUUGAUACGUCCCCGUCGUAUCUAUAAUUUUUGAUUGUUCCAUGCCAAUAUUCUACAACUUUCAUAUACUUUUGGCAACUUUUUAUACUAUUUUUUGGGACUAACAUAUUGAUCCAGUUCCCAGUGCCAGUUCCUGUCUGUUGCAUGUUUUAUGUUUCGCAGAAACCCCAUAUCAAACGGAGUCCAAACGGGAUAAAAACGGACGGAGAAUUAUUUUGGAAUGUUUGUGAUUUUUCGGAAGUAAAAUCAACGCGAGACGGUGCCCGAGGGGGCCAGGAGAUAGGGGGUGCACCCUGGACUCUCCUGGGCCCCCUGUAAGGCGGUUGAUGCUCUUCUUUUUCCGCAAGAAAGCUAAUUUUAUGAGAAAGAUCUCGGUGAAAGAUUCAUCCCAAUCGGAGUUACGGAUCUCCGGAUAUAAAAGAAACGGUGAAGGGGCAGAAUCUGAGAACGCAAAAACAGAGAGAGACAGAGAGAUGGAUCCAAUCUCGGAGGGGCUCUCGCCCCUCCCAAGCCAUGGGAGCCAUGGACCAGAGGGGAAACCCUUCUCCCAUCUAGGGAGGAGGUCAAGGAAGAAGAAUAAGAAGGGGACCUCUCUCCCCAUUGCUUCCAGUGGCGCCGGAACACCGCCGGGGGCCAUCAUCAUCACCGCGAUCUACACCAACACCUCCGCCAUCUUCACCAACAUCUCCAUCACCUUCCCCCUUCUAUCUACAGCGGUCCACUCUCCCGCAACCCGCUAUACCCUCUACUUGAACAUGGUGCUUUAUGCUUCAUAUUAUUAUCCAAUGAUGUGUUGCCAUCCUAUGAUGUCUGAGUAGAUUUUUGUUGUCCUACCGGUGAUUGAUGAAUUGCUAUGAUUGGUUUGAAUUGCAUGUUUUAUUAUUGGUGCUGUCCUAUUGUGCCCUUCGUGUCACGCAAGCGUGUGGGAUUCCCGCUAUAGGGUUUGCAAUAUGUUUAUGAUUUGCUUAUGGUGGGUGGCGUGAGUGACAGAAGCACAGACUCGAGUAAGUAGGUUGUUUGCGUAUGGGAUAAAGGGGACUUGAUACUUUAAUGCUAUGGUUGGGUUUUACCUUAAUGAUCUUUAGUAGUUGCGGAUGCUUGCUAGAGUUCCAAUCAUAAGUGCAUAUGAUCCAAGAAAAUAAAGUAUGUUAGCUUAUGCCUCUCCCUCAAAUAGAAAUGCAAUAGUGAUUACCGGUCUAGUAACGUAGUCAAUUGCUUAGGGACAAUUUCACAACUCCAACCACCACUUUUCACACUCGCUAUAUUUACUUUAUUGCAUCUUUAUCUGAACAGCCCCUAGCUUUUAUUUACGUGCUCUUUAUUAUCUUGCAAACCUAUCCUAUCACACCUACAAAGUACUUCUAGAUUCAUACUUGUUCUAGGUAGAGCAAACACUAAGCAUGCGUAGAGUCAUAUCAGUGGCAUAUAGGACUUGAGAGAAUAUUUGUUCUACCUUUAGAUCCUCGUUGGGUUUGACACUCUUACUUAUCGAAUGAGGCUACAACUAUCCCAUAUACUUGCCGGUCAUCAAGACCUUUUUCUGGCGCCGUUGUCGGGGAGUCAUAGCGUGGGGUGAAUAUUCUUGUGUGUGCUUGUUUGCUUUAUCACUAAGUAAUUUUUAUUUACUGUUCUUAGUUGUUUUCUAUCUUUAGUUAUGGAUAUGGAACAUGAAAUAUCAAAAAAAAAUAGGUGUACUUGCUACUCAUGGAGAUGGGGAACCUCCUAAAACCCUCGAUGCUCAUUAUGUUCAAGAUAUUAUGUACUACUUUGAUAAUCCUGAGAAAACCCCAUUCAAUUUUUUUAUGGGAGACAGGUUGGAUCAACGUGAAUACUUUAGGGAUUAUGUCUUGAUACAAAAAGGGAAGCUAUUGUGGGAUCAAAUGUAUAUGUUGCAUUGGUAUGCUCGGGACCUAUGCUUGAGAUAUGAUUAUACUUGUUGCUCUAGGAUGAAGGCUCCACACCUUCCCUUUUCAUGCAAAUUCAAUGAUAAUAAAACCUUGGCUUCUUAUGCUAAUGGUAUCUAUGAUUACUAUGAUGUGGAACAAAUAGAACAAUUCAUUGCUUUUAAGGGUGCUUAUGAAAUUGAAUCUUUGUUUGAAAAGUAUGAAGCUUUAGAUGAUGAUGUUUAUAGACCUGAAAAUUAUGCUAUAUUGAAAUAUUGCUAUGAAAAUUAUGAAUAUAACUACAAUAUUGAUGCAUUUAUUGAGAAAGUCUCUGCUGUCCAGGAAGAGACUAAUAUUUUGCAGGAGUCUACGGAAGAAGAAUUUGAUGAAACUGUGAGCUCAUUGGAUGAAAAAGAUGAGGAGGAGAGUGAAGAACAUAAGGAGGAAGAGCGGAUUAGCUACCCGUGCUCACCUUCUAAUGAGAGUAACUCUUCGACUCAUACAUUCUUUCAUUUCCCUUCGUACUUACCGAAGGAUGAUUGCUAUGAUGAUUGUUAUGUUCCCGUUGAUUCUCUUGGAAUACCCCUUUUUGAUGAUGCUUGCUAUGCUUGUGGCCAAGAUGCCAAUAUGAAUUAUUCUUAUGGAGAUGAACUUGCUAUAGUUCCUUAUGUUAAACAUGAAAUUGUUGCUAUUACAGCCACACAUGAUAGUCCUAUUAUCUUUUUGAAUUCUCCCGACUACAGUAUAUCAGAGAAGUUUGUGCUUAUUAAGGAUUAUAUUGAUGGGUUGCCUUUUAUCGUUGCACAUGAUGAUUUUGAUAGAUAUAAUAUGCAUGUGCUUGCUGCUCCUACUUGCAAUUAUUAUGAGAGAGGAACUAUAUCUCCACCUCUCUAUGUUUCCAAUAUGAUAAAUUUGCAAGAAACUGUUUAUACUAUGCAUUAGCCUUUACUUGGUGUGCAUGAAUUGUUCUUUUAUGACAUGCCGAUGCAUAGGAAGAGAGUUAGACUUCGUUGUUGCUUGAUAUAUGUUACCUUGUGCUCACUACUAAAUUACAAAUCAUUGUUAAUUAAAAUUGGCUUUGAUAUACCUUGGGAUCCGGGUGGAUUCAUUACUUGAGCACUAUAUGCCUAGCUUAAUGGCUUUGAAAGCGCUGCUAGGGAGACAACCCGGAAGUUUUAGAGAGUCAUUUUUUUUUGAGUGCUUUUAUAUAGUUUAAAAAUAAAAAAGUAAAGACGGGAACCCAAAACUUUUCAAAAAGGAAAGUGAAAGUGAGAAAGACAAGCAUUGAUUGAAGUGGGAGCUAGCCUUGAACUUUGUUCAUGCUCACGGAAACUUUGUGAAUCUUGAUUACAGAAACUUUUCAACAAAAAUAAUCAUCCCCUUUUGCAAUUCCAUUGUAUUAUAAAAAUAAUGUGCUAAGGUUUGCCUUUAGGAUGUCUACAAUACUUGUUGGUUUGUACGGUGCAGGACAGAAACUUUGGCUGUAGUGCGUGAUUUUACAUUUUCUACUGGAACGUCAAACGGUUCUGAUUAUUUUUGCACUGUCUUUCUGUAUAAUUUUUUUAUUUUUCCUAAUUUUGGUAGAAUUUGUGGGGUACCGUAAGUACGGUGAAUGUUCAGAUUGCUACAGACUGUUCUGUUUUUGACAGAUUCUGUUUUUGAUGCAUAGUUGGCUUGUUUUGAUGAAUCUAUCAAUUUAUAUCAGUGGAUUAAGCCACGGAAAAGCUAUAUUAUAGUAUACACAAUGAAAAAACAAAAUAUUAAUUGGUUUUCUACAGUACUUAGAGUAGUGAUUUGCUUUAUUAUACUAACGGAUCUUACCGAGUUUUCUGUUGAAGUUUUGUGUGGAUGAAGUGUUUGAUCGAGGAGGCCUGAUAUGAGGAAAAGGAAGAGAGGCAAGAUCUCAAGCUUUGGGAUUCCCAAGGCACCCCAAGUAAAUAUUCAAGGAGACUCAAGCGUCUAAGCUUGGGGGUUCCCCAGAAGGCAUCCCCUCUUUCUUCAACAAGUAUCGGUAUGUUUUCGUAUUUGUUUCGUUCAUGCGAUAUGUGCAAAUCUUGGAGCGUCUUUUGCAUUUAGUUUUCACAUUCUUUUAUGCACCAUGCUGGUAUGAGAUAGUCCUUGGUUGAUUUAUAGAAUGCUCAUUGCACUUCACUUAAAUCUUUUGAGUAUGGCUUUAUAGAAUGCUUCAUGUGCUUUACUUGUAUCAUUUGAAGUUUGGAUUGCUAGUUUCUCUUCACAUAGAAAACUGCCAUUUGUAGAAUGCUCUGUUGCUUCACUUAUAUUUGUUAGAGCGUGGGCAUAUCUUUUGUAGAAAGAAUUAAACUCUCUUGCUUCCUUAUAUCUAUUUAGAGAGAUGACAGGAAUUGGUCAUUCACAUGGUUAGUCAUAAAAUCCUACAUAAACUUGUAGAUCGCUGAAUAUGAUAUGUUUGAUUCCUUGCAAUAGUUUUGCGAUAUAAAGAUGGUGAUAUUAGAGUCAUGCUAGUGGGUAGUUGUGGAUUGUAGAAACACUUGUGUUGAGGUUUGCAAGUCUCGUAUCAUGCAUGUAUGGUAACUGUUGUGUGACAAAUUUGAAGCAUGGGGUGUUUCUUUGAUUGUCUUCCUUAUGAGUGGCGGUCGGGGACGAGCGAUGGUCUUUUCCUACCAAUCUAUCCCCCUAGGGGCGUGCAUAGUAGUACUUUGCUUCGAGGGCUAAUAAACUUUUGCAAUAAGUAUAUGAGUUCUUUAUGACUAAUGUGAGUCCAUGGAUUAUACGCACUUUUACCUUUCCAUCAUUACUAGCCUCUUCGGUACUAUGCAUUGCCCUUUCUCGCCUUGAGAGUUGGUGCAAACUUCGCCGGUGCAUCCAAACCCCGUGAUAUGAUACGCUCUAUCACACAUAAGCCUCCUUAUAUCUUCCUCAAAACAGCCACCAUACCUACCUACCAUGGCAUUUCCAUAGCCAUUCCGAGAUAUUAUUGCCAUGCAACUUCCAUCAUCAUCAUAUACAUGACUUGAGCAUUCAUUGUCAUAUUUCCUUGCAUGAUCAUAAGAUAGCUAGCAUGAUGUUUUCAUGGCUUGUCCGUUUUUUGAUGCCAUUGCUACGCUAGAUCAUUGAACAUCCCGGUACACCGCCGGAGGCAUUCAUAUAGAGUCAUAUCUUUGUUCUAGUAUCGAGUUGUAAUAUUGAGUUGUAAGUAAAUAGAAGUGUGAUAAUCAUCAUUAUAGAGCAUUGCCCCAUAAAAAAAGAUAGGCCAAAGAAGCCUAAAUAAAAAAAGGGGGCCAAAGAAGCCCGCAAAAGAAAAAAAAGAAAAAAGGGAAAAAAAGGGGCAAUGUUACUAUCCUUUUACCACACUUGUGCUUCAAAGUAGCGCCAUGUUCUUCAUAUAGAGAGUCUCUUAUGUUAUCACUUUCAUAUACUAGUGGGAAUUUUUUCAUUAUAGAACUUGGCUUGUAUAUUCCAAUGAUGGGAUUUCUCAAGUGCCGUAGGUCUUCAUGAGCAAGCAAGUUGGAUGCACACCCACUUAGUUUUCAGUUUGAGUUUUCAUACACUUAUAGCUCUAGUGCAUCCAUUGCAUGGCAAUCCCUACUCCUCGCAUUGACAUCAAUUGAUGGGCAUCUACAUAGCCUGUUGAUUAGCCGUGUCGAUGUGAGACUUUCUCCCUUUUUGUCUUCUCCACAUAAACCCCCACCAUCAUAUUCUAUUCCACAUAUAGUGCUAUAUCCAUGGCUUGCGCUCAUGUAUUGCGUGAGGGUUGAAAAGGCUGAAGCGCGUUAAAAAGUAUGAACCAAUUGCUCAGCUUGUCAUCGGGGUUGUGCAUGAUGGGAGCAUUUUGUGUGACGAAAAUGAAGCAUGGCUAAACUAUAUGAUUGUGUAGGGAUAAGCUUGCUUUGGCCAUGUUGUUUUGAAAAGACAUGAUUGCUUUAUUAAGUACGCUCGAAGUAUUAUUGUUUUUAUGUCAAAUGAUAGACUAUUGCUUUGAAUCACUCGUGUCUUAAUAUUCACGCCAUGAUUAGACAUAUGAUCAAGAUUAUGCUAGGUAGCAUUACACAUCAAAAAUUAUCUUUUUUAUCAUUUACCUACUCGAGAACGAGCAGGAAUUAAGCUUGGGAAUGCUGAUACAUCUCUGUCGUAUCUAUAAUUUUUUAUUGUUCCAUGCCAAUAUUCUACAACUUUCAUAUACUUUUGGUAACUUUUUAUACUAUUUUUUGGAACUAACAUAUGGAUCCAGUGCCCAGUGCCAGUUCCUGUCUGUUGCAUGUUUUAUGUUUUGCAGAAACCCCAUAUCAAAUGGAGUCCAAACGGGAUGAAAACGGACGGAGAAUUAUUUUGGAAUAUUUGUGAUUUUUCGGAAGUAAAAUCAACGCGAGACGGUGCCCGAGGGGGCCAGGAGAUAGGGGGCGCGCCCUAGGGAGGCAGGCACUGUUGGAAAUAUGCCCUAGAGGCAAUAAUAAAAGUGUUAUUAUUAUAUUUCUUUGUUCAUGAUAAUAGUCUUUUAUUCAUGCUAUAACUGUAUUAUCCGGAAAUCGUAAUACACGUGUGAAUACAUAGACCACAAUAUGUCCCUAGUAAGCCUCUAGUUGACUAGCUCGUUGUGAUGAACAGAUAGUCAUGGUUUCCUGGCUAUGGACAUUGGAUGUCGUUGAUAACGGGAUCACAUCAUUAGGAGAAUGAUGUGAUGGACAAGACCCAAUCCUAAGCAUAGCACAAAGAUCGGUUAGUUCGUUUGCUAGAGCUUUUCCAAUGUCAAGUAUCUCUUCCUUCGACCAUGAGAUCGUGUAACUCCUGGAUACCGUAGGAAUGCUUUGGGUGUAUCAAACGUCACAACGUAACUGGGUGACUAUAAAGGUGCACUACAGGUAUCUCCGAAAGUGUCUAUUGGGUUGACACGGAUCGAGACUGGGAUUUGUCAGUCCGUAUGACGGAGAGGUAUCUCUGGGCCCACUCGGUAAUGCAUCAUCAUAAUGAGCUCAAGGUGACCAAGGUGUUGGCCACGGGAUCAUGCAUUACGGUACGAGUAAAGUGACUUGCCAGUAAUGAGACUGAACAAGGUAUUGGGAUACCGACGAUCGAGUCUCGGGCAAGUAACGUACCGAUUGACAAAGGGAAUUGUAUACGGGGUUUGAUCGAAUCCUCGACAUCGUGGUUCAUCCGAUGACUUCAUCGAGGAGCAUGUGGGAGCCAACAUGGGUAUCCAGAUCCCGCUGUUGGUUAUUGACCGGAGAGUCUCGGUCAUGUCUGCAUGUCUCCCGAACCCGUAGGGUCUACACACUUAAGGUUCGGUGACGCUAGGGUUAUCAAGAAGACAAGUAUGUGAUUACCGAAUGUUGUUCGGAGUCCCGGAUGAGAUCCCGGACGUCACGAGGAGUUCCGGAAUGGUCCGGAGGUAAAGUUUUAUAUAUGGGAAGUUGUUAAACGGGCACCGGAAAGUUUUGGGGUCAUACCGGUAUUGUACCGGGACCACCGGAAAGGUUCCGGGGGUCCACCGGGAGGGACCACCCCUCCCGGGGGGCCACUUGGGCUGCGUAGGGAUAGCAGCCAGCCCCUAGUGGGCUUGGCACCCCCCCCCUUGGGCCCAUGCGCCUAGGGUUGGGGGCGCACCCCCCUUGCUUGGGGGGCAAGCCCCCCACCCCUUGGCCGCCGCCCCCCUAGGGUUUUCCCUAGAGGGCCGGCCCCCCUUGCCCCUUCCCCUAUAUAUAGAGGGGUGAGGGGAGGGCUGCAAUACACCACAACUCAAGGCACAGCCCCUCCCCUCCCCAACACCUCUCCUCCUCCGUACGUGCUUGGCGAAGCUCUGUCGGAGUACUGCUGCACCAACUACACCACGCCGUCGUGCUGCCGUUGGAGCUGCCUUCCUCAACCUCUCCUUCCUCCUUGCUGGAUCAAGACGGAGGAGAUGUCUCCCAUCCCGUACGUGUGUUGAACGCGGAGGUGCUGUCCGUUCAGCACUUGGACAUCGGUGAUCCGAAUCACGUUCGAGUACGACUCCAUCAUCACCAUCCCCUUGACAAGCUUCCGCUCGUGAUCUACAAGUGGUAUGUAGAUGCAAACUCUUCCCCUUGACUCGUUGCUUAGAUGAACUCAUAGAUGGAUCUUGGUGAAACCGUAGGAAAAUUUGUAAUUUUCUGCAACGUUCCCCAACAGUGGCAUCAUGAGCCAGGUUUAUGCGUAGUUCUCUUUGCACGAGUAGAACACAAUUUUGUUGUGGGCGUGGAUCUUGUCAACUUGCUUGCCUCUACUAGUCUUUUCUUGCUUCAGCGGUAUUGUGGGAUGAAGCGGCCCGGACCAACCUUACACGUACGCUUACGUGAGACCGGUUCCACCGAUUAACAUGCACUAGUUGCAUAAGGUGGCUGGCGGGUGUCUGUCUCUCCCACUUUAGUUGGAGCGGAUUCGAUGAAAAGGGCCCUUAUGAAGGGUAAAUAGAAGUUGAAAAAAUCACGUUGUGGUUAUUCGUAGGUAAGAAAACGUUCUUGCUAGAACCCAAUUGCAACCACGUAAAAGAUGCAACAACAAUUAGAGGACGUCUAACUUGUUUUUGCAGCGAUUGAUCAUGUGAUGUGAUAUGGCCAGAAGUUGUGAUGAAUGAUGAAUUGUGAUGUAUGAGAUCAUGUUCUUGUAAUAGGAUUCACGACUUGCGUGUCGAUGAGUAUGACAACCGGCAGGAGCCAAAGGAGUUGUCUUUAUUUUUGUAUGACCUACGUGUCAUUGAAGAACGCCAUGUAACUUACUUUACUUUAUUGCUAAACGCGUUAGUCAUAGAAGUAGAAGUAGUCAUUGGCGUGACAACUUCAUGAAGACACGAUGAUGGAGAUCAUGGUGUCAUGCCGGUGACAAGAUGAUCAUGGAGCCCCGAAGAUGGAGAUCAAAGGAGCUAUAUGAUAUUGGCCAUAUCAUGUCACUACUUUAUAUAAUUGCAUGUGAUGUUUAUUAUGUUUUAUGCAUCUUGUUUACUUAGGACGACGGUAGUAAAUAAGAUGAUCCCUUACAAAAUUUCAAGAAGUGUUCUCCCCUAACUGUGCACCGUUGCUACAGUUCGUCGCUUCUAAGCACCACGUGAUGAUCGGGUGUGAUGGAUUAUUACGUUCACAUACAACGGGUGUAAGACAGUUUUACACAGCGAAAACACUUAGGGUUAACUUGACGAGCCUAGCAUGUACAGACAUGGCCUCGGAACACGGAGACCGAAAGGUCGAACACGAGUCGUAUGGAAGAUACGAUCAACAUGAGAAUGUUCACCGACGAUGACUAGUCCGUCUCACGUGAUGAUCGGACACGGCCUAGUCGACUCGGAUCGUGUAACACUUAGAUGACUAGAGGGAUGUCUAAUCUAAGUGGGAGUUCAUAAUUUGAUUAGAACUUAAUUAUCAUGAACUUAGUCUAAAACCUUUGCAAAUAUGUCUUGUAGAUCAAAUGGCCAACGCUCAUGUCAACAUGAACUUCAACGCGUUCCUAGAGAAAACCAAGCUGAAAGAUGAUGCUAGCAACUAUACGGACUGGGUCCGGAACCUGAGGAUCAUCCUCAUAGCUGCCAGGAAACAAUAUGUCCUAGAAGGACCGCUAGGUGACGCUCCCGUCCCAGAGAACCAAGACAUUAUGAAUGCUUGGCAGACUCGUGCUGAUGAUUACUCCCUCGUUCAGCGCGGCAUGCUUUACAGCUUAGAACCGGGGCUCCAAAAGCGUUUUGAGCAUCAUGGAGCAUAUGAGAUGUUCGAAGAGCUGAAACUAGUUUUUCAAGCUCACGCCCGGGUCGAGAGAUAUGACAUCUCCGACAAGUUCUAUAGUUGUAAGAUGGAGGAAAAUAGUUCUGUCAGUGAGCACAUACUCAAGAUGUCUGGGUUGCACAACCGUAUGACCCAGCUGAAUAUUAACCUCCCUGAUGAGGCAGUCAUUGACAGAAUCCUUCAGUCGCUCCCACCAAGCUACAAGAGCUUUGUGGUGAACUACAAUAUGCAGGGGAUGGUAAAGACCAUUCCUGAAGUAUUUUCUAUGCUGAAUUCAGCAGAGGUUGAAAUCAAGAAAGAACAUCAAGUGUUGAUGGUCAAUAAGACCACUAAGUUCAAGAAGGGCAAGGGUAAAAAGAACUUCAAGAAGGACGACAAAGAGGUUGCCGCGCCCGGUAAGCCAGUUGCCGGGAAGAAGUCAAAGAAUGGACCCAAGCCUGAGACUUAGUGCUUUUAUUGCAAGGGGAAGGGUCACUGGAAGCGGAACUGCCCCAAAUACUUAGCGGAUAAGAAUCCCGGCAACACCAAAGGUAUAUUUGAUAUACAUGUAAUUGAUGUGUACCUUACCAGUACUCGUAGUAACUCCUGGGUAUUUGAUACCGGUGCCGUUGCUCAUAUUUGUAACUCACAGCAGGAGCUGCGGAAUAAACGGAGACUGGCGAAGGACGAGGUGACGAUGCGCGUCGGGAAUGGUUCCAGAGUCGAUGUGAUCGCCGUCGGCACGCUGCCUCUACAUUUACCUACGGGAUUAGUUUUGAACCUUAAUAAUUGUUAUUUAGUGCCAAGUUUGAGCAUGAACAUUGUAUCUAGAUCUCGUUUAAUACGAGAUGGCUACUCAUUUAAGUCUGAGAAUAAUGGUUGUUCGAUUUAUAUGAGAGAUAUGUUUUAUGGUCAUGCUCCGAUGGUCAAUGGUUUAUUCAUAAUGAAUCUCGAGCGUAAUAUUACACAUGUUCAUAGUGUAGAUGCCAAAAGAUGUAAAGUUGAUAACGAUAGUCCCACAUACUUGUGGCACUGCCGCCUUGGUCACAUUGGUGUGAAGCGCAUGAAGAAGCUACAUGCUGAUGGACUUUUGGAGUCUCUUGAUUAUGAAUCAUUUGACACAUGCGAACCAUGCCUCAUGGGAAAAAUGACCAAGACUCCGUUCUCCGGAACAAUGGAGCGAGCAACCAACUUGUUGGAAAUCAUACAUACCGAUGUGUGCGGUCCAAUGAGCGUUGAGGCUCGCGGAGGAUAUCGUUAUGUUCUCACUCUCACUGAUGACUUAAGUAGAUAUGGGUAUGUCUACUUAAUGAAACACAAAUCUGAGACCUUUGAAAAGUUCAAGGAAUUUCAGAAUGAGGUGGAGAAUCAACGUGACCGAAAGAUAAAAUUCCUACGAUCAGAUCAUGGAGGAGAAUAUUUAAGUCACGAUUUUGGCACACACUUAAGGAAAUGUGGAAUCGUUUCACAACUCACGCCGCCUAGAACACCUCAGCGAAACGGUGUGUCCGAACGUCGUAAUCGCACUCUAUUGGAUAUGGUGCGGUCUAUGAUGUCUCUUACCGAUUUACCGCUAUCAUUUUGGGGAUACGCUCUAGAGACAGCUACAUUCACUUUAAAUAGGGCACCAUCUAAAUCCGUUGAGACGACACCGUAUGAAUUAUGAUUUGGGAAGAAACCUAAGCUGUCGUUUCUAAAAGUUUGGGGAUGCGAUGCUUAUGUCAAGAAACUUCAACCUGAAAAGCUCGAACCCAAGUCGAAAAAGUGCGUCUUCAUAGGAUACCCUAAGGAAACUGUAGGGUAUACCUUCUACUUAAGAUCCGAAGGCAAGAUCUUUGUUGCCAAAAAUGGAUGCUUUCUGGAAAAAGAGUUUCUCUCGAAAGAAGUAAGUGAGAGGAAAGUAGAACUCGGUGAAGUACUACCUCUCGAACGGGAAAGUGGUGUAGCUCAGGAAAAUGUUCCUGUGAUGCCCACACCAACUGAAGAGGAAACCAAUGAUGAUGAUCAAGGUACUUCGGAUCAAGUUGCUACUGAACUUCGUAGGUCCACAAGGACACGUUCCGCACCAGAGUGGUACGGCAACCCUGUCCUGGAAAUCAUGUUGUUAGACAACGGUGAACCUUCGAACUAUGAAGAAGCGAUGGCGGGCCCAGAUUCCAACAAAUGGCUAGAAGCCAUGAAAUCCGAGAUAGAAUCCAUGUAUGAAAACAAAGUAUGGACUUUGACUGACUUGCCCGAUGAUCGGCGAGUGAUAGAAAACAAAUGGAUCUUUAAGAAGAAGACGGACGCAGAUGGUAAUGUCACCAUCUAUAAAGCUCGACUUGUCGCUAAGGGUUAUCGACAAGUUCAAGGGAUUGACUACGACGAGACAUUCUCUCCCGUAGCGAAGCUUAAGUCCGUCCGAAUCAUGUUAGCAAUUGCCGCAUACUAUGAUUAUGAGAUAUGGCAGAUGGACAUCAAAACGGCAUUCCUUAACGGGCAUCUUAAGGAAGAGCUGUAUAUGAUGCAGCCGGAAGGUUUUGUCGAUCCUAAGAAUGCUAACAAAGUAUGCAAGCUCCAGCGAUCCAUUUAUGGGCUGGUGCAAGCAUCUCGGAGUUGGAAUAUUCGCUUUGAUGAGAUGAUCAAAGCGUUUGGGUUUAUGCAGACUUAUGGAGAAGCCUGCGUUUACAAGAAAGUGAGUGGGAGCUCUGUAGCAUUUCUCAUAUUAUAUGUGGAUGACAUACUCUUGAUGGGAAAUAAUAUAGAAUUUCUGGACAGCAUUAAGGCCUACUUGAACAAAUGUUUUUCAAUGAAGGACCUUGGAGAAGCUGCUUAUAUAUUAGGCAUCAAGAUCUAUAGAGAUAGAUCGAGACGCCUCAUAGGUCUUUCACAAAGCACAUACCUUGAUAAGAUUUUGAAAAAGUUCAAAAUGGAUGAGUCCAAGAAAGGGUUCUUGCCUAUGUUACAAGGUGUGAGAUUGAGCUCAGCUCAGUCACCGACCACGGCAAAAGAUAAAGAAGAGAUGAGUGUCAUCCCCUAUGCUUCAGCCAUAGGAUCUAUUAUGUAUGCCAUGCUGUGUACCAGACCUGAUGUAAAACUUGCUGUAAGUUUGGUAGCAAGAUACCAGAGUAAUCCCGGCAAGGAACACUGGACAGCGGUCAAGAAUAUCCUGAAGUACCUGAAAAGGACAAAGGACAUGUUUCUCGUUUAUGGAGGUGACGAAGAGCUCGUCGUAAAGGGUUACGUCGAUGCUAGCUUCGACACAGAUCUGGAUGACUCUAAGUCACAAACCGGAUACGUGUAUAUGUUGAAUGGUGGAGCAGUAAGCUGGUGCAGCUGCAAGCAGAGCGUCGUGGCGGGAUCUACAUGUGAAGCGGAGUACAUGGAAGCCUCGGAGGCAGCGCAUGAAGCUAUUUGGGUGAAGGAGUUCAUCACCGACCUAGGAGUCAUACCCAAUGCAUCGGGGCCAAUCAAACUCUUCUGUGACAACACUGGAGCUAUUGCCCUUGCCAAGGAGCCCAGGUUUCACAAGAAGACCAGGCACAUCAAGCGUCGUUUCAACUCCAUCCGUGAAAAUGUUCAAGAUGGAGACAUAGAAAUUUGCAAAGUACAUACGGAUCUGAAUGUCGCAGAUCCGUUGACUAAACCUCUCUCGCGAGCAAAACAUGAUCAACACCAGAACUCUAUGGGUGUUCGAUUCAUCACAACGUAACUAGAUUAGUGACUCUAGUGCAAGUGGGAGACUGUUGGAAAUAUGCCCUAGAGGCAAUAAUAAAAGUGUUAUUAUUAUAUUUCUUUGUUCAUGAUAAUAGUCUUUUAUUCAUGCUAUAGUUGUAUUAUCCGGAAAUCGUAAUACACGUGUGAAUACAUAGACCACAAUAUGUCCCUAGUAAGCCUCUAGUUGACUAGCUCGUUGUGAUCAACAGAUAGUCAUGGUUUCCUGGCUAUGGACAUUGGAUGUCGUUGAUAACGGGAUCACAUCAUUAGGAGAAUGAUGUGAUGGACAAGACCCAAUCCUAAGCAUAGCACAAAGAUCGGUUAGUUCAUUUGCUAGAGCUUUUCCAAUGUCAAGUAUCUCUUCCUUCGACCAUGAGAUCGUGUAACUCCUGGAUAUCGUAGGAAUGCUUUGGGUGUAUCAAACGUCACAACGUAACUGGGUGACUAUAAAGGUGCACUACAGGUAUCUCCGAAAGUGUCUAUUGGGUUGACACGGAUCGAGACUGGGAUUUGUCACUCCGUAUGACGGAGAGGUAUCUCUGGGCCCACUCGGUAAUGCAUCAUCAUAAUGAGCUCAAGGUGACCAAGGUGUUGGCCACGGGAUCAUGCAUUACGGUACGAGUAAAGUGACUUGCCAGUAACGAGACUGAACAAGGUAUUGGGAUACUGACGAUCGAGUCUCAGGCAAGUAACGUACCGAUUGACAAAGGGAAUUGUAUACGGGGUUUGAUCGAAUCCUCGACAUCGUGGUUCAUCCGAUGACUUCAUCGAGGAGCAUGUGGGAGCCAACAUGUGUAUCCAGAUCCCGCUGUUGGUUAUUGACCGGAGAGUCUCGGUCAUGUCUGCAUGUCUCCCGAACCCGUAGGGUCUACACACUUAAGGUUCGGUGACGCUAGGGUUAUCAGGAAGACAAGUAUGUGAUUACCGAAUGUUGUUCGGAGUCCCGGAUGAGAUCCCGGACGUCACGAGGAGUUCCGGAAUGGUCCGGAGGUAAAGUUUUAUAUAUGGGAAGUUGUUAAACGGGCACCGGAAAGUUUCGGGGUCAUACUGGUAUUGUACCGGGACCACCGGAAAGGUUCCGGGGGUCCACCGGGAGGGACCACCCCUCCCGGGGGGCCACUUGGGCUGCGUAGGGAUAGCAUCCAGCCCCUAGUAGGCUUGGCGCGCCCCCCCUUGGGCCCAUGCGCCUAGGGUUGGGGGGGAAACCCUAAAGGGGGCGCACCCCCCUUGCUUGGGGGGCAAGCCCCCCACCCCUUGGCCGCCGCCCCCCUAGGGUUUUCCCUAGAGAGCCGGCCCCCCUUGCCCCUUCCCCUAUAUAUAGAGGGGUGAGGGGAGGGUGCAAUACACCACAACUCAAGGCGCAGCCCCUCCCCUCCCCAACACCUCUCCUCCUCCAUACGUGCUUGGCGAAGCUCUGUCGGAGUACUGCUGCACCAACUACACCACGCCGUCGUGCUGCCAUUGGAGCUGCCUUCCUCAACCUCUCCUUCCUCCUUGCUGGAUCAAGACGGAGGAGACGUCUCCCGUCCCGUACGUGUGUUGAACGCGGAGGUGUUGUCCGUGCAGCACUUGGACAUCGGUGAUCCGAAUCAUGUUCGAGUACGACUCCAUCAUCACCAUCCCCUUGACAAGCUUCCGCUCGCGAUCUACAAGUGGUAUGUAGAUGCAAACUCUUCCCCUUGACUCGUUGCUUAGAUGAACUCAUAGAUGGAUCUUGGUGAAACCGUAGGAAAAAUUUUAAUUUUCUGCAACGUUCCCCAACAGGCACGCCCUAGACUCUCCUAGGCCCACCGUAAGGCGGUUGACACUCUUCUUUUGCCGCAAUAAAGCUAAUUUUAUGAGAAAGAUCUGGGCAAAAUAUUCACCCCAAUCGGAGUUACGUAUCUCCGGAUAUAAAAGAAACGGUGAAGGGGCAGAAUCUGAGAAUGCAGAAACAGAGAGAGACAGAGAUAGAUCCAAUCUCGGAGGGGCUCUCGCCCCUCCCAAGCCAUGGGAGCCAAGGACCAGAGGGGAAACCCUUCUCCCAUCUAGGGAGGAGGUCAAGAAAGAAGAAGAAGAAGGGGGCCUCUCUCUCUCCAUUGCUUCUGGUGGCGCCGGAACACUGCCGGGGGCCAUCAUCAUCACCGCGAUCUACACCAACACCUCCACCAUCUUCACCAACACCUUCAUCACCUUCCCCCUUCUAUCUACAGCGGUCCACUCUCCCGCAACCCGCUGUACCCUCUACUUGAACAUGGUGCUUUAUGCUUCAUAUUAUUAUCCAAUGUGUGUUGCCAUCCUAUGAUGUCUGAGUAGAUUUUUGUUGUCCUAUCGGUGAUUGAUGAAUUGCUAUGAUUGGUUUGAAUUGCAUGUUCUAUUAUUGAUGAUGUCCUAUUGAGCCCUCCGUGUUGCGCAAGCGUGAGGGAUUCUCGCUGUAGGGUUUGCAAUAUGUUUAUGAUUUGCUUAUGGUGGGUGGCGUGAGUAACAUAAGCACAGACCCGAGUAAGUAGGUUGUUUGCGUAUGGGAUAAAGGGGACUUGAUACUUUAAUGAUAUGGUUGGGUUUUACCUUAAUGAUCUUUAGUAGUUGUGGAUGCUUGCUAGAGUUCCAAUCAUAAGUGCAUAUGAUCCAAGAAGAUAAAGUAUGUUAGCUUAUGCCUCUCCCUCAAAUAGAUUUGCAAUAGUGAUUAUCGGUCAAGUAAUGUAGUCAAUUGCUUAGGGACAAUUUCACAACUCCUACCACCACUUUUCACACUCGCUAUAUUUACUUUAUUGCAUCUUUAUCUAAACAGCCCCUAGCUUUUAUUUAUGUGCUCUUUAUUAUCUUGCAAACCUAUCUUAUCACACCUACAAAGUACUUAUAGUUUCAUACUAGUUAUAGGUAAAGCGAACACUAAGCGUGCAUAGAGUUGUAUCAGUGGCAGAUAGGACUUGAGAGAAUAUUUGUUCUACCUUUAGCUCCUUGUUGGGUUCGACACUCUUACUUAUCGAAAGAGGCUACAACUAUCCUGUAUACUUGCGGGUCAUCAAGAGUCCUCCAACAUCGUCAACUCUAUGGCCAGUGCUUGUUUCUUGGAGUUCUUCGUCUCCAUGAGUUGGCCUGCCAACAUGGUCAUCUCGUUGGUUGGUGCUUGCUUCUUGGAGAUUGCUGUCUCUAGUGGGUUGUCCACCGGCAACUCUUUGCCUAGUGCUACAGGAUCCAUCAAUGAACUGACAAACAAAAAGCAAUCAAGAGGAAACCACAAUCACAAUGAAAACGGGAAAAGAAUAGGCUGUGAGAAUCGGUCGGUGCUUCGCAAAAAGAAGAUUCUUGGAAUGGAAAUAUAGCAGCAUCACUGAUUCGCCCACCUUUCCUUCAUUGGUACAGAAGAAAAAUGGUAGAACUGAGUAGCCUGGAGUGAGGUUUUCUUCAAGAAAGGGGAGAAAGGGCUUCAACGAGCAUUCCAGUGAAAUGACGGUUGCUUCGUCCAGUCCAACUUCGAGGCCACUUUACCACUGUCGGUAAAGGUGUGGGUUUUGUGAUAUGAUGGGUCAUGACGGCCACACUGGGGUGACCGGUGAGUCUCGACUGUAGCACCUCGCUGUGAUUUGGUGGAUGGCACACGGGCCCGGAUGCUUUGAUGUCCCCCAUGUAGAUAGAGCGGCUAGUCAUAUAGGAGUGCUCAAUAUUGUGCACCGCGACCAAGGCAGAGAGGAAAAUGAGAGAACUAUGUAAUUAAUGCAUGAGUUUAAUUAGGGUAGUUUUGUAAAGUAUGAGAUACAUUCCUCCAAUCGCAAAAUGCUUUGGUUAAUGAGAUUUGAGAUUUGGGCCCUAUAAACCGGAAGGGAGGGAGUAUUGCAUGUGGUGUAGUCUAGUGACUUGUUGAAAUCUCUAGAAAGGCAAAUACUCCUUUCCGGUUUACAUGGCUAUACUAGCAAGUACUAGUACUACAAUAGUGGGCUCAAAUAGCAAUUUUGUCUCGUGCAAGAGCAUGGCUAUAUGUGUGCUCCAAGGCACCGCACCAUGCCCCACCCCUACACAAAGACUGCCACGCGAGCGUUCACAACUGCCAUGUUCGGGUUGCGCUUAGCUCUUCGCCUCUUUGAGAAGAUGAACAAUGAUGUUACUUCUACUUCUACAGUAUUGAAUCCACUGAUGCAUGUCCGUCCACCUCGUGCGGGAGGGAUAGCAUGUAGUGAAAGCUUCUACUAGUCCUGCCAGCCACCACGCUCAUGCGCGAGGGAGGGACGCAGCUUCAUUGACUUACUGCUCCUGCCUUUGCGUCUAUGACAGGUGGGCCCAACAGGUGGUUGGCCCACCUAUCAUGCAGCCAAAGGCAGGUGCAGUUAAGGCACCGGAGCUCAGUCUACGAGGGAGAGGGUGUUGUAGUAAUCAAACUUCUCGGUAUUGUAUGAGUUGACGCGACACAUCAAAGCACUGCACUCGAUAUAAGUCUUUUUACACAUUUCAAAUGGACUACAACAUACGGAUGUAUGUAGACAUAUUUUGCUUCGUAUGUAGUCACUUGUUGCAAUCUCUAAAAAAGACUUAUAUUUGGAAACGGGGGGAGUACAACGCAUGCAUGCAUGCUGUGACUUUCCUUUUGAUACUUGCAUGUGUUGAUUUGAUGCACCUUGCCAAAUUUUGACUAUAAAUUUAACUAACCAAUUUUUCAUGCAUGUCACAAAAAAUUACGGGGCUGUUUGGAUUGUGACUAUGUUUGUCUUAUGUUGCCACAUUAUAUUUCCCACACUUGCCACACUUGCCUAACUUGAGUUGCUCAUAUUGUUAGACACACUUUGGCUUGCCUAAGGGAAUCUUGCCACACUUUUUGUGUCUAUGACAUGUGGGGUUCACUGCUAAUAAAAACCUCUUGUCUUAGGUGUGGCUAAUAAAAAAGAUUUAUAUUUAGGAACUGAGGGAGUAGAAUAUAUAAAUAUAAUGCAUGUUGGGGCAACCCACAUUUCCGAUAAUUUUAGCCAUGGGCUUGUUCACAAUUUUUACGAGGGAGUGGCUGUUCAUUUAAUGGAGGGACUUCUGCCAGACUUGAACGAUACAAAGUGCGACGUGGCACACCGUAACACCACUUGGAACAAGCGGGUAGCUAUAUCAAAAAACAAUCAACAACUAAAAAAAGGUGACAUGGCACGUAGUACACAAUUUUAAACGAUUGUUUUGAUGAAGUGAAAAAGGAAAACUACCCCACUACGUAUAUAUAGGCCAGAGCCUCCGCGCUUGCUUGCUAGGGUUGCUCUAUUCACACACUCUCAUCCUCUCCAGAUCUAAACAAGAUAGGGGUGGUAACACUGUCUUUCUCCCUUCAAAACACACUGUCUUUCUAUCCUCACCGCUGGUUACAGAUCCGGACGUAUCCCCCUCCGCCGGUGAAGGGGGGAGGGGCAACGUUUAGGCCAUCGUCGAUAGCGAGGGAGGAGACCCACUGUCGGUCGCACCGUUAUCUCUGGCCGAGCGCCAGCACGGGAGGUCCUCCGAUCCCUUCGUUGUUUCCCUAGUGUGGGUGGAUCCGGCCUCCCGCCGCCCACCUAUCCACAUCCCGAUGACCUUCAGGUAUAUCUUCCUUCGAAACCGCCUUAGCUCUACUUCCUCAGCUUGCUACGUUGCUGCAUGUGCAUCAUUUUCUAUCUCUCAGCCCCUCUCGAUCGGAUGGUCCAACGUCACCUAUUUUUUUCUUCUAUUGUUAGAGGUAAAGCUACUUCAUGGAGUUGAAUCUUGUACUUGAUUCAAACAAGAAAUAAAGUGGGGGUGGGGGAAUUUAGUAUGUACAUCGGACUUGGUACAAACAGGAAGGAAAGGGGGUGAAAGUAGUACAGACUGGUCAUUCAACCGGUCUCUUGGUCGAAAAGGGAAAUAUAGGGGUAACGUUGUACACAGUGGUAUGACCAGGACUAAAUUUGCUAUCCACACAUAGGAGUAGGUGGCUAGAGUGAACAAAAACGGGACCAACCCAGAUAUGUUUCUUGGGGCAACAAACUAUCAAUCACCACUUUAUGCCCUUGUUUAGGUACAUGGUGCUGGACUGCUGGUGCACCCACUGUCCCAUGCCCUUAUACCAAACAUUUAGCUAUUCUUAAUCUAAUGCCCCUGGUAAAAUGAAGCCAUGCCACUGUUAUAAGCCGCGACAAGUUUAGCCAAAUGUUUUUGCCUGUAAUUGUUUGAGACUCUGACUAUUUCCUCUGUAGCUUUUUGUGCAAACAAGGAUAUCCAUUUCUCCUGGUUGCUGUUGUGACCUUUUGGUGCACCGCACAAAACUCUUCUUAAAAGAAGUGAUUUUUGCGUUGUUUAACUGGAAUGCUAGAAUGGAACAAUUGGUUCAUUUCAGUGGAACUGCACAAAGGGAGAUCUGUGUUCCAAUCCUCAUCAUCCAUAUUGGCGCCAUAACCUUCCUUUAGGUAAGAAUGAUAUCUAAUGCAUGUGUUCAUCUCUAUUUUGCGACUGCCAUGAGAAAAUAAUGCUAUUUUUUACUAGUACACUUGUACUCCCUCACUGAAAAAACCAAUUCUGAAAUAGAAGGCCAAUCAUGUACUUGGUUUCACCAACUGGCGAGGAGAAAGAGAAAUAGAGCUGUAAGAGGAGGAAGAAGAAGAAGAAUAAAUAGUGCCAAGGCGAUCUUGCUCAAGCCAGAGGCCUCAGUCGAGGCCAUUCAAGGGCUCCGGCAAUGACUAUCUUACAUGUGAGACAAUCCUCCAGGGGGCCCUUCCAUUUCUGCUGUCUCACUUAAUUAAUUAGGAGUACUUAAGUACCACUAAUUUAUUGCUGCCUAAUUUCCUAUCGGAGUUGAACAAAUCUUUAGUAGCACCCUAUGUUGAAUCAUGUACGUGUGUAUGUUUGUCUAUGGAGGUGAAUCAUGUGGUGGAGCAGGGAGGGAAUAUUAUUAGUGUCAUGACAUAAUAGUGAUAUUGUUUUGCAUGUCAAUUUAUUGUCAUUGGUUCAAUGAGGCAAUGUUUUGCGUAUUGUCCAUCAUGAAUUUGAUGCUACUGUUAGAGUAAUAUGCUAAUGUCUUUCUAUCCUUUCUCACUAAGCUAAUGAAGGUUUCACCUUGUUCCUACUUGUGCAAACAGGGAUCAUGUUGUGCCAAUCAUACAUUUUAGUGGAACUACACAAGACAAUACAAUGAAUUGUAUCCCAGCCAGUGCUUUAACUCUGCUGGAAGUUCUUGAUAAUCUUUCGAUAUGAUCUCAGCGCUGGUAAACAAGACUGAUUUCAACCAUACAUUUGAAGUUUAUAAAAAUAUAUACUAUUGAGUGAUUCCAGUGAGUGCUUUAUCAUCUCUUAUGGGACUACAUGAAUAAGCUUUUUUCCUCAGGUUGGUACAGGCCUAAGGCCUUCAUCCAUAUUAGUUUGUUGUCAUCUCUAUUUGUAUCGUGCUACUGUCAUGAGAAACUCCUUUAUCUUUGCACGUUAAAGUAUUGCAACCUAUGAUACAUGGCAAUGUUUUGAGUGUUGAGCUAAUUGGCACUGAUUAAAUAAACUAAUACCUCUCUUUAAGCAAGACUACUAUGUUGCUAACCUUACCCAUUACGAUAAAGAGGGUGCUUCUAUUUGUUAAUGUAUGUUUCAUCAACUAGUCCCACUAUUACAGUAAUCUCACUCUCUCAAUAUAUGUGCCAACAGGGAUGCUCGAUUUUGCUCGAACUGCACAAAAACUUUGGGUGCUUCAUUGCCUCAACAGCUUCCGUCCUUUCCUGUCAGUCGCUAAUUUGGGCCUGCUUUCUUCCUUUGCUGUCAGUCGCUUCGCUUAUCUUGGCUUCCAGUCAAAGGAAAUAGUAAUUGAUAUGCUACCUCACACAGGUUGGUAGUGAUCUUUAUCCUGAUUAUUGUGCUUGUCAUGUAUUGGUAAUUUGGUAUUACGCUAUUGUUUGCCGAUUUUAUAAAGGAGUAACUUGGAGCCUGAACUCGCAGGCAAAUCAUUGCAUUGGGUGAUUUCAGUAGAACUGCACAAAAGGAUCAGAUGGACAGAUACUUGUGUUGCUGCUAUGUACUCCAAAGUUCACUCAGACAAGCAUCGAUGUUGACAAGAAGUGCCUAUAUUCAUUCGAGUAUCAACCGGCAUCAACCAGUUGUCAAACUCCAAGUAUUAGGAGAGUGAACGCCAAAAAUAUUGCUUGGCGCAUUGCCCAGAAAAACAUAGUCUAGUCUUUGGUCUCAACUUGUGCCUUUUGGUUAUCGACAGAUAUGGUAGCGAACUGUAUGGCAUGGAGUCUAAAGAUUCCAGACAAGUUGGUUGACGUGUAUAUUCAUCUAGCACUUAAUUAGUCUGCACGCCAGGGAUGCUCCAUUUCAGUUGAACUGCACAAAAAAUUUGGGUGGUUCAUUUUCUCAACCGCCUCCUUUCCCAGCUGCAAUGUAGAAUUUUGGCGAGCUACAAGACCAAGAUGAGCCAGUAAACUAGUUGGAUGAAAGUAGUGGCCAAGUUGCUCAAACCUCCCUCGGCAUGAGGCCACUAUUUGAGGAUAAACCUACAAGCAAAGUUCAGAUUGUCCGUGCUGCCUGUACUCGAAAGUUUACUCGUACAAGCAUUAAUUUUAGCAAGAAGUACCUCUGACUGAACACCAUUUACCAGUCUGUACCCUAGGUAAUUAAAGUUCAUCCAUGGAUCAUAUUGGUUGUGAUCUCAAUCAUUUGGAUGCAUAAACAUACUGAACAUGUGUAUAUUUGAAUCUUUUUGUGAAUUAUCUAUGAAUAUUGUCGUGUGAUCUAUCAAUCAUUUGGAUGCAUAGUCAUGCUGAACUUGUGUAUAUAUGAAUCUUUUGAGUUGUUGAUAGUGAAUGUUGGCUAUGAAUAUGAACGUGUCCUAUGAACCUGUCGGGGAUAUACCCCGUGGUAUGACCCGGCCGGAUAUAUGACUCGGCCGGAUAUAUGACCCGGCCGGACUUGUUGUUUCAUUGGUAACCGCUCGAGGAUUGGCGACUCACAUGUCCGGGGGCUCACUGGUGUGACGACUCACGAGCCUGAAGACUCAUGGGUGACCCGGCGGGUGCUUCAGAUGGACGACAAGGCCCAAGGCCCAGUAUGCCGGUUCAUAUAAAGGUGGGCCGGCUUAAGAGGAAAGGGAUGACGAAUAUUUCCUUUACGAGGAAUCAAGACCCGGACUUGUAUCCGGCUUGUAGUACAAGAUAGGCUAGUCCUAAUCCUAUUUGGACUCCACAUGUAACCCGCCCCUCUAACUUAUAUAAGGAGGGGCAGGGCUCCCCAAAGGGGGACAUGACAAUAAGAACAAUCUCUAGGGCUAGACACAAAGUGGGAGCCGGCUUACGGCGACUCCUCUCAUGAGCAUAAUGAGACCUAGCCACAAACAGCAUGUAGGGUUAUUACCGGAUGAUGUUUCCCGGGGCCCAAAGCUGUCUAAAUCCUUGUCUUGCGUGUUGCGUCUCUCGUCCCGAUCAACCCCUCUCAAGCUACCACAUAGAUGCGUUGGCCUCGCGACUAAGUCCUGACACUAAGGACAUCUGACGUGUUAAUUCCACGAUAGUUGGCGCCCACCGCGGGCCUGCGCACGGUGGUGUUGAGUUUUUGGAGGAUCUCUCCUAGGGAUCGAAAGCUCGUGAUGUGAUCAGAUGAAGAAGAGCCGGCACGGAACGAUAGUGUGAGCCACCGGACAACCAUGGGAAAAGCCGGCAAAUUUGUUGUUUGGAAAUCAGAAUUAUGGUUAACUUUGGAGAUGACAGAUGCAAGAUUCAUCAAAGCCGGAAAGAUUUUUAGGGUUUUCGUGCAUCACCCCGCGCAUCGCUGGGUGACCCAUCGAAUCCGAUGGCACAUCGUUUUUUCUAUAGUCGAGACCGGAUAGGAGCUGUUAUAUAAGGGGCAGCCGUUGUCGAUGCUACAACUCAUAUCAAGUCCCGAGGAGAUAGUACCAGGAGACAUCGUAGUUUGCAUCACACCUUAUAAUUAUGGUAUUACCAAAACAAGAGUAACCGACCGGUCAAAUCUGGAGAAGAUGAGAUUCAAACUCGGAUAGCCGCGCGCACGCGUUCCGGGUUAGCUACUGUGCCACGUAACCUUUUUCUGGUCAUGGGUCCGCUCCCUCUGAUCGCAAGCCCGUAGUUGUACGUUCAUGAGUUUCUACUGCCGGAUCAAGUCCCAGGAAAAUUUUCGCCGGCAGUCGUACAAAUACCUACAAAUACGUGGUUGUGGCGGCACCGAGAACUGUGCUGGCUAGCCCCGUUCGGCGCGCACACGUGCAGGUACAAUCCAUCAGAACCAGAAGCUUGAAAAAGAAUAAUCACCGCUGCCGCGAUCAGCGGCGGCCAAGGAUCUGCUACCUGAGGUUGGGCGGUCUCCGAUCUGCACAGUCGCACGUGCUAAGACAAAACUUGCAAAGAAGGCCAUGUGGGGCAGCAACAUGCUGUCAAAAGCUGCAGGACCGGAUACUACGUGACGAACAAUCAACAAUGACCACAAAUCCCUUUUUCCUUACGUGAUACGCAGGGGAAUAUAAUGACAGAGGUAUCCAUGAUAGCCAGGUUAACCGAGCCUUAAUUAGGUGCUACUAGCUCACGUGGAGGAGCAAAUCCAAAGUCCACUACUAAUAGUCCUUCUCACAAGAGUACUACCUGACGACCAUUAGUAUCACGAACAUCGGAAAAAUCAUCAGGACGCGCACCAAGCAUUAUCCUGCAUCAGUGUCCGCGUUUAUCUGACAAAAAUACCAGGUGCUAUUUGUCCUGCCUAUUUUUUAAUACAUAUUUAUCCAAGAACAAUUACUUUGUCUGUACAUUUUUAUAUAUGCAGGACAAUGAUUCAUCGCUUGCUGUUGGACGGGUGUGCACAAGCCGCCGCCCGCGCAAUUUGAUCUACAUCAACCCGCCAGAGCCGUGUUGAGCCGCCCUUGCCGCUUUAAUCCAUCGGAGUGAUAUUAAAGUCGCCGGUCUACCUGGGCCGCUGGAACUAUAUCGAGUUGCCGGUCCGCUUGAGCCACCUCUGUCACGAUAAAUGGAUCAUCCGUCGUCCAAACAAAUCAGGUGAUAUCCAUCCAAGUUUAUUUUAUUAGCACAUGUUGUUUUUGUCAAGAAACAAGUUUAUUUUUGCCUUGGUCUGCAAUAUUGUUUAUACAGGACAAUUAUUUAUGACAAAAAGUGAUAUUAUACCGUGGAGAUGGAGGCAUGCCAACAUCUUUUGGCACAGGUGGUCGUCAUUACUCAACGGACUCCCGCACCGUGGCUGUCUCUCGUGACCGCGGCAGCUUACAACGCCGUGGCCGUCUCUCGCGACCGUGGCAGCUUACAACGUCGUAGCCGUCUCUUGCGACCACACUGGCUUACCACGAGGAUGAUAACUUGCCCGUUCGCACCGGCUUACAACGCCGUGGCCGUCUCUCGCGACCACGCCGGCUUACAACAAGGAGACAACUUGCCUGUCCGCACCGGCUUACAACGCCACGGCCGGUUCAUCUGUCUAUGCUUCUUCUGAUGCUGCGGUCGUCUUUACCGUCCGUCUCUCGCGGCCUGGUCUACAUCGACACACCGAGCCGCACUUGUCUGGAUGAGCCGUUUAUUGAGUAUGAGCAAGUCACUACUUGGGAAGCCCGGUUUUCUUCGAACAAAUUAGAGGCAAAUUAUCAUAUAUUAUCAGCCGCCGUCUGCACUAGAUGGUUCAAUGGGCAGGUGCACAAGUCGCCGCCACUACAGUUUGGUUAACUUCAAACAACCAGUUGGAAGGAACCAUUGGCCGAGUUGCUGACACGGCUCAUACGGGAUCAUUUAUAACCCGCCGCAGUCACCUCAACCUUCUGUGGAUAAUCACUGGCCUAACAUUUUAGGUGAAAUCCAUCCAAUAUAUUUUAUAUUACAUAUUAUUUUCUUCAAAAGAGCAAUUACUUUGGUUUGCAAGUUGUCCCAUGCAGGAUUCAAACCGGUCUAUAUCAUGGUUAAUUAUGGAGAAUCUCAAGCCAACUCCUCAAGUUGUCUUGAGACUCAGGGGCUACAAUGACAUGGAUCGGGAACUCCGGAUCAUUGAAGGGGAGAUAACCCGGCCCUGGAGGCUAUUGCUUUAUUGGCGAAUAUUUUAAAGCCGUCAGAAAAAUUUAUGGUUAAAAAUGAAGAUUCCGGUUUAAAAUACAGCUCAAGAGACAUCUCUCUCCCGCAAAGCUUUGAAGCUCUCAAAACCGGUUCAACAUUCGGAUCAAGGUAAAUUUGUCCCUUACAAAGCAUUGAGGAUCUCAAUAUCCAGUUUAGGAAUUUCCGGUUCAAAAAGAAUUAAUCUCUCGCAAGUUCGAGAUCUCAGACAAAUUAAUGGUUACCAAAGAGAAUUUGCUGCCAUGAUGCAUGGUUGAAAACAUGGGUAUCCUGCCUUACGGCUUAUUUUGUUAUGGUCACUUGGGGGCUUCCUGCUCAUCGGGCAUAGCUAUCAGUACCCUCUUGAUCGGUGUAAUGCCAAAACUUUUACGAUCAUUUGGGGGCUUCAUGUUCAAACAUAGGUCGUAUUCGAACCAAAGAGAACAUAGCUGUCGAUACCCUUUUGAUUAGCAAACUGUUGAACCUACUUGGGGGCUUCUUGAUCGUAUCCGAAUCAUAGCUCAACCCCUUUGGGAAUCGACAUGGAUCGUAUUCGAAUCAGCGUCAUUAAACAACUUUUAAGGUCAUUUGGGGGCUUCCUGUUCAAACAUAGGUCGUAUUCGAACCAAAGAGAACAUAGAUGUCGAUACCCUCUUGAUCGGCAUCACCAAAGCCACUGGGGGCUAUAUGAUCGUAUUCGAAUCUUAGCUUAACCCCUUUGGAACGGUUUACUGAUCGUAUCCGAAUCAGAAGCCUCAAAAAGUUUUAUUCUGUCUUUGGUAAAGUUUAUUGCAGCCACAAUUACUUAACUUGAGACCUUUUUGGGAUUAUAUCUCAAAUAUAUGUAAGUGUUUUAUGCUUAACCCGGCUUGACUUUUGACUAUAAGUCGCUAGUUCAUUACAAUCAUCAUCUAUGUGGAAGCAUUGGCUUCUAAGGAUUGGGUUAUCACUCUUACUACACAGGUCAUGUAAGCUGGUAGUACAAAUUCAAUGUCACAGUGGUUAUAUGUGAGAUAUUAUGACCCGCCCUGGUUUUGACGCUAAGUCGCCAGGGCAUAUGUUGUCUCUCUGCAGGAUUUGCAGAAAUAUGACAUAUAAAUGAUUAAGUUCAAGCUCAUUACCAAAGUUGAUGCUUCAAAAUGAUUAUCCAUUCUGGAUUUUUCUCAAAAGGCUAUAAACCUCCGGGUCAUAAAAAUUCCGGUUUACAAUGAAGGCGUAUUGAAUCGCCAUCGGCCAAGAGCCGCCGAGUAUUUAAACUCCGGAUUUACUUGUCAACAGAUAAGGUAUUUGAAAUCUUUAAAUAGCCAAACUUGGCUGGAUUUUCGUUAUGAUAUUGAAUGAUUGAGGUUCUCAAACCGGGUUAUUCAAAUCUUUAAUAGCCAACAUGGCUGGAUUUUCAUGAUGAUAUUGAAUGAUUGAUGUUUUCGUACCAGAUUAUAUUAUUGAAAUCUUGAAUAGCCAACAUGGCUGGAUUUCUAUUGUGAUUAUCAAUAACCAGUGUUAUGAUUGAGAUUUUCAAAGUCGCUUUAGCGCAACGGCUAUUAUUUUUAUCAAUGGGCAUGGUUUAUUUUACAAUGGAGGAAAUAGUCCCGAGUCGCUGCAGGCUUACGACCCGGCACUUGGGGGCUACAUUGUUCAAAUCAAGAUUACAUUGAAUAUACAAGUCCCAUGUCACUGCCAGCAUGCACCAUGGUACUUGGGGGCUACAUUGUUCAAAUCGAGAUUACAUUGAAUAUACAAGUCCCAUGUCACUGCCAGCAUGCACCAUGGCACUUGGGGGCUAAUGCAAAGUCAUUUUUUGCUCAACUUAUUGAAGACCCGACUCAUCACAUUUUAAAUGAGCCGGCCCUUGGGGGCUACCAAUGGCUCCUGUCAAAAAUUCAAGGUACACAAGCCUCAGUCCAUUACAUUGAAGGAUCCAUUGCUCAGUUGGUAAAGCACAAAGCUCUUAACCUUGUGGACGUAGGUUUAAGCCCCAUGGUGGAGAUUACAUCAUAUGAUGUUAUUAUCAAUGAAUUAUAUACAAAGUCCCAGCUCAGUAAUAUCUUACUGAGCCGGCCCUUGGGGGCUACACGUUACUGCUCAAAUUUACAUCAUCAUAUUUACAAAGUCCCUGCUCAUUAUUACAUAAUGACCCGACACUUGGGGGCUAAUGCAUAUUGCUCUUUGCUGAAGACAAUUCUAGGAUGACCCGGCUACACUACUAUGACUAAAGCCGACUCAUGGGGGCUACACAACUGGAUUUUAUUUAAAGCCAUGGUGAUAAGUCCCAGCUUAUUCAUGCUGAUUAAACCGGCCCUUGGGGACUACAAGUAAUAUGGAUAUAAGGGAGAAAUAUCUUCAAAAUUUCAGUUUUGAGUAAAUCAGAUUGACCCGGUGUCUGCAAAAAUCAUAAACCGGCGUCGGCGACAAUUAUGACUCGGCAUCAUCUAUUUAUAACCUGGCAAUUUUGGUAAUCGUAAACCGACAAGUUUUAUAUCUUCAAGCCGGCUGAAUAUAAGUUGAAUAUUUGAAGACCAAUAUUUUUGUCAAGUCAGAGCAUUCAAAGCCGACUCAAGUGGAUCAUCUCUCACAAUAUUUCUCAAACAAGAGACCAAUGUCAGCAAAUUGACUCUAAAGCUGGCCUGUUGACCCGGAUUUUUCAAAGGAAGUAUCUAGAUUUUUUGCAUUGGCAAAAUUUGAACAUAUUUACUAAAAGAGAUUUGCUAUGAGUUCAUGGGCAUGUAUAAAGAAGGAAAUGACAAGGAUUUAAAGAUGAUCAGGUGCCGACUUACAAAUAUCUAACCCGGAGCACAACCUGUCAAAUUGUUCUUGAGUUAUUUUGCAGGGUUAGUUUAACAUGGAUAAAUCCAGAUUAAACUGGGGGCUAAUGUCAGGGAUAUACCCUGCGGUAUGACCCGGCCGGAUAUAUGACCCGGCCGGACUUGAUGUUUCAUUGGUAACCGCCAGAGGAUUGGCGACUCACGUGUCCGGCGGCUCACUGGUGUGACGACUCACGAGCCUGAAGACUCAUGGGUGACCCGGCGGGUGCUUCAGAUGGACGACAAGGCCCAAGGCCCAGUAUGCCAGUUCAUAUAAAGGUGGGCCGGCUUAAGAGGAAAGGGAUGACGAAUAUUUCCUUUACGAGGAAUCAAGACCCAGACUUGUAUCCGGCUUGUAGUACAAGAUAGGCUAGUCCUAAUCCUAUUUGGACUCCACAUGUAACCCGCCCCUCUAACUUAUAUAAGGAGGGGCAGGGCUCCCCAAAGGGGGACAGGACAACAAGAACAAUCUCUAGGGCUAGAAACAAAGGGGGAGCCGGCUUACGGCGACUCCUCUCAUGAGCAUAAUGAGAUCUAGCCACAAACAGCAUGUAGGGUUAUUACCGGAUGAUGUUUCCCGGGGCCCGAAGCUGUCUAAAUCCUUGUCUUGCGUGUUGCGUCUCUCGUCCCGAUCAACCCCUCUCAAGCUACCACAUAGAUGUGUUGGCCUCGCGACUAAGUCCUGACACUAAGGACAUCUGACGUGUUAAUUCCACGACAGAACCUGAGUUUGAUACGAAUGUUUACCUUUUCUGUUGUACGUGUGUGUGAACUUGUUAGUAUGCCUACUGUGGGGUAUGUGACGUGUGGGUGUCAACGGCACACCUUCUUCCCGAGAAGAAUUGCACCUGCUUUGUUAGGGUGGCAACGGCGCAUUAGCUCUUUUUAAUCUUAUUGCUCUGUCUUCCCCCUCCUACACUCAACCCCUGCCGUAAUGUUUUCGGCCUCAAAACAAACAUAGUACUGCGUUGUUUUUGGGACUUGAUGAAAAAACGAGUGCUGGUUUCAAUAGGUUAGCCCGCCCAGCAAAUGGGAUGCUGGUCCACCACGGACUGGGAGGCUAAAAAUAUAAGUUGUAUGGUGCAGAGGCAAGUAAAAAACGCCAUCGAGAGCCAUCCACUGAAGAAGAAGAAAUCGCUCCUGAUGUGCUUCUUCAGUCAUGCCGCCGGCCCCCUCUUUAGUCCAGUUCACUCAGGGAUCUGGUAUCAUUUUUUCCAGAGGGCGAACAAGUAUCAGCUAGGCCUAGGUUUUGUAUUAUAACAUGCGUAGCCCACGACAUACGGAGACAGUGGUUUCAACUUAUUUUUUGAGGUCCAUACCGACCUAUGGGCUUUUUCUUAAAGAUCGGCAGCCCAAUGUAUUUUUUUAAUAAAACGCAGGUCUCUGUCUAUUUAUCUAUAUAUAAGAAUAAUAAUGUUGUGUCCAAUUUAUGUUUUCCCUUCUAACCACAUUAUAUAUAUUUAUAUUAUUACUAUUAUCGUAUAUUUUCUAGAGACUUAUAUAUACAUUAUAAAAACAUCCCAUGUGUUAUUAACUUAUAAAAAGAAAUGUUUAACAGAAGUUGGCAAGGAAAAUACUGUUUGUUUUUGACUCACAGGCAAGGAAAAUCCUGGUGAUUGCGUACAAAAGCUUGCGAAGAUUUUAAGGACCAAUGUAAUAAUAACGUGCUCAUUUUUAUUUUGAGCAAUAACUCGCUAAUUUGUUAAUUAUAUAUAUAUAAUGUACCUCUCCGGUUUAUUUUUUGUAUUAAUUGCUCCUUCUAACAUAACAUUAUAUAUAUAACGAGCCUAGCUAAUUCGUGUAUUUCAAGGAAGUGCAAAUGGGCUAGGAUUUCUUAGAAAAUAUAAAUGGGCCGCAUUGACGCGAAAUUAUUUGUUCACCAGCCCAACAAAUGGACUGUACAUUUUAGAAAACAUGGGUUAAAUAUAUGCCACAUUUUUGCAGGCUGACAUGUGGGCCAAUAGGUCGAAGCCUAGGCAGGGCGUUGUCAACUUGGUCAACAAAUGAUUAUGACACCCAUAGCCAUUGGAUUUAUAUCCAACGGCCGGCAUGCACCUUCAAUCUCUCGUCUUCUUCCUCCAGCGUCAUCGGGACCGCCUGGUCCGGCCUUCGGCGGCUAGUGGCUCUGCUUAGCAGGCAUCACUGUGAAGCGCUACCCCACCGCUGGCCAGGCUAUCUCUCCACCCCUCCACACCUCCUAUUAUUCUCCACCGACUGCAGCCCCACACCGCACCAGAACCAGUUAAACCCCUUCUCCUCCUCUCAAUUUUCAACUCCACUUCCGCGUCUUCCCAUCUCCAAGUCAUUCCCGUCCGGGGCCUCGCCGUUGUCCACCGCCUUGCUGCGCUCGGUGCGGCAUGGUCAACAAACAAGAAUCAUCGAAAGAGGACUGUACAUGAAGAGCCUGACGGCUGGGACCCAUGAGGUCCAUGGUCGCACACAAGGAAAGGUCCUCCUUAUUAAGCUGGAAAAAUGUUUCCUCCACCUGACAACUGGGACCCACUAGCUGUAUCUUCGCACGGAAGGAAGUGCCUCCUUGUUAUGUGAAAAAAAUUAUUCCUCCCGUUGACAGCUGGGACCCGUUAGAUUUGGUGGCUAACUUGUGGGCCUACUAAGCGGAUGUGUACGCAGGGCUUUGUCAACUUAAUCAACAAAUGAUUCUAGCAUCUGAACCGUUGGACGUUAAUCCAACAGCCGUGCUCCUUCUUCAGCCUCUGUUCUUGCUCCUGUCUCCCAUGGGCGGCAACACGGCUGUGCUGCCGCGCACCCGAACCAGUCAAGUUUCCCACUCCUCUCCAUCUGCGACUCCACUGCCCCGUCUUCCCCAUCUCCAGGUCGUUCCAGUCUGGGGCCUCGCUGUCGUCCACCGGCCUUGGUGCACUCGGCACGGUGUAGUCAACAACUGAGAGUCAUCGGAAGAUGACUGUACGUGAGAGGCUCACAGUGAGACGCACCACGCCCAUGGAUGCAUGCAUGCAACGGAAUGCGGUGUGGUCAACGUGGUCAAGGAACGACUUCCAUCGGAAGUGUACUGUACAUGGAGAAGCUGAUAGUUGGGUCCAUGGCCACAGCAAGGAAGUGCCUCCUUAUUACGCAGAAAAUAAUGAUUCCUCCACCUGACAGCAGGGACCCACUGGACGGGCCACCGUAUUUUGCAAAAAAACGUUCCCCCCUGACUGCUGGGACCCACCGGACGGGCCACCAUAUUUCGUGAAAAAAACAUUCCCCCCGCUAUCAGCUCGGACCCACCAGAAGUGCCUCCUUAUUACGCAGAAAAAAUGAACCCCCCCGCUAGCUGGGACCCACCUUGGUGGGAGGCUAACUUGUGGGCCUACUAAGUUGACGGGGACGGAGGGCUUUGUCAACUUAGUCAAUAUAAACGAUUCUAGCUCCAGUGAAUGUACGAUGUCCAUCCAACGACUGUAGUGCUUCUUCAACCUCUGGUCUUCUUGCUCCAACCGCCCAAAGCAGCGCUGGUCGUGCCGCAUGCUCCUGCCUCUCGUGGCCGGCUAUGCUGCCGCGAAGGCCUCACCGCCCCCUACUAUUCCCAUCGCUGGCCAGGCCCUGCAGCGACGGCAGCCUCACACCGCAGCCGAACCAGUGAACCCCCGUACUCCUCUCCGCGCGGGCUUCCAUUGCCAUGUCUUCCCCAGCUCCGCGUCGUCCCCUUCCUAGGCCUCGCCGUCGUCCACCGCCCUGGUGCUCUCGGCACGGCAUGGUCAACAUGGUUAAGGAAUGACUUCCAUCAGAAGAGUACUGUACGUGGAGAGGCUGACAGAUGGGUCCACGGCGGCCGCAAGGAAGUGCCUCCUUAUUAUGCGCAAAAUAAUUAUUCCUCCACCUGACAGCAGGGACCCACCGGACGGACCACCGUAUUUUGCAAAAAAGCAUUUCCCCCUGACUGGUGGGACCCACCAGCUACAUCUUCGCAUGCAUGGAAGUGCGUUCGGGCAAAAUAAAAACGAUUCGCCCACCUGAAUGCUGGGAUCCACCAUCUACAUCUUCGUACACAAGGAAGUGCCUGACAGUCGGGACCCACCUGGUCGAAGUGUACGUAGUAUUGUCAUUCUGGUCACGAAUGUGUACGUACAUACUGGUCGAUGUAGAGGCGCGCACGUGUCGUAGUAGAGGCACGCAUGUAGCAUGUACACAUACAUACAACGGCCAGGGUGCAAGAAAGAAAAUACAGCCACGUACGUACGUACGGGUGGGGUCUCGAACGCCUACUCGCGCAUACGUACGGCCAGGGCUCGUGUACAUGGCUGGGUCGAAAUGGAGAAACAGCAUCGUCGCCGUGUUCAUGGGGAGCCAACCGGCUGGGUCGGAACGGAAUGCCAACAGCCGAUGGAAAUGAGGCAUGGCGUACCACACAACGGAGGAAACGGCCUUGUGUUGGGUCGACCACGUUCGAAAUGGGAUCCUGUUCAUCGGGAGGGGUCUGGCGUACCGCAAAAUGGAGGAAACAUACUUGUGUUGGACCUCCUACGGUCGAAAUGGGGUCCUGUUGAUCGGGAGGGGUGUGGCGUACCGCAAAACGGAGGAAACGGACUUGUGUUGGAGAGCUACGGUCGAAACGGGGGUCCUGUUCAUCGGGAGGGGUGUGGCGUACCGCAAAACGGGACUCCACGGGAUAUUGUUCAUCUCCAUCGUCGACCUCCUCCAGCCUCCACAGGUUACUGUUCAUCCACCAUCGACCAAUGCCUCGCACCCACGCGCGUGCGUGUACGAGAGAAAUGCGCAAACCUUCGUGCAUCGCUCGGCCCCGACCACCCAUCGUAAUUGGGAACACCCCGAUAUUUUCCUCGCCCUCGCUUCUACCAUGGUUUUUUCGUCAUGGACGGCCCAAAGAAUGUCAUGCAACUGCUUCUCCGGACCGCCCAGGACGAAAAGCCCAUUUUCUGUCAUGAUUUUUUUUCAUAGAAGUAGGAGCCCACCACAUCUAUGAUGAUAUCGGGUUUUGUCACAAUUAUCGUCAUAGAAGUGUCAUAAGUAUGACAGGAAAAAAAUCCGUUCGGCCCAAAAUGUCAAGGAUGUGUAUUCUUUUUUGUAGUGUACAGAGCUCGCAGAAUAAUGAACUCUUUGCCACCCCUCCAGAUGUGGGUGGUGAAGAAAAAGAAUUAAUCUCUUAUGCAGGGUCAGGUCUCCAAACGAACUUAAUCGUUUGAAGAAUUUGCUGGAGACCUGAAUAUGCUUGAAAGGACGCAAGCUGAUCAUGAAGAAAUGAAUUACUCAUUUCUCACGUCCUCAUACUGCUAUAUCUGUUGUACUGUUGAUGAAAUUCAAUCUAGUGAAAUUGAUGUCAUAUUCUUCACUGAUAAAGUAUGUGGGUUCGUAAGUUGUACUAAUCCAUAUGCAGGAUGAACAACCCAAAGCUACUGAGUGGGUCCUCGAUAGUGGAUGUACAAAUCACAUGACCGAUGACAGGAACUUAUUGAUGGACACUGCUUUAUCUCCAUCUCAUCUGAAGCAUAUCACCUAUGCUGACAAAGGCCAAAGCAAGGUAUUGGGUCUAGGUAGGGUUGCAAUCUCAAAGGAUAGACACAUGGACAAAGUCAUGCUUGUCGAGUCCUUAGGAUUCAACCGCAUGUCUGUCUCAAUGCUUUGUGAUCUUGAUAUGGUUGUCGUCUUUGUCAAAUAUCGUUGCAUUGUGCUAAUGGAAUCUGACAAUUCCAAAGUCUUCGAAGGCUUUAGGAGAGGAGAUUUGUAUAUUAUUGAUUUCUCUGCAGGACCACAUCCUGCCACAUGUCUACUUGCAAAAGCUUCAGAAGACUGGUUAUGGCAUCGAUGACUUGGUCAUGCUGGCAUGAGGAACUUGCAUACCCUCACGAAGAAGAAGCAUGUCAUUGGCAUCGAGGGUGUCAAAUUCCUCAAAGAUCAUCUUUGUGGGGCUUGUGAGGCUGGAAAGAUAACCAGAGCCAAGCAUUCCUCGAAGACUAUCAUGACCAACUCUCGUCCCUUUGAAUUACUUCACAUGGAUCUCUUUGGCCCUACUCAUUAUGCCACAUUCACUAAUGUUGCAUCUCUAUAUGGCUUUGUCAUUGUUGAUGAUUAUUCUUGUUACACAUGGGUGCAUAUCAUCACUUACAAAACUAAAGUGCAGGAAGUCUACAAACGAUUUUCCUCAAGAGCAUCUACGAACUUUGGUGUGAAGAUCAAGCAUAUCAGGAGUGAUAAUGGGACCGAGUUCAAGAAUACUGGUCUUGAUGACUAUCUUGAUGAACUUGGUAUUACUCAUGAGUUAUCUUCCCCUUAUACUCCUUAGUAGAAUGGCGUCAUGGAGCGCAAGAACCAGACUCUUGUUGAGAUGGCUCACACUAUGCUUGAUGAAUACAAGACACCUCCUCGUUUCUGGCCUGAUGCUAUUGAUACUGCGUGCCACAUCAUCAACAGGGUAUAUCUUCACAAAUUCUUCAAAAAUACCUCAUAUGAACUCCUCACUGAUAAGAAACCCAAUGUAAGUUAUUUCAAAGUCUUCGGUGCUAAAUGUUGGAUUAGAGAUCCUCAUCACAAUUCUAAAUUUGCAUCGAAAGCACAUGAGGGUUUUAUGCUUGGUUACAUAAAGUACUCACACACCUACAGAGUCUUCAACACCUAUCACCACAAGGUUGUUGAAAUUGUAGGUGUGCGGUUCGAUGAAACUAACGGCUCGCAAAGAGAGCACCUACCUCCUGUGCUAGAUGAAAUGUCACCUGAGGAAUCCAUCAAGUUCAAGGCUACUGAGGAUGUUAUACACACUAAAGAAUCUGCUGAAAAAUUCAUUCCAGAAUGUGAAGAAAAUCAUGCUGGUGCUACCGAAGAAAAUGGCCCUGAAGAAAAUGUUGUGCCAAAUCAAAGUCGUCAACCUGCUCACCUUGCAUUGCAAAUGAAGUGCAUAUUGAGAGAAUCAUCGAUGACAUCCAUGCACAAGGUCCUCUCACACGCUCAAAAGAUUCACAUUUGUCUAACUUUUGUGGGCAUUUUGCAUUUGUCUCUAUCACAUAGCUCACCAAAGUUGAUGAAGCAUUUCUGGAGCCUGAGUGGAUUCAAGCUAUGCAAGAGGAAUUACAUCAAUUUGAGCUCAAAAAUGUGUGGGAGCUUGUCAAGCGACCAGACCCACGCAAGCACAAUAUCAUCGGCACAAAAUGGAUCUACCGCAACAAGCAAGAUGAAAAUGGCCUUGUGGUGAGGAAUAAGGCUCGUCUUGUAGCUCAAGGCUACACACAAGUUGAAGGAAUUGAUUUCUAUGAAAAUUUUGCACCUGUUGCUAGACUUGAGGCUAUUCGCAUAUUGCUUGCUUAUGCUAACCAUCAUAAUAUCAUCUUACUAGAUCAUUGAAGGCACGCGUUGCCGCACCCCUCUAUUUUUACAAUAAAUAUACGGUCCCAUGAAACAUAUUAAAUUUUGCAUAAACAUAAAUUCAUAUUAGUUAGUAAUCAAGGAAAAUGUCACAGGUACAAACUGGCUUCGGUAUGACAACAUAUGAAACAACAUACACUUAGUAAAUAUAGAGUAUUUUCAAGACAAAUAAUAAGCAGCAGCACAAACAAACAUGUAGUCGUUGGCUUCAAUUGUCAUGGUAGAUUUUAUACAUGGUGCAUUGAUGAAAUCUUCAGACCUCCAAAUGCAACAUAAUGCGCGACAACCAAGAAGAGUUAGGCGAGCCUGAUGCACCUGGUCAUUUGUAACAAGUGAGCAUUAAUUAUACAUGGAUUGCCACAUGUAUAAAAUGGGGAAAAUGCAUCCAAGAAAAAGUGAGCAUGUAAAACUUAAAUCAGAUGUUGAUGGAACUGAAGUAGGAGGUUUACCUCGAGUGAGUUGUAGAAACAAUUAAUAGGCAUUGCAAUACCUUCUGAAGCAAACUCAACAGAUUUUGCAAUGAAAUAAAACAUAUAUCACUCAAAUUUGAGAUGAACUUUGAGGAAAGGAUUGUACUAUCAAUAUUAAGCAAACAUCACAUCUUACUACCAAAAAUUGGAGAUAUUAUAAAGGUCAGAUGAACAUAAGGUUCAGAACCUAUGAAAAUAACUUAGAUUCACAUAUGAAUCAUCUAAGAAACAACCAGAAUGUUUCUGUGGAUAGCUAAAAAAUAUGCCGAAACGAGAAGAAAUUCCUUCGGAACCUCUUUAGUUUUUUAGAUAAUUGAGAUGUACCAAAAUAUCUGUUCUGGAGUUGCUGAACAAAUCAAAUAAUUUAAUUAUUGGCCCCUCUUCACUACAUAAUUGCAUUGCUAACUCAUAGUUACCAGAAGAAAUAGAAGGGGCAACCAUGGGAGGCUUUGAUGAAACCUGAGAUCUAUAACAGGCGAGCCUCAUAAGCAAAUAACCAAUUUCAAGAUUAACAAACAAAGAAGGCCAGCCAUGAAUCAAUAUGUCCUACCAUGUAUGCACCAACAGAUUCUCCAGCCAGCAAAAAUUGUGACAGGAAAGAACUCAGGACUCAAGCAUAGGAACUUUUAUGAAUUUAUCCAAUGAUGGCCGAUGUAUCCACAGGCAGAGCAAGCUGAUCUUCUAGCUUUCUUUCACCAUUGAUGGCUGGGUGACCCCGAGGCACCUCUGAUGGACUCUCUCCUUUGUGUCCGCAGGCAACAUUCAUGCCCUUUGAUUGGCUACACCACAACCACCACAUAAUUUCAAUUUUUCGCAACAUAAAAAAUUGAGAUAUGGUAUGAAAAAUAAUAAUUACAAAAAUUGAACUAAAAUUUGAAAAUCUAACUAAGUAAAUUUCCAAGUAUGUCAUUUUUUCUCGGAUGAACAUUUUAACAUAUACAUGCCCAAGACAUAGAGAGAUCUAAAACAGUGGCAAGAAACACAUCCAUCGAGUUGAAUAAAAUAGUUAUCAAUAUGUCCUACCAUGUAUGCACCAACAGAUUCUCCAGCUAGUCCUAAGCAAAAAUUGUGAUAGGAGAGAACUCAGGGCUCAAGCAUAGGAACUUUUGUGAAUUUAUCCAAUGAUGGCCGAUGCAUCCAUAGGCGGAGCAGGCUGAUCUUCUAGCUUUCUUUCACCAUUGAUGGUUGGGUGACCCUGAGGCACCUCUGAUGGACCUCUCUCCUUUGUGUCCGCGGCCAACAUUCAUGCCUUUGAUUGGCUACACCACAACCACCACACAAUUUCAAUUUUUUGCAACAUAAAAAGUUGAGAUAUGGUAUGAGAAAUAAUAAUUACAAAAAUUGAACUAAAAUUUGAAAAUCUAACUAAGUAAAUUUCCAAGUAUGUCAUUUUUUCAUGGAUGAACAUUUUAACAUAUACAUGCCCAAGACAUAGAGAGAUCUAAAAUAGGGGCAAGAAACACAUCCAUGGAGUUGAAUAAAAUAGUUAAGAAUACAUCCAUUAUGUCUUCAAACCAGUGCCAGCAAGCACAUACCGAUAGGAGUACAUGUGCAUUUCGUGACCUGGCCAUUAGCUAUUGGAAAUCGAAAACUAUAUAGGAUUCCUUCAGCCAAUCGAGUAGAACUAGUUGCCACUUCGUACACUAACACCACCUGCAUAAAAUUGGGAAGAAACUAUAACAAAAGUCAGAACCCAUAAUUAACUGGGCAAAAGAUGGAAGGAACAUAGGAAAAAGGGUGAAUUUGAGGCAAGGGAGAAGCCAACCAAAUUGAACUAAGCACGAAUAAUAACAAUAUCUAAGGCAUUGAUUCUGUAUGUACAGGUGGCCAUGGGUGAUUGAUUUGAUGAGCAUCAGCUACAAGCCUACAAGUGAAACCAAAACUUAUGUGUGCACAGUCACACCCAAAUAUAAGUGUUCUGGAAACAUAGUACAUAACCUGAAUCAAAAAACUACACGCAGCCAUACUCAUUCCGGUCAACCAUCUUUACUUAAACAUGCCACUACUUCCACACAUACAAUUGUCGUAUCAUGAACUAAUCAAGGGCGGCCAGCGCAACCCCCAUCACAACCCGUGGUAUAUCCACCUCAGAAUAUCCAAUUCAUGUAUGUAAUCACAAGCUUGUAGCAGCAAGUCACGAUGAACUCAGUGAAAAACUGGGAAUCAAAGAAUUGGGGUUAGAAGUAUUCCUAAAUUCCUUUUUUUAUGGAGUAGAAGUGUUUCUACAUUCCAUGGAGAAAGAACUAAGUUAAGAGGGUAGGCAGGAGGGAGCAGAGACAGACAUAGCUCACAAGAUGGAGUGGUGACCUAAGCAUCAACGGUGGUUGUCGGAGACUGUCAUAGAAUUAAGAAGCAAAAGAGGGGAGUGGGAACGAACAGCGAGACAACACACGGGAGAGCCUAUAUAGACGCGCGUGGAGUGAAGUAGGAACACACAGCCGACAUAGUAACUGACUUGCAAUAAUCAGCCAUCAGCGAGUUCGUGCAUAUCAAUCAGCAUUAAAGGUGUGUAGCAACAACGAUUUUUUUCCCGAUAUAGCGAGUCGACUCCAAUCGACAGGAGAUGAUUUGUUGCAAUCCCUAGUACAUCUUCUGAAGGUCCCUUUUUUCCAUCUUCAAACUUGUUGUCCCAUCUUGUCCAUACUCUGUAUAGGUCCGCAUCUAAUCAUGUACAUUUACACUGAUCGUUUUUACACACAAAUGAGCUUAAUUUGUUUCGCGGGAUACAACAAACCAAAGCAAGUUAUAAUUGAACUUGUAAUCGAGAAAAACAUCUAGAAUUACAAUUAGAUGCCUGAUGCAACACAAGCUAAAAAAGACUUUCAGAACCAAUCUGUAGUACUGACCUUGCAGUGCAAUCUGUGUUGGAUAUCAUGAAGCAAAAUACCUAAGUAGUACUCUACAUGAUAGAGGUAUUCUCCUCCUGUCUCCAACUUUCUCCUCCUCACACAUCUAGGGGAAGAUAUGGUUGAUGUAGGGCGGAAACGGAGGCUCUCUUGAACAGCAGCGUGCCUGAGACACUAGUUGAAUCGGCAUGUAGCCGGCAAGAUGAUGAGUUGCGUCACUCGAGGUCGAGAUCGUGCAAGGUCGCUGUUUCUCAAGGACGAGAUCAGGGGAGCCCUAAUGCCUGCGUGAUAUGGAGCAAUAGAUUGCAAUUGGCAAGCCUGCUAUUUAGCCCAAUUUAAAUCCGACCCUCUGGUCCUCAUCCUCUCAUCUCCUCUUCCACCCACAGGGAUACCAGAUCGAGAGUAAUUGGACCUAUCAAAAAUAAGGGAUGCAUGGAAGGGGGAGAGAUACAUACCAGUAGAGGAUUGACCUAAGAUCGCUAGUGACAUUUUCUGCCUAGAUCACAGGGACAUCCGAUGUCGCCAUCGCCAUGAUCGCUAUUUUUUCGUGUGGGAUUUGGAGUUUGUAGCGAUCCGGGCGGCUCGACUUCGACAAAGAUGUGCUAAUUGCCGACUCACUCCAGCGUCAAGCCCCAUGGUUACCAUUUUCCAUCAUCUCCCUCUCUCUCUCUCUCUCUCUCUCUCUCUCUCUCUCUCUCUCUCUACGGCAGUGACCUCACCCGGCGAUCCACAUCUCAAGGCCUAUAGAGAUUGGGAGGGGUGUGGGGGCAUGAAGCGAGGCGGUAUGCGGGCCGCAACAGGGAGAGGAGGGGGCAGGGCACGACGAUGGAUAGGGAGCCGUAUCGUGACUGUCCGUUUGGCAUCGGACGUCAUCCCGCAUCAAUGACCAAGAGACCUCCAAUUUUGUUACGAGAAUAGCAGCCCACACAGGAGGUGCAUCGCAUGACCAGUAACGACCAGUGUAUGCCAUCAGAUGGCCGAAAUCGAUGGAGGCAUGAGAGAGCUGGAAAAUUUCUCGGUUAUAAUGUUUCUAAAUAUCAAAUGGAUGUGAAAAGUGCAUUCCUCAAUGAUAAGCUUGAGGAAGAAGUAUAUGUUGCUCAACCACCAGGUUUUGAGGAUCCAAAACUACCAAACCAUGUCUUCAGACUCAACAAGGCCCUCUAUGGUCUCAAGCAAGCACCUCGGGCGUGGUAUGAUACUUUGAAGGAAUUCCUCAUGAAGAAAGGCUUCAAACCCGGUUCACUUGACCUAACUCUUUUCACCAAAACAUAUGAUGAUGAAUUAUUUGUGUGCCAAAUAUAUGUUGAUGAUAUUAUCUUUGGUUGUACUAACCAACGUUACAGUGAUGAAUUUGCCUAUAUGAUGAGUGAGGAAUAUCAAAUGCCUAUGGUGGGAGAAUUAAAAUUCUUCUUAGGUCUUCAAAUUCGUCAACAACACAAUGGCAUAUUCAUAUCCCAGGAGAAAUACCUCAAGGAUGUGUUGCGGAAAUUCGGCAUGCAAGAUUGCAAAGGCAUCAAAAUCCCUAUGCCCACAAAUGGCCAUCUGUGCACCGAUGAAAAUGGUAAAGACUUCGAUCAAAAGGUAUACCUCUCCAUGAUUGGCUCUUUAUUGUAUCUAUGUGCAUCUAGGCCGGAUAUUAUGCUUAGUGUUUGCAUGUGUGCCCGAUUUCAAGCUACACCGAAGGAAUCACACCAUAAGGUUGUAAAGCAUAUUCUUCGAUAUCUAGCUCACACUCCAACACUUGGAUUAUGAUAUCCCAAGGGCUCGACUUUUGAUCUUAAUUGAUAUUCUAGCUCUGACUAUGCUGGUGAUCGGGUGGACCGCAAGUCAACAUCAGGCACAUGUCAUUUCCUCGGACGAUCCUUGGUAUGUUGGUCCUUGAAGAAGCAGAACUGUGUAUCACUCUCUACUGCUGACGACACCAUCAUUAUGGUGGAAGGCUCGGAGACGGACAUCUCCAAUCUCAAGUUCCUCCUCCUCUGAUUCCAACAAAUGUCUGGCCUCAAGAUCAACUUUGACAAGAGCGAUGUGAUGGUGAUGGGCUACUCUCCAGACGAAUGCCUGGACAUUGCCAACUGGCUUAACUGUCGCUUGGGCUCCUUCCCCACGACCUACUUGGGGAUGCCCAAUAGUGACUCUCGGCUCACCGUCGCUGACUUGCGCUCGACCGUGGCCAAGUUGCAGACGCGUAUUGAGCCUUGGCGGGGCAGGUGGUUCUCUAAGGCGGCCCAGACGAUUCUCAUCAACUCCUCCUUAUCCAGCCUCCUCUUGUUCCUCAUGAGCUUUUAUAGCCUGCACGAGACUCUGCACCAUGAGAUCGCCGGAGUCCAAUCGCGUUUCUACAGGCGGGCGAAAACAAUAAGCAGAAAUACCAUAUGGUCAGCUGGCCGGACAUCUGUAAGUCGCGGGAACAAGGAGGCCUCGGGAUCAUGUGCUCUAAGCGCAUGAACAUCGCCCUCUUAACCCGCUGGCUUUGGCGCAUCUCUCAAGGCCAAGAUGGCCUCUGGUUAGACAUCAUCCAGAAAAAAUACCUGCGCGGGCAACCCCUCGCAUUUUGUCAGAGAUCUGAUGGCUCCCAGUUCUGGCGGUCGGUCAUACAACUCCUUCGAGUCCUCCGCAUUGGGACCUCCAUUUCGGUUGGAUCUGGGGCGGCGACUCUGUUCUGGUUCGACCGGUGGGCGGGAGACUCUCCCUUCGCCGCGCGCUUCCCCGACCUCUUCUACAUUGCCGUUGAUCCUUGGAUCUCUGUAGGGAGGGCCCUUAUUGACUUAGGGCGCCUCGCCUUUCAGAGGCCAUUUGGUCCCCCGGAGGCUGCCGCCUGGCAUGAGAUGCUUGACUGCAUCGCCCUCCACGAGCCUGAGGUGGACGAUGGCCCGGACACAGUUCGGUGGCGACUUGAGCCGUCAGGCCAAUUCUCCACCAAGUCCCUCUACCGGGCCAUUGCCCCCUCCUCCGCCUCCUCCCCUCAUGGCAGUUUGGUCCAUCCGCCUGCCGCUGAAGAUUCGGAUCUUCAUGUGGCAAUGGAUUCGCGGGCGGAUCCCAUCUGGGUGGAGGUUCGCAAGCGCAAUGGCCCGCGUAGUGGCCUUUGCCCGCUCUGUGAUGUCCCCGAAGACUCGAAUCACAUCUUCUUCUCUUGUGUGUCCGCUCAAUUUAUUUGGAGCUGCUUUAGAGAGGUGGUUGGCGGCAGUUGGUUCCAUACCAAUUUCCCCGACCUGUUCGCCGAACUCCAAAACUCCCCCGGCAUUCUCGCCACAUUAGGUGGCUGGAGAUUGGGGCCCUCGCUUGGACUCUUUGGACGAUUCGCAAUAGACUUGUGAUUUAGCGCAUUCCACUUCGGCGUGCUACUGGCGCCCUCUUCAAACUGUCUGGUUACUUGCAGCUUUGGCGGCCACUUAGCCGCCCCACGGACUAGGACGCCAUCUCUGCCUUCAUCGCCGACCUCCGCUCGAUGGAUGUCCGCCUGUCGCCGCCACUCCCUCCGCCACCCCCCGAUCCAGAUUAGGGGCCGGGCCCUCUUUGGCCUCUCUCGGCCGUUCUUUUUCUUUUUCUCGUUUGUUUGGGCUUGUUGAGUUGUGCCCUCGGCAGAACCUAUUGUACUUCUUGUUGUGAGACUUGGGUGUAUGAGUUCUGGACUAGUCCUUGUAUGGUUGAUCUGUGGCGGUUUGCUUUAUUUAUAAAGCGGGGCGAAAGGUUUUUUCCGUAAAUGAGGACAUGCAGUGUACACAAAUUAUAACGGUGCGCGUACACAACAACAUUGACCGGUGAAAAAAGGAGAAGAGUCCGUUUGAAUGAACAACAUUGAUGAGCCAAUGAUCACCGGUCUAUUUUGGGCAUCAGAAGGUGGCACGAACACAACAUCACUGACCAGUCCAUUUUAGGCUGGUUAGUUAUAACCCUUUAGCCGAGCUCGGGACUCUAUCAUUGAUGUCUUUGAAGUGUCCGAUUAGUGCUAAUGCGGAUCAUUGACGUGUAGUCUUGAUCACGUUAUUGAUGAGGGAUGCUAAAACAAUUUGUUGAGGCCUCCACAGCAACGGAGACAUCGUUUGCAACAAAAGGGCAUUGAUGGUGGCGGGACACGAUGGCAGUGGGUGUGAGCUCGGGUUGGACUACUCGUAUCGUUGGGUCUCCCCUGACGGAUGCGUGACCUGUCACCAUAUUUUUGGGUAGAAGCCCAUCAAUAAACGGGUAUAUAGUGUAAAUUACAUUUUGAUUUAUCAAAACAUAUAAAACGAAAUAUCAACAAUAUCCCAACAAUAUACACGUUUCUCUCUAGAAAAACUAUACAUGCACGUCUCGAAAUUUCGCUCAUUUUUUUCUUGAUUUAUUGAAGCUCUCCCUUUUCUUCUUUUUGAUGAGAAGGCUUAUUUUAUUAAUCAAAUAAUAGAUUUUUUAGGGGUAUCAAAUAAUAGUUACAUCCUCGGCUGACAAUUCCAUGAUAAACUCAGGCCGGGCAUCAAGCAAAGUCCAAGCCGAUUCAGAUCCUACCUGCAAAUACCCCCCUCCCACUUGCAGCGACGGCCCAUUUGCUCCGAAGUCCGAACCCCGCAUCGGCUCACGAAAGACAGCAACCGCAACCUCCACAUUCUUCUCCUCCAAACCCCACCUCCGCCUCCUCUCAAUCUCCUCUCCUCUCCCCUCCCCUCCCCUCCCCUCCCCUCCGCCGGUUAGCCUCAACUUCCUUUGCGCUUCAAGGGUUGCAUUGUGUUGGCUAGGCGUAAAUUUGCGCAGGUUUGGCUUCAGGAUGCGCGGAUUGUGGCACCGAUUUGAGGCUGUUUGAUCUUAUAGCCUGCAAUGUUUCCACCCCAUGCGACUGCUAUGUGUUGGUCUUAGAGAUUUCUAUCAGUUCGAAGUGAUUGACGAAGGGUUUAACCGCUGAUUUACAUCCGCGUCGCAUUAGGAUUUGGCUUAGUAUCGGUGUGUUUUGGGACCGAUUUGAGACGGAUUGGUCAACGCUGCGUGACUGGAACAUGUUCGUAAUAGAGAUUUCUACCAUUCCGAAUCGAUUGACAAAGGGUUUAAGCGCUGAUUUGCAUCUGUUUCGCAGCUGCAGUACAACAGUUAAUUUCGCAGCUACAACAGCACGCAGGGCGCCACUUAAAUCUAUCUUUUCCAAUCUCACCACGAUCCUCUUCCUCUGUUUCUUCGCCGCAUAACCUCUCCACCUCCAGCGCCGGCUCCCUAAUUUCUUCCAUCCGCUGCUCCUCGCGCCUCCCCCCUGCCAAGCUCCGGCCACCCCUGCACCUGCCGCCCGGCCCGUACAUCAGCGUGGCCUCUCCACGUCUUCACCUCCUUGCACCGGCCAAGCGCGAGCUCCCUGCGCCGCACCAAGCAAAGGCUCCGCCGCUCCUCGUGCUCGCCGACGGCAUCCUCCUGCUGCCUCGGGGUGGCGCGAGUGAACCUUCCGGAGGUGUCCGUUGCCCCAGUGGCACGGAUCAAGACGCCUCCGGAUCCAUCUCGGUACGGGAGACCGAACUCUGUAUUGGGGACCCCGAUUAUCGGAGGAGGCAGAUCGGGGAUCCGCUGGAUACGUUUUCUUCCGUUUCCCUCCCCUAUUUUCGGGGCGGAGUUCAUCUCUUAGAUUUCAUCCGAGCGGUCAGGAUGCUGUUUGUUCGCUAAGUGGUUGUUUGGAUGCCAAGAAUUAGACGUGACUACGUGAGUUUUUAGAAAACCAGUUUUCACAGGAUUUUUAGGAAAGCCAGUUUUAGUUAGUUUUUCUGUUAAGGUGAGUGUAUACAAUUCUUUGUUUGGAUAGAAAACAAAAAGAAAACACGAUUAGUCUCUCUUCUUGGACCAAUUCCUCGAGGACGGCGUCGCCAUGGACCAAGCGAACCACACGACAACGGCGUUGUCGAGGACAAAGCGAACCAAGUGGCGGGCUAGUCGGCUACGCAGGGCGUGCAACAGGCGGCUUGCCGCGCGACCCCGCCUCAACCGCAGCCGAAGAGGAACUAGGGUCUAGGGUGCAGAGGCACUACCACCCGGCGACGGGAUGCACACCCUGCUAUGUCAGGGCGGAGAGCAGUGCAGUUGGUGUGACGGCGUUGCAUUCACUGCUCUACUGAGCUCUGUUGUUGCUACAAAUUUCACAAAAAGGAGGAUUGGAAUGGGCCUUCAACUACAUCUCCGUUCUCGUGCUGUUCAAGUGCUUGUUGAAUUACUUCCUUACUGGUUGAUUAACUUAUACUCAGUAGUUAGUUCCCAUGAACCUCCGCCUGGAGUGCAGCGACCGGAGAGAUCAGGUUGUAGCCGUCGCCGGUGUACAGGAAGAGGAGUUUGUCGGCCAUGCUCACCCUGCCCUCGGCGGCCGCUCCCAUCUCGCCGUCCCAACACGACGGCGGCCACGUCCGGACCCCUAGUGGCGAGCUCGCCAGUGGUGCGAGCGCUUCAUUGAUGUCUUGGCAUAGAACGUUUCACCCUCCAGUGGACUUUCAGCGUCGCCAUGGUUGUACCUGGGAGAACGUCGCAGUGCUCGUGGCCGAGUCCGUGUUCAGCCAAAACGAGUAUAUAGAAAAACGUCGAUUAGUCGUUUUUCCAUAAACUCGGUUUUUGGGCUUUUCAUAAACUUAGUUUUGCAUAUCCACGAUUCUGUUAGACAAUCCAAACAAGAUUUUUGAUUGUUACAACUGAAAUCGAGUUUGAAGGAAACUAGUUCUCUAUAAUCUACGUAACCAAACAACCCCUAAGGUAAGUUUGGGCGGUUCGUCCACUCCAACUCGGUCUCUUCUGGCCUCUCUCAAUAAUAAGUACUCCUUCCGUCCCAAAAUUCUUGUCUUAGAUUUAUCUAAAUACGGAUGUAUCAAGUCACGCUUUAGUAUUAGAUACAUCCAUAUCUAGACAAAUCUAAGACAAGAAUUUUGGGAUGGAGGGAGUACUAGUAGCUCACAACUGUAUUAGUUUCUUUAUCACCAAGAUCAAUCUUUUGCGGGGUCCAAUCAUGGAGUCACCUCGCAACAUUGUAAGCUUAUUACAUCCUUCCGGAAUUUUCGUUGUUACCUCACCCUCACGUUGUAACCUUUUUCCUCAUUUUUUUCAGUUAACUGCUUUGCAUAGCAAAGAUGAAGGUCGAGUUUGUGCGAACGAAGAUGAAGAUAGAAUCGGUGCUCUCCCCAACGACAUUUUUCUCCAGUGUUAGAAGGGAGAGAGGGAAUUGGUGGAAUAGUAUGUUGUAUUGCUUGAGCCUCGUGGGCAUAUAUAUAGAAGUACAAUAAUCAACUUGAAGUACAAGACAAGCGAGAACUAAUCCUAGUCUAUCUAGUCUUUCAUAAUAAUCAAUAUACUCAAUAUCCCCCGCAGUCACAACGGGAGCGACGCAGACGGUGAGACUGGAGAAGAAUCCGAAGGCAAGCCGACGGACACCCCCCUACAGUGUAACGGUCGAUGCAUCGCGGAGUUGUGGCUGGAGUGAAAACCGGCGAGGUUGCUCAAGCAGGCGGUAGCCCUUUGUGUCGUUUGUCGAUGUAGCCGACAGCGUGGGUGGUGGAGCCAUGGUCGAGGUAGCAGUGCGAAGAAUGCCGUGGUCGAUGUCGAGUCGAGGUAACCGGUGUCAAGAAAAUCGCCGUGGAGCCGCGGGCGCAAGAAGGCGCCGAGUUAGUCGUGGGCGCAGUGGUGUCGAAGUAGUGGUGCGCCAGGAAGUAGAUGAUGUUGACGACGCGUCGCGCCGGGGUUGCCUACCCCGGGGACACAUCGUAGAUGAAGGCACGCGUCAAUGUUGCCAGCACCGGGCAUGCGUAGACGGACGAUGACGAAGUUGACGAAGCGCCGCACCAGGCUUGUCGGGCCCGGGGACACGUCGUGGACGAAGGCACGCGGCGGUGUUGCCAGCACCGGGCAUGCGUAGACUGGGACCUGCACGAGCUGUAAGCCUUGUCGAAGAAGUCAGAGAGGCUAGCAGAGAAGGACUCGACGAUGGUUGCGGCGCCAAUCGGCACGGGGCCAAUGUCGCCCGCGGUUGUCGGAGUAGAUGAAGCGGUCGGGGUAGAUGACGGCGACGCUGGUGAUGGGCUGGUGCUGGACGAAGACGAAGGAGGUGGACGGGCGGCUACGGCGGCUUCGGGGGUAGCGGCGGCGGCUAGGUUAGGAGCGCGGCGACGGUGGUCGAAGUAGGCGAAGAAUCCGACAGCGUGACGAAGACCGGCGCGGAUGGUCGCGUUCCCGCGCCAAGGGAGACGGCGCAGCGCAUACCACGGGAGGUCGACGCGCGGUGACGGUGGAGUGGACCGCGGGCCGCGGCGCUACGGCCCGUAGGGGCGACGAAGCGGCGGCGGGCAGGUCCNNNNNNNNNNNNNNNNNNNNNNNNNNNNNNNNNNNNNNNNNNNNNNNNNNNNNNNNNNNNNNNNNNNNNNNNNNNNNNNNNNNNNNNNNNNNNNNNNNNNNNNNNNNNNNNNNNNNNNNNNNNNNNNNNNNNNNNNNNNNNNNNNNNNNNNNNNNNNNNNNNNNNNNNNNNNNNNNNNNNNNNNNNNNNNNNNNNNNNNNNNNNNNNNNNNNNNNNNNNNNNNNNNNNNNNNNNNNNNNNNNNNNNNNNNNNNNNNNNNNNNNNNNNNNNNNNNNNNNNNNNNNNNNNNNNNNNNNNNNNNNNNNNNNNNNNNNNNNNNNNNNNNNNNNNNNNNNNNNNNNNNNNNNNNNNNNNNNNNNNNNNNNNNNNNNNNNNNNNNNNNNNNNNNNNNNNNNNNNNNNNNNNNNNNNNNNNNNNNNNNNNNNNNNNNNNNGCGUCCACGCUCGCUACGGCCCGACGGGGCGACGCAGCGGCGGCGCGAGGGUCGGUGCAGCCAUGGGGACGGCCUGGAGCGGACGGCACUGGGGCGGCGGUGGAUCGCGGGCCGCGGCACUACAGCCCGAAAGGGCGACGCAGCGGUGACGCGGGUCGGUGCAGCCGGGAGGAGAACCACGGGGCGGCGGCGCUGCGGCCCAGCGGCAGCCCGUUGCUCGAUCUGUGGAGGGGCGCGCUGAACUCGGGACAAUCUUCACGGGACCUGCGGAGGCGCACACAACCGACGGGCCAGGUUGGUCGCGCGGCGUAGAUGAGGCGGAUCGCGGCGGCAAGCGGGUGAUCAAGCCGAUCGCGCGCGAGGACGGGGACGCCGCUCGAUGGAGGCGUGGUGACGGCGGAGUCCUGGAUGAGGCCGGCGACGACGGACGGCGUGGGACGUCAGCACCGGCACCCGGGUUGCCAAAGCAGCACCGGCGCCCGGGCAGCGAGGCCCGAGCGACCAACGGAGUAGCGGCGCCCGAGUUUGAGGCAGCCGAUGAGCCUGACAGCCGAGGACGAGGCCGGCGAGGUAGACCACCGAGCCGCCGUGCAGACGCGGCGGAGGCGGGUGACGUGGAUCGAUCGGCGGGCCGGCGCGCGAGCGACGGAUAUGAUUGGCCAUCGCAUGGCGCGAAGCCGCCGGGUCGGGGCGAUGCAGGUUUCCCGGUCGGAGCAGGGCGGUGACGGCCGGCGCAGGGCGACGGGCGGACCGACGCGCAGAGGGCGGCUGGCCCUGACGGACCGCCUCGGCGCGCGUGGCCGCCGGGUCGGAGCAGAGGCCGGCUGGUCGCGCCGGGGUCGGAGUAGAGGCGCUCGGGGUCGACGGCGGCGGUGGGCGAUGCAAACCGAUCAAGAAUAGAUCGGAAAAUCAAAAAAAACCGCGCGAUCAAGAUGACCGGCGGGAGAGAGAAAACCCCGAAGCAAGCCUCAGGAAAAAGACUCUCUAGGGCAACCGGUCAACACGACCGGCGGACGAACCCUAGGUACGGGUGGCGCGGCCCCCGGCGGCGGUCAUGGAGGCCGACCGCCCCGGGGGCGGCGCGCAGGUGCAGAUGCGGCACGCUAGGGUUUAGGAUCGACUUGCGAUAGAUACCAUGUUAGAAGGGAGAGAGGGAAUUGGUGAAAUAGUCUGUUGUAUUGCUUGAGCCUUGUGGGCAUAUAUAUAUAUAUAGAAGUACAAUGAUCAACUGAGUAAAGACAAGCCGGAACUAAUCCUAGUCUAUCUAGUCUUUCCUAAUAAUCAAUAUAAUCAACAUCCAGAUCUAUGGAUACCUUGAUAUGCGCAUGGCGAUUCAGGCCAGCGCAGUCUCUAGACAAUGGAGGCACCUCCUUCAUCAGCGCUCUCGUCUGCUCAUGAACGUGGGCGACUUUCGCAACUCCAAGCGCACGGUGGAUCAGGUAAUGGCCACCUACACUGACGCGACAUUGAAAUUGCUGUCUCCUCUGACGUGCAAAUGUCGUCGUACCAUCAAGACCCUGCAGCUCAGCUUCUACCUAACAGAGCCUUACAUAUCCUCUAUUGGCCAUGCGGUUGGUGACGUCGUGAAGAGUGGCAUAACUGAACACCUUGAGUUCGCAAUAUAUGCUGAGGUAGAUAAUCCAAGUGAUGCCCAAUUAGUCUUGUUCGGGCAGCGGUUUAUGUCGUUCUUCCAUGCUAGCCUCGGUCCGUUCAAAUUGCUCACAAAGCUAACGCUCAAGGACCUUGAGUUUCAAAGACUCGGAUCUCCCCAAUCUUCUCAGCACUUGCAAUAAACUGAAGCUCCUUUCCCUGAAAGCGUGUGGAUUGGGCCCAGACUCUAUCCUCAGGAUAGAUGCCCCCUGCUCGGAGCUGCAGGCGCUCGAGCUUAUCUGCUUUGGAUGCAUACGAGUUGAGCUAAUCUGUCUCCCCAAACUGUGGCGUGUGGUGUACGAUACAUGGUACGGUGAAACCCCCCCUUGUGUCUUUUGGCUACGUACCUCAGCUUCAACACCUAAGCUUUGCCUCUCCUGCUCUGGAUGGGCAGGCACCAUUCACGUUAAGCGAGUGUAUUUCUAGUAGCAACAGAAAUCUGUCGAAACUGCAUUAAAUUUUCGAACUCAGAUGGUGAGCUUCUUCUUCCACAUCUACAUAUUUUUUAUAUGUUUGGUUAUAUAUGCUAAUUGCUGCACGUUUUUAUUCUUGUUUCUGCAGAUUUGGGUUAAACCUGAAAAUCCAGAGCAGCUCUCUCCUAUAUUCGGCAAAUUGAGAGAUGUGGAUCUUUGCAAUAUUUUUGCUGAGUGCGAUCUGAGUUGGAUUCUUUUUAUCCUUGAAGCCGCACCUUCCCUGGAGAAGUUUUAUGUAAGCCUCUUACUUUGGUUCUUUUAAUCCUCAUCUUAGCCUGGAUAUUUGUAUUCCCUCCAUGUCAAAAUAUAGUGUAUAUUGUGAACCGAGCGUAGCUCAGAUGGUGAGGUUCCUUGUCCCGGGUUCAAGUCCUGACAAGGGUCCUUGCAUUUUUCGGGAUUUAUUCUGGUCUUUCUGGUGGUGUUCGUUCAAUGGGAGACAACGUUCCCACUGACUACGAGGCGUUUGUGGUGACUUUUUUUGAAAGAUUUCCCGUCUCAGUCUUUUGAAGAUGCUCACGGGGAUAGGCGCGUGUGUGGGUUCAUAUAGGUGGAUGUACGUGUUGCUCUAAGUCAAGUUUUGUAAACUUUGACCAAGUAUAUAGAAAAAAUUCUUAAUAUUUACAAUACCAGAUCAACAUCAUCAAAUCCAUCAUAAAAUGUAUUUCAAUAUUAUAAUUAUCUGAUAUUCUAAAUUUUCAUAUUUUUUUGCUAUAAACUUGGUCAAACAUUGCAAAGUUUGACUUAGGACAAGCUAAUAUACACUAUAUUUUGACAUGGAAGGAGUAUGCCAUGUUUUCAGAUAAUAUUCUAUCACUCGCUAAAUACAUUGCAUUUGAGUUAGUAAAAGUGGUACAUACAAGCCUCUAUACCUUGUGUUGUGGAACUUCUCCGAAGUUUAUAUGACCUGUGUUGUAAUUUACCAAUUUCAUGCGAAUGAUACAUGUUCAUUUAUUUGUUUGAAAGACUAUAGGAAAUUAUCCAAUAUGAUUUUAGUUGUGCAAUUUUUUCCAAAAAUCUACUCCCUCCGUCCCAUAAUGUAAGACGUUUUUGGACACUAGUAGUGUCAUUAGUUUCAAAAAACGUCUUACAUUAUGGACGGAGGGAGUACACUUCAAAAAGGAUCUAACCAUUUUAGCAAGAACACAUUUACUUGUAAGUCUUAGCUCUCUCGCUUUUUUUAAGCAAGUCUUUAACUCCUCUUGCUAACAUUUUGAAUAUUAAUAUUGAUGUUGAUGCCCAUUUCGAAUGCAAUGUGUGUCUACUAAUUUUCUUUACACUUUUGACUCCAUGUAGUCAUCUCGGCAUCCAUGUGAACUCAACAAGUCUGAGGACAGUGCUGAGAGGACCAACUUGGUAUGGCAAACAUCCAAUUUCAAGCACUUGAACUUAAAGCUGCUGGUGAUACAAGGGUUUGAGGAGGAAGACAUGGUAAUGAAUUAUAUAAGGCUCGUCAUGGAACGAGCUGUGGGUUUGAAGAGAAUUGAGUUGCAUGAUAAAAGGCAAUGCAGUAAGUGUAAUGCUUUAAAUUUGGGGUCAAAAUUUCCCUCGGAUGAAGCCAGCAAGGAAUGGAUUAGGCAGCAACUCACUUAUAGUUUCUCCUCAUCCAUAGAGAUAGUUUUCAAGGAAUAGUUGGCAAAGAUAAUAACUGGAAGAUGGAUUAUGUCAAGUAAUAAAGUGGUCUUUUGGUAUUUUUUCUUAUUGCGACUAAGUGCUCUUCUGGUUGGUGUAGAGUAACCAACUUGAGUGAUGUGUUAGACUGUUUGCUGUUCCGCAGCUGGAAAUAAGUUGAAGAGGUGUGUUAGAAUAUGAACCAUUCAGUUGGAUUUCUAUUUUGGUUUAAAUUAUUGAUAGCCAAUAAAUUGAAUUUUAACCCCUGAUUGCAACCAAUGUGAUGUAUAUACACUGCAAGUAUUUUCUCUUUCUUAAGCAAAAGGUUUUUCGCCCCGUUCCAUUCACAUUGAAAAAUGAAAUUUUAACAAUUCAUGUACAACCCUUAUCAUGGUUUCCCUUGGAUUACUUGUACACAUGCAUUUACUACUUACAAAUAUCACAUUAGAGAAAUUCUAAGAAAAUACUAUGAAAAAAAACUUGUUUACAACCCAAGAUAGGCAUGAACCAUAACAUCAUCUUAGAGGCAUGACCUCAUCUAGAGAACCAAACGACCUAAGGAUCGUGAACCCAAGAAUCGAUGAUCCGCGGCUAGUAGACCAACAUACCCGACCUAGAAUGGAACAAGAGUGCCACACAAGGUAACAACAAGACAAACAUCCACUGCGAAGGCAUGCGAAGGCAUGAACAACAGCUAGCAACAACGCGACACGUGCGUGCUACCAAGAUAAUGACCACAAGUGCCACAGGGACAAGUCCACCAUCAGCCAUGAGCCGGCACCACUAGCAUGAGUGUAAGCACGAUGUCACCGAGCAACGAGACCCUAGCCGAUGCCAUGAGAUCGACGGCCACCCUGGUCAAAGAAGGAGGACCGACGGGUGAAUGAGCAAGAACUAGGGGAGCACGAGUCGCACCGCAGCGAGGAUGACACCAUCCACGACCAACGACCUGGGCAGAAGGAGAGGAAAAUGGUUAUUGGGUAACGUACCACGAAAUAAAAAAAGAUUUCCGUAUGUACAAACACACCCGCGAACACUAUGAACUAUGAAGAUGCAUGGAUAGAUAAAUCUCACCAACAAGAACGCAUAGGAGAUGAAGAUUUGCAUAUUCCGGCAGCUGGGUAUUACCUCCUUGUCGUGAUAGUUGAACAUACGACCCCUCUGCGGUAUCCAUGCGUAUUGUAUUAGCAAUUCGGAUUCGACGGCACUUCGUCGCGCGCGGGCGCGCGCGCACACACACACACAAAGAGAGAGAGACAGAGAGAGAUGGCGCAAGGGGAGGGGGCGUCAACCUUGGGGCUUGUUUCCUUUGGGGACGCCCCUCCCAUCUAUUUAUAGAUGUGGCUUGGAGGGGCAGCCCCCCUUAGGGCUUGUGCAUCGAAGGGAGGGGGAUCCUUCCAAGACCUCCAGAUCCUCCCGAGACCUGCCCGUGCAACUCCGGGGCACUCCCGACAUCACCAAUAAAUUCCGGAAACCUCGCAUAACAUUUUCGGAAACAUCUGAAACACUUUCGGUCCUUUCUCUCAUUCUCCUAUGAUCUCCCAGUACUCUACCAAACCAAUAACCGUUAAGCAUGUGACCCUACAGGUUUGACAAUUUAUGGACAUUACCUAGAACAACUUUUGGUCAAUAAUAACAACGGGUCUGAACACCCAUGUUAAACAAAGAUCUUUAUUAAGCAAAUAUUUCAUUCCCGUACAUAAUUCCCCUUGCUUCACAGUACGUUAUAAAACCCGAUAUCUUUGUGAAGCAACUCUUUGAUCACAAUACUAAGUUGCCAUUGUUGUAGGUUAUAUACUUUUUUUUUCUCGUUUAUGUACUUCGGUAUUUUUAUGUUUGGUUCCGGUUUGUGUUCGAACAUCCAGACAGGUCGGGGCACAUUCUGAUGACCGACGCUGGAGGGCAGAAACUGUCCGAACAAUCCUGUCCAGACGUGUAGGAACGAUUUGAUGAAAUAGUUGCCCUAAGAAGACCCGAUCAAUUAGCAACUCGAUCGACAAAUGCACAUGGCCCGUAUGACUGACAGAGUAUGUAGAAUCCAGAACUUGUAUUGACUGACAGAACUUCUUGGAAAUUCCUCGCCGUGCAUGCACGUGCUAUGAAAGUGAAAGACGACGAGGACCAUGCGGUCAUGCAAUGAAAUCACGCUAACUUUCUACCGCACCAUGAGUCGAUGAGACGUGUGCACGCACAUUCCAUCGGUGCGACGCCAUUUCCAACAAGGCAGUAUCCAGUAUGGCGGUCAUGCUAUUCCAUUGCCAACUUUGUCUCUACCUUUUGAGGUCUUUCCAUAGUGAACCAUCGAGGAACGUACAGGAAGAAAAACAAUCAGAGCAACCGACGAGAGAACAUUCAACCCAAAUCAAGAAUUGACCAAGGACUUGGCCCCGCCAACACACUACUGGCGAGUGGUGAUCAGUCCGCUCCAACUUGGCCGUGGCACACCAACCCGAGUCCCCCCUCCGCCGUCGCAGUCCGGCGGCAUGAAACGUGGAGUGGACGGCGUCGCCUUGCAUCUCAAGGUGCCGCGCCGUCACGAGGCCCAGAGGCGAUGCGAGCGACCGACCUGCUAGUCUCCCCGCCCGCACACCAGCCGCUGAUCGAGCUCCGCGUCUCUAGCGGCAGCGAUGGCGGCGAGCGAGCGAUCACUGCCCUGCCUCUUCCUCCACGGCGCCAGCGCCGGGGCCCACCUCAUCCUCGCGCUCGCCGUUGCUGGGAGCCGGCUCUUCCCCCGCCGCGGGAAGGACACGGCCGUCGCCGUGGGCGGGUUCCCGUGCUACGCGGUGGUGGUCUGCGCCACGUGGGCUCUGGCUUUAUUCCAGCUCCUCCUUGCCGCGUACUCCUGCUACCUGGACGCCGGCGCCGGGUGGCCGCUCGACGCGGUGGUGGACCAGGCGGAUGCCGCCACACGCGCGGUGGCGUGGCUGCUGCUCGCGGCGUACCUGCAGUUCGAGUUCCGCCGCGAGGAGCGGUUCCCCGCGCCGCUCAGGCUCUGGUGGGCGCUCUUCCUGCUGCUCUCGGUCGUCGCCGUCGCUGUGCACGUCGCGACGAGCCUCGACGGGCUCCCCGUGCCAGCGCGUUCGUGGGCGCUCGACGCCGUCUCGGUCCUCGCGGCCGUGGUGCUGCUCGUCGCUGGCCUUUCUGGCAAGAGCGAAGCAGGCGGGUCUCCUUCAGAGGAGCCCCUGCUAGAUGGCGCGAGCGAGAGCAGCAGCGCCUAUGCCUCCGCGUACGCCGGCGCCGGCCUCCUCGGCGUCCUCACCUUCUCCUGGAUGGGGCCGCUUCUCGCCGUGGGCCACAAGAAGGCCCUCGGCCUCGACGACGUCCCGGGCCUCGACCCCGGCGAUAGCGUGGCCGGCCUGCUCCCCUCGUUCAAGGCCAACCUCGAGACGCUGGCCGGCGACGGCACCACGAGCCAAAGGGUGACGGCGUUCAAGCUCGCCAAGGUGCUGGUGCGCACCUUCCGCUGGCACGUCGCGGUGACCGCGCUCUACGCGCUGGUCUACAACGUGGCCACCUACGUCGGCCCGUACCUCAUCGACUCCCUCGUGCGGUACCUCAACGGCGGCGACGAGAGGCACGCGAGGAAGGGGCAGCUCCUUGUCCUCGCCUUCAUCGCAGCCAAGGUGUUCGAGUGUUUGUCGCAGCAGCACUCGUGCUUCCGGCUGCAGCAGGUCGGGAUACGAGCGCGCUCCGCACUCGUCGCCGUCGUGUACGAGAAAGGGCUGGCCCUCUCCGGCCGUUCCAGGCAGACCCACUCGAGCGGCGAGAUGGUCAACAUCGUCGGCGUCGACGCCGACCGCGUCGGGAACUCCUCCUGGUACAUCCACGACCUGUGGCUGGUACCGCUCCAAGUAAGCAUGGCGAUGUUCGUCCUCUACUCCACUCUCGGGCUUGCCUCGCUCGCCGCGCUCGGCGCCACCGCGGCCGUCAUGCUUGUCAACGUUCCUUCGGUGAAAGUCCAGGAGAAACUCCAGCAGAAUCUGAUGAGGAGCAAGGACGUUCGGAUGAAGGCGACGUCCGAGAUCCUACGCAACAUGAGGAUUCUCAAGCUGCAGGGGUGGGAGAUGAAGUUCUUGUCCAAGAUCAUCGCCCUCAGGAAGACAGAAACAAACUGGCUCAAGAAGUACCUGUACACCUCGACCAUGAUCACCUUCAUCUUCUGGAGUGCCCCUACAUUCAUCGCCGUGGUCACCUUCGGAGCAUGCGUCCUCAUGGGGAUACCAUUGGAGUCGGGCAAGGUGCUGUCUGCAUUGGCCACACUCCGGGUGCUGCAGGAAUCGAUAUACAACCUUCCGGACAGGAUCUCGGCCAUCAUCCAGACCAAGGUGUCUCUUGACAGGAUAGCAUCCUUCCUAUGCCUCGAGGAGUUCCCGACGGACGCUGUGCAGAAGCUGCCGAUCGGCAGCUCAGAUGUUGCAAUCGAGGUCAGCAACGGGUGCUUCUCCUGGGAUGCCUCGCCUGAAAUGCCAACGCUCAAGGACCUCAACUUUCAAGCUCGGCAGGGCACGCGUGUAGCAGUCUGCGGCACGGUCGGCUCCGGAAAAUCGAGCCUGCUCUCUUGCAUUCUUGGCGAGGUUCCGAAGCUAUCAGGAGUGGUCAGGACUUGCGGUACAAUAGCCUAUGUGAGCCAGUCAGCGUGGAUACAGAGCGGCAAGGUUCAGGAGAACAUAUUGUUUGGCAAGCAGAUGGACAGUGAGAAGUAUGACAGCGUGCUAGAGCUGUGUUCGCUGAAGAAAGACCUGGAGAGCUUCCCGUCGGGCGACCAGACGUUCAUUGGAGAGCGAGGCAUCAACCUCAGCGGUGGGCAGAAGCAGAGAGUUCAGAUAGCACGGGCUCUGUAUCAGGACGCCGACAUUUAUUUGUUCGACGACCCCUUCAGUGCUGUCGAUGCUCAUACAGGAUCCCACAUAUUCAAGGUACAAUGGUACUACCUUCUGUUUGCUGCUCCACAGGAAUUUGACAGACACAUUUGUUAAGGUUUCUUCUGUGUUCUGUAGGAAUGCUUGCUUGGGGCAUUGGCUCAAAAAACAGUGGUGUACGUCACUCAUCAGCUUGAAUUUUUACCUGCAGCUGAUCUUAUUCUGGUGAGUUUUUCAUGAGCAAAUAAUUCGUGCAUGUUUCUUUUUGAAAUAUCUUCAUGUGAUAUUUAUUGCCAUGAAGUGCUUCUCUUAUAAAGUAACUGUAUUGUAGGUAAUUAAAGACGGCAUAAUAGCACAAUCUGGCAGAUACAACGAAAUACUUGGCUCAGGGGAAGAGUUUAUGGAACUGGUCGGUGCUCACCAGGAUGCUCUUGCAACAAUCGACACAAUCGAUGUUCCAAUUGGAGCCAGUGAGGCUUUCUCAUCUGGUGGCGCAGCAAGUCUGUCCGGGUCACUGACAUCAGCUGAGAAAAAGGAUAAGCAAAAUGUCAAACAAGAUGAUGGCCAUGAUCAGAGUGGGCAGCUGGUGCAGGAAGAAGAAAGGGAGAGAGGUAGGGUGGGGUUUUGGGUCUACUGGAAGUACCUCACCUUAGCUUAUGGGGGAGCUCUUGUGCCAUUCGUGCUGCUCGCGCAGAUACUUUUUGAAGUGCUUCACAUUGCUAGCAAUUACUGGAUGGCCUGGGCUGCUCCUGCGUCGAAGGACGUCGAGCCUCCAGUGAGCAUGUACACACUGAUAUACGUCUAUGUGGCAUUGGCCCUAGGAAGCUCGGUGUGCACCUUCGUGAGAGCCCUGUUUCUUGUGCCAGCCGCAUACAAGACAGCAACUCUGUUGUUUAACAAGAUGCAUGUAUCCAUAUUCAGAGCUCCGAUGUCUUUCUUUGAUUCCACUCCAAGUGGGCGCAUCUUGAAUAGGGUAAGUCAUUCUCAAAAACAAAUCCUAGGAAAGUUCAGUUUAUUUGCUUCGAGCAUGUUAAUACAAGAACUUGUUUUUUUAGGCUUCGACUGAUCAAAGCCUGGUGGACACCAGCAUUGCUAACAGGAUGGGUUCUAUUGCGUUUGCCUUCAUACAACUUGGUGGAACUAUUGUUGUGAUGUCUCAGGUUGCAUGGCAGGUCUUUGUUGUUUUCAUUCCUGUAAUUGCUAUCUGCCUCUGGUAUCAGGUACUUUAUCCUACUCGUUAUCCUUCGCUGUAUUAGCCGCAAGAUCAACAUAUAAUUAUAUAGAGAGAAAUAUUCCUCAGUACCACUGAAUAUCACUAUUUCGUUUCGAUUCGAUGUAUCCUAUUGCCCUUAGGUGUGUAAAGACUGUUUUUCACCUGUAAUGUGAUUCUUUCUAUGCAUGCUAAAUAGACAUUAGUUGGCCUAUGUACACCAUGUCCUUGGCGCCAAAGUUGACGUUGAAACUCAGCAGAACUUUUGUACAAACUUUGAACAAAUUUGAAAAUAUUUUUUGCACAAAUUUCUGUGCAUAAUUUUGGUCUUAUUCGGUGGUAAAUGGAAUUAUGGUCUUAUUCGGUGGUAAAUGGAAUUUUCGCUUAUAUUUAUCGUUUUGCAGCGCUACUACAUUGAUACAGCCAGAGAGUUGCAAAGGAUGGUCGGGAUUUGCAAAGCUCCUAUCAUACAACAUUUUGUAGAAUCAAUAACAGGAUCAGCAAUCAUUAGAAGUUUUGGCAAGGAAAAACAGUUUUUAGCAACUAAUAACCAGCUAAUGGAUGCCUACUCACGACAAAAAUUCUACAAUGCUGGAGCAAUGGAAUGGCUUUGCUUCCGCAUGGAUAUGCUAUCAUCCCUUACAUUUGCCAUCUCUUUAAUAUUUUUAAUCAAUCUGCCGACCGGUAUCAUUGAUCCAGGUAUGAUGCUAGUUCCCAGCAUUUUUUGUUUUGAAAUAACAGCCUGGAAGCUAUAUUUCAUUUGAAGAUAGGGGGAAUUUACACCGGUAUUAACCAAAAAAAAUAGUAAAAGGUUUCAAACACAUUUUGUACUGAACAAAAUGGUGGGAGAAACGAUCUGAGUUUGCAACUGAAAUUCCAUCCGACGUCCAGGAAUUGCUGGCCUUGUAGUCACAUAUGGGCUUAAUCUGAACAUAAUGCAAGUAACGCUUGUAACAAGCAUGUGCAAUUUGGAGAACAAGAUCAUCUCAGUAGAGAGAAUUUUGCAAUACCUAAGCCUUCCUGAAGAGGCCCCUCUUUUGAUGUCUGAAGAUGGGUUGGCCCAUAACUGGCCGUCAGAGGGAGAAAUUCAGCUCCAUAACCUCCAUGUAAGUAAUACACUACUUCCGUCUGGAAAAGCUUGUCCCAAGCUUGUCCCUCAAAUGGAUGUGUCUAGCACUAACUUGGUGCUAGAUACAUUCAUUUGAGGGACAAGUUUUUUCGGACGGAGGGAGUACAUUUUUUGCCCUUGUCAGUAAACUGUCAGAAAUCUAGACUCAUGGCCAAAGUAAUUGUUAGAUUGGGUGCUUUGCCAUCACAGGUCCUUAACAUUUUAAGAAUGAUGCAGGUGAAAUAUGCUCCACAACUACCGUUUGUUCUGAAGGGCCUUACAGUCACUUUUCCUGGAGGCAUGAAGACAGGUAUUGUUGGUAGAACAGGCAGUGGUAAAUCAACUCUCAUACAGGCCCUUUUCCGUAUCAUGGAUCCCACUGUCGGCCAGAUAACAGUAGACGGCGUCGACAUUUGCACCAUCGGGUUGCAUGAUCUGAGAUCUAGAUUGAGCAUCAUUCCGCAAGACCCAACGAUGUUCGACGGAACCGUGAGACACAACCUUGACCCUCUAGGAGAGUACACUGACAAUCAAAUCUGGGAGGUAGUCUCAAUGUUCACAUGCUUCAUUUCUUUCAUUUCUCGAAUUAUUACACGCUCUAAAACCACUCACUUAAAAACUGAAAAAUAAACAUUUCAGGCCUUGGAUCACUGUCAGCUAGGAGAUGAAGUUCGGAGAAAGGAGCUCAAACUUGACUCGCCAGGUCUGAUCUAUAUUGAACCAUACAGUUCACAUUCCACUAGUCUAGCUUCUUCUGAAAUUUCUGAAAUUCAAAAGUCCACUCGCAGUGGUGGAGAACGGAGAGAACUGGAGCGUCGGCCAGCGUCAGCUCGUCUGUCUCGGCAGGGUGAUCUUGAGACGGACCAAGAUACUGGUCCUGGACGAAGCCACCGCUUCGGUGGACACCGCAACAGAUAACCUGAUCCAGAAGACACUGCAGCAGCAUUUCUCGGGGGCGACCGUCAUCACAAUCGCGCAUCGAAUCACCUCGGUCCUUCACAGUGAUAUAGUCUUGCUUCUUGACAAUGGUCAGCUACCAUAUCACCACUCCUUUAAAUGAACUUUAAGCUACGUCUUGUUAAUCUGCCCAAUCUGGGUGUGACACUUAUGAACUGGACUGACAAACACAGUGGCAAAAUUUUACAGGCAUGGCUGUGGAGCACCAAACGCCAGCCAGGUUGCUGGAGGACAAAUCCUCUCUGUUCUCAAAGCUUGUAGCGGAAUACACGAUGAGGUCGACGCGCACUUGAGCCGCCAUUACUAGUGUGAUCAAACGAAAUACCUAGACUGAAUUGCGAUGUGUAAAUGCCAAAAGGAAAACAAGUUCAUGAUUUUUUUACUGAUGUUUGACAAAGGCUUCAAGCUACCAAGAAACCAAGAUAUAUAACCGAAAGAAAGCAAGAUCAUUGGAAAUUGUACCUUCAAAUUGGCAAGGGCCGCGCGGACGCGUAACCCUACUAGCACAAAUUAUGACAUCCAUUCUCCCACUUAGGGAGAUGGUAAGCCAGCACUCCUCCGAAGUGCAAUGGAGGCUGCUAACCUAGGCCAUGAGCCUUCUUGAUAGGUCAUUGACCCCGUCCAGGUAAGUGAGGAUUGAGGUAGCAGCUGGUCCCUUUUAUAGCCUCUUCGUCGUGCCUCCUGCUGUGGACGAGCGAUGUGGGACUAAACAAAAUUUGCCCUAACCAACCUGGCGGCUGGCGCUGUGUCUACCACACGGCGGGGGAAUCUGUGAUGAGAACUUGGUUUAGGGCUCAGUACUUAUUAUUCGGCCUGCUGGGCUUUCGUGGGAGCCCAUGGUACAGACCACGGCGGGUACAAUGCUCCUCAAAUAUUGUUCAAAGACCCUAGAAAAACAUUGUUCAAAAAACCCUCGAAGAAAAAUGUUGUUAAAAAAAUGAACAAUAUAUCAAGCUGUCAUCAGGUACUGGUUUUCUCUCCCUUCAGGUUUUUUAUUUAUUUUCCAGUUCUCCGUUUUUUAUUUUGAUUUCCUACAUAAAAGUUGAUAUGAAAAAUGUGCAGAGACAACUCCAACUCUAUAUGAGAUUUAGUGGACCAACGUAACAGUAAAACAUACUCCCUCCGUCCCACAAUAUAAGGCACUUUUUAACAAUACACUAGUGUUAAAAAACGUCUUACAUUAUGGGAGGAAGGGAAUUGAGAUACCCAACACAAGAAAAAUAAAUGCAGCGGUGACAAAAAGACACUAUUCUUUUUUGUUUGGGGACAAAGAACUAAUCGAACAACAAAACAAAACUUGCAUGGCGAUCAAAUUUUUAUUUUCUUGUGGCAAAAAAUAUGCUAUAAAUUCCUGCAAAAAAAUAUGCUAUAAAAGUGGUAUUUAUUUUUUGGCCACAGUAUCUUUGUUAUACCACGUUGGACUAAAAAAUAUGACUCAAAACCAUGGGCCAUGCUGAAAAGUUGGCGUCACAUAGCAAAAAGGCCCUACACGCCAAGCCCAUGGUUAACAUCUGCAUUUCCAAUUCGAGGAAAAUAACCACAAUGUGUAGCCAUUCACAUCACAGUAGGAGCUAUACAUGAUCCAAGAAAAGGAUGUCUCGCACUCUAGUAAGUCUAUUAUGACCUAAAUGAAACCAAGCUUUUCUUCGAGAACUGGGCUAGGCAAGGACACAAUGAUGUUUCCUUGCAGACCGGGGUUCGACUCCCGUCGGAAGCGAUUUUCUGUGAUCUCAUGUAACACCCCAGUUGUAAAACUUCCAUAUUUGGCAAUGUAUCCAACCUUAUCAUGAUCAAUCCAAAGUGGUUUCCUCCUUCUUGGUUUCAUUUUGGGUUUUGCUUUGUUUCAUAUUGCAUUGCCUUCCUUUUCUUGUCAUAUUGUAUUUGCUCAUUCUUGUUGUUAUCAUGUGGUGCUUCAUGUUCCUUGCUAUGUUGCAUUGUGCUUGGUGUCAUUUUGCAUAUCCUCAUCAUCAUGUGCAUCUUCAUAUUGUAGCAUAUGGCAUUGUGGCAUGUUCUUAUGCAUCUAAGCAUCAUCAUUUCCCCUUCACUCAUCACCACCUCUCCUUCUCUUUUCUUCCAUUUUUGCAAGUGCACCUCUACCCUACUCCAUUAAUGUUCAUAUUUGCCUCAUAAAUCAUGCACCCUGCCUUAAACCUCUCUUCAAAAUUUCAUCUCAUUUGGACUUGGUUUGGUUGGGGUCAAAAAUGCCUCAAGUUUGAAUCUAAUUCAAACUUGUUUUAUUUUUCUUCCUCUAAAAUGUCCAAACCAAUUUUACUAAAUAGAGCAUGAUUCCAGGAGCUUCAGGAUAUUUUUAUUAUUCUCAAACACCUCUCCUAUGUUCCUGUGCUUUUCUGUUUUGUUUUCCAUCCUAGGGAAAUGGAAAGAAAAGGGGCAGCAACAACAACAACCUACCUGGGCCUCUUCCUCGUAGGCCGGCCCAGCUCAGCCGGCGCCCCGGCCCAGCCUGCCUUGUGCGCCUGCCUCACCAUUUCUCACCCGCGCCCGAACCUACCCCCGCUAGCCCUUCGCCAUGUGGCACAGCCGGCCCCGCUCGUCAGCGUCUGCAUACUCCUCCUCACCCACCUUUUCGUCUAGCUCUAGCAGCGCCAUGGGGACCGCGAGCCCGAGCGCACCGUCGCGUCGUCCCACCGCCCUAGCCCCUUUUAAACCCACUCUCCUUGUCCUCUCCCUCUCCUAGGGUUUCCCUCAUCUGCCGUCGUCGUCGCCUGGUAGGUUUAGCCACCAGAUCCGCCGCCCCGACUGCGUCCCGAACGCGUCCGAGAGCGCUGCCAUGUCGCCGCCGUGAUCUCCGUCGUUCUUUGCUUCAACGCCCGUAUCCGUCAAGUCUGCCGUUGUCGUCCACGUCGACUACUUCCCCUACGGCCUCAAGGGACACCAAGUUCGGCGCCGUCCCCUUCGUCCUCUUCUUCCUUCUUCCUUGGACAGGAACCGCGUCGGGUUCAGAGCUCGACCGCGUCGCCGCAUGAUCAUCUCCGUCAUCGUCGUCGUGUCCUAGGGUGAGCUAGGUAUACCUGCUCCCCCUACCUCUUCUCAUGCCGCAUGUAGAUCGCCAUAGACGUCGCCAGGGUCGGGUUCGCGUCGUGCUCUUGUCGCUCCAGCGUUAAUUGAAUUUUUCUCAGGUUCAGUAGUCUGCUCUCUGCACCCCGCGGAUCCCGAGACCAGUUGGCUCUGUAGACAUCCCACUGGUCUCGCGCCUUCUUCCGCAGGUUCGCCGUCGUCUCGCCGUACCCUGUUGCCGUCGUCGCCGCUGCUUGCCGUGCCCCGAGUCGAGCCAUGCUCAAGCUCGAGUGCCCCGCCGCUCCAAAACUGCUCGCGCCCUCGUAUGGGUGCCGCCAACCGUUUUUGCACGCCCGCCGCUUCCCCCUGAGCCCGACCGUCACUGUUGCUGUCGCUGGUGUUGCCGUAGACGCCUCGGCCUCGUCGAAGCAGCCAUCCGACAACGCUAGAACAAGUGGCACGAGGCCCCCCUCCUGUCCUCCACCUCGCUGUAGCCCAGCGGUUGACCCCGCACACCCGCACCGGGGAGACCCGGGUUUGAUCCCCGCGGCCGCAAUUAGGGUUAGUUUGGUUUGCGUCCUCGUUGUUUCAAGCCUGGCCUGGAGCGUGCCUGUGGUCUGCCUGGGAGGCGUUUGGUUCAGUUCCUCGAAAAGAUAGUAGUGGCCUGGCCUGGUAGUCAGGCAUCUUCGUUAGCCUGCCGGGCUUCCAAAAAUUAGCCCUUAAACUCCUCCCCUUUGUAUUUGAUUAAUGAGUCCCUAACAGUCAGGACCCACCAGUCAUGCUCUCUGCCAUCAGGUCCCACUUGUCACUCCCACAAAACCUUCUGUUCCCUUUUUUCUUUUUAUUUAACCAAGCGAAUAUCCCAUUUCAGGGAAAAGGAAUCUUUCCAUUUCGGGCAAGUCCAUUUCUAGACGUUUCCAAAUAUGGAAAAUGCCAUUUCUGUAAUGGCCAUUUUAGGCAGAUUGCAUAUUUGUGUAAUUGUGGAGAUCAUUCUAAUGCAACCUAGACAUAUUAUAUAUGUUUUGGGGUAGAAAAAUACCACCAAUCUAGUGGUGGCAUUAUUUCCUGCAUUUGAGCAAGUUUGCACACAUGUCAUUUUACAUCAUGUUGUUGUUUUGUCUUUUAUGUGUAUAUUUAUGCAAAUAUGCUAUGGGGUAGUUUUGCACAUGAACAUGCUCUUCAUCAUGCCUACUUGAUGCUAGAAUUAAUCUCAUGCCAUGAUAUGCUUUAUAUUGAGUUAAACAUGCUAUCAUAAAUCUGUUUCUGCCAUGCCAUUAAAUUCUACUAAGUCUGAAAUAUGUUCAUAUCACUUGCCAUGUUUCUUCCAUGUCCAGUAUUUUCACCAAGUCUGUAAAACUGUUAGCAUUUGCAUUUUUGCCAUGUUGUUUAAGUCAUGCUCUAGUGGUUUCUAGUAGUAGCUUAGUAAUAGUGUUUUGUAGUGCUUGAUAUGUACUUCACUACCAUGCCUUUUGUUUUCAUGUUUGGGUGCUGUAGCAUAUUUUUAUGUUGCAUCGAAUGUGCCAUGUUGUUGUUAAUCGUAGAUUUGCAUUGUUAUUGUUUUGUUCACCGUUUGAGUUGUGUGCAUCCAUUCCUCAUGAUCUUUAUUUCGAUUUCAACCGAAAUCCUCCAAUCUAUCUAGUGGCAUGCUUGGUUUACCAAGAUAGUGCCAUGUUCAUCUUUUCCCCUUCCAGAGCACCCAUAUGCAUUGCAUAUCAUAUCUUGCAUUCCAUGCCAUGUCUUGCAUCAUGUUGCUUGCGCGUUGCAUCGUGAUUGAUUGUUGUUUCGUUGCUUGUGUUCUUGCUUUGGGUAGAGCCAGGAGAUGAAUUCAUGAACGGGGACCCUAUCGAGUACGUUUACGAGGAGCAAGCUUUCGUUCCCUCUGAGGAGAAUUCAGGCAAGAUGAUCAUUACCCCCGAUAUCACUUCUAUCUUUGCUUGCUAGUUGUUCGUUCUACUGUUAUGUCGCGCUACCUAGCAUUUGUUUAUCAAGCCUCCCAUAUUGCCAUGUCAAGCCUCUAACCCACCUUCCUAGCAACCGUUGUUUGGCCAUGUUAUCGCUUUUGCUCAACCCCUCUUAUAGCGUUGCUAGUUGCAGGUGCAGUGAAGGUUGUUCCAUGUUGGAACAUGGAUAUGUUGGGAUGCCACAAUAUCUCUUAUAUGUAAUUAAUGCAUCUAUAUACUUCGCAAAGGGUGGAAGGCUUGGACUUUUGCUCAGUGUUUUAUUCCACUCUUGCCGCCUUAGUUUCCGUCAUAUCGGUGUUAUGUUCCUUGAUUUUGCGUUCCUAACACGGUCGGGGUUUAUGGGCCCCCUUGUCUCUUCGCCUAAAGUAAAGCUUUUCCGAGGAGAUCCAACAUUGGUUUUACCAUUUGCCUAAUAACAACUAAAAUUCGCAUAGGGAGUAAUUAACCUGAGGCCUCUUAAUCAACCCCCCCCCCCCGAGGGCCAAUGCUCGACAUGAGUGUUGGUCCACCUACCUAGCAGUCGGUGGUGCCGCCUCGGCGCAACUCAAAGUCUUUUGGCUAUCGUCCACUUUGCAUAGACGGAUGAGUCCGUAGAUAGAGAGCGCGCGGCUCUGGACACAGGUAUGACUCACCGGGAGACCUCCUUGGGAUAGUUUUCCUUUCUUCGAAGAGCUUGUGCACCGGGAUUCCGAAAAUACUUGGGGUGUCCCGCGAUGGAGGAUUGUCUCCAUGGAUCAUGAGCUUGUCAUGGGCUAAGUUGGGACACCCCUACAGGGUUUUAUCUUUCGAAAGCCGUGACCGCGGUUAUAUGGUAGACGGGAGUUUUUAAUAUCAGGUUGUAGUGAACUUGAAACCAAACUCUUUAAAAUACACCAACCAUGUGUGGAACCGUGAUGGUCUCUUUUCGACGAGGUUCAGGAAGAGAACAUGGUGGGGUUAUGUUUGAACAUAAGUAGUUCAGGAUCACUUCUUGAUCAUUACUAGUUUGCGACCGUUGCAUAGUUUCUCAUCUUAUUCUUGUAUGCGUAAGUUAGCCACCAUACAAAUGCUUAGUGUCUGCUGCAACUCCACCAUAUGUCCAUACCUUACCUUAAGCUUUGUUAGUCUUGAUACUGUGGGUGAUAUGAUUGCUGAGUUCCCGUGGCUCACAGAAUACUACAAACACAGUUGCAGGUACCGACGAGACUGAUGCAGGUGAUGCCACUGAACUCAAGUGGGAGUUCGACGAAGACCGUGGAUGUUACUAUGUUUCUUUUCCGGACGAUCAGUAGUGGUGCCCAGUAGGGUCGAUCGGGACUUAGCUUGGGUGGUUGUUUUUUUAUUCGUUUGAUUUCGUCCGUAGCCAGACUCUGCGUUCAUCUUGAAUGAUUGCAUAACUUAAUGAUAUUGUGUGACAUUGUGGCGAUUGUAAGCCAAAGUUCAUAUCCUAUCUAUUCAGUAUAUGAGAUGAGCAAAGAUACAACCACUCCUGUGACCAUACCAAUAUGCGCUUAUGCCCCAAGUUGUGCCUCUACACAUAUGGAGUAUAGUCGCAUAUUGGGCGUUACAUCUCACCCAGGUGUGCUUCUUCUAUAAAAAUAUGUCCUGGGUGCUAGUGCCCAUGAAUCUAUUUUUUAAAAACAAAGUUUUUUUUGACACAACAUGCACAUGACUUUUCGUGGCCAUCAGGCAACAUGCCAGGCAAAGAGCUAGCCUACAAACUCUUACUUGAAAUGCUAAGAUCUUAUCUUUUGCCCACGGCUUAUUGUCGAUUAAUAAAUUAAAAUAGCCAUCAAACAGAAUUUAGAAGCUGCAAAUUGCUACAGUUGUGACAAAAGUUCUCUUUUCUCGAUGAAAGAACAUGUGGUGCCCCCAUGUUUGGUUUUGGUAAUUAAUGACAAUCUCUAUGGACUAAUGGUUGCCUUGAGUUAUAUUUGAAGGAUUUGUCCAUAGGAUUUUCUUGGAGUCCAUUUGUUGGUUUCAAGGAGAGUUUGUGAUGACCAAGGUGCCAUUCAAGGAAUUACCUAAAGAUUGGUCAUGUGAGAGGUUGAUCAAGACUAAGUCAAAGAGUGAAUCAAGUUGAUCAACACACAAAGCGUAGAAGAUGUACCGAGAGGGAUCAAGCGAUCCCAUGGUAUGGUAAGCAUUAUCAAUUACGCUUUGUGUACUAACCCAUGAUCUUCGUAAGAGUUCUUUAUAGGGUUAGGUUGUGGUGUGCAAGUUCAAGUGAAGCAUCACAAAGAGAUCAAAUGCUUGAAGCUUGCUGUCCAUUGUGGUGAAAAUGGACUUGUGAAGAUGUGCGGAAGAGUGGCUCACCCAUAGUGGAGUAUGGGGGAGCAAUCAACUAGUCUUCAUCGAGCCAACACAAUCAAGAAAGGUGGUCCAACUUGAGGGAGUCAAGAUCGUCAUCAUCUAGCUCAAGUGGACCAUGUGCAAGGCAAAGGUUUGCCCUUGAUAGGUUUUCUAUUUUGCCGGUAUCAUGAUGGUAGUUGGGAGACCGGGUUUUAGGAUCGAUUGUCGUACUAUCAAGGGGGGCUCUCGAUGAGUAACUUGAUCGUAUCAUUCGUAGAGAGCUCAAACCAUUGCAUCCUGGCAUCAUCUUUCUUGGUUCUUGUUUGGUUCUCUUUGUGAGUUUUUGAGCUUAUAGUCAUCUUGAUGACAAGCUCGAGUUCAUCGAAGACGGAGUUCACAUGCUUCUUCUAUGAUGUUUUUGAUGUUGGAGGUUAUGCUGAUUCUUCUCUGAUGGAAUGUUCACUUCUCUGAUGGAGUUCACAUGAUUCUUCUAUGAUGUUUUCAUUAUUUUGAUGCUACUCGUUGUCUUGUAUCCAACAAGCUUGAGUUUGCUCAAUUCGGAGCUCAUAUGAAGAAGUUAUGGCAGUCCUGUUUUUCUCCCUGCGGUAGUACCGCGGAGCCAGCGGUAGUACCGCUUGUAGCGUUAAGCGGUAGUACCGCUCCUAUGCCGCUCUACUACCGCCUCGUUUUUGGGUCUGCUCUUUUCGUGUCGGGUUCAACAGUAGUCGCACGGCAGUAAGGCACGGCAGUUCCGCCUAUAAGCAGUAGUGCCGCCCAGAAUGGACGGUAGUACCGCCUAUAAGCAGUAGUACCGCUCCGUUCGGGCGGUAGUACCGCUACUGCACUACUGCCACCGUACUCUGCUCUGUCCUACCUCCUUUGGUCCCGUGCUCUGCUCCUCCAGCGGUAGUACCGCUGGGGUGAGCGGUAGUACCGCUUGUAAGCAGUACUACCGCCCCAAGGUUCAUGUUUUGUUCCUCCUUUUCCCUGCUUCUUCCACCCGAGCGGUAGUACUGCUCAUGGAGCGGUAGUACCGCUCAUGUGCGGGCUGAGCACAUAACGGUUGGAUUUUUCCCCUCCUAUAAAAGGUUUGUCGGUGUCAAAACCGGCGGACCUCGGGUAGGGGGUCUCGAUCUGUGCAUCUAAGGCUGAUGGUAACAGGAGGCAAGGGACACGAUGUUUUACCAAGGUUUGGGCCCUCUCGAUGGAGGUAAAACCCUACUUCCUGCUUGAUUGAUAUUGAUGAUAUGAGUGUUACAAGAGUUGAUCUACCACAAGAUCGUAGAGGCUAAACCCUAGAAGCUAGCCUAUGAUGAUUAUGAUUCUGUCUCUAAGGACUAAACCCUCCGGUUUAUAUAGAUACCGGAGGGGGCUAGGGUUUACAUGGAGUCGAUUACAAAGAAGGAAAUAUAAUAUCCAGAUCGCCAAGCUUGUCUUCCAUGCAAAAGAGAGUCCCAUCCGGACACGGGACGAAGUCUUGAGUCUUGCAUCUUCACGGUCCAACAAUCCGGCCAAAGUAUAUAGUCCAGCUGUCCGGAUACCCCCUAAUCCAGGACUCCCUCAGUAGCCCCUGAACCAGGCUUCAAUGAUGAUGAGUCCGGCGUGCAGUUUUUUCUUCGGCAUUGCAAGGUGGGUUCCAUCUCCGAAUACUCCAAAGUAGAUCGAUGAUUGUGUCUGGCUUUGCGAGAUAAUUUCUGCACACCUCUAUAGAGAGCAUAGCACUUAAUAAAUCUGAUCUGCUAGCAAUUUUUGUACGGUGUGCUCUUACAUCGUGGUAUGGUCCAACACGAACCGGUUUUUCUUGGCCUGCCUCGAUACGCGUUGCUAGGCGGUUUUAUUGGCACAUCCUGCCAAAGCAGAGAUCAUGCUCCCCUUAUUGUGGGAUUUUCCAUCAAUACGGGAGCGUGCAACCCCACGACGCCUGUUGGUAUGACUCCGUGUUUUUAGGCAAGUCCUGAGUGGUUACGCUGAGGACGCUUGAUAUUCACCCCCUUUAUAAAGGGGCCGAGGCAUAUCCCUCUUUUCCACCACCCUUGCGCCUUUUCGCAUCUCGAGUUCUAACACCCGAAACCCAAGCUCAAGCACCCCGGAUUCUCCACCAUGUCUGGAUCCAACCCUCAAGGCCGGUGGGUGGCCUCCUCGGUCACAUAGGAGGACAUUGCGAAGCUUAGGGAGGUCGGAUAUUUGACCGCUGACAUCAAGCACAGGCUUCCUGCUCCAGGGCAGGUCAUCCCUACUCCCGAGCCCAACGAGAGCGUCGUAUUUGUUUCUCACUUCCUCCGCGGCUUGGGCUUCACCCUUGAUCCCUUUGUGAGAGGGCUCAUGUUUUAUUAUGGGUUAGAUUUUCAUGAUUUAGCUCCGGAAGCUAUCCUCCAUAUCUCGUCGUUCAUUGUUGUGUGCGAAGCUUUUCUCCAUGUCACUCCACACUUCGGCUUAUGGCUCAAGACCUUCAAUGUGAAGCCGAAGAUGACUGAGGGGCGACACGUGGAGUGCAGAGGUGUUGUGAUAAGCAGGAAUUCCGGCGCCCCAUGGCCAGAGGGCUCCUUCCGAGAGCUGUCCGAUCUAUGGCAGCGGAGGUGGUUUUACGUCACGGCUCCUAGAGGCACAAAGUGGGUGGCUGCCCCCGACUUCCGUUCGGGCCCUCCUUCUCAACUGAAGUCAUGGACCAAUAUAGGACGGGAUUGGGGAUCUGCUAGUGAUGUACCAACAUUGCAGAGCCGUAUCCGGGAGCUUCUUGAAAAGGACAUUAGCCUCGUCAACAUAAUUCAGGUAAUGCUAAUCCGACGGAUGUUGUUGUGCAAACACCGGCCUCUCCGGAUGUGGGAGUUCAAUCCGGAGGGUCUGCGGACUAUUCUACACUUCUUCGGCCUGACGCUCGAAGGGAUGUGUAAAUUAUUCUUCGGACCACAAGUAAAGUGUCCGGAUACCAUCGAGGAUGCGGGCCUGAGCUGCAAUCGCCCAGAUACCCAAGUAAGUAACCCAAAAACCGAACACUUUGUCUAUUUUUGUCAUAGUCAUUAUUCUGAAAAUCCUCCGUGGCCAGGAAUGGCUCAGCAAGGUGGAGAGAAUCAGGUGUCCGACGCCACUUCCCGAAGGCUCGCCAAGUCCCGCCAUAGCCAAGAUGCUUGGCCGUGUGCUAAGUAAAGUGCCCUCAGGGAAAGACGAAGGGAAGAACAGAGAAGCAUAACUUCACACAUUGCGCAUCCAAACUGGGGGAAUUGCUACCUCCCCAAAGAAGGAUAGUCGGGGAGGGGAAUCUAAGGCCUCCUCCCCUCGCGGUAAGAAGAGGGCCGCCUCCGAAGACUUGGAGAUGGAGGUGCCCAGACAAGGGAAGAAAGCUUCACCAGGGGGCCCUGCCCCAAAGGGCGUCCUCACCGCGCCAUGCCCGCCAACGGGCCAGCCCUCAGCCGAGCUGUAAGUUAAUCAUAAAUACAAAGAUACUGCUUCCUUUUCCAAGAACAAUAACCAGGAUCCAUUCUUUGCAGUCCGGCUAGCAGCUCUUCUCGACAGAGUUCGUCUUCGGGGGAUCUCCUUUCGGAGAUGAUGGAGAGUGAGACCCCACCAACCUCUUCGCCUCAUGAGGCGGGCAAUCCCGAGGUGUCGUCACGGAGGAGUCCAGAUCCGCCGAAGCCAAGAGCUAAUACUUCGGCCGCCCUGAGCCCAGAGCGUCCGGCUCCCAUGGGGGGCGAUAAGAAGGGUCCGACACUUCGGCGUCCGGCCGGACACACUGAUGGGCCUUCUGGAGCGAGUUGCUCUCUUGGAGGAGCACCAUUCAUUAAUGAGCACGGUGCUCGAGAAGAUUUCAUCUGCCACAAGCGGGUUGAAUGAAGCCUUUACGAGCCUGCUCUGAGGCUUUGAGGUAUGUAAUGAAAAAUACAUAAUUUUUGGCUGUGACGCACGUGCUAGGUGUGCUCCAUAUGGAUAGUAGCCCCUGAGACUCUGGUUGUCUGCCCUAGGCGGCAAACAGACGAUCAUAUUGUGUAAGUAAUCAUCGCGCUGUAUCUAUGCGCAAGUGUCCAAGGAUUCGGCAGCCGACCGGUCUGUUGAAGUUAUCGAACUAAGGAGGCAGAUUGGAGCUAUUGAUGCUGAUAUCACACUGGUAAACGAGCGGCUUAACGAGUCACAAGGUAUGUGCUCUGCUUUCCUUAUUAUUUUUUGUAGGAAAAACUGAGAGGAGCAUAAUGCUAAUGUUAUAUGCUUGGACUGCAGACGGUGCUGCUGCCGUGGAAGCCCUGAGGGUGGAACUUGCCCUGGCCAAGGAACAGGCCCGGGCGAGCAAUGCGGCUGCCCUAAAGGCGGCCAAAGAGUUGAGAGCCGAACAAGCUGCUCGUCGCCGGAGCAAAGACAAAAUAGCCUAAAUGGCUGUGGAGCUAGAAAACGCCGCCAACCGGUAUGAGUUUCUUGAAAAAGAAAAUCAGGCGAAUAAGGCUGACCUGAAGAAGGCCCUUGAUGCGGCCAAGGAGACGUGUUCCAACAUUAGGGAUGCGCGGAGGAGCUUCGACAGGCCGGAGAAAUCGCGGCUGGAAACCCCUAUUUGUUGCGGAUGAAGUUUUUAGAUCCGAAGUACGUUCCUCUGGAUCGACGCUGGAGUCCUGCAGACGCCUAUGCGGAUUUGGCGAAGAGUGCGGCUGAUGCGGCCAAGUUUUUUGAGGAUCAAAAAGAUGAUGAAGUGGAAAAGCUGUUCUAGUCGCAGUUCAGCGCUCCAACGCGCACAUUGCCUUUGAGUGAGAGGAUGGCUGCUGUGGCCGAGCUCCACAGGCUGUCCGGUCUUGCAAUGCGGUCUGUAAUAGACCAUCUAUGGCCGAAGGGGCCUAAGCCGGACAGUUAUUUUGGUUUAGUGCAACAAUUCCUUGGUGCCGUAUCGCGGAUCGAUGCCAUGAAGAGGUCGGCAUGCAUAGAGGGUGCACGGAUGGCUCUUGCCCGUGUUAAAGCAUAUUGGACAUAUAUGGAAGCCACCAUCGUUGCGACCCAGAAUCCGGCGGGGGCCAGGAUCCGGCCGAGCACAUGUGCUCGCUUAAUAGAGGCUCAGUGCUCGAAAAAUGUCAUGUUCGAGUGACAAAUCGUGUCAUUGUAAAGACAAUGUUAUUUUGAUUAUGGAGGCUAUAUUUAUACUUUUCGCCCGAAAGUGUUGUUGUGCCUCCUGUGUGGCCGUUAUUUAUAUAUAUAUAUAUAUGUAUGUGUGUGUGUGUAUGUGUGUGUGUGUGCAAUUCUGAAAGUUAGCAGUCGUUGGCUUCAGCCCCCACGCAUAUAAUGCGGGGGUGUUCGCAAAAAUAUGAGUAAUCACACUUGAUCCAACAUCUUGGUCCAUUAAGGAGGUGAUCGCAUGUCGAACUAGGCAACCGGACUAUAUAGAUUUAACACUUUCACUUAGCCAUAGGAGUUCGACGGCGGGGCUACUAUGUAGCCCCUUGUACCUUUGCGUGCAUCUGAAUCCAGGCGCGUGUGUACAUGACCGGUAAGCAGUCCUUUGUUAAUACGGAGGAACCCUGAAGGUUUCGAUGAGUCUUCGAGUGGUUCAACAGUCUCUCGCAAUAUCAUGACAGUCAGUUUUCGGCUUUCUCUACUGAGGUGCUCAUCCGCAAUAACCAGGGCACAAUCGCAGUAGUUCUCCUUUGGCCGCCUUAGCCGAUAAGAACGGGACGUAAGGCAUCGAACCCAGGAGCCGGGCAAACCCAACAUUUGACCAAAGACAUGAUUCGGAGCUGACACAUAUAAGGCCAAACUCGCGACGCCGAACACUCCCGAAGGUAUUCGGACUUUAUAACAUAUACUGGGCUGAGUAACGCCCCUUAUUAUGAACCCUGUAUUCCCAGGUACGUGCAUUAGUCUGUCGUGGCGAAAUGCCAAUAACGGCAGUAUCCUCUGCGGGUGUAGUGCCCAUGGGAUGUGUAAGCAACAAGAGACAAUAAAGAAGGUUUACACAGGGGCUUAAUCUAAAGAGAAACCUUUGAGCAGGGCCCUGCUGCACGUCUGCGCCUUUGUCCCUGUUGUGCCGUGUCCUGGGAGGGUGUCGCACGAAUGGUGUCUGUAAAAAGGAAAACUCAUGUAGAAGAGUAUGACAUAAGCGUGCGAAAAGUUGGCUAUCAAUAAUGGAUAGUAAAAGUGUAAGACAUUGGCCUGUUAAUAAGGUUAGGCCGAGAAUUGAGCUUUAUUAAUUGUCUAUAGCCCCUGGUGUCCUCUAUGGGAUUACAUGUGUGGCGCCUAGAUCGGGUUGAUCUGGGCUGUCAGACUCGUCUAACCGUGUCCGUGGUCUUAACAACCAAUCAUGCUAUCUGGUAUUAGAGGCCGCUUAGAGUCCGGCUGCUGGAGCCGUCGCGUAUUCCUCUGUGCGUAAGGAACACUCUAUACUUCUGUUAACGGUGAUGACACCGCGUGGACCAGGCAUCUUGAGUUUAAGGUAGGCGUAGUGCGGUACUGCGUUGAAGCAAGCAAAGGUCGUUCUCCCGAGCAAUGUGUGAUAACCACUUUGGAGGGGGCGCUGGGGAAGAGUAGUUUUUCGCUUCUGAAGUUGCCUGGGGAGCCGAAUAUCACCUCUAGUAUGAGGGAGCCCCUGCAGUGGGCUUCGACGCCUGGUAUCACCCCUUCAAAGGUGGUGUUACUGUGGUUGAUUCUGGAUGGGUCUAUCCCCAUCCUGCGGACAAUGUCCUGGCAUAUUAGAUUAAGACUACUGUCGUUGUCCGCGAGGACGUGAGUAAGAUGGUAUCCGUCGAUUAUUGGGUCGAGCACCAAGGCAGUUGAUCCUCCGUGCCGAAUACUAGUCGGGUAGUCCUUGUGAUCGAAAGUGAUUGGGUAAGCCGACCAGUGGUUAAGUUUGGGUGCAAUGGGCUCUAUAGUGCAUGCGUCUCUGAGCGUGCAUUCGCGCUUUCUCGUGGAUAUGUGAGUCGCGUGGAUCAUGUUUAUUGUUUUUACCUCUGGUGGGAAUUUUUUCUGUCCCCCAGUGUUCGGCUGGCGAGGCUCAUCCUCGUCUUCACUUGGUGUUUCCCUUCCCUUGUGUUCGACAUUUAAUUUGCCGGCCUACUUGAAGACCCAGCAUUCCCUGUGAGUGUGGUUCGCAGGUUUUUCGGGGGUGCCAUGAAUUUGGCACAGUCUGUCCAUGACUUUGUUCAGGCCGGACGGUCCCUCUUUGUUGCCUUUAAAUGGCUUCUUUUGUUGACCGGGUCGAGAGCCCCUGAAUCCGGCGUUGACCGUUGUGUUGUCCGGACUUUCUUCCUUGUUUUGACGUUUGUUUUUAUUGCGAUGUGGCUUCCCGUUGCCAUCCCUGGUUUCGGAUGUACUUGGGUCGUUGGUGCCUUUACGGGCCAACCAGCUAUCUUCGCCUGUGCAAAAACGGGUCAUAAGGCUUGUUAAGGCUGCCAUUGUCCUCGGCUUUUCUUGGACGAGGUGUCUGGCGAGCCAUUCGUCCCGGAUGCUAUGCUUGAAGGCUGCUAGGGCUUCGGCAUCCGGACAAUCGACAAUUUGAUUCUUCUUAGUGAGGAAUCUAUUCCAAAGCUUGCGGGCGGACUCUCCGGGCUGUUGAAUUAUGUGACUUAAAUCGUCCGCAUCCGGAGGCCAGACGUAGGCCCCUUGAAAAUUGGCCCUGAAAGCAUCCUCGAGUUCCUCCCAACUUCCAAUUGAAUUUUCGGGGAGGCUUUUCAACCAGUGUCGAGCUGGUCCCUUCAACUUGAGGGGAAGGUAUUUGAUGGCGUGGAGGUCGUCCCCACGAGCCAUGUGGAUAUGCAGGAUAAAAAUCCUCAAUCCAGACCCCGAGGUCUGUCGUUCUGUCGUAUGCCUCUAUGUUCACAGGUUUAAAACCCUGUGGAAAUUCAUGGUCCAGCACCUCUUUGGUAAAGCACAGGGGGUGAGCAGCCCCUCUGUAUCUGGACGUGUUAUGGCAUGCCGUCGGUUGUUGUUGUGUCCGGUGCUGAUUUCGAGCUGGUAUCCGAUUGGUAGGAUCGUUUUGGUGACCAUAGUACUGCGCAGGGGUGUGUCCUUUAGAUCCAUAGAUGGACCUAGCCGCAUCGGCCUUUUUAUCCAGCAGCUCACGUAAAUCGUGUGUAGCGUCGGUAGCCGCUCUAUUGUGGUUACGAAGUGGUUUGUCCGGCCUCCUGGCCGUAUUGUUUUUCGGUGGAACGGCCUCAUCGUCGAAUUCUGGCCGCAACUUGCGUUUUGGAUAGCUCUUUGUGUGGCGAUCGUCGUCGUACUUUUCUUCAGUGUCUAGCACUUUAUUCCAUCUGCGACUGAGCGUUUCCUGUGCGGCCUCAAGCCUUUGCUUCUGCUUCUUUACACUUCUCGCAGUGGCCAUAAGCCUUUGAUAACCCACAAGUAUAGGGGAUCGCAACAGUUUUCGAGGGUAGAGUAUUCAACCCAAAUUUAUUGAUUCGACACAAGGAGAGCCAAAGAAUAUUCUCAAGUAUUAGCAGCUGAGUUGUCAAUUCAACCACACCUGGAAACUUAGUAUCUGCAGCAAAGUGUUUAGUAGCAAAGUAAUAUGAUAGUGGUGGUAACGGUAACAAAAGUAAAGACAGCAAAAGUAAUGUUUUUGGUAUUUUGUAGUGAUUGUAACAGUAGCAACAGAAAAGUAAAUAAGCGAGAACCAGCAUAUGGAAAACUCAUAGGCACCGGAUUAGCGAUGGAUAAUUAUGCCGGAUGCGGCUCGUCAUGUUACAGUCAUAACAUAGGGUGACACAGAACUAGCUCCAGUUCAUCAAUGUAAUGUAGGCAUGUAUUCCGUAUAUAGUCAUACGUGCUUAUGGAAAAGAACUUGCAUGACAUCUUUUGUCCUACCCUCCCGUGGCAGCGGGGUCCUAUUGGAAACUAAGGGAUAUUAAGGCCUCCUUUUAAUAGAGAACCGGAACAAAGCAUUAGCACAUAGUGAAUACAUGAACUCCUCAAACUAUGGUCAUCACCGGGAGUGGUCCCGAUUAUUGUCACUUCGGGGUUGCCGGAUCAUAACACAUAGUAGGUGACAAUAGACUUGCAAGAUAGGAUCAAUAACACACAUAUAUUCAUGAAAACAUAAUAGGUUCAGAUCUGAAAUCAUGGCACUCGGGCCCUAGUGACAAGCAUUAAGCAUAGCAAAGUCAUAGCAACAUCAAUCUCAGAACAUAAUGGAUACUAGGGAUCAAACCCUAACAAAACUAACUCGAUUACAUGAUAAAUCUCAUCCAACCCAUCACCGUCCAGCAAGCCUACGAUGGAAUUACUCACGCACGGGGGUGAGCAUCAUGAAAUUGGUGAUGGAGGAUGGUUGAUGAUGACGACGGCGACGAAUCCCCCUCUCUGGAGCCCCAAACGGACUCCACAUCAGCCCUCCCGAGAGAGAUUAGGGCUUGGCGGCGGCUCCAUAUCGUAAAACGCAAUGAUUUCUUCUCUCUGAUUUUUUCUCCCCGAAAGCCAAUAAAUAGAGUUGGAGUUGGCGUCGGAGGGCCACCAGGGGGCCCACGAGGUAGGGGGCGCGCCGAGGGGGGCGCCCCCCACCCUCGUGGACAGGGUGUGGGCCCCCUGGUCUUCAUCUUUGGCGAGGAUUUUUUAUUAUUUUUUCUAAGGUGUUCCGUGGAGUUUCAGGUCAUUCUGAGAACUUUUAUUUUCUGCACAUAAAACAACACCAUGGCAAUUCUACUAAAAACAGCGUCGGUCCGGGUUAGUUCCAUUCAAAUCAUACAAGUUAGAGUCCAAAACAAGGGCAAAAGUGUUUGGAAAAGUAGAUACGACAGAGACGUAUCAACUCCCCCAAGCUUAAACCCUUGCUUGUCCUCAAGCAAUUCAGUUGACAAACUGAAAGAGAAAAAGAAAAACUUUUACAAACUCUGUUUGCUCUUGUUGUUGUAAACAUGAAAAGCCAGCAUUCAAGUUUCAGCAAUUAUUAUGAACUAACCAUACUCACAAUAACACAUAGGUCUCACAAUUACUCAUAUCAAUAGCAUAAUCAGCUAACGAGCCAUAAUAGCAAAACUCGGAUGACAACACUUUCUCAAAAUAAUCAUAACAUGAUAUAACAAAAUGGUAUCUCGCUAGCCCUUUCUGAGACCGCAAAACAUAAAUGCAGAGCACCUUUAAAGAUCAAGGACUGACUAAACAUUGUAAUUCAUGGUAAAAGAGAUCCAGUCAAGUCAUACCCAAUAUAAACCAAUAAUAAUGAAUGCAAAUGACAGUAUGCUCUCCAGCAGGUGCUUUUUAAUAAGAGGGGUGAUAACUCAACAUAAAAGUAAAUAGAUAGGCCCUUCACAGAGGGAAGCAGGGAUUUGUAGAGGUGCCAGAGCUCAGUUUUAAAAUAGAGAUAGAAUAAAACUUUGAGCGGCAUACUUUUGUUGUCAACACAACAACUAUGAGAUGACGAUAUCUUCCAUGCUACACAAAUUAUAGGCGGUUCCCAAACAGAAUGGUAAAGUUUAUACCCCCCCUCCUCCAAAAGCAUCAAUCCAUGGCUUGCUCGAAACAACAAGUGCCUCCAACAUUCAACGGGUCCCAGGGGGAGUUUUGUUUGCAGUUAUUUUGAUUUAGUUUGCAUAAAGCAUGGGACUGGGCAUCCCGAAGACCAGCCAUUUUCUCGUGAAUGAGGAGCGAAGUCCACUCCUCUUGAGAAUAACCGCCUAACAUGGAAGAUAAGGGCAGCCCUAGUUGAAACAUGAGCUGCUCAAGCAUACAAAACAGAAUUUCAUUUGAAGGUUUGGAGUUUGGCACAUACAAAUUUACUUGGAACGACAUGUAGAUACCGCAUAUAGGAAGGUAUAGUGGACUCAUAUGGAACAACUUUGGGGUUUAAGGAGUUUGGAUGCACAAGCAAUAUUCCCGCUUAGUUCAGGUGAAGGCUAGCAAAAGACUGGGAAGCGACCAACUGAGAGAGCGACAACAGUCGUAAACAUGCAUUAAAAUUAAUUUACACCGAAUACAAGCAUGAGUAGGAUAUAAUCUACCAUGAACAUAAAUAUCAUGAAGGCUAUGUUGAUUUGAUUCAACUACAUGCGUGAACAUGUGCCAAGUCUAGUCACUCAAUUCAUUUAAAGGAGGAUACCAUCCCAUCAUACCACAUCAUAAUCAUUCUAAUAGCAUGUUGGCACGCAAGGUAAACCAUUAUAACUCAUAGCUAAUCAAGCAUGGCACAAGCAACUAUAAUCUCUAAAUGUCAUUGCAAAUAUGUUUACUUCAUAAUAGCUGACUCAGGAAUGAUGAAUCAUCAUAUUUACAAAAACAAGAGAGGUCGAGUUCAUACCAGCUUUUCUCAUCCCAAUAAGUCCAUCAUAUAUCAUCAUUAUUGCCUUUCACUUGCACGACCGAACGAUGUGUAUAAUAAUAAGAGUGCACGUGCAUUGGACUAAGCUGGAAUCUGCAAGCAUUCAACUCAAGAGAGAAGACAAGUAAUAUGGGCUCUAAGUUAAAAUAAUCAUUCAUGCAUAUAAGAGCCACUAAGCAAUUUCAAUAUAGUCUUCUUGACCCCCAAAGAAAGGAGAAGAAAAAUAUAAAAAAUUAUUUACACGGGAAAGCUCCCAACAAGCAAAAGAAGAACGGGAAAUAUUUUUGGGUUUUCUUUUUAAUUACUACAACAAGGAAAUAAACUGCUACUAUUUUUUUGGUUUUUCUUAAGGUUUAUCAAACACACAAGAAGAAAGCAGGAAAAAUAAAAUAAACUAGCAUGGAUAUUACAGUGAAAGAGUAUGAGCACCGACAUCUAGCAAUGAGUGUGUGUGAACAUGAAUGUAAUGUCGGUGGGAAAUACGUACUCCCCCAAGCUUAGGCUUUUGGCCUAAGUUGGUCUAUUGCCAGGGAUAGCCUGGCGGAUACCCGUAGGUGAAGCUGGGGUCAUACUGUGACGAAGAAGGCUCCGGCUGCCACUGACUGGCAACCUCCUCUGGAUCCCAAGAAUAAACAGAUAGUCGUGGAGGCUCAUCUUGUGGUUUCGGUUCCGGGGCUGGUGCAGGAUUCCGAUAGGCUUGAAUAGCCGACCACGGAACAAUGUGAGGACCUGCAGAUAAAUUAAACAAAGAAGGAGCAGGCAAAGUAAUAGUCUCAGGGUGAUGCUUAUCAAAGUAUAAUUUGUAUUUGAGCUCCCCUUCGUGACUCUUAACAAGAAAAUCAUGCGCUAUCAUACUCUUACAAUCUAAGUAAGCACGGGGCAGUGCUGUUUCUUCUUCCUCCUCAUGCCUAAUAGGUAUUUCAAAAUGUUCAGCUAGGCGUGAAGCAUAAAUGCCUCCAAAGAUGGGGCCCUUAGUACAGUUCAGACUUAACCGUCUAGCAACAAUUCCACCCAUACUAAUAGAGUUAUUGUGGUAUAAACCAUGGAACAAAAUAAUAAUAUCAGGAAUACUAAGGUUCCCACAGUUUCCGCGUCCAAUCAAGCAACGACUAGCAAAUAAGGCAAAGUAGCGUAAAACAGGAAAAUGUAUGCUAGUGAUCCUCGCAUCAGAAACCUUCCUGGUUUCUCCCACAGUGAUAGUGUUAAUAAAAGCUUCUACAUCGUUACGAUGGGGUUCAUCUAAGGUGCCCUCAAAGGGUAUUCUGCAAACCUCGCAUAAUUCAGCUAAUGUCAUCUCUUGAACAACGUCAUAUAAAUGAAAUUCUACUGUUGGAGGUGAUUUCUUAGGGAAAAAGUAGAAAUUUUGCACAAAAGUAUUUGUGAGUAAGAGAUACUGAUGACGUUGGCCGCGGAGGAAGUCGGUGAGGCCGGCGUUCUCAAUCAAUAGAUAGAUAUCCUCAUAAAUCCCGACUCUCCUCAAGAAGUCAUCGGAAGGUCAUUCACACGGUCGGACCUCCGCGGUGCGAGGCAAAUUAAAUUUGGGCUUCUGCUCUUCUUCCUUUUGUUUUUUCCUUCGAGCUUCAGCUCGACGAGCCCCUCAAAAAUCUCUUCAUUAUUUCUGAAACAAUCUGAAAUUUUUAGUAACUUCAAAUAAAAGUGAACCAACUUCAAUAAAAUUGAUAGUAACAACUCCCACAAGUGCCUAGAGCCCAUAUAAAGCAUUGGAACUACUUGGAACCAUAUAAAUUUGACAUGCAAGCUCAAGAACAUGGUCACCUAUGCAGCACAAAUUUGCAAUGAAUAAAGCACUAGAACAAAAACUAAUUGGACCAAUGGAAGAGUCACAUACCAAGGAACAAUCUCCCCAAGCAGUUUUGCGAGAGGUGCUUUGAGCAAGGAGAUCGAAAAUCACAACAACAGGGACUGGAACUCGUGCUUGAGUUGGUUUUUCGUGUUCGUGUGUGUCGGUGUCAAAACCGGCGGAUCUCGGGUAGGGGGUCCCGAACUGUGCGUCUAGGCGGAUGGUAACAGGAGACGAGGGACACGAUGUUUUUACCCAGGUUCGGGCCCUCUUGAUGGAGGUAAAACCCUACGUCCUGCUUGAUUAAUAUUGAUGAUGUGGGUUACAAGAGUAGACCUACCACGAGAUCAAGGAGGCUAAACCCUAGAAGCUAGCCUAUGGUAUGAUUGUUGUUCGUCCUACGGACUAGAGCCAUCCGGUUUAUAUAGACACAGAGAGGGCUAGGGUUACACAAAGUCGGUUACAAAGGUAGGAGAUCUACAUAUCCGUAUCGCCAAGCUUGCCUUCCACGCCAAGGAAAGUCCCAUCCGGACACGGGAUGAAGUCUUCAAUCUUGUAUCUUCAUAGUCUUGGAGUCCGGCCGAUGAUGAUAGUUCGGCUAUCCGGACACUCCCUAGUCCGGAACUCCCUCAGUAGCCCCUGAACCAGGCUUCAAUGACAACGAGUCCAGCGCGCAUAUUGUCUUCGGCAUUGCAAGGCGGGUUCCUCCUCUGAAUAAUUUAUAGAAGAUUGUGAACACCAGGAUAGUGUCCGGCUCUGCAAAAAUAAAUUCCACAUACCACCGUAGAGAGAAUAAUAUUACACAAGAUCAAUCUGCUGACGUAUUCUAUGGCGUGACGUCACACCACUUCCAAGCCUUUACUCGAAUUGUUUUUAUUGUUCCACCUUAGCGCGUUUAGCGAGGCGGUUUCCUUGGCACGUCUUGUUGAAGCAGAGACCGUGUUCCCCUUAUUUCGGGAUUGCCAUCAAUAUGGGCGUGGGUAACCCAACCGCGCCAUUGAUUGUGACGUUUGGGAGAUAAGGGAGUUUUACCAGGCCGGUGGGGACGCGUGUUUCUGUCCGCCCAUAUAAGGGGAUAAAGAUCCAACCUUUUUACCUGCGCCUUCUUCCUCCUUGGCUUAUCCAUCUCUACGAACUCGAGCUCCAGCGCCCAAGUCCGCACUUCUCACCUCAACCUUCUCCAACUAUGUCCGGAGCGGGAGGCAAGUGGAUGGCCUCCUCCGUCACGGAGGGGCAGAUCCAGAAGCUGCGCGACGCCGGAUACUUGUCCAGUGACAUCGCGCAUCGGCUCCCCAACGAGGGAGAGCUCAUCCCCACCCCCAGGCCCCAUGAGAGGGUAGUGUUUUUUCCCCAUUUCCUCCGCGGACUGGGCUUCCCACUUCAUCCCUUCGUCCGGGGGCUCAUGUUCUAUUACUGCCUGGAUUUCCAUGAUCUGGCCCCGAAUUUCAUCCUCAACAUAUCGGCGUUUCUCGUCGUGUGCGAGGCCUUGCUCUGCAUCCAGCCCCACUUCGGCUUAUGGCUCAAGACCUUCAGUGUCAAGCCGAAGGUUGUGAAGGGCAGCCAAGCGGAGUGCGGAGGCGCCAUGGUGGGCAGGAUGUCCCACGUUACAUGGCUGGAAGGCACUUUCGUCGAAACCAUCAAGGGGUGGCAAUCGGGGUGGUUCUACAUCACCGAGCCGCGUGACACCGAUUGGGCAGCGGCCCCCGAAUUCAGAUCCGGCAUCCCUACACGGCUCACCUCCUGGAAAGAGAGUGGCCUGAUCUGGGGGAAUUCGGAGGAGCUGACCGGACUCCAAGCCUGUAUCCAGAAGCUGGUGGACAAGAAGCUCAAGCUUGUCAACGUAGUCCAGGUCAUGCUCAUCCGCCGGAUUCUCCCGUGCCAACGACGGGGUUUCAACAUGUGGGAGUUUGAUCCGGCGCAGCACCAGACCCUGAGCGGGCUCUUCGACACUAUGUAUGAAGAUGUCUGGAAGGUGUUGUUCAAGGGCGCUGAAGCUCCCGCAUCAGCUAUCGAAGAUCGCCGAUUCCGCUCGCAGCGUCUGGCUGACGAGGUAAGUGAUUUUGCCACUUGUUUUCCAUAGUUUGACUCUAUGCAGGAUCUAAACUCCCUUUACCUUUGACAGGACUGGCUGGCGAAGGCCGAACAGACUAUCUGUCCGGCCCCAUUGCCAGAGGAUCCAGCGGACGCCCGCCUAACGGGGCUGCUGGCUCCGGCACCCCACGUGGUGCCGAAGAAGAAGGCCAAGAAGAAGGCCACGGGGACUCGGAAGAGUUCCCGUUUUCAGGUGCUAUCGGAUGAUGAAUCCGAGGCUGACUCCUCCCACCAAGGCGAGGAGGAGAAGAAAGCCUCUCCCCCAGCGGGGGAAGGGAAGAAAAGGAAGGCCUCCCCAACAAGGGAGGCCGAAGGGUCCAAGAAGGGAAAACUCUUCCCCCGGACCGCUCCGCCAACGCCAGUGACGACGACGAGGGCUGGCCUCCAAGGGCCAAGCCCCUGGCGAGAUCGUAAGUAUCCGGACUCCCGAAUAACUUCAAGGUUUUUUCUUUUCGCCACAUAAUGUCUUUCUAAUGCCGCAUACAACCCUGCAGUCCGCCCAAGGAUGAUCUUCCCGUUUCGUCGAGCGGGUCCUUAGGGGCGUCGGAUAUGGAUUCUCUUCCGACUGCCUCCACCCCCCGUGAUGCGGACGAUGCCGAGGUGGGAUCCCGGGAAGGGACCCACCAGGAGGAGAGGGCCCUGGAGGUGUCGCAGGACAACCUUCCGGACUUUGCACCGGACUCAGCCCCGGAACCCAUAGUGGCUCCGGAGUCCGGCGGGCGACCCCUUCGUAAGAAGGGCAAGACCGCGACGCCGGCUGCCUCCGUCCAACCGGAGGUGCCGGAUAAUUUGCUGGAGGUGCUCAACGGCGCCUCCAUCGGAGAGGAACACCGCACUGUUAUGAGUGCGGUGAUUCAGAAGGUUCAGCUUGCCAAGAGCGGGCUGACCGAAGCCUGCAGCAGCCUUCUAACAGGCUUUGAGGUAAGAAUUUCAAUAUAUGUAAAAUGGUACCGCAUAGACAGUAGCCCCUGAUGCUCGGUUCGGUGUUCAGAAAGAAAAGCCGGACUGAGGAUCUUUAGAAAGAUAAAUGCAUGAGUCAUGAAAAUAUGUCAAUAUGGGAUUGCAGGCUGUGCUGCUGACCUCCGCCGCACUAACUGCGGAGGUCAAUACUUUGAAGGAAAACCUAGAGCGGUCCGAGAACGAGCUCGGCCGUGCCAAGAAGUAGCUCGAGGAAAAAGAAGGUGAGUAAUACCUUAUGAAAAUUGUACCUUAUAGAAAAGGAUUUGGUUGCAAGAAAAAAUGACAAGGAUAACUUGGGUAUUGCAGGGGCCACUAACGAGGUGGCGACCCUGAAGGAGGCGGUGGCCGCGGCCGAACGCAAUGCGGCCGUGGAGCGCACCGAGCGAGAGAGGCAGGAGGCGUGGGUGGCGGAGGCACAGCAAGAGCUCCAGGUUCUCGUGAAAAAACAUAAGAGCUUGGAGCGUGACUCGAAGACUCGAGAGUCUGAGCUUGCAACGGCUCUUGAGAGUGCCAAAGCCGCUAAGGCCGAGGCCUACAAGGCCCUCCAGGAGAUCGAGGCGGUAAAGAAAAUAGCAGCGGGUAAGGCAUUUUUCAUGCAAAGUAAGCAUGUGAGUGUUAAUUACCUGUCGCUUACCCGAAUUCGGAGCUCUCCAGGAGCGUUCGCAGAUCUUCCUCGCAGCGUGUCCGAUGCUGCCGCAUUCUACCGGGCUGAGGAGGGGAGCUCGACUGAGAAGGUCUUCUGGUCUCAGUAUGCUGAGGCCGGACAUCCGGUGCCCCUUAGCGACCAGCUGAAGCAGCUGGUCGAGCUCCACAAGGCGGCCGAACAGGCCAUGAAGGGCCUCAUAGUUCGGCUGUGGCCUAAGGAGGCUAUGCCUAGGAGCUACUUCGGCCUGGUGCGGCGGCUGGUGGAUGCGUGCCCGUGGGUUGAAGUCAUCAAGCAUUCCGCUUGUAUUGAAGGUCCCCGUUGGGCCCUUGCCCGCGCAAAGGUGCACUGGGGCAAGAUGGAUGCCCAGAAGCUCGUGACGGACCCGCCACCAGAGGGCAAGGAGCAUCGCACGCCCGAGAUGUAUUAUAAGAGUGUGCUGAAGGGCGCCCGCACUAUUGCGGGUGAGUGCUCCAAAGAUGUAAUAUUUGAGUAGCCUGUGCACUGAAAACUUGGUUCAUAUGCGCUAAGCAACACUUGUUAAUUUAAAAUAUUACCUUCUGUGCGGCUGUUUAUCAAAUCUGAGAGAUGGCAAGUCGUCGGCUUCAGCCCCCAUGCCACGAGUGCUGGGGUGUUCGGGAUAAACUCGAGCGCUCUUGUUCCCAUUUUUGGGUCCAUCUAGGGAGGCGCUCGACACAGCGAACAAGGCAACCGGACUUAUAAUGCUUGAACACUCUCACUUAGCCAUAGAAUUCUAUAAUUUUAAAUUUCGGCGAAGCCCCUAGUCUUCGGAAGGCCGAAUUUGGGGCGCUAUCCAUGCCUUGGCCGGACAGUAUCCGGCUCCUCGCUCUAAGCGGCAUAAGUCUUUAAGGACUCACAAAAAACCUCUCGAACAGCGACCGGCUCUCGCCUCAUCAUGACGGUUAGUUUUAGCUUUCUCCACUGAGACGUUAACCCAGCUCAACUGGGGCGCAAUCGCAGUGGUUCUCCCAGUGCUACCUUAGCCGAUAUAACGGAACGUAAGGUACCAAAACAUGGGAGCCGGGCAAACCCAACUAUUGACCCAAGACAUGAUUCGGAGCCGAUGCAUAUAGUGCUAUAAGUUCGGGGUGCCGCACUUGUGGAAGUGUUUGGACUCAUCACACCAUGAUUCGGGGAACAUAAGCCCCUGAUGUGUAUUAGCCGUACCAAAGUGUACGAAUGCAAUAUGCCGUGAAUGAACAUAUGUAUGAAAAGGAAAUGCAAUUAUAAGCAAAAAGGUGCUGCAUUGUUUUAUUCAAUAAGUGCUGCUACGAAUGCAGAACGAUACAAAUAGUGCGAUAAGCAAGGUAUGGGACUGUUAAACAUGUCCCCCUCCAGGGGUAGGCUGCAGAUUGGUGUAUAAAAAUGCUCGUAACGGAGACCACCUGUAUAUUUGUUGUAGCCUUUAUCCUUUCCUGGCUGUUGCAUCGUGAGUUUGGCAGAUUUGCUGCCGGACAGGGCCUCUGACAAACGGAGUCCUGUGGGUAAAAAAUAAAAGGUAAAAAGAAAAGAAAAAAGAACGACACACUUGAGAGCCCCUGGUGUGGUUGAGCCGCAGUUGGGUUUAUCGUGGUCGUGCCCCUCUCCCCAUGCCCAUGGUAUCUUCAGAGCGUAAUGGUGUACGCGAAGGACCUGCUUUAACGUUUCGCAGGAGCUGGGGUUGGGGCCGCACUGCUACGCAUGCUCGGAACGUGCCAGGUGGUCUUGUUGUAAGUUACUCCGGGCGCGCUUAGCUGUGUCCAGCCGCUUAAAGGCCGGACUCGAGAAUUGCCUUAAGAGGCUGCAUUGCACUUCUGCCGCGAGAGCCGCUGUAUGUUCCUCCGUGCGGAGAGAACGUUCAGUGUUUCCGUUGACCGUGAUGACUCCUCGAGGGCCUGACAUCUUGAGCUUGAGGUAUGCAUAGUGCGGCACCGCGUUGAACUUUGCAAACGCGGUGCAUCCGAGCAAGGCAUGAUAGCCGCUACGGAACGGGACUAUGUCGAAGAUUAACUCCUCGCUUCGGAAGUUAUCCGAGGAUCCGAAGACCACUUCCAGUGUAAUUGAGCCUGUACAAUUGGCUUCUACACCUGGUAUGACGCCUUUAAAGGUCAUUUUGGUAGGUUUAAUCCUUGAGGGGUCUAUGCCCAUUUUGCGCACUGUAUCCUGGUAAAGCAGGUUCAGGCUGCUGCCGCCGUCCAUCAGGACUCUGGUUAGGUGAAAUCCAUCGACGAUUGGGUCUAAGACCAGUGCGGCGAAUCCGCCGUGGCGGAUGCUGGUGGGGUGGUCCCUUCGGUCAAAAGUGAUCGGGCAGGAGGACCAUGGAUUGAACUUCGGGGCAACUGGCUCCAUCGCGUAGACAUCCCUGAGUGCACGCUUCCGCUCCCUUUUGGGUAUGUGCGUUGCGUAUAUCAUGUUCACCGUUCGCACCUGUGGGGGGAAACCCUUCUGUCCUCUAUUGUUCGGCGGUUGGGUCUCAUCCUCGUCAUCGCUAUGUAGCCCCUUGUCAUUGUUUUCGGCAAUUAACUUGCCUGCCUGCUUGAAUACCCAACAGUCCCUGUUGGUGUGGUUAGCUGGCUUUUCGGGGGUGCCGUGUAUCUGGCACAAGCGGUCGAGUAUUCGGUCCAAAUCGGACGGACCCAGAGUAGUUCUUUUGAAUGGCUUUUUCCGCUUACCGGGUUUAGAGCCUCUAAAUCCGGCAUUGACUGCCGUAUCCUCAAUAUGAUUGCCGUUAAUGCGGCAUUUGUUUUUGUUGCGACGCGGCCUGCCAUUUUGGUCCUUGAAGUCCGGACUACCAGAAUUUUUGCUGAGGUUGUUGUUGCGUGCUAGCCAGCUGUCCUAGCCCGCGCAUAAGCGGGUCAUGAGUGAUGUGAGGGCUGCCAUGGAUUUCGGCUUUUCCUGUCCCAGGUGCCGGGCAAGCCACUCGUCGCGGAUGUUAUGCUUGAAGGCCGCGAGGGCCUCCGCAUCCGGACAGUCGACGAUUUGGUUUUUCUUGGUUAAGAACCGUGUCCAGAAUUGCCUGGCCGAUUCGUCUGGCUGCUGAAUUAUGUGGCUUAGGUCAUCAGCGUCUGGUGGUCGCACAUAAGUGCCCUGGAAGUUAUCGAGGAAUGAGGCUUCCAGGUCCUCCCAACUCCCAAUUGACUCUGCUGGCAAGCUGUUGAGCCAAUGCCGGGCUGGUCCUUUAAGCUUGAGGGGGAGGUAUUUGAUGGCGUGAAGAUCAUCACCGCGGGCCAUGUGGAUGUGAAGGAGAUAGUCUUCAAUCCAAACCGCGGGGUCUGUUGUGCCAUCGUAGGAUUCAAUAUUGACGGGUUUAAACCCUUCGAGGAUUUGACGAUCCAUUACUUCAUCUGUGAAGCAUAGUGGGUGUGCGGCGCCUCUGUAUUGGGCGAUAUCACGACGGAGCUCAAGGGAGCUUGGUCUAUUUUGUUCGGCCCGGCCGGACUUACUGUGUCCGGCGCGACGAUUGUCGUCACAUAUCAUGGGACGCCCACACGAUCCGUAGAUCGAUCUUGAUUGUCCUGCCUUAUCCUCCAAUAUAUCUCGCAAGUCCGGAGUGUUCCCUUGUGGCCCUGUGCUUUUCGAGCGAUGCCGGGGUACGUGUCUGGUGAAGGGCCUAGAGGCCACUCUGUCGCGACCACGGGGUGGUCGGUCAGCCGUAUUGUCUCCUAGUGAUGCGGGUUCGUAAGCCUCCUCCUCUAAUCGGGGGAGCAGCUUGCGUUUAGGGUAGCUUUUGGAGAGGCUUUCGAGCUCAUGCUCUUCGGCCGCGAGGACUUCAGUCCAUCUGUCGGCUAGUAGAUCCUGAUCAGCUCUAAGCUGUUGCUGCUUUUUCUUGAGGCUGUUCGCCGUGGCCAUAAGCCUGCGUUUAAAACGCUCUUGUUCGACGGGAUCCUCAGGCACGACGAAUUCGUCAUCGUCGAGGCUCGCUUCCUCUCCGGAGGGAGGCGUAUAAUCCUCUGCCUCUUCUCCUGCCGCUCCUUCAUAAGGGCUGGCGUCUCCAUCCUCCUGCGCUGCAUCUUGCUGGAGCGGGUUGUCUUCGGCACUGUCCGGUGUAUUAUUGUCUCCGGUGCCAGAGUCUUCAUUCUUGCUGUGGCGGGAUUUAGAGCGGCACCGCUGACGCCAGCGCUUGGGCUGCUUUUUGGAGGGGUCAUCCUCCUCUGUUCCUUCGCCAUUCCCAUCUUUUGGGAUAUCCACCAUGUAUAUAUCAUACGAUGAGGUGGCUGUCCAGUGCCCAGUGGGCGCUGAUUCUUGGUCGUCUCCGGCAUCAUCGUCCAUACCGUCGAUGUCCUCGGAGUCGUAGUCUAGCAUGUCGGUUAAAUCAUCGACAGCGGCUACCAAGUGGGUGGUGGGUGGGCUUUGAAUUUCUUCGUCGUCCGCAUCCCAACCAUCCUGACCGCAGUCCGGCCAGGGCUCUCCUGAUAACGAGAGAUAUUUUAGCGAACUCAAGAUGUCGCCGAAAGGUGAGUGUUGAAAGACGUCCGCUGCGGUGAACUCCAUGAUCGGCGCACAAUCAGAUUUGAUCAGGGCGGGCGUGGGAGGUUCGGAGUCCGGCGAGGAGUCCGGCACCUUGGAGUCACGAGCUUUAUGAGGGACAAAGUCAAUGUUCGGCUCUAUCGCCGUAGAGGUUGCAGCCCCCGAGGCGGUGUCUAGGCAUCCAUCCUCGAUCUGCGGAGCUGGCUCCCAAUUGAAGAUCGGAGCGGUUUUGAGUGCGGCCUCCAAGGUACUGUCCGGCCGCAGAGCUAAAUCAUGCUCGCCGCGACAGUGCGGCACGCUCGGCUGUGGCUCGAACCCAUCGAGGAUCAAGUCCCCGCGGAUGUCAGCCGUGAACUUCAAACUUCCAAACCUGACCUAACGGCCAGGGGCGAAGCCUUCGAUCUGCUCCAGUUGGCCAAGAGAAUUGGCCCGCAGUGCAAAGCCGCCGAAUACGAAGAUUUGUCCGGGGAGGAAGGUCUCACCCUGGACUACGUUGUUGAUGAUGAUUGAAGAAGCCAUCGAGCCUAUCGGUGACGACACAGAGGAACUCUCAAUGAAAGCACCAAUGUCGGUGUCAAAACCGGCGGAUCUCAGGUAGGGGGUCCCGAACUGUGCGUCUAGGCGGAUGGUAACAGGAGACGAGGGACACGAUGUUUUUACCCAGGUUCGGGCCCUCUUGAUGGAGGUAAAACCCUACGUCCUGCUUGAUUAAUAUUGAUGAUGUGGGUUACAAGAGUAGAUCUACCACGAGAUCAAGGAGGCUAAACCCUAGAAGCUAGCCUAUGGUAUGAUUGUUGUUCGUCCUAUGGACUAGAGCCAUCCGGUUUAUAUAGACACGGCGAGGGCUAGGGUUACACAAAGUCGGUUACAAAGGUAGGAUAUCUACAUAUCCGUAUCGCCAAGCUUGCCUUCCACGCCAAGGAAAGUCCCAUCCGGACACGGGACGAAGUCUUCAAUCUUGUAUCUUCAUAGUCUUGGAGUCCGGCCGAUGAUGAUAGUUCGGCUAUCCCGACACCCCCUAGUCCGGAACUCCCUCAGUGUGAGACAAAGGAAGAAGAUGGGUGCAGGAAUAAGUGGAGGAGGCCCACCAUGGGCCCAUGAGGCAGGGGGCGCACCCAGGGGGGUAGGGCGCGCCCUCCACCCUCGUGGCCAGGUGGCAGCUCCCCCCGCGGUGAUUUUUGCACAGUAAAUCCUCAAAUAUUCCCGAAAAAUCAUAUUAAAUUGGCAUGGCAUUCUGAAGACUUUUAUUUACGGGAUAUUUUUAUAUUGCACGGAUAAGUCGGGAGACAGACAGAAAAUACUAUUUUACUUUAUUUCUACUAAACGACAGAAAAUAUAAAGAGGGUAUAGAAGGUUGUGCUUCUAGUUUCAUCCAUCUCGUGAUCAUCAAAAAGAAUCCACUAACAAGGUUGAUCAAGUCUUGUUAACAAACUCAUUCCGACAAUCAUGGAACCGGAGAAACUUUGAAUAGCACUAAGUUACCUCAACGGGGAUAUGAAAAUCCCCAACAAUAAGAAUAUCAUACUUUUUCUUGACAGUAGGGAGAGGGAAUUCAAAACCUCCAAAUAUAAUCGAUGGAAUUUUUCCAAUAGAGUUGAUACUAUAAACUUGAGGUUGUUUCCUCGGAAAGUGUACCAUGUGCUCAUUGCCAUUAACAUGAAAAGUGACAUUGCCUUUGCUGCAAUCAAUAACAGCCCCUGCAGUAUUAAGAAAAGGUCUUCCAAGAAUAAUAGACAUACUAUCAUCCUCGGGAAUAUCAAGAAUAACAAAGUCCAUUAAAAUAGUAACGUUUGCAACCACAACAGGCACAUCCUCACAAAUACCGACAUGUAUAGCAGUUGAUUUAUCAGCCAUUUGCAAAGAUAUUUCAGUAGGUGUCAACUUAUUCAAGUCAAGUCUACGAUAUAAAGAGAGAGGCAUAACACUGACACCGGCUCCAAGAUCACAUAAAGCAGUUUUAACAUAAUUUCUCUUAAUGGAGCAUGGUAUAGUAGGUACUCCUGAAUCUCCAAGUUUAUUUCGUAUUCCACCCUUAAAAGUAUAAUUAGCAAGCAUGGUGGAAAUUUCAACUUCAGGUAUCUUUCUUUUAUUAGUAAUGAUAUCCUUCAUAUACUUAGCAUAAGGAUUUGUUUUGAGCACAUCAGUUAAUCGCAUACGCAAAAAGAUGGGUCUAAUCAUUUUAGCAAAUCGCUCAAAAUCCUCAUCAUCCUUUUUCUUGGAUGGUUUCGGAGGAAAAGGCAUGGGUUUCUGAACCCAUGGUUCCCUUUCUUUACCAUGUUUCCUAGCAACGAAGUCUCUUUUAUCAUAACGUUGAUUCUUUGAUUGUGGGUUAUCAAGAUCAACAGCAGGUUCAACUUCUACAUCAUUAUCAUUACUAGGUUGUGUUGGGGAACGUAGUAAUUUCAAAAAUUUCCUACGCACACGCAAGAUCAUGGUGAUUCAUAGCAAUGAGAGAGGAGAGUAUUGUCCACGUACCCUCGUAGACUGUAAGCGGAAGCGUUAUGACAACGCGGUUGAUGUAGUCGUACGUCUUCACGAUCUGAUCGAUCCAAGUACCGAACGUACGGCACCUCCGAGUUCAGCACAUGUUCAGCUUGAUGACGAUCUCCGGGCUCCGAUCCAGCAAAGCGUCGGAGAUGAGUUCCGUCAGCACGACGGCGUGGUGACGAUGAUGAUGUUCUACCGGUGCAGGGCUUCGCCUAAACUCCGUGACAAUAUGACCGAGGUGGAAUAUGGUGGAGGGGGGCACCACACACGGCUAAGGAAUGAUCCGUAGAUCAACUUGUGUAUCCUAGGGGUGCCCCCUCCCUCGUAUAUAAAGGGGGAGAGGAGGAGGGGGCCGGCCAAGGGGAGAGGCGCUCCCUAGGGGGAGAAUCCUACUCCAAGUAGGAUUCCACCUCUUUCCUAGUCCAAGUAGGAGAGGGGAAGGAAGGGAAGGAGAAGGAGAAGGAAGGAGAGGGAGGAAAAGGAGGAAAGGGGGCCGGCCCCUUAGUCCAAUUCGGUUUGGGCUAGGGGGGCCGCGCGCCCUGCCUCCUCUCUUCCACCACUUGGCCCAUGAGGCCCAUUGCUUCUUCCUCGUAUUCCCGUAACUCCCCAGUACCCCCACCUGAAUCACUCGGAACCUUUCCGAACUCCGAAUAUAGUCGUCCAAUAUAUUGAUCUUUACAUCUCGACCAUUUCGAGACUCCUCGUAAUGUCCCCGAUCUCAUCCGGGACUCCGAACUCCUUCGGUACAUCAAAACUCAUAAACUCAUAAUAAAACUGUCAUCGAAACCUUAAGCGUGCGGACCCUACGGGUUCGAGAACAAUGUAGACAUGACCUAGAACUAUUCUCGGUCAAUAACCAAUAGCGGAACCUGGAUGCUCAUAUUGGCUCCCACAUAUUCUACGAAGAUCUUUAUCGGUCAAACUGCAUAACAACAUAUGUCAUCGGUAUGUUACUUGCCCGAGAUUCGAUCGUCGGUAUCCAAUACCUAGUUCAAUCUCGUUACUGGCAAGUCUCUUUACUUGUUCCGUAAUACAUCAUCCCACAACUAACUCAUUAGUUGCAAUGCUUGCAAGGCUUUAAGUGAUGUGUAUUACCGAGAGGGCCCAGAGAUACCUCUCCGACAAUCGGAGUGACAAAACCUAAUCUCGAAAUACGCCAACCCAACAUGUACCUUCAGAGACACCUGUAGAGCACCUUUAUAAUCACCUAGUUACGUUGUGACGUUUGGUAGCACCCAAAGUGUUCCUCCGGUAAAUGGGAGUUGCAUAAUCUCAUAGUUACAGGAACAUGUAUAAGUCAUGAAGAAAGCAACAACAACAUACUAAACGAUCAAGUGCUAAGCUAACGGAAUGGGUCAAGUCAAUCACAUCAUUCUCCUAAUGAUGUGAUCCUGUUAAUCAAAUGACAACUCUUUUGUCCAUGGUUAGGAAACAUAACCAUCUUUGAUAAACGAGCUAGUCAAGUAGAGGCAUACUAGUGACACUAUGUUUGUCUAUGUAUUGACACAUGUAUUAUGUUUCCGGUUAAUACAAUUCUAGCAUGAAUAAUAAACAUUUAUCAUGAUAUAAGGAAAUAAAUAAUAACUUUAUUAUUGCCUCUAGGGCAUAUUUACUUCAGUCUCCCACUUGCACUAGAGUCAAUAAUCUAGUUCACAUCAUCAUGUGAUUUAACACCAAUAUUCAUAUCUGUAUAUGAUUAACACCUAUAGUUCACAUCGUCAUAUGAUCAACACCCAAAGGUUUACUAGAGUCAAUAAUCUAGUUCACAUCGCUAUGUGAUUAACACCCAAAGAGUACUAAGGUAUGAUCAUGUUUUGCUCGUGAGAGAAGUUUAGUCAACGGGUCUGUCAUAUUACAGAGUCGUAUGUAUUUUGCAAAUAUUCUAUGUCUACAAUGCUUUGCAUGGAGCUACUCUAGAUAAUCGCUCCCACUUUCAAUAUGUAUCCAGAUUGAGACUUAGAGUCAUCUGGAUCGGUGUAAAAGCUUGCAUCGAUGUAACUCUUUACGACGAACUCUUUUAUCACCUCCAUAAUCGAGAAACAUAUCCUUAUUCUACUAAGGAUAAUUUUGACCAAUGUCCAGUGAUCUACUCCUAGAUCACUAUUGUACUCCCUUGCCAAACCAGGGCAGAGUAUACAAUAGGUCUGGUCCAUAGCAUGGCAUACUUUUAUAGAACCUAUGACUGAGGCAUAGGGAAUGACUUUUCAUUCUCUUUCUAUUUUCUGCCGUGGUCGGGUCUUGAGUCUUACUCAAUUUCACACCUUUGCAACACAAGCAAGAACUCUUUCUUUGACUGUUCCAUUUUGAAUUAUUUCAAAAUCUUGACAAGGUAUGUACUUAUUGAAAAACUUAUCAAGCGUCUUGAUCUAUCUCAAUAGAUCUUGAUGCUUAAUAUGUAAGCAGCUUCACUAAGGUCUUUCUUUGAAAAACUCCUUUCAAACACUCCUUUAUGCUUUCUAGAAAAUUCUACAUCAUUUCCAAUUAAUAAUAUGUCAUUCACAUAUACUUAUCAGAAAUGCUGUAGUGCUCCCACUCACUUUCUUGUAAAUACAGUUCUUUCCAAAAGUCUGUAUAAAACCAUAUGCUUUGACCAACUCAUCAAAGCGUAUAUUCCAACUCCGAGAUGCUUGCACUAGUCCAUUGAUGGAUCGUUGGAGCUUGCACAUUUUGUUAGUACCUUUAGAAUUAACAAAACCUUCUGCUUGCAUCAUAUACAACUCUUCUUUAAUAAAUCCAUUAAAGAAUGUAGUUUUGACAUCCAUUUGCCAGAUUUCAUAACAUGUGACAAUUGCUAACAUGAUUCGGACAGACUUAAGCAUCGCUACAGUUGAGAAAAUCUCAUUGUAGUCAACACCUUGAACUUGUCGAAAGCCUUUUUAUGACAAGUCGAGCUUUGUAGAUAGUAACACUACUAUCAGUGUUCGUCUUCCUCUUGAAGAUCCAUUUAUUUAACAUGGCUUGCUGAUCAUCGAGCAAGCCAAUCAAAGUCCAUACUUUGUUCUCAUACAUGGAUCCUAUCUCAGAUUUCAUGGCCUCAAGCCAUUUCGCGGAAUCUGGGCUCAUCAUCGCUUCCUCAUAGUUCGUAGGUUCAUCAUGGUCUAGUAACAUGACUUGUAGAAUAGGAUUACCAUACCACUUUGGUGCGGAUCUUUACUCUGGAAGACCUACGAGGUUUGGUAGCAACUUGAUUUGAAGUUUCAUGAUCAUCAUCAUUAACUUCCUCACUAAUUGGUGUAGGAAUCACUGGAACUGAUUUCUGUGAUGAACUACUUUCCAAUAAGGGAGAAGGUACAAUUACCUCAUCAAGUUCUACUUUCCUCCCACUCACUUCUUUCGAGAGAAACUUCUUCUCUAGAAAGGAUCCAUCUUAGCAACGAAUCUUGCUUUCGGAUCUGUGAUAGAAGGUGUACCCAAUAGUUACCUUUGGGUAUUCUAUGAAGACGCACUUCUCCGAUUUGGGUUCGAGCUUAUCAGGUGAAAACUUUUUCACAUAAGCAUCGCAGCCCCAAACUUUAAGAAAUGACAACUUUGGUUUCUCGCCAAACCACGGUUCAUAAGGCGUCAUCUCAACGGAUUUUGAUGGUGCCCUUUUUUAAAGUGAAUGCAACUGUCUCUAAUGCAUAACCCCAAAACGAUAGUGGUAAAUUGGUAAGAUACAUCAUAGAUCGCACUAUAUCCAAUAAAGUACUGUUAUGACGUUCGGACACACCAUUAAGCUGUGGUGUUCCAGGUGGCAUGAGUUUGUGAAACUAUUCCACAUUGUUUUAAUUGAAGACCAAACUCGUAACUCAAAUAUUUGUCUCCGCGAUCAAAUUGCAGAAACUUUAUUUUCUUGUUACGAUCAUUCUCCACUUCACUCUCAAAUUCUUUGAACUUUCCAAAUGUUUCAGACUUGUGCUUUAUUAAGUAGAUAUACUCAUAUCUGUUCAAUUCAUCUUGUGAAGGUCGGAAAAUAACGAUACCUGCCACGAGCAUUGUCACAUCCCUAGUUCUGGCCUGACCUAUGCUUGCUUCCACGUGUGCAUCAUGUUUAAAGUUCAUGAAAUUUGAAAUGGGGAUGACCAAGCCCUAGCACCAAAGCAAUGCAAAUAGGUUCAACUUCAAAAUAUUUUCAAAGAACCCAAAUUGGUUUGCAAAAAUGUUCAUGAUUAAUGGAAAAGGGUGAAAACCAUAUCCAGAGAUGAUGGAUAUUUUUCCAAGACAUUUUUGGAUUUUUGAAUAAACCAUAUUGUAUUUGAAUUGGGGCAUUUAAAUACUGUUAAUAUUUUUAAAUGCUCCAAUAAUUCUGAAAAUAGUUGAGGGCCUCUGUAAUAAUUCAGUUAAUGCCCACAAUUAUUUUCAGGAUUUAUUAAAAUGAUUUGGUUUAUAAACUAAGUCAAAACAGAGCAAAUAAAUAGAAAACAGAAAUAAGAGAGAGAAGCCCAGCCACUUACCUGGCGCUCACCUGCAGCAGAGCCGGCCCAGCUUCCGUUCCGGCCCAGCCCACCGCCGCCUUCCCCCCCCCCUAUCGUCUUCCUCCUCGCCAGAAGGACAGAGGCAUGUCGCCCGCGCGCGCUUGCCCCUGGCCACCUCCUGCUUCCUCCCCGAGCCCUCUAGCGACGCCACGGAGACGCCCUCGACCCCCUCGACCGCUAUCCCUUCUCUCUGCUCGCUCUAGCUCUCUCCCUCCCUCGAUUUGGAGCACCACCGAGAGCCACCGGAGGGCGCCGCCAUCGCAUCCAUAGCCACCGGCCACCCCUCGCCCUCCUGCUGAGCUCAGGAGCUCCGCCUCGACCCCCUCUUCCUCCCCACCGAGCCAAGCCCCUCAGGAAGCCCUGCAUCGCCGGCUGCCUCGUCUUCUUCCUCCUCGGUCGCCGGAAGCCACACGCGCCGAUUCGCCGCCGUCUCCGCCUCCCCGAGCUCGUCAUCUACCUCAUCCGAACCACCGUGAGCUCCUGCACGUUUUGCCCCUAACCCCGUGGCUUGCCGCUCGCCGUAGCCGCCAUUUCAUAGCUGGCCGUAGCAAGCCGCCGCCUGAGCUCGUCGCCGGCGUAGCUCCGGUGACCAUUAGGUCACCCCGGCGCGCCUAACUUGCUCCCCGCAUCGUGUAGCGCUCCGCUAGCCCAUCGCCUCGCUCAUUAGCACACCGCAACGCUAACCCGCACCAGCCCCGAACUCCGGCAGCCGCCGCGGGUUCCACUCCGGCGAACUCCGGCCACCCCCGCACCUCCCGUUGGUUCCCCUAGAUGCGCGCGGGCACGGGCUAUCCUCUGGUGCCCCUGGCGCAUCGAUCCGUCGACUCUGGCGAGUUCCGAGCGAACUCCGCCGCGGUUCGAGGUCACCGCCGGCGAGACUCCGGCGAGAUGACGUGGCCCGUCAUUAGCAGCUAACAGCCCCACUAACCAACCUCCUAGCUCACUGACAACUGGGCCCCACGCCCUAACUAACCCAGGUUUUAUCUGUGUUUAGAUUAAACUAACCCCCACGGGCCCACAGGUCAGUUUGACCUGGCCACGUCACAUGUUGACCGACCCCACACGUCAGUAUUGACUUGCUGACGUGUCUGUUGACCCGGCCCCACCUGUCAUUGACACUAACCAGCCCCAGUCACUGACCAGUGGACCCCACUGGUCAGGUUUGACCAGCAGCAGCGUUUGUUGACCUGCUGACGUCAUGCUGACACAGUAAAUGUUUUCUGGAUUUAUUUUUAUUCAGAAAAUUCCAGAAAAUUGUAUAAACUUCUAAAAAUCAUAGUAAUUCAACCGUAACUCCAAAUGAAAUAAAUUAUAUAUGAAAAAUUAUCAGAAAAAUUCAAGGAAUCCAUCUGUAAUAUUUUCAUGCAUGUUAGAACAGCUUAUAGCUGCUGUUUAGCACAAAUCAAUUAAUUGGCAUUUAAACUCUCACAUAUGGAGUUUGAAUUUGAACCUAGUGUUCAAACCAGCCCCAUUUAACAUGUUGCUAGAUGCAUUAGCCCAACACACAUUCAUAUUGCCAUGUCAUUAUCAUGCAUCAUAUUGUUGCAUCGCAUUGAUUGUGUUCUUCCUUGUUUGCCGGUAAUUGUCCCCUCUCGAUAGACGUGUACCGGCGAUGUGAUCGAUGACACCGAUGAAGAGCUAUAUUAUCUUCAGAAGUGCCAGGCAAGCAAAACCCCCUUGUUCAUUCCGAUAAAAUCCCCCUCUCUCGCCCCUGCUCUCUUUUACUGCAUUAGGACAACACCGAUUCAUCUGUUACUUGCUGCGGUAGCUGAACCCCUUUAUCCUUUGCAUGACCUGUCAUUGCCACAGUAAAUAGAUGAAACCCACUAGCAUGAGUAGGAGUUGUUUGAGCCCUGAUGUGCCUACUCAUUCAUGCUUGUUUGUCAUGCCUGCUACUGCUUAGAGUUGAGUCUGGUCUGAUUCAUUGGGAAUGAAUCGGAGGUGUGUGAACAUGUCCUACUGUGUGUGAGCUAAGUGUGUGAACACGAUUUGGUAAAGGUAGCGAUGAGAGGCCAUGUAGGAGUACAUGGUGGGUUGUCUCAUUGCAGCCGUCCUCAGGAACUGAGUUCUGUGUUUGUGAUCCAUGAACAGCUACUACCACACAUUGGGAUCCUUAAUUGACUCUCUCGACUUAUUAAUCAACAUGAUCUCUGUCCAGGAGUUGCAACUAGUUUCUGGUGUUUGUAGGUAGUGUUAGUAGUCUACCAAGUGGCACCCGGUACAGGUGGGCUUGGGACAGACUAGGCACAGUGGCACGGUGUACCAAGCGUAGAUCCACCCGUCGAGGUGGGCUUGGGAACCCUGCUCACAUCGUUUGGGGCCGUGAGCGACACCCCGGCCAGAUCUCCUUGCGGAUGGAACCCGAAUAGGCGAUAAACCUAGACGAGAGACUUGUAUGGUUAGUCAGGUCGUGGCCGACUCCCUCGCCCGGCUUCCACUUGAAGGUUGCCGAGGUACAUGACGUGUACUGGGCGAUAAGUGGCGGGAGCGUGUGUGAAGAAGUACACCCCUGCAGGGUUAUCAUUAUCUAUUCGAAUAGCCGGAUUCCUCGGAUAUGGAAACUUGGACCCCUUGCAUAGUUCAUAGACGAGUGAAAGUGGAUACUCUAAAAUACGCAAGAUAAGCGUGAGUGCUAUGGAUGGCGUUCUCGUAGGGAGACGGGAGCGGAUCCAUAGUGGUGUAUUGAUAUGGUGAAUAUGUGGACUCGUGUGCGCCAUCUCAAAAGAGUUACUUGCAGUCGUAGUUCAGGAUAGCCACCGAGUCAAAGCUGGCUUGCUGCAGUUAAACCCCACCACCCCCUUGUUGAUAAUGAUGCAUAUGUAGAUAGAUCUGAUGUAAGUCUUGCUGGGUACAUUUGUACUCACGUUGCUUAAUUUAUGUUUUUGCAGAGAGACUUCAGUCUCGCUAGUAGUACCUCGUGGACUUUGACGUUUAGCUUGUUACCUCAGCUACGAUCUUGUGCCCUCGGCAGGAUCUGGUAGAUAGUCAGGCUUCUCAGCCUUUUUCAUUUAUAGUUGUCUGUACUCAGACAUGUUAAGCUUCCGCUUGUGCUUGACUUGUUUGCUCUGAAUGUUGGGUCAUGAGACCCCUGUUUGUAAUAUCUCGCUCCUCGGAGCCUAUUGAAUAAAAUACUUGAGUCGUAGAGUCAUUUUGUGAUGCCAUGUUGUAUUGCACAUAUCGAGCAUAUUGUGUGUAUGUUAUUGAAAUGCUUGGUAUGUGUGGGAUCCGACUAUCUAGUUGUUUAUCUUUAGUAGCCUCUCUUACUGGGAAAUGUCUCCUAGUGUUUCCACUGAGCCAUGGUAGCUUGCUACUGCUCCGGAACACUUAGGCUGGCCGGCAUGUGUCCUUCUUCGUUCCUGUGUCUGUCCCUUCGGGGAAAUGUCACGCGAUGAAUACCGGAGUCCUGUUAGCCCGCUACAGCCCGGUUCACCGGAGUCCUGCUAGCCCAGUGCUACAGCCUGGAUUCACUCGCUGAUGACCGACACGUUCGAUGCUGGGUCAUGGAUGCCUGUCCCUGUAAGUCUGUGCCACUUUGGGUUUACGACUAGCCAUGUCAGCCCGGGCUCCUUAUCAUAUGGAUGCUAGCGACACUGUUAUAUACGUGUGCCAAAAGGCGCAAACGGUCCCGGGCAAAGGUAAGGCGACACCCGUGGGAAUACCGUGCGUGAGGCCGCAAAGUGAUAUGAGGUGUUACAUGCUAGAUCGAUGUGGCAUUGAGUCGGGGUCCUGACAGCUUUGGUAUCAGAGCUUGACUGCCUGUAGGAUUACCAAGCCAAACUGGUCGAAGUUGAGUCUAGAAAUUCUUUAGUUAUAUAAGGGAAUUGAUUGUGGGAUGGAACGUAAGGCUCUUUUUACUCCUUAUACCUUAUGCCCUUCUGAUCUGAGUCAUCUUAUCUUUCCUACGGGGUUAAGGAACUAGGCUUUCUCUUCUUUCUAUCAGGAUCACGUGUUACUAAUCCGUAGACCUAUAGAACUGUUGGACUUAAGCCUCAGUCCAGUUCCUACUACUUCUGUAUGUUAACUGUUGAUCUCCAAACCUUGAUAUUAUGAUGAUCAAGUGGUUAUGCCACCAUUUUUGUGAAUGUCUCAAAUCUUUUCUGAGCAUUUACAGCCGUUAUGCUGUCCGAGUCAUCCCAGGUUUCUAAAUAGUCUGAUGCAUUUGCAAAUCCUUUCUUUCCGUUCCCGAUGUCCUUUAUGGCCAGAUUAACCACACUAGACGGUGAGUUGAGGUACUCUAUUGCCUCGACAUUUAUGUUGGAGUUAUUAUUAUGACCCUAGGUGUCUCAGGGGAUCAUCUAUUAGUCUAGCCAUGUUUUGUGAUCCCAGUGUGAUGAUUCUGGCCAUCAUUCCCAAAAGCAUCCCGUGAUGCCAGUUAGCUAGUAGGCAUUCUACUUCUGGGUUCUUGACCCGAGAUUCACCCUACCUACUUCAUGUUGAUAGUAAUUGCUAGCUCCCUUAGGUUAUUAGUAACCUUUGCGAUAGUCCUUGAAGUCCGUGGUAUCUUCUUCUUCCAAAUACCAUGAACUACUUAUGGCAGAAGUUCCUCGUUGAACUGAACGAUCACAACCAGAGUGCUCUUGAUGAGUUCUCCGUUAUAUAUUGUGGCUCUGCCAGUUCUACCUUUCCGCAUGGGUUAUCCGGAAGAAAUAUGUUGAACUUCGUUCGACAUGCUAAACCAUGCAUCCACAACUCAGAAAAUCGUAUGUUCCUUUGAGUUGUCCCUCUUUAGUUGUCUUCUGACCCUCGUUUAUCAAUUGAUAGUCAAGAGUAUGCGUGCAAUCGUUCAUCGAUACCUAUUACUCUUGUGGUCCGUCAAGCCAUUCUAUCCCGGAAUGACUAGGAGAAACAAACUCCAGUACCUCAUCCAUAUCUAGGAUUGGGUCAAAACAAUUGUACUCCGCAGAUCAAAAUGCCAAUCCAGCUUUUGCUCUAUUCUACCUUGGAGUAUUACCAUCUUUUAUAUCGGGAUUAUUGUAGGAAUUGCACACCAUCCUAUGAACUCUUGGUACAGUGAUACUUCUUGCCAUCAUUGUUCAUUCCUCGGUUCCUGUGUUAUUGUAACCGGAAUGCCGACAAGUGAAUCGUGGUGUGUGAAAUCAAUACUGCUAGCAACUCUGUUGCUUGGUAGUUAAAUGGACAAUAACAUCAUUCUUAACAUGUUGGUUCUUGAAUCAUCAUUCUAAGAUUGAUCGUGCUACCUUGUCCAUCUUCCUGGUGCACAUUUCGAUUGAUGAGUUAGGAUUUUGUCAAGUCCUCGCUCAUUUGAUCAUAUCGUCUUGCCCUGAAAAGCAUGAUUGUUCUCGAUCUUAGUAACAUAUCGGUGGUUCGUGAUUUUUCCGAAUAUCUUCUCGAAAGUAUCACCAGGUUGUCACCUGACUGUUAUGUUGAGCUCGUGAUCAAGUUGGUUUAUCCUGUAAACCACCCCUUCUCCAAGAAUCUGUGCAGGAUACCCCUGAGCUAGUUGGUUAAGCUAAACAACAACUUGGAGAGUUGGAAGAUAAAAGCUUGUCUAACUUAGUUCAUUUCCAAAGGGAUAUUCUGUGUUAUGUGUUUGUUGAAGAAAGAUGAUAUCUUCAUUGAUUGAUCCUCAUGGUCAAUUGCUGGAUCUAUUAUGUUAUCCAAUCUUUGAUUUGAGUAUGGGCUAUCGUCAAAUCAAAUCAGAACCAACGAUAUUCGUAAUGUUGUCUUACUCGUGGUUGUUUCCUCGAGCAUACAUCAUUAUAUCUUUUGGGUCUGACCAAUGCUAUCACUUGUUCACAUAAUUAUGGAAUUCCAUCUUCAUGGAAACCUGGAUGAAUUGUUGUUGCACCCAUCAGCAACAUUGUUAUCUUCUCCAUGAUUUGUGUUGAACAUCGAGCUAGUAUUGGAAACUUUAUAAGCGUUAUCUUCAUGUCCCGUUCAUGAAGCAUAUGCUCGGAUGAAAGAAAUGACUUCCUCUAAUUCAUGUGCAUUUUGGUGCAAGUUGCCGCCGUGAAUUCGAGAAAGUCUAUUUUUGCUUCCUCUAGAAUCAUCCCAAGUCAGCCAUGCACGUGCAAAGUAUUCUGUGGUCUGUUAGACUGAUCAUCUUCGUUCCAUAUGAAUUCUGUAGCACACCAAGCCACUGACUGAUUUGUUCUAGGAGAAGGAGUUCUUUUUAAGAGCUAACCCGGGCUUAAUCAAGAACUUCAAUAUCCUCGAUUAUGGUUCCCCACCUGAACUCGGUAGUGUUUUAUUGUAAGACUACCAUGUGAUAAUGUUUUGUCUGGGACAACGUGUUCACAUGUUUGUAGCAGAACCAGCUCAUGUUUUGGAGCUUGCUAUCGUAGUUCAUUCCCCGAGAAUCUCGCAACGUCAUCUCGUCGAUUUGUGUUGCCAACUUUCAUUUUUCUUUCCAGACUUGAUGAGUCUGGAAUAUUCUGACACCAACCAGUUCUGAAUCUCAGGCAGACUUGAUGGUUGGAACAUUUCCCAAGAACUAUAAUAUUGGUCCCUCGAUAACCGGUAAGGUGGAUGUCGUGGCCAACACACCCAUCCGGGAGACCUAUUAUAUUAGUAUCUUGACUGAGGAAGUUGGCCACCUCCCCAUAAGGAUUUCGUAGGAUUUACCCCCUAGUUGUUCCUUAUGAAUUUUCUUUUGUGCUCCCGAAGUCCGACCUUUUACUUGAUGUUCUAGGAACCAAACCAUUUUAAUUAAUGGGUUGCACUAGAACAUCAAGGAGAACAUUAGUAGCGGAGUGCUAAAUGUCUCUCAGUCGAUCAUCCAGAUUUUGUUUCCUUGGUCUCGCUAAGGUGAAAUCUGAGAAAGUGUUAUCCUCCUUUGCAUCUGCGUCGUCCAUCGCUAUUCAUCAUGGUAGUAUGUUGUGUUGUCAGCACCCUUGACACGGAUGUUGAUAAAACCUUGAUGAUUGUGGAAAUGCUCAAGUUCUUGAGAGCACGCACAAGCACUAGGUAUUAUCGCCGGCACUAACUGGGAUUUCUCCUAGUCUCUUCGGUUAUGCUAUAACCACUCCAACAGUGGAAUCACUCUCUACUGCUGAGCUCCUCCCCAGUUAUCAGAAUCAUUUCCAGCAUUUGUGUUUUGUUUCCAGCUUGCACCGUCAUUGUGCCAUCCUAUCUUGGGUCCCACCCAUUUCCGAUGAUAAGCAAAAUCGUCCCUUGUGUUGUCUUCAACAAGGUAAUCCACAUCAUCCAACCUGGCCCGAGAAUGUCAUUCUCUCGGACUCCUUCAAAUGAUCGAUUGUGAAUUGCCUUAGACUGGUAUAAAGAGUUUCAAUGAUCUCUGAAUCAAAGGUAAUUCUUUUUGCCACUUAAGGUAAUAAUCUACGAAUCACCCUCCUCCAAGGUGUCUCGUUGUCAUAUCAUGGCAACUCAACCCUCGCUAUCUUGAAACCAUUCACCACCCCCUCAAGUGUGGAAUUGUUGUCAACCUAGUGAACCCUCGUCAUCUGUCUCACUCCAUUUCUUCAGAUCUAUGCUUCGUGUCUCAGCUCGAGAGAUGUGUCAAUGUCUCAUCCCAUGAGUUGAUCCUGAGUUGUUCGAUCUUCGAGAAGAUCGAUCCUUCUAGAGUUUUCCUUUCCUCUUCUUGUCAUGAUAGUUGGAGUUCUCAGAGCAAGACUUCGAGACAAUGAUGGUGAACGAAUCAACGUUCAGUUGAAGUGCACCCUGGAUCGUGAAGAUUAUACUAGUUUGCGUUUCCCCUUCAUCUUACCCUACGCUUGAAUCUCGAGACGAGAUUCUUGUUUAGUGGGGGUGAGUUGUCACAUCCCUAGUUCUGGCCUGACCUAUGUUUGCUUCCAUGUGUGCAUCAUGUUUAAAGUUCAUGAAAUUUGAAAUGGGGAUGACCAAGCCCUAGCACCAAAGCAAUGCAAAUAGGUUCAACUUCAAAAUAUUUUCAAAGAACCCAAAUUGGUUUGCAAAAAUGUUCAUGAUUAAUGGAAAAGGGUGAAAACCAUAUCCAGAGAUGAUGGAUAUUUUUCCAAGACAUUUUUGGAUUUUUGAAUAAACCAUAUUGUAUUUGAAUUGGGGCAUUUAAAUACUGUUAAUAUUUUUAAAUGCUCCAACAAUUCUGAAAAUAGUUGAGGGCCUCUGUAAUAAUUCAGUUAAUGCCCACAAUUAUUUUCAGGAUUUAUUAAAAUGAUUUGGUUUAUAAACUAAGUCAAAACAGAGCAAAUAAAUAGAAAACAGAAAUAAGAGAGAGAAGCCCAGCCACUUACCUGGCGCUCACCUGCAGCAGAGCCGGCCCAGCUUCUGUUCCGGCCCAGCCCACCGCCGCCUUCCCCCCUAUCGUCUUCCUCCUCGCCAGAAGGACAGAGGCGUGUCGCCCGCGCGCGCGCUUGCCCCUGGCCACCUCCUGCUUCCUCCCCGAGCCCUCUAGCGACGCCACGGAGACGCCCUCGACCCCCUCGACCGCUAUCCCUUCUCUCUGCUCGCUCUAGCUCUCUCCCUCCCUCGAUUUGGAGCACCACCGAGAGCCACCGGAGGGCGCCGCCAUCGCAUCCAUAGCCACCGACCACCCCUCGCCCUCCCGCUGAGCUCAGGAGCUCUGCCUCGACCCCCUCUUCCUCCCCACCGAGCCAAGCCCCUCAGGAAGCCCUGCAUCGCCGGCUGCCUCGUCUUCUUCCUCCUCGGUCGCCGGAAGCCACACGUGCCGAUUCGCCACCGUCUCCGCCUCCCCGAGCUCGUCAUCUACCUCAUCUGAACCACCGUGAGCUCCUGCACGUUUUGCCCCUAACCCCGUGGAUUGCCGCUCGCCGUAGCCGCCAUUUCAUAGCUGGCCGUAGCACACCGCCGCCUGAGCUCGUCGCCGGCGUAGCUCCGGUCACCCCGGCGCGCCUAACUUGCUCCCCGCAUCGUGUAGCGCUCCGCUAGCCCAUCGCCUCACUCAUUAGCACACCGCAACGCUAACCCGCACCAGCCCCGAACUCCGGCAGCCGCCGCGGGUUCCACUCCGGCAAACUCCGGCCACCCCGCACCUCCCGUUGGUUCCCCUAGAUGCGCGCGGGCACGAGCUAUCCUCUGGUGCCCCUGGCGCAUCGAUCCGUCGACUCUGGUGAGUUCCGCGCGAACUCCGCCGCGGUUCGAGGUCACCGCCGGCGAGACUCCGGCGAGAUGACGUGGCCCGUCAUUAGCAGCUAACAGCCCCACUAACCAACCUCCUAGCUCACUGACACCAGGGCCCCAUGCCCUAACUAACCCAGGUUUUAUCUGUGUUUAGAUUAAACUAACCCCCACGGGCCCACAAGUCAGUUUGACCUGGCCACGUCACAUGUUGACCGACCCCACACGUCAUUAUUGACUUGCUGACGUGUCUGUUGACCCGGCCCCACCUGUCAUUGACACUAACCAGCCCCAGUCACUGACCAGUGGACCCCACUGGUCAGGUUUGACCAGCAGCAGCAUCUGUUGACCUGCUAACGUCAUGCCAACGUCAUGCUGACGCAGUAAAUGUUUUCUGGAUUUAUUUUUAUUCAGAAAAUUCCAGAAAAUUGUAUAAACUUCUAAAAAUCAUAGUAAUUCAACCGUAACUCCAAAUGAAAUAAGUUAUAUAUGAAAAAUUAUCAGAAAAAUUCAAGGAAUCCAUCUGUACUAUUUUCAUGCAUGUUAGAACAACUUAUAGCUGCUGUUUAGCACAAAUCAAUUAAAUGACAUUUAAACUCUCACAUAUGGAGUUUGAAUUUGAACCUAGUGUUCAAACCAGCCCCAUUUAACCUGUUGCUAGAUGCAUUAGCCCAACACACAUUCAUAUUGCCAUGUCAUUAUCAUGCAUCAUAUUGUUGCAUCGCAUUGAUUGUGUUCUUCCUUGUUUGCCGGUAAUUGUCCCUCUCGAUAGACGUGUACCGGCGAUGUGAUCGAUGACACCGAUGAAGAGCUAUAUUAUCUUCAGAAGUGCCAGGCAAGCAAAACCCCCUUGUUCAUUCCGAUAAAAAUCCCCCUCUCUCGCCCCUGCUCUCUUUUAUUGCAUUAGGACAACACCGAUUCAUCUGUUACUUGCUGCGGUAGCUGAACCCCUUUAUCCUUUGCAUGACCUGUCAUUGCCACAGUAAAUAGAUGAAACCCACUAGCAUGAGUAGGAGUUGUUUGAGCCCUGAUGUGCCUACUCAUUCAUGCUUGUUUGUCAUGCCUGCUACUGCUUAGAGUUGAGUCAGGUCUGAUUCAUUGGGAAUGAAUCGAAGGUGUGUGAACAUGUCCUACUGUGUGUGAGCUAAGUGUGUGAACACGAUUUGGUAAAGGUAGCGGUGAGAGGCCAUGUAGGAGUACAUGGUGGGUUGUCUCAUUGCAGCCGUCCUCAGGAACUGAGUUAUGUGUUUGUGAUCCAUGAACAGCUACUACCACACAUUGGGAUCCUUAAUUGACUCUCUCGACUUAUUAAUCAACAUGAUCUCUGUCCAGGAGUUGCAACUAGUUUCUGGUGUUUGUAGGUAGUGUUAGUAGUCUACCAAGUGGCACCCGGUACAGGUGGGCUUGGGAUAGACUAGGCACAGUGGCACGGUGUACCAAGCGUAGAUCCACCCAUCGAGGUGGGCUUGGGAACCCUGCUCACAUCGUUUGGGGCCGUGAGCGACACCCCGGCCGGAUCUCCUUGCGGAUGGAACCCGAAUAGGCGAUAAACCUGGACGAGAGACUUGUAUGGUUAGUCAGGUCGUGGCCGACUCCCUCGCCCGGCUUCCACUUGAAGGUUGCCGAGGUACAUGACGUGUACAGGGCGAUAAGUGGCGGGAGCGUGUGUGAAGAAGUACACCCCUGCAGGGUUAUCAUUAUCUAUUCGAAUAGCCGGAUUCCUCGGAUAUGGAAACUGGGACCCCUUGCAUAGUUCAUAGACGAGUGAAAGUGGAUACUCUAAAAUACGCAAGAUAAGCGUGAGUGCUAUGGAUGGCGUUCUCGUAGGGAGACGGGAGCGGAUCCAUAGUGGUGUAUUGAUAUGGUGAAUAUGUGGACUCGUGUGCGCCAUCUCAAAAGAGUUACUUGCAGUCGUAGUUCAGGAUAGCCACCGAGUCAAAGCUGGCUUGCUGCAGUUAAACCCCACCACCCCCUUGUUGAUAAUGAUGCAUAUGUAGAUAGAUCUGAUGUAAGUCUUGCUGGGUACAUUUGUACUCACGUUGCUUAAUUUAUGUUUUUGCAGAGAGACUUCAGUCUCGCUAGUAGUACCUCGUGGACUUUGAUGUUUAGCUUGUUACCUCAGCUACGAUCUUGUGCCCUCGGCAGGAUCUGGUAGAUAGUCAGGCUUCUCAGCCUUUUUCAUUUAUAGUUGUCUGUACUCAGACAUGUUAAGCUUCCGCUUGUGCUUGACUUGUUUGCUCUGAAUGUUGGGUCAUGAGACCCCUGUUUGUAAUAUCUCGCUCCUCGGAGCCUAUUGAAUAAAAUACUUGAGUCGUAGAGUCAUUUUGUGAUGCCAUGUUGUAUUGCACAUAUCGAGCAUAUUGUGUGUAUGUUAUUGAAAUGCUUGGUAUGUGUGGGAUCUGACUAUCUAGUUGUUUAUCUUUAGUAGCCUCUCUUACCGGGAAAUGUCUCCUAGUGUUUCCACUGAGCCAUGGUAGCUUGCUACUGCUCCGGAACACUUAGGCUGGCCGGCAUGUGUCCUUCUUCGUUCAUGUGUCUGUCCCUUCGGGGAAAUGUCACGCGAUGAAUACCGGAGUCCUGUUAGCCCGCUACAGCCCGGUUCACCGGAGUCCUGCUAGCCUAGUGCUACAGCCUGGAUUCACUCGCUGAUGACCGACAUGUUCGAUGCUGGGUCAUGGAUGCCUGUCCCUGUAAGUCUGUGCCACUUUGGGUUUACGACUAGCCAUGUCAGCCCGGGCUCCUUAUCAUAUGGAUGCUAGCGACACUGUUAUAUACGUGUGCCAAAAGGCGCAAACGGUCCCAGGCAAAGGUAAGGCGACACCCGUGGGAAUACCGUGCGUGAGGCCGCAAAGUGAUAUGAGGUGUUACAUGCUAGAUCGAUGUGGCAUUGAGUCGGGGUCCUGACAAGCAUCGACACUCAUUGGACCGUAUACAUCGGUAUGUAUUAUUUCCAUCAAGUCAGUAGCUCAUUCCAUUGUUCUGGAGAACGGAGUUUUAGUCAUUUUGCCCAAAUGGCACGGUUCGCAAGCAUCAAAUGAUUCAUAACCAAGUGUUUCCAAAAAUCCAUCUUUAUGGAGUUUCUUCAUGCGCUUUACACCGAUAUGACCUAAACGGCAGUGCCACAAAUAAGUUGCACUAUCAUUAUCAACUUUGCAUCUUUUGGCAUCAAUAUUAUGAAUAUGUGUAUUACUACGAUCGAGAUCCAACAAACUAUUUUCAUUGGGUGUAUGACCAUCGAAGGUUUUAUUCAUGUAAAUAGAACAAUAAUUAUUCUUUGACUUUAAAUGAAUAACUGUAUCGCAAUAAACAUGAUCAAAUCAUAUUCAUGCUCAACGCAAACGCCAAAUAACAUUUAUUUAGGUUUAACACUAAUCCCGAAAGUAUAGGGAGUGUGCGAUGAUGAUCAUAUCAAUCUUGGAACCACUUCCAACACACAUCGUCACUUCACCCUCAACUAGUCUCUGUUUAUUCUGUAACUCAUGUUUCGAGUUACUAAUUUUUAGCAACCGAACAAGUAUCAAAUACUCAGGGGCUACUAUAAACACUAGUAAGGUACACAUCAAUAACCUGUAUAUCAAAUAUACCCUUGUUCACUUUGCCAUCCUUCUUAUCCACCAAAUAUUCAGGGCAUUUCCGCUUCCAGUGACCAUUUCCUUUGCAGUGUUAACACUCAGUUUUAGGCUUUGGUCCAGCUUUGGUCUUCUUCACGGGAGUGACAACUUGUUUGCCAUUCUACUUGAAGUUUCCCUUUAUUUUCCUUUGCACUUUUCUUGAAACUAGUGGUCUUGUCAAUCAUCAACACUUGAUGCUCUUUCUUGAUUUCUACCUUCAUCGAUUUCAACAUUACGAAGAUCUCGGGAAUCGUUUUCAUCAUCCCUUGCAUACUAUAGUUCAUCACGAAGUUCUAGUAACUUAGUGAUGGUGACUAGAGAAUUCUGUCAAUCACUAUCUUAUCUGGAAGAUUAACUCCCACUUGAUUCAAGCGAUUGAAGUACCCAGACAAUCUGAGCACAUGCUCACUAGUUGAGCGAUUCUCCUCCAUCUUUUAGCUAUAGAACUUGUUGGAGACUUCAUAUCUCUCAACUCGGGUAUUUGCUGGAAAUAUUAACUUCAACUCCUGGAACAUCUCAUAUGGUCCAUGACAUUCAAAACGUCUUUGAAGUCCCGAUUCUAAACCGUUAAGCAUGGUGCACUAAACUAUCAAGUAGUCAUCAUAUUGAGCUAGCCACACGUUCAUAACGUCUGCAUCUGCUCCUGCAAUAGGUUUUUCACCUAGCGGUGCAUCAAGGACAUAAUUCUUCUGUGCAGCAAUGAGGAUAAACCUCAGAUCACAGAUCCAAUCUGCAUCAUUGCUACUAACAUCUUUCAACACAAUAUUUUCUAGGAACAUAUCAAAAUAAACAUAUGAAAGCAACAACGCGAGCUAUUGAUCUACAACAUAAUUUGCAAAAUACUACCAGGACUAAGUUCAUGAUAAAUUUAAGUUCAAUUAAUCAUAUUACUUAAGGACUCCCACUUAGACAGACAUCUCUCUAGUCAUCUAAGUGAUCACGUGAUCCAAAUCAACUAAACCAUGUCCGAUCAUCACGUGAGAUGGAGUAGUUUCAAUGGUGAACAUCACUAUGUUGAUCAUAUCUACUAUAUGAUUCACGCUCGACCUUUUGGUCUCCGUGUUCCGAGGCCAUAUCUGUAUAUGCUAGGCUCGUCAAGUUUAACCUGACUAUUCCGCGUGUGCAACUGUUUUGCACCCGUUGUAUUUGAACGUAGAGCCUAUCACACCCGAUCAUCACGUGGUGUCUCAGCACGAAGAACUUUCACAACGGUGCAUACUCAGGGAGAACACUUCUUGAUAAUUAGUGAGAGAUCAUCUUAAAAUGCUACCAUCAAUCAAAGCAAGAUAAGAUGCAUAAAGGAUAAACAUCACAUGCAAUCAAUAUAAGCGAUAUGAUAUGGCCAUCAUCAUCUUGUGCUUGUGAUCUCCAUCUCCGAAGCACCAUCGUGAUCACCAUCAUCACCGGCGCGACACCUUGAUCUCCAUCGUAGCAUCGUUGUCGUUUACGCCAUCUAUUGCUUCUACGACUAUCGCUACCACUUAGUGAUAAAGUAAAGCAAUUACAGGGCGUUUGCAUUUCAUACAAUAAAGCGACAACCAUAUGGCUCCUGCCAGUUGCCGAUAACUUCAGUUACAAAACAUGAUCAUCUCAUACAAUAAAAUAUAGCAUCACGUCUUGACCAUAUCACAUCACAACAUGCCCUGCAAAAACAAGUUAGACGUCCUCUACUUUGUUGUUGCAAAUUUUUACGUGGCUGCUACGGGCUUAGCAAGAACCGUUCUUACCUACGCAUCAAAAUCACAACGAUAGUUCAUCAAGUUAGUGUUGUUUUAACCUUUGCAAGGACCGGGCGUAGCCACACUCGGUUCAACUAAAGUUGGAGAAACUGACACCCGCUAGUCACCUGUGUGCAAAGCACGGCGGUAAAACCAGUCUCGCAUAAGCGUACGCGUAAUGUCGGUCCGGGCCGCUUCAUCCAACAAUACCGCUGAACCAAAGUAUGACAUGCUGGUAAGCAGUAUGUCUUGUAUCGCCCACAACUCACUUGUGUUCUACUCGUGCAUAUAACAUCAACGCAUAAAAUCUAGGCUCAGAUGCCACUGUUGGGGAACGUAGUAAUUUCAAAAAUUUCCUACGCACACGCAACAUCAUGGUGAUGCAUAGCAACGAGAGAGGAGAGUAUUGUCCACGUACCCUCGUAGACCGUAAGCGGAAGCGUUAUGACAACGCGGUUGAUGUAGUCGUACGUCUUCACGAUCCGACCGAUCCAAGUACCGAACGUAUGGCACCUCCGAGUUCAGCACACGUUCAGCUCGAUGACGAUCUCCGGGCUCCGAUCCAGCAAAGCAUCGGGGAUGAGUUCUAUCAGCAUGACGGCAUGGUGACGAUGAUGAUGUUCUACUGGCGCAGGGCUUCGCCUAAACUCCGCGACGAUAUGACCGAGGUGGAAUAUGGUGGAGGGGGGCACCGCACACGGCUAAGGAACAAUCCGUAGAUCAACUUGUGUAUCCUAGGGGUGCCCCCCUCCCCUAUAAAGGGGGAGAGGAGGAGGGGGCCGGCCAAGGGGAGAGGCGCGCCCUAGGGGGAGAGUCCUACUCCAAGUAGGAUUCCCCCUCUUUCCUAGUCCAAGUAGGAGAGGGGAAGGAAGGGAAGGAGAAGGAGAAGGAAGGAGAGGGAGGAAAAGGAGGAAAGGGGGGCCGGCCCCUUAGUCCAAUUCGGUUUGGGCUAGGGGGGCCGCGCGCCCUGCCUCCUCUCUUCCACCACUUGGCCCAUGAGGCCCAUUGCUUCUUCCUCGUAUUCCCGUAACUCCCUGGUACCCCCGAAAAUACCUGAAUCACUCGGAACCUUUCCGAACUCCGAAUAUAGUAGUCCAAUAUAUCGAUCUUUACGUCUCGACCAUUUCGAGACUCCUCGUCAUGUCCCCGAUCUCAUCUGGGACUCCGAACUCCUUCGGUACAUCAAAACUCAUAAACUCAUAAUAAAACUGUCAUCGAAACCUUAAGCGUGCGGACCCUACGGAUUUGAUUGAGAUUGAAAGAAAAGGAGUCGAGCCUUGGUCUCUUUAUAAAGAGGUUGAAUACUAAGAGCCCUCCCCGUGACCGUUUGGGAAUCACCUUUGCUUGAGAAGACAUACCAACAGGCACGGUUGGGUUACCCACGCCCGUAUUGAUAAGAAUCCCGGAAUAAGGGGACACAAUCUCUGCUUUGACAAGACGUGCCAAGGAAAUCGCCUUGCUAAACGCGCUGAGGUGGGACAGUAAAACGAUUCAAAUAAAGGCUUGGCCAUGGCAUGAUGUCACGCUGUAGAAUACGUCAGCAGAUUAGAUUUGUUCAAAUGUUAUUCUCUCUACGGUGUAUGUGGAACUUAUUUUGCAGAGCUGGACACUAUCUUUGUGUUCAAACAUCUUCUAUGAAGUAUUCGGAGGAGGAACCCGCCUUGCAAUGCCGAAGACAAUUGGCGUGCCGGACUCGUCGUCAUUGAAGCCUGGUUCAGGGGCUACUGAGGGAGUCCCGGAUUAGGGGGUGUCCGGAUGACCGGACUAUGACCUUUGGCCGGACUCCUGGACUAUGAAGAUACAAGAUUGAAGACUUCGUCCCGUGUCUGGAUGGGACAUUCCUUGGCGUGGAAGGCAAGCUUGGCGAUACGGAUAUGAAGAUCUUCUCCCAUUGUAACCGACUCUGUGUAACCCUAGCCCUCUCCGAUGUCUAUAUAAACCGGAGGGUUUUAGUCCGUAGGACGAACAACAAUCAUACCAUAGGCUAGCUUCUAGGGUUUAGCCUCUCUGAUCUCGUGGUAGAUCUACUCUUGUACUACCCAUAUCAUCAAUAUUAAUCAAGCAGGAGUAGGGUUUUACCUCCAUCGAGAGGGCCCAAACCUGGGUAAAAACAUCGUGUCCCUUGUCUCCUGUUACCAUCCGCCUAGACGCACAGUUUGGGACCCCCUACCCGUGAUCCGCCGGUUUUGACACCGACAUUGGUGCUUUCAUUGAGAGUUCCUCUGUGUCGUCGUCUUUAGGCCCGAUGGCUCCCCCGAUCAUCAACAACGACGCGGUCCAGGGUGAGACUUUUCUCCCCAGACAGAUCUUCGUAUUCGGCAGCUUUACACUGCGGGCCAAUUCGCUUGGCCAUCUGGAGCAGAUCGAAAGCUACGCCCCAGGCCAUCAGGUCAGAUUUGGAAGUUUGAACUACAUGGCAAACAUCCCUGGAGACUUGAUCUUCGACGAAUUCGAGCCACGGCCAAGCGCGCCGCACUGUCACGAUAGGCAUGACCUAGCUCUGCCACCAAACAGUGCCUUGGAGGCCGCCCCAGUGUCCGCUCCGACCCUUAGUUUGGAGCCGACUGUGCCAAUCGAGUACGGGUGGCUGGACACCGCCUCGGGGGCUGCAAUCUCCACGGCGAUCGAGCCGAACACCAGCCUUGUCCUUUGCAAAGCUCGUGACUCCAAGAUGGCGGACUCCUUUUCGGACUCCGAACCUUUCGCGCCCCUGCCAAUCGAACCCGAUGGGGCGCCAAUCAUGGAGUUCGCCACCGCGGACAUCUUUCAGCACUCGCCCUUUGGCGACAUUCUAAACUCACUAAAGUCUCUCUCUUUAUCAGGAGAGCCCUGGCCAGACUAUGGUCAGCAAGGUUGGGAUGCAGACGACGAAGAAGUUCGAAGCCCACCCACCACCCACUUUGUAGCCACUGUCGAUGAUUUAACCGACAUGCUUGAUUUCGACUCCGAAGACAUCGACGGUAUGGACGACGAUGCAGGAGACGAACAGGAAACAGCGCCUAUAGGGCACUGGACAACCACCUCAUCUCACGAGGUAUACAUGGUGGAUACACCUAAAAGAAGCGACGAUGAGGAACAAAGGGACGCAACGAGGGAUCGCUCCCUUGACAAGCAAUCAAAGCGGCGGCGUAAGCACCGCGCCAAACCCCACCUCGACAGAAACCCAGCCAACGAGUAGGGCGAACCGGCGGACGACGAACAUACCAUCGAGCAAUCAUCUGAACAUGGCAAUUUGGGUAAACAAACUGAACAACCCGUCCCCGGUGAAGAUAAUAGUCCGGACGACCUCACGCCGGACAAAAUGCUGGAGCAGCAGAAUCUCCACAAAAGGCUCAUCGCCACUGCGCGUAGCUUGAAAAAGCAGAAGCGGAAGCUCAAAACAGCGGAAGAUGCACUCAGAAUUAGAUGGGGCAAAGUACUCAACACAGCAAACAAGUACGGCGACAGUCGUCACACAAAGAGCUAUCCGAAGCGGAAAUUACUGCCGGAAUUUGAUGAGGAGGCCUUAGAGCCCCCGCAAUCAAAAAAUAAAAAAGACACCCGGUCGGAUAAAAAACCCCAUGGCCAACAUAGAGCGGCAAGGGGCGCCGCACUCAAGCCGGCACGCGAUCCGCACAAGGAUUCGCAUCAAAAAGACGGUCUGGCCAGAUCUAUCUACGGGCCAAGAAAGCAAGCUCUAGUAAGCAACACAGCGCAACAAGUAUCCGAACAUCACGGCAUACCCAAGUAUAGGGGUGCCGCACACCCCUUAUGUUUCACCGAUGAGGUGCUGGACCACGAAUUUCCAGCGGGAUUCAAGCCCGUAAACAUAGAGGCAUACGACGGAAUAACAUACCCUAGAGUCUGGAUUGAGGACUAUAUCCUCCACAUACACAUGGCUAGAGGAGAUGACCUCCACGCCAUAAAAUACUUACCCCUAAAGCUCAAAGGGCCAGCCCGACAUUGGCUUAAAAGCCUUCCCGAAAACACCAUCGGAAGUUGGGAAGAGCUCGAGGAUGCUUUUCGGGCAAAUUGUCAAGGGACCUAUGUCCGACCUCCGGAUGCAGAUGAUCUAAGUCAUGUAACUCAACAACCCGGAGAGUCAGCCCAGAAACUCUGGAACAGAUUUCUUACUAAAAAGAACCAGAUAGUCGACUGUUCGGACGCCGAAGCCUUAGCAGCCUUCAAACACAGCGUUCGAGACGAAUGGCUCGCCAGACACCUCGGCCAAGAAAAGCCAAGAACAAUGGCCACAUUAACAAUCCUCAUGACCCGCUUUUGCGCAGGAGAGGACAGUUGGUUGGCAAGAAGCAGCACCAGCGACCCAAGCACAUCCGAAGUCAGGGAUGGAAACGGGAAACCACGGCGUAGCAAGGACCAACGCCGAACCAAGGGAAACAGCCUGAAGAGCGCGGCAGUCAACGCCGGAUUCAAAAGCUCUCGGCAGAAUCAGAAAAAGCUGCCCCUCAAGGAUAGCAGGGAUGAGCUAUCUAACCUAAACAACAUCUUGGACAAAAUAUGUCAAAUCCACAAUACUCCCGGGAAGCCUGCAAACCAUACCCACAGAAAUUGUUGGGUCUUCAACAAUCCGGCAAACUUAACGCCGAACACAAGGGGCUCGACAUACCAAGCGAGGACGAUGACGAACCCCACAAAUAGAGCACGGAGAACAAAAGAAAUUCCCACAAGAAGUCAAAAUAGUAAACUCACUUCACGUGACAAAAGGGAAAUACAGAGCGACACCUAUAAAGAUACGCGCCAUACGGCCUGUUCCAGAGGAGUCUGACCACUGGUCAUUACAACCAAUCACCUUCGACCAUCAGGAUUACUCUAGAAGUAUCUGGAACACGGGCAGGACUGCCAUGGUAUUCGAUCCGAUAAUUGACGGACUCCACUUUACAAAAGUCCUAAUGGACGGCGGCAGUGAUUUAAACCUGCUAUACCAGGACACAGUCCGCACAAUGGGGAUAAACCUGACAAAAAUUUGCCAUGGCAACACUUCCUUUCAAGGGGUAACGCUAGGCCCAGAUACCCAUUGUACGGGUUCUCUCCUACUAGAAGUUAUGUUCGGCUUCCCCGACAACUUCCGUCGUGAAAAGCUAACCUUUCACAUCGCCCCAUUCACAAGUAGCUAUCAAGCACUGCUGGGACGCGACGCUUUCACCCGCUUUAACGCAAUACCGCAUUAUGCAUCCCUUACGUUUAAAAUGCUCGGUCCACGAGGCAUCAUCUCAUUAAAGGGAAAUAUCGAGUGUUCCUCGAGUGCGGAAUACUAUGCGGCUGCUUUGACAGCCACACACUAAACCAGCUUUACUAGUUAAAGCAACUAAAUAGGUCGUUCAGACCCCCGGACAUGGCUAGACGAGUCCGGCGUAAACAUGCAAAGGCUUAUUAGCAGCACACCCCCGUAAAAGGGUCUCCGCGCAUAUACAACAAGAGACAAUCAAGCUCAAUCCUACCCAUUUCCCGAACUAUACUUUGUUUAUUUAAUAUAACAUAAAGUUUCGCACGAUUGUUUUUCAACUAAGUUCCUCUCUUUUACAGAUGAACACCGUGCUACACCCGCCCAGGAUACGGCACAACGGAGACACAGGCGCAGACGUGCAGUAGGGACCCCUCCCAAGGAUUCUUUUCAGAUUAAGACCCUGCGUAAACCUUUUUCACUGUCUCUUGUUGAUAACAUCCCCCGGUUUCUUUCCAUAACCGAGGAGGAGGCUGGCGUCCUGGCAUUUGGCCACGUCAGAUUUUUGCGCGUACCUAGACACCAGAGGCUUCUUAUCAAGAGCAUUGUUCAGCCCGUUUUCAUAAAGACCGAACACCUUAGGGAGUGUUCGGCGUCGCGAGUUUGGCCUUAUAUGCAUCAGCUCUGAAUCAUGUCUUUGGUCAAAUGUUGGGUUUGCCCGGCUCCUGUGUUUUGCUGCCUUACGUUCCGCUCUAUUGGCUAAGGCGGCACUAGGAGAACUACUGUGAUUGUGCCCCGGUUCGGCCAGGCGAGCACCUCAGUAGAGAAAGCGGAAAACUGACUGUCAUGAUAUAGCGCGAGACUGGUCAACCACUCGAUGACCCGCCGAAAUCUUUAGAAUUCCUCCGCAUUAACGAAGGGCCGUUUCCCGGUCAGGCACAUACGCGCCCCGAAUUCGGGUGAGCGCGGUGCCCCUAGGGGCUAUAUAGUAGCUCCACUGUCAAACUCCUCUGGCUAAGUGAAAGUGAUAAAGCAUUAUAGUCCGGUUGCCUAGUUCGCUGCGUUGUCACCUCCUUUAUAGGACCAAGACGUUGGAUCAAGUGUGAAAAUGCGCCUUUUGCAAACACCCCCGCAUUAUAUGCGUGGGGGCUGAAGCAGAAGACUGCCAUCUUCCAGGUUAUAUACGCAUAUACAUCAAUGGCCGCACAGGAGGUAUUCUAAUUCUUGAAAGCGCAAGUAUAAAAAGCUUUUAUAUCCCAUCAAAACAUUGUUUUACAAUGACACACGUUAUUCAUACAUAACAUCCUUCGAGCACUGCGUCUCUAUUAAACGAGCGCCCUGCAGAACCUCCGGAAAAUAGUGCUCGGCAGGUACUCGGCUUUCGUCUAAAUCUUGGGAUGCAACAGCACUGGCCUUCAUAUCCGCCCAGUAUGUCUUGACACGGGCAAGAGCCAUCUGUGCACCCUCUAUGCACGCCGACUUCUUCAUUGCAUUAAUAUGUGGCACCGCACCGAGGAACUGCUGCACCAGGCUAAAAUAACUGUUCGGCUCGGGCCUUUUCGGCCACAGGUGACUCACGACAUGAUUCAUGGCGAGUCCGGAUAACUUAUUCAGCUCCGCCCAUGCGGCCAACUGAUUGGACACUGAAAGUGGGCGCUCUGGAUUGUGGAACUGCGACCAAAAAAGCUUCUCCACUUUGCGGUCAUUUUGAUCGCAGAAGUGUUCGGCCGCGUCCACGACACACGCUGCCACGUCCAGGUAAGUGUUCGCCGCACUCCACUUCCGGUCCAACGAAGCAUAUCUAGGAUCCCCAAACUUCAUCCGCAGCAUAUAGGGCUUCCUAGCCGUGAUAUCUCCGGCCUAACGUAGCUCCUCUUUCAUAGCUCUCAUCGCAGAGCGAAUGUCCUUGACCUCGGCAGUGACCUUUUCUAGGUCCUUCUGUGCCACUCGAUCUUCUUUUUCAAGAAGCUUGCAGCGGUCGGCAGCAUUCUUCAACUUUCCAGCCAUCUUGGCCUUUUCCUUCUUGCUUUGGCAGUGAGCAGCCUGUUCGGCUUUCAGCUCUUCAGCUGCCUUUAAGGCAGCCACAUCGCUUUUUCUGGCCUGCUCCUUGGCUCGAGCAAGUUCCGCCCGAAGGUUCUCCAUGGCAGCGGCACCAUCUGCAUCAAGCACAUAUGUUGUAAGGUACGGGCAUCAAGCUCCUCUUACCAGGUGUCUUCGGAGAAAUUAUAUACCUUGUGCCUCGUCAAGCCGCUUGUUGACAAGCGCGAUGUCGGCAUCUGCCACGUCAAGUUGCCACUUUAUCUCGGCAAAUUCAUCAAUCCGGCCAGCCACCGGACACUUCGCCACCUAUAUAAGAAAGGCGCAAUAUUAUACCUGGGAUUAUGAUCCUCGGCGCGCCGUCCCUUUUUGACAACGCACCGAGUCUCAGGGGCUACUAUCUACACAGGGCGCAUUUUACAUAUGCGGAUCUGUCAAAAGGUACAUCGCUUCACGUACCUCAAAACCCGUCAGUAAACUCCUGGCAGCCUCGUACAAUCCACUUUCCACAGAUGAAAUCCUUCCAAUCACCGUAUCCAUCAACGCACGAUGCUCUUCUGAGAUAGAUGCUUGCCCGAGCAGAUCCUUCAGCUCCUCCGACCGUGCACCAGGCGGUGCCGGACUCGUCCGCUGGCCUUCUUUGAAGGCCGGACACGAAGGGCCUUGGGGGGGCCAUACGACUGCCUUCUGGCCCGGCCGGAUUCGGAGAAACCCUCCGUGACGACACCUCAUGGUCGCCCGCCUCGCGAGGUGAUACGGCAGGGGGAGGCAUUCCGCUCUCCAUCAUCUCCGGACGGAGAUCCCCUGAAGAUGAGCUCUGCUGGGAAGGGCGGAGACCCAAACUACAAGGUAAAGAUUUCGGUUAUCUUCCUCGGGAAUAGAACAGGGAUAUCUCUCAUUUUAAAACCCCCCUCUUUACUUACGGCUCGGUGGAGAGCUGAUCCCCUUGGGGACACAAUGCGGCCGAGGCACCUCCCGGCGCCGGACCCUCUGACGAAGGUUUCUUCCCCCGCUUUGAGGCCAUCGCCUCCGGGUCUUCAGAGGCGGUCCUAUUCCUUCCAUGGUUGGAGGAAUUCUCGAUUCCUCCUUCCCUGACAGCCUCCUUCGGGGAGGCGGUAGCUUCCUUGUUCCCCUCUUCGCCUUCUUCCAAAGGCGCAACCUCCAGCAUCCUGGUUAACACAGGAUCCAGCGUAGUCUCGGGGAGGGGAGCCGGACACCUAAUUACUUUUGCUUUCGCUAUCCACUCCUGCUUAAGGGACGGCUCUUUCAAGGGCAAUUUUAUGACAAAUAUGCAUAUAGCGAGUCCAGGUAUAGGGCUACUUACUUGAGUGUCCAGACGAUUGCAGCUCAGACCGGCGUCCUUGGAUGAAUCCGGACACAUUGCUUGUGAUCCGAAGAACAAAUUGUACAUCUCCAUGGGCGUCGCGCCCACAAAAUGUUGGAGGGCUCGUGGUCCUUCCGGAUUAAACUCCCACAGGCGGAGGGGGCGGCGUUUGCAGGGCAGGAUGCGGAGAAUCAACACAACCUGCGUCACUACGGCCAGAUUGAUAUCUCUUUCUAGGAGGUCUCGAAUGCGGCCCUGCAACAAGGGCACGUCCUUGGAUGGCCCCCAGUUUAACCCUUUAUUGACCCAUGAUGCUAGCUAUGGUGGGGGACCCGAGCGAAAAGCAGGUGGCGCCACCCAUUUGGUGCCCCUGGGAGUAGUAAUAUAAAACCACUCUCGUUGCCAUAAGCCGAACUCCUCUUGAAAAGAGCCCUCGGGCCAUGGAGCGUCGGCAAUCUUGCUUAUAACAGCACCUCCGCACUCCGCAUGCUGCCCCUCGAUCAGCUUUGGCUCUAUUUUGAAGGUUUUGAGCCACAAUCCGAAGUGAGGAGUAAUAUGGAGGAAGGCCUCGCACGCGACAAUGAACGAUGAGAUAUGGAGGAUGGACUCCGGGGCUAAGUCGUGAAAUUCCAGCCCGUAAUAAAACAUGAGCCCCCUCACGAAGGGAUCGAUCGGGAAGCCUAGCCCCCGAAGGAAGUGAGACGCGAACACCACGCUCUCACCGGGCUUGGGAGUAGGAAUGACCUGCCCUUGGGUGGGCAGCCUAUGCAAGAUUUCACCGGUAAGAUACUUGGCAUCUCUUAACUUUAACACGUCUUCUUCCGUAACGGAGGAAGGCAUCCACCGGCCCUGAAGGUCGGAGCCGGACAUCGUCGGAAGUCCGAAGCGCCUGAAUCUGAAGCUUUGGGUGUUGGAACUCGAGGUAGGCGGCGGAUUUGAUUGAGAUUGAAAGAAAAGGAGUCGAGCCUUGGUCUCUUUAUAAAGAGGUUGAAUACUAAGAGCCCUCCCUGUGACCGUUUGGGAAUCACCUUUGCUUGAGAAGACAUACCAACAGGCACGGUUGGGUUACCCACGCCCGUAUUGAUAAGAAUCCCGGAAUAAGGGGACACAAUCUCUGCUUUGACAAGACGUGCCAAGGAAAUCGCCUCGCUAAACGCGCUGAGGUGGGACAGUAAAACGAUUCAAAUAAAGGCUUGGCCAUGGCAUGAUGUCACGCUGUAGAAUACAUCAGCAGAUUAGAUUUGUUCAAAUGUUAUUCUCUCUACGGUGUAUGUGGAACUUAUUUUGCAGAGCCGGACACUAUCUUUGUGUUCAAACAUCUUCUAUGAAGUAUUCGGAGGAGGAACCCGCCUUGCAAUGCCGAAGACAAUUGGCGUGCCGGACUCGUCGUCAUUGAAGCCUGGUUCAGGGGCUACUGAGGGAGUCCCGGAUUAGGGGGUGUCCGGAUGACCGGACUAUGACCUUUGGCCGGACUCCUGGACUAUGAAGAUACAAGAUUGAAGACUUCGUCCCGUGUAUGGAUGGGACAUUCCUUGGCGUGGAAGGCAAGCUUGGCGAUACGGAUAUGAAGAUCUCCUCCCAUUGUAACCGACUCUGUGUAACCCUAGCCCUCUCCGAUGUCUAUAUAAACCGGAGGGUUUUAGUCCGUAGGACGAACAACAAUCAUACCAUAGGCUAGCUUCUAGGGUUUAGCCUCUCUGAUCUCGUGGUAGAUCUACUCUUGUACUACCCAUAUCAUCAAUAUUAAUCAAGCAGGAGUAGGGUUUUACCUCCAUCGAGAGGGCCCAAACCUGGGUAAAAACAUCGUGUCCCUUGUCUCCUGUUACCAUCCGCCUAGACGCACAGUUCGGGACCCCCUACCCGUGAUCCGCCGGUUUUGACACCGACAUUGGUGCUUUCAUUGAGAGUUCCUCUGUGUCGUCGUCUUUAGGCCCGAUGGCUCCCCCGAUCAUCAACAACGACGCGGUCCAGGGUGAGACUUUUCUCCCCAGACAGAUCUUCGUAUUCGGCAGCUUUACACUGCGGGCCAAUUCGCUUGGCCAUCUGGAGCAGAUCGAAAGCUACGCCCCAGGCCAUCAGGUCAGAUUUGGAAGUUUGAACUACAUGGCAAACAUCCCUGGAGACUUGAUCUUCGACGAAUUCGAGCCACGGCCAAGCGUGCCGCACUGUCACGAUAGGCAUGACCUAGCUCUACCGCCAAACAGUGCCUUGGAGGCCGCCCCAAUGUCCGCUCCGACCCUUAGUUUGGAGCCGACUGUGCCAAUCGAGUACGGGUGGCUGGACACCGCCUCGGGGGCUGCAAUCUCCACGGCGAUCGAGACGAACACCAGCCUUGUCCUUUGCAAAGCUCGUGACUCCAAGAUGGCGGACUCCUUUUCGGACUCCGAACCUUUCGCGCCCCUGCCAAUCGAACCCGAUGGGGCGCCAAUCAUGGAGUUCGCCACCGCGGACAUCUUUCAGCACUCGCCCUUUGGCGACAUUCUAAACUCACUAAAGUCUCUCUCUUUAUCAGGAGAGCCCUGGCCGGACUAUGGUCAGCAAGGUUGGGAUGCGGACGACGAAGAAGUUUGAAGCCCACCCACCACCCACUUUGUAGCCACUGUCGAUGAUUUAACCGACAUGCUUGAUUUCGACUCCGAAGACAUCAACGGUAUGGACGACGAUGCAGGAGACGAACAGGAAACAGCGCCUAUAGGGCACUGGACAACCACCUCAUCUCACGAGGUAUACAUGGUGGAUACACCUAAAAGAAGCGACGAUGAGGAACAAAGGGACGCAACGAGGGAUCGCUCCCUUGACAAGCAAUCAAAGCGGCGGCGUAAGCACCGCGCCAAACCCCACCUCGACAGAAACCCAGCCAACGAGUAGGGCGAACCGGCGGACGACGAACAUACCAUCGAGCAAUCAUCCGAACAUGGCAAUUUGGGUAAACAAACUGAACAACCCGUCCCCGGUGAAGAUAAUAGUCCGGACGACCUCACGCCGGACAAAAUGCUGGAGCAGCAGAAUCUCCACAAAAGGCUCAUCGCCACUGCGCGUAGCUUGAAAAAGCAGAAGCGGAAGCUCAAAACAGCGGAAGAUGCACUCAGAAUUAGAUGGGGCAAAGUACUCAACACAGCAAACAAGUACGGCGACAGUCGUCACACAAAGAGCUAUCCGAAGCGGAAAUUACUGCCGGAAUUUGAUGAGGAGGCCUUAGAGCCCCCGCAAUCAAAAAAUAAAAAAGACACCCGGUCGGAUAAAAAACCCCAUGGCCAACAUAGAGCGGCAAGGGGCGCCGCACUCAAGCCGGCACGCGAUCCGCACAAGGAUUCGCAUCAAAAAGACGGUCUGGCCAGAUCUAUCUACGGGCCAAGAAAGCAAGCUCUAGUAAGCAACACAGCGCAACAAGUAUCUGAACAUCACGACAUACCCAAGUAUAGGGGUGCCGCACACCCCUUAUGUUUCACCGAUGAGGUGCUGGACCACGAAUUUCCAGCGGGAUUCAAGCCCGUAAACAUAGAGGCAUACGACGGAAUAACAUACCCUGGAGUCUGGAUUGAGGACUAUAUCCUCCACAUACACAUGGCUAGAGGAGAUGACCUCCACGCCAUAAAAUACUUACCCCUAAAGCUCAAAGGGCCAUCCCGACAUUGGCUUAAAAGCCUUCCCGAAAACACCAUCGGAAGUUGGGAAGAGCUCGAGGAUGCUUUUCGGGCAAAUUGUCAAGGGACCUAUGUCCGACCUCCGGAUGCAGAUGAUCUAAGUCAUGUAACUCAACAACCCGGAGAGUCAGCCCAGAAACUCUGGAACAGAUUUCUUACUAAAAAGAACCAGAUAGUCGACUAUUCGGACGCCGAAGCCUUAGCAGCCUUCAAACACAGCGUUCGAGACGAAUGGCUCGCCAGACACCUCGGCCAAGAAAAGCCAAGAACAAUGGCCACAUUAACAAUCCUCAUGACCCGCUUUUGCGCAGGAGAGGACAGUUGGUUGGCAAGAAGCAGCACCAGCGACCCAAGCACAUCCGAAGUCAGGGAUGGAAACGGGAAACCACGGCAUAGCAAGGACCAACGCCGAACCAAGGGAAACAGCCUGAAGAGCGCGGCAGUCAACGCCGGAUUCAAAAGCUCUCGGCAGAAUCAGAAAAAGCUGCCCCUCAAGGAUAGCAGGGAUGAGCUAUCUAACCUAAACAACAUCUUGGACAAAAUAUGUCAAAUCCACAAUACUCCCGGGAAGCCUGCAAACCAUACCCACAGAAAUUGUUGGGUCUUCAACAAUCCGGCAAACUUAACGCCGAACACAAGGGGCUCGACAUACCAAGCGAGGACGAUGACGAACCCCACAAAUAGAGCACGGAGAACAAAAGAAAUUCCCACAAGAAGUCAAAAUAGUAAACUCACUUCACGUGACAAAAGGGAAAUACAGAGCGACGCCUAUAAAGAUACGCGCCAUACGGCCUGUUCCAGAGGAGUCCGACCACUGGUCAUUACAACCAAUCACCUUCGACCAUCAGGAUUACUCUAGAAGUAUCUGGAACACGGGCAGGACUGCCAUGGUAUUCAAUCCGAUAAUUGACGGACUCCACUUUACAAAAGUCCUAAUGGACGGCGGCAGUGAUUUAAACCUGCUAUACCAGGACACAGUCCGCACAAUGGGGAUAAACCUGACAAAAAUUUGCCAUGGCAACACUUCCUUUCAAGGGGUAACGCUAGGCCCAGAUACCCAUUGCACGGGUUCUCUCCUACUAGAAGUUAUGUUCGGCUUCCCCGACAACUUCCGUCGUGAAAAGCUAACCUUUCACAUCGCCCCAUUCACAAGUAGCUAUCAAGCACUGCUGGGACGCGACGCUUUCGCCCGCUUUAACGCAAUACCGCAUUAUGCAUCCCUUACGUUUAAAAUGCUCGGUCCACGAGGCAUCAUCUCAUUAAAGGGAAAUAUCGAGUGUUCCUCGAGUGCGGAAUACUAUGCGGCUGCUUUGACAGCCACACACUAAACCAGCUUUACUAGUUAAAGCAACUAAACAGGUCGUUCAGACCCCCGGACAUGGCUAGACGAGUCCGGCGUAAACAUGCAAAGGCUUAUUAGCAGCACACCCCCGUAAAAGGGCCUCCGCGCAUAUACAACAAGAGACAAUCAAGCUCAAUCCUACCCAUUUCCCGAACUAUACUUUGUUUAUUUAAUAUAACAUAAAGUUUCGCACGAUUGUUUUUCAACUAAGUUCCUCUCUUUUACAGAUGAACACCGUGCUACACCCGCCCAGGAUACGGCACAACGGAGACAUAGGCGCAGACGUGCAGUAGGGACCCCUCCCAAGGAUUCUUUUCAGAUUAAGACCCUGCGUAAACCUUUUUCACUGUCUCUUGUUGACAACAUCCCCCGGUUUCUUUCCAUAACCGAGGAGGAGGCUGGCGUCUUGGCAUUUGGCCACGUCAGAUUUUUGCGCGUACCUAGACACCAGAGGCUUCUUAUCAAGAGCAUUGUUUAGCCCGUUUUCAUAAAGACCGAACACCUUAGGGAGUGUUCGGCGUCGCGAGUUUGGCCUUAUAUGCAUCAGCUCUGAAUCAUGUCUUUGGUCAAAUGUUCGGAGCUGACACAUAUAAGGCCAAACUCGCGACGCCGAACACUCCCGAAGGUAUUCGGACUUUAUAACGUAUACUGGGCUGAGUAACGCCCCUUAUUAUGAACCCUGUAUUCCCAGGUACGUGCAUUAGUCUGUCGUGGCGAAAUGCCAAUAACGGCAGUAUCCUCUGCGGGUGUAGUGCCCAUGGGAUGUGUAAGCAACAAGAGACAAUAAAGAAGGUUUACACAGGGGCUUAAUCUAAAGAGAAACCUUUGAGCGGGGCCCUGCUGCACGUCUGCGCCUUUGUCCCUGUUGUGCCGUGUCCUGGGAGGGUGUCGCACGAAUGGUGUCUGUAAAAAGAAAAACUCAUGUAGAAGAGUAUGACAUAAGCGUGCGAAAAGUUGGCUAUCAAUAAUGGAUAGUAAAAGUGUAAGACAUUGGCCUGUUAAUAAGGUUAGGCCGAGAAUUGGGCUUUAUUAAUUGUCUAUAGCCCCUGGUGUCCUCUAUGGGAUUACAUGUGUGGCGCCUAGAUCAGGUUGAUCUGGGCUGUCAGACUCGUCUAACCGUGUCCGUGGUCUUAACAACCAAUCAUGCUAUCUGGUAUUAGAGGCCGCUUAGAGUCCGGCUGCUGGAGCCGUCGCGUAUUCCUCCGUGCGUAAGGAACACUCUAUACUUCUGUUAACGGUGAUGACACCGCGUGGACCAGGCAUCUUGAGUUUAAGGUAGGCGUAGUGCGGUACUGCGUUGAAGCAAGCAAAGGUCGUUCUCCCGAGCAAUGUGUGAUAACCACUUUGGAGGGGGCGCUGGGGAAGAGUAGUUUUUUGCUUCUGAAGUUGCCUGGGGAGCCGAAUAUCACCUCUAGUAUGAGGGAGCCCCUGCAGUGGGCUUCGACGCCUGGUAUCACCCCUUCAAAGGUGGUGUUACUGUGGUUGAUUCUGGAUGGGUCUAUCCCCAUCCUGCGGACAAUCUCCUGGCAUAUUAGAUUAAGACUACUGUCGUUGUCCGCGAGGACGUGAGUAAGAUGGUAUCCGUCGAUUAUUGGGUCGAGCACCAAGGCAGUUGAUCCUCCAUGCCGAAUACUAGUCGGGUAGUCCUUGUGAUCGAAAGUGAUUGGGUAAGCCGACCAGUGGUUAAGUUUGGGUGCAACGGGCUCUAUAGUGCAUGCGUCUCUGAGCGCGCAUUCGCGCUUUCUCGUGGAUAUGUGAGUCGCGUGGAUCAUGUUUACUGUUUUUACCUCUGGUGGGAAUUUUUUCUGUCCCCCAGUGUUCGGCUGGCGAGGCUCAUCCUCGUCUUCACUUGGUGUUUCCCUUCCCUUGUGUUCGACAUUUAAUUUGCUGGCCUACUUGAAGACCCAGCAUUCCCUGUGAGUGUGGUUCGCAGGUUUUUCGGGGGUGCCAUGAAUUUGGCACAGUCUGUCCAUGACUUUGUUCAGGCCGGACGGUCCCUCUUUGUUGCCUUUAAAUGGCUUCUUUUGUUGACCGGGUCGAGAGCCCCUGAAUCCGGCGUUGACCAUUGUGUUGUCCGAACUUUCUUCCUUGUUUUGACGUUUGUUUUUAUUGCGAUGUGGCUUCCCGUUGCCAUCCCUGGUUUCGGAUGUACUUGGGUCGUUAGUGCCUUUACGGGCCAACCAGCUAUCUUUGCCUGUGCAAAAACGGGUCAUAAGGCUUGUUAAGGCUGCCAUUGUCCUCGGCUUUUCUUGGACGAGGUGUCUGGCGGGCCAUUCGUCCCGGAUGCUAUGCUUGAAGGCUGCUAGGGCUUCGGCAUCCGGACAAUCGACAAUUUGAUUCUUCUUAGUGAGGAAUCUAUUCCAAAGCUUGCGGGCGGACUCUCCGGGCUGUUGAAUUAUGUGACUUAAAUUGUCCGCAUCCGGAGGCCAGACGUAGGUCCCUUGAAAAUUGGCCCUGAAAGCAUCCUCGAGUUCCUCCCAACUUCCAAUUGAAUUUUUGGGGAGGCUUUUCAACCAGUGUCGAGCUGGUCCCUUCAACUUGAGGGGAAGGUAUUUGAUGGCGUGGAGGUCGUCCCCACGAGCCAUGUGGAUAUGCAGGAUAAAAAUCCUCAAUCCAGACCCCGGGGUCUGUCGUUCUGUCGUAUGCCUCUAUGUUCACAGGUUUAAAACCCUGUGGAAAUUCAUGGUCCAGCACCUCUUUGGUGAAGCACAGGGGGUGAGCAGCCCCUCUGUAUCUGGACGUGUUAUGGCAUGCCGUCAGUUGUUGUUGUGUCCGGUGCUGAUUUCGAGCUGGUAUCCGAUUGGUAGGAUCGUUUUGGUGACCAUAGUACUGCGCAGGGGUGUGUCCUUUAGAUCCAUAGAUGGACCUAGCCGCAUCGGCCUUUUUAUCCAGCAGCUCACGUAAAUCGUGUGUAGCGUCGGUAGCCGCUCUAUUGUGGUUACGAAGUGGUUUGUCCGGCCUCCUGGCCGUAUUGUUUUUCGGUGGAACGGCCUCAUCGUCGAAUUCUGGCAGCAGCUUGCGUUUUGGAUAGCUCUUUGUGUGGCGAUCGUCGUCGUACUUUUCUUCAGUGUCUAGCACUUUAUUCCAUCUGCGACUGAGCGUUUCCUGUGCGGCCUCAAGCCUUUGCUUCUGCUUCUUUACACUUCUCGCAGUGGCCAUAAGGCUUUGAUAACCCACAAGUAUAGGGGAUCGCAACAGUUUUCGAGGGUAGAGUAUUCAACCCAAAUUUAUUGAUUCGACAAAAGGAGAGCCAAAGAAUAUUCUCAAGUAUUAGCAGCUGAGUUGUCAAUUCAACCACACCUGGAAACUUAGUAUCUGCAGCAAAGUGUUUAGUAGCAAAGUAAUAUGAUAGUGGUGGUAACGGUAACAAAAGUAAAGACAGCAAAAGUAAUGUUUUUGGUAUUUUGUAGUGAUUGUAACAGUAGCAACAAAAAAGUAAAUAAGCGAGAACCAGCAUAUGGAAAACUCAUAGGCACCGGAUUAGCGAUGGAUAAUUAUGCCGGAUGCGGUUCGUCAUGUUACAGUCAUAACAUAGGGUGACACAGAACUAGCCCCAGUUCAUCAAUGUAAUGUAGGCAUGUAUUCCGUAUAUAGUCAUACAUGCUUAUGGAAAAGAACUUGCAUGACAUCUUUUGUCCUACCCUCCCGUGGCAGCGGGGUCCUAUUGGAAACUAAGGGAUAUUAAGGCCUCCUUUUAAUAGAGAACCGGAACAAAGCAUUAGCACAUAGUGAAUACAUGAACUCCUCAAACUAUGGUCAUCACCGGGAGUGGUCCCGAUUAUUGUCACUUCGGGGUUGCCGGAUCAUAACACAUAGUAGGUGACAAUAGACUUGCAAGAUAGGAUCAAUAACACACAUAUAUUCAUGAAAACAUAAUAGGUUCAGAUCUGAAAUCAUGGCACUCGGGCCCUAGUGACAAGCAUUAAGCAUAGCAAAGUCAUAGCAACAUCAAUCUCAGAACAUAAUGGAUACUAGGGAUCAAACCCUAACAAAACUAACUCGAUUACAUGAUAAAUCUCAUCCAACCCAUCACCGUCCAGCAAGCCUACGAUGGAAUUACUCACGCACGGCGGUGAGUAUCAUGAAAUUGGUGAUGGAGGAUGGUUGAUGAUGACGACGGCGACGAAUCCCCCUCUCCGGAGCCCCGAACGGACUCCACAUCAGCCCUCCCGAGAGAGAUUAGGGCUUGGCGGUGGCUCCGUAUCGUAAAAUGCGAUAAUUUCUUCUCUCUGAUUUGUUUUCUCCCUGAAAGCCAAUAAAUAGAGUUGGAGUUGGCAUCGAAGGGCCACCAGGGGACCCAAGAGGUAGGGGCGCGUCCAGGGGGGCGCGCCCCCACCCUCGUGGACAGGGUGUGGGCCCCCUGGUCUUCAUAUUUGGUGAGGAUUUUUUAUUAUUUUUUCUAAGGUGUUCCGUGGAGUUUCAGGUCAUUCCGAGAACUUCUAUUUUCUGCACAUAAAACAAGACCAUGGCAAUUCUGCUGAAAACAACCUCAGUCCGGGUUAGUUCCAUUCAAAUCAUACAAGUUAGAGUCCAAAACAAGGGCAAAAGUGUUUGGAAAAGUAGAUACGACGGAGAUGUAUCAGCCUUCUGUGGAGGUUAUCUCGUUCCAAACAUGUUUCCGGGAUGAUGAGUGCAUCAUCAUUCGGACUAUGCUCUUGUCCCGGGGCGGUUUGAUGAGCUCGUCCCUCGGGAUCAUUGUGAUCGGGCGUCUGCUCCGAGCUGUGUUCGGCGUGACCUGGCUCAUCCUGCUCCAUUGCUGGGUCCAUAUGGUCGUUGUUGCCUUCGGAGUUGACUGGGGUGUCGAUCUUUCUAGUGUUGUUAUCGCUAUUUUUACUGUGCUGGACUUGGAGCGGCGUCUGCGUCAUUGUUUUGGCUUUUGUCUGGGGGUUUUAUCCUCCAGUUUAUCGCCGUCGUCCUCCUUAGGCGUAUCCACCAUGUAUAUAUCGUAUGACGAGGUGGCAGUCCAGCGCCCCGUUGGUUCUGAAUCGUCUCCUGCGCCGACGUCCAUACCGUCGGUAUCAUCGGAGUCGAAGUCAAGCAUGUCUGAUACAUCGUCGACAGUGGCUAUGAAGUGGGUGGUGGGUGGGCAACGGAUUUCUUCGUCACCUUCUUCCCCCUUGAGCCGGACAUAGUUCGGCCAAGAGUCUCUUGACAAAGAUAGAGACUUUAAUGAGUUCAGCAUGUCGCCAAAGGGCGAGUACUGGAAGAUAUCCAUAGCGUUGAACUCCAUUACCGGAGCCCAACCAGGUUCGGCGGGCUUGGGAGCGCGCGGGCUGUAACCUAUAGCCGGAUACGAGUCCGGGGGUCCGGUAUCACAGGCUUCCUUGGGGGUGAAGUCUGUGUUCGGCUCUACCGCCGAUGGGUGUGCGGCCUCUGGGGCGGGGUCCAUCCACCCGUCCUCGGGCGACGCAAUCUGCCUCGGAUUUAGGUCCGGGGCUCCUGCGGGGGUGAUAUCCCGAGCAUUGUCUGACAGCAGGUCUAAGCCGUGCUCAUCGUGACUGUCCGGUGCUCCUGGCAUAGGCCCGGAUCCGUUGAAGAUCAAGUCUUCACGGAUAUCGGCCGUGUAGUUUAGGUUCCCGAACCUGACCUGAUGGCCAGGGGCGUAGCCGUCGAUCUGUUUCAGAUGGCCAAGCGAAUUGGCCUACAGUGUGAAGCCACCGAACACGAAGAUCUGUCCGGGGAGAAAAGUCUCACCCUAGACCAUGUUGUUGAUGAUUAAAGGAGCCAUCAUGCCUUGCAGCGACGACACAGUGGAACUCUCAAUGAAAGCACCAAUGUCGGUGUCAAAAUCGGCGGAUCUCGGGUAGGGGAUCCUGAUCUAUGCGUCUAAGGCUGAUGGUAAUAGGAGGCAAGGGACACGAUGUUUUACCCAGGUCCGGGCCCUCUCGAUGGAGGUAAAACCCUACUUCCUGCUUGAUUGAUAUUGAUGAUAUGAGUGUUUCAAGAGUUGAUCUACCUCGAGAUCGUAGAUGCUAAACCCUAGAAGCUAGCCUAUGAUGAUUAUGAUUCUGUCUCUAAGGACUAAACCCUCCGGUUUAUAUAGAUACCGGAGGGGGCUAGGGUUUACAUGGAGUCGGUUACAAAGAAGGAAAUAUAAUAUCCGGAUCGCCAAGCCUGUGUUCCACGCAAAGGAGAGUCCCAUCCGGACACGGGACGAAGCCUUGAGUCUUGCAUCUUCACGGUCCAACAGUCCGGCCAAAGUAUAUAGUCCGGCUGUCCGGAUACCCCCUAAUCCAGGACUCCCUCAAGGGGGUCUUCUUCCCCAAUGAACCUUAUCAUUUGAGCUUGUGUUCUUCCCCAUUGUUGACCUUCUUCGAGCUUGCUAACUCUCAAUCCCUCCAUGGAUUCUUGCUAGCUUUUGAGGGAAAAGAGAGAGGAGAUCUAGAUCCACAUUUCCACCAAUCACUUUCUCCUCUAUGUGAGGGGAACCCCUUGGAUCUAGAUCUUGGAGUUCUUGGUGUUCUCCUUCUUGUUCUUCCUCUCAUCUUCCUCCCUGGCAUUAGUUGCUUCGAUGGGAUUUGAGAGAGAAGGAUUUGGGCACUCCGUGUGCCCUUGCCAUUGCAUUUGGUGCAUCGAUUUGAGUUCUCCACGUGAUACAUGGAAGUUACAAAUUGAGAAGCUUAUUACCCUUGGGUGCUUGGUACCCUUGAGCUUGUUACUCUUGUGUGCUUGGACACCCUAGAGCUUGUUCCUCUUGGGUGCCUUGGCGCCCUAGACGAUUGGUGUUGUUCGGAGCUCAAUCAUUGUGGUGUAAAGCUCCGGGCAAGCGCCGGGGUCUCCAAUUAGGUUGUGGAGAUCGCCCCGAGCAAUUUGACGGGUACCGGUGACCGCCCCAAGGGUUGCCAAAGUGUACGGGUUUGGUGACCGCCCCGAAGGGUUGCCAUUUGUACAAGUUCGGUGACCGCCCUCAAGGGUCCCUUAGUGGAAUCACGGCAUCUUGCAUUGUGCGAGGGCGUGAGGAGAUUACGGUGGCCCUAGUGGCUUCUUGGGGAGCAUUGUGCCUCCACACCGCUCCAAACGGAGAUUAGCAUCCACAAGGGUGUGAACUUCGGGAUACAUCGUCGUCUCCGCGUGCCUCGAUUAUCUCUUACCCGAGCCCUUUACUUAUGCACUUUACUUUGUGAUAGCCAUAUUGUUCUUUGUCAUAUAUCUUGCUAUCACAUAGUUGCUUAUCUUGCUUAGCAUAAGUUGUUGGUGCACAUAGGUGAGCCUAGUUAUUUUAGGUUUUGUGCUUGACAAAUUAACCGCUAGGUUUAUUCCGCAUUUGUUCAAGCCUAAACCGUAAUUAUUUUAAAGCGCCUAUUCACCCCACCCCACCCCACCCCCCCACCCCCCCUCUAGGCGACAUCCUCGAUCUUUCACUUGGUAUUAUAGCCUUUUGCUCGCAGCAAAUAAGCCACUCCAAAUGUUUAAACAAAUUUAUUCUUCUGCAAAACAUUGAAUCGUAUGAAACCUAAGCUCUUGCGACUCUUUCAAAACUGAUGGUCUAAACCUCUAGAUAUACACAUGGCCAACAUGCUUACGUGACACUAACCUUCUAAACGGGUGCACCAAAGCAAGUUAAGUAUUGUUGACCCGUUUAACUCCUAGGAGACAGAUUACAGAAGGAAACCCCUUUUCUGAUUGGCCACAUGCAGCUCCAUAUUUUAAUUAUUUAUCAUUGCUUCGAAAUUGUACAAUAGUGCAAAAGAAAGAGGGAGAAACCAAUGAUUCUAAAGCUUGUUUUUUACAUUUUGGGAAACUAUGGAUUGGACAUGCUUAUUUACAUGUUUACAUGUCUUUAUUUUCUCUUCUUCGUAUGCUUUCUUCUGGUUUUUUUCCAACUCCCAUGUGUGUAUAGAGAACUAUCUUUUACUUUCAUUCAUAUUUCCACUUGUUGGCAGACAUGAAGAUAAUGGCAAGUAUUGUCACUAUGGUCGUUUCUGUCCGCCGCAGUUGCAACAAGAUCGACCACAGGGCUAUGAUAUUCCUAUUGCUCUGCUGGUAACCACUACAAAGCAAAUUUAAAGUUGUCGUUCUUUGGGUUGCACCAGAAGAUCUCCACUUCGGCCGCACUUUUUGCUACGGACUUGGUUGCAUCUUUGGGCUACACCAGAAGAUCUCCACUUCGGCCACAUUCAUUUGUUUGCAACAAAUGCAUUUAUGAAGUGUUUCAAGACGCACAAAGAUCUGUACGUACAAGAAUUAUGUGGAUGGGUCUGCUCCCCCAUUUAUAUAUCAGGGGUACUAUUUAUAUACCAGGGGUACAUACUGGGGGAGGGGGGCAAAUGCCCCCCCCCCCCCCCCACACACAAAAUAUAUUUGUUCAAUGGUUGUUUACGGUUGAGUAUAUGCAUGUUAUAUUCACUAUAUAUAUAAUUCAAUCACAAUAUAGAAUAUAUAUGGUAUAUUAAGUGGAAAAAUGCUAAUGGUGCUUGCUAUCUUGACCGUCCUCCAUCAGUGUGGGAUCCCCAACUAGCGCAUAUACGGGAUACAACUAGCACUGUAUAUUGCAUUGCAUGUGCGUAUUCCGGCUGAAAGCCACCCUAGAGCUAGCUAGAGAAUCUCUCCCGGCCCUCCAACCAAUUAAUUUGCCGCGCAAAUGCAUUAGCAUUUCCAGAAAACGCAUGUACACGAGCUCAUCGACUAGGAGAAUAUCUUGUGAUAAUGCUCCAAGUUUGGAAAGGUCAAACUGAGAAGUGUCAAAAAAUUCUGAUUUGUUUUUGAAUGUCAUAACACAUAUGUUUACAACCCCUAGAAAUUUUGAAUCUAAAUUCGAAAUACACAUUAAGAAUAAAAAAGAUAAAUCCAACAUGAAUAGUGUCAGUAAUAGAGACAACAUGAAUAUGUCCAAAACAACACUAUUCAUAUCUGAAUUUAUUUAUUUUUGUUUCUCAAUGUGUAUUUUGAAUUUGGAUCUGAAAUUUUUAGGAGUGGUAGACAUAUGUCUUGUGAAGAUUCAUAAAAAAAAAUAUUAACACUUCCAAAUUUGACCUUUUUUAAACUUAGAGCAUGGGAGCACUUGAGUCAUGGUAUCACAAUGAUAUACUCCCCUCAUGGACUGUACUCACAUGUGCGGGAGCUCAUGAACUGUACUCAGGCCGGUGGUAACAAUUCUUGUGUAUGUGGAGAAGAUAGUACUGUCCACAAUCAGUACAUAAUUGAGCUUUGCCCGCAUGCCGAGUCAAUUUGUUUGGCAUUAGGUGAGACGGAUCUCAUAGUUAUUUACAUUUUCUUUUUUUUUGUGAGAAAAAAAAUAGAUUUUCUUAGAGUGGUAUAGUUUAGGGCUCCGCUCUUAUUGCUCGGCCUGUUGGGCUUUGUGAGAGCCCAUGGUCAGUGAUGCCGAUUGGACUCUAAACUAAAAAUCAGAAUACAAUGUUCCAACCCCUACUUGCUCUAAUUAAGUUUUAACAAAAAUCCUAGUUUGUCUCAAAAAAAAAUCCUAGUGCCCUAAAAAAUUGUUACAUUUCUCAAAAAAAAAAAGUGUUACAAUCCUAUUGCUCAUUUCCAAAACAAACAAGCAAAAAAAAAUCCUACAGACCGAUCAAAACAGAAUGCUCCUGUCCGUCUUAUAGUUGUAUACGUAAUUUUUUGUUCGAUUUUCCAGCUUGUCAUUUUUCACCCCCACAUAUAGCAUGCAAGUAUGGAACUGUACCACAUACAGCAUGGAAGAACAUAUCAAUGCUACAUAAAAGUUGACAUGGAAAAGCUGUCGACACAACUCCAAUUCUACAUGAGAUCCAAUGGACCAACGUUAACAGCAAUAGAACAUUUGUAAACCUCGGUCAGUAGAAUAGAGACACCCUGCACGCAAAGGAGCAACCACUAUUUUCAUCACAGCCCAGUACAACAGAUAUCUCAUCCAUUCUCUUUCCUUGAAGAAAAAAAAGAACUCAUCCAAAACCUUUGCCAAGUCUUCUUUCGAUCACCGUAUAUAUAUGUUACAACAAAAACACGCCGAGCUAGAUCGGACUUGUACAAACAAAUGAUGAAUCGAAUUAAGUUACAGCUUUGACCUCCACCUAUAACCUAUCUACGGAGCACAAUGUCAAUCUCCAGUCCACUGCAGUUCUUGUAGUCGGUUCCAACGGUGCCGGAGAACUAAAACCGCAGGCACCCGCCACAGCAUUGCUUGCCGGAGAAUGCUCUGCCUGAUCGGCUAGCGCACCAUCGGCUUGUCACACAUCAAAACCUUCCUGCUAGCAUACGCGCCUUCAGCAGUGUCACGUAUGGUGGAUCUCCAUCCCAUCGCGUCUGUUAUUUCCUUGAUCUCCACUAUCGUUUCCUUUUUAUCACGGAUAUACGCCCUACCACCAGGUCUGAGUAUCCGAUCCAUCUCAAGCAAGAUAAUUGAGGCGUUACACCUGGUAAUGAGAGAAAAUAUGGUGAACUGCAAAUAAGGUAUAUCCGAUGAAUGACGCAAGGUCGGUUCUUCUGCAUUACAACUACCACAGAGUAAUAGAUGACACAAUAAUCCAAGCAAGGUGUUGUCAACCGGGUGCUUAAACAGUGCAACUUAGUUACAUAGCCGGGCAUCCAUGUAAUAAACCAUCUCCUUUAACGUAAGCACCUCAAUUGUUUACAUGUUUUGCUAAAGGCUAGAAGGCCUAAAGCAGCAGUUUGUUCUCAAUUGUAUUCUUGGGUUUCCUGGGUUAUACAACCAUGGAGAUUUCUACAUAUCUUUUGUCAAGAAAUCUGAACAAAGAACUAACAUGAAUUUAUGUUCAAAAGAGCUGGUUACCUUUUCUGCUCCUUUGAGAAUAGCCCGAAUGCAUGCAGCAGAUCAUAAGUCCUUGGAUAUGUGUCAAAUGGUUCACACCUGUCCAUAUAAACAUAUAAAUUGCAGAAUGGGCAAUAUCAAGGUGGAAACUACAUGAUGCCCUUUGGGUGCCUUUUCUUCUUCUUCAAGAAAAAGGUGGAAACUAUGCCAUGAGCUCAUUCACGUCAAGCAUCUACCAGCUGCUUCUUAGAAAGAAGUUUGAUGUCCGGAAAAUAUAGGAAGCAAAGCACUGAUAAUAUUAUAAUAAAAAAUGUUGGCUAAUUCAAUGCAUGGCAACUCGUUCUGAGGAACUCAUUCAAACACUUCAGGAAGACAAGAUGCAAUGAGAAGAAAAUGUGGCUGAUAUGCUAUGCUUAGAACUCCAUGUUGAAGUGCAAUAUUUUUUUAGGAAGAGCAAUUCCAACUUAAUAUUAUGCCAGGCAACGAAUAUACCAAAAACUUACCAGUCAUGGGCCACUCCAAGAAGUCCCCGGUCAUAAAUUACAGGCAGUGUGUUUGGCUCAGUAACAGGAACAACAUUCAUCACCCAGCAAUCAAGCUUGCGACCGAUCAAUGCAGCAGCAAACCUACACGCAAAAUUGGUAAUAGAAAUGAGAUGUUCAGCAAAACAAACAAUAUUCCACAUCAAGCACAAAAGUCUGAUCUGCUAAUUAUUUUGUAUUCAGGACAACCCAUAGCCUGGUAUUAGAGCAAAAGGUUGUGACAGCCGAGGUCAUCGGUUCCAGCAGUAUUUCCAUGUAUUCUCGGUCUGUAUUCAUCCAAACAAAUGUGAGUCCUCCAUCUAGUAGCUUUGCUAACAACCUUCUAAUGGUCAGAGGUGAUUGGAGGCUAUUUCUAUGUUUGAAACAACAAGAGAGAGAAUGGAGGGACCAGGAAAGAAAGGGCUUUGAGCAAAUAAAUUACCCUCCAAAUCCAGCCCUCAUGUCCAUUACAUUCCGGAGUUUGAACUUUUUCCACUUGAAAACACGAAUAUAACCUUCGAGUAUAUCAUCCCAAAAUUUCGUCUCUGCUUUGAAAAGCUCAUUCUUUGAUGAGUAGGCGUCCAUUUCAACACCUUGAAGUCUCCUUGGAGGCUCCAUUAAGCGUGCAGGCCAUGGAAAGGGAGUUGAUCCGUCACUAUUCACAGGUAGUCGACUGAUACAUGCUUUCAGACCAACAUACCUGAAACCGAAGAGAACGUAUAGCGCAAAAAAAGUUUGUGUCAAAUAAGCUCAGUAACAGUAUAAUAUAGUCCAAGAAAGGAGAAGCAGUCUAUAUGAAUUUCAGCAUCUGUUAAAUGAUCGCAGUGCAAACAACAAGAUGAACAGGUUAAAGCACAUUGUUGCCCCAACAUUAAUUAUACGCCACAUUCUUGCAGAUUUUGCUGUCAACAUGCUUUGUGUUUAUCAGGUAUUGUCAUACUGAUGGCAAAUGCUUGACAGAUCUUGCUAAUGAUGAUGGAAAUGAAAGAUCGUUCGCAUCUAAAGUGCUAUUUUAAGGCCCGACAAGAAUUAAAGAUCUUAAUGACAGAGAAAACAAUGUGGCCAGUAAUGAGAGUUAUUAAGUUAUUUCCACUGCCAAGACUUAUCCAAGAAGUGACUAAAGUGUUAAACUGAGGCUUCAAUAAUAAAACCGGGUCAAGUGAGGUCGAAACAUACCAGACAUUAUCUGGAUUAUCAUCAGUAUCACAAAGUGGAGGUUUGACCCCUGGAUCACGGCUCAUAUAGCACGAGUUAUUUACAGGCUUCCUCCACAUAGCAACAUAUCCCUCUUUCUUCACAAGCUCCCAACAAAGUCGGGUUGUGAGGUCCUCCAUCUCUACAAAUAAAUUUAUCUGUGAGCAAUCAUUUUGGAAACAAAAAACAAUGCAGCAUUUCAUUAUCAGAGGCUUCUUGACCUGAUAUAAGUAAUGUUAUCAAAAACUAUUAUUACAACAUCCCAAGGAUUUGCAGUUUAAACUAUGCACUUCCAAUUUUCGUCAUCCUUCACAUGAAAGAAUAUCUCUGGCAUACUGUAGAUUUAAUCAGGCCAUCUGUGCAUAUUAGCAGUUUGGCGUAGAUAGUUGUUACUAGAAAAAUAUUGUUCAUGUGUAACCAUAGGAAUCCAUCCUCUUUCUAGUUGUGCAAUUUAACUUAUGCGGGAAACCGGGAACAGCCAAAUAGGUAGUAGAGCACAGAAUUCAGGUCAAAGCAUUUGUGUAUGCCAAAGAUACAGGCAUACACAAUAUGAUAACAUUUUUCCUGUCAAGACUGUGUUAAGUUGUUCUGGCUGAGAUCAGUUUGUAUUUUGCAAUAGGAUAGCACGAUCAAAAACAGAUCCAUUAGGUAAUGCCUGUAGCUCAAGAUCGAGUUUUCUGGCAGUGCAUCAGACUCGUUUCCCUCUAGUCCUAAUGAACUUCCUUUUCCAUUACCAGUCAACGGGAAUCCGGUUUGAAAACAAAAGAAGACUUUACUCUGACUAGAUCCUAAAAUCAACAAAUGGACAACUAUGGAUGCAUCUUGUGGAAAAAUAACAACAGUGUAAAUUGACACAUAGUGUAUAUAGCCCUAAAGAAACAAAAUUAUCACAUAGUACUAAGCAGCAAUACCUUUCCACGCCUCUUGCUGGGCCUCUUCAUGCUUAUAAACAGGCUGUGCUGCCCAAGCAAAAUACCCACCAGCUCUUAGCAUUCUAUUAACCUCCAGGAGCAGGAUUCCAUCUUAGAAAAGGUAAAUUAUGACAACAGGAAUUAAGUGGUUUGUCAAUCGAAGGAAUAAAGUAGGUGCAUUAUCAAGAAAAUAAAUAAAGUAAAACUACACAUCAAAAUGAGUGCUCACCGUCACGUGUCCAAUUUAUUCUGCAGCGGGAACAAUGGAUAAUCUCAAAUGCUUGACUGGGAUAUAAUAGUCUGUGUGUUGCAAAUGCUGCCACCAUUGCAGGAACACCACGCUCAAGAGCAAACUGUAUCUGAUUCUCAUGAACAUCUUUGGGGGCAAUGGACAAUGUCAACACGUCACGUGAAAGUAAGUAUGCGCCAAAACUUGCUACACCACAGCCAACAUCCAGAACAACUCUAGUGCGAGAGCCAAAUGCAAUAUCUGGUACCAUCUGGACAAACAGAGAAACAUGUGCUUCGAAUGAGAUUCAGAAAUGGUAGAGGUUUUUUAGCAGUGGAAGCUGAUGCAGUCCAUGAAACUUUAGCGGUUAUUUGUCUUUUGCAUGUUCCUGUUAAGCACGGAUGCAUCUAGAACCCAUAUGUGUUAUGUUCUACUUUUACUUAUACACUCUCUAGAAACUACUCGUUUGCUUUCAUGUUUUAAGCAAUUUGAAGUUACCUUUCACGUUUCCAAAAAGAUUUGAGUAAUUUAUAAUAUAUAAUCAAGGGAAACCUGAGAUAUCUGAUCCAGGUAUUGACUUGCUCCAUGUAUGAACUGGGUUCCUCCCCCAGGAAAUGUAAAUUUAUCUUUAGCCUUGGUAAUCCAAUUCUGCCCUCCUUUGUCGUCAACCAAGCGUGUAUGAGGUACAUUGCUAAACCACACCUGCAAUUCACAGAAGUACAUAAAUUCCAUUACAUGGAUGCUGCAGUUUCUGCGGGAAAAGCCAACCCAGUUGGUUCAAUUCGAUUCUGCAGCAAUAAUGGCAUACAUCAAAUGUUGCUUAAAUCAUGUCUAGUUCAUUCAAGCUAAAACUUUGAGUGCUGUGAUUGGUGAAACAAUAAACCCUGUGUGCAGAGAGGUGCUAGCAGAAACCCAAGAAGAAGAUUACUACAGUACAAAGACAUACUAUUCCAUUGCAGUAAAACCGAAAGGUUCUUUACCAGUUGAACCGGCAAGAAUCAAUACAGAUACUCACCUCGUCUCUGCUCCGAGGCCAGGGGAUGGGCGCCCUAUACCCCUUGGGGGCUGGCACGAGGCAGCUCAGGGCCUUGUCCUUGGCCGGGCAGUGCCGCUCGAACCGCUCCCCACGCUCCGUGGAGGGCAGCCGCCUGAUCUCCUCGUCGUUGUCGAGGCAGGGAAUGUACUCCCUCAUGCUCGCGGGGCAGGCAGGGAACUUCCCAAUCCGGGCCCUGUUGCCGCCGCCGGCGCCCGCGUUGCCAAGCUCCUCCGGCGCGCCCUCGUCGGUGGCCAGAUCGGUUUCGUUGACGACGGCGCCGAUGUCAAAGUCGUCCCGCAUAGCGCCGUCCUCGCCGACGAUGCCGAGGCGGACGGGCGGGGGAGGGGGCGAGGGCGGGAGGGGAGGCGGCGGUGGUGGCGACGGAGUUGGCGUUGGAGGCGGCGGCGACGGAGUUGGCAUUGGAGGCGGCGGAGAUGCCACUGGAGGCGGCGGCGGGGCAUUGGGGGUAGACGAAGCGGGCGGAGCAGCUGCGGGGGCGGGGAUUAGGGAUGGGUCGAAGGAGAUGUUGGAGUUAGGCGAGAUGGCGACGGAAGGGGAGCGAGACGAUAUGCGGGAGGAGGGGGACGCCGGGGAGAAGACGGACGAGAAGAAGAGGGGGCUCGCGGAGGCGUCGGACCAGCGGUAGCCGACGAGGAAGGAGGCGGCGCAGGCGAAGAAGAGCACGGUGGCGCGGACGAGGUGCGGGCCGCGGAGCAGAUCGGAGGCGUGCGCGCCGAGGGCCUUCAUGCUCGCCCCGCCGGCCGGCCGCCCUUGGGUGGGGAGCGAUCGGCGUCGGCGCGGUGCCUUGCCGAUGCGGAGGGGAUGGGAUCGUACAGCGGAGUGAACUGGACUCCGGCGUGUUGCUUCGAAGGGGAAAUCCCACUUCCGUUAUUAUUGUUUCUCGGAGGAGUAUGUACAGUGGUUGAUAGAAUAUUUCUUUUUGAAAAAUUCACUGUAGGUUACAUAACUCGAGCCGGGUGACACUUUGGUACCACUACUUUAAAAUAUCCGAACUACGGUCCACGUACUUGCGCAAGGGGUUCACUUUGGCCCGUAUGUACGAUUUCAUCUACGUAUUUGCUGACUUGGCCGAGCCAGCGGCCGCCAGCUUGCUUUGACCGUCACCUAGUCGUGCCUAAGGUGAAUACUAGUCUAUUCGGGGUGUUUUUUUUUGUAAAAACGCCGGACAAUGCGGGAGUGCGUCUGAGUUCCUUCGCUCCCUCGGCCUCGGCCUCGACGACCUCGCCGCCUACCCGCUCGCCCUCGGCUGCAACAUCCGCAAGAACAUGGUCCCCGUCCUCGACUACCUCGGCAAGAUUGGCGUCCGCCGCGACGAGCUCCCGCACCUGCUCCGCCGCCACCCGCAGGUGCUCCACGCCAGCAUCACCGUCGACCUUGCGCCCGUCGUUAAGUACCUUCAGGGGAUGGACGUCAAGCCCGGCGACAUGCCGCGCGUGCUCGAGCGCUACCUCGGCUGCAUGCUCGAGGGCACCAUGAGCACCUCCGUCGCCUACCUCGUCGGCAUUGGCGUCGCCAGGCGCCACGCUGAGCUGCUCACAAGUGAUCUUUAUUCAGCCGGCGCUGCCGCCAAGACGCCAUGGCGAUUGGCGAAGCCCCACUGAACCGAGCGCAUGCAGGCGACGGCGCGUGCGGCGGCACAAGUCCGGUAGUGCAUUGCUCUCUCCGCGCGCGCACGCACACCACGACCUGAAUAUAGUAGCACAGCUGGUGCUAAUUGAAGGGACCAUGCAUGCUAAAUUAUUAUAGGCACUGUUGAUUAUUCAUAUGUGUCUUUCAUUUCCAGAUUGCAGGUGGAUGUUGGUAUGUUCUUGCGAUUCAGCGUGUUGCCUCCUGCCUACAAUCGGAAUGCGAGAUAAACAACAACUGCAAUUUGAUGUCACUGGCUUGCUCCAAGGAGAUGUGCUUUCACUUCCCUUGGUCAUCAGACAUGACUGCAUUAGCAUGCGAUACGAGCUUAACUUCUUUCAGUCAACAAAAUGUGCCGGCCUGUCUAAGUGGCAAUGGCGCCUUUGCUUAUGGGAUCUACAAGGGAGCCCUUCCUGUUAUCUCCAGCAAUUCACUUGCUGUCAAAAUCAUCUAUCCCAUAUUCUGGGGUCUCAUGACCCUCAGGUAAUUUAUAUAGUAUUAUGUUAAAUAAUAAUAUCAUCCAUUUCUGACAUAGGAAAUGUUUUCCUCCGUGAAACUUGAAUAUCUGAAUGUUCAGUAGUCGGCUCGGCUGUCAUUCUAUCUGAAAUAUGCACAUUCCUGACAAAUUUAUAUGCCGCUCAGGCCGCACGACCACCUCGAGUAGGCUGGGGACCGAUCGGGUGACUAGAAGGGUGCGUGACUGCGUGGCAGCGUGGGGAUGGAUGCAGAGGGACCAUGGAUCGAUCUGCCGGCCGUAUGCCGUUUUGCAAAAAAAAAAAAAAACCCGGAUGGACUUGUACUCACGAAAGGAACGACAGUGUGGCGGUCAAAGCCGAGCUGGCGGCCGCUGACUCGGCCAAGUCAGUAAAUACGUACACAAAAUCGUAUACAUGGACCAAAAUGAACCUCUAGCGCAAGUACUUGGACCGUAGUUCAGGUAUUUUGAAGUAGUGGUUCAAAUGUGUCACCCGGCUCAAGUUUAGUGACCUAGAGUGAAUUUUUCUCUAUUUCUUUUUUAAAUUUUGCAUGUAAUGUAAUGAUGACAAUAAAAAUAUAUCUACAAUAAGUUAUGCUUAUCUAAAAUAAUUAGUUACUCCCUCCGUUCCUAAAUAUUUGUCUUUUUAGAGAUUUCAAAUGGACUAUCACAUACGGAUGUAUAUAGACAUAUUUUAGAGUGUACAUUCAUUCAUUUUGUUCCGUAUGUAGUCAUUUGUUAAAAUUUCUAGAAAGACAAAUAUUUAGGAACGGAGGGAGUAUUUCUUAAAAUCAUGGACAUUUCUGCUAAAAAACUCCCUCCGUUCCAAAAUAGAUGACUCAACUUUGUAACUCUUAAAAAGAGAGGCAUCUGAUAAGCGCCCCAAAGUAUCGACCGGUCGCGCGCGGGCCUUCCGAUGCCAAUCGUAUAGACCGUCGGAUCUAUAGAAAAAUGGUUCAUUAGAGCCCCUUUCUUCCUCACGCAGCACCCACGUCUCCCACCGCGUCUUGCGCAUGCACCCCCUCCCCCACGCGCCCGCGUCUCGCGUAGCUCGCCGAGGCGCCGCGCUCUCCUACUGCCCCCUCCAUCCGUCCCUCGCCGCACCUCAUCGCGGGCCACCCACUCGUCGGCCAUUGACCUCACAACAGGUUGCACCUCGUCGCACCCACCCCCGUAGAUCACAGCUAGCCACUGUCAUCGUCGCCGCAGCUGGGCGAUGAAGUCGUAGCAAUUCCGUCGCCGCCGACCAUCGACACGUGCAAACACUCGCCGCUUGCUCGUAGCACUGGUGUCGUGGAAUUGUCACGGCAGAUGUCCUAGUGAAAGGACUUAGACGUGGAGCCAUUGCGACGUAGUUAGCUUAAAGGGGUUAAACGGGACAAAGGACACGAGGAGUUUAUACUGGUUCGGCCCCCUUAUGGUGAAGGUAAAAGCCUAAUCCAGUUUGAGGUGGUAUUGCUAGGGUUUCGAUUACCAGGGAGCGAAUACGUUUGACCUGGCUUUCGAUCUGUUGUUUCUUGUCCUAAACCGUCGCCAGGUCGUCCCUUUAUAUACAUAGGUUGACGCCCCGCGGCUUACAGAAUCCCGGCCGGCUCAUAAACGUGUCCGGCUCGAUAUCUAACCCCGCAUAUCUUACAAUAUAAGUCAUACACAUAUGACGGUUUACACUUAUGGGCCCUAACCCGCCUUUGGGCUUUGGGCCUCUUAAUAAGUUUCCUUCGUAAAUCGCCAUCUUCCACGUCUUCAUGGGCUUCAACUUGGUAAACCGCCAUGGGUGGGUUAUAUUCAUUAGUUAUAUCCCAACAACUGGCAGCCGCUUCCAGCAUUUGCGGGCCAUGGUUUCAACAUUUCUCCACCGCAACCACAACACCCCCCGCUUGGUCAUGGUCAUCGCCGGGGAGCUCGUGUUCGCGGGGUCCAGUUUCUGUUAGCCCAUGGUUCCAGCAAAUUCCCAUUGCGGUUCCAGCAUCCGGUAAAUGCGAUUGCAACAUUCCUUGCGCCGCCGUCGUCGCAAUGCCCCGGCGCAAAUGCAUGGAUGUAGCGAAAAUCUUUGCCGGUGGUAGCAAAAUCGAAGCAUAGUUGCAGCAAAAGAUCGUAGUCACCGUUGUUGCUGGUUGCAGCUAAUCCAUGAAUGGAUGUAGCAAAAAUCAGCGGCAGUCGAAGCAAAAAAGUCGCCGCCGUCGCCGCACGUCGCAGCUAAGUUGUGAGGCAUGUAGCAAACAAUGACGCUGAUAGUAGCAAAAUUGAAAAUGAUUGCAGGCAAGUGUUGUCGCCGUCGACCCGGGUCGCAGAAAAUCCGUACAUGGUUUGUAGAAAAAAACACGCCGGUGGUAACUCCACCAUAGCCGUUGUGGCACCCAUAGUCUUGGUUCUAGCAAAAACGUACAACUUGUUACUUGUUGAUCAGCGCCGUCGUACCUUGUCCACCUGCCGUAGCCUGGUUGAAGCUCGGAGGGCACAAGGUUUCAGCAUUAGAGCAUCUUUAAUAGACGAUUCAUAUGUAAAAAUAACUAACUUUUAAAGCUUCGAGAAUAGAAAGCGCUGCUACAACAGACUAUCCAUAUGUAAAAGAAAAAUUGGACCUCGCCUCCCGAUGAUGUAUAAUUCAACACCUUGCGAUGCAAAUAUACAUCACGAGAUACAAGUGGUGUAAAACCACGGCCGCCCGUGAAAUGACCAACUGCCAGUUCCUUUGCCUUCCCGCUCGCGACCGCCCGCCCGUCCCCCCGCCUUCCGCCGCCGCCGCAGCCGGUGGGCUGACCCACGUCGCCACCUCCGCUGCCGUCGCGACGAACUCGCCCUCCGCCGUCGCGUCCAUGCCACCGCCCCUCGCCCGCCGCCCCAGAUUCGCGCCACCGCGCUGGCGGUUCCUACGAAGGCGACGAAGGCACGAGGUGAAGGCGACGGCCGACAAAUCGCGACCGGAACCCGGCCGAAAGUGCGGCUCGGCCGGCCAAAAUCUUGAAGGCAGCCGCGGUGGCUCGGGCCGCCGACUCGCAGCCACGGCCAUCGGCGUCCUCCAGCAGCCAAGGAGCUGUUCCUCCACCUCCGCCGCCGCCACAGCCGACCGUACAGUGGCUGAAUAGCAGCCGUGUGGCCGCGACCGGUUUACAUCUUCGUUUUAGACCAUCUGUUGGAGUUGUUUUUUUUACAUCUUCGUUUUGGACCAUCCGUUGGAGUUGAGCCUUUUUGGAAGAUGUAAAAAGCAUUUUUUGGUGCUUCAAAUUUGGACCAUCAUCGAUUUGGACCAUCAAAAUUUGCAUCAUCUAUUGGAGAUGCUCUUAGGAUCUCUUUUGUGGUGCAACACCUCCCAAACCACCGUGCUUUCAGUUUGCAACUCCUCCCCGGCAUGGUGGAUUGUAGAUUGGCCAUGUCUACUAACUCACCCGGCUGUGGGCGUCCAUGGGGACGAUCGCACCCAAAUGUGGCCGGCUAUGGCGACGAGCACGCCUAGAUGCGCACUAUCUUCAAGCUCGAGUGCGCUGAUGAUGCGUUGCUACAACCUGCAACGCCGGAGAGGAGAGGAAGAGGAGGGGCGCCGGGAAGAGAGCAGAAUGGGGGCAGGAAGGGGGUUUGCUAGCGUUGCAUGGGACCCACGUAGCCGCGCGUGUGGCAUAAGCCAACUGUGGGCGUGAUGGCGCUACGCGAAAGGGCGUGCGUGUGACCGGUCGAGCGUUCGGUCGGCGUGUCGAUUGUAAAUGUUUCCCCUUUUCUUAUGGAUUCUUUCCCUUCCACCUCAACAUUUAUCCUAUGUGACACAUCUAAGUUAGUACUAAUGUACAUGCGCUAAUACUACACCUAAAAGGUUACUUGAUAUUUUUUUACAAAGCAAGCCGAUGUGGGGAUUAUGAUUGGUAAUAUGGCGAUAAAGGAGCCUGUCAAAGUGGAAUUCAGGAGAAGAGAGAAUUAAAGUUGGAGAAGCUAAGUAAAACAUUUAUAAUUCUUAGUAGGUCUAACAUUACUGUCCCCCUCAAAAAAGAAAGUGUUAUUGUUCUAGGAGUGUCUAAGUUUUUCGUUCUAUUUUUUAUUCCCCCACAGUCAGCUUUUCCGAACUAUCUGAUCUGGUUUUUCUUUCUUCUUCUUUAUAUACUUUGUUUCAAUAAUGUUAUAAAGAACGUCAGCUAGGAGGGGAUGGCAAGCGAACGUUGUUUGAUGGUGCUUUUAGUUGUGGGGCCCAAAAAUUACCUUCUCGAGAAGAAACUGCCAUGGCGCCCCAAAAAAUGCCACUUCUCACCACAUCCUCUCAAUUAAAACUGCCACAAAAUCAUUCACAUAUGCCAUCCUCCUGGCGAACGUUGGCCAACUAACAUGGUCCUUUGUUUUUCUUUGUUUUUCUUUUUUGUUUCAUUAUCAGUUUUAUUUGUUUUUGAUUUUCCAACACAUGUCUACUUUGUCAAGCUGUAUAUUUUUCGUAUACAUGUAACAUUUUUUAUGCUUGUUUAACACUUUUAAAACGCAUGUUUAACAUUUUUACAAAACAUGUUUUGAAUAUAUUUUUGGAAUACGUGUUAAGCAUUUUCUCAAUACAUGCUGAAACAUUUUGAUAAAAAUAGUUAUUUUGAAGUGUGCAAACAUUUUGUAAAAUUUAUAAUUAUUUAUUUUUUGAAAUGUCAAGAAUACAUUUUUGGAACUUGUGACUAUUUUAUUACAACACGAUCAUUUUUAUAUUGUACAAAACAUUCUGAAAUCUCAUGUACAUUUUCUUAAAUGCGCGCCAUUUAUUAAUUGUCACAUACAUUUACACUUGCUUAAUAUUUUUGGUACACAUGAUACUUUUUUCAUUCAUGUUUUACAUUUUUUCGUAUACGCCAAAAAUAUUUUUCUAUACAUGCAUGAAUUUUUCUUUUUCGUUUGGGUCGACUCAGUUCAGGCUCGCUGCAGGCGAGCCGUGCCUAGGCGCCGCAGUAGUCACAUCCCUAUCUUUACUCAUAACUAGUAGUAUGCCCGUGCGUUGCCACGGGCUUCUGAAAUAUAUUGUUGAAGGUAUAUAAAAUAAUUCAUGUAAAAGAUCACAAAAAGAAACAAUAUAGCAUGGACACAAUUACAUAAUAAUUGAAGUCUACUUCACUUGUAAUGUAAACUGAUAACAAAAAGGCAAAUUGACGAUGUAUACACAUAAAUCGAUGAUCGAGCCAAAAAUAUAUUACAAAUUAUUCAAAUCUACUUGAUGCGCUUAAGAAAUUCUUGCACAAUAUCAAGAAAGUUUUUUUCCUUCAUUCGCACGAUGCUUGAGCAAGUAUAAUAAAAACUGCUUUCUCAACUCAAACUCAUCAUGCAAAAACAAUAGUAGAACGCCCAUGCGUUGCUACGGACUGCUACGGACAACAAUGCAUAUAAAUGAAUCACAGAAACAAUUAAAGUAGUAUUCAACAUCUAAGUUUAUUUUUUUCCUCAUACGUCCGAAUGUGUUCGGACAUCAAACGGGCUACUACAACUGUCUUGAUAGUCCGGGUGCCCCAAAUCCGUCCCAUAUGUAAGAAAGAAAUGUUGCUAUCCAGACUAUUCGUGAUGUUAUCUCCAACAUGUGAAACCAACGCAAAACCCCACCACCACGACACACCCUCUGCUUUUCUCAUCGGACCCUCCCCUUCCCGCUCUGUUUCCCGCCGUAGUGGGUGACGUCCGCCUCACUUUCACCAUGACACCCUCUCUCCUUCACACCAUACUUCCUCAUAGACCGUUAAGGAGGAGUCCCCCGUAAUGCCUGCCCCGCUCUCUGCCAUGAUCCCCUCCCCCGAGUCCGUGUGUUUUCACCACUGCCAUCAAGAGGAAGGAGGUAUUGCGCCGCCUGUGGCGCCCCCAAAGCCAGGAAUGCAAAUUUGUAAGUAAACAUACCAAACCCAACCUCCGUCCCGCUCACUCUUAUCACAAAAUCCAUCAACUUGUAUUUUAAGUGAGCCGGUGAUCAACAUCACCGUGGCCGGCCAGCAGCAAGGGAUAAGGGUGGCAACCACCUUCCCAUCUUAGUGCUAGUACCUCCUGGUUCUAUACCGGACCCACCCUUCAUCCCGGGCUCUACAACACAGCUCCACACUCAUGUGUUCCCAUGGAAAAGAAAGCUAUGCAUAAAAAUGUUCGCCCAGAGCAUGAAAAAUGUCAAUGGUUCUCUCCUCUUUCCUCCUCGUGCGCACAUGCCUGAUUCAAUCAGAUAUUAGUGAAUAAACCAAAUAGAUAAUUAAAUGACAUGUCUGAAGCACACAAACACACAACACACAACACACAACACACACUAUAUACAUGGUAAUACUAUUCAUCACCCAGGGUGGAGUAUAAGUUAUUCUUCACCCGAGAUAAUAUUACAAACGGUUCAUAAAUAAAUUUCAUUUUGUUUACAGAGGGAGUACAUUAGAAGUCUUUUUAGAGAUACAUGCAGUCCGUCUGGAGAUCGAAGAUGGCACUCAGUUUCAAAACUCAUGGAAUAUUGAGCAUCUCCGUAAGUACUACCCGUAAGGCGCGAGGCUGUCGGCACUGCCUGGCAGCCACCCUUUUGUACAUGCCUUGCCUCAGCUGCAUGUAACCCCUUGUACAAAGCCGGGACGAUGACCCGUGCAAGAGAAAAUAAAGAAGCGCUGUAGGGGGGCCCCAACUAAGAUUGCAUGCAUGAGCACACCAAGAUCACUACAUAAGCAUUUCAUUAGUAUUUGCAUAUGCAUAUAGAUAGGAUUGCAUCAUGCAUUCAUUCUCAUCUACAUGGAGUUGUAGGUUCCUGUCACGCCCAAUAUGCGACCCUAUCCAAAAGGGACUCGAAGGUCCCACCAAGGAUAGACCCGCAUAUUGAAACGCUUUUGCAAGGUGGAUAUCAUUACAUCAACAUUACAUAAUAGGUGGGGAUACAUACAAGAGGCAUACAAUGCCCCACAAAUACAACAUCACAAUACAUAAGAGCAUCAUCCGGCUACGGAUGAAACACAAACAGAAACUCAAACGACAUCCACCCUGCUAGCCCAGGCUGCCGACCUGGAACCUAUCCCCUGAUCGAAGAAGCAGAAGAAGAACUCAACGCAAGCAAGCAUCACUCUUGCGUCAUGAUCAUCGAUUAACCUGUACCUGCAACUGUUGUUGUAGUAAUCUGUGAGCCACGAGGACUCAGCAAUCCCAUUACCAUGGGUAUCAAGACUAGCAAAGCUUAAAGGGAAUGGAAGGGGUAAAGUGGUGAGGCUGCAGCAGCGACUAAGCAUAUAUGGUGGCUAACAUACGCAAAUAAGAGCAAGAAGAGAACAAGUGGAACGGUCGUGAAGCUAGCAAUGAUCAAGAAGUGAUCCUGAACUCCUACUUACGUCAAACAUAACCCAGAAACCGUGUUCACUUUCCGGACUCCGCCGAAAAGAGACCAUCACGGCUACACACGCGGUUGAUGCGUUUUAAUUCGCAUCUGGUGUCAAGUUAUCUACAACCGGACAUUAACAAAUUCCCAUCUGCCUAUAACCGCAGGCACGGCUUUCGAAAGAUUAUACCCUGCAGGGGUGUCCCAACUUAGCCCAUGAUAAGCUCUCGCGAUGAACGAAGGAUAUACCUUCUCCCAGGAAGACCCGAUCAGACUCAGAAUCCCGGUUUACAAGACAUUUCGACAAUGGUAAAACAAGACCAGGAAAGCCUCCCGCUGUGCCGACAAAUCCCGAUAGGAGCUGCACAUAUCUCGUUCUCAGGGCACACCGGAUUGUCCAAACUUCCGGUAGGCCAGCCCAGAGUUGCCCCUGGUGGCCACCGGCGGCUGACAGGUUGGACCAACACUCACAACAAGCACUGGCUUGGGGGGGGAUAAUAUAAAGAUGACCCUCGAGAGCGCGACUCCCAAGGGAAAAAGGGCUAGGUGAGGCAAAUGUAAAACCAAGGUUGGGCCUUGCUGGAGGAUUUUUAUUCAAAGCGAACUGUCAAGGGGGUCCCAUAAAUCACCCAACCGCGUAAGGAACGCAAAAUCCGGGAACAUAACACCGGUAUGACGGAAACUAGGGCGGCAAGAGUGGAACAAAACACCAGGCAAAAGGCCGAGUCUUCCACCCUUUACCAAAUAUAUAGAUGCAUUAAUAAUAUAAGAGAUAUUGUGAUAUCCCAAACAUAAAUCCUGCCCACCAUGGAGAAAUCUUCAACUUCACCUGCAACUAGCAACGCUAUAAGAGGGGCUGAGCAAAAGCGGUAACAUAGCCAAACAACGGUUUGCAUAGGAAAGGUGUCAAAGGUUAGAGGUUCAUGGCAAUAUGGGAUGGCUUGAUAAACAGGUACUAGGUAGCGCAGCAUAGCGAUAGAACGAAGCAACUGGCAUAGCAAUGAUAGUAGUGAGAUCCAGGGUAGCAGUCAUCUUGCCUGAAAUCCCGCAAGGAAGAAGAACGAGUCCAUGAAGAAGACGAACGGAUGAAGCCGAACCACGCGUAGACGAACGAAUCCUCACGAUCGCACGAAACGGGAACUAUCGAGAAGAAGCACACAACAUGGUAAACACACCACACAUAUACAAGACAUGAUGCACAACAAGCAUGAUGCAUGAUAAAGCUACAUGAAGCUACUCAUGGCAAAAGAUGAUGCAAACAAGAGCAACACAUCAAGGCAAGUUUAAAUGAGGCUGGGAACAACAUAUAACAAUUCCGGUAAGUCCUCAUAAGCAUAUUUCGAAGUUGGUCCAGAUCUGAAUAAACCUUAUGUUCAAGUUGUUAAACAACAAGUUAAGAUGCACCAAGAUGAUCUACACGAGAUUCUAGUCAAGUUACAUAUAAAGUUCAUUUAGUUCGGAGCUACGGUCUAGAAGAUAUGAGCAAAACAAGUUAAACAUGGCAUUGAUGCAAAAUGCACUCAAACCUCAAGCAAACACACCAAAACAAGGAUGCAACAUGAUAAUAUGAAACUACAUGCAAUUCUAAGCAAGUUUCAUAUAGAGCACACUCAAAACGGAGCAACGGUUCAACACACACACAUGAAACAAGUUAUAGCAACAAUCUGCCCAAAACAGCAACUAGGCAUAUUGCAAGCACCAAAACAACAUGCUACAGGACCUCAACAUGAAAACAAAAGACAUGGGCAUGAUGUACAUGUAAAGCACAACAAAACAUGAACAUUGAGCUAUCUCUAGAAAUCACUAGAACAUACUCAAACAAACAUGGUAAGAUUGCAAGUUAUAACAAUUCAGGCUUUGCAGAAAAUAACAUCACGAUGCAAUGUUCAGAGCUAUCAAACAACAUGUUACAGGAACUUAUAAUAGCAAACAAAGGCAUGGCAUGAUUCUACACAAAGCAUAGAUCAAAAGGGUCAGAAAAUAUGAUGGCACCCACGUAAACAUAGCAAGUUAUUAUUACAGAUUCAUACAUGGCAGGAACAUAAUUAUGAAGGCAUGUAGAUGAGCUUGUGAAACUCUCUACAGGGCAAAACAUGGCAUGGCAAGGUAACCGACAGUAAGAAGACAUGAUUUUGAAACAAACCAAGUCAAGAACAAGUUCAUAGCAUGCAAGGAUCAACUAUAGCAUCCUUGGCUAAAUUGAAUAACAUGUAAACAAUCUGCCAGGAAACAUUUUGAAGCAAAAGUAGAGCACGAAAAUGACAUGCUAGACUACUCCAUAAUUGCAACCAAGGAUAGGGAUAGAUAGAGCAUAACCAUAUGUUUAAAACACCCUUACUGAAGUAUCUCAAAAUAUGCAUGGAUCUCUCUGUAGCAACAUGUUUACAUGGCAUCAAAAUAACAGCAGAACAUGGACUAAAAUCAGCAACAUCACGAUGCCUAGUUUGCAAGCUUGUGCUAGUCACCACAUUGAUCACAAAAAUACAUGGUAAGCACCUCUGUAAAGAAGAAAUAGCAUAGAUCAAAACACAUGAGACAUCAACCUCCUAGGAUGCACACAUCAAUCAUGGCAAAAAUGACAAAUGAGCUCGUUCUGUUAACACACAGCAGAAAACAUCAUGAAGCACUCUUACAACGAUGAUUCAGGCAUCAAGAUGAGCUCAAAUGAAUAUGAUGCAAUGGAUUGAAAUGAUUUACUCGUUGAGAUGAACAAUUUGACAUAUUACACACACAAAACGGAGCUACGGAUGCAGAGAUAUGAUGCGUUGAAUAGGGCAUGACAAUUACACAGAAGCGGGGACUUGGUGAAAAAUUGGACCUCGGGGAAAAGUCAACGGGCGAGGUGGCGGCGGAUCUCGCCGGAGCCAGGGAAGAAGAUGGCCGGAGAGAAGGGGCGCCGGAUCCGGCGAGGUCGCUCAGGCGACGGGGUUCGGCGGCGGGGCCUCUCCCCGACCAGCUCUGGCCGAAUCCGGCCGCGAGGAGGCGAAGCGGGGCGGCACUGGGAGGCGGGGCGCCGGCCUCCGGCGGCGGAGCUCGGGUGGCAGGGCCCCGACGGCAUGGCCGGGAGGCAAGGCGGCGGUGGGGCAGAGCGUGGCGGGGGCNNNNNNNNNNNNNNNNNNNNNNNNNNNNNNNNNNNNNNNNNNNNNNNNNNNNNNNNNNNNNNNNNNNNNNNNNNNNNNNNNNNNNNNNNNNNNNNNNNNNNNNNNNNNNNNNNNNNNNNNNNNNNNNNNNNNNNNNNNNNNNNNNNNNNNNNNNNNNNNNNNNNNNNNNNNNNNNNNNNNNNNNNNNNNNNNNNNNNNNNNNNNNNNNNNNNNNNNNNNNNNNNNNNNNNNNNNNNNNNNNNNNNNNNNNNNNNNNNNNNNNNNNNNNNNNNNNNNNNNNNNNNNNNNNNNNNNNNNNNNNNNNNNNNNNNNNNNNNNNNNNNNNNNNNNNNNNNNNNNNNNNNNNNNNNNNNNNNNNNNNNNNNNNNNNNNNNNNNNNNNNNNNNNNNNNNNNNNNNNNNNNNNNNNNNNNNNNNNNNNNNNNNNNNNNNNNNNNNNNNNNNNNNNNNNNNNNNNNNNNNNNNNNNNNNNNNNNNNNNNNNNNNNNNNNNNNNNNNNNNNNNNNNNNNNNNNNNNNNNNNNNNNNNNNNNNNNNNNNNNNNNNNNNNNNNNNNNNNNNNNNNNNNNNNNNNNNNNNNNNNNNNNNNNNNNNNNNNNNNNNNNNNNNNNNNNNNNNNNNNNNNNNNNNNNNNNNNNNNNNNNNNNNNNNNNNNNNNNNNNNNGGGAGGUCUAGUUUUAUAGGUAGGGGGAGCUAGGAGAGUCCAAAUGAGGAGCGGUUUUCGCCCACACGACCGUGAUCGAACAACCGAGAGCAUGGAGGGGGUUUGGAUGGGUUUUGGGCCAGUUUGGAAGGGGUGUUGGGAUGCAAAGAGAGAGGGGCUUUACGGUUACCCGGUUACCCGUUGGAGUACCAAACGACCUCCAAAUGGCACGAAACUUGACAGGCGGUCUACCGGUGGUAUACCAAGGCCACUUGGCAAGACUCGGUCCAUUCCGAGAAAGUUUAACACCCACUCACAACAGGAGACGAAAAGGGGAACGCCGGAGGGCAUAGGAGUGCCGGAUUGCAAAACGGACAACGGGGAAAAUGCUCGGAUGCAAGAAACGAACACAUAUGCAAAAUGAAAUGCACAUGAUGACAUGAUAUGAAAUGCAGAUGAUGACAUGGCAAAAUGCAACACGCAAGCAAAUGACAUGGCAACGACGGCGAAUAACUGGCAGACACCUGGCGCAUCGGAUCCGGGGCGUUACAGUUCCUGCCGUGAACUUGGCUUUGACAAAGGACGAGAAGAUUGCAUGGCACAACGAUCCCCGGCAAAGCCAAAUAGAUGAGUUCUACCUCUUGUCCAUUAGUGUUCUGUAAGGCUAUAACUUUGCAUGAGAAAACCUCGCCUCUCAUUUGAAACUUAGGUGCUCCCAUCCAUGACUCGAACGUUGCUUCAGUCAGGAUGGUCAUAGUAGCCUUUGGUAAAAAGGAGCUAGCGGGGGGCUGGCCCCUUUGUCUGUUCCCCGGUAGACAUAGCUCUUCGGCAGACAAAUAAGGUGCCGACAGGAUAUCCUGCCGGGAAAAACUCGUUUAUUUUCAUUAAAGAGGCACUCCACCUCUGCAAGGACAUACACAUGCACGGGUUCCCGGCAAGGUUCAUCUUUUUCAUUCGGAAUAAAUGCAUACCUUUUUUUUGCAUUUGCAUGGGAAUAAAUGCAUACCUUUUCUUUGCGGGGAAUAAAUGCAUACCAUCGAUGGCAUGUGCUUGGUGACCCACAAGUGUAGGGGAUCUAUUGUAGUCCUUUUGAUAAGUAAGAUUGUCGAACCCAACGAGGAGCAGAAGGAAAUGACAAGCGGUUUUCAGUAAGGUAUUCUCUGCAAGCACUGAAAUUAUCGGCAACAGAUAAUUUUGUGAUAAGGUAAUUUGUAACGGGUAACAAGUAACAAGUGUAAAUAAAGUGCAGCAAGGUGGCCCAAUCCUUUUUGUAGCAAAGGACAAGCCUGGACAAACUCUUAUAUGGAGGAAAGCGCUCCCGAGGACACAUGAGAAUUAUCGUCAAGCUAGUUUUCAUCACGCUCAUAUGAUUCACAUUCGGUACUUUGAUAAUUUGAUAUGUGGGUGAACCGGUGCUUGGGUGCUGUCCUUCCUUGGACAAGCAUACCAUUUAUGAUUAAACCGUAUUGCAAGCAUCCACAACUACAAAAUAAGUAUUAAGGUAAACCUAACCAUAGCACGAAACAUAUGGAUCCAAAUCAGCCCCUUACAAAGGAACUCAUAAACUAGGGUUUAAGCUUCUGUCACUCUGGCUACCCAUCAUCUACUUAUUACUUCCCAAUGCCUUCCUCUAGGCCAAAACAAUGGUGAAGUGUCAUGUAGUCGACGUUCACAUAACACCACUAGAGGAAAGACAACAUACAUCUCAUCAAAAUAUCGAACGAAUACCAAAUUCACAUGACUACUUAUAGCAAGACUUCUCCCAUGUCCUCAGGAACAAAUGUAACUACUCACAAAUCAUAUUCAUGUUCAUAAUCAAAGGAGUAUUAAUGUGCAUAAAGGAUCUGAACAUAUGAUCUUCCACCAAAUAAACCAACUAGCAUCAACUACAAAGGGUAAUCAACACUACUAGCAACCUACAGGUACCAAUCUGAGGUUUUGAGACAAAGAUUGGGUACAAGAGAUGAACUAGGGUUUGAGAGGAGAUGGUGCUGGUGAAGAUGUUGAUGGAGAUUGACCCCCUCCCGAUGAGAGGAUCGAUGGUGAUGAUUUCCCCCUUCCGGAGGGAUGUUUCCCUGUCAGAACAGCUCCGCCGGAGCCUGAUGUCUACGACACAACCUUCUUCUUGUAGACGUUGUUGGGCCUCCAAGUGCAGAGGUUUGUAGGACAGUAGCAAAUUUCCCUCAAGUGGAUGACCUAAGGUUUAUCAAUCCACGGGAGGCGUAGGAUGAAGAUGGUCUCUCUCAAACAACCCUGCAACCAAAUAACAAAGAGUCUCUUGUGUCCCCAACACACCCAAUACAAUGGUAAAUUGUAUAGGUGCACUAGUUCGGCGAAGAGAUGGUGAUACAAGUGCAAUAUGGAUGGUAGAUAUGAGUAUUUGUAAUCUGAAAAUAUAAAAACAGCAAGGUAACAAGUGGUAAAAGUGAGCGUAAACGGUAUUGCAAUGCUAGGAAACAAGGCCUAAGGUUCAUACUUUCACUAGUGCAAGUUCUCUCAACAAUAAUAACAUAAUUGGAUCAUAUAACUAUCUCUCAACAUGCAACAAAGAGUCACUCCAAAGUCACUAAUAGCGGAGAACAAACAAAGAGAUUAUGGUAGGGUACGAAACCACCUCAAAGUUAUCCUUUUUGUUCUAUCUAUUCAAGAGUCCGUAGUAAAAUAACAUGAAGCUAUUCUUUCCGUUCAAUCUAUCAUAGAGUUCACACUAGAAUAACACCUUAAGACACAAAUCAACCAAAACCCUAAUGUCACCUAGAUACUCCAUUGUCACCUCAAGUAUCCGUGGGCAUGAUUAAACGAUAUGCAUCACACAAUCUCAAAUUCAUCUAUUCAAACCAAAACAAAGUACUUCAAAGAGUGCCCCAAAGUUUCUACCGGAGAGUCAAGACGAAAAUGUGUGCCAACCCCUAUGCAUAGGUUCAUGGGCGGAACCCGCAAGUUGAUCACCAAAACAUACAUCAAGUGGAUCACAUGAAUAUCCCAUUGUCCCCACAGAUAAGCACGACAAGACAUACAUCAAGUGUUCUCAAAUCCUUAAAGACUCAAUCCGACAAGAUAACUUCAGAGGGAAAACUCAAUCCAUUACAAGAGAGUAGAGGGGGAGAAGCAUCAUAAGAUCCAACUAUAAUAGCAAAGCUCAUGAUACAUCAAGAUCGUAUCACCUCAAGAACACGAGAGAGAGAGAGAGAGAGAUCAAAUACAUAGCUACUGGUACAUACCCUCACCCCCGAGGGUGAACUACUCCCUCCUCGUCAUGGAGAGCGCAGGGAUGAUGAAGAUGGCCACCGAUGAGGGAUCCCCCCUCCGGCAGGGUGCCAGAACGGGCUCCCGAGAGGUUUUUGGUGGCUACAGAGGCUUGCGGCGGCGGAACUCCCGAUCUAUUGUUGUCUUUGAUGGUUUUAGGGUAUAUGUGAAUAUAUAGGCAAAAGAAGUCGGUCGGGGGAGCCACGAGGGGCCCACGAGGGUGGAGGGCGCGCCCAGGGGGGAUGGGCGUGCCCCCCCUGCCUCAUGGCCUCCUCGAAGCUUCCCUGACUUGCACUCCAAGUCCCCUGGAUCGCUUCCGUUCAAAAAAUAAUGCUCCCGAAGGUUUCAUUCCGUUUGGACUCUGUUUGAUAUUCCUUUUCUUCGAAACACUGAAAUAGGCAAGAAAAUAACAAUUUGGGUUGGGCCUCCGGUUAAUAGGUUAGUCCCAAAAGUAAUAUAAAAGUGCUUAAUAAAGCCCAUAAACAUCCAAAACAGACAAUAUAAUAGCAUGAAUGCUUCAUAAAUUAUAGAUACAUUGGAGACGUAUCAGCAUCCCCAAGCUUAAUUCCUGCUCGUCCUCGAGUAGGUAAAUGAUAAAAGAAAGAAUUUAUGAAGUGUGAAUGCUAGCAGGUGCACAAGUUUGAUCAAUGAUAACUUCAAUCACCUUUUCUAUCAUGAUUAUAUGUCAUAACAGUAGCUCAAUUCAUAAAACUUCUAAAUAACAAGCUAUUCACAUGUUAAAGCAUAGACCAUAAACUUUCUUGAAAACUAGCAAACUUCAUUCUCAGUCAUCAGCCAAUUGCAAUUCAUCUUAUUUUCAGGAAAGGUCUAUGUUAGAGCUUUGAUUUAGCAAACUCCACAUACUCAACUAUCAUAUGUCUUCUACAAUUGCUAACACUCACGCAAUACUUAUGGUUAUGGAGUUUUAAUCGGACACUGAGAAAGAUAGGGGCUUAUUUUCGCCUCCCAACGUAUUCACCUUUGGGUGAUGUCAACAAUAAUAGUUCAUGCUAACUUACAUCCAAUUGGAUAUAUAUAUCAGGAUCUUUCCAACACGAGGUGCUUGCCAAAGGAUAAAAUGAAAAAGGGAAAGGUGAAGAUCACCUUGACUCUUUCAUAAAAGUAAAAGAUAGGCCCUUCGCAGAGGGAAGCAGGGAUUUGCAGAGGUGCCGGAGCUCGAUUUUGAAAUAGAGAUGAAAACAAUUUUGAGAGGUAUGCUUUCAUUGUCAACAUAACAACCAAGAGUUCCCAAUAUCUUCCAUACUACAUACAUUAUAGGCGGUUCCCAAACAGAAUGGUAAAGAUUUUACUCCCCCUCCACCAACAAUCACACUCCACGGCCAUCCGAAACAACGGGGUACCGUCCAUACCAACAACAGUCCUGGGGGAGUUUUUUUGCAAUUUUUUAUUUGAUUUUGAUCUUUUGAUCAUGGGACUGGGCAUCCCGGCUACCAGCCAUUUUUCUCGUGAAUGAUGAGCGGAGUCCACUCAUCUUGAGAAUAACCCACCUAGCAUGGAAGAUACUGACUACCCCUAGUCGCUACAUGAGCAAUUCGGGCAUACAAAACAGAUUAUUAUUUGAAGGUUUAGAGUUUGGCACAUGCAAAUUUACUUGGAACGGCAAGUAAAUACCGCAUAUAGGUAGGUAUGGUGGACACUCAUGGCAAAAACCGGGUUUAAGGAUAUUUGGAAGCACAAGUAGUAUCUCUACUUGGUGCAAGGAAUUUUGGCUAGCAUGAGGGGGAAAGGAAAGCUCAACAUGUUUGAAUGGUCCAUGACAAUAUACUUUAACUGAGAUGUGAGAAAACAUAACCCAUUACGUUGUCUUCCUUGUCCAACAUCAACUCUUUAGCAUGUCAUACUUAAUGAGUGCUCACAAUUAUAAAAGAUGUCUAAGAUAAUAUAUUUAUAUGUGAAAUCUCCCUUCCUUCAAUAUUUUUUUCAUGAAUUGUUCAAAAUGACCAAUACAAUGCUUGCUAACCUUCAAUAAAUUUACAACCUCUACUUCUUAGAUGUGAAGUCAUUACUCCCCAUGGGAUAAGCAAAUGAAACAUAUAUAAUUUCAGAUUUAUGACAUUCAACUCAUUCAACCAUUUACUCAUAGGAUAUAAGUGAAGCACACGAGUAAAUGACAAACUACUCCAAAAAGAUAUAAGUGAAGAUCAAUGAGUAGCUAAAUUAUGUAACUAUGUGAAGAGUCUCUCUCAUUUAAGAAUUUCAGAUCUUGGUAUUUCAUUCAAAUAGCAAGCAAAACAAAAUAAAAUGACAUUGCAAAAAUAGCACAACUCAUGUGAAGAAGCAAAAACUUAGGUUCAACCGAUACUAACCGAUAGUUGUCAAGAAAGGUGGGAUGCCUAACGGGGCAUCCCCAAGCUUAGAUGCUUGAGAUUCUCGGAAUAUUAUCUUGGGGUGCCUUGGGCAUCCCCAAGCUUGAGCUUUUGUGUCACCUUAACUCCUCUCAUAUCAUGGGUUCUCUAUUUCUCAAAAACUUCAUCCACAUAAAACUCAACAAGAACUCGUGAGAUAAGUUAGUAUAAACCAAUGCAAAACCUUAUCAUUUUCUACUGUAAAAAAUUACUAAAAUUAUUAUUCAACAUUGCAUACUAAAUGUCUCUGCAUAUUUAAUACUCCUAUCCUCAAAUAGAAUCAUUAAACAAGCAAACAUAUGCAAACAUAACAGCAAUCUGCCAAAAUAGUACAGUCUGUAAAGAAUGCAAGAGUAUCAAUACUUCCCUAACUCCAAAAAUUAUGAGAAAAAUACUAAGAUGUAUAAGAUUUAUCAGAGCUCAAUGUGCAAAAGGUUUCAACAUUAUAUCAUUCUCUGACUUUUCUAGGGAGUUUUUGCAACAGUGGUAAACUUUCUGUUUUGAAACAGCAACAUGUAUACUUGCAAACUAAGCAUGGUAAAGGCUAUCUUUGACAUUUUUAUUGAAACUAAAGAUGCAAAACAUUAUUCUAAAUAACAGUAAGCAAAUACUAAAAAAAGAAAAUGACGCUGCAAGCAAAACACAUAUCAUGUGGUGAAUAAAAAUAUAGCUCCAAGUAAAGUUACCGAUGAACGAAGACGAAAGAGGGAUGCCUUCCGGGGCAUCCCCAAGCUUAGGCUUUUGGUUAUCCUUGAAUAUUACCUUGGGGUGCCUUGGGCAUCCCCAAGCUUAGGCUCUUGCCACUCCUUAUUCCAUAGUCCAUCGAAUCUUUACCCAAAACUUGAAAACUUCACAACACAAAACUCAACAGAAAACUCGUAAGCUCCGUUAGUAUAAAAAAAUUAAUCACCACUUGGUACUGUUGUGAAAUCAUUCUAAAUUCAUAUUGGUGUAAUAUCUACUGUAUUACAACUUCUCUAUGGUUCAUAACCUCCGGUACUACUCAUAGAUUCAUCAAAAUAAGCAAACAACACAUAGAAAAACAGAAUCUGUUAAAAACAGAACAGUCUGUAGUAAUCUGUAUCAAACGUAUACUUCUGGAACUCCAAAAAUCCUACAAAAUUAGGAAGUCCUAAGAAAAUUGUUUACCAAUGCAGAUAAAAAAAAAUCAGAUCAAAAUCACGUUUAUGUGAAUUAACAAAACUAAUUUACUGAGUGCAAAAGUUUCUGAUUUUCAGCAGGAUCAACACAACUAUCACCGUAAGCUAUCCUAAAGGUCUUACUUGGCACUUUAUUGAAACAAAAGCUACAAAACAUGAUUAUUACAGUAGCAUAAUCAUGUGAACACACAAAAACAGUAAAGGGUAAAUAUUGGUUUGUCUCCCAACAAGCGCUUUUCUUUAAUGCCUUUCUAGCUAGGCAUGAUGAUGACAAUGAUGCUCACAUAAAAGAUAAGAAUUGAAACACAACGGGAGAAUCAUGAAGCAUAUGACUAGCACAUUUAAGCCUAACACACUUCCUAUGCAUAGGUAUUUUGUGAGCAAACAAUUUAUGGGAACAAUAAUCAACUAGCAUAGGAAGGCUAAACAAGCAUAACUUCAAGAUUUUCAACACAUAGAGAGGAAACUUGAUAUUAUUGCAAUUCCUACAAGCAUAAGUUCCUCCCUCAUAAUAAUUUUCAGUAGCAUCAUGAAUGAAUUCAACAAUAUAACAAGAACCUAAUGCAUUCUUUUCAUGAUCUACAAGCAUAGAAAAUUUACUACUCUCCACAUAAUCAAACUUCUUCUCAUUCAGAAUAGUGGGAGUAUCAUAAGAGACUCGAAUACUAUAAAUUGUUUCCUCAUUAAAAGAGUAAUGUUCAGAAAAAGGGUAAUCAUAAUCAUGACAAGUUUUAUAAAUAUAAUCAUUACUACUUUUUAUAGCAUAAGUUUCAUCACAAUAAUCAUCAUAAGUAGCAACUUCGUUCUCAUCAUAAUCGAUUGAAACCUCUCCCAAGAUAGUGGAAUUAUCACUAAAUAAAGUUGACACUCUUCCAAAUCCACUUUCAUAUUCAUCACAAUAAAAUUCAACAUCCUCCAAAAUAGUGGGAUCACUACUUGCUAAAGUUGACACUCUUCCAAACCCACUUUCAUCAAUAUAAUCAUCAUAGGUAAGAGGCAUGCUAUUAUCAUAACAACUUUGCAUAUCAAAACUUGGGAGGCAAAAAAUAUCAUCUUCAUUAAACGUAGCAUCCCCAAGCUUGGGACAAACAUUAAUUUUAGCAAAUAUAUUCUCAAAUAUGGCAUCCUCAUCAAACAUAGCAUCCGCAAGCUUGGGCCUUUUCAUAUCAUAAGCAUAAUCACUCUCAUCAUUAAUAGUAUGGAUAGCACCAAUAGUAUAGCAAAUAUCAUCAUAACAAUGAGUAGUAGGAGCAACAUCAUUUGGAAGGGAUACCUUUCUACCUUUAUUGCUCCUUCUUUUAUUUUUCUUCUUCACAUUAUGUGUGGGUUCAACCUUCUUCUUUGAGCUCCUUAUUGAUGAGAUUGGUUGAACAGAAAGCUCCUCCUCAUUAACUGAUUCAUCAUAAGAAAUAAUAGGAGGAUAUUGGGAAAUCUCUUCUCUUUCAUUAUAUUCUCUUCAUCUUCUAUUUGCUUUGUUUUCUUUAGGUAAUUGGCAAUAUAAGGAUUUUCAAUGCAAUUCACCGCACAAUACAAAUAAAUCUCCUCUAGAUCAAUAUCAAGGAAUUCCUCAAGGUUAAAUUCUGGAAUAAGCUUAGUUGCACAUUUCAAUUCUUCAUAACCCAAAAGCAAACUAAGUUCAUUAUGAUGUGCAAGGGAAAUCAAAUCAUCACAAUUUUUAGACAUGAUAUGAUCACGAAACAAUUUGCAUCGGAGAUUUAAAUGACCAUGUUCAUUGCUAAGUUCACAAGUACGGCGGAGAUAUUUUAAAUUUUCAGCACUAACAUUAAGCCUUUCUUGCAACCAUUUAGUUUCUAAAUGCUUAUGCCUCUUGCAAUAUCUAUUUUCCCUAUUUGGUGCGUACUUGCAAACCCAAUGCUCUCCACAAAAACCGACAUGUGUAACACCCACGAUGCGGCUAUAUCUCCCACGUGUCAAAGCACGACUUAGAGGCAUAACCGCAUGGUGGUUUUAUCGCAAGAAGGGUCAUCUUCACACAAUCCCAUGUAAUGAACAAGAAUGGGAUAAAGAGUUGGCUUACAAUCGCCACUUCACACAAUGAACAUAUAAUUCAUCCAUCAUUCAGAGUACACACAUAGUCCGACUACGGACGAAGCCAAAAGAAAAGAAGAUAACCCAACUGCUAGAUCCCCGAUCAUCCCAACUGGGCUCCACUACUGAUCAACAUGAAAUGAAACAUAGCAACGACCAAGAUCUUCAUUGAAGUAUCGCCUGCACUGGCAUCAUCGGCACCUGCAACUGUUGUGAUAGUAUCUGGUGAGUCACGAGGACUCAGCAAUCUCAAAACCCGCGACAUCAAGACUAUUUAAGCUUAUGGGUAUGGAAAGAAUAAGUGGUGAGGUUGCAGCAGCGUCUAAGCAUAUAUGGUAGCUAACAUACGCAAAUAAGAGUGAGAAGAGAGGCAACGGAACGGUCGUGAAGCUAGCAAUGAUCAAGAGGCGAUCCUGAACUACUUACGCACAAUCAUAACACAAAGACCGUGUUCACUUCCCGGACUCCGCCGAAAAGAGACCAUCACGGCUACACACGCGGUUGAUGCGUUUUAGUUAAGUCAAGUGUCAAGUUCUCUACAACCGGAUAUUAAAAAAUUCCCAUCUGCCACAUAACCGCGGGCACGACUCUCGAAAGUUUAUACCCUGCAUGGGUGUCCCAACUUAGCCCAUCACAAGCUCUCAUGGUCAACGAAGGAUAUACCUUCUCCCGGGAAGACUCGAUCAGUCUCGGAAUCCCGGUUUGCAAGACAUUUCGAUGAUGGUAAAACAAGACCAGCAAGACCACCCGACUGUGCCGACAAAUCCCGAUAGGAGCUGCACAUAUCUCGUUCUCAGGGCACAAUGGAUGAGAAAUCCGUACAACUAAAACCAGACCUCAAGUUUCCUUGAGGGGGCGCUGCAAAGGGCUCUAGUUUGGACCAACACUCGGAGGAGCACUGGCCUGGGGGGGGGGGGUUAAAAUAAAGAUGACCCUUGAGUCUGCAGAACCCAAGGGAAAAAGGCUUAGGUGGCAAAUGUUAAAACCAAUGUUGGGCCUUGCUGGAGGAGUUUUAUUCAAAGUGAACUGUCAAGGGGGUCCCAUAAAUCACCCAACCGCGUAAGGAACGCAAAAUCAAGGAACAUAACACCGGUAUGACGGAAACUAGGGCGGCAAAAGUGGAACAAAACACCAGGCAUAAGGCCGAGCCUUCCACCCUUUACCAAGUAUAUAGAUGCAUUAAUUAAAUAAGAGAUAUUGUGAUAUCCCAACAUAAUCUUGUCCAUCAUGGAGCAAUCUUCAACUUCACCUGCAACUAACAACGCUAUAAGAGGGGCUGAGCAAAGCGGUAACAUAGCCAAACAACGGUUUGCUAGGAAGGGUGAAAAGUUAGAGGCUGACAUGGCAAUAUGGGAGGCAUGGUAAACAAGUGAUAGGUAACGCAGCAUAGCGGUAGAACGAAGAAACUAGCAAGCAAAGAUAGAAGUGAUAUUGAGGCUAAUGGUCAUCUUGCCUGAGAUCCCGCAAGGAAGAAGAACGAGUCCAUGAAGAAGACAAACGGACGUAGUCGAACGAAUCCUCACAACUCCGGAACGAAACCGAAGCUAACGAGAGAAGCAAACCGGAAAGAAGCAAACAACAUGGUAAACAACCAUCACAUAAGCAUAGCAUGAUGCACAAACAAGUAUGAUGCAUGUCCGGUUUAAUGAGGCAUGGCAUGGCAAUAUGCACAAACAACACUACAAGUUAAGUGGAGCUCAAUAUGCAACGAGUUGCAUAUUGACGGAACACCACAUCAAUUAUUUAGUUCUCUCUCGGUUAUACUACCAAACAAUAUUAAGUGUUGUAAAACAUGGCAAGAGGUGAAGCAUAAAUAAACUAACUAUUUAGGCAAGUUUAAAUGAGGCCGGAACAACAAACAACAAUUCUGGUAAAUCCCCACAUGUCUUUUAGUAGUUUAAUGCAAACACAAUUUUAAGCAUUUAAAUGUUGUUAUCAUGAUGCGGAUGACAUAUGCAAGUUUAUGCAAUUUUUAUGAAAAUGUUGACAUGAGCAUGUUAUGAAGCAUUUUGGUCACCAUGGCGGAAUGAAAAGGGUGCCACGGCGGAGAAACGAAAAUGGUGCCACGGCAACAUUCCGGUCCCGGUAACUCGAGUGAGAUACCGAUGCAAACGAGAAGUGUGCGGAUGUGUGGAACACGCAAGAGAUGGGGAGUGAUCCUGGAUACCGGGUGUCCCACAUGACGGUGGCAUGGCAAACAAGGAACGUGCAAAGACAAAUCGAUCACGAUGCAAAACUCGAGCAUCUCAUACAACACACAAGCAUUCGUUCAAGGGCGUCGUCUCGUCAAUAUACCUUUGAACCGUGCAUUUUCGGAGCGGUUCGGGUUCGGUACGAUGUAGAGGAAGUAGUCGUUCAUGGGUCGUCGUGGGAAGUAGAUGUUCACGUGGCGAUGGUAGUGAAAGUUGUCGUUCUCGUGACGGUAGUGGAAGUAGUUGUACACGUUUGUUUCGAAGAGGCACUUGACGAAUCCAACAUCUUCGGGGCGACGGUAGUGGAUGUAGUGGUACACGUUUCGUAGAUGUUCGGGUCCGGCGAGGAACUUGACGUCCUGGUACUUGGCGUCCACUCGGCCUUGAUGGUGAUGAAACAAAACGCGAUGGUUGUGGUACUUGGUGAGUGGAGGAGGCUGGUUCCGAGCGGGACUGGCCUGUCCUAGCGGGCUGCUUGCCGGCGAGGUUCAGGUGAGGUCGCCGGCCGGUGGAGGUGCAGUAGAGGAUGUUGUGGGGCCGGGCUCCUCCUGCUGGUUUUUGGCGACGAGCGGCGUGGGAACGAGGCAGGAGGUCGCACAAGGUGUAGCAGAGAGAGGCGGUGAGGGACUUGGCGGCGGGGACGUCCUGAAGCUGCUGCUGGUGGCGCUCGUGGUGGCCGGAGACCGGCACUAGCGAGGCGAGGGAGAGGCCAGGCGCGGAAGACGGCGUGGAGGCACUGCGAUCCAUGGAGGCCGGCGGUGCCAUGGUCAUGCGGCCCACGCGAGCUCGGCGGCCUAUACUUGCUGGCCGAAGCGGCAGCGGGGUCACCAGGUAGCACGGGGACGAAGCAGCAGGAGGAUCUGCGGGGAGGGAGAAGGCAGAGGACAGAGGUCCGGCGGUGGUGGUCGCGGAGGUCGGGGUAGUACUGCGGUGGCGCUGCUGCACCGGCUGACGGCGAUGGAGUUUCUGCGAUGGCGCGCGGGGUCGAUGGAGAGGGGCUUGGCGCGGCGGGGACGAUGGAGGGUGACGCGAGGCAGAGGAGAUCAAGGGCGUGAGGUGGCGGCGCUACGGGAUCGAGCGAGAGGCUCUCGCUCCUCUCUGGCGGCGCGAGCGGGGGAAGAUGGGAGAGACCAGGGGAUCGAGAGGAGGGGAUCGGGGCUAGGGUUAGAUAGGCGCUAGGGUUGGGCCUUGGCUGGAUCUUGGGCCGACCGGCCUAAGGCUGCAGCUGGGCUUGCUCCUCUCUCCCUCUUACUCUUAUUUCCUUUAGCAGAAAACAAAUUAGAGAGAAGAAAAAGAAAGAGAGGGUUAAGGAAAGAAUUUGCGCACGGGGGUAAUUUUCCCAGACUUGCAAAAAUGCACUGGUUCCAAGGAAAUAGAAAUGGCCAAGAUCGAACGAUAAGAAUUCAAACUCAUUUGAAUUUAAUUCAAAUGGGUUUGAACUAGGACUUGAUAAAAGGAAGGUCCAAAAAUGUUCAGAUUUUUGGUGGAGCUCCGAAAAAUGAUGAAAGAAAUUAUGGGCAAGGUUGGAGACCAAGAAUUGAGAUAACAACGGCAUGGGAUAUUUUGCAAGUGGGUUAUGGUUAAUUCCAAAUAAACGGAAUAAUUUUAUUAUAGCUCCCUAAUAAUAGUAGGAGACUUUGAAUAUGUUUUAAAGAGAAAUAACCAUGUGAAUAUCCCUCGGUUUAAAUAGAUCAACGAUCUAUGCAAUUUAUUUAGGUGAGUUUUAAAAAUUAAUGAUAUGAUGGCAUGAUGACAUGAUGCAAUGCAAGAGAUGGCAUGAUGAAUGCACAAACAAAACAAAUCACACGACAAAACUCGGAAUAGCUGGAAGUCUUCUGGAGCAUCGGUCUUGGGGUGUUACAACACUCCACCACUACAAGAGGAUCUCGUCCCGAGAUCUAGGAUGUCACCGGAGAGAAACGGAAGAGGAAGAGAAGAGGUUAAACUAAGUUGCUUCUUCGACCAAUGAGUGAAACCAAGAACCUUGGGAGGUUGAGCAACUUAAAAGAAAGACUACAACAGAGAUGAAUGAGAUUGCAAACAAUCCGUUAGAAAAGAGGAACAAGGAACAUUACGAGAACUUGAAGAUUGCAAAGACACGAAUCAAGAGUUUAAUGGACAAGAUAGAAUUCGAAACCACUCUGGUUAAAACAAGAUGAGAGAGGAAGAAUUCGGGUAGCACUCUGGUUGAACAUGGAAGGAAUAGAACAUGAACUUGAGAAGAUGGGAUGAUACUUGAUGAAAUAAACAACACACUGCCUCCGGAACUAUUGAAAGAAUGGCACAAUGGGUAAGAAGGAUUUCAGACAGCAAUCCGGUUGAAAAGAGAGGCAAAACUUGAUAAGAUGAAAAGAACUUGAAUGAGAACACAACACUCUGGUUAAAUGGAUAAGCACGAAAAGAACACGAUCCUCACAAUCAAGAUGAUGUUUGAAAAGAGCAACAUCACAAUGCCUCCGGAAGAAAGAAUAGAAGAUAGAUCAUUGAAAAAACAGAAUGGAGAAGAAAAUGCCAACUUGUGCCACAAAUGAGCUUGGAAAGCAUCCUUCCAAGAAGGUUAGAGCGGAGUUGUUGGAAAACCAACAACGAAAGGAUAUGAUCCUCAUGGGCUUAUGGAGACAUCUCAAAACUUGAGGUGAAAUUCUGCCACUGACAAAAACAAUUGCUCGCUUGGGAUCAACGAAGAGAUUAAAAUUUCUUUCAUCGAGAGGAUAGGAGCAAACUUGGAUCGUUGAUAAGCACCACAAUAUCAACAUUCCUUAGGGAAGGCUUUAGGUGAAAUCUUUACCAAGUUAACUCCAAGGAAUAAAAUGAUGGGUUUAAAAUACCUCAUUCCUGACAACAUGUGAAUCGCGAACCAUGAAUGGAAAUUGUCAAGAAUGCUAUAACACCACCUCAAAAGAUAAGGUAGAAAGAAUUGCACUUUGAAAUGCAAGAAGAAGAAUGGUUGAGCUCCUCCAACAAAAUAUUGAAGAAAGCUUCGCGAACGAAUGAAAUAUUGAUGAACCACCCUGUACAACCUCCAUGAAGAACUUCGGUAAUAAAAGAAUGAUAAAAAGAAAGAGAAGUUGAAAACACAAGGUGAAGCCUUGUGAUGAUUUAGAAGGAGCUUCGCGACGAGAUAAUGCGGAAAACUUGGAACUCCGGAAACAAAAAGAUGAAACAUCUCGAACCGGGAAAUGUGACAUGAUGAACCACUCUAGAAAGAAGAAACUAGAUCACUUGGAUGAAACAAUAAUAAGAAUUACGUUAUGCCUAUCCUUCAUCAAUUUAAAUUGAUGACAAGCAACGGAUUUGGCAUACUACUUAUUCUAGUAGAAAGGAUUAAGAGGGAUAUAGCGUAAACUUGGGAAGGUCUUCAAUGAACCACCGGUAGGAUUGAAACAACGAAUAAAUUGAUAUGAUAACCAAGGAAGAGAACUCUUGAAUGAACCACCGUAAGAAUUGGAAAGAAUUUGAAAAAGGACAAAGAUACUUGAGAGAAUUUAGAUACAUGAGAACGAAGAGAUCAUGAACUGAUUAGAGGGUAUUUGAACGAUGCACCGGUAAGAUUUGGAGAGUGAGAGCUGAAAACUGAGAAUGAAUAAACCCGAAAUGGUGGCCUUCGUAGGAAUAAAAUGGAAAGAACUCACGAAAUGCUCUGGAUGAUAAGAAAAGAAUUGUCACAAUCAAAAACAAUUAUGAGUAUGGCAUCAAACUUGAACUAUGCAUCUUUGGAAGAACGGGUAAGGAUUUAAGAGAAACUCUUCUUCGGUCUUCAAAAUCCAAGAAUGACAAUGAGAAACACCACCAUGAGUUGUUGAGACACUCCAGAAUGAAAUUAGAAAGGUUGAACCAACGACGAAAGAAUUUGAAAGAUCUUGGAGAAAGACAUUUGACUGAUGAUAAUUCAUUCUUACAUCAAACUUUGAAAAGAAUUUGGGAAUGGCUCCUGGAAAAUUAGAAGAGUCAGGUAAGAUCUUGGAAAAAGACCUGUGGGUUAGGGCCCACUAAAAGAUACACCAUUGAAUGAUUUAAAAAAAAAGAUUGCGCCAGCUGAAUUGAAUGGCUUGAAUGAGAUAACAACCUCAAAAUAACUUGAACAGAUUAAGAAUGGAAAGCACGAAUCUUCUAAGAUAUCUUGAGCACCCUAGGACAAAUGAAUAGUGAGAAGUGAAUGAUUAAGAGAUACACGGGCAUAAGAAAGCACUUGAAAUGAGAAAAAGAAUAUGAUCAACACCAAAAGCUUGAGUUAAAUCCACCGGAAAAGAAUACGAGAAUGAAGAAUGAUGAACUUGAAGCUGUUGAGCAUCUUCAUGGGAAAUCAUCGGAUAAGAACAUUGAAAGAAAAGAAUGAAGAGACUUCUCACAAAUAAAAGGAUACAUGAUUAAGAAAUCUGAGUCCUUGAAGAAAAAGGGUGGGAGGGCAUGAAAACAAAGGCAACUUGGGACGGAUGAAACAAACACCGUUGAGAAAACAUAGAAUUGAUCUUGCGGAUGGGGAGAAUGAUUGGAUCGUCUCGAAAGAGAAGCGCACCGGUUGAAAAAGAUUAACAUGACGACCUCGAUGAUCAAGAAGGAUUAGUAUUCACAUAGCAAUAUGAGAACACCAUUUAGGUAAGGUAUGGAUCAACACUUGACAUCGAAGCAACUCGAAUACCACAACUCAAAACAAAACAAAGGAUUUGGCUUGUAGAAUAAGCCGGAACAAACAUAUGAUAGAGAUUUCGUCCGAAGUUUUCGUGGUGGGGCCCACACGGGCUCGAUCGUACAGCACCAUCAUGUACAAGGCAGUGCACAUGACAUACGAAGUGUCUCUGAACUAGCAUAGCCAAGGGUUCUUUAAGACACAACGAGACCACUGUAAAAAACGACCGUGGAUAGGCGGACCACUAGACGUCGAACCCCAAUCUCAUAUCAUGCAUCUGUCGGAAAAAAAACUAGAGCUACUUGAAUUCCCACCUAUAAAACUCCCGAAACUUUCUGGUUAUGCAAUCUGGUGUUGGGGAUACAGGGGAAGCAAUAUAUAUCUCACCCAAAACUAACAAUACCUACAUCCAAGCUGUAUCCAUCCGUCAACACAUAACCAAGAAACCUUCGGAAAUCGUGUACCUCAACCUUCGAAAAGCAUCCGUUAUACGAGCUAUGGCAAUACUCCCGAACUCCCCAGUACUGGGUGGCGUCGAGGUUAUCUCACCAACAACUGCAUAAAAGAGAUUUUCGAUGUCGGCAAAACUCAGGUAUUCCAGAACUGCAACGAUAAAAUUAUGACGACAACACCGCGGAGCUCAACUCCCCGGGACACUGCCACAACCCCUAAAUGUCAGGAGGCACCAAGAACAAUGUUCUCGUCAUAAGAAUAUUGGAACGAUCCCAAGAACCCCACGUGAUCCUAAAAAAUUUAGUGAAAUUUGAGGCGAGGAAAGACAAAACAUCUAUGUCAGGAGGCCUCACCAGAGCGACAAAGGGACUGAGGAGUAAAAAGAAUCCUACUCUCCGAUAUAUAUAAUCCUAAGACUCAAAACAUUUAUGUUCUAGACUCAAGAACGCCAGCGAUUCGAUCAAGCAGGGGGCUCCUAAGUCGGGGAUGGCUCUGAUUACCAACUUGUAACACCCACGAUGCGGCUAUAUCUCCCACGUGUCAAAGCAUGACUUAGAGGCAUAACCGCAUGGUGGUUUUGUCGCAAGAAGGGUCAUCUUCACACAAUCCCAUGUAAUGAACAAGAAUGGGAUAAAGAGUUGGCUUACAAUCGCCACUUCACACAAUGAACAUAUAAUUCAUCCAUCAUUUAGAGUACACACAUAGUCUGACUAUGGACGAAGCCAAAAGAAAAGAAGAUAACCCAACUGCUAGAUCCCCGAUCAUCCCAACUGGGCUUCACUACUCAUCAACAUGAAACGAAACAUAGCAAUGACCAAGAUCUUCAUUGAAGUACCGCCUGCACUGGCAUCAUCGGCACCUGCAACUGUUGUGAUAGUAUCUGGUGAGUCACGAGGACUCAGCAAUCUCAAAACCCGCGACAUCAAGACUAUUUAAGCUUAUGGGUAUGGAAAGAAUAAGUGGCGAGGUUGCAGCAGCGUCUAAGCAUAUAUGGUAGCUAACAUACGCAAAUAAGAGCGAGAAGAGAGGCAACGGAACGGUCGUGAAGCUAGCAAUGAUCAAGAGGCGAUCCUGAACUACUUACGCACAAUCAUAACACCAAGACCGUGUUCACUUCCCGGACUCCGCCGAAAAGAGACCAUCACGGCUACACACGCGGUUGAUGCGUUUUAGUUAAGUCAAGUGUCAAGUUCUCUACAACCGGAUAUUAACAAAUUCCCAUCUGCCACAUAACCGCGGGCACGGCUCUCGAAAGUUUAUACCCUGCAGGGGUGUCCCAACUUAGCCCAUCACAAGCUCUCACGGUCAACGAAGGAUAUACCUGUUGGAGAACAUAGUAAUUUCAAAAAAAUUCCUACGCACACGCAAGAUCAUGGUGAUGGCAUAGCAACGAGAGGGGAGAGUGUUGGUCCACGUACCCUCGUAGACCGUAAGCGGAAGCGUUAUGACAACGUGGUUGAUGUAGUCGUACGUCUUCACGAUCCGACCGAUCCAAGCACCGAACGUACGGCACCUCCGAGUUCAGCACACGUUCAGCUCGAUGACGAUCCCCAGGCUCCGAUCCAGCAAAGCUUCGGGGAUGAGUUCCGUCAGCACGAUGGCGUGGUGACGAUGAUGAUGUUCUACCGGCGUAGGGCUUCGCCUAAACUCCGCGACGAUAUGACCGAGGUGGAAUAUGGUGGAGGGGGGCACCGCACACGGCUAGGGAACAAUCCGUAGAUCAACUUGUGUGUCAUGGGGUGCCCCCCUGCCCCCGUAUAUAAAGGAGGGAGGGGGAGGUGCGGCCGGCCCCCUUGGGGUGCGCCUGGAGGAGUCCUACUCCCCCCGGGAGUAGGACUCCCCCCUCUUGCCUUGGUGGAGAAGGAAAGGGGGGAGGGGAAAGAGGAAAGGGGGGCGCCGCCCCCCCUUCCUUCUCCUAUUCGGACUAGGGGGGAGGGGGCGCACGGCCUGCCCUGGCCGGCCCUCCUCUUCUCCCUCAUGGCCCACUAAGGCCCAUUAACCCCCGGGAGGGUUCCGGUAACCCCCCGGUGUUCCGGUAAAAUCCCGAUUUCACCCGGAACCUUUCCGAUGUCCAAACAUAGGCUUCCAAUAUAUCAAUCUUUAUGUCUCGACCAUUUCGAGACUCCUAGUCAUGUCCGUGAUCACAUCCGGGACUCCGAACAAACUUCGGUACAUCAAAACUUAUAAACUCAUAAUAAAACUGUCAUCUAACGUUAAGCGUGCGGACCCUACGGGUUCGAGAACUAUGUAGACAUGACCUAGAACCAUUCUCGGUCAAUAACCAAUAGCGGAACCUGGAUGCCCAUAUUGGUUCCUACAUAUUCUACGAAGAUCUUUAUCGGUCAAACCGCAUAACAACAUACGUUGUUCCCUUUGUCAUCGGUAUGUUACUUGCCCGAGAUUUGAUCGUCGGUAUCCAAUACCUAGUUCAAUCUCAUUACCGGCAAGUCUCUUUACUCGUUUUGUAACACAUCAUCUUAUAACUAACUUAUUAGUUACAAUGCUUGCAAGGCUUAGGUGAUGAGUAUUACCGAGAGGGCCCAGAGAUACCUCUCCGACAAUCGGAGUGACAAAACCUAAUCUCGAAUUAUGCCAACCCAACAUGUACCUUCGGAAACACCUGUAGAGCACCUUUAUAAUCACCCAGUUACGUUGUGACGUUUGGUAGCACACAAAGUGUUCUUCCGGUAAACGUGAGUUGCACAAUCUCAUAGUUGCAGGAACUUUGUAUAAGUCAUGAAGAAAGCAAUAGCAACAUACUAAACGAUCAAGUGCUAGGCUAACGGAAUGGGUCAUGUCAAUCACAUCAUUCUUCUAAUGAUGUGAUCCCAUUAAUCAAAUGCCAACACAUGUCUAUGGUUAGGAAACAUAACCAUCUUUGAUUAAUGAGCUAGUCAAGUAGAGGCAUACUAGUGACUAUAUGUUUGUCUAUGUAUUCACACAUGUAUCAUGUUUCUGGUUAAUACAAUUCUAGCAUGAAUAAUAAACAUUUAUCAUGAUAUGAGGAAAUAAAUAAUAACUUUAUUAUUGCCUCUAGGGCAUAUUUCCUUCAGUCUCCCACUUGCACUAGAGUCAAUAAUCUAGAUUACAUAGUAAUGAUUCUAACACCCAUGGAGUCUUGGUGUUGAUCAUGUUUUGCUCGUGAGAGAGGCUUAGUCAACAGGUCUGCAACAUUCAGAUCCGUAUGUAUUUUGCAAAUCUCUAUGUCUCCCACUUGGACUUGGUCCCGAAUGGAAUUGAAGCGUCUCUUGAUGUGCUUGGUCCUCUUGUGAAAUCUGGAUCCUUUGCCAAGGCAAUUGCACCAGUAUUGUCACAGAAGAUCUUCAUUGGUCCCAAUGCACUAGGUAUGACACCUAGAUCGGAAAUGAACUCCUUCAUCCAGACUCCUUCAUUUGCUGCUUCCGAAGCAGCUAUGUACUCUGCUUCACAUGUAGAUCCUGCUACGAUGCUUUGUUUAGAACUGCACCAACUUACAGCUCCACCGUUUAACAAAAACACGUAUCCGGUUUGCAAUUUAGAAUCGUCCGGAUCAGUGUCAAAGCUUGCAUCGACGUAACCGUUUACGACUAGCUCUUUGUCACCUCCAUAUACGAGAAACAUAUCCUUAGUCCUUUUCAGGUAUUUCAGGAUGUUCUUGACCGCUGUCCAGUGAUCCACUCCUGGAUUACUUUGGUACCUUCCUGCCAAGCUUAUUGCUAAGCAUACGUCAGCUCUGGUACACAGCAUUGCAUACAUGAUAGAGCCUAUGGCUGAAGCAUAGGGAACAUUUUUCAUUUUCUCUCUAUCUUCUGUUGUGGUCGGGCAUUGAGUUUGACUCAACUUCACACCUUGUAGCACAGGCAAGAAUCCUUUCUUUGCCUGAUCCAUUUUGAACUUUUUCAAAAUUUUGUCAAGGUAUGUGCUUUGUGAAAGUCCUAUUAAGCGUCUUGAUCUAUCUCUAUAGAUCUUGAUGCCCAAUAUGUAAGCAGCUUCACCAAGGUCUUUCAUUGAAAAACUUUUAUUCAAGUAUCCUUUUAUGCUAUCCAGAAGUUCUAUAUCAUUUCCAAUUAAUAAUAUGUCAUCUACAUAUAAAAUUAGAAAUGCUACAGAGCUCCCACUCACUUUCUUGUAAAUACAGGCUUCUCCAAAAGUCUGUAUAAAACCAUAUGCUUUGAUCACACUAUCAAAGCGUUUAUUCCAACUCCGAGAUGCUUGCACCAGUCCAUAAAUGGAACGCUGGAGCUUGCACACUUUGUCAGCACCUUUUGGAUCAACAAAAUCUUCCGGCUGCAUCAUAUACAACUCUUCUUCUAGAAAUCCAUUCAAGAAUGCAGUCUUGACAUCCAUUUGCCAAAUUUCAUAAUCAUGAAAUGCAGCAAUAGCUAACAUGAUUCGGACGGACUUAAGCAUCGCAACUGGUGAGAAAGUCUCAUCGUAGUCAACCCCUUGAACUUGUCGAAAACCUUUUGCAACAAGUCGAGCUUUAUAGACAUUUAUAUUACCAUCAGCGUCAGUCUUCUUCUUAAAGAUCCAUUUAUUCUCAAUGGCUUGCCGAUCAUCGGGCAAGUCAACCAAAGUCCAUACUUUGUUUUCAUACAUGGAUCCCAUCUCAGAUUUCAUGGCUUCUAGCCAUUUUGCGGAAUCCGGGCUCAUCAUCGCUUCCUCAUAGUUCGUAGGUUCAUCAUGGUCAAGUAACAUGACUUCCAGAAUAGGAUUACCGUACCACUCUGGUGCGGAUCUUACUCUGGUAGACCUACGAGGUUCAGUAGAAACUUGAUCUGAAGUUUCAUGAUCAUCAUCAUUAGCUUCCUCACUAAUUGGUGUAGUAGUCACAGGAACCGGUUCUCGUGAUGAACUACUUUCCAAUAAGGGAGUAGAUACAGUUAUCUCAUCAAGUUCUACUUUCCUCCCACUCACUUCUUUCGAGAGAAACUCCUUCUCUAGAAAGGAUCCAUUCUUAGCAACGAAUGUCUUGCCUUCGGAUCUGUGAUAGAAGGUGUACCCAAUAGUUUCUUUUGGGUAUCCUAUGAAGACACAUUUCUCCGAUUUAGGUUCGAGCUUAUCUGGUUGAAGUUUCUUCACAUAAGCAUCGCAGCCCCAAACUUUAAGAAACGACAACUUUGGUUUCUUGCCAAACCACAGUUCAUAAGGCGUCGUCUCAACGGAUUUUGAUGGUGCCCUAUUUAACGUGAAUGCGGCCGUCUCUAAAGCAUAACCCCAAAAUGAUAGCGGUAAAUCAUUAAGAGACAUCAUAGAUCGCACCAUAUCUAGUAAAGUACGAUUACGACGUUCGGACACACCAUUUCGUUGUGGUGUUCCAGGUGGCGUGAGUUGCAGAACUAUUCCACAUUGUUUCAAGUGUAGGCCAAACUCAUAACUCAAAUAUUCUCCUCCACGAUCAGAUCGUAGAAACUUUAUUUUCUUGUUACGAUGAUUUUCAACUUCACUCUGAAAUUCUUUGAACUUUUCAAAUGUUUCAGACUUGUGUUUCAUCAAGUAGAUAUACCCAUAUCUGCUCAAAUCAUCUGUGAAGGUGAGAAAAUAACGAUACCCGCCACGAGCCUCAACAUUCAUUGGGCCACAAACAUCAGUAUGUAUGAUUUCCAACAAAUGAGUUGCUCGCUCCAUAGUUCCGGAGAAUGGCGUUUUAGUCAUCUUGCCCAUAAGGCACGGUUCGCAAGUACCAAGUGAUUCAUAAUCAAGUGAUUCCAAAAGUCCAUCAGUAUGGAGUUUCUUCAUGCGCUUUACACCGAUAUGACCCAAACGGCAGUGCCACAAAUAAGUUGCACUAUCAUUAUUAACUCUGCAUCUUUUGGUUUCAACACUAUGAAUAUGUGUAUCACUACUAUCGAGAUUUAAUAAAAAUAGACCACUCUUCAAGGGUGCAUGACCAUAAAAGAUAUUACUCAUAUAAAUAGAACAACCAUUAUUCUCUGAUUUAAAUGAAUAACCGUCUCGCAUCAAACAAGAUCCAGAUAUAAUGUUCAUGAUCAACGCUGGCACCAAAUAAUAAUUAUUCAGGUCUAAAACUAAUCCCGAAGGUAGAUGUAGAGGUAGCGUGCCGACCGCGAUCACAUCGACUUUGGAACCGUUUCCCACGCGCAUCGUCACCUCGUCCUUGGCUAGUAAUCGCUUAUUUCGUAGUCCCUGUUUCGAGUUGCAAAUAUUAGCAACAGAACCAAUAUCAAAUACCAAGGUGCUACUACGAGCUCUAGUUAGGUACACAUCAAUAACAUGUAUAUCACAUAUACCUUUGUUCACUUUGCCAUCCUUCUUAUCCGCCAAAUACUUGGGGCAGUUCCGCUUCCAGUGACCAAUCUGCUUGCAGUAGAAGCACUCAGUUUCAGGCUUAGGUCCAGACUUGGGUUUCUUCUCUUGAGCAGCAACUUGCUUGCUGUUUUUCUUGAAGUUCCCCUUCUUCUUCCCUUUGCCCUUUUUCUUGAAACUAGUGGUCUUGUUGACCAUCAACACUUGAUGCUCCUUCUUGAUUUCUACCUCCGCAGCUUUUAGCAUUGCGAAGAGCUCAGGAAUAGUCUUGUUCAUCCCUUGCAUAUUGUAGUUCAUCACAAAGCUCUUGUAGCUUGGUGGUAGUGAUUGGAGAAUUCUGUCAAUGACGCUAUCAUCCGGAUGAUUAACUCCCAGUUGAAUCAAGUGAUUAUUAUACCCAGACAUUUUGAGUAUAUGCUCACUAACAGAACUAUUCUCCUCCAUCUUGCAGCUGUAGAACUUAUUGGAGACUUCAUAUCUUUCAAUCCGGGCAUUUGCUUGAAAUAUUUACUUCAACUCCUGGAACAUCUCAUAUGCUCCAUGACGUUCAAAACGUCAUUGAAGACCCGGUUCUAAGCCGUAAAGCAUGGCACACUGAACUAUAGAGUAGUCAUCAGCUUUGCUCUGCCAGACGUUCUUAACAUCGUCAGUUGCAUCAGUAGCAGGCCUGGCACCUAGCCGUGCUUCCAGGAUGUAACUUUUCUGUGCAGCAAUGAGGAUAAUCCUCAGGUUACGGACCCAGUCCGUGUAAUUGCUACCAUCAUCUUUCAACUUUGCUUUCUCAAGGAACGCAUUAAAAUUCAACGGAACAACAGCACGAGCCAUCUAUCUACAAACAAACAUAGACAAGCAAAAUACUAUCAGGUACUAAGUUCAUGAUAAAUUUAGGUUCAAUUAAUCAUAUUACUUAAGAACUCCCACUUAGACAGACAUCUCUCUAGUCAUCUAAGUGAUCACAUGAUCCAAAUCAACUAAACCAUAACCGAUCAUCACGUGAGAUGGAGUAGUUUUCAAUGGUGAACAUCAUUAUGUUGAUCAUAUCUACUAUAUGAUUCACGCUCGACCUUUCGGUCUCCGUGUUCCGAGGCCAUAUCUGCAUAUGCUAGGCUCAUCAAGUUUAACCUGAGUAUUCCGCGUGUGCAAAACUGUCUUGCACCCGUUGUAGAUGGACAUAGAGCUUAUCACACCCGAUCAUCACGUGGUGUCUGGGCACGACGAACUUUGGCAACGGUGCAUACUCAGGGAGAACACUUCUUGAUAAUUUUAGUGAGAGAUCAUCUUAAAAUGCUACCGUCAAUCAAAGCAAGAUAAGAUGCAUAAAGGAUAAACAUCACAUGCAAUCAAUAUAAGUGAUAUGAUAUGGCCAUCAUCAUCUUGUGCUUGUGAUCUCCAUCUCCGAAGCAUCGUCAUGAUCACCAUCGUCACCGGCGCGACACCUUGAUCUUCAUCGUAGCAUCGUUGUCGUCUCGCCAACUAUUGCUUCUACGACUAUCGCUACCGCUUAGUGAUAAAGUAAAGCAAUUACAGGGCGUUUGCAUUUCAUACAAUAAAGCGACAACCAUAUGGCUCCUGCCAGUUGCCGAUAACUUCGGUUACAAAACAUGAUCAUCUCAUACAAUAAAAUAUAGCAUCACGUCUUGACCAUAUCACAUCACAACAUGCCCUGCAAAAACAAGUUAGACAUUCUCUACUUUGUUGUUGCAAGUUUUACGUGGCUGCUACGGGCUUAGCAAGAACCGUUCUUACCUACGCAUCAAAAACCACAACGAUAGUUUGUCAAGCUGGUGCUGUUUUAGCCUUCGCAAGGACCGGGCGUAGCCACACUCGAUUUAGCUAAAGUGAGAGAGACAGACACCCGCCGGUCACCUUUAAGCAACGAGUGCUCGUAGCGGUGAAACCAGUCUUGCGUAAGCGUACGCGUAAUGUCGGUCCGGGCCGCUUCAUCUCACAAUACCGCCGAAGCAAAGUAUGACAUGCUGGUAAGCAGUAUGACUUAUAUCGCCCACAACUCACUUGUGUUCUACUCGUGCAUAUGACAUCUACGCAUAAAACCAGGCUCUGAUACCACUGUUGGAGAACGUAGUAAUUUCAAAAAAUUUCCUACGCACACGCAAGAUCAUGGUGAUGGCAUAGCAACGAGAGGGGAGAGUGUUGGUCCAUGUACCCUCGUAGACCGUAAGCGGAAGCGUUAUGACAACGCGGUUGAUGUAGUCGUACGUCUUCACGAUCUGACCGAUGCAAGCACCGAACGUACGGCACCUCCGAGUUCAGCACACGUUCAGCUCGAUGACGAUCCCCGGGCUCCGAUCCAGCAAAGCUUCGGGGAUGAGUUCCGUCAGCACGACGGCGUGGUGACGAUGAUGAUGUUCUACCGGCGCAGGGCUUCGUCUAAACUCCACGACAAUAUGACCGAGGUGGAAUAUGGUGGAGGGGGCACCGCACACGGCUAAGGAACAAUCCAUAGAUCAACUUGUGUGUUAUGGGGUGCCCCCCUGCCCCCAUAUAUAAAGGAGGGAGGGGGAGGUGCGGCCGGCCCCCUUGGGGUGCGCCUGGAGGAGUCAUACUCCCACCAGGAGUAGGACUCCCCCCUCUUGCCUUGGUGGAGAAGGAAAGGGGGGAGGGGAAAGAGGAAAGGGGGGCGCCGCCCCCCUUCCUUGUCCUAUUCGGACUAGGGGGGGAGGGGGCGCGCGGCCUGCCCUAGACGGCCCUCCUCUUCUCCCUCAUGGCCCACUAAGGCCCAUUAACCCCCGGGAGGGUUCCGGUAACCCCCCGGUGUUCCGGUAAAAUCCUGAUUUCACCUGAAACCUUUCCGAUGUCCAAACAUAGGCUUCCAAUAUAUCAAUCUUUAUGUCUCGACCAUUUUGAGACUCCUUGUCAUGUCCGUGAUCACAUCCGGGACUCCGAACAAACUUCCGUACAUCAAAACUUAUAAACUCAUAAUAAAACUGUCAUCGUAAUGUUAAGCGUGCAGACCCUACGGGUUCGAGAACUAUGUAGACAUGACCUAGAACCAUUCUCGGUCAAUAACCAAUAGCGGAACCUGGAUGCCCAUAUUGGUUCCUACAUAUUCUACGAAGAUCUUUACCGGUCAAACCGCAUAACAACAUACGUUGUUCCCUUUGUCAUCGGUAUGUUACUUGCCCGAGAUUUGAUCGUCGGUAUCCAAUACCUAGUUCAAUCUCGUUACCGGCAAGUCUCUUUACUCGUUUUGUAACACAUCAUCUUAUAACUAACUCAUUAGUUACAAUGCUUGCAAGGCUUAGGUGAUGAGUAUUACCGAGAGGGCCCAGAGAUACCUCUCCGACAAUCGGAGUGACAAAACCUAAUCUCAAAUUAUGCCAACCCAACAUGUACCUUCGGAAACACCUGUAGAGCACCUUUAUAAUCACCCAGUUACGUUGUGACAUUUGGUAGCACACAAAGUGUUCUUCCGGUAAACGUGAGUUGCACAAUCUCAUAGUUGCAGGAACUUUGUAUAAGUCAUGAAGAAAGCAAUAGCAACAUACUAAACGAUCAAGUGCUAGGCUAACGGAAUGGGUCAUGUCAAUCACAUCAUUAUUCUAAUGAUGUGAUCCCAUUAAUCAAAUGACAACACAUGUCUAUGGUUAGGAAACAUAACCAUCUUUGAUUAAUGAGCUAGUCAAGUAGAGGCAUACUAGUGACUAUAUGUUUGUCUAUGUAUUCACACAUGUAUCAUGUUUCCGGUUAAUACAAUUCUAGCAUGAAUAAUAAACAUUUAUCAUGAUAUGAGGAAAUAAAUAAUAACUAUAUUAUUGCCUCUAGGGCAUAUUUCCUUCAAUACCUUCUCCCGGGAAGACUCGAUCAGUCUCGGAAUCCCAGUUUGCAAGACAUUUCGAUGAUGGUAAAACAAGACCAGCAAGACCACCCGACUGUGCCGACAAAUCCCGAUAGGAGCUGCACAUAUCUCGUUCUUAGGGCACAACAGAUGAGCAAUCCGUACAAAUAAAACCAAACCUCAAGUUUCCUUGAGGGGGCGCUGCAAAGGGCUCUAGUUUGGACCAACACUCGGAGGAGCACUGGCCCGGGGGGGUUAAAAUAAAGAUGACCCUUGAGUCUGCAGAACCCAAGGGAAAAAGGCUUAGGUGGCAAAUGUUAAAACCAAUGUUGGGCCUUGCUGGAGGAGUUUUAUUCAAAGCGAACUAUCAAGGGGGUCCCAUAAAUCACCCAACCGCGUAAGGAACGCAAAAUCAAGGAACAUAACACCGGUAUGACGGAAACUAGGGCGGCAAAAGUGGAACAAAACACCAGACAUAAGGCCGAGCCUUCCACCCUUUACCAAGUAUAUAGAUGCAUUAAUUAAAUAAGAGAUAUUGUGAUAUCCCAACAUAAUCUUGUCCAUCAUGGAGCAAUCUUCAACUUCACCUGCAACUAACAAUGCUAUAAGAGGGGCUGAGCAAAGCGGUAACAUAGCCAAACAACGGUUUGCUAGGAAGGGUGAAAAGUUAGAGGCUGACAUGGCAAUAUGGGAGGCAUGGUAAACAAGUGAUAGGUAACGCAGCAUAGCGAUAGAAUGAAGCAACUAGCAAGCAAAGAUAGAAGUGAUAUUGAGGGUAAUGGUCAUCUUGCCUGAGAUCCCGCAAGGAAGAAGAACGAGUCCAUGAAGAAGACAAAUGGACAUAGUCGAACGAAUCCUCACAACUCCGGAACGAAACCGAAGCUAACGAGAGAAGCAAACCGGAAAGAAGCAAACAACAUGGUAAACAACCAUCACAUAAGCAUAGCAUGAUGCACAAACAAGUAUGAUGCAUGUCCGGUUUAAUGAGGCAUGGCAUGGCAAUAUGCACAAACAACACUACAAGUUAAGUGGAGCUCAAUAUGCAACGAGUUGCAUAUUGACGGAACACCACAUCAAUUAUUUAGUUCUCUCUCGGUUAUGCUACCAAACAAUAUUAAGUGUUGUAAAACAUGGCAAGAGGUGAAGCAUAAAUAAACUAACUAUUUAGGCAAGUUUAAAUGAGGCCGGAACAACACACAACAAUUCCGGUAAAUCCCCACAUGUCUUUUAGUAGUUUAAUGCAAACACAAUUUUAAGCAUUUAGAUGUUGUUAUCAUGAUGCGGAUGACAUAUGCAAGUUUACGUAAUUUUUAUGAAAAUUUUGACAUGAGCAUAUUAUGAAGCAUUUUGGUCACCAUGGCGGAAUGAAAAGGGUGCCACGGCGGCGAAACGAAAAUGGUGCCACGGCAACAUUCUGGUCCUGGUAACUCGAGUGAGAUACCGAUGCAAACGAGAAGUGUGCGGAUGUGUGGAACACGCAAGAGAUGGGGAGUGAUCCCGGAUACCGGGUGUCCCACAUGACGGUGGCAUGGCAAACAAGGAACGUGCAAAGACAAAUCGAUCACGGUGCAAAACUCGAGCAUCUCAUACAACACACAAGCAUUCGUUCACGGGCAUCGUCUCGUCAUUAUACCUUUGAACCGUGCAUUUUCGGAGCGGUUCGGGUUCGGUACGAUGUAGAGGAAGUAGUCGUUCACGAGUCAUCGUGGGAAGUAGUUGUUCACGUGGCGACGGUAGUGGAAGUAGUCGUUCUCAUGACGGUAGUGGAAGUAGUUGUAAACGUUCGUUUCAAAGAGGCACUUGACGAAUCCAACAUCUUCAGGGCGACGGUAGUGGAAGUAGUGGUACACGUUUCGUAGAUGUUCGGGUCCGGCGAGGAACUUGACGUCCUGGUACUUGGCGUCCACUCGGCCUUGAUGGUGAUGAAACAAAACGCGAUGGUUGUGGUACUUGGCGAGUGGAGGAGGCUGGUUCCGAGCGGGACUGGCCUGUCCUAGCAGGCUGCUUGCCGGCGAGGUUCAGGUGAGGUCACUGGCCGGUGGAGGUGCAACAGAGGAUGUCGUGGGGCCGGGCUCCUCCUGCUGGUUUUUGGCGACGAGCGGCGUGGGAACGAGGCAGAAGGUCGCACAAGGUGUAGCAGAGAGAGGCGGUGAGGGACUUGGCGGCGGGGACGUCCUGAAGCUACUGCUGGUGGCGCUCGUGGUGGUCGGAGACGGGCACUAGCGAGGCGAGGGAGAGGCCAGGCGGGGAAGACGGCGUGGAGGCGCUGCAAACCAUGGAGGCCGGCGGUGCCAUGGUCAUGCGGCCCAGGCGAGCUCGGCAGCCUGGACUCGCUGGCCGAAGCGGCGGCAGGAUCACCAGGUAGCACGGGGACGAAGCAGCAGGAGGAUCUGCGGGGAGGGAGAAGGCAGAGGACGAAGGUCCGGCGGUGGUGGUCGCGGAGGUCGGGGUAGUACUGCGGUGGCGCUGCUGCACCGGCUGACGGCGAUGGAGUUUCUGUGAUGGCGCGUGGGGUCGAUGGAGAGGGGCUUGGCGCGGCGGGGACGACGGAGGGCGAUGCGAGGCAGAGGAGAUCGAGGGCGUGAGGUGGCGGCGCUACGGGAUCGAGCGACAGGCUCUCGCUCCUCUCUGGCGGUGCGAGCGGUGGAAGACGGGAGAGACCAGGGGAUCGAGAGGAGGGGAUCGGGGCUAGGGUUAGAUAGGCGCUAGGGUUGGGCCUUGGCUGGAUCUUGGGCCGCCCGGCCUGAGGCUGCAGCUGGGCUUGCUCCUCUCUCCCUCUUACUCUUAUUUCCUUUAGCAGAAAACAAAUUAGAGAGAAGAAAAAGAAAGAGAGGGUUAAGGAAAGAAUUUGCGCACGGGGGUAAUUUUCCCGGACUCGCAAAAAUGCACUGGUUCCAAGGAAAUAGAAAUGGCCAAGAUCGAACGAUAAGAAUUCAAACUCAUUUGAAUUUAAUUCAAAUGGGUUUGAACUAGGACUUGAUAAAAGGAAGGUCCAAAAAUGUUCAGAUUUUUGGUGGAGCUCCAGAAAAUGAUGAAAGAAAUUAUGGGCAAGGUUGGAGACCAAGAAUUGAGAUAACAAUGGCAUGGGAUAUUUUGCAAGUGGGUUAUGGUUAAUUCCAAAUAAACGGAAUAAUUUUAUUAUAGCUCCCUAAUAAUAGUAGGAGACUUUGAAUAUGUUUUAAAGAGAAAUCACCAUGUGAAUAUCCCUCGAUUUAAAUAGAUCAACGAUCUAUGCAAUUUAUUUAGGUGAGUUUUAAAAAUUAAUGAUAUGAUGGCAUGAUGACAUGAUGCAAUGCAAGAGAUGGCAUGAUGAAUGCACAAACAAAACAAAUCACACGACAAAACUCGGAAUAGCUGGAAGUCUUCUGGAGCGUCGGUCUCGGGGUGUUACAACAUGCUUAUAGGAGACAUUCUCGUCAUAACUAGUGCAAUCAUCAUUAGUACUAUGGAUAUUCAAGGAGUUCAUACUAACAACAUUGCAAUCAUGCUCAUCAUUCAAAUACUUAGUACCAAAUAUUUUAUAGACUUCUUCUUCUAGCACUUGAGCACAAUUUUCCUUUUCAUCAUACUCAUGAAAGAUAUUAAAAAUAUGAAGCGUAUGAGACAAACUCACAACCAUUUUUUUGUAGUUCUUUUAUAACUAAACUAGUGAUAAAACAACAAACAAAAAGAUUUGAUUGCAAUAUCUAAAGAUAUAUCUUCAAGCACUCACCUCCCCGGCAACGGCGCCGGAAAAGAGCUUGAUGUCUACUACACAACCUUCUUCUUGUAGACGUUGUUGGGCCUCCAAGUGCAGAGGUUUGUAGGACAAUAGCAAAUUUCCCUCAAGUGGAUGACCUAAGUGUCGGGGGUUGGGUACGACAUAUGCCAAAGGAUGGCUUAUCAUGGUGGGAGCGAGUAGAACGUCGCCAGUGCAUGGAAGCGGGAUGAGGCGAAGACAUGCACGCUGGUGGAACUUACCCAGCUUCAGGGCUCUCCUAGGAGAUAACACCCCUAAUGCUGCUCUGCGGGGUCUCCGCAUGAUCACUAAAGCAAAGUGGCUACAAUGGUGCUCCUGGAGCUGUUUCGGGAGGUAGGAGAGGGCAAGGCUAGCUCUCUCCUCCCUGGGCUAUCUGGUCUAUCUCUCUCUAGGUCCGAACCCUUUGCAUGGGUGCCCCGGGGGGUUUAUAUAGGCCUACCCCCCGGGGGUACAAUACUAAUCCGGCUGGGCGCGGGUCCCAGCCGUCUGUCUCUCAGGCUGCCGUCCUUCCCGCCGGCUUCUAGGGCCCGUCGACUAGUGGGUCCCGCGGACAGGCUUGAUACUGUAGCGGCACUCCUGAUGACGCAGGCUCGGUCAUCGGGUUGUGGCAACAGUGCCGCCGUCUAUUGGGCGAUCACUGUCGCCAUUCCCCAUCUUAUCUGGUUAAUGGCUAGUGGGGCCCUGGGAAGGAGUCGACCGACUCCAGGGAGGCCGACUCCCACAGGUCCGUCUUCGGGUUGCCCAGGCCGCCUUGGGCCCACCCACUGACAGGCGGCCCCGCCACCUUUGGGUCGUACAGGCCGGCGUCGUGGGCACAGUGUACUGCGCACUGUGGCUGAGAUCAGGGCAAGCAUGACAACAGUGCCGCAUCUCGCCGGAGAUCUCCCAGCGAUACGGCUCACUGUAGCCAUGCCGGCCCUUUGUAAGCAGGGGGGGAAUGGCCAUGCCGUGACCAUACCCCGCGUCUUACUUCGAGAUGAGGGAGGAGUCUUGGGCCGACUCUCCAUAGUCGGCCUCUCUGGAGUUCCCCAGCUUGGAGUCGGCUUAUCUGGGAGUCGCCGUCUGGGACUCGGCAUGUUUUGGAGUCGCUCCUGGGACUCGGCCUGAGGGGCGCGGCCUGCCCCGAUGUCUUGAAAUGUCCUGGGCCUCGGGUUUGCCUACCCGUGGCCUAUUACUCCGACACUAAGGUUUAUCAAUCCGUGGGAGGCGUAGGAUGAAGAUGGUCUCUCUCAAACAACCCUACAACCAAAUAACAAAGAGUCUCUUGUGUCCCCAACACACCCAAUACAAUGGUAAAUUGUAUAGGUGCACUAGUUCGGCGAAGAGAUGGUGAUACAAGUGCAAUAUGGAUGGUAGAUAUGAGUAUUUGUAAUCUGAAAAUAUAAAAACAACAAGGUAACAAGUGGUAAAAGUGAGCGUAAACGGUAUUGCAAUGCUAGGAAACAAGGCCUAAGGUUCAUACUUUCACUAGUGCAAGUUCUCUCAACAAUAAUAACAUAAUUGGAUCAUAUAACUAUCCCUAAACAUGCAAUAAAGAGUCACUCCAAAGUCACUAAUAGCAGAGAACAAAUGAAGAGAUUAUGGUAGGGUACGAAACCACCUCAAAGUUAUCCUUUCUGUUCUAUCUAUUCAAGAGUCCGUAGUAAAAUAACAUGAAGCUAUUCUUUCCAUUCAAUCUAUCAUAGAGUUCAUACUAGAAUAACACCUUAAGACACAAAUCAACCAAAACCCUAAUGUCACCUAUAUACUCCAUUGUCACCUCAAGUAUCCGUGGGCAUGAUUGUACGAUAUGCAUCACACAAUCUCAAAUUCACCUAUUCAAACCAACACAAAGUACUUCAAAGAGUGCCCCAAAGUUUCUACCGGAGAGUCAAGACGAAAACGUGUGCCAACCCCUAUGCAUAGGUUCAUGGGUGGAACCCGCAAGUUGAUCACCAAAACAUACACCAAGUGGAUCACAUGAAUAUCCCAUUGUCACCACACAUAAGCACGGCAAGACAUACACCAAGUGUUCUCAAAUCCUUAAAGACUCAAUCCGACAAGAUAACUUCAAAGGGAAAACUCAAUCCAUUACAAGAGAGUAGAGGGGGAGAAGCAUCAUAAGAUCCAACUAUAAUAGCAAAGCUCGUGAUACAUCAAGAUCGUAUCACCUCAAGAACACGAGAGAGCGAGAAAUCGAACACAUAGCUACUGGUACAUACCCUGCGCCCCGAGGGUGAACUACUCCCUCGUCGUCAUGGAGAGCACCGGGAUGAUGAAGAUGGCCUCCGGUGAGGGAUCCCCCCUCCGGCAGGGUGCCGAAACGGGCUCCCGAGAGGUUUUGGGUGGCUACAGAGGCUUGCGGCGGCGGAACUCCCGAUCUAUUGUUGUCUUUGAUGGUUUUAGGGUAUAUGGGAAUAUAUAGGCGAAAGAAGUCGGUCGGGGGAGCCACGAGGGGCCCACGAGGGUGGAGGGUGCGCCUAGGGGAGGUGGGCAUGCCCCCCUGCCUCGUGGCCUCCUUGAAGCUUCCUUGACUUGCACUCCAAGUCCCCUGGAUUGCUUCCACUCCAAAAAUAAUGCUCCCGAAGGUUUCAUUCCGUUUGGACUCCGUUUGAUAUUCCUUUUCUUUGAAACACUGAAAUAGGCAAGAAAACAACAAUUUGGGCUGGGCCUCCGGUUAAUAGGUUAGUCCCAAAAAUAAUAUAAAAGUGCUUAAUAAAGCUCAUAAACAUCCAAAACAGAUAAUAUAAUAGCAUGAAUGCUUCAUAAAUUAUAGAUACGUUAGAGACGUAUCAGAGCCGUAGAUUGGUUCCGCCAAGGUUCCGCCUCGUGGCGGCGGUGUUUCGUCCCGAAAGCUUGCUUGCUAUUUUUCCAGGGUAAAAGACUUCAUAUAGCAGAAGAUGGGCACCGGAGGCCUGCCAGGGGGGCCAUGAGGUAGGGGGCGCGCCCAGGGGGUAGGGCGCGCCCCCCACCCUCGUGGAUGGUGGGUGGCCCCCCUCUGGUACUUUCUUCGCUCAAUAUUUUUUAUUAAUUCCAAAAAUAACUUCCGUGGAGUUUCAGGACUUUUGGGGUUGUGCAGAAUAGGUUUGUAAUAUUUGCUCCUUUUCCAGCCCAGAAUUCCAGCUGCCGGCAUUCUCCCUCUUCAUAUAAACCUUGUAAAAUAAGAGAUAAUAGGCAUAAGUAUUGUGACAUAAUGUGCAAUAACAGCCCAUAAUGCAAUAAAUAUAGAUAUAAAAGCAUGAUUCAAAAUGGACGUAUCAACUCCCCCAAGCUUGGACCUCGCUUGUCCUCAAGCGGAAGUCGAUAACGAUAAAUAUGUCCACAUGUUUAGAGAUAGAGGUGUCGAUAAAAUAAAAUACAGACAUGAGGGCAUCAUGAUCAUUCUUAUAACAGCAACGUAUAUAAAUAUUGUCAUAUGAUUUCUUAUGCUAAAGUAACAAGCUAUUCACAAUGUAAAGUAUGAAUCAGAAACUUCAUUGAAAACUAACAAUCUAUGGUCUCGGUCAUUGAAGCAAUUGCAAUUUAUCAUCACAUCGAAAAGAGUCAAUACAAGAGCUUUUCAGCAAGUCCACAUACUCAACUAUCAUUUAGUCUUUCACAAUUGCUAACACUCACGCAAUACUUAUGGGUAUGGAGUUUUAAUCGGACACAGAGAAAGAUAGGGGCUUAUACUGUCGCCUCCCAACCUUUUACCUCAAGGGUAACGUCAACAACAAUAGUUCAUGAUAACUUACAUCCAAUUGGAUAUAUAUAUCAGGAUCUUUCCAACACAAUGUGCUUGCCAAAGGAUAAAGUGUAAAAAGGAAAGGUGAAGAUCACCAUGACUCUUGUAUAAGAUAUAAGACAAGAAAAAGAUAGGACCUUCGCAGAGGGAAGCAGAGGUUGUCAUGUGCUUUUAUGGUUGGAUGCACAAAAUCUUAAUGCGAAAGAACGUCACUUUAUAUUGCCACGUGUGAUAUGGACCUUUAUUAUGCAGUCCGUCACUUUUAUUUCUUCCACAUCACAAGAUCGUAUAAAGCUUAUUUUCUCCACACUAAUAAAUCAUACAUAUUUAGAGAGCAAUUUUUAUUGCAUGCAACAAUGACAACUUACUUGAAGGAUCUUACUCAACCCAUAGGUAGGUAUGGUGGACUCUCAUGGCAAAACUGGGUUUAAGGAUAUUUGGAAGCACAAGUAGUAUCUCUACUUAGUGCAAAGAAUUUGGCUAGCAUGAGGGAGAAAGGCAAGCUCAACAUGUUGGAUGAUCCAUGACAAUAUACUUUAUUUCGGGUAUAAGAAAACAUAACCCAUUACGUUGUCUUCCUUGUCCAACAUCAACUCUUUAGCAUGUCAUAUUUUAAUGAGUGCUCACAAUCAUAAAAGAUGUCCAAGAUAGUAUAUUUAUACGUGAAAACCUCUCUUUCUUUAUUACUUCCUAUUGAUUGCAACGAUGCCCAAAACUAUGUUUGUCAACUCUCAACGACUUUUAUUCAUCAUACUCUUUAUAUGUGAAGUCAUUACUCUCCAUAAGAUCCAUAUAAUCUCUUUAUUCCUUUUUAUUCUUUCUUUUUCUUUUAUUUCCUCAAGAUCAAAGUAAGAUAAUCAAGCCCUUUACUCAAAACUAAUAUUUAUUAUAUAUAGCUCACGUACUCGAUUACAUAGAAGGAUCAUAAAGCAAAACUCAAAACUAGAUCAUACUAAAACUUUAUUCUACUAGAUCAAGAUAUUACUAAAAGGAUUGAACUAGGAAAAACGGUAAAGAUAGGAGUGUGAUGGUGAUACGAUACCGGGGCACCCCCCCAAGCUUGGCAGUUGCCAAGGGGAGUGCCCAUACCCAUGUGAUUAUGUCUCCUUCAAGGGUGGUGAUGUGAUAUUCUUGGCGAUGAUUCCCCUCAGGAUAUGAUUCUCUUCCUCGACCUUAUUGACUUGUUGCUUGAGGUCCAUUAUUUCCUUACGGAGUUUACCCGUGACGGCUAAGGCUCCUUUCACCCAAGGAUGUUGCAUAGCUAUGGGAGAGAAAGUAACACUCUUUUUCAUAUUUUCAUAAGAAAGAAAUUUAACAUUGGAAGGGAUGACCGAGUUUGGAAUGGCUGAGCUUUGCAGUUCCCCCAUUGUGAAUCCGGAUUGGAAACGAGAAGUAACUUCUUGAUCCUUCUCCAUGGCAUCUAUCUUUUUCAAGUCGGCCUCCAUCUCUUCCUCUGUUGAUGGCCCAAAGUGAUCAGCAUUGCUGUUUACUCCUGGUCCCGGUGUCGGAUGAGACACUCGACUCUCCCCGACUGAUUCCCAAGAAGACAUCUUGCUCUAAUCUGCAGUAGAAACAACUCGAAACAAAAACAGAGAAUAUUUGCGUGAUACGAGAGUCAAAACCUUCGGGAGGUUAUAUAAUGAAUUUUUACCGACCAGAAGAAGUAUCGUGCAAGAAAACAGAGUCCGGAGAGCACACGAGGUGCCCACGAGGCAGGAGGUGUGCCCAGGGGGUAGGGUGCGCCCUCCACCCUUGUGGACGCCUCGUGUCCUUCCCGGACUGCUUCUUAUUUUCCUAUUUUCUUAAAUAUUCCAAAACAGAGAAAAAUUACCAUUAGAACUGUUUUGGAAUCGGUUUACUUACCGUACCACAUACCUAUUCCUUUUUGGAGUCUGAAACAUUCUGGAAAGUGUCCCUUGUGUAUUCCUCCGGGUUUAUGGUUUCAAUAACAUUAUUUUCAACAUUUAAGGGAUUACCUGAGAUAUAUUGUUUGAUUCUUUGACCAUUCACCACCUUCGGAUUUGUGCCUUCAAAGUUGUUGAUUUUUAUGGCAUCGGAAUGAUAGACCUCCUCGAUAACGUAAGGACCUUCCCAUUUAGAGAGAAGUUUUCCUGCAAAAAACCUUAAACGAGAGUUGAAUAGAAAAACAUAAUCACCUACAUUAAACUCACGCUUUUUGUAUCCUUUUGUCAUGCCAUCUUUUAACUUUUUCUUUAAACAGUUUGGCAUUCUCAUAGGCUUGGGUUCUCCAUUCAUCAAGUGAGCUUAUGUCAAAUAGCCUCUUCUCACCGGCAAGUUUGAAAUCAUAAUUGAGCUCCUUAAUAGCCCAAUAUGCCUUAUGUUUUAGUUUGAGAGGUAAGUGACAUGACUUUCCAUAAACCAUUUUAUACGGAGACAUACCCAUAGGAUUUUUAUAUGCGGUUCUAUAGGCCCAUAAUGCAUCAUCAAGUUUCUUGGACCAAUUCUUUCUAGAUCUAUUAACAGUCUUUUGCAAAAUUAAUUUAAGCUCUCUAUUACUCAGUUGUACCUGACCACUAGACUGCCGGUGAUAUGGAGACACAAUUCUAUGAUUAACAUCAUACUUAGCAAGCAUUUUACGAAAGGCACCAUGAAUAAAAUGUGAACCACCAUCAUUCAUUAAAUAUCUAGGGAAUCCAGACCUCGGAAAAAUAACUUCUUUAAGCAUCUUAAUAGAGCUGUUAUGAUCAGCACUACUAGUUGGAAUAGCUUCUACCCACUUAGUAACGUAAUCAACAGCAACUAAAAUAUGUGUAUACCCAUUAGAGGAAGGAAAUGGUCCCAUGUAAUCAGAGCCCUAAACAUCAAAUGGUUCAAUUACAAGUGAAUAAUUCAUAGGCAUUUCUUGACGUCUACUAAUAUUAUCGAUUCUUUGACAUUCAUCACAAGACAAGACAAACUUACGGGCAUCUUUGAAGAGAGUAGGCCAAUAAAAACCGGAUUGCAAUACCUUGUGUGCAGUUCUAUCUCCAGCGUGGUGUCCUCCAUAAACCUCGGAGUGACACUUGUUUAGGAUUUGUUCCUGUUCAUGCUCAGGUACACAAUGUCUAAUGACACCAUCUACUCCUUCUUUAUAAAGAUGUGGGUCAUCCCAGAAUAAUGUCUUAAAUCAUGGAAAAACCUUUUCUUUUGCUGGUAUGCGAAACUAGGUGGUAUAAAUUUAGCAAAAAUGUAAUUAGCAUAAUUAGCAUACCAUGGAGCAGUACGAGAAGCGUUUAUGACAGCCAAUUGUUCAUCAGGACAGCUAUCAUCAAUAGGUAGUGAGUCAUCAAGAACAUUCUCUAACUUAGAUAAGUUGUCUGUAACGGGGUUCUCCGCUCCCUUUCUAUCAAUAAUAUGCAAAUCAAAUUCUUGUAAUAGGAGAACCUAUCUAAUAAGUCUAGGUUUAGCAUCUUUCUUUUCCAUAAGAUAUUUAAUAGCAGCAUGAUCAUUGUGAACAGUUACUUUAGAAUCACAAUAUAAGGUCUGAACUUAUCACAAGCAAAUACAACUGCUCAAAAUUCCUUUUCAGUAGUAGCAUAAUUUCUCUGGGCACUUUCCGUUGGAAAUAUGCCCUAGAGGCAAUAAUAAAAUGGUUAUUAUUAUAUUUCGUUGUUCAAGAUAAUUGUCUAUUGUUCAUGCUAUAACUGUAUUAACUGGAAACCGUAAUACAUGUGUGAAUACAUAGACCACAACAUGUCCCUAGUGAGCCUCUAGUUGACUAGCUCGUUGAUCAAUAGAUGGUCAUGGUUUCCUGACCAUGGACAUUAGAUGUCAUUGAUAGCGGGACCACAUCAUUAGGAGAAUGAUGUGAUGGACAAGACCCAAUCCUAAGCGUAGCACAAAGAUCGUGUAGUUCGUUUGCUAAAGCUUUUCUAAUGUCAAGUAUCAUUUACUUAGACCAUGAGAUUGAGCAACUCCCGGAUACCGUAGGAAUGCUUUGGGUGUACCAAACGUCACAACGUAACUGGGUGGCUAUAAAGGUACACUACAGGCAUCUCCGAAAGUGUCUAUUGGGUUGGCACAGAUCGAGACUGGGAUUUGUCACUCCGUAUGACGGAGAGGUAUCUCUGGGCCCACUCGGUAAUGCAUCAUCAUAAUGAGCUCAAUGUGGCUAAGUAGUUCGUCACGGGAUCAUGCAUUACGGAACGAGUAAAGUGACUUGCCGGUAACAAGAUUGAAUGAGGUAUUGGGAUACCGACGAUCGAAUCUCAGGCAAGUAACAUACCGAUUGACAAAGGGAAUUGUAUACGGGAUUGAUUGAAUCCCCGAAAUCGUGGUUCAUCCGAUGAGAUCAUCGUGGAACAUGUGGGAGCCAACAUGGGUAUCCAGAUCCCGUUGUUGGUUAUUGGCCGGAGAACGUCUUGGUCAUGUCUGCAUGGUUCCCGAACCCGUAGGGUCUACACACUUAAGGUUCAGUGACACUAGAGUUGUUAUUGGAAAUAGUAUGUGGUUACCGAAGGUUGCUCGGAGUCCCGGAUGAGAUCCCGGACGUGACGAGGAACUCCGGAAUUGUCCGGAGAUGAAGAUCGAUAUAUUGGACGAAGGGUAUUGGAGUCCGAAAUUGUUCUGGGAGUACCGGCUGACGACCAGCGUGACCGAAAGGUGUUUCGGAGGCCUCGGCAAGCGUUGGGGGGCUUAUGGGCCAAGGGGAGGGGGCACAUCAGCCCACUAAGGGGAUGUGCGCCCCUCCCACCCCAUCUCACGUAACGUGGAGAGGUGGGGGCGCCUCCCCUAGGGCAGCCACCCCUCCCGGCUUGGGGGGCAAGUUUCCUAGGGGUGGGGGCGCCCAAACCCAUCUAGGGUUUCCCCUGUGGCCGCCACCCCUCCCCUAGGGAACCCUAGGGCGCCUCCUCCAGCCUCCCUUACCCCUAUAUAUAGGGAGGGAGAGAGAGGGCAGCCGCACCCUUGCCCCUGGCACAGCCCCUCCCUCCUCCAACACUUCCUCCUCCUCCGUAGUGCUUAGCGAAGCUCUGCCAGAGAACCACGAGCUCCAUCACCACCACGCUGUCGUGCUGUCGGAGUUCUCCCUCAACUUCUCCUUUCCCCUUGCUGGAUCAAGAAGUAGGAGACGUCCCCGAGCUGUACGUGUGUUGAACGCGGAGGCGCCGUCCGUUCGGCGCUUAGAUCGAAAUCGACCACGAUCUGAAUCACUGCGUGUACGACUCCACCAACCGUGUUCUUGUAACGCUUCCGCAUCGCGAUCUUCCAGGGUAUGAAGAUCAACUCAUCCUCUCCCUCUCUUGUUGCUAGAAUCUCCAUAGAUUGAUCUUGGUGAUGCGUAGAAAAUUUUGAAUUAUUGCUACAUUCCCCAACAGUGACAUCAUGAGCUAGGUCUAUUGCAUAGAUUCUAUGCACGGGUAGAACACAAGUAGUUAUGGGCGUUGGUUUGUUCAAUAUUCUUACCAUUACUAGUCUUAUCUUGAUUUGGCGGCAUCGUGGGAUGAAGCGGCCCGGACUGACCUUACACGUACGCUUACGUGAGACAGGUUCCACCGACUGACAUGCACUUGUUGCAUAAGGUGGCUAGCGGGUGCCAGUCUCUCCCACUUUAGUCGUAUCGGAUUCGAUGAAAAGGGACCUUAUGAAGGGUAAAUAGCAAUUGGCAUAUCACCGUUGUGGCUUUUGCGUAGGUAAGAAACGUUCUUGCUAGAAACCCAUAGCAGCCACGUAAAACAUGCAACAACAAUAGAGGACGUCUAACUUGUUUUUGCAGGGUAUGCUAUGUGAUGUGAUAUGGCCAAAAGAAUGUGAUGAAUGAUAUGUGAUGUAUGAGAUUGAUCAUGUUCUUGUAAUAGGAAUCACGACUUGCAUGUCGAUGAGUAUGACAACCAUCAGGAGCCAUAGGAGUUGUCUUAAUUUAUUGUAUGACCUGUGUGUCAAUCAGAACGCCAUGUAAUUACUUUACUUUAUUGCUAACCAUUAGCCAUAGUAGUAGAAGUAAUAGUUGGCGAGACAACUUCAUGAAGACACGAUGAUGGAGAUCAUGAUGAUGGAGAUCAUGGUGUCAUGCCGGUGACGAAGGUGAUCAUGCCGCGCCUCGAAGAUGGAGAUCAAAGGCGCAAGAUCAUGUCACUCUAUGAUUUGCAUGUGAUGUUUGUCAUGUUUACAUCUUAUUUGCUUAGAAUGACGGUAGCAUAAAUAAGAUGAUCCCUCGCUAAAAUUUCAAGAAAGUGUCCCCCCUAACUGUGCACCGUUGCGAAGGUUCGUUGUUUCGAAGCACCACGUGAUGAUCGGGUGUGAUAGAUUCUAACGUUCGAAUACAAUGGGUGUAAGCCAGAUUUACACAAGCAAAACACUUAGGUUGACUUGACGAGCCUAGCAUGUACAUACAUGGCCUCGAAACACAAGAGACCGAAAGGUCGAACAUGAGUCGUAUAGUGGAUACGAUCAACAUGAAGAUGUUCACUAAUGAUGACUAGUCCGUCUCACGUGAUGAUCGGACACGGCCUAGUUGACUCAGAUCAUGUAUCACUUAGAUGACUAGAGGGAUGUCUAUCUGAGUGGGAGUUCAUUAAAUAAUUUGAUUAGAUGAACUUAAUUAUCAUGAACAUAGUCAAAAGAUCUUUUCAAAUUAUGUCAUAGCUUACGCUUUAGUUCUACUAUUUAAGAUACGUUCCUAGAGAAAAUUUAGUUGAAAGUUGACAGUAGCAAUUAUGCAGACUGGGUCCGUAUUCUGAGGAUUGUCCUCAUUGCUGCACAGAAGGCUUAUGUCCUUAAUGCACCGUUCGGUGUGCUGAACCUGGAGCGUCGUUUGUGGAUGUUGCGAACAUCUGACCUACACAUUUUGAUGACUACGUGAUAGUUUAGUGCGUAAUGUUAAACGGUUUAGAAUUGAGGCGCCAAAGAUGUUUUUGAAACGUCGCAGAACAUAUGAGAUGUUCCAAAGACAAUUGGGAUUUCAGACUAGUGCCCACGUCAAGAGGUAUGAGACCUUUGACAAGUUUCUUAAGCCUGCAAACUAAGGGAGAAAAUCUCAAUCGUUGAGCAUGUGCUCAGAUUGUCUGGGUACUACAAUCGCUUGAAUCGAGUGGGAGUUAAUCUUCCAGAUGAGACAUUGAUAGUUCUCCAUAGUCACUGCCACCAAGCUAUUAGAGCUUCGUGAUGAACUAUAACAUAUUAGGGAUAGACAUGAUGAUCCUUGAGCUAUUCGUGAUGUUUGACACCGUGAAAGUAGAAAUCAAGUAGGAGCAUCAAUUGUUGAUGGUUAGUAAAACCACUAGUUUCAAGAAGGGCAAGGGCUAGAAGGGAUACUUCAUGAACGGCAAAUCAGUUGCUGCUCUAGUGAAGAAACCCAAGGUUGAACCCAAAUCCGAGACUAAGUGCUUCUGUAAUGAGGGGAACGGUCACUGAAGCAAAACUACCCUUGGUAAAUGAGAAGGCUGUCAAGGUCGACAGAAGUAUAUUGGAUAUACAUUAUGAUGUGUACUUUACUAGUACUCCUAGUAGCACCAGGGUAUUAGAUAACGGUUCGGUUUCUAAGUGUUAGUAACUCGAAAUAAAAGGCUACGGAAUAAGCGGAGACUAGCUAAAGGUGAGGUGACGAUAUGUAUUGGAAGUAUUUCCAUGGUUGAUGUUAUCAAACAUCGCACGCUCCCUCUACCAUCGAGAUUGGUGUUAAACCUAAAUAAUUGUUAUUUGGUGAUUGCGUUGAGCAUAGACAUGAUUGGAUUAUGUUUAUCGCAAUACGGUUAUUCAUUUAAGGAGAAUAAUGGUUACUCUGUUUAUUUGAAUAAUACCUUCAAUGGUCGUGCACCUAAAAUGAAUGGUUUAUUGAAUCUCGAUCAUAGCGAUACACAUGUUCAUGCCAAAAGAUAUAAGAGAGUAAUGAUAGUACCACCUACUUGUGGCACUGCCAUUUGAGUCAUAUUGGUAUAAAACGCAUGAAGAAGCUCCAUGUUGAUGGAUCUUUGGACUCACUCGUUUUUGAAAAGUUUGAGACAUGCGAACCAUGUCUAUUGGUGUAUACGCAUGAAGAAACUCCAUGCAGAUGGAUCGUUUGGACUCACUUGAUUUUGAAUCACUUGAGACAUACAAAUUGUACCACAUGGGCAAUAUGACUGAAAGGCCUCGUUUUCAGUGAGAUGGAACAAGAAAGCAACUUGUUGGAAGUAAUACAUUUUGAUGUGUGCAGUCCAAUGAGUGCUGAGGCACGCAGUGGAUAUCGUUAUGUUCUUGCUUCACAGAUGAUUUGAGUAGAUGCUAAGUAUAUUUACUUGAUGAAACACAAGUCUGAAUUAUUGAAAGGUUCGAGUAAUUUUAGAGUGAAGUUGAAGAUCACCGUGACAAGAGGAUAAGAUGUCUAUGAUAUGAUCAUAGAGAAGAAUAUCUGAGUUACGAGUUUGGCACACAAUUAAGACAUUGUGGAAAUUGUUUCACAACUAAUACCGCCUGGAACACCAUAGAGUGAUGGUGUGUCCGAACGUCAUAACUGCACCCUAUUGGAUAUGGUGCAUACCAUGAUGUCUCUUAUCGAAUUACCACUAUCGUUUAUGGGUUAGGCAUUAGAGACAACCGCAUUCACUUUAAAUAGGGCACCACACAAUUCCGUUGAGACGACAUCGUAUGAACAAUGGUUUAGAGAAACCUAAGCUAUCGUUUCUUAAAAGUUUGGGGAUGCGACACUUAUGUGAAAAAAGUUUCAGGCUGAUAAGCUCGAACCCAAAACGGAUAAAUGCAUCUACAUAGGACACCCAAAACAGUUGGGUAUACCUCCUGUCUCACAUCCGGAAGAAAAAGGGAUUAUUUCUAGAAUCAGGUCCUUUCUUGAGGAAAAGUUUCUCUCGAAAGAAUUGAGUGGGAGGAUGGUGGGGACUUGAUGAGGUUACUGAACCGUCACUUCAACUAGUGUGUAGCAGGACAUAGGAAGUUGUUCCUGUGGCGCCUACACCAAUUGAAGUGGAAGCUGAUGAUAUUGAUCAUGAAACUUCAGAUCAACAAACCUCGUAGGUCGACAAGGAUGCGUACUAUUUCAGAGUGGUACGUAGUCCUAUCUUGUAGGUCAUGUUGCUACACAACAAUGAACCUACGAGCUAUGGAGAAGCGAUGGUGGGCCCGGAUUCCGACAAAUGGCUCGAGGCCAUAAAAUCCGAGAGAGGAUCCAUGUAUAAAACAAAGUGUAGACUUUGGAAGAACUACUCGAUGGUCGUAAGGCUAUUGAGUACAGAUGGAUUUUAAAAGGAAGACGGACAAUGAUGGUAAGUGUCACCAUUAAGAAAGCUCGACUUGUCGCUAAGAUGUUUUCCGACAAGUUCAAGGAGUUGACUACGAUGAGACUUUCUCACUCGUAGCGAUGCUAAGAGUCUGUUGGAAUUAUAUUAGCAGUUACUGCAUUAUUUAUGAAAUCUUGCAAACAGGAUGUCAAAACAUUGUUUCUUCGACAAUUUUCUUGAGGAAAGGUUGUAUGUGAUACAACCAGAAGGUUUUGUCAAUCCUGAAAGAUGCUAACAAGUAUGCAAAGCUCCAGUAAUCCUUCUAAGGACUGGAGUAAGCAUCUCGAAGAUGGAAUAUACGCUUUGAUGAGAUGAUCAAAGAUUUUGGGUUUAUACGAAGUUUAUGAGAAACUUAUAUUUCCAAAGAAGUGAGUGGGAGCACUAUAAAAUUUCUGAUGAGUAUAUGUUGUUGACAUAUUGUUGAUCGGAAAUGAUGUAGAAUUUCUGGAAAGCAUAUAGGGUUGUUUGAAUGGUGUUUUUCAAUGGAAAACCUGGAUUAAGCUACUUGAACAUUGAGCAUCAAGAUCUAUAAGGAUAGAUCAAAAACGCUUUAUAGUACUUCAAAUGAAUACAUACCGUGACAAGAUUUUGAAGGAGUUCAAAUAGAUCAGCAAAGAAGGAGUUCUUGGCUAUUUUAUAAGGUGUGAGCAUUGAGUAAGACUCAAGAUCUGACCACGGCAGAAGAGAGAGAAAGGACGAAGGUCGUCCCUAUGCUUUAAACAUAGGCUCCAUAGAAUGCCAUGCUGUGUACCGCACAUGAAGUGUGCCUUGCCAUGAGUCAGUCAAGGGGUACAAUUGUGAUCCAGGAAUGGAUCACAAGACAACGGUCAAGGUUAUCCUUAGUAACUAGUCGACUAAGGAAUUUUCUUAGUUAUGGAGGUGGUAAAAGAGUUUGUCGUAAAGGAUUACACCGAUGCAAACUUUGACACUAAUCUGGACGACUCUGAGUAGUAGACCGGAUUCGUAUAGUAGAGCUGUUAUUUGGAAUAGUUCCAAAUGGCGUGUGGUAGCUGCAUAUAGGAGAUGACAUAGAGAUUUGUAAAGAACACACGGAUCUGAAAGAUUCAGACCCGUUGACUAAUAACCUCUCUCACAAGCGAGUUAUGAUCAAACCCAAUGGGUGUUGGAUUCAUUACAAUCACAUAGUGAUGUGAACUAGAUUAUUCACUCUAGUGCAAGUGGGAGAUUGUUGGAAAUAUGCCCUAGAGGCAAUAAUAAAAUGGUUAUUAUUAUAUUUCCUUGUUCAUGAUAAUUGUCUAUUGUUCAUGCUAUAACUGUAUUAACUGGAAACCGUAAUACGUGUGUGAAUACAUAGACCACAACAUGUCCCUAGUGAGCCUCUAGUUGACUAGCUCGUUGAUCAAUAGAUGGUCAUGGUUUCCUGACCAUGGACAUUAGAUGUCAUUGAUAGCGGGAUCACAUCAUUAGGAGAAUGAUGUGAUGGACAAGACCCAAUCCUAAGCGUAGCACAAAGAUCAUGUAGUUCGUUUGCUAAAGCUUUUCUAAUGUCAAGUAUCAUUUACUUAGACCAUGAGAUUGAGCAACUCCCGGAUACCGUAGGAAUGCUUUGGGUGUACCAAACGUCACAACGUAACUGGGUGGCUAUAAAGGUACACUACAGGCAUCUCCGAAAGUGAUUGUUGGGUUGGCACGGAUCGAGACUGGGAUUUGUCACUCCGUAUGAUGGAGAGGUAUCUCUGGGCCCACUCGGUAAUGCAUCAUCAUAAUGAGCUCAAUGUGGCUAAGUAGUUAGUCACGGGAUCAUGCAUUAUGGAACGAGUAAAGUGACUUGACGGUAACAAGAUUGAACGAGGUAUUGGGAUACCGAUGAUCGAAUCUCGGGCAAGUAACAUACCGAUUGACAAAGGGAAUUGUAUACGGUAUUGAUUGAAUCCCCGACAUCCUGGUUCAUCUAAUGAGAUCAUCGUGGAACAUGUGGGAGCCAACAUGGGUAUCCAGAUCCCGCUAUUGGUUAUUGGCCGGAGAACGUCUUGGUCAUGUCUGCAUGGUUCCCGAACCCAUAGGGUCUACACACUUAAGGUUUGGUGACGCUAGAGUUGUUAUGGGAAAUAGUAUGUGGUUACCGAAGGUUGUUCAGAGUCCCGGAUGAGAUCCCGAACGUGAUGAGGAACUCCGGAAUGGUCGAGAGGUGAAGAUCGAUAUAUUGGACGAAGGGUAUUGGAGUCCGAAAUUAUUCUGGGAGUACCGGGUGACGACCAGCGUGACCGAAAGGUGUUUCGAAGGCCCCGGCAAGCAUUGGGGGGCUUAUGGGCCAAGGGGAGGGGGCACAUCAGCCCACUAAGGGGCUAUGCGCCCCUCCCACCCCAUCGCAUGUAACGUGGAGAGGUGGGGGCGCCUCCCCUAGGGCAGCCACCCCUCCCGGCUUGGGGGGGGGGCAAGUUUCCUAGGGGUGGGGGCGCCCAAACCCAUCUAGGGUUUCCCCUGUGGCCGACACGCCUCCCCUAGGGAACCCUAGGGUGCCUCCUCCAGCCUCCCUUACCCCUAUAUAUAGUGAGGGAGAGAGAGGGCAGCCACACCCUUGCCCCUAGCACAGCCCCUCCCUCCUCCAACACUUCAUCCUCCUCCAUAGUGCUUAGCGAAGCUCUGCCGGAGAACCACGAGCUCCAUCACCACCACGCCGUCGUGCUGUCGGAGUUCUCCCUCAACUUCUCCUUUCCCCUUGCUGGAUCAAGAAGGAGGAGACGUCCCCGGGCUGUACGUGUGUUGAACGCGGAGGCACCGUCCGUUCGACGCUUAGAUCGGAAUCGACCGUGAUCUGAAUCGCUGCGUGUACGACUGCACCAACCGCGUUCUUGUAACGCUUCCGCAUCGCGAUCUUCAAGGGUAUGAAGAUCAACUCAUCCUCUCCCUCUCUUGUUGCUAGAAUCUCCAUAGAUUGAUCUUGGUGAUGCAUAGAAAAUUUUGAAUUAUUGCUACGUUCCCCAACAGUGGCAUCAUGAGCUAGGUCUAUUGCGUAGAUUCUAUGCACGAGUAGAACACAAGUAGUUGUGGGCGUUGGUUUGUUCAAUAUGCUUACUGUUACUAGUCUUAUCUUGAUUUGGCGGCAUCGUGGGAUGAAGCGGCCCGGACCGACCUUACACAUACGCUUACGUGAGACAAGUUCCACCGACUGACAUGCACUUAUUGCAUAAGGUGGCUAGCGGGUGCCAGUCUCUCCCACUUUAGUCGGAUCGGAUUCGAUGAAAAGGGUUCUUGUGAAGGGUAAAUAGCAAUUGGCAUAUCACCGUUGUGGCUUUUGCGUAGGUAAGAAACGUUCUUGCUAGAAACCCAUAGCAUCCACGUAAAACAUGCAACAACAAUUAGAGGACGUCUAACUUGUUUUUGUAGGGUAUGCUAUGUGAUGUGAUAUGGCCAAAAGAAUGUGAUGAAUGAUAUGUGAUGUAUGAGAUUGAUCAUGUUCUUGUAAUAGGAAUCACGACUUGCAUGUCGAUGAGUAUGACAACCGGCAGGAGCCAUAGGAGUUGUCUUAAUUUAUUGUAUGACCUGCGUGUCAAUCAGAACGCCAUGUAAUUACUUUACUUUAUUGCUAACCGUUAGCCAUAGUAGUAGAAGUAAUAGUUGGCGAGACAACUUCAUGAAGACACGAUGAUGGAGAUCAUGAUGAUGGAGAUCAUGGUGUCAUGCCGGUGACGAAGGUGACCAUGCCGCGCCUCGAAGAUGGAGAUCAAAGGCGCAAGAUGAUAUUGGCCAUAUCAUGUCACUCUAUGAUUUGCAUGUGAUGUUUGUCAUGUUUACAUCUUAUUUGCUUAGAACGACGGUAGCAUAAAUAAGAUGAUCCCUCGCUAAAAUUUCAAGAAAGUGUUCCCCCUAACUGUGCACCGUUGAGAAGGUUCGUUGUUUCGAAGCACCACGUGAUGAUCGGGUGUGAUGGAUUCUAAUGUUCGAAUACAACGGGUGUAAGCCAGAUUUACACAAGCAAAACACUUAGGUUGACUUGACGAGCCUAGCAUGUACAGACAUGGCCUCGGAACACAAGAGACCGAAAGGUCGAACAUGAGUCGUAUAGUGGAUACGAUCAACAUGAAGAUGUUCACCAAUGAUGACUAGUCCGUCUCACGUGAUGAUCGGACACGGCCUAGUUGACUCGGUUCAUGUAUCACUUAGAUGACUAGAGGGAUGUCUAUCUGAGUGGGAGUUCAUUAAAUAAUUUGGUUAGAUGAACUUAAUUAUCAUGAACAUAGUCAAAAGAUCUUUGCAAAUUAUGUCAUAGCUUACGCUUUAGUUUUGAGAAGUCUUUAAUGAACCUCCUAUAAAAACCGGCAAGACCAAGGAAACUUCUUAUACCUUUAAUGUCCUUGGGACACAACAUCUUUUCAAUAGCAUCAUCUUUAGCUUUAUCAACUUCAAUACCUCUUUCAGAAAUUUUAUGCCCCAAGACAAUACCUUCAUUAACCAUAAAGUGGCACUUCUCCCAAUUCAAGACAAGAUUAGUUUCUUCACAUCUCUGCAAAACUCGAUCAAGGUUGCUCAAGCAAUCAUCAAAAGAAGUUCCAUAUACGAAAAAAUCAUCCAUGAAAACCUCAACAAUCUUUUUCACAAAAAUCAAGGAAUAUAGCCAUCAUGCAUCUUUGAAAGGUAGCAGGUGCAUUGCAUAAACCAAAAGGCAUAAAUCUAUAAGCAAAUGUACCGAAAGGGCAAGUAAAAGUGGUCUUUUCUUGAUCCUCUUUUGACACAUGUAUUUGAGAGAAACCAGAAUAACCAUCUAGAAAGAAAAAAUGCGUAUGUUUAAUCUUUCUAGCGUUUGAUCAAUAAAAGGUAAAGGGUAAUGAUCCUUUUUAGUGGCUUUAUUUAAUUUGCGGAAAUCAAUUACCAUCCUAUAACCUGUAACAAUUCUUUGUGGGAUCAAUUCAUCUUUAUCAUUAGGAAUGACAGUAAUACCUCCCUUCUUAGGGACACAAUGGACAGGGCUUACCCACUGACUAUCAGCAACAGGAUAAAUUAUACCUGCCUCCAGGAGCUUUAGUAUUUCAUUUCUUACCACUUCUUUCAUCUUAGGGUUUAACCAUCGUUGGUGAUCAACAACCGGUUUAGCGUCUUUUUCCAAUUUUAUUUUGUGUUGGCAUAGAGUAGGACUAAUGCCCUUAAGAUCAUCAAGAGUAUAUCCAAUAGCAGCACAGUGCUUCUUUAGAGUUUUCAAUAAUUUCUUUUCUUCAUGCUAUGAAAGGUUAGCACUAAUAAUAACAGGAUAUAUCUUAUUUUCAUCAAGAUAAGCAUAUUUAAGAGUAUCUGGUAAUGGUUUAAGCUCAAACACGGGAUCACCCUUGGGUGGAGGAGGAUACCCUAGGAUUUCAACAAGCAAGUUGUGUUUCAAAAUAGGUCCUUGUUUAAAGAAUACUUCAUCUAUUUCCCUUCUUUCAUUCAUAAACAUAUCAUUUUCAUGGUCUAGCAAAUAUUGUUCUAAAGGAUCAUUAGGAGGUACGACAAUAGAAGCAAGAACAAUAAUUUCAUCUUUACUAGGCAAUUAUUUAUCAUGGGGUUGCCUACUAAAUUUAGCAAAAUUAAACUCAUGAGACAUAUCUCCUAACCCCAUAGUAACAAUAUCCUUUUCACAAUUUAUCCUAGCAUUGACAGUAUUCAAGAAGGGUCUACCAAAUAUGAUGGGACAAAAGUUAUCUUGUGGGGAAGCAAGAACAAGAAAAUCAGUAGGUAUUUAAUUUUCCCACACAAGACUUCUACAUCUCUAACAAUCCCAACCGGUGAGAUAGUAUCUCUAUUGGCAAGCUUAAUAGUAACAUCAAUAUCUUCUAUCUCAGCAGGUGCAAUAUCAUGCAUAAUUUCUUUAUAUAAGGUGUAAGGUAUCGCACUAACACUAGCCCCCAUAUCACAUAAGCCAUGAUAACAGUGAUCUCCUAUUUUAACAGAAACAACAGGCAUGCCAACAAUAGGUCUAUGUUUAUCUUUAGCAUCGGGUUUAGCAAUUCUAGCAGCUUCAUCACAGAAGUAUAUAACAUGCCCAUCAAUAUUAUCGGCCAAGAGAUCUUUAACCAUAGCAAUACUAGGUUCAACUUUAAUUUGCUUAGGGGGUUUGGGUGUCCUAAUAUUACUUUUGUUGACCACAGUUGAAGCUUUAGCAUGAUCCUUUAUUCUAACAGGAAAAGGUGGUCUCUCAACAUAAGAAGUAGGAACAAUAGGAUCAUUAUAAGUGAUAGUCUUCUCUUCAACUUUAAUAGGUGCAACUACUUUUACUUCAAUGGGGGGAUUAUAUUUAAACCACUUCUCCUUAGGGAGAUCAACAUGAGUAGCAAAGGAUUCAUAGAAAGAAGCUACUAUCUCAGAGUCAAGUCCAUAUUUAGUGCUAAAUUCACGGAAAACAUCGGUAUCCAUAAAAGAUUUAACACAAUCAAACUUAGGCGUUAUACCUGACUCUUUACCUUUGUCGAGAUCCAAAUCUUCAGAGUUGCGUUUAAUUCUUUCCAAUAAAUCCCAUUUGAAUUCAAUAGUCUUCAUCAUAAAAGAACCAGUACAAGAAGUAUCGAGCAUGGAGUGAUUAUUGAGAGAAAGCCGAGCAUAAAUUUUUUGGAUAAUAAUUUCUCUUGAGAGCUCAUGAUUGGGGCAUGAAUAUAACAUUGACUUGAGCCUCACCCAAGCUUGAGUUAUGCUUUCUCCUUCGCGAGGCCAAAAAUUAUAUAUAUAAUUACGAUCACGAUGAACAAGGUGCAUAGGAUAAAACUUCUGAUGAAAUUCCAAUUUCAAUCGAUUGUAGUUCCAUGAUCCCAUAUCAUCACAUAGCCUAAACCAUGUCAAUGCCUUUCCCUUCAAAGAUAAAGGGAAGACCUUCUUAUUGAUAACAUCCUCGGGCAUACCUGCAAGCUUAAAUAAUCCACAAACUUCAUCCACAUAGAUUAGGUGUAAAUCAGGAUGCAAUGUUCCAUCUCCUGUAAAAAGGAUUAGCUAGCAGUUUCUCUAUCAUACCCAAAGGAAUUUCAAAGUAAAAAAUUUCAGUAGGUUCAGUAGGUUGAGGAGCAACUCUUUGCUCUACUGUUCGGGGUGAAGAUACACCGAACAAGCCCCUCAAAGGAUUACUUUCCACAGUAACAAGUGACAGUAGAUUUCAGCACACUAUAUAAAUUUUUCCUUACCAAAUUCCACUUACCAAAGGCGCUUCACUCCCCAGAAAUGGAGCCAAAAAAGAUUCUUGAUGACCCACAAGUGUAGGGGAUCUAUCGUAGUCCUUUCGAUAAGUAAGAGUGUCGAGCCCAACGAGGAGCAGAAGGAAAUGACAAGCGGUUUUCAGUAAGGUAUUCUCUGCAAGCACUGAAAUUAUCAGUAACAGAUAGUUUUGUGAUAAGGUAAUUUGUAACGGGUAACAAGUAACAAGUGUAAAUAAAGUGCAGCAAGGUGACCCAAUCCUUUUUGUAUCAAAGGAUAAGCCUGGAAAAACUCUUAUAUGGAGGAAAGAGCUCCCGAGGACACAUGUGAAUUAUUGUCAAUCUAGUUUUCAUCACGCUCAUAUGAUUCACGUUCGGUACUUUGAUAAUUUGAUAUGUGGGUGGACCGGUGCUUGGGUGCUGUCCUUCCUUGGACAAGCAUCCCACUUAUGAUUAACCCCUAUUGCAAGCAUCCGCGACUACAAAAGAAGUAUUAAGACAAACCUAACCAUAGCAUGAAACAUAUGGAUCCAAAUCCUCUUACAAAGCAACGCAUAAACUAGGGUUUAAGCUUCUGUCACCCUAGUAACCCAUCAUCUACUUAUUACUUCCCAAUGCCUUCCUCUAGGCCCAACCAAUGGUGAAGUGUCAUGUAGUCGACGUCCACAUAACACCACUAGAGGAAAGACAACAUACAUCUCAUCAAAAUAUCGAACGAAUACCAAAUUCACAUGACUACUUAUAGCAAGACUUCUCCCAUGUCCUCAGGAACAAACGUAACUAAUCACAAAUCAUAUUCAUGUUCAUAAUUAGAGGAGCAUUAAUAUGCAUAAAGGAUCUGAACAUAUAAUCUUCCACCGAAUAAACCAAUAGCAUCAACUACAAAGAGUAAUCAACACUACUAGCAACCUACAGGUACCAAUCUGAGGUUUUGAGACAAAGAUUGGAUACAAGAGAUGAACUAGGGUUUGAGAGGAGAUGGUGCUGGUGAUGAUGUUGAUGGAGAUUAACCCCCUCCCAAUGAGUGGAUCGAUCGUGAUAAAGAUGGUGAUGAUUUCCCCCUUCCGGAGGGAUGUUUCCCCGGCAGAACAGCUCCGCUGGAGCCCUAGAUUGGUUCCGCCAAGGUUCCGCCUCGUGGCGGCUGUGUUUCGUCCCGAAAGCUUGCUUGCUAUUUUUUCCAGGGUAAAAGACUUCAUAUAGCAGAAGAUGGNNNNNNNNNNNNNNNNNNNNNNNNNNNNNNNNNNNNNNNNNNNNNNNNNNNNNNNNNNNNNNNNNNNNNNNNNNNNNNNNNNNNNNNNNNNNNNNNNNNNNNNNNNNNNNNNNNNNNNNNNNNNNNNNNNNNNNNNNNNNNNNNNNNNNNNNNNNNNNNNNNNNNNNNNNNNNNNNNNNNNNNNNNNNNNNNNNNNNNNNNNNNNNNNNNNNNNNNNNNNNNNNNNNNNNNNNNNNNNNNNNNNNNNNNNNNNNNNNNNNNNNNNNNNNNNNNNNNNNNNNNNNNNNNNNNNNNNNNNNNNNNNNNNNNNNNNNNNNNNNNNNNNNNNNNNNNNNNNNNNNNNNNNNNNNNNNNNNNNNNNNNNNNNNNNNNNNNNNNNNNNNNNNNNNNNNNNNNNNNNNNNNNNNNGUAUUUUUUAUUAAUUUCAAAAAUAACUUCCGUGGAGUUUUAGGACUUUUGGAGUUGUGCAAAAUAGGUCUCUAGUAUUUGCUCCUUUUCCAGCCCAGAAUUCCAGCUGCCAACAUUCUCCCUCUUCAUAUAAACCUUGUAAAAUAAGAGAGAAUAGGCAUACAUAUUGUUACAUAAUGUGCAAUAACAUCCCAUAAUGCAAUAAAUAUAGAUAUAAAAGCAUGAUGAAAAAUGGAUGUAUCAGUGCUACUAGCUUUAUAUAUAGUGCCCUCUAUCUUCUAGUUUUACAAUCUCAACACAAAGCCAAGGGCGACCACUUGUGUUGGAUGACCAUGGCAAAGUAUGCACAUAUGCCUUUCAUCCUUAUGGUCCUUGUUCUACGCACCAGCUUCCAAGCCCAAGGUAUGAAACACACCUCUGGACUCUGGUCACUAAAUUUAGGUAUACCUACACAAAAUUGUUAUAGGAAGUUCACUAACACGAUGCUGAAACAAAUAUAACAAUCAUCCAUUGCAUGAUGAUAUAUUUUGUGAAUAUGCUCUCACAUGAAACAUAAUAAAAAUUUAUUGUCUAUCUUUUUUAUGGAUGAUCUCAUAGAACUGUUGCUAAAGUUUUUCCCUAAUCAUAAAUAAAUACUUGAUAUGUAGGACAACUAGGACCGACGGAGACACACAACAUCACCGAGUACAUUCCAUUGGAGUUCACAAAGACUUUUUUCCAACCCCACGGAAUACAUCCCUCUGAUACAUCGAUUGCAUUUAAAAGGUGUAGGCUGUGCCCCUGCUGCCCAAAGGAUCCCAAGAAACCAUGU